rnacentral:lncRNA from 1 species
GACUGUAAAUACACCCGUCCCUACCCCGUUGCGACUAUCGGGCUCUAUCCACACUGACUGGUUCGUGGAGAGCAAGUCCAACUGGCAUGAGCGAUACCAACGCGAAAGCACAAAGCCUGACUCCGGAGUGGCACUCGUGGGCGCUACCCAACCGAGUAUGCAGCGUAUCUCUGUCGAGCUCAAUCAGGCUCUCAAUAGCCAAAAUCAAGUAACCGACUCAAACUGGUCUAACAACCAACAGGUAACGUGCCCUCGGCACAAUCUGACGCCAAAAAGGCGAGACGGGUCCACCGUCAACUCUGACGGCACCCAACAGUCCGGAACAACCUGAACGACCCUGUAAAAAUCCACUCGGCAUACCAGCAUGAGCGUAAAUGUAUUCUAAACUACCUGGAGUACUCGUCUUGAGGAUACUGCGACAGUACAAUUUUAUAACGGCUCCUAGAGCUAAAUCAGGCAGUUUAAACAGGUGACAGGUCCAAAUCGCAGGUUUUCUCCUAAUUCAAUUUCCAAGUCCAACAUGUAUAACCUACUUAAUUUAUUACCACAUGCUCCAAACUCAGAUUUGCAAUCUAUCAAAUAAUCCAUGAAUUCGAGCUAGAAUAGAUUAUCAAAAAUCGAGAUCUAUACAUGUCGACGAUUAUGAACUUAGGAGUCAAAACCGAUGUAACCCACCUCGCACGCUAAUCCUCGGCAGCACGGAACUCUCACGGCGGCGAAACAACCUGCUGGAUCGACCAAAAACACCCAAGUCUCGAAAUCGAGCUAACUCCAAACUAAAAACACCAAAAAUCCUCAAUUCAGUCCAAAAUCCACAGCAGCAGAGAAGAGAAGGAUUUUGACCAAGAUAACUUUUACUAAAAUUCGCAAGUGAGGGCUUCGUGGAUUCCUCUCGAAGUCCCGAAUCCAACGAAUCAAGUCUCGUCGCAAUCCGAUGCUCCUACGUCGAGAACAAGCUGAAAUACUAACAGUCGACGACAAGAUCCUGCGAAUCAGCACUUAAGCUCGAAUUAAUGAUACCCGAGGUAUGCGGAGCAAUUCCACAGAACACUCACCUCAAUAGAUCCUCAAGAGUCGGCGCAAUGUCGAGGAUGACGGAAAUCCACGCUCGCCCGAGCUCCUCACAGCACCAAGACGACACAACGUGCGCCCGAACGGCUCCGCGGCACCACGUCGGCGACGAAACUCCACCCGAGCUCCACCCUAGCCUACGAUCGGUUUGAGAGUGAGAGAGAGGAAGUAGCAGCAGAGGAACUCCCUCUCUCUGUCCUCACAAGGCUAAAUAGAGAGAGGGAGGACUGGUGAUACAAACGAGGGAGAGAAAAGACCAAAACACCCUCUCACCUACCCUGGUGUACCGGUACAGGAGGCCAACCCGAGAGCAGUACGCGCUCAACCAGUAUAGUGUACCGGUACACCUCGCUGGCUGUACCGAUACAGCAAGCAGGAAAAUCUGCUAUUUCGCAGAUUUCUUCGCUGAAGGCUGCCCUCGCGUCGCACGAAGUCCGUUUUGCGUCUAUUUGACGCCAACGCGACUCGGACUUGUCCCGACACUCUCUAGAGCUGUCGACAAACCUCCAUAGUCAAACACCAGGGAUCUCACAGUGAGUGACUAGCCAAGAAGGCUCAGCGACUCAACAAAUGCUCACGAGGCACCGUCGGAAGAAUUCCAAACUAAAAUCGCAUUCCGUCGGCAGAUUUUGUCGACAAACGCACCGAAAAUGCAUUUCCGAUCUCCACAAGGGCUUGGGCCUUGGACAAUCCGUCCAGAGGUUACCCACAACCCACACAUCCUGUCAAUAGCAGCCACAACGAACCAAGAUGCAUAAAAGCCCUCCCGAUCGUGUUAUUUCAUGCGAUUUCCGGGCUUUUAUGGUCCGACCGUUCAAUCCGAUAACCUUUCAGUUCAGCUGAGACACCUGCUGAUAGGUCUCGGCGUGCCGGAGGCCGUGCUCACCUUUCGGAGCACUGCCGGCCACUAAGGCGGGCGCACGAGCGAUGCGAAGAUCUGUGAAACAGCGCGCACAGUGCCAAAAUCGAGUCUAAUACACCAACCAGGCACCUUUAACCCUGACGGAGGUGAGCACGAUGUUCAGCACGAAUCCUAGAUCAUCGUGCUCACUUCCCGGGGUGUCCGGGAGUCAUCGGAUCACCAGAAAGGUGACCGGAACCCUCAAACAGUGCGCUACAGACUAAUUUACUGCUUACCAGACCCGAGGGAGCUAGGGUUGGUCGUCGGCGGCCGGACGACGGGCGCUCCGGUCGGGGAAUGGUGCGGCCGGUCGGAGAGGUCCGGGGCAGGCGCUGGCCGGCGGCGAGAGGCGGCUGGAGGCGCGGCGGCUGCGAUCCAAUCCGUCAAGCUACUCUCGGGUUCAAGGGCGCCAGCGGCAAGGCGACGGCCGGAGGAGCUCGGGGCGACGGCGAUUCAUCGUCGGAGGCCGAGGGAGUGGUGGUGCGCCCCACUGUGGGCGGCGGCGACGCACGGUNUGGUGGGGUCUGGGGCACCCGCUGGCCGGCGGCGGAAGGUGGCCGGUGGCACGGCGGCGGAGAUCAAGUCCGUCAAGUUCCUCUCGGGUUCAAGGGCGCCGGCGGUGAAGCGGCGGCCGGAGGAGCCCGGGGCGGCGAUGGUUCGUCGCCGGAGGUCGAGGAGGAGGUUGAGCUCGCGACGAUGGACGGCGGCGUCGUGCGGUGGCCGAGGUGGCUCGGCCUCAGCCCGCACAAAUUCUGGGCGGCCGCAGAGUAGAAGAGCGGCGGCCAGCGGCGCACGGGGACGGUGGGGAGGCGCGCGGGAGGUAGCCGGAGGUCGCCGGAGGCUGAGGGAUGACAGCGCGGCCGAUCUGGAGUGGCGGCGGCGCGCGGGCCUCGAGCCCACCCGUGCUCGGUCUGGGCUGACUGAGGGUGCCCGCAGGGAGCAGGGGCGGCGCCGGCGGCCCACGGGGAUGGCCGGGGCCGGCUGGGGAGAUGCCGGAGAUAGGUCUCGGCCAGGGGACGAAAGAUCUCGGGGUUUUUACGCUUCCCCGAGGUCAACACCGAGAAGAAGGCAAGGUGGAAGGAGGGCGUGCACACAGGCAAGGUAGAGAGGUUCCGCGACGGCUAGGGUAGCUGGGUGGACUUGGGUAGCAAAAGGGUCAAGAAAACCCUAGCUGCCAUAUUUAUACUAAAUGUUCUAUUUGCCGAAAACCCCUCUAAAGCAUAAUAUUUACAGUCCAGCCCCUGCCAAUGUGUGUAACUUGCGCGCACGUACCCCAACGUUCGAAAUCACGCGAAACGACGCAUAAAAUAUUGGACAUUUUCGCGAUUUAACCAUUUUGCCCAUUUGACCUCUCAGCGAACAUCUCGCUUUUUCCAAAGAUCCGUCGGUCGGAUUUCCGAUUGGAUCACGCCAGCGCAUUCAGCAUGACCGGGGCAUCGAAUCUAGUAUUUCGUUUCAUCUGAUUUGAUCUCCGGUUCACGACGAAACCCACCCUCAAUGAGUCCACCAAAUAGCCACAUAUUUAUAUAUGUAAAACCGAUCAAACCCCCUUUUCUUGACAACCGUGCAUCAGAACCCAAUUCCGUCAGUGCCAUUGGGUCCAGAAUAGUCGAGCCGUUCGAAACGAGCUAUUGGAUCGCUAUGAACGGAGUCCGAUACAUGCCGAAAGCCAACUCUACUCCGUAGCUUCUCCGAAAAAUCGGAGUUACUAUUCACUUAAGUGAAAAUUAAAGAUCGCGUAACUUCUCCGUUCUAGCUCAUUUUCUCCUAAAACUUGACAAGUGCUUAUGUAAUUAAAUUACACACAUAAACAUCGUCAACGGAGAGUUUAGUUGUAUUGUCAAAAUCUUAGUCCUUACACGAAUGUUGUCCGAUUUCUCGUUCAUAGCCCCACCAACGACGAGCUGCAAUCAAUAGCCAAUAGAUUUUGUGGAGAAAAUUGGAAAAAGAUUAUUUUUUCUAAAUUUUUGGAGAUUAUGGCUCAUCUUAUGAAGGUAUGACUUUUUUUUCUAAGAGAUAGGUAGCAUACUACCCGCUUUGUUUAUUUCAUUUAGAAAUAAACUUAGCUAGAAAUGUGAAUCAAUUAGGAUUCGAACUUGAGACCUCAGGUACCAAUCACCAAGCUCUUUGCCACUUGUGCUAGGGACGGUCGGUUAUGAAGGUAUGAUUUUCAUGCUGGAAAUCCAUUUUCUUUCUUUUUCUUCUUCUCCUUCUUCUUAUAAUUAUUUGUUCUUCUUCUUCUUCUUCUUCUUCUUCUUCUUCUUCGUUUCCUACUGUCUGCCGCGAACGAACCGGCCCUGCCGUAGGUUGUUUCUGAAGCGAGUGGUCAUUCAUAGUAGAGAUAAAAUUUAUUUAUAUUUUAUUUUGAAAUCAGGAUUAUAGGUUCAUGGCUUCCAACAAACUCAAAAAUCUGCUGUUAAUUACCCCACACUUUCGGUGUUAAGGAACCCUCGAUUAAGAGACCAAAUAUAAAUGCUGAUAAUAAAAGAGACAAAACAGGCAAAUAAAAUUUUAUUGAUAUGAUUUGCCGUGUACAUGGCUUAAGCAGGGGCAUACCCCCACUGUACAUGAAUUUAGCGACUAGAAGGUCGAUUGAAGUUUUGAUGCUCAGUUUAAUGACAUGACGGUCGGUUUAAGUUUGGUGCUCAGUUUAAUGACAUGGCGGUCGAGUUCACCUUGGUUGUAUAUUCCAAGGUGGAGAUGUGACCAAACCCCAAGUAUAUGUAUUGAGGUAGAUUGGAUUUGAUAUUAUCCGAAAAUAGAGAAUGGCUAAUUCCUGAGUGUAUGGGUCAGGAUUAACCGAGUUUAAUAUAUUUUCACUCUAGUUAUAUGUGCUAGAGUGAAGAUCUAACUAAGCCCUAAGGUAUUGCGUUAGGGUUCAUCGGAUUUGAUUCGUAUGAGCUCCAAGUAUAUGUAUUAGAGCUCGAUCGGGUAUGGAUUUCACUCUAGAUAUAUGUGCUAGAGCAAAAGGCUGACUAGACCCGAAGUAUAUGGGUUAGGACUAGUCGAGCAUGGUUUGACUUCCAUUCUAGGUAUAUGUGCUAGAGCAAAAGACUGACUAGACCCUAAGUAUAUGUGUUAGGGUUAGUUGAGCAUGGUUUGACUUUCACUCUAGGUAUAUGUGCUAGAGCAAAAGGCUGACUAGACCCUAAGUAUAUGGGCUAGGGUUAGUCGACCAUGGUUUGACUUCCACUCUAGGUAUAUGUGCUAGAGCAAAAAACUGACUAGACCCUAAGUAUAUGGGUUAGGGUUAGUCGGAUGAACUCUAAGUAUAUGUGUCAGAGUUUGAAAAAACUUGAUAUCAUUUGACUGAAUUCUAAGUAUAUGGCUUAGAAUUGUGUCGAUUUGGAGAUGUUUUGCCUUAGUUAUAUGUGCUAAGGCGAUUGACUUAGCCCUAAGUAUAUAUAUUAGAGGUAGUCGAUAUUUAAUUUUCACUCUAGGUAUAUGAACCAGAGUAGAAAAGGUUCAUGAUGAACUUGGAUUUAGUUUAAUGACUUUACGGUCGUUUGAUUUUGGGUUUAGUUUAACGACUUUACGGUCGUUUGAAUUUGGGUUUAGUUUAACGAUGUUUCGGUCGUUUGUAUUUGGGUUUAGUUUAAUGACGUUUCGAUCGUUUGAAUUUGAAAUUAGUUUAACGACUUUACGGUCGUAUGAAUUUAGAUUUAGUUUAACGACUUUACGGUCGUUUGAAUUUGGGUUUAGUUUAACGACUUUUCGGUCGUUUGAAUUUGGGUUUAGUUUAACGACGUUUCGGUCGUUUGAAUUUGGGUUUAGUUUCACGACUUUCGGUCGUUUGAAUUUGGGUUUAGUUUCACGACUUUUCGGUCGUUUGAAUUUGGGUUUAGUUUCACGACUUUUCGGUCGUUUGAAUUUGGAUUUAAUUUAACGACGUUUCGAUCGUUUGAAUUUGGGUUUAGUUUAACGACGUUUCGGUCGUCGUUUGAAUUUGGGUUUAGUUUAACGACUUUUCGGUCGUUUGGAUUUGGGUUUAGUUUAGCGACUUUUCGGUCGUCGUUUGAAUUUGGGUUUAGUUUAACGACUUUUCGAUCGUUUGGAUNAAGUAUUUGGUAUUUAGUUCAAGCACUUGGUUUGUGAUGCUUGGUAUGGGUUCAAGUACUUGGUAUUUGGUUCAAGUACUUAGUAUUUGGUUCAAGUACUUGGUACUUGGUUCGAUUCAAAGGUAUAGGUUCAAGUACUUGGUAUUUGGUUUAGGGUGUAUAGAUUGGAGUACUUGGUACUUAGUUCAAGUACUUGGUACUUGGUUCAGGUACUUGGUAUAGGUUCAAGUACUUGGUUUAGGGUGUAUGGAUUAGAGUACUUGGUGGUGGGUUCAAGUAUUUGGUACUCGGUUCAGAUAUUUGGUUUAAGUAUGUGGGUUGUUUAGUUUAGCGACUUUGCGGUCGUAGGUUUUGGGUUUAGUUUAACGACUUUACGGUCGACUGAAAUUGAGAUGUUCAUGAAACUGAUUCAUGAAAUUAAUUCAUGUUAGGAGCCCAUUUGUAAAGUCCAUUGAAUUAAUUGAUAAAAUUAAUUCAUGAUAGGGGCCAUUUAGAGAACCCAUUGAAAAAAAUUAAUUUAUGAUAAUGAGCCAUUGGGAAGGCCAAUUAGUUUAUGAAAUUAAUUUAUGACAAGGAGGGCCCAUAAAAUUAAUUCAUAGAAUUAAUUUAUGAUAACGAGUCCAGUUGAAAAGCCCAAGAAAUUAAUUCAUACAAAGGGGACCGUUUGGCAACCCAUUAAUUUAUGGAAUUAAUUCAUAAUAAAGGGGGCCCAUUUAGAAAGCCCAAGAACUCGGUUUGGGUUAGAGGUAUUUGGAUGACAUAGAUUUAGUAGAUUUGGUUGGGUUUUAUUUGUGGACUUUGAAUUUUGGGUCUCAUUUGUAGACUUCGGGUUUUGGAAUUUUAUUUGUGGACUUUGAAAUUUUUGGGAUUUUAUUUGUGGACUUUUGGAUUUUUGGGAUUUUAUUUGUGGACUUUGGGAUUUUGGGGAUUUUAUUUGUGGACUUUGGGUUAAGAAAUUCAUUCACAUGAAUUUUUUUAUUGGUUUUGGACCCAAAUCUGCAUGUGGGUUGAGCUAGACUGCGGGCUUUGCAUGUUCUGGGCCCGAAUCCGUAUGUGGGCUAGAUUUUUAUUGAUUUUGCAUUCAAAAUUUGCACGUGGGCUGGAUUUCGGGCACUACAUGUUUUGGGCUUUGGACCCGAAUUUGCAUGUGGACUGAAAUCAGUCUUGCACUUUACAUGGUCUGGGCCUUGGGCUCGAAUUUGUAUGUGGGCUCUGCAUUAUUUUUUUUUUUGACAGCUUAUGAAGUUGAGCCCGUAAUGGAUUGAACCAUUUUCAAAAUAAAGCAAGUCCAAUUCUUCAAAUUCUUUUCUUUUCUUUUUUUCUUUCUUUUAAGAUUGCUUGUNAAUAACUUUGCAAUUCAAGUAGUUUGAUAAGUUAAUAAUAAAUUUGUCAUUUCAAAUAUAAAGUAUAUAAUAUUAUAAAUCUAGAUAAGUUAGUGGCAAACCCAUCUGAACCUAAUUUUGUUCAGAUGGCAAGCGGGAAAGGGCUUAGUAAUUUUGUUAAAAUUCAGAAGAGUCCUAAACUUAAGUUUCUAAUUUUUUUUAAAAAACACAAAGAUGAAGAUGAUAGUUAAUCGGUGGAGAGAGAGAGCGAGAGAGAGAGAGAGAGAGAGAGAGAGAGUUGGGUUUGAGUUGCAACCCAACUCUCUCUCUCUCUCUCUGUACGACACUGAGAAACACAGAGAGAGGGAGGGUUGCUCUCCUCUUUUUCUUUCUUUUUUUUUUUUUUGCUGUUUCUUUUUUUUUUUAUAUUCAUUGUUUUUGUCCAAAUAAACGAAAUUGAUCACGUCGAGCCAUACAAUUGAAUCGAACAAAGAUGGCGAAUCGAAAAGAACCUGACCAUUUUUUAUUAUCAUUUAUUUUAUCACGUUUUGUUCAAGUACGCGGAGUUUAAUCGUGUCGAGCCUAUCACGAAGAUGGCCGCUCGAUUAACCAUUUUGAUCAUAUCGAGCCUAUCACGAAGAUGGCUACACGGUUUACGCUUUCGACCAUGUCGAGCUUAUCGCGAAGAUGGCCACACAGUUUUCGUAACAAAAUAAAUGAUGCUCGAUCACCUAUUUUGACCAUGUCGAGCCUAUCACGAAGAUGGCCGCACGGUUUACGUAAUAAAAUAUCCGGUUCGAUCAAUCAUUUUGACCAUGUCAAGCCUAUUACGAAGAUGGCCGCACAGUUUGGAGAUUAGCGGUGCAUACGCAAGGCGGAAGUGACGAUUUAAUAUCAAAUUUGGUCGGUUCGAAACCUAUCACGAAGAUGGUCGGGUUGAUCAAAUUGACAAAAAAACGCACUUACGCUAUGCGUAUGCAUGCAUUUCUCCUAUUGUUGUAGAAGUCGUCGUGAUUGUCGUUAGGGAAGUCGCCAAGAUCGCCGCCGCCGUUGUCGUUGUCGUCGUCAUCGUCGUCAGAAUCGUCGUAACCGUCGUCAUCGUGAUCGUGCUUCAACACUUUUCUCCUUUUUUUUUUUUUUUUUUUUUUUUUUUUUUUUUUUUUUUUUUUUUUUUUUUUUUUUUUUUUUUUUUUUUUUUUUUUUUUUUUUUUUUUUUUUUUUUUUUUUUUUUUUUUUUUUUUUUUUUUUUUUUUUUUUUUUUUUUUUUUUUUUUUUUUUUUUUUUUUUUUUUUUUUUUUUUUUUUUUUUUUUUUUUUUUUUUUUUUUUUUUUUUUUUUUUUUUUUUUUUUUUUUUUUUUUUUUUUUUUUUUUUUUUUUUUUUUUUUUUUUUUUUUUUUUUUUUUUUUUUUUUUUUUUUUUUUUUUUUUUUUUUUUUUUUUUUUUUUUUUUUUUUUUUUUUUUUUUUUUUUUUUUUUUUUUUUUUUUUUUUUUUUUUUUUUUUUUUUUUUUUUUUUUUUUUUUUUUUUUUUUUUUUUUUUUUUUUUUUUUUUUUUUUUUUUUUUUUUUUUUUUUUUUUUUUUUUUUUUUUUUUUUUUUUUUUUUUUUUUUUUUUUUUUUUUUUUUUUUUUUUUUUUUUUUUUUUUUUUUUUUUUUUUUUGCUACCAACGCGUGGAGGGAGGAGAGGGGUGAAAUCCCCCUGUCCACUAGUAGGAAGGAAUCAACAAAAGGAAAAAAAAAAAUUGUUUCCUUCUUCUUUUUUAAUACUUUUUUUUUGAAGAAUCCAAAUAAGCUAGGAUUAUAUUGGAUUCUUUCUUUUCUUUUUUUUGAAUCUUUCCUUUCUCUAUUUCCUUCCUUCUAUAUUCCCAAAUUGAAUUUCAAAUUUCAAAAUUUUUUUACCCCAACACCUGCUACUUUAGAUAACUAAAACUCAUGAAGAACUAUUCACAGGGGAUUCAAUACUCUAUUUGCAACGCAACAAAAAGGACAAUAAAAUAUAUUUCAAAGUUAAGACUCUUGAUAACCAUAAUGAAGAUAUUCAUCGUAAAAAGAAAUAAGAGCCUAUUUUAUCAUCUCCCUCUGAUACCCUCCUCCAGGUAGCUGCAUCAUCCCCCAUCACUAUUUUCCUUUUACCCUCACAUUCUUGAUCAUUCUUUUGAGAUAAACCAAAAUUUUCUGUUGAAUUAAUUAAUUUAGAUUUCGUGACUCAUCGGCGACAAAUACGGUGAAGUAUAUGACGAACGACAAGCAUGAUGAACUUAAAAAGGCCUUUGCAUUCUUCGACCUCGAUACGGAUGGUGCAAUACAUGCACCGUUCAAUCUACCUCCUAAAACAUUUCUUCAAUUCUGUUUAAAACCUCUUAAUGUUCUAUGUAGGAUUUAUGUUUAAAUUUGUUUAAACAUUUUAUUUGUUCUAUGUAGGAUUAAUCAAUGAUAAACAACUAGCGAAUGUUGUCCGAUUUAUCAGGCGUGACCCUACCAACGACGAGCUACAAUCAUUAGCUAAUAGAAUUAGUGGAGAAAAAUUGAAAAAAGUUUAGUUUUUCUAAAUUUUUGGAAAUUAUGCUUAUCUUAUGAAGGUAUGGUUUUGAUUGCUGGAAAACCAUUUUCUUUCCUUGUCUUCUUCUCCUCCUUCUUCUUCUUCACCUCCCUCUUCUUCUUUUUAUUAUUGUUCUUAUUCUUAUUUUUCUUCUUCUUCUUCUUCUUUUUCUUCUUCUCUUUCUUCUUCUUCUUCUUCUUAUUUGUUCUAUGUAGGAUAAAUCAAUGAUAAACAACAUGCGAAUGUUGUCCAAUUUCUCAGACAUAGCCCUACCAACGAUGAGCUGCAAUCAUUAGCUAAUAGAAUUUGUGGAGAAAAUUGGAAAAUGAUUAGUUUUUCAAAAUUUUUGAAAAGUAUUGCUCAUCUUAUGAAGGUAUGGUAUUGAUUGCUGGAAAUCCAUUUUCUUUCUUUUUCUCCUCCUCCUCAUUAUUAUUGUUUUGAUUCUGCUUCUUCUUUAUUUCCUACUACUUCAGAUAACUGACACUCAUGAGGAGCUCUUCAAGGGGGAUUCAAUACUCUGCUUGCAAUGCAACAUGAAAGGUAAUAAAAAAUAUUUCAAGGUUAAGAGUCUUGAAAACCAUAACGAUGAUGUUCAUCAAAAAAUAAAAAAAGAGCCCAUUUAACUAUCUCUCUUUGAUACCCUCCUCUAGGUAGCUGGAUCAUUCUCGACCAUCAUUUUCCUUUUACACUCAUAUUCUUGAUCAUUCUUUUGAGAUAAACGAAAUUUUUCUGCUGAAUUAAUUUAUUUAGAAUUCAUGGACUUAUCGGCGACAAAUACGGUGAAGUAUAUGACCAACGACGAGCAUGAUGAACUCGAAAAGACCUUUGCAUUCUUCGACCUCCAUACGGAGGGUGCGUUAUAUGCACCCUUCAAUUUAUCUUCUAAAAUAUUUCUUCAAUUCUGUUUAAAACCUCUUAUUGUUCUAUGUAGGAUUAUUUUUGAAAUUUGUUUAAAUAUUUUCUUGUUCUAUGUAGAAUUAAUCAAUAAUACGAAUGUUGUCCGAUUUCCCGGACAUAGCCCAACCGACAAAGAGCUGCAAUCAUUAGCCAAUAGAAUUUGUGGAGAAAAUUAGAAAAAGAUUAGUUUUUUUCUAAAUUUUUGAAAAUUAUAUCUCAUCUUAUGAAGAUAUGAUUUUGAUUGUUAGAAAUCCUUUUUUUUUUUCCUUUUUGCUUCUUCUUCUCCUCCUUCUUUUUCUUCUUAUUAUUAUCGUUCUUCUUCUUCUUCGUUUCCUGCUACUUCAGAUAACUGACACUCAUGAGAAGCUCUUCAAUGGGGAUUCAAUACUCUAUUUGCAAUGUAACGAGAAGGACAAUAAAAAAUAUUUCAAGGUUAAGAGUCUUGAACGCCAUAACGAAGAUGUUCACCGCAAAAAGAAAAAAGAGCUUAUUUAACCAUCUCUCUCUGAUACCCUCCUCCACGUAGCUGGAUCAUCCCGCACCACCAUUCUCCUUUUACCCUCAUAUUCUUAAUCAUUCUUUUGAGAUAAACCAAAAUUUUCUACUAAAUUAAUUUCGUGACUCAUCGGCGAUAGAUACGACGAAGUGUAUGACGAACGACGAGCAUGAUGAACUCGAAAAGGCCUUUGCAUUCUUCGACCUCGAUACGGAUGGUGCAGUACAUGCAAUAAAUUUAUCUUCUAAAAAUAUUUAUUCAAUUCUGUUUAAACCUUUUAUUGUUCUACGCAGGAUUAAUCUUUAAGUUUGUUUAAACAUUUAUUUGUUCUAUGUAGAUUUAAUCGAUGAUAAACAACUUGUGAAUAUUGUCCGAUUUCUCAGACAUAGCCCCACCGACGACGAGCUGCAAUCAUCAGCCAAUAGAAUUGGUGGAGAAAUUGGAAAAAGAUUAGUUUUUCUAAAUUUUUGAAAAUUAUGACUCAUCUUCAUAUAUGAUUUUGAUUGCAGGAAAUCCAUUUUCUUUCUUUUUCUUCUUCUCCUCUUUCUUAUUAUUGUCCUUAUUCUUCUUCUUCUUCUUCUUCUUCUACUUCUUCGUUUCCUGCUACUUCAAAUAACUAACACUCAUGAGGAGCUCUCCAAAGAGGGGAUUCAAUACUCUGCUUGCAAUGCAACAAGAAGGGCAAUAAAAAUUAUUUCAAGGUUAAUAGUCUUGAAAACUAUAACGAAGAUGUUCAACACAAAAAUAAAAGAAGAGCCCAUUUAACCAUCUCUCUCUGAGACACUCCUCCAGGUAGCUAUAUCAUCCCCCACCACACUUCUACUUUUACACUCAUAUUGUUGAUCAUACUUUUGAGAUAAAUCAAAAUUUUCUGCUGAAUUAGUUUAUUUAGAAUUCGUGGACUUAUCGGCGACAAAUACGGUGAAGUAUAUGACCAAGGACGAGCAUGAUGAACUCGAAAAGGCCUUUGCACUCUUCGACCUCCAUACGGAUGGUGCAAUAUAUGCACCCUUCAAUUUAUCUUCUAAAAUAUUUCUUCAAUUUUGUUUAAAACCUCUUAUUGUUCUAUGUAAGAUUAUUUUUGAAAUUUGUUUAAAUAUUUUCUUUGUUCUAUGUUGAAUUAAUCAAUAAUAAACAACUUGCGAAUGUUGCCUGAUUUCCCAGACAUAGCCCAAUCGAUGAAGAGCUGCAAUCAUUAGCCAAAAGAAUUUGUGGAGAAAAUUGAAAAAAGAUUAGUUUUUUAAAAUUUUUGAAAAUUAUGGCUCUAUCUUAUGAAGAUAUGAUUUUGAUUGCUGGGAAUCCAUUUUUUUUUCUUUUUCUUAUUCUCCUCCUCCUUAUUAUUAUUGUUGUUGUUCUUCUUCUUCUUUGUUUCCUACUACUUCAAAUAACUGACACUCAUGAGAAGCUUUUCAAUGGGGAUUCAAUACUCUAUUUGCAAUGCAACGACAAGGGCAAUAAAAAAUAUUUCAAGGUUAAGAGUCUUGAAAGCCACAACGAAGAUGUUCACCGCAAAAAAACGAAGAACCUAUUUAACCAUCUCUCUCUGAUACCCGCCUCCACGUAGCUGGAUCAUCCCACACCAUCAUUCUCCUUUUACCCUCAUAUUCUUAAUCAUUCUUUUGAGAUAAACCAAAAUUUUCUGCUGAAUUAAUUAAUUUAGAUUUCGUGAUUCAUCGGCGAGAUCUACGGUGAAGUAUAUGACGAACGACGAACAUGAUGAACUCGAAAAGGCCUUUGCAUUCUUCGACCUCAAUACAGAUGGUGCAGUACAUGCAAUGAAUUUAUCUUCUAAAAUAUUUAUUCAUUUCUAUUUAAAACCUUUUAUUAUUAUAUGUUGGAUUAAUCUUUAAAUUUGUUUAAACAUUUUAUUUGUUCUAUGUAGGUUUAAUCGAUGAUAAACAACUUGCGAAUAUUGUCCGAUUUCUCAGACAUAGCUCCAUCGACGACAAGCUGCAAUCAUUAGCUAAUAUAAUUGGUGGAGAAAAUACGUAAAAGAUUAGUUUUUCUAUACUUUUGAAAAGUAUGGCUCAUAUUAUGAAGGUAUGGUUUUGAUUGAAGGAAAUCCAUUUUCUAUCUUUUUCUUCUUCUCCUCCUUCAUCUUCUUAUUAUUGUCCUUAUUCUUCUUCUUCUUCUUCUUCCUCAUUCUUGCUACUUCAGAUAACUAACACUUAUGAGGAGCUCUUCCAAGGGGAUUCAAUGCUCUGCUUGCAAUGCAACAAGAAGGGCAAUAAAAAAUAUUUCAAUGUUACUUGUCUUGAAAACCAUAACGAAGAUGUUCAACGCAAAAAUGAAAGAAGAGCCUAUUUAACCAUCUCUCUUUGAUACACUCCUCCAGGAAGCUGGAUCAUCCCGCACCACCAUUCUACACUCAUAUUGUUGAUCAUACUUUUGAGAUAUACCAAAAUUUUUUGUUGAAUUAAUUACUUUAGAAUUUGUGGACUCAUCGGUGACAAAUAUGGCGAAGUAUAUGACAAACGACGAGCAUGAUGAACUCGAAAAGGCCUUUGCAUUCUUCAACCUCGGUACGGAUGGUGUAGUAUAUGCACCCUUCAAUUUAUCUUCUAAAAUAUUUCUUCAAUUCUAUUUAAAACCUCUUAUUGUUCUUUGUAGGAUUAAUCUCAAAUUUUGUUUUAAUAUUUUAUUUGUUCUAUGUAGAAUUAAUCGAUGAUAAACAACUUGCGAAUGUUGUCCGAUUUCUCGGACAUAGCCCCACCGACGACGAGCUACAAUCAUUAGCCAAUAGAAUUGGUGGAGAAAAUUGGAAAAAGUUUAGUUUUUCUAAAUUUUUGGAAUUUAUAGCUCCUCUUAUGAAAGUAUGGUUUUGAUUACAGAAAAUCUAUUUUCCUUCUUUUUCUUCUUCUCCUCCUUCUUCUUCUUGUUCUUAUUCUUCUUCUUCAUUUCCUGCUACUUCAGAUAACAAAAACUCAUGAGGAGCUCUUCAAGGGGGAUUCAAUACUCUGCUUGCAAUGCAACAAGGGCAAUAAAAAAUAUGUCAAGGCUAAGAGUCUUGAAAGCCAUAGCGAAGAUGUUCAACGUAAAAAGAAAGAAGAGAUCUCUUUUGAUACCCUCUUCUAGGUAGCUGGAUCAUCCCCCACCACCAUUCUCCUUUUACACUCAUAUUCUUAAUCAUUCUUUUGGGAUAAACGACAAUUUUCUGCUGAAUUAAUUAAUUUAGAAUUCAUAAAAUUAUCGGUGACAAAUAUGGCGAAGUAUAUGACAGAUGGCGAGCAUGGUGAACUGGAAAAGGCCUUUGCAUUUUUCGACCUAGGUAUGGAUGGUGCAGUAUAUGCACCCUUCAAUUUAUCUUCUAAAAUAUUUCUUCAAUUCUGUUUAAAACCUCUUAUUGUUCUAUGUUGGAUUAAUCUUGAAAUUUAUUUAAACAUUUUAUUCGUUCUAUGUAGAAUUAAUCGAUGAUAAACAACUUGCAAAUGUCAUCUGAUUUCUUGAACAUAGCCCCACCGAUGAAGAGUUGCAAUAAUUAGCCAAUAGAAUUUGUGGAGAAAAUUGAAAAAAUAUUAGUUUUUGUAAAUUUUUAGAAAUUAUGGCUCAUCUUAUAAAGAUAUGAUUUUGUUUGCUGGAAAUCUAUUUUCUUUCUUUUUCUUCUUCUCCUCCUUCUUCUCUUAUUAUUAUUAUUAUUAUUAUUAUUAUUAUUAUUAUUAUUAUUCUUUGUUUCCUGCUACUUCAGAUAACUGACACUCAUGAGAAGCUCUUCAAUGGGGAUUCAAUACUCUGCUUGCAAUGCAAAAAUAAGGGCAAUAAAAAAUAUUUCAAGGUUAAGAGUCUUGAAAGCCAUAACGAAGGUUCACCGCGAAAAGAAAGAAAAGCCCAUUUAACCAUCUCUCUCUAAUACCUUCUCCAGGUAGCUAGAUCAUCCCCACCACCAUUCUCCUUUUAUCUUCAUAUUCUUGAUCAUUCUUUUGAGAUAAACCAAAAUUUUCUGCUGAAUUAAUUAAUUUUGAAUUUGUGGACUCUUCGGCGACAAAUACGACAAAGUAUAUGACGAACAACGAAAAUGAUGAACUUGAAAAGGCCUUUUAUUCUUCGACCUCAAUAUGGAUUAUGCAUUAUAUUCACCCUUCAAUUUAUCUUCUAAAAUCUUUCUUCAAUUCAGUUUAAAUCCUCUUAUUGUUCUAUGUAGGAUUAAUCUUGAAAUUUAUUUAAACAUUUUAUUUGUUCUAUGUAGGAUUAGUCGAUGAUAAACAACUUGCGAAUGUUGUCCAAUUUCUCAGAUAUAGCCCCAACGACGAUAAGCUGCAAUCAUUAGCUAAUAGAAUUUUUGGAGAAAACUAGAAAAAGAUUAGUUUUUAUAGAUUUUUGGAAAUUAUGGCUCAUCUUUUGAAGGUAUGGUUUUGAUUGCUGGAAAUCCAUUUUCUUUCUUUUUCUUCUUGUCCUCCUUUUAAUUAUUAUUAUUGUUCUUCUUCUUCUUCGUUUCUUGGUACUUCAUAUAACUGACACUCAUGAGGAGAUCUUUAAAGGGGAUUCAACACUCUACUUGUAAUGCAACAAGAAGGGCAAUAAGAAAUAUUUGAAGGUUAAAAGUCUUGAAAGCCAUAACGAAAAUGUUCAUCGCAAAAAGAGGAACAUGUGCAAACUCUGUAGCAACGCCUUUGCGUCCAAGAUAGUGCUAGAGUUCCACGAAAUCAAGUAUCAUUGAAUGUGAAGUUGGUACCCCUGCAGAUUAGGAAUGACUUGUUCUCUUGAAGAGAUAAAAGUUCCUUUCUAUUUUGCUUCAUUUUUCUUUUAAACCUCCCUUUGGGAGUGAAACUUAGGAGGGAUUUGAAUACAAUCCAUAGAUUGGAUUAGAAGGGGGCAAUCGUCACCGUCUUGAGCUGCUCAGUCCUAUCCAUUGGAUUUCACUUAAGCCAGAUGCAUCUUGGCCGAUCAAGUUCCCUAACCGCCUUAACCGUGAGUGUCUCUGCAUUAUUUCUUUCUCCUUUGGUAAUGACCCAAUAGUCCCAUAUUGAGUGGGAAACUUGUAGCGCCCCAAUAGUUCCACAUCGGGUGAGAAACUAAUUCUGAUUAGAAUAUAUGAGACCUACAUGCUAGUAAUAGUAACUAGGCUUAAGCAUUUUGUGUUGAUGGUUUGGGCCCAACGAGUUAUUGUUACUAGCGGGUCAGGUCGUUACAAUUGGUAUCAGAGUCGAAUACUAGCCGAAAGUGUGAGAGCUAAGUGCUAUGCAGGGCAAAGUGCUACACCAACGGGUUUGGUGGGAGUCACCUCUUGAACCCGUAGGAGCCACCACUAGAAUCUCACAUCGCCUAGUAAUUCUGGUCCUGGUCUGUUUGUCUGUUAUCUGGUCUAGACCCGACGAGGAUGUCAGGGUCUAAACAGGGGAAGUUUAUAAUGCCUCAAUAGUCCCACAUCGGGUGGAAAACUAAUUCUGAUUAGAAUAUAUGAGACCUACACGCUAAUAAUAAUAACUGGGCUUAAACAUUUUAGGCCAGUGGUUUGGGUCUAACGAGUUAUUGUUGCUAGCGGAUCGGGUCGUUACACCUUUAUUACAGCAUUGCCAUUCAUCCUAACUAUAGAAAAGGGUCAGCUACUGUAAUUAUAUGUAGAAAACUUUAGCAUCAAGUGAUGCUUAUCAAUUGAUGAGAAUGCUCUACUCCUGAAGUUAUACAUACCAAGUUGACAGCACAGAUAUGUUACAUUAAAUUUGGCUAACGCUGGACCGGUAUGUGUGAUAACACAACUAAACAGUAAGUCAAUGCAAGGCCCUGGAUGAACGCAUCCAACAGAAACACAGAAGUCCGUGAUCUCGGAUUGUUCGCUCUCACAUUACACACUGCCUAAGUGAAGCAAGAUUAUUUCACUACAUAUUUCACUGUGACCCCAGAAUGCAAGUUAAUAACUCUCUUAAAAGACAAACUGAAUACUUUACAACAUUUUCCAUUAUACUUAGGAGAACAUAAUAUAUAGAAACUAUCAAAAUGAUCAUUCAAAAAGAAAGGCUUGCAUAGAAGUCCACAUUUUUCACAAAAAAAAAGCUGUAUAUUACAUGUAUACACAUCAAUUGUUUUUCACUGAGAUACAAUCAAGACUAACACGGAAAUGAGGGAGUUCCUCAAUAUUAGUGCGAUGGCGAUUCGCGAAAUGAAUUCAUCGGCUGUAUAUAUCAUCAUCUUCUGAGUCAGAAACCCCCAGCAUAGCAAGGGCUAAGUGACUUUUCACAUCAGACAUCUCCAGUAGACCGUGCAGCCUAGUACUACCAUAUCCAACAAAGCAACCAUGGCCCAUAAAGAUGGGCCAGUCGCCACCACAAUUGCCUUGACCUUGCAAUAUUGCAAUCACUUGAUCAAUGCUUGGUCUUCCGGAAUCCUCACAGCUUAAGCAAGCAGUGGCCGCAUGAACCAUCCGACUCAUCUCAUUUGAUGAAUUUGAGUCGAGCUUUAUCCUUGGGUCAAGCAAUUUCUCCAUGGCUCCUUCGCCUUGCUGCAAAAGCGGCCUAGCCUGUCAAUAAGGGAAAAAUCAGUCUAUAGUAGUGAAAAGGAAAAAAAUGACAUUAGAACUGACGAUUCAUACUACAGAGCUAGUCAAGCAAGUAGGUUAGCCCUUAAUGUAUUAUUUGUGGAAGAUUGGGAAUCAUCUUUUAAGUUGUAAUGCUGUUUCAUGACAUUAAAGGUGAAACUUUUUCCAAGUACAGAAAAAGAAUGUAAAACAUGGUGAAAACUUGGGUGCUGUAGAAACACUGACACUCUCCAUACAAUGGUGUACUAGAAGAUGAAACUUCUUUCUGAAUGAAAUCAUUGCAAGUUUAGCAUCUAAUCCAAAUCAAGACAACUAUCAGUGAAAGGGGCUUCUUUCAGCGGCUGGAAUCCUCUCUCUUCUGAGAGGUAAUCAUUGUUCAGUGGGAAUGUCAGACCCUUGCAACAUCCUCCACCAUUCCAGAAUUCUCAAAAAGAAAAGCAAACAGAUUAUUUUUUAAAAAAAUCAACAAACACAAGCGGAGACACAUUCUACGAUGCGGUAAUCAAAUUGCCUGACAGGAUAAAUAACUUGAUGGCCUUUAUAGUUCUCCAACUUUUUGGGCAUGACUAGUAGCAUGACCAUUUUGCAAGGAGCCUUCAUUUUGUGAACACUUGAGAUAAACCUUUUGAUUUCACUUAGGAAGUGUUUGGAUUAACGCAAUCAUCAUUCUAGUGAGAGUAGAAACAUAGGUUAUUCCACCAACCACAAUACUUCUGAAAAGAUCCACCAGCUAUUUCUAGCAUUCCUUGCCAACAAUUUCCCUUGGGAAUGGUCCAAAGUCACCUUUUGGGGAAAGAACCAAACAGUAUUCCAUAACUAGGCAGCAGCUCAGACCAAUAUUUUCUCUCUUGCUGUACUUUAUUUACAAGCACAUUACAAUUCCAUCAAUCCAAGCAUCCCCUUAUGGGAUGCAGAAAAUACUGCCCUCUAGUUAGCUAGAUCACCAAUUCAGAUGCAGGCUAAAGGGUUCCAUAAUCUACUUCAGAAACGUCAGACCGUAAAUUAAGAUCACUAAUCAGAAAGGAUGCAUAGUUCUUCAUUGUUUUGCCAAGCUUGGAGCGCACAACCAAUGGCUACCCAAUAAGAUAAUUGUACAUUAUUCAAGUAUUGACUUGUAAGACUGAUAGCAAAGCAAAUGCAAGAAAGGACGUUUGCACAAUUGAGACAAUCAACAACACUAGAAUAUGGGACCUUAAAGAAUUUUGCUUCUCUUCCACAUUUUAAGAGCACUUUUCUUCAACAGAAAGGACAAAACUAAAUCCCACAUGAACACAGGGAUGUGACAUAUCUAAUGGAACACAUUCAAUCUAAAAAGCUUAAACCUGGUUCGAGCCCACUAGUAUGCAUAAACCUUUUUAGGUCUAGGCCCAUCAGCAUAUAUAUCAACCCUUUACUCUUUUAUUAAUUAUCAGAGAUGGGUGUAUUCACAUGUGUACUCUUAACAAUCUCUGCCCUUCACAUAUGAACCAAUCAACUCCCCUUUGAACUCUUUUUUUUUUUUUUGAACUCUCUAAGGCUCUAAGCACUGCAUCGUUUUUUGUUUUUUUUUAUUGCACUCUCUAAACAUUGCACCGAGUCACUUUUCGGCUCUUUAUUACAUCACGCCCUUCCACGUUCUUGUUUUAAACGAGUUACCGCGAACCCACUCAUCUGAGUCCAUACGCUUUUAACCAGCACUACUCAGGAAAUCAUCCGAGCCCAAAUGCCAGACUUGGGGGCCUAAUUCUUUUGAGUGCAUCAAACCAUCAUCUCGCGUUUAUCUGAGUCCAUGCGUUACCUGCUUUUCGGCUCUUUAUUACAUCACGCCUUUCCACGUUCUUGUUUUAAACGAGUCACCGCGAACCCACUCAUCUGAGUCCAUGCGCUUUUAACCAGCACUACUCGGGAAAUCAUCCGAGCCCAAAUGCCAGACUUGCGGGCCUAAUUCUUUUGAGUGCAUCAAACCAUCAUAUCGCGUUUAUCUGAGCCCAUGCGUUACCUCAUGCUUCUCAGGCCCAAUUCUUUUGAAUUCACUAAACCAUCAUAUAGCAUUACUAUGACCGCUCGUCGCAAACCUGUCGUAAAGAACAAAUCGCACCACACCAAGUAGAUGAGUAGCUAGAAUCAUCAAAACAUCAGCUCCUAUACCCACUUGUUAGGGAGUUCUGGACGCAGCCCAAGCCCACAUGAGCCCAAUGAUGUGAUAUAUCUAAUGGAAACAUGAAAAAAUGAAAGUAUAUAUCUAUUCUUUACUCUCUUAUUAAUUAUUUGAUGUGGGACUAUUCACAUAUGAUGAUGUUAAAUCUUAACAGUUAACACAUAUAACAAAAUACAGAAGAUUAUUUUUUCUAAACAGACCAUUCCUCUCAUGCCUUAUUGAGCAAAGAAGUUCCCACCAUGUCCUGGAGACGUACUAGAUUUAGAUAUCCCACACUUUGUAAUGCCUCCUCAUGAUUUUGACUUAAACCUUGUGAAUUGUCUUGCUUUUUGCUAGUCAAUAUUCUAUCUUCUGCUUUUAAACAAUUUCAUUGCCAAAAACUUCAGUUCAUAUAAAAUAACAAACUCCAAUACACCAUAUCAUUCCCAUUCAACUUGUUUCUCACCUAAAAUCUUCCUCAUAAUGUCUUCAAGGGAAGACCUGCAUACUUCUUGACAUAAGCUAGACUGGUCUGCUCAUCUGCAUAAAGAAAGUUGUGCUGCCAACCAAAAUACUUAAAUGCAUUCUCCACAAUGAAUUCUCCUAUGAAUUCUUCUCAUUAGAUUGACUCCAUUGGUCAAAUUCAAUAAGAUGAUUGUCAAAAUCAUUUGCUAAAUAGUUGAUCUACAAUUGAUGGGCGAUAUUCUUUAUCAGUCGAAGGAUAAUCUUCACAGGAUUGAUUUCUGCUAAAGUAUAAGAUUGCUCUGCAAUCCCUUUUAAUCACAAUUAUACCCAAUCUUCAUUAGGGAGUAAGUCUAGACAGCAUAGAAGUUUCUUACGCCGGGCUGCCUUUUUCUUUUUUAGGUAAGGAACUAUUUUCUACUUGGUUAAUUACUUAAAAUCAAGGGAUGAUGUAUAAUAUACCCUUCAAAACUUCAAAAAUAUCAAAUAUACCCCUGGUUGACCAAAAUGCCCUUAUUGAUUGCCAAAAACUCCUUCAAAUAUCCCUCAAACCCCAGGAUUUUACUAAUGGGAUUUGAGGUUUAGAAGGGUGUUUUGCGAAUAGAAGGGUAAAUUUAAAAUUUUUUAAUAGUAGAGGGGCAUAUAAGCAAGAGCCCUUAAAAUUAACUAGGGAUGCAAAAGGAUCAGGUCUUAUUGCUAGGCGAGAAAGUUGUAGCUCAAACAGCAACAUCAAAAUUUUAGACAAAAGUCCAGCCCAACCAUUUGUUCAGAUCCCAACCAUGAUCUAGGUCCAGUUUUGUUACAUAGGUUAGGCCACUCUAUAGUUUUAUGAGAUCAUCUGAUCAACAUGAUCUAGAUCCCAACCAUUUGUUCAGUUUGGGUUGGGGACAGACGGUUAGACGUUGCAAACAAAAAUGGCCACGUCGUCCCGCGCAGAAGCAUUAUUGCUGGCAUGCUACACUGACCCUUAUACCAUGACACUGAGCCAGCAAAAGCGUAUUGAUCAUGCUGUUGUCAUGCAACAUCCUACCUUAUAUUGUCAUUGUGUCAUGCUGGAAAACAGCUGCUCAGGUCCCAGUAGGUUUUAGAUUGUAGGAUUAGACAAGAAGGUGAAGAAGAGAAGGGUGUCACUCUAUUGGGAAUCGGUUUACUAAAACAUGCCUGAAACUUACCAUACAACUCUGCUGGAAACCCUAGCAAGAUCCAGCAGUGGAAACCAUGGAAGAUGAGAGGUAAAAUCUAACUUCCAGCAUCAUCAUUGGAAACAUCAUGCAAAGCUUCAAUUCCCACAAGUAGAUGCCCUAUUCUCAUAAGGGUGCUGUUGGGCAGUCGGACAAACUGCCAGUUUCUAAGCAACAUGAAGUUUCUACGCACACAAAGGCCAAGCCGGAAAAAAUCAUGCCAAUAACAAGUUAAUCCGUGGUCGAGAAUACAAAAUCCUCUGCUCUUGAAAAUAGUUUAACUUUGUUGAGCUAAAGACAAGCUUGGAAACAAAAUGUUGAAAAGAAAUCAAUUACUAAAGACAAAUUUGUUGACCAAAGACCAAACCUGAAAAGAAAAUAAUUAAAAGAUGAAUCCAUUACUAGAGACAAAAUAUAAGGUAAUUAGUUGCAAUAUAAGACAAAUUAUUGCAAAUUAGGGUAGUAGCUUGUCCCUGGAUGUAUUAGAACUACGUACUUGAUCCAUUGGUUAGCCUAUUGACAUAUAUGUCCUCAGUUCAUUUCCGUAUCUAACUCUCCGUAAAAGACAUUCCUAAACUACUAGCCUGUGCAGUAAUGUGGCUUAAAAAGAGAUUCCUAAGAAAGCAAGGUGCUUACAUUGACUUUCCUUCCUGGCUUGCUGUAUAUUUCACAUAUGCCUGAGGAGAGGGAGCCAGCGAGUCUGUUUCGCCAAACUGCUCUAACCUAGACUGUGGAAAGCAGUAGAAAAACUGCUUCAAUAUUGAGGUUCGACAUGUAUUGAUCCUAAGACUUCAACCUCUGCUUUCAAAGAGACCUUAUGCAAGAUGGAGUACAAGACCCUACCUUUUGUUCGCUUCAAAAUAUGAUUUAUAAUUAUUUAGAAAGCUUUUGAAUUUCUAAAAACUUUGAAAUAUAUUUUGAAUAUUUUUUGAUUUUUUUAUGAAUUUUUGAAAUAAAAAAAGAAUUAUGAAAAUUACAAAACUAAAGAAAAAUAGAAGAAAAUUUAGAAAAAUAAAAAAAGAAAAAAUAGAAAAGAUCAUCGAGACUCACUCCUAAACCGAACUCACUUCGAAAUCGGACUCACUCUAGAGUGAUGCAUUCAUGACAGAAAAAAAAAUAAAAAUAAAAAUUGCUUGUGCACCAAAACUCCGAUUCAUCUUUUAUUAAUUUAUUAGUAUCAUCAUCACAAAAUGAAGCUCUAUGUCUUACUUAUAUUAUCCUAAGCCUUAACUACGGAUAACCAACUUCAGAUUUAAUCUUAUCUUAAAUAACUAAUUAAAACAAUUUUAUCUAGAUAUUAACUAAAAAAUACAAUUAUACAAAGCUAAAAAUAAAUGCAAAUAAAAUCAAAUAAGCAGAUAGCUAAAAAUCCUUAUUUAACUAACUAAAAGAUACGAUCAACUAAUCUAAUAUAAUUUAAAAGACGAUGAACUUAAUUGGUUUAACCCGAUCAACUAGAUUGGGCCUAGUCAAGUCUGUAUCAAGACCACCGCCGUAGCACUGUAGCAAUAACAGCUACAAAAUGCAAAGAGGAACCUCAGUAAUAACAGCAAGAUAGACAGGGACCCCAUGUAUUAGCUUCUCCUAAAGUAUCAAGGCCAUCGCUGCCAACAACCAGGAGAGAGACCAACCUUAUGCUCUCCCACAAUCUCAUAGCUAGCAACUUUGUUCAUCACUAUGGCCUAGCUUACGGCGACCUACUUAUCCUCUGACUCUGCACUUGAAAGUCUCCACCAAUGCCUCGCCAUGGGCUUCCAAUUCCUCAAUGACAUCAUUCCUCAAUCAAUUACUUCCACUUCAAUGGCAAUCAAGCCAUCCAAAAGAACUUUGAGUGUGCAGAUCGCGUUCCACAUCAUCGACCUCAACACUCUGCAAAGCCUGAAAUGGCCAAGGUUGUUUCAUAUAUAGACCUUAUGGCCGACAGUAAGGCUCACGAGGCCGGGUUCAUUGAUGGAAGCAUAUAAGGCAAUGGGGAAGUGGCUUUACAACUUUGUUAUCACACUCAGGCUGCGCUUUGUGCUCUUUGAGUUUUUCCUGUGAUGGUAGUGCAAAAGCUCUGCCACUUGCUCAGAAAAGUCACCUACCAGCUCCAACAUGGUCUGACUCCACCGGGCUAACCUCAACUUCUUCCUUCACCUUACAAACUGAGGAAAUAAAAUGCAAACUACAGUGUUCCCCCCAGUACAAAAUAAUUUUUAUGUUAAGUUAUAAAUCCACAAGAUCAUAUUAGCAAACUUUAACAUGUAACAUGUUGGCAUCCCUGUAAAAGAAUUAUAUCACAAUGGUAAAGAAAAUUAAGAACUACACUUCCCUCUUUGCAUUGAACCUACUGUCAUGAUGAACUUAAGAGUUGAUUAUUAUGUUGCUGAGCGCCUUUAAGUGCAAUGGCAAAUUAAACAAUUGUUACACUACUCUUGUAGUCAGUCUCAAGUGUUGGCUGCAAAGACUCCAGUCAUUGUUUGAGAAAAGAAAGUAAAAUAGAGUAAUAGAACAGAAACACAUACUCAGCCAAAUGUGCAUCAUAUAGGGCUAUUUUGAAAUGAAAGAGAGCGCUAAGCUGUAAUUUUCAGUUCUUACCCAUAAGACCAAGUUUUCAUCUCCUUGAGGCCUGCUCUGAUCAAUUGCCUUUCUCCCAGUAAUUAGUUCCAACAGAACCACCCCAAAUGCAUAAACAUCAGUUUUAUCCGACAGUUUCCCAUGUUGGAAAUACUCAGGAGCCAGAUAGCUAAAUAAGCAACAACAAUAAGAACAUAUUCAACAAAUGGAUCACUGCAAAAGAAAAGCUAUGUGUUAAAUUACUUUUGAUAUUACCCAAAUGUUCCUUUGACAGACUUGCAAAGGAAAGGCAGAGAAGUCCCACGAGCCCAUGUAGCGAAUCCAAAAUCACAUAGCUGUUAACAAAAUUAAAUCAGUCCAACCAGAUGAUUUAAUAUCUAUUAAUGAAAUACUAUUUAUGUGGUCCAAGUACCCAUCAUUUCCAAACUUUCUUUCUCACUCCCUUUAAUCUUAGAGACGUAAAACUACGGCUUGAUUUUAGUGUAUAAAUUACUAUAUAACUAGGGUAGUAAAAGAAACUGAUCAUGGCGUAAUCCUAUUGUUCUAUGGACAUCUAUUUUAGAGAAGUACGAAGCAAGCAUUUUACAAAGAAGUGUGAUUUUAGGUGUUGAGUACACUACUCACAACUAUUAUUUCGAUAAGUCCACUGCUAUAAAGAUAAUCCUUUGACUUUGGAAUGUAAUUAGAUCCUCAACAGUUUGUAUUCAAACAAGUUAGUUUCUAUUCUUACCAAAUAUCUUAAUCUCAGCUAAUAUGUUUAUAUCCCCAACAUCCAGCAAUGCACGUCCACCCAUACGGAUAUAACUAGUGAAAAUUCAGAUUUUGUUGCUUAAUGUGCUAGCUCUCGCAUGCUAUGGACUGCCAUUGGUCAUAAUUAUGAAGGGAAAAUGCUUUCAGCAAAGAUACUAAAAAAAUUAGGUAUGAAUCAAGUAACAACCUAAGUACCAAAUUCCAGAACUAAAUAGCAGUUCAGGAAAAAUCAGAACUGUUUGCCCAAAACAAUUUGCACUUAGUCCGCUGACCAAAGCAAAUAUCACACAAGGUUUUAAGCGCCCAUUAGCAUAGGCCGUACCCACCGUACCAACAAGAUAUCAGCAUGAUACGACUCCCGUAUCGAUGGUACUGCUUAACAUCCUCUUUUGUUUGAAAUUAGCUGGUUUUCUCUGUAAUAACCCAACCCACUAGCACUAAUAACUCUUUGGGCCUAAACCACUGAUACAAAAUAUUUAAGCCUAGUUAUUAGUUCUAGUAUGUCAAUCACAUAUAAGCCCAUCAUACUCUUCCACAAUAUCCAAUGUGAGACCAAUGGAUUUCCUAUGUUUUAGGUCUUGACGCCCUUGUCAAUCCAUUCGCACACACAGCCCAAGAUCACCUGGCGAUGUAAGACUCACCUCACACACUUCCGACUAGUAAACUGACUCUAAUAUCAACUAUAAUUAUCCAGCCAACUAGCAUUUAUAACUUGUUACUUGGGCCCAAACCACUAACCCAAAAUAUUUAAACUCAAUUAUUUGCAAGUGUGUCAAUCACAUAUAAGCCCAUCACACUCCCAUAUUAUUCGAUGUGGGACUAUCAGGAUGUCACAAUCUCAAUAAUUUGAUAAAGAUAUGUAAUAAACAAUUAGAAUAUAGUGGUGCCAAAGAAAAUAAAUAUUUUUAUAUCAUAUAUAGUGUGUAGGGGCACAAGUAUUUUUGUGAUCGGCCCAAAUCAACACGACACGACAUGCCCAGUGUCGUGUUAUGCCAUACCAGCAAGUUCUCGACGCGACCCUAAGUCACGAUGCUAAUAUCAAGUUAAUCAUGACAUAUGCAACUUUUUUUUCCUUGUUAACAUGCACUAUGAAUAUCAGAAGCAAUCAAAAGGAGAGAGAUCGAAAAGAGAAGAAAAAACUCGCACUUUGGGGCUUUUCUUGGAGGAGAGGAGAAUGUUGGAGGACUUGAUGUCUCGGUGGAUCACGCACUUUUCGGUGCCGUAGUGCAGGUACUCCACAGCCCGCGCCGCCCCCACCGCCACCUUGUACCUCGCCGUCCAAGGCAACACUUUCCCUACAUACUACUAAUUAGCACUAAUUUGACGAAAAAAUUAACUAAGCAUUCGCAAUUCUAAGUGAUAAAGAACGUGGUUACAAAAGGAGAGGACUAGUACGAGAGUGGUGGAGAUGGCGAUCGAGGCUACCGCCGGAAACGAACUUGUAAACAAGAAAGAGGCCGGCCUUAUCGAUGCAGAAGCCGAUCAGGGGGACGAUAUUGGGGUUGCAGAGGGAGCUCGCGAUCAUCAGCUCCCGGCAGAAAGCCUUGGUGCUCUCCCUGCCCUCCCCCUCCACCCUCUUUAUCGCCACCGCCCUCCUCCGCACUCCGACCCUCCCCCUGUACACUCUGCUCAGUGGGCCCCUGCCCAGCUCCCUCCCUAACAAAUAAUAUCACAGUUUCCACUUGAUUCAAUAAUUACAUAUUAACAGUUUCCGUAGUUGGAGUAAUCGAAAUCAAGAAUUUGGACCUGCAGAGAGGCCAUGAGUGGCGGAAUGUAUCUCGGCGUAGCUGAACCGCACCGCCCGCGAGGCGAUCGGAGAGAUGCUCCUCUCGAGAAAAUCCAAUCUCUGCCACUGCAGAGCCUCCGGCGCAGACGGAGGCGGGGCAGCGGCCCCCUGCCUGUCAUCAUCAUCCUCCAGACUGACGAGCAGCAGCACCGCCGAGGCGACACCGGCGGCGGCGGCGGCGCCGCCCGCAGCCUCCACAGCCGCGGGGGGCGGGGGCGAGCCGCGGAAGCUGAGGCGGAAGGAGGAGUGCACGGAAUGCAGCUCGGCGGCCCCGUCCCCCGCCGCGGCGUCGGCGAGCAGCCACGACCUGUUCUCGGCGUCGCAGCGUCCGCGGCCGUCGUCACUCCCGCCCGUCUGGCGCCUCCCUCUCCGCCGCAACGCGGCAAGACUGGACACCAUUUUCUUGCAAGGAAUUAUCCCGUCAGAGCUGCCGCCCCUUCGCCGGUUCCGGCCGUCUCUGCGGGCAAUGUAGCAGCCGCCGCCACCGCCGCCGCCGCUGCUGCUGUAGGAGGAGCCCAUGAGGCUCCCAGCUCAAGCCCAAAGAGAGAGAGAGAGAGAGAGAGAGCGAAGAAGCAGGAUGCGAGCAUAAAUAUAAAUAAAUAAAUAAAUAUAUAAUAAAGCGUUAAAGGGCGAUUAAUGAGCUCGACAAUGUAGGGGCACUUUAAUUUUAUUGUGUUAGCUUUGCUUGUGGGUGGGGUGUGUUGUUUUGCCUUUGGCCGCUUUUGCUUUUCAGGGUUAAAAGGCGUGUUGGAGUGAAAAUUCUGAUUUACCAACAAGAGAGAAAUGGAGAAGUGUGGCAGGUGGAUAAUAGCGGACUAAUUCGGUUAGUUGGCCUGAUCGGGACAGUUGAUUAUACUAUAAAACUAUCGUCGGUGUACUAAGUUGAAAGAUGCUGUAUGUACGCUAAAAUAGAGUCGACAUAAUAUUCAAGUUUUACCAACUUUUUAUUAGAGUUUUAGUUUAAAAAAAUCUAUAAAAUUAUUGAAAGUAUAUUGAAGUUUAAAUGGAUGAAAUAUAAGGUUUACGCUCUAUUUAUAGGUGUACUAGUUAUACUGCUCUAUUUAGUUUUAAAAAUUAGUAUUUGUACAUUCAAAAAUAAGUUAUAAACCUUUGUAAUACUUUUUUUUUUUUAGAGAGAGAGAUAGAUAGCAUGCUACCUACUAUAUUUAUUUCUUUUGAGUAGUUUCAAUCUGUGUGUUAGGUUUUAGAAUCUAGUUAUUAUGUCUCCGUACAUGGAUAUGUGAUCUGGAUGAGCUUCGAAUUUUAUAGAACCUCAGUUGAGAUUCUAAAACUUCAGUGUAUUCUCAAACAUCAAAAUCAUGUUUGAAAACUCGAACAAUAGAUUGUGUGCUUGGUCUGGGAGUUGUGAAACAAAUUAUGUUUUAAUAAGAAAUCCAUCUGCAAUUAUUCUCCAUCUAUAAAUACCUUUUUUGGGAAACUCCAGCCUCUUUCUUUCUCGGACAAAAAUUUGGUGGAUAUAAUCCCCAAACAUAAUAUUUUGGGGAUUGUUGGAUCCGCGCCAUAUGGCAAGCCGCGCUGAUCUCAACCAGCCAAUAAAAAUAAAUUUUUGAAUAUUUUAAUCCAAUAAAAAUAAUAUUUUCUUUUAGUGGUUGAGAUGGGUACAGCUUGCCAUAUGGCGCCCAUCCGGACAAUCCCCAAACUAUUAUGCUAGGGACUAUGUCCACCAAUUUUUGGUUCUUCUUUUCCCUCUCUCUCUUUCUAGUCCUCUCUCAUUCUCUCUCAAGCUUUCCUACCUCAGAACCGAAUGGAUGGAGCUUCCUUUAGGAGGAGGUCUUGGCCUUUUAAGUGGCCUUGUGGGGAGAUUUCCAAGAACUAGGUGAAUUGUAGUUGAUUCUUAGAUUAGUUAUAUGAAUUUUAGGUGUUGCUUGAAGGGUUCUUAUUUUGGCAUUAAAGUUUUUAGGUUUUUAAGCUUUUUAUGACUUGUGUUGGUGUUUUUGUCCUAAUUUUGGACAUGUGUCGGAAACCUUAAGUUUUUUGGAGUCAUUUUGUGUCAAUCCCCAAGCUAGAUGAGAAUUUGAGCAUAUUUCGUGGCAUCAUUCCUUGAUGUGUGGAGGAAAUAUUGAUUUCGGUAUAAAAUGCUAGUUUUGCAAAAUUUAUCAUGGCUUUUUCAUUAUUUCUUACUCCUUAUGCCUCACCUUAGUGCAUUUUUAGUACCUUAAGAAGUUUAAAGUUGAUUCUAAUUGAAUUGAAGUUGCAACUUUGCGAAAUUCGCGAAGUUUCUACCACUGAAUGUACAAUCUAGGGGCCUAGUUUUGGAACUAUCUAAUAAAAUAGUGCGGUAUAGUUCUAUUUCUAUGGAGCUAUCAAUAUGUUACGGAACCUCAAUCCCAAGUUCCGGAACCUCAGCCACCAAAAAUUCGAAACUUGAAUUUAUUUGAACCUCAGCCACCAAAAAUUCGAAACUUUAGUUUUAUUUGAUUCUUUCUUCAUGAAUAGCACCAAGUGUAAUGCGUGACCUGAUUGCACUCUUCUUAGUUCCAUACAAGGAUCGAGAAGCUGUGAACGUGUUGUGAUUGCCAUCUUAGCAACUUGAGGUAGGUAUACUCUCCGAACUUGAUUUAGCAUCAUCACCACAAUGUGCCUAAACUUGUUUAACCCCUUUGUGGUUGACAUGAACUAUUUAUAGCCUAUUGUAGUUGUACCUCAAGUCGAUCUUAGCACUUAUAUAUUGAUAGCAUGCUUAUUUACUAUUAUAUCGCUUGCUUAUAUCUUAUUCUUGUCAUUAUAUGGAUGUGAAUAGUAAAGAAGCAUGCUAGUUAGAUAAAUGAUAAAAAGGGGCAUUGUGAACCAAGUACUAGUAUUAGGAUUCGGAUUAGACUUGGACUAUUGCUCGAGUUAGUGCAGAUUUAUGUCCUGGCUGCAUUGGAUUACGACUAUCACCUUAAUUACAAGCAUGAUGAUUCACCAAGAAAAUCUAUGGUCCUCUUCGCCGUCUCGAUGGUUUGGCCACCCCGAAGUAGGGUGAGCUCCUCCGAAAGAGAGGUCGUAAUUCAACGAAUUAGUCCGGCCGGGUCUCUUACUAGGUAAGGGAAUUAAGUAUUAGUUGCAUGAGUUUCUUCCUAGACAGAGUAUUGGCAUAAUCUAGGUUUGUUUCUAGAUAGAUCAUUGAGCGUGAGUCAGGAUAGAUGAUUGGGCCAGUUGUUGACACCUUGGUAUAUUCUAUGUAUGCAUAGAACAUUGUAUGUUGUUCACUGACUAUCAUUGUAGAUACCGCUUAUCCAGCUAUAUGACAUUGAUUGUUGCUUAUUAGUCAUCUCUUGACCUUAUAAUGUUAUUACUCCCUUAUUGACUGGUUAGAGUUAGUUUGCUCUUGUCGGCUUGUUGUAUCCACUAAAAACUUUAUCAUUUCUCGAUCCCUGGUGAAUUUAUUUUUUAAGAGCAUUAGGAUGGGUGGAACAUAUUAUAGAGGACCCGUGCUAGAUAGGUUCACCUAGAUAGAUGCACUCUCUACACUUUUGAGGCUAUUAGCAUGGUAUUAUAUAGGAGAUGGAAAAUUUGUGGCCAAAACUAAAGAUAGUUGUAAUCUGUGGUUUUCGGAUGCUAUAACAUGUUUUGCAUACUUUAAAUGUUAUUUAAAAAUUAGAAAUUCUGAUUUUCUUAGCUUUGCUACAUUAUAUUCAAAACUACUUUGUAUUCCAAUGUCAUGUACAUAAGGAAGAAACUAUAUCCAUGUGGCGGAUUUAUGCACACGUCCAGUUGAGUUUCCAUGCUGGGGCGUGACAUUCUUACAUCCAUCCAUGAGUUUAGCCUUUUUUUUUUGGAUUUUUAAUAUUUUCUAAAAAAUAUUUGUAAGACUAGUGUGAAGACAUAGUCUCUUGGAUCGAUAGAGUGUAAAAUAGACACUCAAUUUUUUGGAGUGCACAUAGCAUAUAUUAACUCUACUUCUGUCCUUUAUGCCUCUCUCGACCCCAACUCCGACUCUGCUGGCUCCACCUGCUCUCUUUGCUCCUCUUGCACUCCCGCUGCCCCUUCAUUUGAUGACGGUGGGAAGAGGUUGGGGUGGGCGUGAAUAGAGGGUGGGCGAGGAUGACACGGCGGAGGAGGUGAGCGCAUAGGCAUGGGCGCGGACAAAAGAAUGUGCGAAGGCGAGGUAGCGGAGGAGGGCGAGGGCGAGGGCGAGGGCGAGGCGGCGGAGGAGAGCGAGGCGGCACGGCCAACAACGUCGUUGGUAAAGAGGAGGCGAUGCUGUUGAGAGAGGGUAGAAGGGUAUUUUCGGUAUAAAAAAAUAUAAUAAUAGGUUAUAGACGAACCUCGAACGGAACACUAACGUCAGGGUCCGAAGUGAGCAUUUUUUUAUUUUUUUAAAAGGGCAAAGUGUAGCUUUUUAAAUGAUAAUGAAAAAGUGAAAAAGCAUAUCUUGAUAGGGGUUUUUGUAAUUUAGCCUUAUUACAUAUUAAUUUACUUGCAGAUUCUUUUCAGAUUGGAUUACAAGAAUCUCUCUCUCAAGAGCUUUCCGCUUUUUCUCUCAACUGGGGUAUCUAUGAUGAAGCUCUCUUUUUCUGAAACCUCCGACAAUGAGGCUCUAGACUCUAAAAUAUAAAUUACAAUAAUUUAUAACCCUAAAACCCCAAUUUUAGUAGGAAACAUUUUUCGCCGUCCAUCUGAAUUCCUAUUCACUUAUAGUCGUUUAUCUCCUCUUAAAGACUCUCUUCAAAAUAUUUUUAGAUCAUCCCUAAUCUCAAGAUAUAAGAUUAAAUCAAAUUGAAAUCAAAUCUAACUUAUCCAGUCUGUUACAAAGUUGAGUACGGUACUCAACUUGGAGUACAGUUACUAAAACACCUCUAUAAUUUCAGGACAAGUACUCAAAGUUGUGUAUCGGUACCCAAUACAAAAAAUAGGAAAUUGAGAAACUUUUGAAAAACUUCUGAAAUACUUCUUAAUACUUCUUAAUACCGGUACUCAAACUUCAAAUUCUAAUACUUAACAUCCAAAAACCUUAAAUAUUUUAUUAGUCCACCAUGAUAUCGAGUCGGAAUGUAGCUUCACAUAAUUCAACAGUUUUGUGGGCUUUUAGUAUUAGAAAUAGAAAAAACUUCAAUUUGCCCUUUUUUUUUAUCUAAAAUACCCUUCUAAAUUUCAAAUCUUAUUAGUAAAUCCUAAGUUUGAGGGCAAACCUGAGAAUCUCUACCUGUACCUGCGAGUACCCGCAAGUUAUCCGUAAAAUUGCGGGUAUGGGUACUAAUUUUUUCUAUCCAAAAAAUUAUAGAUAAAAUGAAUGGUACCAGUCAAGUGGUGGGCAUUUUAGACAAUCCGCAGAUACCCACGGGUAUCCCAUAUAUUUUUUAAUUAAAAAAAUAUUUUUUAUUUACCUAUUUUUAAGAAACUCUAACCUAAUUUAAUAUCGUGUCUUUUUUUUUCGUUGCAGCCAUCUCUCGCACUAUGUCGUCUCUCCAACCGCACCACUCUACCAUCCUCAAGCGGGCCGACCUAAAUCGGAACAUGAAGUGUUCAUUUACGGUUUUCGCCUAUGACUUCUCCAGCCUUUUUUUUUUUUGUUUAUCUGCGAUAGUUGUGGAUUGAGUUUUAGUGGUUUAUCUUUAUGAUAUUUACUCUAUAUAUAAUCAACAAAGUUUUAUUAAUUUUGUAUUAUAAAAAUUUGGUAUGAUAAAAUAUUUUAUAUUAUAUAAUUUAUGGGCUUUAAGAUUUUAUAUUGUUUAUUAUCUGUUAUGAUAUUUCAAACAACAAGUUAAAUUAUACUUUUAAAAAUUGUAUAUAUGUGUUUUGCAUUGGAAAAUAUAGGAGCAAACAAGAAAGAAAAGAAAAUCUUGCGGGUAACUAGCAUACCUAUCUGUUCGCUCGCCGGUGGGUAUAGGUAAAGAUGUUGGCUAUCCAAAAAUUUGUAGAUAAAUUUUAUUCAUAGCCAUAUGAUCUGCAGGUGUAAUGAUCUGCCCACAAUUUACUCAUCUCGCCCGUUUGUCAGGUCUAAUUAAAUACAUAUCUUUUAAAAAUUUGUAAAUCAAUAAGACAUUAUGGUCAAUCAGAAAUAUAUUUGAUAUUUUUGAAGUUUUGAAGGCUACAGUAGAUAUUAUUCUAAAAAUUUAAAAAUAAAUUUAUUCAAAAUAAAAUAAUAGAAUCUUAAAAAUAUUAAAAUUAAAAUUUGAAAAUAAAUUUGAUCUUAAGUUCAGAAAGUAAAAAUUAAUAAAAAAUUAUUUUAAUUAUUUAUUAAUCAUCCAAGCAAUUUUUGUCCCGGAAUUAAAAAGAAAAUUAUGAGCGGCGGAGUGAUCAACAAUGUUGUCUUAUUAGUAACCCCAAUUUAUCUCAAUGUAUCAUAGAGGAUUAUAAUUUGUUUUAAAAUUUAAAUUUUUUAUUCUAAAUUUAAUAUUAAAAAGGGGCAAUUGCUUAUAUAUUCUUAAAAAGUUCUCGACUUUCUAAUUUAUUGCUCUUAGAAUACUAAUAUUAAAAAUAUCCUUUAUGUUCCAAUCUAUUUCAAAUAUACCCUUAUUAGAGUUAAAUUCUAUUAAUGAACUAUUAGCAAUAGCUAUUAUUUGUAUAAAAUUAUUAUUUUGCCCUUUCAAAUAUACCCUUCCACUAUCACCGAAUUUUCUUAUUUAUCUUUAAAAGGCUUAAGUUUGGUAUUGAGACCUAUCAAACACUAUUAAAUAAAAUAGAGUUGAUGAAAAAACAUAUAGGGAUGUACUUUUGCGUUCUCCGGUGGGAUCGCAGAAAAUAAAUAUAUCAUAAUCGACUCAUCGCGAUAUGCAGAACACAAUAUUACAUACAAACCGUACUUAAUGUAAUCUCCCCGUAAUCCCAAACCGUACGUAACGCAAUCUUCCCAUAAUCCCAAACGAAGUUUAAGUUAGGGACACAAAAAUUAUUUUGAUUUUUACUCUUUUUAAAUAUAUUAUUUUAUCAUCACCAAAAUUUUUUUAAUUAAUAUAGAUAUUUAAUUCAUAUUUAAGUCAAAUUAAUUUAACGGGUGAUAACUGUAUAGAUAUUUUGGAACGGCGAGAAAUAUACAAGAGUUAAAAGAAAAGAAAAAAAAAUAUAUACGGGAUAUUUUCAAAGUUUCGAAGGUAUAUAGGCAAUUAUUGCUAUUAAAAAAUAGGUAUUUGUUAAGGGCACAAUUAAAACAUUGUGGAGGUCCGCGCUUGAGUUUUCUUCCCGAUUUAGGGCUUCAGAAUCUCGGUCGCCUCUCUCUCUCUCUUUCUCUCACGCCUACUCCUCGUCUCGAGCUUCUUCAUCGCUGGCUGCGCCUGUUUCUGGAUCUCUCAGAUAAGAAGCUGCAGUCCAGACAAGCAUCGGAAGGAAGAGAAGUUGCGGGGGAAUGGAGAAAGGCCGCGCCGUCGGGAGCCCGGCGGGCGAUAGAGAAUGCCCGGCAGCGGCCGAAAAGAAUCCGAAGAAGCAGAAGCCCCCCUUCAGGCCCGCGCCGGACGACACCAAACCACUCUUCCGCGACCCCGUUCGUCUAUUCCUGUCUCGCUAUUCCUACCUACCCUUUUCCUUUUCUUUCUCUUCCUUAAUCUAAUUAUGGCUCCCUUUUUCUUUUUUCUUUCUUUAUUCUUUAGAUAUUGAGGUCGGACCCAAUCGAGACCGAGCAAGCAGUGCUCGCGCUUACCUCGCUCCCCAAGAACGCAGCGAUAUCUGAUGAAAACCGCAAAUGGUAGGUUCUUUUUUUUUUUCUUUUUUUUUUUUUUUUUGCUUUUCAGCUGUAUCUUAUUAGUUUUCUUUCUUGUGCUGCGAUGGAUCUUGGAAGCUAUUUAACGCAUAAAAAAUUAUGAGGCAACCCUCAUGGAUCUCGCUUGUCUCAUUUUAGUGAUAUAUUGCUUUAAAAUAUAUUUUUUAGUAUCCUGAUGAAUUUUUAUUUUUAUUAUUUUUUUUUGUGGCGAACUACAUUUACUCUCGUUAAAUCAAUAUAUAUAUUUAUUAUAAUUAUAUAAUAUAUAUAUAUAAUAUAUAUUAUAUAUAUAUAUAUAACACUUUAAUAUCCUAUUUAAUUUAUCGGAUAUUUAUUUUAGUAUUUUAUGGUUUAUCGAAUUUUUGACUUUACUAAUUUUGUUACUGAUAUAAAAAAAUUAACGAGGAGGGAUAAAUUAACUGAGGGAUAACGGAAGAUAAAAAAAAUCCGGGUACUCUGCUUGCGUUCUCAUCUGAACUAGCCUCCCGUUUGUCCCCUCCGCUUGUACCCCCCUACCAAACAGGCGAACCGAUGUUUAAAUCAAAAAAAAAAAAAAAAAAGAAAAACAGAAAAUCUUGAGUAGGGAUAGUAAAUAUGAUAAUAUUUUAAAUCACAUGUUACUGGCGCAAAAUUACAGCAGUGAUAUUUGAAGUUUUUUCAAAAUUAUAAGUAUUUUAAGUCCCUGUGCUUUUAAAAACAUGGUUAUCAUUGUUUGUUCGAAGGCAAGUUAAUAGUUUAGAAACUGAGGCUUUUCACUUUACAUCAUAAUUGACUUAGUCCUGAAUGGCAGCCGUAUUUUGAGAAAGUUAAGUUAAGAAAUUUGAGUUAGUGGUGAAUCAAACAAUGAAAAAUGGGCAUAUGCAGCCAUAAUUUACUGCAACUUUUGCCUUCUUUUGUGUUUCUACUUAUGAGGUGUUUAUUUGGUAAGAAAACUUUGUUAUCCAUCUUUAUGGCUGGACUUGGUUUAUUUUAAUUUUAGAGUUUGUUCGUCCUUCAUUUAUUUGUUUGAGAAAUGCUAAUUCUUGAACCCAGAAAGGGUCAUACAAGGAUUAUUAUAAUCCUACUCCCAUGGAUUUAAAAGAUUUUCUUUUUCUAUUUUGAAUUUUAGUGAUAAAAACAAAAGAGAUCAUAAAGGCUAGUAGAGAAAAAAAGAAUCAUUAGUAGAUGAUAGAGUUGCGAGUAUUGCUCUAUAUUCUUUUUGUUUUUUUUCAUCUAUGUUGGUUCCAAUAAUGGUAUCGUAUUAAGCGGAUUAAUGAUGUUUUGAAUCUGACAAUGUUGUUCGGAACACCGUCAGCAAGAUCUCCAGGUUCUACAACACCGAGGAGUUAAACAUUUUUCGGCUCUUUUGCAGUAUUAUGGUUCAAUUAGUCUUGGUAUAGAAUGAAACACUAAAUAAUUCUAUCUUGGAUUAAGGCAAAAUUAACUACGGGAAAAAGGAAGUUAAAAAAAUUAGUGAAAAACUCACUUACAAUGAAGUUGCACUACAGUAUCAAACCUGGCCUUGCAGUGUAGUUGCACUACUACAACUACACAGCAAAUCAAACACAAAUUGUAGGCUUACUUGGAGUUGCAGUUGUAAUGCAACUCGCAAAGCAAGCAAUCAAAGAGGCCUAUCCACUUUAGGGCCCUGCCAAGAUCAAAGUAAUCUAACUGUAGGAUCAGACUUGCAGGUGAUAUUUGUACUCUGCUGCAGGAAAAUUGUAUGUGAGGUUUGGCUGGAUCGAAAUCAUGCCAAGAUCGAUAUACAUAAACCCAGCCAAAAAUUCUAUGGGGAUGUAUUUUCAAUGUGUGCAGUAGUUGCGUAAAACAUAGAAGCAGUUACUUGUUUGCUUAGAUAACCAUGUCAAAUGUACCUUUUUGGACGUAUUGUAGGGCGUAGUACAAUAGAAUCUCAACAUCUCAUUUUAACUUUCUGCUGCAUUAGAAUUUAAGGCUUUUCUGAAAAAUAGAAUCAGAAGUGAAACUACAAAGGCUCUAUGUAAUGUUAACUUUCUUCUGCAGCAUUAGAAGUUUAAAACUUAUCGAAAAACAGAAAUCAGGAAUGAAGCUACAAAGGAUCUAUGUAAUUUUUCCUGAUGUCAAAUUGCAAACAUGCUUAUUGAUCACCUUUACUUUCUUUGAAAUUGGGAAGUAUGAAAUGUAUAGUAAUUUUUGUCUUUAUAAUGGUGUGAUACAUGUAGAAGGCUUAGAAGAGCUGUGUUGGAACCCAGGAAUGUGCAGAGGCCAUGAUUUCUUAUUUCCAUCCAUCUGCAUGCAAUCAGAAGAUUUUUGAACACUAUUUUGACUUUCACAGCUUUGAAAGUAUACUGUUGUUGACAUUGCAUAUUUUUCAGACAAUGUUACAUAAUAUUUUGGAUAUGUACUAUGGAAAAAAUUUGAUGGAAAUUAUAUGUUUAAAGACCAAGCUUUUCUUCCUCCCACAUUUGAACAUUAAUAAAUGCAUCAAAUUUUUGGAUAACACUGAAGUUUUGACACAAAAGUCUUUUAAUUUUUCUUACUAUUUUUUGUUUUUUGUUUUUUUUAUUCUGAAGUUUCAAAUAGGAUACUUAUCCCAAGAACCUUCUCUGGAGCUAGUACUAGGUAUAACCUUAGUUAAUUCGCGAUUAAAACGCGAAUGAUACGCGAAUUUUAAAAAUUACUUAUUAAACACCCCGUUCCGUAUUUUUUCGAAAAGUUCGGAAAAAAAGGCCAAAUCUUUCUCAAAAAAACUUGUUUGCGAAUUAUUUGCAAUUCGCGAAUGAUUCGACUAAAAAAAGGGCACUCGCGGUCGAAGCUCGCUGCUCGUGUCGUCGCCGUGCUCGUCGUCGCGGAUUCGCGGCCGAGGGUCGCGUCGUCGUCGCUCUUGUCGCCGAACUCGUCCGGGUUGUCCUCCUCAUUCGCUGCCCUUGCCGGCAUCGGGAGCAAGAGCCGCCGCGACGACAGAUGCCCUCUCGCGCCGUCCGUGGAAAAAAAAAGAAGAGAAACAGUAAAAAAAAUCGGGGCUUUUGAGCAUACUUGUGCGCGGUCCACGAGGCCACUUUGUGGCCUCGUGGACCGCAUGAGAGGGAUGUCCACGGUGGACCUUCCUCUCAUUAAUAUAUUAUAUAAUUAUAGUAGUAUAUAUAUAUAGAAUUAGGCGGAAUACUAUUAAUAAUAAAACGUUCUUUUGCUAUCAAGAGUUUUUAACCCUUGGAUGAAAAAAUUGUAGGGUUAGGAUGAUAUUAGUUGGUUAGAGUUGAGUGGUCCUCCUAGGGUUGAGUGGUCUCACAUGGGUUAUAGUAUUUAAUCCAAUGGUUAGAAAUAAUAAAAAGAGUUGAUCCAAAGGCUAAAAAACUAGUAGCAACAAUAAGAUUUUGCUACUAAUAGUAGCCCAAUCAACUCUAUAUAUAUUAUAUAUAUAUAAUAUUAUAUAUAUAUAUAUAUAAUAUAUUAUAUAUAUAUAUAUAAAUUUUAUUUAUAAAUAUAUAUCAUUUAUUUUAUUAUAUAAGUUUUUUAUUAUAAAAUUUAUAAUUAUUUAUUAAUAUUCUAAAUACAUAAUCUUAUAUAUUAUAAUAUAUAUUAUAUUAUAUUAAUUUGAAUAUAUUUAAUUUAUAUAAAAAAGCAUAAAAAGUAUAUAUGUAUAUAUUAAUUAUUAUAUAUUUAUUAUAUAGCCGAAUUUUGAUUCCGAAUUUUUAAUUGUAAACGUAUAAUAUCCGUAUAAAUUACGUAUCCGAAUAAUUACCACAUCCUUUUUAGCCGUAUUUUCAAAAGAAUUUAAAAGUUAAAAAGAGAAUUUUAUCCGAAUUAUAUCCGUACCGAAUUUUGCCGAUCCGAAUUAACUAACUAGGUAUAACCAGGAAGCUGACCUCUAUUGAAAGCCCUUUCUUUGAAAAUUAACUUCCCAACUACUCUAGAAAGUGAGUGGCUGCUAGAUGAUGCAGAAGUCCACUAUGUGUAGGAAUGUGGAAUUACAGAAAUGGAUAGACUCAACAGCAGUGCAGCCUAGAAUAUAUGAAAUCUUGAUGAGAACAAACUCUUUAAUCUUGACAUUAAUAUAUAAUCUUGAUACUAAUACUGAUAACUUUUCGGUAAAUAAAAAGGAGUGAGGCUACUAUGCUAUUCGAGAGUACGAGCCUUUCGUGCUUUCAGACGUUUUCGAUGUUGCGACUUCAAUCGUCGAUCGGCUUCGUAUACUUGAUCUAGAGUAUUGUUAGUACUUAGAAAUAAUUUAUUAUUUUUCAAUAUCAUUUGCCUAGUGAUCGAAUGGGCUCAAAAUCAACAAAUUUCAUUGGCCGUAGUGAGCCGUUUGCAAGUUUAACGAUGUAUAAAUAUCCAAAUCACGUGAAAUUUUGAUAGAAAAUUCUUUAUACUAUAUAAAACAAGAUCAAUAUUUUUGAUUUAAAAUUUUAAUGUCAUAUUAUUACAUUUUGUAAGAUUUUUAUUUUCAGCCGUUGAUUUUGAGCCCCUUCGUUCACUAGGCAAAUGAUAUCGUAAAAUCAUAAAAUUUAUUUUUCUAGGUACUUCAAAUACUCUAGAUCAAGUUUAACGGAGCCGAUCCACGAUUCGAAAAUCGCAACAUCGAAAACGAGCUGGAAGCACGGAAGGCUCCGUGCUUUCGAUAGCAUAGUAGCCUCACUUAUAAAAAGGAUAUGCUCAAUAAAAAUGUUUGCGUAGAAAAACAUGCUCUUUUUAAUGAUUAGAAACAAUACUUUUCAGUAUCUUACUUUUUAUGGCAAUUAUUUGUCACGUAAUGCUUGUCACGUAUAAAUUGUCCUCACCAAGUACAAAAAAGAUGUUGAUUGUUCCAUGUUUAGAUCAUGACACUAUGACCUCUUCUAGCUCCUUCGAUCCAAUGGGCUCUCCGUUUCCUUAAGUGGAUUCACAACAAAAUAUAUAUAAUUAAGAAGGUCCAUUCCCCACACUUAUUAAUGUUCUUGUGUAUUGAAUACACAAGUGGACAACCAUACCAUAGUUGUUCUUGCUAGGAGAGGAAUAAAUAAAGCACAGUGGGAGACAAAUUUACCUUCAUUUUUAUUAAGUGCGAGUGAAUGAUAGGGCGAUGAUUGACACUUGUUUCUUAUUUCGAACCAGUUUAUUUAGAAAAUUACUAUUUAUACAUUUACAAGUGAGAUACGUAUCUCUCACUCACUCUAUCUAAGUUUUUUUGUUUCUUGUUGGGUUUUAGUAUUGAAAAAUAGGAGUGUGAUAAGAUUUAACCGACGUUUGUUUUAAGUUACCAAACUUCUUUUUUUUUUUUUUGAUUAAAUCACUAGUUAAUUUUUAUUUCAAUCUGACCAUUUUAUUUAAUUUUUUAUAAUAUUUUAAACAAAAUGAUAAAGCAAUAGGUGAGUUAACUAUCACAUUGAAUUCUAGAGAAGACAUUAUAGUUAAUUUUGUUGUCAUGUAUUAUUGGUAUAAUGUAUAAUUAUAUUAUUUGGUAUAUGGGCUUGAUUUGGGAUGAAAAUUUUCCUUGUAUACUUCAAUUCCUGGUAUUGCUGGAUUCUUAUUCCGGAAUUACUUUGUAUAGCUUUAGGAUCUCUUUUUUAUAUUAAGAGAGCAAUAUGAUGAAUAAUAUAUAUAAAAUAUAUUAUUUUUAAAUAAACUUCUAUCAUGUCAUAGGAGCUCUAACUAGUAAUAUUUUGGACUGGUAGUUUGGACCAACGACUUCAAAAAUUAAUGAAAGUUCAAAUAUCAGCCCAAUUAAAUUACAAGUUAAAUUUCAGUGUCUUGAUCGAAAGAAAUUAAAAUUUGAUUAUCCAAAUAUAAUUUUGUUAUAUUUAACAAUUUUAUUUAUUUAGCUGGGGUGGUCAAUAUGUAUAUAUUUUUAUCAAUAAAUGUUUUUGUUGAGAAUUAGUAUCAAUUUCAGUUGAUGGAUUACUAUUAUUAUUCAUUUGAUUGGCCCAUCUCUGGCUCGACCAAUUCCAAAUUCGCCCCGCUUUCGUAAUGGGAUAAAAUAUUUAUUAUAUGAUCUAAUCUGCCUAAAACAUUCAUCUCCCAAUUGCAUCUCAAAUCCUCCAAGUCGAUAAUUAUUUUAUUCUUUUUUAAAUUAAAUUCAAUAUAAUUGAGUCCUUAUUAUUAUAAUUAAAAUGGAACUAAAAAAAAAUAAAUGCACUUGCAUAAUAUUCCAUGAAUAGGUAAAUAUUAUAAUAUUAUUUAGAUACUUAUUUGGAACAGAUAAAGGGUGGACUCGGGAUGGGUCAAAUUUUCUACCGUCUCAAUCAAGUAAUGUAAAAUAGAUUUUUUCAAAUAUUCAACCGUGCGAUGAACGGCUAAUGUAAUAAUAUAAAGUAACAAAAGUUAUUAUGUGAUGAUAAAAAGAAAACAUUUUAACUAAUAUUAUAAUUAUUUUAACAAAUAAAUAAAUAUACUAUCAAUCUUAAUUAUAAUACAUACUGAAGUAUAAAAGCUAGAGAAAUAAAAUUAUGGACCACAUCAUUAAGUAUUAAGAAUAAGAGUUGCUAUCCUACUUAAAAAAUAUAUACACAUACUCGAUAUUACUAUAAGUUUUAUACUUUUAGAUAUAAUAUGAUAAUACGGUAUAUAUCAUAGGUAUAUAUAUACUAUAGGUAGGUAUAUAUAUAAAUUAAAAGGACCAUUGUACUACAAAUGCUACUUCUAAAAUAAAUCAUUUUAUAUCAUAUAUGUGCCUACUUGUUUUUUAUUUUUAUUUAAUCAGAAAUAUAAUUUUUAAAUUUAUAUUUAUAUUAGCAACAAAAUUUCAAGAACGUAAAAUAUCUUUAUUUAAGAUGUAUAUAUGAGUGUCAUAUUAUAAAGUUAUCAGAUUGAUAAAUACAAUAUACUUUUGCUUUGGAUAAAACUGUCAAUCUAGUUAUUACUUUAUAAUAAUAAGCAGUUAAAUGAACAAAAACAUAAAAACAUUCAAAAGACAUAUUUAUAAUUAUGAGCACCUACUUGUCAACCUUAAGUAGAAUCAUUAUUUUUUUUGUUUCUUUACCGUCCUUUCAGCUUUUUUCCAUUCUACUAAUUUCAAAAAGCUUCUCAAUGACAUCUGAUAAAUUAGAAAAAUAAAAUAUAAGAAUCAAUAUAAUAGAUACACAUAUUAAAAAUUAAAUUUUAAAAAUUAAUUAUUUGAUACAUAUAACAACUCUUACCUACUAAAUAUUUAUCAUCAGCGACUUUAGCAAAUAUUUCAUCAAAAGGAGUAAAUAUAAAUCCAUAUUUUGAUAUUGUCAAAACAUCUUCCACCUCACGUACAACUGUAGAAUAUUAAAAAUUAAUUUUAUAAGGAUGUUUAGUGGUCCUGUAGGAGCCACUGCUUUGCCCCACUCCAAAUUGGUUGAUCACAUAAACUUUUCCUUCCGUUAAAAAGCCUUUAAGUUUGUUCAAGAAAGCUCUUCUUACCGUUGUAUGCAUCGCAUCUCCCUAAAAUAGAAAAUAAACCAAUUAUAUAGUAUCUUUUACUAAAAACAAAACAAAUAAUAUUUCAGCAAAUAAAAGUUGUAUGGUCCUAAAAGUUAUAAGCACUCUCAAGUCAUCAUCUCCCAUUUGAUGUGCAUCAUAUAACACAAAAUAUAAAUAUGCCUUCAAUAUAAAUAUUGGUUUUCACCAAAUAUCACAACACAACAAGUUUACAUGCAUGCAGGGACUCAUGUUACAUGUAAAUUUUUCCCAAAAUAUUUGGAUCAUAUAUUUUGUUAGUGAAAAACUAAAUAAAAAUGAAAAACUAAGUAGCGAUAGUAGGAACUCAUGUUACAUGAAAACACAUGUUCAAUUUGAAAAUGACAGUUGUUCCUUACAUUUUGAUAAAAAAGAACCAACUCUAAGCUAUUCAUUACCUCUGGACGAUGAAAUUCAGGCACAAUAUACAAACAAAUCACUCUAACUUUGAUCUUCCAUUUGUUUCCAAGAGGUGUGAUGUCACUUAUAGAAUUAAACCCAGGUGCCAUAUUCUGAGAACAAUAAGACAUCCAGAAAAAAAAGUUAGUACUUAUUUCGUAUUUAAGUAAUAAAAUAAAAACAAUAUGUUCUAUUUUAAAGCAUCAAUAUCUAAGAAUUAAGAAAAACUACUCAAUAGAUACUUAACUAAAAUGUGCUGAAUAUUGUUAAAAUAUGGGACCUUUAGUAUAUAUAUAUACACACACACACAUAUUAAUCUGUGAAUAUUAGACUUUAACAUUAAAAUAAUUAGUCAAAAUAGUUUUAUUUCUCCAAACCUAACUGGAUCUGAAUAUAGAAAAUGUUUGAAAAAUGGUAACCUUUAGUAUACAAUAAAUUGAACAAAAUAAAAUGACAUGAAUGGUAACCUUUGAAAAAUGGGCAAAACAUUUAAUAGUAUUUUCUAAUAAAAUUCGGUGACUUCCACAUAUCAUUUCAUUUAUAGAAAUAAUUAGCUUUACUUGAAAAGUGAAUAAAAUUUGCAACCAUAAAACAACAGAUAUAAUUAUUGCAACAAAUCAGUUUCUAAGGCUCUAUUUAUGAUAGCAAAUUAAAAAUAUGAUAGUAUAUGAAUAUAAAGAGUUUGAUGUUAUAUUGAAAAUGAUAAGACUUUUAAAUAUUGAUAAUUUACCUUACAUAGCACCAAUUCUAUUUUUCCAAAUCUAACUGGAUCUGAAUAUAUAGAAUGUUUAAAUUGAAUAGAAUAAAAUGACAUGAAUGGUAACCUUUGAAAAAUGGGCAAAACAUUUAAUAGUGUUUCCUAAUAAAAUUAUGUGGUUCUCACGUAUCAUUUCAUUUCAUUUAUAGUAAUAACUAGCUUUUCACCCGUGCGAUGCACGGCUAAUAUAAUAAUAUAAAAUAAUAAAAGUUAUUACGUGAUGAUAAAAAAAAUAUUCUAAUUAAUAUUAUAUUUUUCUAACAAAUAAAAAAAUAUAUUAUCAAUCUUAAUUAUAGUACAUAUUAAAGUACAUAAGCUAGAGAAAAAAAAUUUUGGACCAAAAUAAAUACUCAAGUAAAAUGCAAAAUUCAACCCUGCUCUAUUAUCUAUGAAUUGGUGUGCAAAAUAAUUUACAUUUACAUAUUGGUGUGCAAAACAAAAUGAUAACUAAAAUUGAUAUGAAAAAUUACAAAUGACAUUAAUAUUUAAGUAUAUAAUGAGAUUAACUAAACUUUCAUAUUUGACACAAAUUAGAGUAAGCACACGUAUAUUAUUUCCCUACUGUCACUUUCAAAAAUAUAUAGAUGUUGGUGUUCAUAAUUAUAGGUGACUUUUAAAUAAAAUUUCCUUCAUUAUAGGUGAUUUUUAAUAAUAUAGUAAAAGAUAUUAUUUCCUUACAAAAUUUAAUUUUAUUUUGGAUAAUUAUAAGUGACUUUGAAAUGAAAUUCCUUUAAUUAUAGGUGGCCAAUUCUUUCUGAACGUAAUAUCCGUGAAUAUUAUUUUCAUAAAAAAAUCUAAUUUUAUUUUUCCUAAAGUAGUAAUAUCCGCACCCGCCAAUUCUUUCGUAACGUAAUAUCCGUGAAAUUCUCAAAUAUCUCAACAUAAUUAUAGGUGACUUUGAAAUAAAAUCUCCUUCAUUUUCAUAAAAAAAAUUUAAUUUUAUUUUUCCUAAAGUAUUAUUUCUUUGAAAAGUCUAAUUUUAUUUUUUCUAAAGUAGAAAAUCUAUAUUUGAACUUGACACGUAGAUUAUUUUUCCUAGAGUAGUAAUAUCCGCACCCGCCAAUUCUUUCGCAACAUAAUAUCAGUGAAUUUAUCAAAUAUCUCAACAUAAUUAUAGGUGACUUUUAAUAAUAUAGUAAAAGAUAUUAUUUUCUGAAAAAAUUUAAUUUUAUUUUUCCUACCUAAAGUAGUAAUAUCCGCACCCGCCCAUUCUUUCUCAUUGUAAUUUUAUUUUUCCUAAAGUAGUAAUAUCCGCACCCGCCAAUUCUUUUUCAACAUAAUAUCCGUGAAUAUUAUUUCCUUAAAAAAUUCUAAUUUUAUUUUUUCUAAAGUAGUAAUAUCCGCACAACAUAAUUAUAGGUAACUUUGAAAUAUUCUCUAAAGUAGAUAGGUGGCAAGCAUAUAGAGCGCCACGUGUCAGCUUCUCACAUAGAGUUUAUUAAGGAUUCUACUUUAGUAUAUAGUAAUAGAUAGAUUAGCUCUACUUGAAAAAAUAUAAUUAUUGCAACAAAUUAGUUUCCAAGUCUCUAUUUAUGAUAGCAAAUUAAAAAUCUGAUAAUAUAGAAAUGAAAAGAGUUUGAUAUUAUAUUGAAAAUGAUGAGAUUUUUAAAUGUUGAUAAUUUAUCUUGCGUAGCACCAAUUCUAUUUUUAAUUAUCUAUUUGCUAUAUAUGAGUUUGACACAUGUCAAGCAGUUAAGAAAACGCAUGUUAAUUUUUUACCAAGGGUUCUACUUUAGUAUAUAGUAAAUAGAUAUUUCGUUUGUGUUAGGACGAGGCUAUUUCAUAGACUCAGAGUAUGACUUGAAUUAAAUAAAACAGAGAGCCAUGCAAGACUCAAACGUAAGAUUUCCUGCUUUGUUGUAAUGUUAAAUGAUAUGAUUAUGUGAAACCAACUAUUCUCCACUUCUCAUGCCUAUCAAAAAUUAAUUCUCAAGCUUAGAAGUGGAAUAAUUAAACGAACGGUAUCUUAAUAUUUUAUUAUCAAUACUUUUCUUUGUGUCUAGGCUCAAGAAUUUUGAUAGGUUGAUUGUGUGAAAUAAUUAAAUAUGAUAAAAUUAAAUCUUAGAUAGAGAUGAUAUCAGUGAGAAUGAAUAAUACACUUCUUGAAUACUAGUGUAGUGGUCUGCGCGUUAUAACAGGUAGAUACUGAGGAAGUGAGAAUUCAAAAUAUAUAAUAUCGUACAAUAUUAUAAAAAAUAGAAGGGAUCAGAGACAUAUCCUUUUUAAAUUUAUUUAGUUGAUAUAAUAGAGUAACAUGAAUUUUAUAGUGAGUAGAUACUAUUGUAAAACUAAAAUACGUAAUCUAUUAAGUAAACAGAAAAUGAAAUAUAAGAAAAAAAAUAAUAUUUUUACUUGAUGUGUAAAUUCGGUUAAUAUUCAAACCACGGGUAGCUUUUAGGUUAGAAGAAACUGCGUUGCCUUCAUCGUUUGCAUUUGAAAUUGGACUCAGAUCGUCAGCAUAUUGGAACGUAGUCACGUAAAAUCACGGUAAAUAAUUUAAAUCGAUUAAUUAAUUAACUCAUUGAAACAAUUUCCUAAUCACCUGGAGUGCAGACUAAAUGCUGAGCCAACAUCCGCUAUAGAUAGGCCUAGCAAAUGGGCGUUUUGGAUAACCCGCGAGCGGUUAUUGUACCCGCGGGUUAUUUGGGCAUGGGUAAAAUUUAUCCGCAAAUUUUUGAAUAGCCAACAUCAUUAUUCAUACCCGCUCACGGGUGGGUGGGUGGGUGGGUAUGCGGGCUACCCGCAAUUUAUUUUUUUUUUUCUCAUAUAUUUUUUAAAUUCAAAAUACAUAUAGAUAAGUUUUAAAAAUAUAACAUAACUCAUUAUUUAAAAUAUCAUAACAUACAAUAAAAAUAUUUAUAGUCUUAGAGCUUAAAAAUUUCGUAAUAUAAAAAACAUAAUAAGAAAUUAGAGUUAGAAUUUUUAAAACUUAUCUAUAAAAAUUUAUAUUUUAAAUUCAAAAUACAUAUAGAUAAGUUUUAAAAAUAUAACAUAACUCAUUAUUUAAAAUAUCAUAACAUACAAUAAAAAUAUUUAUAGUCUUAGAGCUUAAAAAUUUCGUAAUAUAAAAAACAUAAUAAGAAAUUAGAGUUAGAAUUUUUAGAAUGGAUAAAUAAAAAUAUAUUUUUUAAUUAAGAAAAUAUAUUUUGUAAUUAAAAAUUAUAUGUGCGGGUAUCCGUUGGUACCCGCGGGUUAUCCAAAAUGCCCACAGCUUAAUGAGUACCCAUCCGUUUUGCCCGUAAUUUUUUGGAUUGGAAAAGUUGGUAUCCAUACCCGCAAAUUUGCGGGUAACCCGCAAGCACCCGCGGGUAUGGGUCGAGAUUGCCGGAUCUAACUAUAGAUUUGGCACAAUCUAGUCACAACAAGAUAAAAGUGUGUUUUUACUUACAGCAUCUUACGCGUUAUAAUUCAAUAUAUCUAGUUGUACCUUUUUCUCCUUUUCUGCACUAUUCUAUAUUAUCCCCUCAUUUAGUGAUAUUCGAUCGAGUAUCUUUUUAUUUUCAAAAAAUCUUAUAUUUUUACAAGUUUCAAAUUUAAAUAAAUUAAAUUUUUAUAGAGGCCGGUGUGACGGCUAUGACUUAAAUUGAGAGAAUUUGGAAGGCAACAAUUGAAAAGUUCGGAAAUUUGCUUUGUGGAAAUUUCAUGAACCAGAAAUUGUGCUUAAUAGUCAUGUUGAUUGUCCAUUCACGUGAAAGGAUCGAGUCGUUUGACAGAAAUUUUUAAAAAAAUUUAUAGUAGGGUACUAAAGUGAAAUUUAAUUUUUUUUUAUACGGGACUAAAGUGAAAUAUAUAAAUAGUUUAGGGACCAAAACUUUCAGUUACAUGUAAUGCAUGGAGAAUAUCGCUAUGCCAGAAACAAUGCACAAUUUUACGUAUAUCAGCAUAUAUAUUGUUUAUUCUGCUAGAUGCAUGAAUGUCUUAUUUAGCGUGCAUGUUUUAUUUGCUCAAAAAACUUGUAAUAUUUCUUAGAUGAAAAGUUUUAUCAAAUGUCUUGAAAAAAAAUACUAUACUUGAUCUUGAAAUAACUUUUUCAAAAAUAAAAUAAAUUACUUUAUAAGUGAAUAUAUUAUUCUAUCAAAGUAUAGUUAAAUGCCAAAAAUUUGUACGCGCAUAAAAAAUUGGGUAAACUUUAAAUAUCACCUCUGUGAUUUCGUACUUUUUCACUUUAGUACCAUGUGGUUUAAAGUGUAUCAAUUUAUUAUCCUGUGGCUUUUUUUUUUUCGUCAGCUUCUCAGUUAACAUUUCGUUAAAAUAUAUACAAAAAGAUUUAGGACCCCACACGUAGAUUUAUUGAAUAUUCACUUUAAUACCUUUUAGUUUUAACUUUGUCACUGAUUUAACGAAAAAAAAAUUAGUGGAGGGAAUCAUAAAAAGAGAAAAAUGAAACAACGAGAUACUAAAUUGAUACACUUUAAACUAUAUGGUAUUAAAAUAAAAAAAUAUAAACUACAAAAAUAAUAUUUGAUGUUUUUUCUAAAAAAUAAAACUAACUUUAAAUCACAAAAGAAAAUCUUUACAAUGAACAAGUUAUCACCGAUUAUUUUAUUCUAAACAUCUAGAGAGAGAGAGAGAGAGAGAGAGAGAGAGAGAGAGAGGGGCAUCGCGGACGAUGACGCACGAGGCAGCGGGAGGGAAGGAGAGAGUGAGUGAAAUGGAGAGAGGAAAUGAUAUUUGAAGAAAGUUAAUGUGGGCCACGAAUAACCCCGUGAAUAUUUAACACUCUUUAUAAAGAUCGCAAAUUAUCUAUCGACUUCGCGAAAGCAGUAAAUUAUUAGGGUAUUUGGCCUAACUUUUAAAAAGUGCUUUUUGUGUUGAAAAGUAAUUUUCGAUUCAAUAGAGCGUUUGGUAAUUUCAUUUUUAAAAUCUGAUUCUACCUUUCAGAAUCAGAAAACUGAUUUUGAAAGCCCAGCAUUAGAAGCAGAAAAAAAUUACUUUUUGAAAUCUGAUUCUGAUUUUGGACUCAAGCAUCAAAUUUUUAUUUUUUUUUUAAAUUUAAUGUUUAAAUUUAAAUUUAAAUUUAAAUUUAAAAUUUAAUUUUUAGAUUCAUUUUUGAAUUUUUAAAUUUUAACUUUUAAAUUUUAAAAUUUUAAAAAUAGAUUUCAAAUUUUAAAUUUUAAAUUUUAAAUUUUAAUUUUAAAUUUCAAAUCUCAAAAUUUAGAUUUUAAAUUUUCAAAUUUAAAUUUAAAAAUUUAAAAAUUUUAAAUUUUAAAUUUUAAAUUACAAGUUUUAAUCUUCAAAUUAUAAAUUUCAAAAUUUUAAAAUUAAAAUUUUUAAUUUUUAAAAUUUAAAUUUUAAAUAUUCAUAUUGUAAAUUUCAUAAUUAUUAAUGUAUAUUUAUAUUUUUAAAUAUUAAAAUUUUAUAUUUUAAAUUUCAUAGUUAUUUAUAUUUGUAAAUUUAUAUUUUAAAUUUUAAAUUUUAAAUUUCAAAUUUUAAAUUUUAAAUUUUUUAAAUUAAAAUAUCGAAUUUUAAAUUUUGUAUAAUUUUGAAAUUUAAAAAUUUUAAUUUUGAUUUUAAUUUAAAUUUAGAUUUUAAAUUAUUUUAAAAUAAAAUUUAAUAAAAAUAUUAAUUUACGCAAACGUCAAAAAAAAACUUUUAUCAAACCGCUUUUCAAAAUCACUUCAGAAAAAUCACUUUUAUCUAAACUUAGCCAAACACUCUGCAGUUUUUAACUAAAAUUACUUUUCAAAAUUAAAAUCACUUUUUCAUAAAUUAAUUUUUUAAAAUCUAGGCCAAACGGAUUCUUACUGUUUCAGUUAACAACGGUAAAUAAUUCAUCGCUUACUCGUACAACAACAUUAAAGAUAGUGAAUGAACUAUUUAUUGGGUAUAUUUCGCCCUUUUGACGCCACAUUGCAAGGCAAGAUUAUUUUUAAAAAUUAUUUUUAUAAAUAAUAAUAAAGCCCGAUCACAAGGCACUAAGUUUUUUCUGGCUUAAUUACAAGUGGGUAUCUGCGUGCGUUCAACGUGUUAUCGUUGUUUAGUGUGGCGCUUCCUCGGAGAGCAACGCGGCUGGGUCCCACUGCCUGCCGAUGCCCGCCACGUGUCACUGCCCAUACGGCGGAGGACGCUCUCAGGGGACAGGGAAAAGUAACAACAAAAGUGCAUGAAUCCCCUGCUACAAGGAUCGUACAAUAUCAUACUACUAGUACAUGUGGCGUCGUGCUAUUGGUGAACGUUUCUCACACAUACGAUGUGGCCAAUAAGAAAAUGCCACGUGUCGACGAAAGGCGAUCUAGUUUCAACGGCGUGCAAUGUAGGGGAUUUAGUGCCACAGAGGAACAGGACCCCACCCGCUAGCUAAUCCUCGUACGUAUAUGGCAAAAAGAAAAGAAAAAGACUAAAAGAAAAGAUUUUCUAUUAUUAUAGUAAAAAAAAAGGAUAUUGGCUUUAGCUACUGCUGUUGUUGGGAAAAGCCCUAGAUAGCUCUUCCUGCGCCCCUUGACUAAGUUGUUUUUUUUUCUCUCUGAUCUCUCUCUAGAGGAGAAUGGAUGUAUUAUUGGUAAGUAGUCUCUCUCCACUCCCUAACCUUCUUCACCAGCUUCUUGUUGGGUUCUGAGUAUCAAUCUUCUCUUCUAAGUUCUUUUGUUUUCUUGUUCUAGCUUUUGAGAUCUUGAUUAGAUCUGAGGAUAAGUAGAGAGAGAGAGAGAGAGAGAGAGAGAGAGAGAGAGGAAUGGGGAGAGGGAAGAUUGUGAUCCGCAAGAUCGACAACUUGACGAGCAGGCAGGUGACAUUCUCAAAGCGGCGCAACGGCCUUCUGAAGAAGGCGAAGGAGCUCUCUAUCCUCUGCGAUGCCGAGGUCGGCCUCAUCGUCUUCUCCAGCACCGGCCGCCUCCAUGAAUUUGCUAGCUCAAGGUAUCAGCACCCCCUCCCCCGGCCCUCUCUCCCACAUAUUUGAGUGCAAGAUUCAUAUGCUUGUUUAGGUAUUAUCAGCAUCAGACUAUAUAGUAAUAAUUAAAAAGAUAUUAAGAAUUAUAAUCACACAUUUUGGAUAGAACAAGCUAGAAUACCGACAUUUAUAUAAUAGUUUAGGCUGAUAUAUAUUAAGGGCGGUAAAGCAUGGAGAGAGAAACCAGAGAUUGAUGCAUGUACAUAUAUAUAUCUAUCUAUAUAGGGCCCCUAUCACAAGAGAUUGAUGCAGAAGGAUGGAGAGAAAACUAAUUAAUUUUCAUAGAAUGUAACAGGUAUAUGUAGACAGCCUAACAUGUUUGCCACUUAAACCUGUUAGUAAAAACAUGCAAAUCAGUAGAAGUACCAAGUUUAAUAUUUUUAAAAGUAAAACAAAAGGAACAAUAAAUUAACAACUCUAAAUUAUUUGUGCCUUCUUAAUUAACCUUCUGAGAAAGUGUCCUUGAUAUCAGUCUAUGAAUGAUUCAAUAUUCUCUAUCAGCAAAUAUCAUUUAUAUUAUUAGAUAAUGUGGUUAGGUUAUUAGAGAGUAAAUGGUUAGUACCACUUCUUCAUAAACCUAAACUAGUAGUUAAAUUUACUUGGGUAAACUUUAAUUAGUCCCCCUUGUCUCUCCAAAAAAAGAAAAAAAAAGAGAAAAAAAAGAGAGAAAAAAGAAGAAGAAGAAAGAAAAGAGAUUAGCCCUGAUCGACUCUUUUGUCUCAUUUGUACUUUGCCACUUUACUGUCUAGAAAGUUACACUGUGCUAUCCUGUAGGUUUAUUUUUAUUUUACCAUAAGGAUAUACCGUUAAAUAAAUUUGCAAAGUUCUAUAUCUUGUAAACAACGGGAUGUUAGAAAAGUGCUAUAAUUUACAUAUACCACAAUACCAAAAAUUGUAGUAUUUUAUCAUCCUAUAUAUGAUUUGUACUAUACCAUACUACAUAACUAUUACUCUAUUUAAUGGCCGUUUCUGACGAUGUAGCGCAAACAAAACUAUAGGAUAACAAAGUAAAGCGUACUCAAACUAACAAAGUGCAAAUCAGCUAUUAGUUUAUCAAGUUUACUUCACACAUAUAUAUUAGAAUCGAAGUACUUAUAAUCUAAAAAUAAUCAUGUUGCUUGUUGCUACCAGUGAUGGUGAUAGUUUGCUUUGCAUGUUACAACCUAGAAUCUUGAUUGUUCAUCACUGCGCUCAAAAUAAUUGAACUGAUGGAAGGGCUUAUGUUAGAUGGUUUUGAGAAAGAAAUCAAUAUCCUUAAAUGUGCAUUGCAUAGGUGGAGAAAACUAGGAAUGCCAUAGAGAGAAAUUGCAACACUUGUGUGAACAAGAUUAUGAAAUAGUAGAAAACAAAUGGUUUCGGACACAAUUAAUAAGAUGUCUUAACUAACAGAAAUACGAGUUUAUAAAAUGAACACUAGUUCAUCAUGUGAAAAGGUCAAUUAGUUCAGUACAUUUUCAUUAAUGGAAAAUUAAAAGAAUUUACUCUCUUGUUAUCAGGAUGAAGUCAAUAAUUGACCGCUACAACAAUACAAAGGGAGAGCAGCAUCAGGUGUUGAGCACAAUUUCUGAAGUUAAGGUAUGUAUACAUUAAUUUGUUUCCUGUAAGACUAUUAGCAUUAUAGCUAACAGAUAAAUAAGAAGAGUAAUACAUCUAUACUUUUUAUUUUUCAAUGCGCUUUACUCAUUCUUAUUUAUCUGUUCAAAUUUAAUUUUUGUUUAGUUGUAACCUGCAAUAACAGGUCACCUUGAGAGAGAUAUCGGUCAUCACGUACCCAAAAAAAAGAUAUUUUGGUCUUUUGAUUCUAGGAUAAUUAAGUAAUUUUAUCCCCACUAUAUUAUCUAAUCUAUUCUCUCUUUGUUUACUUUUUUUUUAAUUUCUCUAUCUUUCCUUUUAUUCACAUAUAUAUGUGAAGAGAAAUAAUUGUUUCGGGUUUGGAUUUUUGAGUUUGGGUUUGGGUAUCGAAUUUUUGGUGAGUUUUGGGUUUGGAUAUGGACUUUUGAAAUCCGUAGGGUUCGGAUAUAGAUUUUGGAAUAGACAGUUGGAUUUGGUUCAGGUUUUUGAAAAAUCUGAUCCAAAUCUAACCCGUUGACAUCACUAACCAUUGGUUCCUAACCAUUACCUGUUUUUUACCAAUAAUCUUAAGCUUUUUAAUUUGGCCAAUUUGCAUAAAAAAUCCAUUAGUUUUGAGCCUAUGCAGAAGUAGGCCGUCAUUUUGGAUUUUACAGAUUCUGGUCCGAUUUUCAGAAAACUGACCAAAAUACCCUUAUUCCCUUUUCUCUCUCCUUUUUUUUUCACUUGUUCUUUUUUUUCUUUCUCUCCGAAGGCGGAGGCGGAGAAGGAGACGGCCCGCCUCGCCUUUGUCCCGCAUGCCCUCGCCCUCGCCCUCGCCCAUGCACCCUCCCUCUAGCUUCCUCGCCCCGACCCCACCGAGGCGGCGCCUCGACCCACUUUUUUUUUUUUUUUUUUUUUUUUUCUCUCUCUCUCUCCAACCCCACUCAAUUGCCUCCCCGGCUCUUUACAACAGUAAAGAGAGUAACAUCACAUCCUCUUCCUCUCCUUUUUUCUCUCUCGUUCUUUCUUUUUUCUCUCCAACCCCCUUCUACCGCCUCCACGACCUUCCAUGAUGGUAACGAGCAUAGCACCACAUCCUCUUUCUCCGCCUUCGCCGGCGUAAGUACCGACGCCGGUGCCGGAGAAGGAGGACUCGGAGCAAGUGUGGGUGAGAGCGGAGUCGAGAAAAAAUAUGUAAAAAAUAAAAAAUAAAAAGAAUAAAGAAUAAAGCAUAAAGAAAAAUAGUUUUUUCUACAAGAAAAAUAAAGAAUCAGAGAGAAAAAAAGAAGAUAAUGAAUUUGCACUAUUUUAGGAUAAUGUUGCACUAUUUCAGAAAAACGUUGCACUGUUUUUGAAAAAAAUUAUCCUCUUUGAGAGAAAAAAUAUAAUUUUUUGGAUGAAAAUUGCAUUCUUUGAACGAAAAUUGCACUAUUUGGCCGAAAAUUGCACUAUUUUGUCAGGAAAAGGAGGAAGAGAAGGAGAAGAAAUAGUAUAAUUUUUGCCCAAAUAAAGUAUUUUUCGUUCAAAGAGUGCAACUUUCAUUUAAAAAAGUAUAUAUUUUUUUCUCAAAUAGUGUAAAUUUUCUCUAAAAUAGUGCAACGUUCCUCUAAAACAAUGCAACAUUCCUCUAAAAUAGUGCAAAUUCAUCAUUUUCUUCUUUUCUCUCUGGUUCUUCAUUUUUUUUUUAUAGGUAAAAUUAUUUUUCUUUAUAUUUUAUUCUUUAUCUUUUUAUUUUUUAUUUUCUAGCUCUUACCCACACUUGCUUUGAGUCCUUCUUCUCCAGCACCGGCGUCGGUGCCUGCAUUGGCGAAGGUGGAGGAAGAGAAUGCGGUGCUAUUUUCGUUACCAUCGUAGAGGGUCGCGGAGGCGGUAGAUGGGGUGGAGGGUCACGGAGCCGGUAGAUGGGGGUUGAAGAGGAAAAAAAAGAACGAGAGAAAAAAAAAGGAGAGGAAGAGAACGUGACACUGCCUUCUUUACUAUUGUAAAAAGUCAGGAAGGCGGUAGAGGAGAGUCGGAGAGAAAAAAAAAAAAGGAAAGUCGAGGUGCAGUCUCAGCGGGGUCGGAGACGAGGAAAGCAAAGAGAGAGUGCGCAGACGAGGGCGAGGGCGAGGGGAAAGGCGAGCGGGACAGAGGCCACGCAAGUUGCCUCUGCCUCCGCCUCCGCCGCCCUCUUCGGAGAGAAAGAAAAAAAGAACGAGAGAAAAAAAAAAAGAGGAGAGUGAAAAGGGAAUCGGCGUAUUUUAGUCAGUUUUCUGAAAAUUUGGCAUGAAUCUGCAAAAUCCAAAAAGGCACCUAUUUUUGCAAAAGCUCAAAACUAAUGGAUCUUUUAUGCAAAUUGGCCUUUUAAUUUUUACACUUAAAAUUAUGUUAAAAUGUUUAUUAUCUCUAAUGGUUAAAAUGUAAUUAUUUUUAAAACGUUUAUUAUCUCUAACGGUUCAAAAUUGCUCUUAAUCUUAUUCAGUUCAAAGGGUUGAACCAAACUGCUUGAUAGACUGGGCUACGGUCUGACCGGUAAAACCACUCGGUUCAAUCUGGUUUUUAAAUCAUUGAUACUAACAUAAUAUACUAUAUAAAUUAUUGAUAGUAAUCUUGAAGAAGAGAAUUCAAAUUCUUCUUAUUCAUUCAAUAAUGAAUUAUAAAGAUAUAUAUACAUAAAUGUUUCUAUAAUAAGAUAUUAAUCAUGACUUUCCAUAACACUCUCCCUCAAGUUGGAGCAUAGAUAUUAAUCAUGCCCAACUUGUUACAAAUAUAGUCAACCCGAGCUCCAUUCAAAGCUUUUGUAAAGAUAUCCCCCAACUGGUCUCCAAUCUUGAUACCCUGUUGAAAUGAUCUUCUGUUGUAUCUUUUCACGAAUAAAGUGACAAUCAAUCUCAAUGUGUUUAGUUCGCUCAUGAAAUACAGGAUUAGAAACAAUAUGGAGAGCAACUUGAUUAUCACACCAUAAUUUAAUGGGUUGUGGAUUAUUAAGACCAACCUCAUCCAAUAAUUGUUAUAUCCAUAUUACUUCACACACAGAUUGUGCCAUAGCCCUGUAUUCUGAUUCAGCACUAGAAUGGGAGAUAACACUCUACUUCUUACUUCUCCAUGACACCACGUUACCUCCAACAAAAACACAAUAUCCUGUAGUCGAUCUCCUAUCAACCUUUGAACUCGCCCAAUCUGCAUCUGAAAAGCAUUCAAUAUUUGAAUGUCCAUGGUUCUUGUAGAAGAUACCACGCCCUGGAGCUCCCUUCAGAUAACACAAAAUUUGUUCCAAAGCUUUCCAAUGAGUAACAGUCGGAGAAGACAUAAACUGACUUAACACACUAACGGAGUAUGCAAUAUCUGGUCGAGUCAUUGUAAGAUAGUUCAAUUUGCCAACUAAUCUUCUAUACCUCUUUGGAUCUUCAAACAAUUCAUCAUCAUUAGCUGUAAGUUGGAGAUUAGGAGCCAUUGGUGCACUGCAAGGUUUAGCUCCUAAUUUUUCUGUUUCUGCUAAUAAGUCAAGCACAUAUUUUCUUUGAGAUAAGAAGAUGCCUCUUUUACAUCUUGUAACUUCAAUACCCAAAAAAUACUUCAACAUCCCCAAGUCCUUUGUUUGAAAUUGGGUUUGAAGAAAAAGCUUGAGAGAUGAGAUUCCUGUAGUAUCAUUCCCAGUGAUGACAAUAGCAUCCACAUACACUACUAAUAGAAUUAUACCAGUCUCAAAAUGUCUAUAAAACAUAGAAUGAUCACACUUACUCUUCUUCAUGCAAAACUCCUGAACUACUUCACUGAAUCUGCCAAACCAAGCUCGAGGACUUUGCUUCAAGUCAUAUAAGGAUUUCCGAAGUCUACAAACUCGACCUAACUCCUCCUGAGCAACAAAAUCAGGUGGUUGCUUCAUAUAUACCUCUUCUUGAAGAUCACCAUGGAGAAAAGCAUUUUUAAUGUCCAGCUGGUGUAAAACCCAAUGAGAGGUCGUUGCCAACGAAAUAAAUAAGCGAAUAAAAGCAAGUUUAGCCACAGGAGAAAAAGUGUCGGAAUAAUCAACCCCAUAAGUUUGAGCAUAGCCUUUGGCAACAAGGCGGGCUUUUAGGCGAGCUACAGAAGCAUCUGGAUUCAUUUUCACAGUAAAUACCCAUUUGCAACCAAUAGCUCGCUUAUCGUAGGUAUGGGUACCAGUUCCCAAGUACCAUUAGCAUCUAAAGCCAUCAUUUCCUCUUCCAUUACAGCACACCAGCUAGGAUGAGACAAAUCUUCCACAACAAAUUUAGGAACAGAAACUGACUCAAGAGAGGUAAUGAAACAACGAGAAGAGGAUGACAAACAGUCAUAAGAAACAAAUGAUGAAAUAGGGUAAGUACACAUACGUUUGCCUUUGCGAAGAGCAAUGGGAAAAUCAGAGUCAGAAGCAAGGUCGGUAAUAGUAGUGACUAGAUCUUCCGACGAAGAAGCUGGUGGAGGAUCUGAGUCAGGAGUCGCCAAUCUCCUAGAAUAGACGUGAACAAUAGGGGGUCGAACAGGUGCCGAUGGAGCAGGAAUAAGUGUUGCAGGACUGGACACUUGUCUGAUAGUGUGAACAAGGAGAGCAUCUUCCUCCCCUAACUUUCAUAAAUAGAUAAAAGAGGAAAGAAUGGAGUAGAUUCAAAAAAUGUAACAUCUGCAGACACAAUAUAUCGAUCGAGAGUUGGAAAGAAGCACCGAUACCCCUUUCGCAUAUGAGAAUACCCAAGGAAGACGCACUUAAAGGACUUUGGAUCCAAUUUAGUUACCUGUGGACGAACAUCUCGCACAAAACACGUGCUACCAAAAAGACGAGGUUCAAUAAGAAAUAAAUAUUUAGAUGGAAACAAAAUAGUAUAAGGAAUAUCACCAUCCAAGACAGACGAAGGCAUGCGAUUAAUUAGAAAACAAGCUGUGGAAACUGCAUUAGCCCAAAAGUGUUUAGGAACUUUCAUUUGAAAAAGAAGGGCACGAGCUACCUCAAGGAGAUGUCGGUUUUUCUUUCAGCAACUCCAUUUUGGGAUGGAGUGUCAACACAUGAGGAUUGAUGAAGGAUGCCAUUCUGUGUCAUAUAACUGUGAAAAUUUUCUGAAAAAUAUUCUUUGGUAUUGUCACUUCGCAAUAUACGCACAAAAACAUUAAAUUGUGUUUUGAUUUCAGUACUUAAGGUACAAAAAAUUGAGAAUAGUUCUGAACGAUUUUUCAUUAAAUAUAACGGAGUAACACGAGAAUAAUCAUCCACAAAGAUAACAAAAUACUUAAAUCCUGAUUUGGAAAUAGUAGGACACAGACCCUAAAUAUCAGAAUGAACUAACUCAAAAGGGGACGAUGCCCGUUUAUUGACUCUAGACACAGAAGGUAAACGAUGAUGCUUAGCAAACUGACAUGACUCACACUCUAGACUGGACAAAAGUAGAAACUGCGAAAACAAUUUCUUCAAGGUGGAUAACGAAGGAUGUCCCAACCGACAAUGGACCUCAAAAAGAGUUAAAUUACUGGAGCAAGCAAGAGACCUUAGCACUUGGUUGUCAAGGAUAUAGAGACCUCCAGACUCAUGUCCUCUACCAAUAAUCUGUUUCGUCGUAAGAUCCUGAAACUAACAAUGAUCAGGAAAAAAUGAGACACAACAAUUUAAAGCCUGGGUGAGUUUACUAACAGAUAGUAAAUUGAAAGAAAAUUGGGGUAAACAUAAAACAAAUGACACAGAAAUUGAUGACAUUGGGUUUGCAAUGCCAGAAUCCAUGACACAAGAGGUAGAUCCAUCAGCUAAAGCAAUAGCAGAAAAUGUUAUAUGAGACUGAAAGGCAGAUAAUAGACUAGAGUUACCUGUCAUAUGGUCCGUAGCACCAGAAUCAAUGACCCAUUUGUAGUGGGAAGACACAAGGCAUAAUGUGGAUUUACCUGACUCGGCGAGUGCAGUGACAGAGGAACUGGUGGACUUUAAGGAUGCCUGAUAUGGGGAGAACUAUGCAAAUUUUUAAGCUGACACCAAAAUAGUUUUCUCUGAGAAUGGGAUUUCUCUGAGGAUGGGGUUGUAUGCUCCCCGGUUACCAUGUUGACUAUCUGAGAUCGUUGGUUCUUAUUUUGAAGUUUCAAACAUAAGCGCUUUGUAUGAUCAGGUUCAUGACAGUAAUAGCAAACAACUCCAAAAUCUCGAUUAGAGGCAAUCUCUCCAUAACAGUGAUUACCUCUAUUGGCAGUAAUCGCUCUAUUGCCCCCUUUACUAUUAUGUCGUCCAUUAUCAUUGCGACUCACAAGCGCGCUAUUAGUAGAUUGAGAAAAUUGAGGAAUCUCCGUACGAAGUACUCGUGUGAAAGUAUCAUGCAAAGUGGAUAUCACAGAGCUAGAAAGAAUUUGAGAUUUAGCUGUCUCAAAUUCUGGGGGUAAACCAGCAAGAAAACUCAUAACCGCUAUUUACUCGCGUUGAACCUGCUACACUUUUACAUCAGGACUAAAGGGUAACAAAACAUUAAGCUCUUCAUAAACACGUUUAAAGUCCAUAAAUAAGCUGUGAGAGACCUAUCUUGCUUCUCAGAUCGGUAAAAUACUUUACAAAUAUCAUAUAUGCGAGAGAGGUUCCUUUUGCCAGAGUAUAAAAAAAUCUAAAUAAUCUAUCAAUUCUUUCACAAACUCACAAUGUCACGCCCCGGAUUACACUUUCCCCGGGCACGCCGACAAAUCCGCCGUAUACAAAGGAAUUUCCCCUGUAUACGAAGCGAUAGCUGUACCUGUAAAUCAAACACUACUACAAACAGUAGUAGAGAGCUGCUAGAGAAAACUGAAGCUAAAUAAAACAGAGUUUCAUAUACAUAGUUCGGAUCCAAAAUACAGANAUAUUGCAGCAAGAAGGCUUCUCUCUCUCUCCCUACACGAAACUAUAUAGAGGGGAGUGAGGGAGAUACAAACGAGGCAAGGUAAAAAUACUAAAAAGCCCCUCACCUACUCUGGUGUACCGGUACACGGGAUCGCGUACCGGUACAGGAGCCAACCCGAGAGCAACCCGCGCGCGGCCCAGUGCAGUGUACCGGUACACCUUGAUGGCUGUACCGGUACGGCAAGCAGAAAAACUGCUAUUUGCAGAUUUUCUUCGCUGAAAGCUGCCCUCGCGUCGCACGGAGUCCGUUUUGCGUCUAUUUGGCGCCAACGCGACUCAGACCUGUCCCGACACUCUACAGAGCUGUCGACAAGCCUCCAGAGCUGAACACCAGGGAUCUCACACACAAUGAUUAAUAAGACUAAUUACCUCACUUUGAAUGGAGUUCCUUAGUUGUAAGAACAACCGAGCAUCUUCCCUCAGCCAAGCUUGCUUUGUAUCAUCGUUCGGUGGAUCGCUAGUUAGGUGAUCAUCCUUAUCAAUGCUUCGUAGAUAAACACGAAUUGUCUUGCCCCAUUCCAGAUAGUUGGAGCCAUUAAGUUUGUGUUCUGUGAUUUUGGUCAUUACCGGGAUUACAUCGGCAAUCACAGAUUUUGGCUCACUCUUAGCAGGCACAGUUUCAGACAUGGCGCCUUGGACAACGAGACCAAGUCACAAAGCAGCUCGCAGGGCUGCACUCUACACCUCGCUGCGAGGCAAAUAAAACAACCCUAGGUAUGUCACCUAAGGAUCAAAACAAAAACCAGAUGCACGAACCUUAAGUAGCACCGAUACUGUAGCGCCGAACUGUAGCAGUACUAUAGUGAUGUACUGUAGCAUUACUAUAGUACCAUACUGUAGCACCGUACUGUAGCGAUGACUGUAGUAGUACGUAGUGGUAGAGAAAAAAAAAAAAGAACGAGCAACGCUGAUGAGAUCCGGUGAGGGACAGCACUAGAUCGCUAUACCCUAGAAUUAGGGUUUUGCUCUGAUACCAUGAAGAAGAGAAUUUAAAUUCUUCUUAUUCAUUCAAUAAUGAAUUACAAAGAUAUAUAUACAUAAAUGUUUCUAUAAUAAGAUAUUAAUCAUGACUUUCCAUAACAAAUCCAAAACUUCUAUUUAUUGUUUAAAACUCGUCGAACUUGGCUGCAGUUUUGAGAUUGAUAGUUAGGUUCGUGUUCAUAUUUUUAAAAAUCUAGCUCUUAUUUGACCUGUUGACAUCACUAAUCAUUGGUUCCAAGCUACUACUUUUUUUUUACCACUAAUCUUAACUUUUUAAAUUUUUAGGGUAAUCUUCAAAUACCCCCCCUAUGGUUUCACACUUUCUCACUUUAGUACCCCGUGGUUUAAAGUGUAUCAAGUUAGCCUCUGUGGUUUCGCACGUUCUCACUUUAGUACCAUGUGGUUUAAAGUGUAUCAAGUUAGUACCCUAUAGUUUAAAGUGUAUCAAGUUAGUAUCCUAUGGUUACAACUUUUAAAAUUAAAAGUUGUAACACUUAACUCAGUACUAUUGUAGUUUUCUUACUAUUUCAUAAAUUGUGUAGUACAACUGAGUAAUUACUAAAAUAUUCACUUAAUCCUUAAAAAUGAUGAAAAAAAUUAACUAGUAAAUAGUUAAGGAUCUCUUUCAUUAACUUAUCUAAUUUGAAAGAAAAUAUAAGUUUCUUAUGCAUUCCCAAUAUUUUUAAGAAUAUAAUGUGUAUCUCAGAAAGUUUCUUAGCUGUACCAUAUAAUUUUAUGAGAUAGUGAUAAAAUUGUAAUAGUGAUAAGUACUACAGCUAUAUAUAUAUAUAUAUAGAUAGAGAGAGAGAGAGAGAGAGAGAGAGAGUUCGGCUGGAAUACUAUCGAUAGCACCAAGGAUUUGGUGCUAUCAAGUUUUCCACCACUAGAUUUAACCCUUUGAUUAUUUUUAUCCGUUAGAUUAUACUAUUCAACCAACCACUCACUCAACCCUAUGGGGCCCACAUCAUCCUACCCACACAUUUUUUAAUCCAAGGGCUAAAAAACUAAAAGCACCAAUUGCUUGGUGCUAUUGAUAGUAUUCUAGCCUAGUUCUCUCUCUCUCUCUUUCUCUCUCUCUCUCUCUCUCUCUCUCUCUCUCUCUCUCUAUAUAUAUAUAUAUAUAUAUAUAUAUAUAUAUAUAUAUAUAUAUAAAUAAAUGGGUAGUACGCUACAUGCUUUAUUCAUUGGAAAAAUGAACUUGGCUAUAAGCGUGAGGCAACAAGGCCUCAAGGAACAAGAAAAAAAUAAAAAGAGAACGAGUGCAAAAGAUAAAAAGUAGAAAAAAAGAGCCUCUUAGCGGCCACAAAAGUCUACCCACUGUCACCAUUGGGUCAAAGCAAUGAUAUAUAAAAAUUAGGCUAAAUUACAAAAAAACCCUCAUAUCAAAAUUCGAUUUUUCACUUUCUAUUCCUGUCAUUUAAAAACCUACAUUUUGCCCCCUAAAAAUUGAAAAAUGUUCACAGGGGGGUACGGUGUUAAUAAUAUUGAUAAAAUGAUCAAAAUGCCCUCUCCCUCUUCCCCACCUCCCUCAACCCUCCUUUAUCUGUAGAAGGGUAUUUUCGGUAUAAAAAUAUAUAAUAAUGGAUAUAGACGGAACCCUAACGGAACACUGACGGCGGGGUCCAAAGUGAAUAUUUAUUAUUUUUUAGGUGGGCAAAGUGUAGGUUUUUAAAUGAUAGGGAGGGAAAGUGAAAAAUCGGAUUUUGAUAGGGAAGUUUUUUGUAAUUUAGGCUAAAAAUUAUGUUGUUUCUCUCCUACUAUAUUAUCCACGACCAUAGAUUGGUGACGUAAUACUCAAUCUCUUCGCUACGUACAAACUGGGACUUCUUCUCCACCAUUAUCGUCCAACAAAUUCUUACAUCAUCAUUAACCCUUGAUUCUUAUGCCCCCUCUAGUAGUUUCACUAAUAAAAAUCUGUUGUACACACAUUUCAUGAAUAGAUGGUCAACUUUCUCGCACUCAACAGCACAAAAGACACAACACUAAUUCCCCAACCAUCCUCUCUUAAUUAAGUUAUCCACCAUGGGUAUUCUUUUCUUAAAGGCUAUCUACAAAAAUCUUCACUUUCAGUGGUAUUCUUAGUCUUCAAAUCAUCAAAGACUGAUUGUCUCUAAAACCCUCAUCGCUAAGCAUCUUAUUUGUACAUUGAAUUCACCAGUGUCAACCUGCCCCCGCGAAAGAGUAAUUUUAUUUGCCAGCCAUCUAGUCGCCUUUCAACUUUGUUAGUAAUCUCCAUCCAAUCCUCUUUCCUUAAUGUCCUACUUGAUAGAGGCAGGACCAUGUACUUAGUUGGGAACCUUCCAACCUUGAAGGCAAAAAUGUCCACCGGCUGCCUUGCCUUAUUUUCUCUACUAUCCAUGUAGAAUAUUUUUUACUUCGCUUUGUUAAUCUUGGCCCAAGAAACCUACUCAAAGAUAGAAGGUUUUUCCUAUACUUCCUUUUAGCCUUACAGAAAAAUAUCAUAUAGUCUGUGUACUAUAUGAAUGUUACCACACUAUCUUCUAUAAGUCCAAUCGCCUUAAGUAGAUUGGAUCUAGCUGCUCUUUUUUAUUAUUAUUAUGGCUAAGCAUUUUGCCACCAACACGAAAAGGAAGGGAAAUAGUGGAUCUCUUUGUUGCUCCCCUCGUUUCGUUUUAAUCCAUCUCAUAGCCUCUCCAUCGACCAUGAUAGCUGCCUUAGUAUAUAUUAUAAAUAUACUACUCUAUCCCCCCGUAUCAUUUCUCACCAAGCCCGACCAAUCCAUGAUUUUGAAACAAAUUUCGGUUGAUUUUAUCAUAUGCCUUCUCAAAGUCUACUUUCACCACAAUCCCUUCAUCAUUUCUUUACAUCCCCACAUAACAAAUUCAGUUGUUGUAAUAAAGAGUAUGAUAAGAGCCUCCCAUUUAAAAAAGCCGAUUGGAAGGGUGACAUAAUUCCUUGCAUAACUUCCUCCAGUUUGUUGAUGAGGACCUUAAAUUUUUUUUAUAUCUUGUUAAGUAAACUAAUAGGCCUAAAGUCAUUUGCUUGCUUAACUCCUAUUUUAGGAAUAAGACAAAUAUAGGAGUAGUUAAUAGGUCUUGUGAAUAGUUUUCCCUCAUACAGCUCUUGAAAGAUGUUACAAGUACCAUCCCUAAGUCCUUUCAAUGCUAUUUGAUGAUGGCGGCCUCUCUUUCGUCUUCCUCUGCCUACUACAUUAAUUUGCCGAUCUUUUAGUAUUGUUAUCUUGUUGAAAAGCAAUCACACCUCGCAUCUCCUCGUCUCUUCCAUUUGGUUGCCUAUCUCCAACCUACUCAUGGUUCUAGUCACCCCCGUCACUAGGCUUGCCUGGUGGUGGUGACAGGGGAGCACUAUGGUUGCUAUCUUUCCCCCUUUUGUAGCUAUCUAGAUGAACCAGGACAUUAAUACACUCAUAUCUAAGAACAAUUAAUGGACAAGUUUUGAGGGAUGUCCCUGUGGUUAUUGACUACCAAAUAACAUCCAAAUGCCCUCAGAUCCAUCUUGGUUUUACUUGUUUCAUCUGCUCACAGGGACUUUUUGAUGCUGCUAAUGAGCGCCACCCACCUAGCCACCAUCGAGCAUUCAAAUGCUAAUGAGCGCCACCCCCCUAGCCACCAUCUACUCGCAGGGACAUUUUGCCUUAUUAGGAUUUCCCCAUACACCCAUGCCAGAAGAAGAAUUAUAAAGUUUUGUUGUAAUACCCUAAGUCUUUGUUUGGUUGGAGGUUAAGGGGUGGAAUAACCACUUAACCCUCAUACUAUCUCUAAACACCUUCAAAAAUGGGUAGGGUUAGCUAAUCCCAUCUCAAAUGGGCUAUUCCGGAUUAACUAACCCCACCUAACCUCACGAAAUCCGAACCAAACAUUAUUUUCUAUUCAUAAUAACCCACUAUCCUUCUUAUCCUACCUACUCUAACCAAACACUAUUUUUCACUAUCUUGGACUAACUCCAACCCCCAACCAAACACAAAAAUACUCUAACCCCAGCUUAACCCUGAACUUAACCCUAUCCCUGGAAUAACUAGUUUUUUCUUAACCCCGAACCAAACGGUAGCUAAGAGUUCUAGAUUGGAUAAGGAAAGGGGUUCUGAUUAAGAAUAUAAGAGGCCAUACAGCAUAUUAGGUUUAAGCAUUUUAGGCCAAUGGUUAUUGUUGCUAGUGAGUUGGCUUGUUACAUUUGGUAUCAGAGACAGUUCAUCGGUUGGAAGUGUAAGGUAGGCCUUACAUCGCCUGGUAAUCUUGCAUUAUAUCUGUGAUUAGGCUGAGAAAGACAUUAGGGCUUAAACAGGAAAAGUUUGUGACACUCAUCCAUAUCGAAUUGGAACAGAGCUGUGAUUAGAAAUGUAAGGCACCACGGAGUCAUGAACCAUAGUGCUAACAGUUGGGCUUAAGUAUUUUGGAUCUGUGGUUUGGGUCCAACGAGUUAUUAUUGUUAGUAAAUCAGAUUGGUAUACCCGCUCUCUAUGUUUUGCAACAAAAAAAAUCAGCCGAUAUCUGCUAAAAUGACUAGCCAGAACAUUGGCAAUCAUUUGUAGUAGAGAGUAACCUAGAUUUGUCGAUUGCACCAUAUCUGUUAACAUCGCAUUUUGCUGUAGUUCCCUCUGCUUAAUACUACUCUGUAUAGGGUACAUAUGCUCUUGCAGCUAGAAUGCGUCCUCAUACACAGUGCACCCAUGUACAUUUUGGAGUUUCUCUAUCGAAGUCUCUCCUUGCACUAUUAAGCCCUAUGCCCCAUCCUUAGGCACCGGAGACAUAGGAUGGGAUCCUUGCACAUAGCCGCUAAAUGGUCUCUCACCAAACAGUGGAAGCACCUCCCAAUGAGCGAUUGUUUUAUCUCACCCUUAUCCUAACUUGCUCAAGUUCCAUUGUAUGGAUUGGCAGGUGCUUUCAUUACCAGCCUGGAGUAAUUCAGGAUGACCUCUGAUAGGAUUGGAAUGAUCUAGGAGGACCUCUUUAUAGGACUAGAAUGAUCUAGGAGGACUUUUGCUCGAGUAAGGAGGAGUAAUGGUAGGCAUAAUAUUGAGGUGAUUCCCUCACAAACUGAUAGCUAGAAAAUCUAAUUGUGUUGUUCUUUAUUUCUUGUAAAGCAUUAUCACCCUUUUUCACCCCUUUUCUUUACAAUAAAUAGGGCGGUUCCCUGCUUCAGCUCAUUCAAAGGACUAGUACGUGCAAGUUGCUCUUCAUAUGCCACCUAACUUAUCCACCUAAGCCACUCAUUUGAUCGCCGACGACUUCAUUUUCUAGUCCUCUCGUUUUUUCUCCCCCUUUUCAAUUCUAUUGUGGUUUCCUGUGUCUUCUCCCUUACAACCAUGAUGUCCGACGACUCGUCCAAGAAACAUUUGUCUCUAAUAUUGUUUCUCUAGGUUGGGCUCAAGCUUUGAUGGUAUCUUCGGUCCAUCAGUACUGCUCCUCACCGGUGGCUCAUGGCUUCCCUUUCGACCUUGCAGCGCCACCCAGGGUCCUUCACUGCUUUUGCCUUCUCUUUCUCACCGCUGACUCGUAGCUUCCUUCUGACCAUGUAGCGUCACCAGGGUCCUUUGAUGCCUCUUCCUCCUCCUCCUCGCUGAUGGCUCAUGUUUGUGUAAGAUAACUCUAAAUUCGUAGGGGGGGAAAUAAAUUUUUUUUUAAAAUAGGGGGUGAAGUGAAAAAAUAAAAAUUUACAAGGAGGUUUUCUAUAUUUUAGCUAUCAUUAAUGUAUCGGUAGAUGACUUAUGCAUAGAAUCUACAAUACAUUAAAGAAAGAUGAGGAACGGUCGUUUGUGGUAUGCUCACAUGCAAAGGAGAAAUAGAUACACCUCUUUAGGAAAGGCAUGGCAAGUCAAGAAAAUAAUGUCGAAAAGAUCUGGAGAAAAGCUAGAAAAAAUUCAAAUAAAGGUGAAAAUAAAAGAUUUAGAGAUAGCCAAGACCGCAAGUAAGGAUUUGUAUCUAGAUUCUUUUCUUCAAGUAAUUCAUACAAUAAAAGCACAUCUUGGGCUGAAUUAUGGGUGAGCAGAGGCACUUAAAUACUUAUUCCAUUUUUCUCUUUUUAAAGAAUCCAUCCCUUAGGAUACUUGAUUUGGCGGGCCUCUAAUGGUAACUGCAAUUAUAGACAACAGACCAAGUCCAAACUAACACAAAUUAUCCAGGUUUAAGUCAAUGUUCGAGUAAAAAAAAAAUGAAAUAAAAAAAUAAUAAAAAAAAAAAGAAAAAAAAGAGGGAAAAAUGUAAAAUUUGAAAAAAUAUCCCACUUCAAAAAAAAAAGGAAGGAAAGAAAAAAAAAUUUCAUACCUUAAUCAAGGUACCAUUCCUUUUCAAAAAAAUUUGAAUAGUUUUAAAAAAGGCACUAUAGCCAUUAGAGCUUAAAUAAGGAGGCCCCUGAAAAAAAAACAAGGCGGGCGGGCAUCAAAAAAAAAGAGGGAACCAAGAAAGGCAAAAAAAAAAAGAAAGAAGAAAAAAAAAGGCUGCGAAGAAAAAAAAAGCCUUUACUACUCUCCUCCUCUCCUCCUCUCGUCUCUCAUUCUCUCCUCUUCUCGUCUCUUGUGAUAACGGGCACCAAAGGGGAGCCCUUAUUGGUCUUGCUGGCAGAGGGCGGUGCCAUGUGCACCCCUCCUCCAAUCCGACACAGACACGAAUGCGAAUCGGCGACGACUCGACACGGCACGAACAACCGACACUUUCGACAAGGCCGAAGCACAAUAAUUCACAUACAACAAGGAGAUACGCAUGCGUACCAUAGCGUAGGUGUGAUAUUUUGUUGUUUGAUAAGACCCGACCAUCCUUCUGUAUAGGUUUCGAACGCUGGCAAAUCUAAACAUCAAAUAUCAUGAGUUCCGCCAUGCGAUUAUUGUAAUCUCCAAGCCGGUGCCGCAUCUUCGGAUAGGCUCGACAGUCAAAAUAUAAUGAUCGACAACUGGAGGUUUUAAUUACAUAGCGUGCGGCAUCUUCAGUAUGGCUCUGACAUGGGUAUAUCAAAAAAAAUCGUAGGGCAUCUAGCCGAUAGGCUCAGACACGGCUCAAAAUAAUGUCGAACCGGAGUUUUAUACGUAAGCAUUGCGGCUCAUCUUCUGUGAUAGGCUCGAUAUGGGUAUAAAAAAUCGUGGCGCAUCUCAAGCGUUGGCUCGACAAGAUAAACUCCGCAAAACCGACAAAAAAAUAACAUGAAGAAUGAUGAUAAUAAUGGACGGGUUUUGAUUCGUCAUAAAUUUCGAGACGAGAUUUUGACCAAAUAAACAAAAUACAAAAAUAAUAAUAAACAACACAAAGAAAACAAAAAAGAGAACAAAAAAGAAAUAAAAAAAAGGAAGUACCCUCCCUCUCUCUUCUCUCUCGUUUACAUACACACAGAGAGACGAGAGAAUUGGUUUUCCCCUCUCUGUCUUUCUCUGCCGCAAAAAAAAAAAAAAAAAAAAAAAAAAAAAAAAAACGAAAAAAAAAGAAGAAGAAAGAAUAGAAAAAAAGGAAAGAAAGAGAACUGAAAAAAAAAGAAAAAAAAAGAAAGAGAGUUGGGUUGCAACUCUUUUCACUCCCUCUCUGUCAGUGAAAAAAAAAAAAAGAAAGAAGAACAAAAAAAGAGAAGAAAAUCAGAAAAGAAAAAAAAAUCAAAAAAGAAGAGAGGAGUUGACCUCCCUCUCCCUCUGACGAUCAAAAAAAAAAAAAGGAAAAAAAGGAAACGAAAAAAAAAAGAAAAAAAAAAUAUAGAAAAAAAAACAAAUUGAAAAAAAGAGAAGAGUUGGACUCUCUCUCUGACAGUCAACAAAAAAAAAAAAAAAAUUAUUAUUCCCUCACUCUUAGUAAAAAAAAAGAGAGCAAAAAAAAAAAGAAAAAAAAAGAAAAAAAAAAAGAAAGGAAUAAAGGAAUUAAAUCGGAGUUAUUUAAUUCAAUGGGUUAAUCCAUUACGGGCCCAAUUUCAUAAGCAAUCAAAAAUAAUACAGAGCCCAUAUGCAAAUUCGGAUUCAAGGUCCAAAGCAUGUGAAGCCCAAGACUAAUCUCAGUCUACAUACAAAUUCGGGUCCAAGGCCCAAAACAUGUGGAGCCCGAAAUCCAGCCCAUGUGCAGAUAUAAAUCAAUAAAAGUCCAGCCCAUAUACAGGUUCGGGCCCAGAACAUGUAAAGCCCGCAGCAUACUUCAACCUACAUAUAGAUUCGGGUCCAAGGCCCAAAAUAGGCAAAGUCUGAAAUCCAUUUCAGCCCACAUUCAGAUUUGAACCCAAAGCCAAUAAAAACAUAUGAAUAAAAACCCAAACCCACAAAGUCCACAAAUAAAAACCCAAAAAUCCAAAAUCCACAAAGUCCACAAAUAAAGAUCCAAAACCCAAAGUCCACAAAGUCCACGAAUAAAGAUCCAAAACCGAAAGUUCACAAAUAAAAAUCCAAAAUCCAAAGUCUACAAAUAAAACCCAACCAAAUUUAUCAAACCUAUGUCACCCAAAUACCUCCAAUCCAAACCAAAUUCAUGGGUUUCCCAAAUGGGCCCCUCAUUAUGAAUUAAUUCUAUAAAUUAGUUUUUUGGGCUUUCCAAAUGUAUUCCCUAUCACGAAUUAAUUCUAUAAAUUAGUUUCAUGGGUUCUCUUUGCCAUAAAUUAAUAUUAUGAACCAAUGGGCUCUCCAAAUGGCCCCUAUCAUGAAUUAAUUUCAUCAAAUAACUUGGUGGACUUUACAAAUGGUCCCUACCAUGAAUUAAUUUCAUCAAAUAACUUGGUGGACUUUACAAAUGGUCCAUACCAUGAAUUAAUUUCAUCAAAUAACUUGGUGGACUUUACAAAUGGGCUCCUAGCAUUAUUUAAUUUCAUGAAUCAGUUUCAUGAAUACCUCGAUUUCAAUCGACCGAAAAGUCGUUAAACUAAACCCAAAUUCAAACGACCGAAAUGUCGCUAAACUAAACCCAUAUUCAAACGACCGAAAAGUCGUUAAACUAAACCCAAACCUGAAUGACCGAAAAGUCGUUAAACUAAACCCAAAUUCUUUAAACUAUAAACCAAAUCCAUACACCAAGUUCAUGAACCAUAUCCAAGUUCAUGAACCAAAUCCAUACACCGAGCCCAUGAACUAUAUCCAAGUUCAUGAAUCAAAUCCAUACACCAAACCCAUGAACCAUAUCCAAGUUCAUAAACCAAAUCCAUACACCAAACCCAUGAUCCAUAUCCAAGUUCAUGAACCAAAUCCAUAUGCCAAAUCCAUGAACCAUAUCCAAGUUCAUGAACCAAAUCCAUACACCGAAUUCAUGAACCAUAUCCAAGUUCAUGAACCAAAUCCAUAUACCAAAUCCAUGAACCAUAUCCAAGUUCAUGAACCAAGUUCAUACACCAAAUUCAUGAACCAUAUCCAAAUUCAUGAACCAAAUCUCAUGAGCCAAUACUCAAAUCUCAUGAACCAAUACCCAAAUCUCAUCGUGAACCUUUUUUUACUCUGGCACAUAUACCUAGAGUAAAAAUUAAAUAUCGACUACCCCUAAUACAUAUACUUAGGGCUAAGUCAAUCACCUUAGCACAUAUAACUAAGGCAAAAUAUCUCCAAAUCAACAGAGUUCUAAGUUAUAUACUUAGAAUUCAGUCAAAUGAUAUUCUGACUCUAAUAUAUAUACUUAGAGUUCAUCCGACUAACCCUAACACAUAUACUUAUGGUCUAGUCAGCCUUUUGCUCUAGCAUAUAUACCUAGAAUGGAAGUCAAACCAUGCCUGACUAACCCUAACACAUAUGCUUAGGGUCUAGUCAGUCUUUUACUCUAGCACAUAUACCUAGAGUGGAAGUCAAACCGUGCUCGACUAGUCCUAACCCAUAUACUUAGGGUCUAGUUAGCCUUUUGCUCUAGCACAUUACUUAGAGUGAAAAUCCUUACACCGAAUUCGAGUUAAAUCAGUUAUACUUAGUGUUCAAAUCAUACCCUUAAAUACAUGAUCUUAGGCACUUAGUGACCUUCAUUCUAGCACAUAUAACUAGAGUGAAACGUCGUAAUCUUCGGUACAUAUACUCUCGGGGAAUUAGCCACUCUCACUUCGGGAUAAUUCGACCACCAAUACAUAGUGAUUGGAGGUGUGGUCACAUCCUCACCUUGGAACUAACCAAGGUGAUAUAAUCGGACUCUAAGACAGGAUACUUAGAGCCAAUUGACUCUCAAUAAUAGAGAUUUAAUAUCGACUAGUCUAAAAGAUACUUAGGAUCUAGUUCGGAGCCAUCAAUAAUAUUACUUGAGUCUGGUCUACUUCUCACUGGAACAUAUACCAAGGUUGGAGCAUAUCAGACUCUAAGGAAAUUAUACUUAGAGCCAAUUGAUCGAGUACAUAGAGUCUACAUAGUUGACUAGGUUUUCUAACACAUCUACUAUAGACCUCACACCCGAGUCAAUUUCAAAUCCGACUUUUUCUAAUACUAAUAUACUUAGGAUUCAAUUUAUGCUAACAGAUGGGGGUAUGCCCCUGCUUAGCCAUGUUUAACUUGGCAAUCAUAUCAAUUAAAUUUUAUUUGCUCUGUUUGUGUCUCUUUUAUUUAUCAGCAUUUUAUAUUUGUUCUCUAAUCUGAGGGUUCUCCUUAACACCGAAUAGUGUGGGUAAUAAAGCAGAUUCUUGAGCUGUUGUAUAGCAUGAACCUAUAAUCUGUAUUCAAGUUAAAAAUAAACAAUUUAUCUUACCAUGAAUUACACUCGUCUUAGUAGGUUACAACUACGGGCGGGGGAACCGGUUCGUUCGCGCUGGCUGGACAGUCAAACUCAUUGAUUAAUCAUCCAACCACCAUAUCAAACAUAACAGAGAACUAAACCACAUAUGAAUCCUUCUUAUACUGUCUCUUGUUACAUGAUCACAUUUAGUUGGCUCCAUAUAGGUUUUGGUACAGAUAAUUAAAUGUCAAUGCAAGCUCUUUUCAAAGUCCUGUGGCGCAACUAUAAAAUUUCAUAACUAAUUUCUAUCAAUUAAUUUGUUUUUUGUAGAGUAAAACAUUCAACACAUUUGUAUUAAUUUCUGAUACUAAUGAAAAUCUUGCCCUGUAAACUGAACUCUUUGUUCUUCUUUCAACAGUUCUGGCAAAGGGAGGCAGCAAGCUUGAGGCAGCAAUUACAAGACUUGCACAAGAGUAAUAGGUACCAUUUCUGUACCUUGUAUUCCUUAAAUACACGCUUUUGAUCCAAUUGAAUCAUAAUCAAAGUCAACUUUCAUAUAAAAAGGUGUCGCAAUCUGAAAAAUCUUAUAAUCUGGAGUUAAUUACAACCAUUUGAAAGGCAUAGAUGUCUAUCCAAUGUUCCCAACAGCUCUAAUAUUCAAAGGCUAUGCGAAAAAUGCCAUCACAUGUUUUGCGAUUCAAUUGCUUGGAACCAUAUAAUCCUUUCUUUGAGCCUCUAACGUAGUAGGGCAGGGGUACGUAGUUCUAUAAACCCGCCUCUACACAACUACCUCUACCAGCGCCUUUUCUUGUAGUGAAAUUCCUCUCCUAAAUCAGUUGCUGCUAAAUCUCAUCUAGUCAUACUAUUCAGGUGAAUUACUAUUGAUCUUUCCAUUCGCAUCUCUGCAUUAAAAUCGGCAACAAUAUCUCAAAUAGUGCACCAUGAUUUUAUCUGUUUUCAGGUUAUUUCCACCUUAGAGGAAGCUUCAUUUAUCAUCUUUUUGCUCCAAGCAUCAAAUCAUUUACCUAGUUCAUAUCUCUACUAUACUAAUUUAAUUAACAUGCUUUUCUCUGGCUGUCAAAAUUGGUAUUUUAUGUAGUUUUCAAUUUUAGUUGCAAUUCUGAACAAAAUCUAUGAUCUCGUUAAUUCGAUAUUACUUCUAAUUUUCAUUAUUGCAUAUUCUAUGCGAUUCUAUGAGUAUGCAGACAUAUAUACUUCCCUAUCUCGUUAUUGUUGGUUAGCUAGCAAUUUCCUCGCGCACUCAUGAACCAGCGAACCCGAAAUUUUUUCCCUGCUAAUGGAUACAACAUGACAACAGAAAUUUCUCUCCUAAUCAUGAGAGUUCUACCGACCGUCCCUAGAGUAAGCGGCAAAAGGCUUGGUGGUCGGUACCCGAGGUCCCAAGUUCGAAUCCUAGUUGAUUCACAUUUUCAGCUGGGUUUAUUUCUAAAUGAAAUAAACGAAACGGAUAGUGUGCUAUCUAUCUCUCAAAAAAAUCAUAAGAGUUCUCAUUCCAGACCUAUCUUCAUGUAUAUAUGGUGGCAUGUAAAAUUAAAAAUGAUCCAAAUUGAAAUUUGCUUUUUUAAAUUAAAUUCUUGGAUAUAAAUAAUUUAAAAUUUUAUAGAAUUUAUGUGUUCAUGAUCUUUCCCAUGAGAAAAGAUAACACGAUGAGCCAGGAAAUGGAAAGGAUUUUAUUCCCUUAGGUAAGCAAAAUAGACCCGCGCCACGGGGCUGGCUCAAAAUACUUGGAGGGGCUCCUGGUCACUGUCCCGUCGCAUUACCAUUCCUAAGUACAGUAGGCAAAUGGUUUCCUAGAUAUUGUAGAAAAAUGAUGUAAAAAUAUAUUACCAAACACAAAAAAAACACCAUAGUCCACAAAUAAAUGAGUCACUCUAUAUCCAAAAUAGUUUUUGGAAACAUUAACUUUUCAUUGCAGGCGACUGAUCGGAGAAGAGCUAUCUGACUUAAGUGUCAAAGAUCUUCAAGGUUUAGAGAAGCGAGUUGAAAUGAGUUUGUGCUCUAUCAGAAAGACGAAGGUUCUCAAAACAAUGGUCAUUCUAGUAUAAAUAUGUUUUAUUUUAUUUUUUCUAAUUCUUUUGCAUUCCUUCAUCCACAAAAUUCAUCCUUUUAUGGUUACUUUUAGGAGAAAAUUUUACGAGAUGAAAUCGCAGAGCUCAACCGAAAGGUUCGUCAACAAAUAAAUGUUCAUUCUAUCAUAUUUACGUGGAAUAUUAAUGCAUGCAAUGUAAUAUAUUCGCGGGCGUAACACAAUUUCAAUUUACAUUGCAGGGUUAUCUAGUACAUAAUGAGAACAUUGAACUCCACAAGAAGGCGAACCUCGUAUAUCAGGAAAAUAUUGAAUUAAACAACAAGGUAAUGGGGAAAUAAAAAAAAAAAAAACCCAAAUUUUCAAUGUAAUAGUUAAGUUUCCAUACCUAAGCAGAGAAGUUUAUUAAUUAGCAGGUUCAGGAGGCAAGCGGAUCAAGUGGUGGAACCACCAAAGCUUCGAUUAUUCCGUUUGUUUUUACUGUAGCAGAAGAUGAAGAAGAACUCGUUCAUCUUCAGUUAUGCCAUCCCCAACAGCAAGGAGAUAGGACAUAAUCAAGAACUCUACGGCUGGAGCGAUUUCCUAAUAGUUUGAAAAAGGUCUUCUCUAUCACAGUUAUUUCACAUAAGAUUUGCGACAUCCAGUAAUAAGCUUCCACAUUAAUACCUCAUCCAGUAAUAAGCUUCCACAUUAAUACCUCUUAUUAGAUUUUUUUUUUUUUUUUUUUAUCAUCCUACAUGGCAUAAUAAGAUUGGUUUGAGGUAUAUUAUAUGUGUUGCAAGUGUCUUAUAUUAAAGAUCUUUUUCCUAACUUGUCCCACAUUUCAAUUUCAUUUUUAUGGUUUCAAUCAUAAGAAAUUGCAUUGCAAUCGUGUAUGUAUGUACUAUCUAAAAAUGGUGCCAUGUAAGCAACUUCAUUAUAAGUUGUGCUUAUUGAAAAUAGAUUUUUUUUUUUUUUUGAGAGAGAGAGGUAGCACUCUACCCGCUUCGUUUAUUUCAUUUAGAAAUAAACUUAGCUGGAUAUGUGAAGCAAUUAGGAUUCGAAUUAACUUGAGACCUCGGGUACCAAACACCUAGCCCUUUGCCGCUUGCUCUAGGGACGGUCGGUAAAAAAAUAGGUGUGAACCUUCGGAGACUGAAUUGAUAGAAUCGAACUUUUGAAUAUAAAAAUGGAAAUAGGAGUCAAAGUAUGGGAACUAAUUAGGGGUCGUUUGGAUUGUUGAACCGAUGAUUUGAUUGUAAAUAAAGUUUAUGGAGAAAAAAUUAACAGUUUUACUAUCCAUUAUGAAGGUACCAAAAAAAUGCGGUAGAUAUUCAUGCGCUUAAAUUCUUAAAAUAAAUACCUUCUGAAAUGAUUCCAAGUCAUCUUUUUGUGAAAAAAAACGAAAUUCUAGCCAUAGACUAGGACAAUGAAUCUCCUCGGCAUUACGCUAAUUUAUGGCGAGUCCAUCAUCAUUUUUUAUUUUUAUUAAACUUGAUUAUUCAAUGGAACUACAAUUAUGUGAAUCCAAAACCCCAUAAAUUAAAAUGGUUCAGUUCAAGCUCUAACUGAAAUACGUAUCAAGCUUCAGCUUAACUACUAUAUAUCUGGACGUCACGAAUAUGAAUACAGAACACGAGACACGACACGAUUUGGACAUAGUGACUCGGCAACUUUUAAAAAAUUAGGACAUGAACACGACAUGGAUAAUGCUAAUAAUAUAACAGACACGAAUACAGAACAUGAGACAACACGAUUCGAACAUGGCGACUCGACAACUUUUAAAAAACUAGGACACGAACACGAUAUGGAUACAUGAACACGACAUGUAUACUAUAUAUAUCUAGACGUCACGGAUACGAAUACAAAACACGAGACACGAUACAAUUCGGACAUAGCGACUUGGCAACUUUUCAAAAAUUAGGACACGAGCACGAUUUGGAUACUGCUAAUAAUAUAAUAAUAUAUUUUUAUUAUAUAUAAAAUAUUAGUUUUGUUAAAAUAUUUUUAUAUUUUCAUACGAAUAAAAGUAAUUAAUAAAAUUUUCAUUGAUAAUUUAUAUAUUUUAAGUAAAAAAAUUCUCAACUAUGUAUAAUUUAUUUAUUUUGUCAAAAAAAAACUUAUAUGUAUUCAUCAAAAAACCAAAAAUAUAUCUCAUCUAACUUCAUAUAUGCAUAACCGACCGUCCCUAGCGCAAGUGGCAAAAAGGCUUAGUAGUUGGUACCCGAGACCUAAAUUUGAAUCCUAGUUGAUUUACAUUUCCAGCCAAGUUUAUUUCUAAAUGAAAUAAACGAAGCGGGUAGCAUGCUACCUAUCUCUAAAAAAAAAAAACUUCAUAUAUGCAUAAAAAAAUAAAAAUAGAAAUAUUUUUUUAAUGGGAUGCGUUAUGAACCUAUUUCUAACGCGUGUUCAUGACGUGUCUCAGUGUCUGUGUCGAACAUGUUAGGAUUUGGUUAGAUUUGUAGAUUAAUUCUAGUUGGAUAAGAAUUAAUAUUUAAAUCUGUUGGAGAUAAAUUAAUAUUUAAAUAUUAAUUAGAGUAUGAUAAAUAUUUAAAUCUAUUAGAGAUAAAUGAUAUAUAGAUUUAAAUAUUUAUUGGAGUAGGAAUCCUAAUUAGACUAGGAUUCGCGUACGUUUUACAGGAUGCAUUGUAAAAGCACCCUUUGCGAUGCUUUUGGAGUAGAGAGUAUGGCCAAGUUGAGAUUCUUGAGGAGGGUACGAUGAGGUGUCUUGAAGCCAUUAGUGGACCCUACCAAAUAGAAACUUCGUCAUGAGUUGCAUGCACCUAGUGCACAAGUGCAUGUGAGAGAGAAAAAGGAGAGUUUGUCUUCUUUGUGGGUUUAUAGAAGACAAGAAAAGGGUAAGAGAGAUUCAAAAAGAGGGCUCGGGUUGUAACUACUCUAUGCAGAAAAGGAGUCAGGUGUAAUCUUCUCUUAUUUAAUGAAUCUUAUUUUACCCGCAAAUUUUCUAUUUUGGUUUUUCUCUCUUUUGUGAUCGUAUCAGCUUUUAAUUUGCUGAGAAAACGGGUUUAUGGUAAAAUCCAAUUCGACGCUUCCGUUGCGGAAUCCCAACAAUCGGUACCGGAUCCACAACAGUCGGUAUCGGAGUGGGUUGCGAAUUCUCAAAAUCCGAUAUCGAGGCGAGUACCGGAUUCCCAACAGAACACGCACGUCACUACAACAAAAACGGUCUAUAGCGACACUUUUAAAUGUAGAUACAUGUCAAAAAAGUACCGCUAGCUAAAAUUACCGACACUUUUAAAAAGUAUUGCUAUAUGUGGGGUUGCUAGGUAUAUAGUGACAGUUAAAGAGUGUCGCUAUAACCUAAAAAAGUGCUGUUAAUUUACCAACACUUAUUUAAGCAUUUAGCAACCGCCGAAACUCUAUCUCGUUCGCUGCGGUGGCGGAGGAGGACGACAGGAAAAGCUCUUCGUCUAGAAUUUCAGUGGAUUGAGUGAAGAGAGAAGAAAAGAUGGUAAUUGAUUUUUCUUUUUUUUUUUCUUUUCUGUUUGUAAUCGGGCCAAAUGGACUGGGUGUGGUGGGUUGAGUAGAGUAAUCUUUUAUUUUUGAUUGGAUUGAGCUUUAUAUUUAGGCAUUAGUAAAUAUUUUUUUAAGUUUUAACAUAAAUGGAACACUUACUCAAAAGUGUCCCAAACAUGUGUCCCUAUAACCUAAUUCUGUUGUAGUGUGUCCGGCAUGGACAUGCACGAAUUAUAGAAAUGUCCAUUAUACACAGUUGCAUAUUUAACCACUAGUUUAAUUAAUUUUUCUUACCUUCAGUAUUGCUGCAGACAUCAAUUGCAACUAAACAAAAAGGAUUUGUCACGAGAAGUGCUUUUGCAUCACCUCAAAUGCUGAGACAUUUAGGGUAUGUUUGUUUGGAUGAAAGUGGGGUGGAAGUGAAGAGAAUGAAAGUCGUUUUCACCGUAAACGAUAACUUUCGGCCCAAAAUUCUUAAACCCGGUUAUUAUUACUAGUUCAUAUCUGAUGUGGGAUUAUUGGGGUGUGACAGACUCCUCCCGUUAAGGCCCUGACGUCCUCGUCAGUCACGUCAGUCCAGUCACACACACAGCCGAAGAUCACCAGGCGAUGUGAGACUCGUCUCACUAGCCUUGUCAUCCAGACCUUGGCAUAGCCGGUUAUCUUAUCAUAAAGACUCCGGCAUAGCCUAUCACCUUGUCUUUCAGACCCUGGCUCAACCAAGACUCGCCACACAUUUCCAGCUGGUGAUUGGCUCUGAUACCAAAUGUAACGACUCAGCCCACUAGUAACAAUAGCUCGUUGGGCCCAACCACCGGGCCAAAAUGAUUAAGCACAGUUAUUAUUACUAGUAUUUAAGUCUCUUAUAUACCCAAUCAUAUCCCCAUUCAUAUCCGAUGUGGAAUUAUUAGGGUGUGACAGUUAUGAUCGAAACUCGAGUUAACCUAAAACGGCGUAAUUGACUUCGGCCCAUCGUGAGUUGAAAUCAAUUACGAUGAAGAGAUAUGAAGAAAAAAUAAUAAAAUAAUAUAUUAGAAAAAGAUAGUUAUAUUUAAUUAAAUAUAUUUAAUUAUGAUACUAAUUACUCUUUUAUUCAGUUGACAUAUUUAAAAUAUGAUAAAAAUUGAUUAGUUAAAUUUUAAUAUGUUCUUUAUUUAAUUUGUAUAAUUAAAAUAUGAUAAAAAUUAAUUAAUUAAUUAAUAAUCUUUUUUAACUUUAUAAUUUUAUUGUCGUAUUACUAUAAUUUAUGUAUAAAAAAUAAUAUAAUUAUUUUAAAUUAAAUUUUUGUCACGCCCCGGAUGUCUCGUUCCCCGGGCACGUCGACAAAUCCGCCGUAUACAAAAAAAAUUUUCCUGUAUACGAAGCGACAGCUGUACCUGUAAGUCAAACACUACUACGAACAGUAGUAGAGAGCUGCUAGAGAAAACAGAAGUUAAACAAACUGAGUUUCAUAUACAUAGUCCAAAUCCAAAAUACAGAGUUACUCGCACUGGCGAGUUAAGUCUACUAUGUACAUAAACUCGAAACAAAACAUCUACCUGCAGUACGGGUGCCUCUAGCUCUGCUCGUCGGGUAGGGCUGUAACUCGCAACGCCCUUGCCUCGAUCCUGAUCCGCGGAAGACGCAGCAGCCGAAACCUGUGGCUCUGCAAAACAAGAGUAACAACUGGGCGUGAGAACUACUACAAAACAAGUAGUCCUCAGUGGGUACCGCCCAAAACAACAUCGGUCACCCACUAAGUCUACAGAAGGGAGCAAGGAUAGUAGGAAAAGCAGGAAGUACACUCUACCGCUAUCAAUCACUACACUAUCAUGCUCUACGCUAACCAACUGUAGCAAAUGUCAAAUGACCCAAUUCAAUUCGGGACUGUAAGCAUACCUGUCCCCCGGACUAUGGAAUACACCGUCCCUGCCCCGGUUGCGACCUCAUCAGGCUCUAUCACACCUAACUGCAGUCCGUGAGGAGACAAGUCCAACUGGCAUGAGCGAUCACAACAGUACGAAAAGCACAAACCUGACUCCGGCAGGUGGCACUCGGGCGCUAAACCAACCGAGUAUUGACGCGUAUCUCUGUCGAGCUCAAACAGGCUCUGAAAGCAAGUCAAGAAAUCGACUCUAGCUGUGUCUAACAACCCAACAAAUAACGUGCCUCGCACAAUCAGACGCCAAAAGGCGAUCGGGUCCACCGUCAACCUCAACGGCACCCUACAGCUCGGAACACGUCGCCUGAACGAACCCUUGUAAAAUCCCCUCGCGAACCAAACAGUGAGAUAUAUUCUAAACUACCUGGAGUACCUCGUUCUCGAAAUUACUGGCGACAGUAACAAUUGUAAUAACUGGGCUCCUAGAGCUAAAUCAGGCCAGUUUAAGAUAUGACGAUCCCAAUCGUGUUUCCUAAGUCAAAUCCAGCUCUCAAAUGUACAUUUAAGACUUACUAUCAAUGCUUCUCAAUACUGAUUAAUCCAGGAUAGCACAUGAAUAUCAAAGCUACAACUGAUUACCGAAACUAAAAUCAUUACUAAUGUCGACAAUUUACGGUACAUAGGAAUAAACCGCAUAUAAACCCACCUCGUAUCGCUAACCACGCAGGGAGUGAGUCACCAAAAAAAUUCUUCCAAAUCCAACUGGGAAAAAUCAUAGGGUGUCCAGCUCGAAGUUCGAAUCGCUCCUGCACACAAUGGCUGCAACAGAAGAACUCCAACUUCAAAUUCUGCUUCUGAAACACAGCAGCCAGAGGAGAACUAAUUCAACCCAGCUACACCUGUCACCAAAUCGAAAAUAGGCUUCGUGGAUUCCGUCUUCGAAGUCCUGAAACAAAUCGAACAAUACGAACCGAGAUCACGACCACGUCGAAAUCGACCGCUGCCUAACCGAGUAUAGCCGAAACGCCAAACGGUUCGACGCUGAAAAUCUGCAGGGACACACCUAGCUCGAAUUUGAAGAAGCUUGUGAAAUAAUAAGCAAUUUGACGGCACACCCACCACGACAGCGACGGCUACGUACUGUGCCGACUCUCGAGGACGCGCGAUAACACACCCACUCGCCCGGCACUCCGUGCGAUUACGGCGGAACAAACCGUAGCUCGAAACUGCUCCACAGCGCGACGUCGACGUGCGAAUCCACUUCGCGCUACCUCUACGCUGCUCCUCCGCUUCAGCUCUUCCACUCCACACAAAAGAGAAAGAAAAAUAUAUUAGAGAGUGUAGGCUGUUCCCUCAAUAUUGAGAUGCAUAACCAUGCAUGGGCACGUGCAUCCCACAUGUCCAUCUACUACUACAUAUAUAUUAUAUAUAUAUAUAUAUAUAGAUAUAUAUAUAUAUAUAUAUAUAUAUAUAUAUUAUGUAUAUAUAUAUAUAUAUAUAUAUGUAUGUAUAGACAUGGGCAUGUGGCAUCCAUAUAUAUAUAUAAAGGAUACUACAAUUUUAAUUAUAUAAAAAGAUAAUUAUAUUAUUUUUAUUUAUUAAAUUAUUUACUAUUUAUACAUAAAUUAUAGUUUUAUAUCAUGCACUUUCUAUCUAACAAAUAGCAGAAUUAAUGAAACUUCACUUUCAUAACUACAAAACAAACAGCGAGGAAGAAGUAGUUUUCACCGAACUCCACUUCAACCCAAAGUCUAGUUUCGGUGAAACAAACAUGCCCUUACUGCUUCUUACUGGUUGAGACAUGUUGUAUGAGCCAGGGUGUUUGGAAGCAUGAUUUGCUCUGAUACCAAUUAAUGAAAGUGUGAUUUAUUUUGAUACCAAUUGUUAGAAGUGUGAUUUUCUGAUAUCAAUUGUUGAAACUGGUAUUUGUGCUGAUAUGGAUUAUAUGAUUCAGAAUCUGAAAUUCUAAAAUAAAAUAAUAUGGAAAAGAGACAUUAGGAAAAGAAGAUAACUAAACUAAUAUUUUAUUAAUAAAAAGUAAUUAAUUAUAUCAUGGGCAACACCCAUACAGCCAUGUCUAUUAUAAUUUAUUCAUCUAAUUAACCAAUGUCUAACUAUUUAUAGCUGUUAAGUCAUAAAAUAUGAUUAAUCUAACUUUUACUUUGGAUAACUACAAAUCCAAAUUAUAAUCAAAUAAAAGACUUAAACUUAUCUCUAAUUACAUUUUAAUUAAGUUUGGAGCAUUAUUCUAACAAAAAUAUUUAUUGUUUUCAAUGGAACGUCUAUCCAUCGACAUAAAUCCGUAUGAACCAACUGUAGAGUCUUUGCGGCUCUGACGAAUUUUUCUUCGGGAAACGGAUUUCUAUGUUGCUUUCCGAAAAUGCAACCUUCACAAAUUUGGUUUGAAUAAUUUAUAUAGGGUAACCCUUUCACCAUAUUUUUGCUAGUCAAUUUUGACCAAACCGUAAAUGCCAUGAACCAAGAUUCAUCAUACACAAUUGUAUUGAAACAAGAUAAAGUAUCAUUAUCAAUUCUCAUAGGAAACAUGCAAUUUCUAGUCAUUGACACUCUAACAAUUAAUCUAUUAUCUUUAUCCUUCCAUUCGCAAAUUUUCGUUUCAGUAUGCACAAUAUGACCCUUUGCUUAAAAUUAGCCAAUACUUAAUAGAUUACAUUCUAAUCCAAGCACAUAAUAAACAUCAGCUAUUAUAAUAUGAUCACCAUUAUAUGCUCGAAUUAAAAUGUCAUCUUUUCCUUGAACAACAAUUUUUCUUUCAUCUCCCGAUUUUGCUAUUGUAUUUACUUUAUCAUCUAAAUUUAUAAAUAUAUCCCUUUUACCACACAUAUGGUUGCUACAACCUGAAUCUAAAUAAGAAAUAUUAUUUUUUGAUGUUUCAACAAUAUUGCAAAUGAGAAGCACAGGUGCAUUAUUUUUAGCCUUAAAUUUGAAAUUUUAUUCUUAUUUUCAACAAAAUUUGUAUUAAUAUUAUUCUGCUCAUCCGCUUGUUUUCUUCUACAUUCAGAUUGAUAGUGCCCAUAUUUAUUACAAUAAUAAUAUUGAAUUCGAGAUUUGUCAUAUCUUUGCUGAUUGUGGUAAUUAUCUCUCCCUUUUGUUCUUCUAUUUGAAUUUGAACCAUUUGUAUCACCAACUGCUGUUUCAUUUUGACCUCGGCCUCUGCAGCGGCCUUGCCUGUGUUCGCCACCACGGCCGCAUCCUCUGCCGCCUCUAUUUUCUCCCUGAGUUCUAUCGCUGAUUGUCAGUUGGGUUUUGAGAGCUUGUUCAACUGUGCACUACGCUCUCAGUUUCAUACAAUGUGCGUAUAUUUGGAAUGAUCCUAACAAAUCUUCUACUGUUAUGUUGUUUAUGUCUUUGGCCGCCUCAAUCGAAGAAACGGUGUGAUCAUAUUUGCUAGUUACUGAUUUCAUAAUUUUUUCAACAAUUAAUUUGUCGGGCUAGUCUUCUCUAUUCAUUUGUAUUUGAUUUGAUAUGGAUACUACCCAACUAAAAUAAUCAUCGAUUGAUUCAUAUUCGUUCAUCUGUAAAGAUUCAAAUUCACCUUUAAAAGUAUGGAUUCGUACAUUUUUUACUUUAUCUGCUCCUUGGUAACUACUCUCAAGUAUGUCCCAGGUCUCUUUCGUUGCGUUGGCAUUCGAUAAUCUCUCAAAAACAACUCAUCCACCGCCUAAUAUAGAAAGAAUAAUGCCUUUCUAUCUUUCUUUCGGCAAUCUUUGAGCGCUUCCUUCUUUGCAGCAGCGAGCGUUUCGAACUCACUGUCGAUGACAUGUUUGAAGUCAUCCUUCACAAUGUCCCAUAACUCCUGCGAUGAGAAUAAGUAUUGUAUCUGAAUACUCCAGUAAUCAAAAUUCUUUCCUGUAAACUUCAAAAGCUGUGGUUGAAUCAUCCCGUAUAGGGCCAUGAUCAAUUAUGUAUGUCGAUGUCGAUGGAGAGCGCAAUGCCGGCACGUUCCACGUCCUCGAUCAUGAAGCCGACGAUCUGUUAUUCAUUGUAAGGCUUCUUCAACCUGGCUCUGAUACCGCUUGUAGGAUGAAGAGAAGUAUUGCAGCGAAUUAAACUAAAAACUUUAUUAAAUAUUUUUGGACUAAAUUUCGAUGGUGGAUUAUUUUUCACACAUUUACAGUGAUCUAUAUAUAGACAUAAAUCAAAAUCCUAAUGGCAAUAAUUGAACAAGAUUUAAACUUAUCUUUUAUGUCUAACCAAUAAAAUAUUAAGAGAUAAGCCUGACAGAAAUAAAUCUAAACUUAUCAAAACUAUUAGGUUACUUAUCAACACAAGGCAUGAUAUAUAAUAUAAUAAGAAUAAUUCAGUUGUCUAGUGUGAUAAUGUCUCAAAUAUUAUGUCAUAUAUUUCAUAGCGGAGUAAAAAAAAUAUAUGUGAUGUAUGUAUGUAUAAGAGUACUGCUACUUAUUGAAUGACUAGCAUAUUUGUAUUCUAAAGAGCAUGUGCAUGCAGUACUUGGACAAUACUAUGAAUUAAAUUAGGAAGAAAGAAGGUGUAUAGAUUGUCUUGAAAUAUACUACAUAUGUAUUAGCUGCUAUUUACACAGUUUCUACAAAAGGUGAUGGACGUAGGCAUGCACAUGCACUACAACAAAAUUACCUUUUCGCGGCAAUUAUUUUAUAAAUUAGCGGCGAUUAUAAUCGCCGCUUCUCUCUUUAUCGGCAAUUAUAAUAAUUGCCAUUAUAAAAGGGGUCGCUAAGUCUUAGCGGCAAUUAUGUUGGCGGAAAAUAAUUGCCCGGCAAUUAUAAAGGCCAUUAAAAACAAAAUAUCUGCCUAUAAAAUAUUUAACAAUAAUCAUAAAUGCCAACAAAGAUAACAUAAAUUGCCACUAAACAUAAAAGGCAUUAAAUCAUCAUUAAAAAUCAUAUAUUUAAUUAAUCACUACAAAAGUUUCAAAAAAUAAUACAUAUACAAUAAAAACUAAGAACCCGACAUUCAAGAAAAAUCAAAUAAUCUGAAUAUAGAAGCCUAUUACAUCUCAAAAGUAUUAUGAGUACAAAUAAAUGUCAAAAUCAAUUUUUAUUACAAAACAAAUGUCAAUCAAAUAUUAUAUAGCUAAAAAAAAUUCGAACUACAAGAAGAUUAAGCUGCAAUUAAAAGCUUUUAUAGGCAGAAGGUAAGUUCUAUGCACUCCAAUAGAGAAGUUCAAACUACACAUCAAGAAAACUCAUCCUUAAAGUGCGAUCCAUUGGCUUAAGAAGAAUAAUCUGCAAAAAAAAUAUAUAAACAUAAAUGGUCAACAAAUUAUUAACAAAUAUGCUAAGAAAAUAUAUUUAGAAUUUAUAAGAUAUUAUAGAUUGCCAUGUCACUAGAUUGAGGUGUACCAAAAAAAAAACUAGAGCAUCCUGCAUUUUGUGCAAUUUUGUCGUAAUGAGUACUUGAAUGAUCAAGAACCUAUUUUACAACCAUAUAAGAAACACAUUUUACAACAAUAUCUUUUAUACUUAGACAAAAUAAACAAUAGACAAAUAGAGAAAAAGUAUUUUAAAAAUCAUAAAAAAGAAGUAAUUUUCUCAAACAAAUAGAUAAAAAAGAAUAUGAUAUAUAGAUAAAUUUGAAUGUGCUAAUGAAUACUCUCACCGUCUCGUGGGAUGUAGAAGCAGAUGAUAGUACCUCUUCAGGAAACCUUCUAUUAAUGAUUGACCUCAUCAGUGCAAUUUCAGAAUCUAGUCUAGCUUGAUUUUCUGUCAUAACCUUCAUCUCAUUCUCAUGAUACCGUUCCAUCAUUUUUAUUUUUUUUCCCAAUUGUUUCACUCUCUCACAAUCUCUAGAAGCUAUUUAAUUUGAAGUGCUUGGAGCCCACAAACUAGUAGGAGUCGGACCAAGUCCAAGCCCACGCACUUGACCAUGUCUCUCCAACCCUAUUACUUGAGAGAAUAUAUCACCUUCCCAAGCAACACGUUUGUUGUCAUACUCUAUAGAAUUUGAUAGCUUUUUCAUUUUUUGCUUCAUAGAGUUCUAAACAUAAAAUAAAGUAGCAUUAAUUAAACAUAAAAUAGUAGGUGAUAUUAAAAAUAACUAUGACAAGAAUACAUUCAAUUAACCAAACAAAAUACAUAUAAAUACAACUAUGACGAGAAUGCAUGCAACCAACCAACCAAAAUACGUAUAACUAUAACAAUGACAAGAAUACAUGCAACCAACCAACCAAAAUACAAGUAGCAUUACUAAUAUAAGCAACAUAGCACAUUGACAGUGAAAGUGCAUUGAUAUUGGAAAUCAUCCAUAGGAAAAGAAGAGGAUUAAUUUGGGGGAAGCACAAGCACUUGCAACUAGCCAAACAAAAUACAUGCUAAAAAUAAAUGUAGUAACAGUCUCAAUCAUCAUUCUAUGAAGAAAUUGAUAAGUUUUUUACUUGGCACUAGCGCAUAUAUCUGUUAUAUAUCCAGAUGAAUCAGGAAGAAACUAACAACACUAUGAUAGAAAGUAUUUCAUAAUAGACCAAAACCAUCAAAAACAUGUAAAGCUUACAAUAUUCUGAAUUGAUUCUUCAUCAAUUGGCCUUCUAUCCUUGCGUGGCUUAUGAGUUUCUAUAAAUAUAUGAGCCUGUGAUGGUUCAACUCCAUCUUUAGCCUAACAAACUUACUAAUUUAGUACAACAUGAUUAUAUAUAGUCACAAAACAAACUUAUAGUUGACAUUCUCGUUUACCAAAGUUAAGUUCAUGAAAUACCUUUUCGGCCAUCAAGCAUGCAAAACUCUUGGAUCCUGCAAUGUGAGGCAUCUUUUGCUUUGAACGAUUUUCUCUAUUUUUCUUACUAUGCUUCUAAUAUUAUAUGAAAAUGUUAUGAGAUAACAAUCUUAUUCUAAAUGAACAAUUACACACUUAGAUCUGAUUCUAAUAGCCAUAAUUUUUUUCAUACCUUUACUUUAUCCGAGUUCCAAAAAGAGACGAGAGAAGUCUAUUGAUCUCUUGGUACUCGUUCGGGUUUAUGCUCCAAUACACCAUCAAUAUUUUUAUAUUUGAAAUAGUAUUCUCCCUUUAGUUCACAUUUAUAGUCCUUCCAUUUCUUCCCUAAUGAUCUUAGGACCCAUUUUUCACCACGUGGAGGGAUUAAAAACUUUGACUGCAACAAAAAGAACACAAAUAUUACUUAGUAACUUUGCAUCAAAUGUACAUGGCUUUAAUUUUACAAUCUUUUUACCUCUACCAACUUGAAUAGUCUUUUGUUCUCCUUUCUUGGAAAGGCACGCCAAUCUUGGAUGUGAAGGGGUGUUAAAUUGGCAUUUCCUGCCAUAAUCCCCAAAAAGCUAGCAAGUACACGCCCUUCUUUUCCAAUAGGUUGCCAUCUAUUAUUGAAAUUUACUAUAAUCCACUCAUCUUUGGGAAGAUUCCAAAUUUCAGUUAACAAAGUAGGUCCUCCAGCCCUCUUUUCUUCUAAAACAGUUAAUACACAAAACUAUAGAGACAUUAGAAUAAAAUGUAGCUAAUUGAUAUAAGUAUAUCACUUAUGAAAAACUAAAUUUACCUGCUUGUUCAGCUUCAUUUUGUAACUCUCAAUUAUAUCUAUUGAAGAAUGCCCCAAUUGAUUCUCAUUAGAUUGUGAGUGACUAUUUAAACUUAGUUGCACAUGAUGAGUAGUUUGAGAACUUAUCUCCGAGUGCAAUUGAUUAUAAUUUUGAUGCCGAAUUGUGAUCUUAUGAAGUUCUUUCAAUCUGGCCAUAGAAACCUGCAAAAGGUAUAUAUUAAAAGCUGAUUUAUAAGAAACAUAAACUUUCUCGUGUAUAUACAAAAAAAAAAAUGUACUAAUAAAAGGAAAUCUCACUGCAACAAAGAGAGGAUCUGAUAGGCUAUGUUAACUAGCGCGCAUAGUUGAUUGCCCAAACUGCUAGAAUUGGACAAUCAAGUCACCUAAUACCGCUCAACUGAUCAAUUGAUUGAUGACCUAAACAAAACAAAACAAACCAAAACAAAACAAAAAAAACAAGUGGAGCUUUUUGAGUUUCAACAGAAUCAGUUUAAUUAACUCAAACAGCUACCCACUUGACUAGCAAGAGUUGAAAAUAACUUAUUCCAAAUAGUAGAAAACUAACCAACAAGAAUCAAACUGAGAGAAAAAAAAGAGAAAGAAUUAAUGUACAUUUGCUAGGUUCCAACUAGAUGAUUGUAUCACAAGAGGCUCACAAUCAAAAUGCUAUGACAAGAGCAUUAUGUCCAUGUUGGCAUGUCAUGGAAAAUACUGAUUAACUGUUUAUACACAAUAACCUCACGUACACCACUUAAGAACAUACCAACUUAGUUUCGAACAAUAUUAACUAUGCGAAUCUUGUAAUUAAUAUAGAUGUACGAGAGGUUUCAACCGUUGCAGGUUCUGUAGAGGAUAGAUAUAUGCAGAACUAAUGAAAAUCUACUAACAUGAUAUCAAAGUCCUUAAAUCAUGGUGAUCAAAUUUAUCCAAACAAACAUCUCCAAACAUACAUCCAAACAUAUCUAUUGAGAAAAUACACUAAUUAGAUAAAAAAAAAUUAAUUAAAUUGGAGGGGAAGAGGGAAAAUGAGGGAUGCAUAUUAAUUAAAUUGGAAGGGAAGAGGGGAAAUGGGGGAUGCAUACUUGAUGCGGCGGAUCCCCUCGAAAAAUUGGAGAACGUAGGCGUUGUCGUCAGCAGUGAAGUGGACGACGCCGGCGAUGUGGUGGUGCUCGACAUGGCCGAGGCGAUGUUGCACUAGUGCACGCGUGGUCAAACAUUUCCAAAGAGAACUCAUUAUGACAUCAUAUUUUCGUAAAUUUAAAGGAAUAUAUAUAUAUAUAUAUAUAUAUAUAUAUAUAUAUAUAUAUAUAAGUCGCGGCUACUAUGCUCAUCGUAGCACGGAGCGCUCCGUGCUACCAAGUGUUUCGAUGAUGAGCUUCCAAUCGACGAUCGCUCCGUUAGACUUGAUCUACACUAUUGAAAGUAUUUGGAAACUAAAUUUCAAAUUUUUUCGACAUCAAUUGACUAGUGAUCAAAAGAUCCUCAAAAUUGACAAUUUUAAUGGCCAUGUGGUGUGUUGUGAGUUUAACAGGUGUAAAACAAUCCAAAUGCGAUGAAAAUUUUAUAGAAAAUUCUUUCACUAUUUAGGGCAUGUUUGUUUCGAGGAAUGGAGUGGAAGUGAGACGGGGAAAGUGAUUUUCGGUGAAAACUAACCACUUCCGCUGUUUGUUCACCGUAAUUUUUAUUACGCCCGAAAGUUCAGUUCACCCAAAUAAGGAACUUGACUCGCCCUCCAUGGGCGAAGUCAAUUUCGGGGAAGUGAAAAAAAGCAAGAAUGGAUUAAUGUGUUAGGGUACUCUUCAUUUCAUCCAAUAUAUUCAAUUGUGAAAAUAAUUAAAUUUUUUAUUUGAUUGUAUGUCUAAAAUAUGAUCAAAUUUGAUUAGGUAUAGCUUAAUAUAUUUUUGUUUAAUUUGUAUAUUUAGAAAAUGAUGAAAAAUAAAUUUGUUAAAUGUUAAUAAUUUUUAACUUAGAAUUUUAUUUGUUGCAUUAUUAUAAUUUAUAUGCAAACAAAUAAUAUAAUUUUUAAAAUUUAUUUAUAAUAUAAAUAUAUAUAAUUAUAUACAUAUAAAAUUAUAUAAUUUUUAUUUAUAAUAAUUAUAUUAUUCACUAUAAGUUAUAAAAUAGACAAUAAUAUCACUUUGAGGUAAGUAUACCGGGGUGGAGAGCUACACUUUUUACGUCAAUCUAACUUCCUACCAAACAAACAACAGAACUGCCAGAACUGCACUUGCCACAGUUUAAAAACAAACAGCAUAAGUGAACUAUUUCACCCACAACUCACUUCAACCCAAAGUCCACUCCACCCCAAGUCUAUUUAGUUAACAAACAUGCCUUAGAGUAAGAUCAGUAUAUCUGAUCUUUGAAUUUAAAUCUUUAUCAUCAUUUUCAUGAGAUUUUAUUUUCAGCCGUUCAACUUUUAGACUUUGUUUGAUAGGCAAAUGAUAUGAACAAUUAUAAUUAGUUUGUAAUACUUUCAAUAGUAUAGAUCAAGGUCUAACGAGCCGAUCGUCGAUUUGGAGCCGGCAUCAUUGAAAACUUGGUAGCACGGAGCGCUCCGUGCUACAUAGUAUAGUAGCCAGUCUAUAUAAUAUAUAGAGCUAGGCGCGAAUACUAUUGAUAGCAAAAGAUCCUUUUUGCUAUCAAGUUUUUAACCCUUGAUGAAAAUUGUAGGGUUAGGAUGAUAUUAUCCUUCUUAAGUUAAGUGGUCCCCUAGAUGAGUGGUCCCACUCGGAUUAUAAUAGUUAAUCCAAUGGUUAAAAAUAAUGAAAAAAUUAAUCCAAAGGCCUAAAAACUUGAAUAGCAAAAAGGCUUUUACCUAUUAAUAGUAUCUAGCCAACUCUCUCUCUCUCUCUGUCUCUCUCUCUUCUAUAUAUAUAUAUAUAUAUUAUAUAUAUAGCUAGGCUGUAUACUAUCGUAGUACGGAAGCCUUCGUGCUACCAAUUUUUCAAUGAUGCGGCUUCCAAAUCGACGAUGCGCUCCAUUAGCCUUAAAUCUACACUAUUAAAAGUAUUUGAAAACUAAAUUCAUAAUUUUCGGCAUCAUUUACCUAUCAACGAGUAGUCCUAAAAAUGAACGUGAAAAUAAAAAUCUCAUAAAAAAUGAUGAUUAAAAAUUUGAAUAUUAAGAUCAGAGAUACUGAUCUUAACUAUACAAAGUAAAAAAAAUUUCUAUAAAAAUUUCAUCAUAUUUUUAAAUUGUUUUAUACUGUUAAAUUCACAAAGCAACCAAUCUAAUAUUAAAAUUGUCAAUUUUGAGACCUUUUGAUCACCGUAUCAUCUCUCUCUCUCUCUCUCUCUCCCUCUCUCUCUCUCUAUAUAUAAUAUAUAAUUAUAUAUAUAUAUAUAUAUAAAGGUGAGUUGGAAUCGCUUUUAAGAAAUAUUAGCCUUUGUUUUUUACUUCUAGAUUUUGGAUCAACUCCUUUACCCAACAUUCGCUUGGAUAAUACUGGUUCCCAACCAUCACUAACUCUAGAAAAAGUAUUACCAUUAUUUUUGUCUAGCUAAAUUUAUUUUUAAAUGAAAUAAACGAAGCGGGUAGCGUGCUACCUAUCUCAAAAAAAAAAAAAAAAAAAAAAAAAAAAAAAAAAAAAAAAAAAAAAACUCUUAUAAGUCGCGGCUACUAUGCUAUCGUAGCACGGAGCGCUCCGUGCUACCAAGUUGUUUCGAUGAUGCAGCUUCCAAUCGAACGAUCGGACUCCGUUAGACUUGAUCUACACUAUUGAAAGUAUUUGGAAACUAAAUUCAAAUUUUUUCGACAUCAUUGACUAGUGAUCAAAGAUCCUCAAAAUUGACAAUUUUAAUGGCCAUGUGGUGUGUUGUGAGUUUAACAGGUGUAAACAAUCCAAAUGCGAUGAAAAUUUAUAGAAAAUUCUUUUCACUAUUUAGGGCAUGUUUGUUUCGACGAAUGGAGUGGAAGUGAACGGGAAAGUGAUUUUCGGUGAAAAUAACCAUUCCGCUGUUUGUUCACCGUAAUUUUAUUACCGCCCGAAAGUUCAGUUCACCCAAAAUAAGGAACUUGACUCGCCCUCCAUGGGCGAAGUCAUUUCGGGGAAGUGAAAAAAAGCAAGAAUGGAUUAAUGUGUAGGGUACCUCUUCAUUUCAUCCAAAUAUAUUCAUUGUGAAAUAAUUAAAUUUUUUAUUUGAUUGUAUGUCUAAAAUAUGAUCAAAUUUGAUUAGGUCAUGCUUAAUAUAUUUUUGUUUAAUUUGGUAUAUUUAAAAAUGAUGAAAAAUAAAUUUUGUUAAAUGUUAAAAUUUUUAACUUUAGAAUUUUAUUUGUUGCAUUAUUAUAAUUUAUAUGCAAACAAAUAAAUAAUUUUUAAAAUUUAUUUAUAAUAUAAUAUAUAUACAUAUAUAAUAUAAAUUAUAUUAAUUUUUAUUUAUUAAUAAUUAUAUAUUCACUAUAAGUUAUAAAAUAGACAAUAAUAUCACUUUGAGGUAAGUAUCCGGGGUGGGAGAGCUACACUUUUUACGUCAUCUACUUCCUACCAAACAAACAACAGAACUGCCAGAACUGCACUUGCCACAGUUUAAAAACAAACAGCAUAAGUGAACUAUUUCACCCACAACUCACUUCAACCAAAGUCCACUUCCACCCCAAGUCUAUUUACGUUAACAAACAUGCCUUAGAGUAAGAUCAGUAUAUCUGAUCUUGAAUUUAAAUCUUUAUCAUCAUUUUCAUGAGAUUUUUAUUUUCAGCCGUUCAACUUUUAGACUCUUGUUUGAUAGGCAAAUGAUAUCGAACAAUUAUAAUUAGUUUGUAAAUACUUUCAAUAGUAUAGAUCAAGUCUAACGAGCCGAUCGUCGAUUUGGAGCCGGCAAUCAUUGAAACACUUGGUAGCACGGAGCGCUCCGUGCUACAUAGUAUAGUAGCCAGUUCUAUAUAUAUAUAUAGAGCUAGGCCGAAUACUAUUGAUAGCAAAAGUCCUUUUUGCUAUCAAGUUUUUAACCCCUUGAUGAAAAUUGUAGGGUUAGGAUGAUAUUAGUCGCUUCUUAAGUUAAGUGGUCCCCUAGAUGAGUGGUCCCACUCGGAUUAUAAUAGUUAAUCCAAUGUUAAAAAUAAUGAAAAAAUUAUCCAAAGGCUAAAAACUUGAAUAGCAAAAAAGCUUUUACUAUUAAUAGUAUCUAGCCCAACUCUCUCUCUCUCUCUGUCUCUCUCUCUUCUAUAUAUAUAUAAUAUAUAUUAUAUAUAAGCUAGGCUGUAUACUAUCGUAGUACGGAAGCCUUCGUGCUACCAAUUAUUUCAAUGAUGCGGCUUCCAAAUCGACGAUGGCUCCAUUAGCCUAAUCUACACUAUUAAAAGUAUUUGAAAACUAAAUUAUAAUUUUCGGCAUCAUUUACCUAUCAAACGAGUAGUCUAAAAAUGAACGUGAAAAUAAAAAUCUCAUAAAAAAUGAUGAUUAAAAAUUUGAAUUUAAGAUCAGAGAUACUGAUCUUAACUAUACAACAGUAAAAAAAAUUUUCUAUAAAAAUUUCAUCAUAUUUUUAAAUUGUUUUAUACUGUUAAAUUGCACAAAGCAACCAAUCUAAUAUUAAAAUUGUCAAUUUUGAGACCUUUUGAUCACCGUAUCAUCUCUCUCUCUCUCUCUCCUCUCCCUCUCUCUCUCUCUAUAUAUAAUAUAUAAUAUAUAUAAUAUAUAUAUAUAUAUAAGGUGAGUUGGAAUCGCUUUUAGAAAUAUUAGCCUUUGUUUUUUACUUCUAGUUGUUUGGAUCAACUCCUUUACCAACAUUACCUUGGAUUAAUACUGGUUCCCCAACCAUCACUAACUCUAGAAAAAGUAUUACCAUUAUUUUUUCUAGCUAAAUUUAUUUUUAAAUGAAAUAACGAAGCGGGUAGCGUGCUACCUAUCUCAAAAAAAAAAAAAAAAAAAAAAAAAAAAAAAAAAAAAAAAAAAAAAAACUCUAGAAAAAGUAUUAUCAUUACAACUCUAUAAUUUUUUAUCCAAGGGUUACAAAUCUAAAAGUAAAAAAUUCCAAAUAUUUCUAAAAAUAUUCUGUCUCAAUUCUAUAUAUACAUAAUAAUAAUAUAGUAGCCAAACUUUACAAAUAAAUAAAUAUAUGUAAUCUUUUAUAUAGACUCAUAAUAAUAAUCAUUUAUGAGAUUACUAUGUAAAUCAAAUGCAGAAAUUAUGCAAAUUUCAGUAACUUUGUUACUACAAAUAAAAUUCUUUUUAGUUUUUUGAUGCUUAGGAAUUUUAAGUAGGGCGAAUUCAAGCACUCCAUAAAGUACAUAUAACUUGUUUGGUAAUGCUUAAAGAUAAAGAAAUUACUAGUGUCCCAUGAGUUUACAUGAGACUCCUCUCUGAUUGCUUAUUCUCCUGCCAACCAACCCAGAAAAGGAUGUCCAUGUGAACCUUAAUAAAAGCAAUGAGAAAUGAUGCCACCACACCCCUACUCUAUACUCUAUUCACAUGUGGCCCCACCUAAAAGGACAGGCCAAAAAAGCCAACAAGUCCAAUCCUGAGAGGAAUAAACAGCUACAUAAAUUAAGUCACAGUACUGCCCUAAUUACCCACUAAUCAUCAUUAUCAUUACAUAAAUAAUUUGGAUUCUGUGAACUAAACAAUGUGAUAAAAUCUUCAACAAACAUUUUGUAUUAUGUACUCAAUACCAUAUUCAAAAGAACAUCAUACAACAAGCACUUUUCCCUCUCUAUGAAGGAAGGAAACACAAACAAAGAAGAAAAAAAUAAAAGAACUAAAGAAGCUCCACUCAGCCCUACUUUCCCUUUUUAAACUGCUGUAUAUACCUGGCUCUAGAGCUGGCACAAGAAUAUGUGACUUUGUCCAGCUUUAUGAGCCCUGAAUGAUGAUGAUUUCUACCACACUCACAUCAUGAAUGGAUGACCCAGAACCCUUCUUAGGUUCAUCCAUCCUGCAACCAUUGAAAAGUAAUGGAAACCCAUGAAAGAAGAAAAAAAUGGAAAAAAAAAAAAGAAGAGAAAAGAACAAAGCCCACAAAACCUAGGGCAUUUUGGAAGCAGACCCCUUCCAUGGUCUGCUUCCACUCGACAUAUGAUAUGACCAACCAACAAAGAUGAGACUCGAGAGCACCAGGGGCUCCUUCCCUCCUGGCAAAUUUAAAACUCCUCCAAAUUACAAAACAUAAUCAGCCAAUAUAUCGAUUCACACCCUCUUCGAUGUGGACCCGUGUUUGAUCAAAACCUUCGGAUCGUUCGCAACGGCUCCAAACCACCAAUGGACUCCAUAUCAACCAAGCUUUAUCUGCCAACAACAGACAAAACUUACUCAGAAAAUUACUGAUAAAAGUUUACGAAGCUACUACUGCAAAUUAUCCAUGUACUAGGGUUGAAAAUUUUGUUGUUCCUCAGUAAUUAGAAGUAUCCAUCAAUAAGAGCUACUAUGGAAUCUAACAAGUUAAGAAGAUUUUGUUUCUCCUGUACAUAUAUGGACAAAAAUAUGAAAAAUAUAAAUUCGUAAAAGGGUAAAAGUCGGGGUGCAAACUACCUUCCAUCUGCGCACACUAGGGUUAUAGCAAAGAAAGAGUUCAAUCCCUGUCAUUCCUCCCCCUAAGUUCAACACUUCGGAGUUCGCGAAGAUGAUGCAGAAUCUCUUUAAGAAGAUCCAUGCCUUUGUCUCCUUUCUUCAACGACUUGAUACAAUGCUUGAGAAACUCUCUAUCUGCCUCGAGUGCUUGUAGUCUCUCAUACACAUCAUCAACCUCUUCGCCGAAUACAAGCCUCUCUUGCUCUUUUGCACUAUUGGAAGCAAGUUUCGGUGAAUUACCAGCUUCUUGUGCCUCCUCUUUUAUCGACGCUAAUGCAACCUCAUUUUCCAUGCUAACAGCAUCAAAAAGAGGCAAAAGCCUCUUUCCAGCAGCAUUCAUAUUCCUUCCCUCAGAGUGCAGAUGCUUCCCGCUGUUACCAAGACUAUCGGAAUAUCCAUUUAAGCUACCAUGUAAAACAUCAGAUAGGGACUUGUAAUCCUCAUCAUUCGACUCAUGGUGGUUUACCUCACAAGAUUCACCAUCUUCCAAUUCGAAGAGCCUGUCCUCCAAAACCCUAAGUCUUUCCAGUAUAGAGAGCUUUUCUUCAUCGAAAUCAGCUACGGAUGCCUUGCGUUUGAUCAGAAGCUUCGCACUCUCAAUCUCUCUCGGCGAACUUAGCACAGCAUCAGUAGGAGUAUUCUGGUUCUUUUCAUUAACACUAUAUGACGACUCGUUUCUUUCGAAGUAAUCGAAGGAGAAAUCAUCACUCUCUUCACCACUUGAGGAAGGUGAAGAAGCUCCGUUAGUCCCAUUUGCCUUAUGUCUGGCCAAUUUCUUUUUUUCCUUAGCCUCAUAAUGAAGAACCCUCUGCCUAUAAACUUCGAGCUCCCUCUCUAACCCUUGCUUCUCUUUAUCUCUCUUCGUCAACAACUCAUUAAGAACGUGCAAGGCUUCUUGAUCAUACUCAGAUUGCUCAUCCAUCAUCCUCUGAUAGUGCGACGCCUCCAUCUGCAUUGCCGCCUUCUCCUCUUGGAGCCGAGUUAUCAUCGCCAUGGUUUGGUUGGCAGCCACGGCUGCAGCACUCCUCUCCUCCUCGAGUUCCGCGUAUAAUACACCCAGAGCCUUUCGUUCGGCUUUAAGAGCAGAUUUAAGGGAAUCGAUAGUCAGUGGCUCAGUGCCCUCGAUGUCACUGGCAACACUUCCAUCUAAAGACUCAGCCCCUGAUUCUUUUCGCUCGAAGAGAAACCUACUGUGUAAACCAGGAAUGCUUUCAUUAUAAGUGGAUGACUCCGGUGUUCUCUCCUCUUCGAUGUCAUGAAGUUCAGGAGACGGAAGAUCCAACUUGGGCAAUACCAGUUCAGAUUCAAUUGCUGCUAUUUCAAAUCAAAGAACGUAAUUUAGAACCCUAUCUAACCCUAAGGCCUUCUUUGGACGUUGGAAUGUAUUAUCCAAGGAUAACUUAUUCGAAAGGAUUUCGAUUUUCACUCCUUAAAAGGCCUUGGUAUCCAUAAUUUGAUAAGACAACAUAUUUCACCUACAAGGUGAUUUAUCUUAUCUGAAAAAAUGACUUCAAGACUGAAUAUAAUAUCUAAAUCUUGACAUUUGAUCACACUUUUCAUCUACCAAAUGUACAAGUUUUUUAAGUAAAUUAAGGAGAGACACCAAACAAGAUAUUCAUGCAUCCAACCAGGGCCUAAAAGUUUAGUAGCACUCUAAACAUUUUACUAUUCCAAUACAGAGGUAAAAAAAAAAAAAAAAAAAAAAAAAAAAAAAAAAAAAAAAAAGUGCAGAAUUUAGGUGNCAACAACUUAAAUUUCUUCUUCUCUAACUACUCGGUGUUAUAUAACAACUUAAAUUUCUCCUUCGUAACUGUCGGCUUGUUCUCUAACAGCUCGGUGUUUUAUCACGACUUAAUUUUCUUCUUCUUAGUCGUUGACUUCUUCUCUAACGGCUCGGCCUUCCAUUAACAGUAAGUAUAACAUAAGAUUACGAAUAAUUCGAAUCGACACAUCAUAAAGUUUAUUAGGAAAACUAAGUAAUUCAUGUCGAAAACUUCUUCUACGGUUUCACCUACUAUAUCUACAAUUAACGCUUUAUAGCUAACCAUCACUCUAUACGCUGCUCCUUUUCCAACUCGUCCAACUCAAAGUCCUUGGUUAGAGAGGUCGUAAGCCACACCUUCUAGCUAGUUAUCUUCGGUCAUUACUUUGUAGACUAUAAUAUUGUGGCUCAUCAAUCUCUUCUUCUUUAAAUUCAACAACAUAUUGUGGCUCAUCAAUCUCUUCUUCAGCUGCCGAUACUUCUUUAAAUUCAACACUGUUUAGUGGCUCGACAAUCUCUUGUUCGGCUGUUGAUGAUUCCACUUCAAGGUCAACACCAUCAUGUAGCUCAAGCUCAACAAUCUCUUCUUCAGCUGUCGAUGCUUCCACUUUCAGUUCAACACAAUCAUGUGGCUCGACAAUCUCUUCAUCAUCUUCUAAUGCUUCCACCUUAAACUCGACACUAUCCUCAACACUCAUCAGCUCAUGUGGCUCGACAAUCUCUUCUUCAGCUGUCGAUGAUUCCACUUUAAGUUCAACACGAUCAUGUGGCUCGAGAAUAUCUUCUUCAGCUGCUAAUGCUUCCACCUUAAACUCGACACUAUCCUCAACGCUUAUCGGUGCCAACAGUGGCAUAACAGAUCCGCGAUCGGCCGAGAAUGGCACAAUAGUCUCCCCAAAGGAAGGAACCAAAGUACUCUCUUCAAAACCGUCAGCUCUCUCCACAGAAGAGUCCAGCACCAUCUUCUCCUCAAGAACUACUCCAAUAUCGAGCGCCAGCGCAUCAUGCUCUUCUCGGUCGCGAUCCAUAUCUCUAUCUUCUCCGCCGCUGAUUUUAAAGACGGCGGGUUUUUCCAUCACAGUCAUUUCGUCGAUCACCUCUAGUGCAACCAAACGGUCCGCAUCGGUCGCAUUUUCCUCGCACCGAAUCGUCGCCGUCAUUGCUUUCGCCGAAUCGUCGGCUAAAGGGGACGGGGAUGAUUCAUCGGAGAAUUCGAAAACAAGAAAAUUUUGGGCGUCGGGUUCGGGUUCAUCUUCGACAGAAAAGCGGGCGUUUGUAGAGGAAUUUUCGCGAUCGAGAGCAGAGUUGUCGACUGGGGGGGAGUCCAAAGGGAGGGGGGAGGGCUUGGAGAGGAGGUAGGGCGGGGAGUAGAAGCCGCUCUCGAGCGGGACGCCGCAGCAGGAGCAGCGCAGGUCGGGCUCGCCGGCCUCGCUGCGGCGCAUCCAGGAGAGGCGGUCGGCGGCGGCGCAGCAGUCCUCGCACAUGUCGGCGGCGUCGGCGAGGCGGCGGUGGUGGGCGCAGAAGCCGAGGCGGGAGAGCUCGGCGGCGUGGCCGUCGCAGAUGGCGGCGCGAAAGGAGGAGGAGGAAGAGGAGGAGGAGGAGGAGGAGGAGGAGAAGAGGCGGUCGACGCGGGAGCAGAAGACGCAGGUGGGGGGGAGGCCGAAGAAGUCGGCGAAUCUGGCGAUGAGGUAGGCGAAGAAUCCGUUGAGCAGAAGGAGCGCGAUCAGCACCCACUCCAGGAAGGUGUACACGAGGAUGACUGCCAUCCGGUUGGUGUGCCGGUGCAGGAUCGUCGCGAAUUUGUUGGCAGCCAUCAUCGACGACGAUCUCUUGCUUCUUGAAUUUACACUAUUUACAGGGGCAGAGAUGGGGGAUUUGGGGGGAGCGGAGGAAAAGGGAAAGUCAGGGAGAGGAGAAUGGGGAGAGACGAUCCAUUCUGGCUUGCCCUUUGGGACAGGGAGGAAGAAAGAGACUCUGGAAGGUGCACCCCCACCACCAACAAGGACCAGGUUUAGGUAGGAGCGGAAGUAAAGUUGUUAUUUUAAAAAUAAAUAAAAGAAAAAUAAAAAAAAACAAGGAAAAUGAAAGCCCUCAAUUGUAAUGUGUUAAAAUUUAGGGACCGUUUGAAUUUGAAUCAAAACAUUUGUAAUAUGUUAAAAAUAUUACAUAUUUUAUAGUUGGGAAAACUUCAAAUACCCCUCUUAUGAUUUCAUUUUAUUUUAAUUUAGUACCCUGUGAUUUAAAGUGUAUCAAGUUAGUAUCAUGUGGUUUCGCACUUUCUCACUUUAGUAUCCUGUAGCUUAAAGUGUAUCAAGUUACUAUCCUGAGGUUUCGCACUUUCUCACUUUAAUACCAUAUGGUUUAAUAUUUCAUUAAGAGAAAAAUAAAACCAUAAGGUAUUAACUUAAUACAAAAAUAAACCACAGGUACUAACUUGAUACAAAAAUAAAACCACAGAGUCCUAACUUGAUACACUUUAAGCCACAGGGUACAAAAGUGAGAAAGUGCGAAACCAUAGGGUACUAACUUGAUACACUUUAAAAUACAUGAUACUAAAAUAAAAAAAUAUGAAACCACAAUAGGGGUUUUUGAAGUUUUUCCUAUUUUAUAUUAUGAAUCUCAAAUUUAUUACUAAAUUAUAAAGUCAUUUAAGUUUUGAGACUGUUUAGAACUAGUAUAUUUUUAUUAAUGAACUGCUAAUUAUUUUUAUCAAACUUAAAAAUGAGAUUGUCUCCUAACCCAUAAUAAUGUAGUAUUUCUACCAUUCAUAAAUUUAUAAUGGUUUUACUAUUUUUCUAACACUUUUUGUAACAAUUUAAUUUAAAUUAAAUAAUAAUAAAUUUAUUUUUUUAAUAACAAAUAAAAUACUAUCAGAAUAUUACAACCGUAAGCCAAAUGGACCAUUAUCUUCAUGAUUUAUUAGCUUACAGUACAUUUCGAACCAAAAAAAGAAAAACAUGCUUGUAAAGUUUUGUUACAUUGCAAGCAAUUAAUUCAUCAUCCUCUUAUGCAUUAUUCAUAGAAAAAUUUUAUUUAAAAAAUAAGAAUAAUAAUGCUAACUGUGGUUUCUACAUGUUACAUUAGUAAACGUCACAGUGAUCUCUCUUGAUAUAGUAUACCUUUUUUUUUUUUAAGAUUUCGGCUAAACAUUUCAUUAAAUGAGAAAUCCUAACUACUAUUUCAUUUUUGCCUCUCUAAGUUGUUAUUUAUCUUCCUAAUUAAAUAACAUAAAAUGUUCAUCAGAUUAAAUCUUGAUCAAGAAAACUCAGGAUUUUAAAUUCUUUCUGAUGAAUCUUGGGGGCCAAGUUGAAAUUAGAUUGUUAUUUGCAGGUAAAUGUCUAAAUUUUAGGAAUAAUCUCAUAUAUAUUCUUACAACAUUUUAAAAUUACAAAUUUACCCCUCUAAAGUUUUAAUUAUUAAAUAUAUUCCUCUUAAGCUUCAAAAUAUGCAAAUAUAUUUCUACAUUUUAUUUUAUUAUCAUUAGUUGGCGAUUGAAUUUAAAAAUAAAUAAAUAACUAUAAUUUAAAAAUAUUUAUCCAAGGUUAAAAUGAUUAUUUCGUAGAAAAAAGUCAAAUUUAACAUGUCUAAUAACAGAGUAGAAUAUAUUUAAAAUUAUGAUACUUUUGAUGAAUAUAUAUAACAUUUGAUAACUAAUUUUGUGAAAAUAAAUAUGCAGUUUUAUUUCGUCGUAGGGAUACGUACGUACGUAAUUAAUCCUACUCAGACACAACCAUAAGUCGAUGCAACCUGGCCUUCGCUAUAGUGUAGAAUGUUGAACCUAGCUAUUUCAACCAACAACGACCACAUCUCGACAAAUCUUGGGCUUAGAAUCUUGGUCUUAGGUGCUAGAUGGUCUAUCGAAGGUUAGCGACGGUCUAGGCAUCGUGGACAAUGACAUGAGACACGAAACAUAACACAACUCAAAUACUGUGAUUCGACAGCUUUCAAAAAAUUAGAAUACGAACACGACAUGAAUGCCGCUAAUAAAAUAUAAUAUUAUUAAUAUAAUAAUAUAUUUUCAUUAUAUAUAAAAUAUUAAUUUUGUUAAAAUAUUGUUAUAUAAUUAGUAAAAUUUUAAUUAAUAGUUCAUAUAUAUUAAAACAAAAAAUUUUCUACUAUACAUAACUUAUUUAUAUUGUCAAAACAAAUUAUAGACAUUCAUUAAAAACUAAAAUAUUUAUCAUCUUAUAUUAUAUAUGCAUAAAAAAAGUAAAAUAAAAAUAUGCAUAUAUUUUUUUUAGUUGUAUGCGCUAUGAAUCGGCAUUGAAUGUGCGUUCAAGAAGUGUCCACAUCGGAUAUGUGUCUGACACAAAUGCGGACGUGUCCGACACUUACAUGCAAGACUUAUAAAAGUGUUCGUGAUACAUAGGCGACGGUCGACUUGAAGCAACAACCCUAGAAACAUAGACUGCAGGAUGACCAGUUUACCAAGAAUUAAUCAACUGUAGAUGGAGCGGCGGUCAACCGGAUGACUUAUGCGGUCGACCAAAAGGCAACAGUAAGUAAGAUUUUUCUUCCCUUGGAAGUUACAGUGAGUAGUUAGUUGGGUUCUUUUGGGUGUUUUCCUCAUAGAUACUGUCUAUAUAUAUUGAUCGACAUGUCCCUGUCCCUUCCUUCCCCUAUGGCGAGGACCCUACCAUCGCAAGUGACUAGGAAUUACGCCACUAAAUUUAAUAUGUUAAAUUCUUGUACGUACGUUAACCUUGAAACAACCUCCUAUUGGCAUGUUGUAAUGCACCAUAUAUACUAUUUCUAGUAUAUCUGUUGUAUGUUGUUUCCUUGCUAAUUCAUUAAUUAAUUGACCGGUAGACUACAUAUAUAUAGAUGCAUGAGUAUGAUUUAUAGAACCAUGACCCGAUUCUAUAUAUGACUAUAUAUAUAUAGAUGUUCGUAUGCUUAAUUAUAAUUGAUUGUGACCUGAACAGCUGAAAUAUAUUGGGAAUCAUGAUUAGUUGACACUUCUCCAUCAUAAAUUGUUGCAAAUUAAUUAAAGACAUUCUUUGCCUUUCGUAUAAUUCUCAAUUUAAAAUUUGGAUUUGGUAUAUCCGUUCUUGAUUAUAUUCAUCGAAAUUCUCUUGACCCUCUAACGACUAGCAUAGCUCCAUUGUCUUGUACCUUACUCACUGGGUAUACGUGCAUGAGUAUGAUUAUAAGUAUGGAUUUGUGUGUUGCAGUAGCGAGAUAGUACGUACUAGUGCCGCCCUUGGGGUUGAACACAUACUGUGUUUGUGGUUCGACACAGAAAGCGAGAUUAAUCCUAAUCCAAUUAGAUAACAUAAUAUCCGUCGGAUCGAAUCCGCUUAUGGGCGUACCCGAUUCGAUUUAACCGAAUGCCAACAUCUCCCACUCGCACAUGACGGGAUCGAUGCCAUCGUAACCACUUCCUCAACAUCACACCACUAUUAAUUCUAUUCAUACAGAAAAAUGAAUAGUGCGACCGCCGAGUCAACCUGCAUUGCGGGAGCUCUAUACUAGAAACCGCAUCCGGCCAGCAUAGAGACAUCAACCCUCAAAAAAAGAAAAAAAUAUUAGACUCGUGAUGCCCUAGACCAUUGAAUUACAUCAGGUUCAGCAUCUCUAAUCCCUCAAAGAGCCAUGCUAACCUCAAUUGCGCACAUUAUGACACUAUACUCAUGAUUGUUUCACUAUAUUGAAGCGACACAAUCUGUCGACAAUGAGUCAAAGUAUCUGAAUGUAAUUCAACUAGUCUUCCUUGAACCCUCAUGCCACUAAGUUGAGAACUGAUUGCUUUCACAGCAAUACCCCGUAAAGUCGCAUUACUCAUAGCCGUAGGAAACAUGCCAAAGUAGCAACAUCAAUUCUUUCACUUAAUGACAUAGUCAAAAGUCACUAAGGGCAUCUAACAUAUAUAGGACAUCGUCUCAAAAAUAAUGUCCGUAAGAACUCACACAAUGAGGAAGUAGGGAUCCAUUCACUCAUUAUCUCUAUUUAGUCGCCCAGCACAUGUAGUAUGAAAUACAUGCUAUGACAGAGAAUCCCAAUAAGCGUAUGUCUUUCUCAAUGUCAUACAGAUCUUAGCUCAGUCACUCCCGAAGUGUCUAGCCUGAGUUCUCCAUUUGCUCACUAUCUCAAGCGUCAAACGGUGAUCUCACAUCCGGCUCUUAAUAUACAGGCCAUACGAAUCGUGGGUCGACUAUUCGUAUGCGGUCUCAUUAAUGACCUCAUCUUGAUUAUAAACCAUUCUAAUCGUGUGCACGUAUAUAAAGGAUAUAACAACAACUUGCUUAAACUAUAUACAGCGUCCGUCUAACCGGGAGAGUGUGCUCGUUAGUAAGAAAAGCCGCGACAUCUCUCACUCGCUUUUAACUCCAUAAUUACCUUUGGCGGACCCAACCGNAUCUUUGCCAAAAUAAUAAUUUGUAAUUAAAUAACCAAGAAAUUACAAAAAAAUAAUUGACUGUUUACAUAAUCAAAUCCUACGGAGUCCAAGAGCUUUAACAUGAGCCAAAAAAAAUUCUCUAACAACAGGCUUAGUUAGAGAAUCUACAACCACGCGACUCGUAGAUAUGUGUUCCAGGAUUAUUUUCUUCUGCGCCACUGCCUUCGAGUGGUCCAAUCCCAGAUUGGACUGAAAAUGGCUAACCAACCCCACAGCUUAGCAUACAUCAGGCCGAGUACACAUCAUAGCAUACAUUAGGCUCCCGACCGUAUUAGCAUAUGGAAUCCGAUUCAUCUUAUCUUUCUCUUCAGAAGUUUUAGGGCACUAUAUAAGGUUCAGACUCUCUCCUUUAGCAAUAGGAAUGUCAUUAACAUAUAAGGAAAGGAUUAGAAAAAAUCCUUUGGACCGUUUAACAUACACACAGUGAUCUUCUUCAAUCAUCGUAAACCCAUCUUCAGUGAUGGCUCGAUGAAAUCGAAUAUACCACUGUCUGGAGAACUGCUUCAAUCCAUAAAUGAAUCGCCGGAGCUUACAAACUUUAUGCUCCUCACCCUUUACAAAGAAGCCAGCAGGCUAAUCCAUAUAGAUCUCCUCAUCCAGUUCUCCAUUGAGAAAUGCAGUUUUAACGUCCAUUUGGUAAAGUUCCAAAUCCAAAUAUGCGACAAUGGCCAAGAUCAGACGGAUCGAAGCAAACCUUACAACAGGAGAAAAAGUUUCUUCGUAAUCAACGCCUUCUCGUUGGGUAAAACCCUUUGCUACUAGGCGAGCCUUGUACCUAUCGAUUGAACCGUCUGCCUUGCGCUUAAUCUUGAGAACCAAUUUAUUCCCGAUUGUUUUGCGCCCUGGUGGCAAGUCAACCAAGUCCCAGACAUGAUUUGACUUCAUCGAUUCUAUUUCCUCUAUCAUUGCAUCCAACCAUUCCUUAUAAGUAGGUAAUGAGAGAGUCUCUUGGAAAGAUCUAGGCUCAUCAUCAUCAUGUGCAGCAACCAUGAAAGCCUUCCCCUCAAUCUCAAAACGACGACGGGAAACGCCCACACGUGCGCUCCUACGAAGUUGAGGCUCCACAUCUAAAGGUAAGUCGCUUCCACUAUCCCCAGGAGGUAUCGGAGUUGCCUCCUCUGCCUCAACUGAGCGAAUAGAAGCGUCAAUACUAGAGUCAUCCAUCUCAUGGAACUCAAUUUCAUUUCGAACCUCACUUCUAUAAGGAAAAUCCUCCUCGAGGAAUUUAACAUCUCGUGACUCAAUCUCAGUCAAACUUCCAUCUGGCUGCUUUCCAAUGAACACAUAUUCCUUAGAGUGAUCAGGGUAUCUUAUAAAAAUACACUUCCUUCCUCUAGGACCCAACUUCCCAUACUUGUGAGAAGUGUUGUGUACAUAAGUUGCCAAACCCCAAGGGCGCAGGUGCUCCAAAUUUGGUUUCCUGCUUGUCCAUAAUUCAUAAGGAGUGGAAGAUACUGUUUUGGAGGGUACACGAUUAAGAAUGUAGGCAGCAGUUAACAAUGCGUCUCCCCAAAAGGAGACAGGUAAAUUUGCUUGCGCCAUCAUUGACCUAACCAUGUCAAGCAAUGUGCGAUUUCUUCUCUCCGCUACACCAUUUUGCUGCGGAGUGCUAGAAAUUAUCAGCUGUCUGAUUAUUCCCUUUUCAUCACACAAUUUCUUGAAUUGUUCAGAUAGAUACUAGCGACCUCGAUCAGUUCUUAAGCAUUUAAUUUUCAUAUUUAACUGAUUCUCAAUCUCAUUUAUAUAACGUCUAAAACAAUCCAAUGCUUCAGACUUAUGGAAAAUCAGAUAAACAUGACCGAAGCGCGUACGGUCAUCUAUAAAUGUGAUGAAGUAAAAAGCACCAUGUCUUGCCCUCACACUCAUUGGGCCACAAAUGUCGGAAUGGAUCAAUUGUAAAGAAAAUUCUACCCUAGAAGCUUUAUUAAAUGAUUUUCGGGUCGCUUUUCCCGCUAAACAAUGUUCAUAUGUGGGCAGGUCGACUUUAGUGAGCGAGCUCAAAAACCCGUCUCUAACUAAUCUAGUCAUUCUAUCCUGCCCAAUAUGACCAAGACGUGCAUGCCAUUUAAUUGAAACAUUGUUAUCAUUCUCAACAGAAGAUAACAGGGAAAAGGAAUCACUAUUAUUAAUAUUAUAAUCAAUGUCCAAAACCAUAAAACCAUUUGACAUAAAAUCUCUCCCAUAAUAAAUAGUUCUAAGAUGAAUCUUUAGUACAUCACUCUCAAAACGAAAAGAAAAGCCUAACUGUAGCAAAACAAUAAUAGAAAACAAGUUCCGCCAAAUUUCUGGAGCAUAAAGUACAUCAUGUAGGUACAAAGUUCGAUCACCUUGCAUGAUCAACUUGUAUGUGCCAACGCCUAACACAUCGACACUUGAAUCGUUUCCCAUGUAUACUCUUCUACUCCCAGCAGGCACACGACGGUACUCGACGAAUCCCAUCUGAUCCCUCGCUACGUGGUCUGUUGCUCCUGAGUCUACAAUCCACACAGGGAGAGAUUCAGCAACAAACAUGUUAGAAGAAACAAAAGAGCGAGAAUCGGGAUAGAGAUGUACCUUCUUCGGCUCAGUGCAAUCACGAGCGAAGUGUCCCAGCUGAUUAUAGUUGAAACAAGUCAUCUUUGACUUGUCCUUCUUGCUACCUCGUUUGCUUCUCUUUCUUUUAGUGCUCUUCGCAUUCUUAGGCGCGAAUCCGCUACUAUUUUGAGGCCCAAUAGUCCUCUUUCGCUUGAACCCAGAUGUCCUGCGAAAGUUUGACUCAGCAGCAUUGGCAGUUGGAGUUUUAACAGCCUCAAGGCGCUCCUCCUCCAACUCCAAAUGCCGNNNNNNNNNNNNNNNNNNNNNNNNNNNNNNNNNNNNNNNNNNNNNNNNNNNNNNNNNNNNNNNNNNNNNNNNNNNNNNNNNNNNNNNNNNNNNNNNNNNNNNNNNNNNNNNNNNNNNNNNNNNNNNNNNNNNNNNNNNNNNNNNNNNNNNNNNNNNNNNNNNNNNNNNNNNNNNNNNNNNNNNNNNNNNNNNNNNNNNNNNNNNNNNNNNNNNNNNNNNNNNNNNNNNNNNNNNNNNNNNNNNNNNNNNNNNNNNNNNNNNNNNNNNNNNNNNNNNNNNNNNNNNNNNNNNNNNNNNNNNNNNNNNNNNNNNNNNNNNNNNNNNNNNNNNNNNNNNNNNNNNNNNNNNNNNNNNNNNNNNNNNNNNNNNNNNNNNNNNNNNNNNNNNNNNNNNNNNNNNNNNNNNNNNNNNNNNNNNNNNNNNNNNNNNNNNNNNNNNNNNNNNNNNNNNNNNNNNNNNNNNNNNNNNNNNNNNNNNNNNNNNNNNNNNNNNNNNNNNNNNNNNNNNNNNNNNNNNNNNNNNNNNNNNNNNNNNNNNNNNNNNNNNNNNNNNNNNNNNNNNNNNNNNNNNNNNNNNNNNNNNNNNNNNNNNNNNNNNNNNNNNNNNNNNNNNNNNNNNNNNNNNNNNNNNNNNNNNNNNNNNNNNNNNNNNNNNNNNNNNNNNNNNNNNNNNNNNNNNNNNNNNNNNNNNNNNNNNNNNNNNNNNNNNNNNNNNNNNNNNNNNNNNNNNNNNNNNNNNNNNNNNNNNNNNNNNNNNNNNNNNNNNNNNNNNNNNNNNNNNNNNNNNNNNNNNNNNNNNNNNNNNNNNNNNNNNNNNNNNNNNNNNNNNNNNNNNNNNNNNNNNNNNNNNNNNNNNNNNNNNNNNNNNNNNNNNNNNNNNNNNNNNNNNNNNNNNNNNNNNNNNNNNNNNNNNNNNNNNNNNNNNNNNNNNNNNNNNNNNNNNNNNNNNNNNNNNNNNNNNNNNNNNNNNNNNNNNNNNNNNNNNNNNNNNNNNNNNNNNNNNNNNNNNNNNNNNNNNNNNNNNNNNNNNNNNNNNNNNNNNNNNNNNNNNNNNNNNNNNNNNNNNNNNNNNNNNNNNNNNNNNNNNNNNNNNNNNNNNNNNNNNNNNNNNNNNNNNNNNNNNNNNNNNNNNNNNNNNNNNNNNNNNNNNNNNNNNNNNNNNNNNNNNNNNNNNNNNNNNNNNNNNNNNNNNNNNNNNNNNNNNNNNNNNNNNNNNNNNNNNNNNNNNNNNNNNNNNNNNNNNNNNNNNNNNNNNNNNNNNNNNNNNNNNNNNNNNNNNNNNNNNNNNNNNNNNNNNNNNNNNNNNNNNNNNNNNNNNNNNNNNNNNNNNNNNNNNNNNNNNNNNNNNNNNNNNNNNNNNNNNNNNNNNNNNNNNNNNNNNNNNNNNNNNNNNNNNNNNNNNNNNNNNNNNNNNNNNNNNNNNNNNNNNNNNNNNNNNNNNNNNNNNNNNNNNNNNNNNNNNNNNNNNNNNNNNNNNNNNNNNNNNNNNNNNNNNNNNNNNNNNNNNNNNNNNNNNNNNNNNNNNNNNNNNNNNNNNNNNNNNNNNNNNNNNNUGGGCAGUUUUCGCCCAGAGGGACCGGUCUCUCCCCAGCAGGGACCGGUCUCUCGCUGCGAACCCGAAAACUCAGCGUUCGGGAACCGGUCUCUCCCUGUGCGGGACCGGUCUCUCACUGCGGAGACGCGUUCGGGAACCGGUCUCGCCUGCCAGGGACCGGUUGCCUCAGGCUGCCUCAACACUGCUCACUGGGGGGACCGGUCUCUCCCUCCAGGGACCGGUCCCCGAGAGUAAAAACUCUCAGGACUUGUCCAAAGUUCCAGUUUUCGAACUUUUCGGGUCGGGGAACAUUUUACAACCCUCCACCAAGUGUGGAAAAGCUCGAAAUACAACCAAACUCUCGAACCUCGCAAUUUGCAAAGGUCCAGUGUGUUACACGCUUCUUAUAACUGUCAAACAGCAUAGUCAGACUGCGCAACCUUGUAACCGAAGUUGCACCAAAUUUUGCUUUGAGAGCCUCCCAUAUGUCAUAUGCAGUCGGAUAUUGCUCACAUUCGCACAAGAGAUCAUUCUGCAUACUGCUCAGCAACGUGAUGCGAGCAAUGCGAUCCUUUUUAAGCCAAUUAUUGUAGGCUUCCAUCUCUUGGCGAGCCUGGGCACUGGUGCCCUCUGUGGGUAGGUCCAUUUUAUUAUUUAAGUUUUCCAGAACCUCUUGCUCAGCGAGAACAUAUUGAAUUUUGCGGGGUCAAAUAUCAUAAUUGUCACCAUCCAAUUUCUCGCCCUUAUUUAAAUCCGCAACAAUUUGCUUGUAGGCCAUUAAAUUUCACUAUUUGUUCAAGCAAUGCGCAGCAAAGGAUAUUUUAAAAUUUGUGAGACCCCAGUAGUCUUAUAUAUGAUAUAUGGGACUAAACUUUCAACAGGCUUAAGAUUUUGAAGUCGGGUGGUGGCAGACCCAAAGAGGUUAAGAGUUUAGGCGUGGCAAUAGGCGGAGUCUGCUUGAUGAGGUGACCCUGGGAAGUGCGGGGCGUCAAGUGGGUUCAGAGCAAUUUACCGCGGGAAGUGAUCAGAUGGUUCGGCUGGCCAGUGGUCUGGAUGACGUGGCAGCAGAGAGUCUACAUCGCCUCCGGUAUUGUGAGUCUGAGCUGACGAGGCGUCAGGGUUAAAGGAAGGGGAGAUUGUGAGGACCCAGAUAGUCUAUGUUAUAUAAGAUAUAAUAUGGUGCUAACUCUUAACCAGCUCUAAGCAUUUUGUGGUGGUGGUUGACCAAAGAGGUUAAGAGAGUUUUAGGUGCCAAGGAUAGGGUAGCUCAUGAUGGGUGGCCCCUGGAAGUCGGGUCACAAAUUUGUACCGAUACCUGUAAUCAUUUUGCGCGAUCUCUAAUUAAAUAAUUCAAAAAAUAGACUAUGAUGCGUAAAGAACAUUUGCUAUGCUUCAUGUAAUCACAUCACACACGAUUAUUGUCAUGAGUUUUUAAUUAUUGUAAUUAAGAUGCACAAUUAUGUCGAGAUAAAAAAAUUAUAUUUACUCUACCAACAAAUAAAAUUCCCAUUGACAGGCAUGUCAUAAAAAUAUUAUUAUUAUGCUAAGUUAAUCUACUAUAUCAUAUAGGCAUAACAUAAUAUGCUAAUGAAUGUCAUAAUAGAACACCUGUGAUAUGACAUUCAAUAUAUCAUGAAGUCAAAAUAAUAUCCAAUACGCUUUUUAAAAUUUUAUUUAAAAAAACAAAGGUCUGCAGAAACGAAAAAAGAGACUUAGGAAAUUCUGCAGUCGCGCUCGCGGAGCCCGCUUGCGGCCCGGUCGGCAAGGCUUGCGCUCAACCCGGUUUGGCGCGGCCAGCGUGCGCCGCGUGUGCCGGUCAGCAUUUGGCCCACUCAGGGCCACCGGCGCGUGCGGAUGAACGCAGUCGCGUUGGUCUGAUGGCCGGCGAGGGGCCAGCGCGACCGCCGCGGCUGCGGCCCGCUGUGGCCCACAAGGCCUUGUGCGCGCGCGGCCGCGCGAUGCCCAAGUUGCCCGCCGCAGCGGCGACGGCCGAGAGGACGUGUUUGCGCGGCCUGUGCGCGCGUGCAGUUGGCUGCUCCGCGAGUCGAGCUCGCGGCGAGGCCCCGGUGCCGGCAGCGUGCUGCCCCGCUUGUGUCCCCCUUCCGCGUUUCCUGCGCGUGGCUGGCAUCCUUGAAUGCGCCGGGUAGAUGUCCGGCUCGGCGGUUGUGUGGUUGGGACUGUACUCUUCGCUGUUCCUCCCCGGCUACGCGGCGGCUUGUCGGCCCUGCGCGUCUGCGACCGGCGCCGCGGCUCGGGCAGGCCGGGCCUUGUGGCUGAUUUCGCGUCACGGCGCUCGAAGCUGCGUGGAUCACACCGGAACAGCAAAUUUUUUUUUAUUUUUAUUAAAAGAUAGAUAAACUUCAAAUAAUCAUAUCUAUAGAUUCAGAAGUCAAAUCUUGCAAGAAAUAUAUCAAUAGAAAGCUUAUAAUGAGCUCUUCCAAAUCAUACAAAUUUCACAAUGAGAUAUUCAUCACACAUCAAAUAAGCCACCCUCAAAGUUUCGAUUUAGGGUUUCGUUUUUCUCUCAAAAUACAAAACCUUAUCAAAUCAAACUUUGUAGAUUUAAUCUACAACAUAGAUGCUUUAAGAUGUGAAGAAAUCAAGCAAAGAUAUCCACUUUUGAAAAAUCCGCCAUUAACACUCACAUACAUGCAAGAAAAAAUCUAAAAUAUGAUAGAUUUGAUAUAUCGCAUGUAAUCUCGUUAAAGGAUGUAUCAAGACCACGAAAUCAACCAAAAAAGGCUCUGAUACUAAUGUCGAACGCAGCGGAAGUAUUCGUUCGUACUUUUUUGCGGAAGCGAUUCGCGCUAGAACGCGAUGAGCCCGGAUCAUAGAGGUUGGUUCACGUGUCCUUGGAUCGUCCUUGAAAGUCUUCUUGCGCUCCGAACUCGCGGUGGAUCGAACUACAAACGAGCACGAUUGCAAAUCCACCGUUCAAGUCCCUCUAGAAUAAUAGGUUAAUGGAGGAAGUGGAUUUUCUCUUUUUGUUUCUUAUUCUCUUUCUUUUUCCGUUCUAGUGUCUUUUGUUAUGUGGGAUUGCCCGCAUAUUUAUAAAGGAUUCCAAAAUUCUAAUAGCGUUAGAGAUAAGGCCAAAUCGGUUAUUAAUUAUUAUCCUAAUAUGACUAGGAUUUAUCUCUAACUAGCUUUCCAAUUUGAAAGCGAGAUUAAUCUUAAUCCAAUUAGAUAACAUAAUAUCCGUCGGAUCGAACCCGCUUAUGGGCGUACCCGAUUCGAUUUAACCGAAUGCCAACAGAAUGUUCGAAAUAUAGAAAUUGGGUCUUUUCAGCCUAACUGUUGGUUGGGACGGCGUGGUCAUACUUGUUGUUGUCCAGAGCUUUGUUGGUUUGGAGUGCGUGGUUAGUUAACUAUAUUAUGUAUGACAUGAAACUAGUUGUAACAAACAUUAAGCGGAACUCCCUCGGUCGAAUAUAUAGACUAUGGAUUUGGCCGAUCGAGGGCCUGAGUUGUUGAAUACUAUAUAUGCUUGUGUGUAUAUAUACAAUCAUUGAUGGGCGAGUCAACUUUGUAUUACUUAAGACAGUGGUAGUGGACUAUAUAUAGUGGGGAUGGAGAACAGAGUAGAAGUGCGUGAGUCGAUGUAAUUAAGCUGAGUUCAGUAGGGUAGAACAUGAUGACCUAACCCUAGAAGGUACAGAAUUAAAUUGAAUUCAGAACAUCUGUAUGCCUGAUGAUGCAUGACAGGAUAUGGGCAAUGUUAAAGAUAUGCCUUCUUUUUUAUUGGUUUGGUUCAUACAUCAGGUUUAUGGAAAAAUAAAAAGGAUCUCAUAAGGAUUUAUUUUGGUGAAUCCUAAUUUAAAUUGGAAUCCUAGGUGGACUAGGAUCGGUUUCCAUAUAAUAGUCUAUAUUCAAUAAUCAUAUUGAAUUAGAGUAGGAUUGAGCCAAAUCCCUCUCUAUAUAUACAUGCAUAUGCAUGUACGGCUUUGUGAGCCGUGUGGUGGCCAAAAUUAAUUAGAGACGCUAAUUAAUUAAAGGUGGCCGGAUCUAAUAGAGGGCAUGUACGGCUUCGUGGGUGCAUGGUGUGCAGGUCAAAUUAAUUAGCAUUCGGUGCCUAGCUAAUUAAUUAAGGUGCCCGUCCGUACGGUAGCAAGAGAAGGGAGAUUGCACGCAUGCGACGGAUUGACGUUGGCAGCAGAGCAGCAGUUCUCGACCAAUUGCCUGAGCGGUUCGGAUUUUUCGAAGCAACGGCAUAAAGGAAUUUGGUUAGAGUUUCUAUACUUCUCUAAUUUGGUCUUCUCGGUUUUACGAAAAGCUUUUUUUCGGUAUUUUUCUUGGAGUUUUCGUUGGAACAAGAAAGGUGGGAUUCACCAUAAGGUUCCUGGUUUUUUAUCCGAAGAAGACAUAAGGUGUAAGCUUAUACUUCUAUUUCUUCAUAUAGUGGAAUACAUCUCUCUCGCUCUCCCCGUGGACGUAGACAAUUGCCGAACCACGUAAAUCUUUGUUUCUUCUUUCUGUAUUUAUUUCUUUUAUCGUUCGUUCGGUAUUUUCUCUAUUUUUCGUGCAUCUUUGUUGGUAGCACAUGACGGACGAUCCAUCCGGUUCCCAAUAAGUGGUAUCAGAGCUUAAGGUUCGUGCUACAUCAGAGAUGUCGAAAGUCUCGUCUUCUAAGUUUGAAGUGGAGAAAUUUGACGGUAAAGGAAACUUCGGUCUCUGGCAGAGAAGAGUGAAAGCCCUUCUGGUUCAACAGGGCCUUCAUAAGGCGUUGCUCGGAAAAUCGAAAAAGCCGACAUCGAUGAGCGACGAAGAUUGGGAGGAUAUUGAUCUGCGGGCGGUGAAUCCAAUUAUAUUGUGUCUAGCAGAUGAGGUGAUGUAUAACGUAAUGGAUGAAGAAACUACAGUCGGCAUGUGGAACAAGCUAGAGAAGCUGUACAUGACCAAAAGCCUCUCGAACGUGCUGUACCUAAAGCAAAAAUUAUAUGGGCUACGCAUGAAGGAAGGUACGGCAAUAACGGAACACUUGAACACCUUUAAUAAAAUUAUUGCGGAUUUGCUCAGCAUUAAUGUCAAGGUUGACGAGGACGAUAAGGCGUUGAUUUUUCUUACAUCCUUCGUGUUCUACAUCACUUGAUGACACAUACUGCUGCGGGAAGCAACUCUAAAGAUGGAGAUGUUACAUCGACAUUUUAUCUGAAGAGAUCAGUUUGAGUGCAAGAGAUACCGAAGAAGCAGUAGCAGUGUUGGUCUGUAAAUGAUAAAGUGGAUGGAAGGGGAACGUUCAAGCGAAAACCGUUUGUGAUGCAGGUAAAGGAGAGUCCGUUCAAGUACAAUCGAAAAAGGUUGAAGUGUUAUUCUGUAAAAAGAGCGGUCACAUGAAAAAGAACUGUCAAAGAGGAAGGUUUGGCUUGUAGAAUCGAGAGAUUCCUCUGCAGACACGUUGCGGCCGUAAGCAGUGUUUCGGUCAGGAGUUUGACCUGUUACAACAGUAUUCUGAUUCACGUAGUGAUGGAUAUUUAGAUUUGGUUGUUUCUUAUCACAUGGUUCCAACAGGUCUUUAUUUGAUACUUAUAAGUCUUUCGUGAACGGCAGUGUUGUUUGAUGGGGGUAUCGCACUAGUGCAAGCAUGGUCGCGUAUCGGACAGUCAAAGUUAAAGUGUUGAUUGUGGUGAGGACUUUAGGAUUUGUGAGAAACAUGGAUCUAGGUUAAAUCUUAUAUCAUUAGGUCUUUGACUUUACUUGGCUGUUUCUAUUAGCAUUUUCGGGUGGAGUCGUCAAGAUUAAAAGCGGCUGCAUGGUCGUCAUGAGGGAGAGAAGGAGAGGAACUGUACAGGCUGAUCGGCGAAAAUGCUAAACUAAGAAAGAGAAAACAGUCGGUGAUUGGAGGCGUUGCCACCGGAUUAAAAUUCAGAGAUAUGAUGUGAUGAUCGGAGUUGCUGGCAUUAUGAGACUAGCACUAUGAGUGAAAGAGGUGUUGAAUGAUAAAAAGGUAGAGUACUCAAAGGUAUUAAAUCAUUGUAACUUAAUUUCUGCAUAUAUUGUUUUUUGGAACAAAAGGAUUGAGUUAGGACCUCAGUCAUAAAGAGUAAAAGGUUACUUUGAGUACAUCUGCGGAGAGAGAAACGCAUGUGGGACGGCUCCCCAAGGUGACUUUGAAGGUGUAAAAGUGCGCGAUAUUUUAUUAAUUUAUUGAUUGUAUUUCUUUCGUGAGUUCGCGUUUCUUCUAUGUAAGCGAAAAAGUCUGAGAAUUUAUAAAGUUCAGACUUGGCAGAAUGGAGGUGGAGAAAAAACUUUGGCAAGCAGGUCAAAGUUCUCGACACGGACAAUGGUGAGUUCACUGGUAACAUCACAUUUUUAACUUUUUGUUUUUGACUAAUUUAUUUAAGUUUCUGGACCUUUUCGUAAUUCAUCUUUCGAGGACUCGGUGCAUUUGUUGCUUAUUAGUCGCUAAUAAUUUAGGCCUUUUUUUGAUACGAGCGCCCAACGUAUCCAUCUCUCUCUUCUCGCGUCGAUUCCUCUGCUCUCUACUUGUACAACCUCGCGUCCUUUGUGCGGCGACGCCAUUUCUAUCGUCGAAGCCGUGUACGUGCGCUCGACGCAUUGUCAUUGGACAUAUUUUUUGUGUCGUUAUCGACGGAAUCUUUGCAGCGUCUUACGUUUUCGAGAAGGGUUUUCUCCUUCCUAUUUUACUUUGUAUCGGAUUUGAUGACUACCCACCUCUUAUUCGUUUAUUUUGUUAUUUGAAUAUCGUUUCUUUGAUUAUGAAAAUUGAAAUCUUAAAUCUGAUUUCGUUAAUACCGUUAUCUCGUCGUAUUUGAGCAGCGUUAAUUUUAUUAUAUUGUAAUCUCUUAUGAUCUUAUGUUGCUUUAAUAAUUCACGAUAUCUCGUCGACUUAUUGAAUUAAGUCCGUUAUUGUCGAUAAAUGUCUAGAGAAGGCGCAUUAAUGCGUUCGUUUAUCUCUAAUUUUGAUCAUUCGUUAUUAUGUAAAUGUUUUUAUUGUAUUAACCCCUCUGUUUGACUAUAAAAAUAUUUGUUUAUUAUUUAAUUCCCGUUAUUGUUUUUUUCUUUUAGAACUAUUUUAAUUCUUCAAACUCUUCAUCUUUUGAUCGUAUUGGAGUUCGUCUUAAGUUUAUUGUUUAUAAUCCCUUUGUGUACCUCCGACUAAUUUGCAUCCAUUAUAUUAUCUUUGCAUUGUUCAUUUUAGUUAGCUUAUAGAGAAUCGGUUAUCUUUUUUAGGUUCAGAACGAUCGAUUUUUCUGCACAGUUUGGACUGUGAUAUCUUAUAUCUUUGAAGGCUGGUUAAGGUAAGGCGACGAACACAGGUUGUUUUUGUAAGAUAUUUAGGAAUAUUUUAUUGUACGGAAAAUUUAUUUUGUAGAUUUUAAAAUUAAGGGUUAAGAUUUAUUAAUAAUCUCGUGUUAUAUGAGUUAUUCAAUCGUUGCGUUGACAAGUUAUUUUAGCAAAAGAAUUUUUAAAUAUGAUAUUUAUUCUGCAUAUUGUGACGAGAAUUUUUUGAUUUAUGAUGUUUGUUUCUGCUAAUGCAAUGUUGGCAAUGUCGACUACUUUGUUAUGAAGCAAGUUUGUCUUUGUUUGCGCUUCGGUGCCUGGGCUAUCGGCCUCUGUUUGUUUGCGCUUGGGUGCAUGUUUCUAUUCGCGACUCUGUUUUGUUUUGCCUUCGGGUGCCUCUGUUUUUAUUUACGCUCGGGUGUCUUUGGAUCUCGCCAACGGUCAUAGAUUAUGUUAAGUGCGGAGACCCUAUAAUUAUUUUGUUUAUAUAGUCGAAAGGGAAAUGCUUUGAAAAAAAAUUUAUAGUUUUCAAUACGAUGCUUGAAUUUGAAGUUUUGAUAAAUUUUGUUUCUUAAUUUUUCCAAAUUAAACGUCGCUUGAUUAAUUUGCUUUUUAUAAUCUAAUUUUUGUAUGCUUAAUCCGUAUGGUGGUGUAUAUGGUUGCCUUACCCGGUACUGAAGACGUUUCGCAGGCGGGCUUUAGGGAGCGAUGUGACAUUAGAUGUAGCUAGAUUUGAUUUACCUCUUGUCUUAUUUUUUUGCAUUAGGCAUGACUUUGAACUUCGUAGAUAAUCAUUCGUUUAUCUGUUCCUACUUUAUUGUUUCUUCGUACCUACAAUAUCUGUUAGAACAAUUUCGGUUUGUGUUGCAUCAUAAACUUUAGUUUUGCUUAUAGGAUACUUCAGUUGAUUUUAGUUGCAAUUAAAUUGUUAGCCUCAUCUUUCGACUAUUUGGAUUAAAUAGAAAUUUUUCUUUAUGAUCAUCUUUUGUUUGUUAAUUGUCUGACUCUGUAGCCUUGCAUAUUUACUAAUUUAGUAGAUAUGCGGCAUCUGUUAUGCCUUGGGUUUGGGGCGUGACAGAGAAAUGGUAUAAGAGCUUAGGUUUAAGAUCUUUUGUAACUUUAAGGUAUAGGAUUGUGAGAGUUUACUAGGACGUGUGAGGAUGGGUAAAAAGUAGGCGCGUGUUUGAUCCUAUUUGAUUAUUGUUUACAGUUUUCGUUAAUGUUUUGCAUUUACGUGUUUGUGAUAUCCUCUCUUGUUAAGAUGGUGCGUCCGACCCGUCGUAGCAACACCAAUAGUGAGCAACCGAGGAACCCGCCUCGAGCCAGAUCCGAAGAUGCAGAUCUAGACGUCACCUUAGCCUCACUUUUGAAUACCACGUCCUCGGCAGCCGUUCCACCUAUCCAGAAUCCGCUUCAGUCAACUAUAGCGCCUCCAACGAACCCUUCGGCUUUUGUUCCACCACUGCAGCAGACCUUCAGUACGGGGAUACCUUCGACGGCUGCUCCCACUACCUUUUCGUUUCUGCCGUCGACUGCACCUUCUGGUUUUGUUCCACCGCCGCCACAACCUAUUAUUCCCGCCCACUCCGCCAGUUUACCGCAAAGCGCCACGAUGGACCCCUUGGUCGCUACCCUGAUACAGGCUGUUGUCGGACUAGUUCAGACUCAUCAGCAAAACUUACAGCAGAAUUCAGCUCCUAGUGCAGCGGAGUCAAAUUCCAGAGUUCGAGAGAGGAGCAUCAACGAAUUUAAGAAGUCUGCUCCUCCACCUUUUUCGGGCGCUACAAACCCGGACGAAGCGGAAAAUUGGAUCAAGGAGAUGGAAAAAGCAUUUACGGCAAUGCAGUGCACCGAUGAAGAGAAAGUCAGAUUCGGGACAUUCAUGCUUCAGGGCAGAGCGAAUAAUUGGUGGGAAAGCGAGUUGAGGACCCGCGGUAGCAAUUUAUCAGCCAUUUCGUGGAAGGAUUUUCGAUCGGCGUUUUAUGCUAAGUACUUUCCAAGGAGUAAACUUCGUCAGCUCGAGAGGCAAUUUCUAGAUCUAAAACAAGGGUCCAUGUCUGUAGAGGAGUACGAGGCCGAGUUUGACCGACUCUCUCAGUUUGCUUCGAAAUUGGUGGAUGACAAUGAAUCGCGGGCCAAAAGGUUUGAAGAAGGACUGAAUGGAUAUAUCCGUACUGGUCUUGCGCCUCUACACCUUGAGACAUACGACGAGGUUGUCUCAAGGGCAAAAUCCUUAGAUUCAGUAUGGAGACAGACUCGAGAGGAGCGCAAUGCAAAUCAAAAGAAGAGAAAUAGAGAUUCUUUCAGAAAGGGAGAUCGGAAUGCAAGAGGGUCGGACAGAUCUGGUGGUUUUGGGAGAUCGCAUAAUACGCCAGCUCCUCACGGUGGACCACCAAAUCGGGAUCAGAAGCCGAAAUGCUCAGUUUGUGGAGGGUCACAUAAGGAUUCCGACUGCAGACAUGUGACUGGUGGUUGCUUUAGAUGCGGCGACUUGAACCAUCGGAUAGCUCAGUGCCCUUUACUUAGCACUGACUCUAGCACUGGAUCCAAGCCUCAGGAGAAAUUUGCUGCUUCAGCCGGUCGUGAUCGUGCCCCUCCUACUGGUCAGCUUAGAGGUGGAAGGCCUCGAACGCAGGGUCGUGUCCAGGCUCUCUCUCAGCAGGAUGCCCAGGCAUCUAAUGCCGUGGUCUCAGGUAUUCUGCCCGUAAACUCUGCUUUUGCCUAUGUUCUCUUUGAUUCUGGAGCUAUACAUUCUUUUGUAUCUUCUGCUUUUGUUCGAAAGUCUAUGUUACCCUCUGAACCUUUGGAUUAUACUUUAUGUGUUGGUACGCCUUUGGGGGAGGAGUUUGUGAUUGACCGAGUUUGUAGGAGCAUGGUCAGAUUGGAUAAUAGGAGCUUAUUGGCAAAUCUCUAUGUUAUGGACAUGCGAGACUUUGAUGUGAUUUUGGGGAUGGACUGGCUUUUAUCCUACUUUGCUACUUUGAAUUGUCGGGAGAAGCGGGUGGAGUUCAACAUUCCUGGGGAGGCAAAUUUUGCUUUUCUUGGGAAUGGAGCUUACACCCCACCUCCGAUCAUUUCUUCCUUGCAGGCUACUCGUCUCUUAAGGAGUGGUUGCGCUAGAUUUGUGGCUCUGGUGAAAGAUCUGAAUUUAAUUACUCCGAGAUUAGAAGACAUCCCGGUAGUAAAUAAAUUUUCGGAUGUUUUUCCAGAGGACCUCCCUAGGCUACCGCCAGAUAGGGAGAUUGAAUUUCGUGUUGAUUUAGCUCCAGGAACAAAUCCAAUUUCAAAGACACCUUACCGGAUGUCACCAGUUGAGCUCAAGGAACUGCAAAUGCAACUUUAGGAACUUCUGGACAAAGGAUUCAUCAGACCGAGUGUCUCUUCUUGGGGCGCUCCAGUACUUUUCGUCAAGAAGAAGGAUGGUACUAUGAGAUUAUGUAUCGAUUAUCGUGAGCUAAACAGAAUGACUGUGAAGAAUCGAUACCCCUUACCGAGAAUCGACGACUUAUUUGAUCAGCUUCGAGGUGCAGAAGUCUUUUCCAAGAUUGAUCUACGAUCAGGAUACCAUCAGCUGAAGGUCAGAGCCGAAGAUAUACCCAAAACUGCUUUUCGCACACGCUAUGGGCAUUACGAGUUUCUAGUAAUGCCUUUUGGAUUGACUAACGCUCCAGCCGCUUUCAUGGAUCUUAUGAAUAGAGUAUUCAAACCCUUCUUGGAUAAGUUUGUUGUCGUAUUCAUAGACGACAUUCUGGUGUACUCUAGCAGUUCAGCUGAGCAUAUGAAACAUCUCAGGAUAGUUUUGGAAACUCUUCGACAAAGGAAACUCUACGCUAAGUUUAAAAAGUGUGAAUUUUGGUUGCAAAGUGUUUCCUUUCUCGGACAUAUUGUGUCUAAGGAAGGUAUUUCAGUAGAUCCUACAAAGAUAGAAGCUGUGAAAAAUUGGCCACGACCAAGCAACGUCACUGAGGUUCGGAGUUUCGUGGGCUUAGCAGGAUACUAUAGAAGAUUUGUGGAAGGUUUCUCCCGCCUUGCUGCACCAUUGACUCAGUUGACACGAAAAGGAGUUAAAUUUCAGUGGUCGGAUAAAUGUGAACAAAGCUUUUUGGAAUUGAAGAAACGCUUAAUAUCAGCACCUAUCCGUACCUUACCUAUUAGUGGUGAGGGAUUCACUAUUUACAGUGAUGCCUCGAAGAAAGGAUUGGGAUGCGUCCUGAUGCAGAAUAACAAAGUGAUUGCCUAUGCUUCCCGACAGCUGAGGCCAUUCGAGGAGAACUACCCGACCCACGACCUAGAAUUGGCAGCAGUAAUCUUUGCACUGAAAAUUUGGAGACAUUACCUCUACGGCGAGCCUUGUGAGAUUUUUACCGACCACAAAAGUUUAAAGUACAUCUUCACACAGAAAGAACUGAACAUGCGACAAAGAAGGUGGCUAGAAUUGUUGAAGAACUACGACGUGACCAUCAAGUAUCAUCCGGGCAAAGCCAACGUCGUAGCCGAUGCCCUCAGUAGAAAAUCAAUAGGGAAUGUAGCGACAUUGGUUACUUCUCAGCGACAUAUUUUAGAGGAUCUCAGACGGCUUGACAUAGAAAUUCACAUCCAUGGGUCUGAAGCUUAUCUGUCUAACCUGCAGGUUCGACCUACACUAAUCGAUAGGAUCAAGUCAGCCCAAGCGAAUGAUAUCCAUCUUCAGAAGACUCGACAUUUAGUGGAAUCAGGAGCACAAUUGGAGUUUAGAAUUCAUGAAGAUGGCUCUUUGAGAUUUAGGAACCGGUUAUGCGUUCCUAAGAAUUCGGAUUUUAAAAACGAAAUUUUGAAGGAGGCUCAUUAUUCGGGAUAUUCAGUGCAUCCUGGAGGAACCAAAAUGUACAGAGAUUUGAAGAACGUCUUCUGGUGGAGUAACAUGAAAAGGGAGAUCGCAGAGUUCGUGGCUAAGUGUUUGACUUGCCAGCGUGUGAAAGUCGAUAAGCAGAGAUCAGCAGGCUUACUUCAGCCCCUUCCUAUUCCUGAGUGGAAAUGGGAGAGAAUAACCAUGGAUUUUGUUACUCGACUACCUAGAAGUGAGAAGGGAAAUGACGCAAUUUGGGUCAUAGUUGAUAGAUUGACUAAGUCAGCGCACUUUCUCGCUGUAAAGACGGGUAUGACUUUGGAGAAACUAGCGGAGCUCUAUAUUGCACAAAUAGUACAUCUACAUGGUGUUCCAGUUUCGAUCGUGUCUGAUCGUGAUUCGAGGUUCGUGGCUCACUUCUGGAAAGGAUUACAUAAAGCUUUGGGAACCACACUGGACUUUAGUACCGCCUUCCAUCCGCAGACAGAUGGCCAAUCCGAGAGGACGAUUCAAAUUUUAGAAGACAUGCUACGCGCUUGUGUAAUCGAUAUGAAAGGCUCUUGGGAUCAUCACCUACCAUUGGUCGAAUUUGCCUACAAUAAUAGCUUCCAGGCCAGCAUUCAAAUGGCUCCCUUCGAAGCUUUGUAUGGAAAGAAGUGUAGAUCCCCUCUCUGUUGGGAUGAUGUUGGUGAGAGAAAGCUACUUGGUCCGGAAAUUGUGCAACAAACUAUUGAGAAGGUGCAUUUGAUUAAGGAGCAUCUCAGAGCAGCUCAGAGUCGGCAGAAGAGCUACGCUGAUAAUCGAAGAAGACCGCUCGAGUUUGAAGUGGGAGACCGUGUCUUCUUGAAAGUGUCACCUUCAAGAGGUAUUAUGCGCUUUGGAAUUCGUGGGAAGCUUAGCCCUCGUUAUGUGGGCCCUUUUGAAAUACUUGAAAGAAUUGGUGACGUAGCGUACAGACUUGCCUUACCGCCUUCUUUAGCUAGAGUGCACAACGUCUUUCAUGUAUCUAUGUUGAGAAAAUAUGUUCAUGAUCCUAGCCACGUUGUAGAGCCGGAACCUUUGCAGCUUAGAGAAGAUCUAUCUUAUGACGAACAGCCGGUACGUAUUGUGGACCGAAAGGAGCAAGUUUGAGGAGACGGACCAUUCCAUAUGUUAAAGUCCAAUGGAGCAACCAUUCCGAGCGAGAAGCUACUUGGGAACUUGAAGAGCAGAUGAGAAAGAAGCACCCUCAACUCUUCGAGAGCUAAGGUACGUUAAGUUUAGAGGACUAAACUUCUUUUAGGAGGGGUGGAUGUAACACUCCACACUUUAAAAUUUUUGUUUUGACUCCAAUUUACUUUAAGUUUGGACCUUUUCGUAAUUUCAGAUCUUCGAGGGACUCGGUGGCAUUUUGUCGCUUAAUUAGUCCCUAACUAAUUAGGCCCUUUCUUUUGAUACGAGCCCCCCCCAACCGAUCCAUCUCUCUCUUUCGCUCGAUCCCCCUCUCCUCUCUACGCCGUACGACCUCCGCCGCUCCCUUUGUGCACGCGCGACGCCAUCCGUUCCCUAUCGUCGCCGCCGUCAUCCGUAGCCGCCUCCACCGCAUUGCUCAUUGGCCAUUAUUUUCUUUUGGUUCGUUAUCGACGGAAUCUUGCCGCCGUCUUCACCGUUUUCGAGAAGGUUUUUCUCCUUCCCUCAUUUUACCUUUGUAUCGGAUCUUGUGAUCACCCAACCUCUCUAUUCGUCGUUAUAUUUUAUUAUUUUGAAUACUCGUUUCUUGAUUAUUGAAAAUUGAAAUCAUUAAAAUCUGAUUUCGUAAUACCUUAUCCUCGUCGUUUGAGCAGCUUAAUUUUAUAUAUUGUAUCCUCUGUAUGAUCUUGUUGCUUAAUACUUCACAUACUACUCACCUAUUGGAAUGUCCGUUAUAUGCUCGAUAAAAUGCCUAAGAGAAGGCGUGCGUCGUUUUAUCUCUAAUUUUGAUCCCAUUCGAUUAUUAUUGUAAAAAUUAUUUUAUAUAUGUAUUAACCCCUCUGUUUGAAUAUAAAAAUAUUUGUUUAUUAUUUAAAUUCCCGUUCAUGUUAUAAUCUUGGAAUAAUUUAAAUUCUUCAAAAACUCCUUCAUCCUUUUGAUCGCUAUUGGAGGUUCGUCGAAUUUAAGCUCGCACUAGGUACUUAGGAGCCGAUAGUGUUGUGUAUAGCUCGGUAGAGCGUGUCAGGUGAGACAACGGUUGCGAGUAUUGCUUGUGGACAAUCCGUUCCUGGACCACUUGUGAAUUGCAAAGCCUGGAGCCCUUUGGGCAGGCGUAGUAGCUGUGUGACAGCGGCCUGACACCUGUGUGGUUAGGGCAGAGGUUUGGUCAGGAUGGUAGUCUGAGCAUAGAUCGGUAAUGUGGUAUGCCACAUAGUGGACCGUGUGAUUAGUAGUACGCUGAAGGGCAGGUUUAACCUAAUCCUAGAGAUUUGAGUUGCUCCUAGUAGGAGUAGAGGUGUGAGAUCUCAAAUGAGGACGUUACAUCGCGAUGAUUGGAUCUACUCUUGCAAACAAGAGACGUUACGUGGUAUCGCAAUUGAGCUAGGUGAUAGACCUAUGUCGAAUAGGUGAUUGUGAACCGAUUUACAGUAGUUGGGACAGAUAGUUACCCGUGUGCAGUGGAAGUGAAAGCAUAGUGGACAUAUCCAGGUGGAUUGUGAGUAGAGACCGUAAGAGCGGAGGCUCGGUCCUGUGUUGUUGAGAUAAGCCCUGAUAAUGAACUAAGAUUGAAAACACGAACGAAGUGUUCGUAGAAACUGAUUGGAAGAAAUCAGUGUAGUGUGGAAUGGGAGUAAGAAACUUUGGAUGGUAUGCUUCUACAUGUUGCUGAUUGUAGAAACUUAUCUCCAUCCGUUAAAGCACAUGAGGAGAGAAUUGUAUCUAAGUUUCGCGGACGAAACUUUGGUUAACAAGGGGAGAUUGUAAUAUAUGGAAACUUUGAGUGGUGAUGCUAACUUUGACCCAGAGGAUCAAAGUAAGGCUUGAGCUGGUUUUGAAUCUUCCCCGAGUGAUUUUAGAUGUGUGGGAAAAAAUUCCGGAGAGAAAUAAGUGUCUCGGCGCAAAUUGGGAGCAAAACAAAAUAUAAAAGGAGUUUUCGGAUCACGACGCCAACUUGGAUUAAAUAAAGCAAAGUGAGGCUUGAGGAUAAUUAGUGGUAUCUCUGAAUCAAUUGUGAUGCUUGGGAAUAGCUAAUGGUAUGAUUUAGAAAGGUUUUGAAGUGUUUGGUAUGAAGUGGUAACACAAAAAGAAGCCGGAGUGAAGCGGCUGCCAAGUACAAGAAUUGCAUUGGCUUAUUUUGAGCUAAUUGAUCAGUAAUGCAAAAAUGAAAAUGAUUUGUUUCCAAAUUAAAUUGGAAGCAUGAGGGUAGUUAAGGGCUAAUUCCGGAGAUGUCCGAAGGUGUUCGACUCAAGUUUGAAGCAAAAGUAAGCUUCGGAAGCAUGUUGCUACCAGGAGCAAGUUGCAUUAGUAGUCUUGAUCAAUCGGAUCAAAGAAAAGCAAGAAAGUAAAAUUAGUUUGUUCUCAGAUUAAAUUGAGAGCUUAGGGAUGUAAUUUGGUAUGUAUCGGAAGAGUUUAGAAGGAUUUGGAAUUAGCGGAAUGUGCGAAACGAGCCGUGAAUGAAGCUGCUGCCAGGGCUGCUGCUAGAAUUAAGUAAGUGCAGAUUUUUGCAUUGUGUACCUCAGUGAGGUACAGAUGUGUACCUCAGUGAGGUACCAUCAUAUAAAAUUUGCCAGGACUGAAAUACGCUUUUGCUGAAUUGAAGGGUUAAUGUGCAAAUGUUCAGCCUUAUCACUUAACCCCUGCAUCCCUCCACCUAAUGCAUACGUCUUGGACUACUCUCUCUCUAUCAUUUCUUAUUUCUUUUCCUCUUCUUUCCUUCUCUCUCUCUAAACCAAACAAAGGAGUUUUUUAGGGGAUUUGAAGGAGAACGCAGCGGAGUUCGCGUUCUUGGCUGUGAGGAAAAUUGUGAGCAAGGAAAAGUGGUGUACUCUCUCAACUCUCCUCUCUCUUUUGUUUUAUUCCUCUUCUCCCUCUCUAUGAACCCUAUGUCGAGGGAGUUUGUGUAAGAGUAGUGUGGAAUUGAGCUCUUCGCUGGAAGUAGGUGCAGAAGCUGAUUUGCUUUGGUGGAAAGUACCACUGGAGGAAGGUUCAUCUUAUUCUCUACUAGGAAUUGAGGUAACUCCCUUAGUAUCUGUUGGUUUGGAGUUCUUGGAGGAUAGAGGUUAGAGAUUGGGCUAUGUUAUAUGUUGUGUAUAUGAACCUGGCUGUGGAGAUAUGAUGGGUAAAUUGUAAAUUUUAGUUAAGAUUUGAUGUAUGUACCUUAGAAGAGAUGUAAUGUUAGGUUCUCUUAAUUACUAAGAACUGUUUGUUAUAAAUCCUAGAGAAGAACUAACUUGUUAUGGAACCUAGAGUAAGAUGUAUCUACAAACCUCAUGUGUGGGCUUUGGCAGUUGGAAGUUGAAAUAUGCUAGUAUGCAAGAUUUCGGUUAGAGAUUAAUUUAAAUCACGUUAAUGCUCUAAUUAAAAGUUUUGGACCGUGGAAAGGUGAAGCUUACUAUAUGCUAUUAUUAAUAGAUUAUGUAAAGCCCAUGUUGUUAUAAGAGAGUUUGGAAAGAAAACUUAGAGAUACAUGUUGACAGCAUGCAUGUGAGCUUGGAAUUGUUGGGAUUCUUGAAAUCUGAAAUUGGCUUUUGUUAUAUAACCUGGAUAAGGCUUCAGGUGUACUAAUACUAUAGGUACACUUUAAUAAUUGGGAACUAAAAAAGCUAUCAUGCAGAUUUUAAUUACAGGCUGAUGUAAAGUCCUCUAAACUGAUUCGGUUGAGGUGUUGGGUUAUUGGAACUACGAAUAUUAUAUAAGUCUUAUGCAACCGGUGUUAACAAUGAGUAUGUAUGGAACUUAUAGAGAAGCCGUAUGUUGAAUGUAGUAUAUGCACUUUCGGGUUGCUGUAAAGUUGUAGAGAUGAAAAGUGACAGGAAUUCAUCUCUGGUAUAUCUAAAUUAAUGGAUUGAAGUUCUUGAAUUAGUAGUGUUUCAGUUACUUUACUAAUUAGUAUAGAAGCUGUAUAAUGGCCAUUAUGUGGAACCUAAGCUUAAUAAUGCACUUUUGCAGGAUUGAGGUUCUCGCUUGGAAUUGAUUGCGUAUAAACCUAAUUGAGGGCAAAGCGAACACGUUAGAAAGCUCGGAUCAACGUUCCGACGAGCCUACGGCAAGCUAAUGAGGAAAACCUCAAUUUAACUCAAGUUGUUACGCACAAGGAUUGUGAUUGUUCGUAAAGUACGGGAAGUGGAAUUCCGGCAUUACGAUAACAAGUAAAGGUGGGUUGUGUUUUACCGAAACGAUUAGGUCACUUCCAUGCCAAAAUAAAUUGUGGUUUUCAUUGAUGCAUAUAUUUAUAGUGGUAGGUUAUGAAUGAUGAAAUAAAUGCAUGAAUUGUGAUAUAGUAGCUAAGUUACCUACCAUUAGAAUAUGCAUAUAUAUAUAUAUAUAUAUAUAUAUAUAUAUAUAUAUAUAUAUAUAUAUAUAUAUAUAUAUAUAUAUAUAUAUUGAUGAUCAUAUUGGGUGACAUAUGAAUGUAUUAUAGUUCAAGCUAUAUGAAUGUCGAUAACUCUAGUUGAUUAGAAACCUCGACGGUGACAAAAUAAAUGAGAAAUUGUAAACUAUAAUCCUAGGCGUGAAUAACUAGGAUGAUACAUAGAUCGAGUGGCAUAAACCUAAUGUUAAUAAACAUAGGUUGGACAUAAACCUAGUGUCAUUGAAUAUAGGUUGAAUUAGUAAACCUAGAGUCGACAUCUAGGUGUAAUGACAUAGAACCUAGUAUGAGUGAACCUAGGUUAUGAUGUAUAGUGACACUUAGUGAAAUUGAACUAACUUGUGAAUUGUAGUGGAAGAAAGACCACUAGGAAACGAUUGGUAUAGACCUAGGAAGGUCGUCAAUAGGGUAAGUGAUUAAACCCUUAAGUUGUGAAAGUGGAUUCCGGAAUCCCUAAGAAUGGUGGUGUUGGCAAAAAUAGAAUAAGAACUACGGGAUUGACGGUUCUCCUCCCCCGGUAGUGAUUCAACGGGAUCGACGGUUCUCCUCUCCCGGUAUGCCAAAACAAGUGAAUCAGAACUACCGGAUCGACGGUUCUCCUCUCCCGAUAUGAGCUCAAUGGGUUUGACGGUUCUCCUCGCCCGUUGCACUUGAGCGGCGUAGGGUCACGGGGAUCGACGGUUUUCCUCUCCUUGUGAUGGACCUAUAGUCGCGUGGACUUAAGGCUGAGGUGCUUGUGAGACGUCCUUCACCUCAAACCUGACUUGACGCGGUACUCCGCGGAUGAUUUACUCGAGGCCGAGUCGGGUGGAUAGCUUGAUUAAGGUAGAUGAAAUCAUAGAAGCUAGUGUGAUAUGAGCUAUGGACAGUGAGACAGAAAGUAGAAUCGGUAGAUCUACUUAUACAUUGUUGCGUGCAUUUCAUAUUACAAAUCUUGAGGCAUUCUCAUGUAUUUAAUAUUUGCAUAAAUAAUCUAUCGAUAUCUGUGGACUAACAUGUUGCAGUGGCUCCUUUGGACCUGGUGGGUCGAGCUCUUCCCUUGGGUGGUCGUACCCACUGGGAACUAUAUUUAUAUAGUUCUCACCCCACGUUAUUUUUGGAGAUUUCAGGUUUACACGUGAGUGGCGCAACGGCGCGAGAAAAGGACGUAGCUCCGUAGAUAGCGCCCUGCCACAGAGACCAGAGAUAGUAGUACCUGAAGUGGUCUAGCUAAGAGUAUAAAAUGAAAGAUCGAAAUUAUUGUAAAUUGUAUACCAUAGUAGUACUUGUAAAGUGUCAUGUAAAGUAAAACUGAGAUGAAUAUUUAUAAUAGUUUAGUAAUUAUGUUUUUGAUACUUAUGCAAUCUAUGUGGAAUACUGUUUCUGGUUGGAACCUCGUGUAUUGCAUUGUACAGGUUACGACGCCUAGAACGUACAGGGAAAAUCUUGUCCGUUCGGCGGUCUGUUGGCGUGCCCGAAUCUGACCAAAGUGGUGGAGUUCGGGGCGUGACAUUGGGUCAGUGUGAUGUAUAUUUUUAUCUACAGAUAGCCUGUGUUGGUUAGCGAUAGUAUACUUAAUGGGUGAGCCAUUAAGGUCGGUGGCGAUGCUCACUGAGAACUAAUAGUUCUCACACCCAGUUGUUGACACUUUUUGCAGAGCCUUCGUCUGCGGCUGCUGCUGUUGCUUAUUCUAACCGAGAAAAGGGAGUCUCGAGUUAGAUUUUUACUUCCCUUGGUCGCUGUGCUAGCGGAUUACCAGUCAAAGGCAGUGGUUUUUGUUCAUAAACAUACUCUAUGUUCAGUAUAUUCAUUGGAGUGAGGUGUUAGUGUUGGUUCGGGAUUUUUGUAUGUACUAUGAACUUUAUGUUUUAUACAUAUUCAUGUUUCAGUUUAGCAGCUCGAUACACUUGGUUGUGGCUAUGAUUUGUUUACAGGUACAGUUAUCGCUUUGUAUACACGAAAAAUUUUUAGGUAUACGUCGGGUCUGGUGGCGUGCCCGGAAAAACGCGAUAAUCCGGGGCGUGACAAGUUGCACCGUUUCUAGAGAAUGUUGCCCUGUUUAGUAAAAAAUUACACUCUUUAAGAGAGAAAUUAUACUUUUUUUUUUAUGAAACUUAUACUUUUUAAAUAAAAGUUGCACUUUUUGAACAAAAAUUACACUCUUAAGUAAAAAUUAUAUUGUUUCUCUUCUUAUUCCUCUUUUUCUUCUUCCUCUUUGGUGAAUUUUCUAAAAUUUGGUUCAAAUCUGCCAAAUCCAAAAAGGUGGUCUACUUUUGCAAAUGCUCAAAAGAAUUUUUUAUGCAAAUUGACCAAAUUUUUAUAAUAAUAUAUUUGAAAAUUUAUUAUAAAAUUUAUAUUUGGAUGUGCUAGAUUUGAAGCCGAGAACUAUGCUAGAAAUAGAAUUUGGCCCAAAUCCGAAUAGACAUUACAUUAUAUUGAGUGUACGUGCAAAUAUACGUAACAAUUAUUUUAAUUUAUUUUAAAUCAAUAAAAAUUUGUAAUCAAAUUAAUUAAAAAAAAAUAGAAUAAAAUAUCUUAUAAAUUUAUUUGUUAUAUUUUAUUAGAAAAUAUCUACAGUAUCAAAUUUAAAUUUUAAUGUAAAAUGGAUAGAUAGAUUUGAUAUCAAAAAUCAAAAAUUAAAUUUAAUUCAUGAUCUAAACUCAAAUUUAAAUUUUAAUAUAAAAUAGAUGGAUAAAAAUACUAUUUUUUAAUAUAUUGAUCAUAACCGUUCAUUUUUAUUUUAAAUAUAUGAUCGUAACCAUUCGUAGAAUUGAAUUUAUAGAUGGGUAUAAAUAUUUUGUUUUAACUAAUUGAUUAUAAUCAUUUGUUUUUAUUUGAGAUAAUUUUUUACAAAUUGAUCAUAAAUUUGUACAUUAUAUGAAUUCAAAAAUAUGAUUUACAAAUUUAUCAUAUAUCUAGCUUUUAAUUGUUUUUAUUGUAAUACGUUGAUAGACCCAAAAAUUUUGAAUUGAAAUAUAGAUUUAUAGUAGAUAUUCUGUAAAAAAUUUGGAUAAGCAUGAAUUUUUUUUUAUUUUAGAGAUAAAAAAAAAUAAACAAAUUUUGAAUUAAAAUAUACAUGCACAAUAGUUAUCUUUCGGUUGGCAAAAAUUUGGAUAAAUAUAUUUUUUUCUAUUUUAGAGAUAAAGAAAAAUUAAAAGUUUGUUUCAUUAUAUUAUUUAUUUUACGUAAGGAAAGAGGAAUCAUUUUUUUUUUCCGCCAAAAAAUGGGUUUGUUGACAUACCGAAAUUUGAAAUACGUACUUUUAUAUAUAGUAUAGAUAUAGAUAAUAUACAUGAAUAUUUCAUGUUAUAUUUUAAUUUCUAUUUGCAAAAAAAAAUAUAGAAAUUAUCUGAACUGGAGCCAUUUUGAAUCAGUUAUCAAAUGUUUCAAAACGUUGAUUUUACUAUUUAACUUUUCAAUUUGUUUGAUUAGAGUUGGUCAAUAGUACUUUGAUUUUAAAUUUUAAAUUUUAAAUUAAUUACUUAAUUUAAUAAAUUUAUAAUUGCAAAAAUUAAAUAAAAUACAUUAAUUAAAUUUAUAAAGAUAAAUAAUAUAUUUAUAUUUUGAAGUUAAAGUGUUGUAACGGCCGACUCAAAUUAAAUAAAUUGAACGGUUGGUUAGUAAAUUCAAAAUUUUGAAUGGUUGGGAUCCCAUAUAAAUCAUCCUAUACAUUCCUAUCAUUGAGAAAUUUAAAUUUUAAUAUAAUAUGUAUAGAAAUACCUAAGAAAAAUGAUUGUUUUAGAUUUGGAAUUGAGUUUGAAUUUUUUGGUCAAAUUCGAAUUUGAUUUGGGUUCGAAUUUCAAAAACGCUGUCCGAAUCCGAUAGCUGUGGAAGUAAUUAAUCGACCUUGAAAAUUGGAAGCGCCCGCGAAAAGCUCGAGGAGAAUGUAAUGGGCCAGAAUAAUUAAGCUCGCCUUGAUCAUUAAUGCGUGCAUGGUGAGAACGAAGCGUUGCACUUGGCCCCUCCCCUCUCUCCAACCUUUCCUCUUCCCUCUCCAACUCUAUAUAUGCAAACCCAAUACCCUACUUCCAUUUUGCGACGAGCUCGAUCCAAGUUCUACAUUACCUCAAAAAGAAGGUCGUGAGGACAGCGAUGUCGCCUCCGAAACAUGAAACGGCAUCAUUCAAAGUCGUCGCUGAUGUCGGCAGAGACGGCACGACGGCGCUGGCGGCGUCAUACAACGACCGCAUCCGCCCCCUCCUUGACGCCGUCGAUUGCCUGCGGCACCUCAAGGUGACGCAGGAGGGCAUCCAGCUGCCCACCAUCGUCGUCGUCGGCGACCAGUCCAGCGGCAAGUCUUCCGUCCUCGAGUCCCUCGCCGGCAUCAGCCUCCCCCGCGGCCAGGGCAUCUGCACCCGCGUCCCCCUCGUCAUGCGCCUCCAGCACGACCCCGCCGCUGCCGUGCCUCUCAUUCAGCUUCAGUACUACAACCAAGAAAAAAAGCUCGUCACUGUCGACACCACCGAAGCCGGCGUCACCGCCGCGAUCCGGUCGGCAACCGACGUGAUUGCCGGCAGCGGCAAGGGCAUUUUGAACACCCCUCUCACACUCGUCGUGAGAAAGCGCGGCGUCCCCGACCUCACCAUGGUCGACCUGCCGGGAAUUACAAGAGUCCCCGUCCACGGCCAGCCGGAGAACAUCUACGAGCAGAUCUCCGACAUCAUCACGGAGUACAUAACGCCGAAGGAGAGCAUAAUUCUGAACGUGCUGUCGGCCACCGUCGACUUCCCGACCUGCGAGUCGAUCCGGAUGUCGCAGCGGGUGGACCCCACCGGCGAGCGCACCCUGGCGGUGGUCACGAAGGUCGACAAGGCCCCCGAGGGCCUCCUUGAGAAGGUCACCGCCGACGACGUCAACAUCGGCCUCGGUUACGUCUGCGUCCGCAACCGCGUUGGCGACGAGACCUACGAGCAGGCGCGCAAGGAGGAGGCGCGGCUGUUCGGCUCCCACCCGCUGCUGUCGAAGAUCGACAAGUCGAUCGUCGGCGUGCCCGUGCUCGCGCAGCGGCUGACGCAGAUCCAGGCGUCGAUUGUCACCCGGUGCCUGCCGGAGAUCGUCGAGAAGAUCAACGACAAGCUCCGCAAGUACACGUCGGAGCUCGACGACAUGCCGCGGAACCUCUCUACCGCGGCCGACGCCGUGCGAGUACUUUUCCACAUCCUCAAGCAAGCGCGAGAGACGCUCGAGAAGAUACUCGUCCGCGGGGACUUCGACGACUUCCCCGACGACCGCAGACUUCACGGCACGGCCCGCGUCGCCGAGAUGCUCCACAAGUACGCCGCCAAGCUCCCCGCAAUGUAUCCGACGGUCGCUAACGAGCUGUUCUUAAUGGAGGAGGUGCAAGUGCUCGAGGAGACGAAGGGCAUCCGGCUCCCGAACUUCCCCCUCCGGUCGGCGUUCCUAACGAUCCUCAGACGAAAGAUCAACAUUGUCUCUCCGCUGCCGCACGAGUUCGUCGCGGAGGUGUGGGCGUACGUCGAGAUCGUUGCGACGGAAGUGCUGCUGAAGCGCUGCGAGAACUACCCGCAGUUGCAUUCGGCGGCGCGGAGAGCGAUGCAGAGCCUGAUGGAGAAGACGCGGGGCCGGUCGGCUGAGUUCGUCGGCGAGAUGAUCGAGAUGGAGCUGGCGGCGGACUACACGUCGAAUCCGGAUUACGUGAAGUCCUGCUGCGAGAUGGAGCAGCAGCUGGACGUGUUUACGGAGGCCGUCAAGGACACGAGGAAGCCGCCGAAGGUGAACGUGAGGGGGGAGGUCGGAGAGGUGGACGUCGCGCACCUCAGGCAGCACCGGGAGGUGGCGGAGCAGGCGUUCGAAAUGCAUGUGAGGCUGGCGGCGUACUGGCGGAGCGUCGUGCUGCGGAUUGUCGACGGGGCGGCGCUGCACGUCCAGCGCAGUAUCCGGCGGGUGGUGGAGAGGGAGCUGGAGGCCGAGGUGGUGCGUGAGGCUGUCGGGAGGGCGGCGGCGGGGAUCGAUCUGAUUGUCGAGGAGGGGCCAGCGACGGCAGCGAAGCGGGAAAGGCUCAAGAAGAGGAUCGAACUCCUCAGGCAGUCCAAGGACGUGGUGGCCAACAUCACGGAUCGCAUAGCCAUAGAUAUAUAGUAGGUGCUGAAUGAAUUUAUAUACUUAUUAGUUAUACUAGUGAAGGCCCGCGUUUCGCGGCGAAAAAUUUACGUAAUUUAUCAAAUAUUUUGAACAACUCAUCUUUACCUGAGUUGUUUAAAAUUCGAAACGCAGAGAGCCCGGCCGUACCGGCUUAGGAUUUCCGAUUAAAAGGAUAUAUAGAUAUAGAUUUACAUUUUAAAUUUAAAAUUUUAAAUUACGUACAAAAUUUUAAUUUCUGUUAAGAAGAGAUUCAGUUUAAAAUUUAAAUUUAUAUUUAAUUUUUUUUAAAUUUUGUGGGUUCCACAGGAAAAAAGCAAAAAAAAAAGCCCGCUCCGCGUCGGCUCGCACUAGCUCCCGCUCGCGAUCCAUCAAAAUAAGAGAUUCGAUUUAAAAUUAAAAUUUUAAUUUUAAUUUAUAUUUAAAAUUAAAAUUUUUAUUUUUAUUUUUUGUAUGUAACUUAAAUUUAUAUUUAUUUUUUAAAAUUUUGUGGGUCCCACAGGAAAAAGCAUAAAAAAAAGCCCGCUCCGCGCCGGUUCGCGCCCGCUCCCGCUCGCCCGCAAUCCAUCAAAAUAAGAGAUUCGAUUUAAAAUUUUAAUUUUAAUUUUAAUUUAUAUUUAAAAUUUAAAUUUAAAUUUUUAUUUUUUGGAUGUGAGUCACAGUACUGCAAAAUAAGGGGAAAAAAAGUUAGAAAAGGGAGAAAAAAAGUCCUCUAGUGAUUAAUCAUAUAAUCUACCUUGCUAGAAAGAAGGAAAAGUAGUAAAAAGUAAUGAUAAUUUCAACAUUAAAUUCUCCACUUUUGCUGGGAAUUACAGGUUUGAUAAUCUAAAGACUUUGAAAGCGAAAAAGUGGUCACCUACUUUCAGGAAAAAAGAGGGAUUAUUUAUAAUGAGAGAACAAAUUUAUGAUGAGGCCAUUUUUUAGUAGAAUUCUUGCAUCUUCAAUGCAUCAACUCCCUUUGUAACCCUGUGAUCCCCACCAAGAUCAAUAAUGUUUAAUCAUAUAAACCAAAUUAUUGAAUGGGUCCUAAUGCUCGAAAUCGGGAUCUGAGGAUCAUUUGAGUUUUCGCUAUCUGAGAUCAUUUGUGGUUCUUACUUGAUGCUAUGCUUAGUUGUCCUCNUGCUCUCUCUCUCUCCCUCUGUUCUCUCUCUCUCCCCCUCUCUCUGUACGCUCUCUCUCUCUCUCCUCCCUCUGUUCAUUAUUCUGUCAAGGAUGAAUUUAAAAAUGUACUAUGCAAGCCUUUCUGCCUCGCUGGCUCGCCGCGCCGGCUCGCGCUCCGCGCGCCACCCCGCCGGCAGCACGUGCGCUUCGUCGCCAGACCAGCGCCCGCAGGCAACGCAUCGGGCCAGAGCCCCGCCCGCUCGCAGUAACGGCCGAUUGCUGCGGUCGCCGCGCCACUGCUACGGCGCUCGCUCUCCGCCGCCGCCGCAGAGUCGGCGCACCUCGCGUGGGCGUCGCGCCGUUCAGCGGAGAGCCGUCGGUAGCCGUCUCGCCGCGCGCGCCCCGCGCCGGAUCGCCCACUCGCCGAGCCGCCCCGCGCUCAGCGCGCUUAACCGUCGGCCCACGUUUCUGGCUGCGCCGCGCUGGGACGAGGGAGAGAAAGAGGAGAAGAGGGGGGGGGAGAGUGGGCAGAGACAAUGGGGCGGGAGGGAGGUAAGAGGAGGAGAGGGGACACGCGCGCGGGGGGCGCGGGCGGGCCCCCACGGGGCGACCCGAACCCGCCGGCGCAGUCACGCGACUUGUGGCCUCUCCGCGGGCAAAGAGAGAGGGGGAGGGCACCGGGGAUGGGGGUGGGCAGGGAAGAGCAGAGUAGAAGCGAAAGAAGGAAAGCCGGGGGGGGGGCCGCUACCAUAAUGCCCGGGUACUCUCUGGGGCGCGCACGAGCAGAGAGAGGGAGAGAGGACUGAGCUUCUCGCUCUCUCCAUCUACCUUCUACUCUGUCUCUCUUCCUCUCUCCCUCUGUUCUCUCUCUCUUCAAGCAACCCCUCUCUCUGUAACGCCUCUCUCUCUCUCUCUCCUCUGUUCUCUUCUCUCCCUCUCUCUCAUCGCCCGCGUGAGAGCACCGCAAAACGCGGGAGGGCCGCUGCAGAGGGCGGGGAGUUCCUGCGAGGCGACAGCGUGGCGGGUUGAAGGGUCGGCGUUUUAUAUAGUUGUAUAAGAUAAUGUAGUUUCUUUGCUUUGUGAGAGGUAUUGUGAUGUCCUUGUUUUUUCUUCCGUUUUGUGAGCAGUAUUUUGUGUUCUCACAGCACCUUAAUAUGGAAAUAUCAAACAAAAAAAUAUAAGCUAGGAUUAAAUUUAUAAUUACAUGGUUGAUGCACGAAUAACACAAUUCUUAUGAGUAACAAUUAGGCUCCAUAAGAUAAGUGAAUUGCGACGUUCGGAUUCGGAAGCAAUCAACUUAAAGAAAAAAAAAAAAAAACUGUUAAUCACACCAACACAAAGGAAGAAAAACAUUGCAGGAAACAUAGAGUCGAAUAUAGAAGAAAUAUGAUCUGGAUUAAUGAGGGAGAUUAUAUGUUCACGAUGUAAAAAAUCGACUACACUACGAGUAUUAUGGGAAAAAAAGAAAUAAAAAAUGAAAGUUAUAAAUAUUUGAAUAGAGAGAGAUCUUAAUUAAAAAAUAAUUAGUUGAAAAAUAUAAUUAGAUUAAUAAAAAUAAAUUAUCAAAAUAGAUUUUACCCUGUUUAAUGAACCAAGAAAACUUCUCUGAAAAGCGAUAAAACCAAAUAAAUAAUACUAAAUUACUUUUUGUAAGUGCAGUAAGUUUUACGCAAAUAACGCUCAUAUUUAUAAACGCUUAUAAAAAGAAUACGUAACAUUUUCUCUCGUAAACUGAAACUAAACAAAACAGAGACGACUGCAAGGUGACAAUUAUAUCAGAAAUAGAAUAUAAAAAAGAAUAUAAUCCGUAACAGAGAUAGAUAAUAAAACUAAGAUAAUAUGAAGGAUCUAGCUAUUAAAAACUGACCAUAACGUAUUAGAACAAACGAUAAUAAAUAGAUAUAUAAGAUAUGGGACUAAAGCUUAAUAUAUAAAUGAUAAAUAAUUUUAAUUUACUUUAUUUAUAGAAUGAGGUGUUUACGGGGUCUGAACGAAACACGAGAUAAUGAACACACGACUUCGGAAUAUUGCAACACAGCAACUUUUAAAAAAUAGAAUACGGAUACAACAUGAAUACUGCUAAUAAAAUAUAAUAUUAUUAUAAAUAGAGUUCGGCUACUAUGCUAUUAAUAGCACGAAGCACUUGAUAACUGACCAGUUUUUCGCCGUUAGAUCUACCCUUUGAAUCAUUUUCACCCAUUAGAUCAUAUUAUUCAACCAAACACUCACUCAACCUAGGGGCCACAUCAUCCUAACCAUACAUCUCUUAAUCAAUGGCCAAAACUUGAAGCACCAAUGACUUUGUCGCUAUUAAUAGUAUAGUGCUAAUUAUAUAUAUAUAUAUAUUAUAUAUAUAUAUAUAUUAUAAUAUUAUAUUAAUAUAUAUAUUAUAUAUAGUUACUAUAUAUAUAUUAUAUAUUAUUAUCGCAUUAAACAGCCGUCAGGAAAGUGUCCGACUCGGACACGCGCGUGUCCAACAUGGACACACGAGGCUUAUAGAAUUAUCUGUAAUAUGUAGGUGAGCAUUGUCUUUCUCAUUGUAAAUUAUUUAGGUCUCAAAAUGUAUAUGUAUGUCAUGGUAUAGAAAAUUAGUUAAUGCUUGGGAUAAAGUUUAGUUUAGCGAGUGUUUGGUUCCCCCAACAAAUAUUCUUUAAAAAAAAAAUUUUCUGGUUGGAAAGUAUUUUUCUUCCGUUUAUUUUGUAAAAAAAAAAAAUUUAUUUUUCAUUUCAAAUUUAUAAAAUAGUAUUUUUAUUUCCAAAAUAUGAGAAAAAGGUAUUUUUAAUAUAUUUUUUUUGGUGAAUAUAACUUCACAUGUUUUUUUUUUUUUUUUUUGUCCAGAAACCAAACACCACAUUACUUACCCACAUUUCACCUUGGGACUUUUUGUUAACCAAUGGGCACUGGGUGGUAGGGAUAGCCCAUCCUUCUAACAGAAAUUCCAGUAAUUAUGUUAAUUUAAUCAAUUAAAUUAGAUACUCGUACUUGAUUACAAUAACUUAAAAAAAUUAAGUUAAAACUUAUAAUAAAUAAAAAUUUAAGAACCAAAUGUUGUUAUGCGACUCCAAAAACCAUAAAUGAGUUUAGCCUAAAUAUAGUUUAAACAUUUAAGUCAGUGACAUAUUAAAAAAAAAAAAAACAGAAAUAUUAAAGAAUAUGUUUCCGUAAAUGACUUAUAUGACAUGUUACCACAAAAGCCGAAAAGAAUUUAGUUCGUCGGAUUUGAAAAUAUCAAAAAAGAUUUAAGAAUGAGAGAAGAAAAAUAAAACACACAAUAUUUACGUGGUUCGGCAACCAGUCUACGUCCACAGGUGAAAACAGAACCGAGACUUCCAUUAUAAUCAAAGGUCCAAAAAUACAACCAUACUUCUUUCUCAUCUGCCGCAUCAAAUUAAUAGAACAAAAGGGUAUAUUUAUAAUAGUAGCCACUACAACAGAAUUAGGUUAUAGGGACACAUGUUUGGGACACUUUUGAGUAAGUGUCCCAUUUAUACUAAAACUUAAAAAAAUAUCUACUAAUGUCUAAAUAUAAAGCCCAAUCUAACAAAAAACAACAGAUUACUCUACUCAACCCACCACACCUAGUCUAUUUGGCCCGAUUACAAACAGAAAAGAAAAAAAAAAAGAAAAAUCAAUUACCAUCUUUUUUUUCUCUCUUCACUCAAUCCACUGAAAUUCUAGACGAAGUGCCUUUCCUGUCGUCCUCCUCCGCCACCGCAGCCAACGAGAUAGAGUUUCGGCGGUUGUUAAAUGCUUAAAUAAGUGUCGGUAAAUUAGUAGCACUCUUUUAGGUUAUAGCGACACUCUUUAACUGUCACUAUAUACCUAGCGACCCCACAUUUAGCAACACUUUUUAAAAGUGUCGGUAAUUUUAGCUAGCAGCACUUUUUUGACAUGUAGCUACAUUUAAAAGUGUCGCUAUAAACCGUUUUUGUUGUAGUGAGCUAAAUUCUAUAUUAAAAAUACAAAUCUAUUAAGAUUAAAAAUAGCUCAAUUAUAUUAGGCAUAAUUUAAACUUAACUUAAUAGGAUAACCAAAAUCGAAUAGGGUUAGAAAUUUUACGGUUCUAGAAUUCGAAACAUAUCUAACAAUCUCCAUCAUGGCUUGAAUUCUCUGUCUUCUCCACCAAAUUCCAAAAAGCUCCUGAAGUGCUACCGCAUAUGCGAACAAGUUUACAGAAUACUUGAACUUGAUUUCCUAAAAACUUAAUGAGUAAAUCUGCGGGAUUCUCUAAAGUGUCAAUCUUCUUAUUUUCCAACUACGCCUUUUACAACCUUUAUUGCAUUAAAACGACAAUUUGCCGUAGAACGAAACUGCUGCAGCGAUCAAACUUUUCGAUCUCAAAUUUUGUCGACAUAUUAAACACUCAAACAAACACUCCGGCUCUGAUACCAGUUUGUUAUGACAAAAACCGAAAAAGAUCUAGUUCAUCAGGUGCGGAAAUACCAAAAAAAAAAUCGAGAAAGAGAGAAGAAAAAUAAAAUACACAAUAUUUACAUAAUUUGGCCACUGGCCUACGUCCACGGGUGAAGACGAAGCCGAGACGUUCAUUAUAAUCAAAUAGUAUACAAAAUAUGCCUCUCUCGUAAAACUCUAAUCCCAAAAAUACACACGUAUUUCUCUCAUCUGCCGCAUCAAAUCAAUGGAACAAAGAGUAUAUUUAUAAUAGUAGUUAAAUCCUAAUAUGAUUAGGAAUACAAAUCGACUAAGACUAAAAAUAUCUUAAUUAGAUUAGGCAUAAUCUAAACUUAACUUAAUGGAAUAAUCAAAAUCGAAUAGGGUUAGAAAAUCUAACGGUUCUAAAAUUUAAGACAUAUCUAGCAAUCUCCCUCUUGGCUUGAAUUCUCUAUCUUCUCCAACAUAAUUCCAAAAAACUCCUGAAGUGCUACUGCACAUGCGAACAAGUUUAUAGAAUACUUAGAUUGCCUAAAAACUUAAUAAGCAAAUAUGCGGGAUUUUCUGAAGUGUCAAUAUUCUCAUUCUUCAACUACGCCCUUUGCAACCUCUGUUAUAUCAGAACGAUAACUCAUCGUAGAGCGAAACUGCUAGAGCAAUCAAACUUUUUGAUCUCAAACUUCGUCGAUGUCUUAAACCUCAAAGGAUUAUUUUGCCAAAUAUUUUUUUAGUAAAGUUAUUUAGCUAAUUAUAAUAUUUUUUUUGGGAUUAUUUAGAAAAAAGUCCAAUCUAGAGAUUAUAGCAAAUUUUAGAAAAUAAAUGGAAACAAACGAAAAUAUAUAUAUAUAUAUAUAAUAUAUAUAGUAUAUAUAAAUUGAGCUAAAUCUUUUUAAAGCUCAAACCCCUUAGAUAGCCAGGUUUGUUCGGAAUCAAGCAAAAAGUGACUAUCGGGUAAGAAAUAAAUGAGGUAUAAUCAAGGGAUUAGAUCAAAUUUUGCGUUUGGGAUGACAAUUGAAGUUAUUUCUGUGAAUAAAAAAAAUAGGCGUUUGUUAGGUAAAGAAUGGAAUAAAAGGUCAUAGUGGGAGUUUGUUUAUAAAUUAAAAAAUAUGAUAUACCCCUCUUAUUAUAUUUGAAUUUGAAUUUUUUUAAAAUUUAAUUUAGAUUUCUAAAUAAUUAAGCUUUGAAAUUUCUAAAUUUAAAAUAAAAUUGAAAAUUAAAAAUCUCCAUUUCUAAAUCAAAAUUUUUAAAUUUUAAAUCAAAGCUUUAAAUUAAAAAUGCGAAUUUAAAUUGAAAAAUAUAAACAAUUAUCAAAUUUAAUUUCAAAAUUUAAAAUUAAAAUUUAAAUUUAAAUUUAAAUUCUAAUAAUUUAAAAUAUAACCUGUUAAUUUUGCGAUAUAAAUGGCUGGCAAAUGAGCGAGCCGGAGCUCAGCAUUCGACGUCGCGUUUCGACUCGAUAUUUGGCUCGUUCGGAGAGCUCGCUGACUCCGAAAUAAUGAGGCCGGCUUGAACAAAAAAGGCCGAAAAUUCAUUAUAAGCGAGUUUAGUAUUACUCGCUCGUUAGAUAUUAGCUCGAGGAGAGUCGAAAAGCUGAUAUAUAUUAUAAAUAUAAUAUAUGUAGAUACAGCGUAUGAUAUAUAUAAUAUAUAUAUAUAUAUAAUAUAUAUUAUAUAUAUAAUAUAUAUUUUAUAUAUAUAUAUAGUAGAGUAAAUAUCUAUUGACAAGUAUAUCGGAUCUGGUGCUAUUCGAUUUUUGAUUCUUAGAUAAACCCUUACCAUCAUUUCUUAUCUUUGUAUUAAUAUCUAUUGAUUUAUCUUGUAGGGGAUCACUCAAUCGCUUAGGUAUUUUAAUCCUAAAGAGGAGACGAGAUCCAACAUACAUCUUAAUCAAGAAGGUCAAAAAUUCACGAAAACAUCAAAUCCUCUAUAUUUUCAAAUAGGCAUAGUAGUUUCGACAAAUAAUAUAUAUAUAUACUAUAAUAUAUGUAAUACGUACUACUAUACUCUACGUAUAUUGAUAAUAGAUAUAUAUGUACUAUUAUACUAUAAUAAUAUUAUAGUUAAUAUUAUUAGUUGGCACGAAUCUAUUGUCACCAAAAUCCUAUUGUUAUGCUACCGCGAGUUUUUGUAGCCAUCUUCGAUCAAAGCGUCUUUUCACUAUUUUAACCAAGUAUGGAUUAUAGAUACUAUGUCCGCAUGGACACUCAACCCGAAUGGGGGACACUCAUCUAAUUGACUAAUAUAAUCCUAAACCUACAGUACAAUUUUUCAAUUCCAAAUGGGUAAAAUUUGAUAGCAAAGAGCGUUUUACUAUUAAUGAUUAUUUCAGCCUAAUAUAAACUAUAAUAUAUUUAUAUAUAUAUAUAUAUAUAUAAGUAUGAUAAUAGAAAUAUACUAAUAUAAUAUAAUUUUAAUUAUAUAUAGGCUGGUGAAUAACUCAGUUUAGUUAAAAUUGGGCCAAUGUUGUUGGCCCAUAAAACAAACCCAAUAGACAAAUAAAAGAGAAAAAUUUCACUAAAUUUGUACAUUUUUCCUUUCUUUCUUUCUUUCACAGAGUUCUAAAUUUUCAAUAUGUUUCUCUUUUUCUAUUUAUUUUGUCUCUCAUCCUAAAUGGCCAAGUCGGAAGCCCUCCAAGUUACCAAAUAACAGCAUAUGCCCGCCGUUGCCUACCUUGAUAUUAAUUGUAUGCUUGAGAAAAUAUACAUAAUAUUUUUAAAAUAAAAAAUUAUUAUUCAUAUAAAAUUUUAAUUUUAAUUAUAUAUGAUUGGAUAGUUUAAUCCAAUAUUUAUCUAUACAAUUUAUUUAUUUUUGACCGCAUAAAUGAAAAUGAAUAAUAUAGAGAUUGAAUGCGGAAGAGAAGACAUGUGAGGCUGAAAAGAUUAUAUAUUCAACUUAUAAAUUAUUUUUCUUCGUAUUAUAAUACUAAAUUUCAUAUAAUUAUUUUGUAUUUCGAACUAUUAGACAUAUUUUUGUAUCAAAUUAUAAAUAAUGUUCUAUACAAAUUAAACCAUUGAUCGAAUGAUGUUGAGAAUUUCAAGCGGCUCGUUUAGGGCUCGAGCUCGCUCGACUCGAAAUUAGGCUCGCUCGAGCUCGACUCGAAUUAAUUUCAAUCCAAGCUUGAGCUUAAAUUUAGGCUCGAAAUUAAUUUCAAGCCGAAUUUGAGCCGAGNNNNNNNNNNNNNNNNNNNNNNNNNNNNNNNNNNNNNNNNNNNNNNNNNNNNNNNNNNNNNNNNNNNNNNNNNNNNNNNNNNNNNNNNNNNNNNNNNNNNNNNNNNNNNNNNNNNNNNNNNNNNNNNNNNNNNNNNNNNNNNNNNNNNNNNNNNNNNNNNNNNNNNNNNNNNNNNNNNNNNNNNNNNNNNNNNNNNNNNNNNNNNNNNNNNNNNNNNNNNNNNNNNNNNNNNNNNNNNNNNNNNNNNNNNNNNNNNNNNNNNNNNNNNNNNNNNNNNNNNNNNNNNNNNNNNNNNNNNNNNNNNNNNNNNNNNNNNNNNNNNNNNNNNNNNNNNNNNNNNNNNNNNNNNNNNNNNNNNNNNNNNNNNNNNNNNNNNNNNNNNNNNNNNNNNNNNNNNNNNNNNNNNNNNNNNNNNNNNNNNNNNNNNNNNNNNNNNNNNNNNNNNNNNNNNNNNNNNNNNNNNNNNNNNNNNNNNNNNNNNNNNNNNNNNNNNNNNNNNNNNNNNNNNNNNNNNNNNNNNNNNNNNNNNNNNNNNNNNNNNNNNNNNNNNNNNNNNNNNNNNNNNNNNNNNNNNNNNNNNNNNNNNNNNNNNNNNNNNNNNNNNNNNNNNNNNNNNNNNNNNNNNNNNNNNNNNNNNNNNNNNNNNNNNNNNNNNNNNNNNNNNNNNNNNNNNNNNNNNNNNNNNNNNNNNNNNNNNNNNNNNNNNNNNNNNNNNNNNNNNNNNNNNNNNNNNNNNNNNNNNNNNNNNNNNNNNNNNNNNNNNNNNNNNNNNNNNNNNNNNNNNNNNNNNNNNNNNNNNNNNNNNNNNNNNNNNNNNNNNNNNNNNNNNNNNNNNNNNNNNNNNNNNNNNNNNNNNNNNNNNNNNNNNNNNNNNNNNNNNNNNNNNNNNNNNNNNNNNNNNNNNNNNNNNNNNNNNNNNNNNNNNNNNNNNNNNNNNNNNNNNNNNNNNNNNNNNNNNNNNNNNNNNNNNNNNNNNNNNNNNNNNNNNNNNNNNNNNNNNNNNNNNNNNNNNNNNNNNNNNNNNNNNNNNNNNNNNNNNNNNNNNNNNNNNNNNNNNNNNNNNNNNNNNNNNNNNNNNNNNNNNNNNNNNNNNNNNNNNNNNNNNNNNNNNNNNNNNNNNNNNNNNNNNNNNNNNNNNNNNNNNNNNNNNNNNNNNNNNNNNNNNNNNNNNNNNNNNNNNNNNNNNNNNNNNNNNNNNNNNNNNNNNNNNNNNNNNNNNNNNNNNNNNNNNNNNNNNNNNNNNNNNNNNNNNNNNNNNNNNNNNNNNNNNNNNNNNNNNNNNNNNNNNNNNNNNNNNNNNNNNNNNNNNNNNNNNNNNNNNNNNNNNNNNNNNNNNNNNNNNNNNNNNNNNNNNNNNNNNNNNNNNNNNNNNNNNNNNNNNNNNNNNNNNNNNNNNNNNNNNNNNNNNNNNNNNNNNNNNNNNNNNNNNNNNNNNNNNNNNNNNNNNNNNNNNNNNNNNNNNNNNNNNNNNNNNNNNNNNNNNNNNNNNNNNNNNNNNNNNNNNNNNNNNNNNNNNNNNNNNNNNNNNNNNNNNNNNNNNNNNNNNNNNNNNNNNNNNNNNNNNNNNNNNNNNNNNNNNNNNNNNNNNNNNNNNNNNNNNNNNNNNNNNNNNNNNNNNNNNNNNNNNNNNNNNNNNNNNNNNNNNNNNNNNNNNNNNNNNNNNNNNNNNNNNNNNNNNNNNNNNNNNNNNNNNNNNNNNNNNNNNNNNNNNNNNNNNNNNNNNNNNNNNNNNNNNNNNNNNNNNNNNNNNNNNNNNNNNNNNNNNNNNNNNNNNNNNNNNNNNNNNNNNNNNNNNNNNNNNNNNNNNNNNNNNNNNNNNNNNNNNNNNNNNNNNNNNNNNNNNNNNNNNNNNNNNNNNNNNNNNNNNNNNNNNNNNNNNNNNNNNNNNNNNNNNNNNNNNNNNNNNNNNNNNNNNNNNNNNNNNNNNNNNNNNNNNNNNNNNNNNNNNNNNNNNNNNNNNNNNNNNNNNNNNNNNNNNNNNNNNNNNNNNNNNNNNNNNNNNNNNNNNNNNNNNNNNNNNNNNNNNNNNNNNNNNNNNNNNNNNNNNNNNNNNNNNNNNNNNNNNNNNNNNNNNNNNNNNNNNNNNNNNNNNNNNNNNNNNNNNNNNNNNNNNNNNNNNNNNNNNNNNNNNNNNNNNNNNNNNNNNNNNNNNNNNNNNNNNNNNNNNNNNNNNNNNNNNNNNNNNNNNNNNNNNNNNNNNNNNNNNNNNNNNNNNNNNNNNNNNNNNNNNNNNNNNNNNNNNNNNNNNNNNNNNNNNNNNNNNNNNNNNNNNNNNNNNNNNNNNNNNNNNNNNNNNNNNNNNNNNNNNNNNNNNNNNNNNNNNNNNNNNNNNNNNNNNNNNNNNNNNNNNNNNNNNNNNNNNNNNNNNNNNNNNNNNNNNNNNNNNNNNNNNNNNNNNNNNNNNNNNNNNNNNNNNNNNNNNNNNNNNNNNNNNNNNNNNNNNNNNNNNNNNNNNNNNNNNNNNNNNNNNNNNNNNNNNNNNNNNNNNNNNNNNNNNNNNNNNNNNNNNNNNNNNNNNNNNNNNNNNNNNNNNNNNNNNNNNNNNNNNNNNNNNNNNNNNNNNNNNNNNNNNNNNNNNNNNNNNNNNNNNNNNNNNNNNNNNNNNNNNNNNNNNNNNNNNNNNNNNNNNNNNNNNNNNNNNNNNNNNNNNNNNNNNNNNNNNNNNNNNNNNNNNNNNNNNNNNNNNNNNNNNNNNNNNNNNNNNNNNNNNNNNNNNNNNNNNNNNNNNNNNNNNNNNNNNNNNNNNNNNNNNNNNNNNNNNNNNNNNNNNNNNNNNNNNNNNNNNNNNNNNNNNNNNNNNNNNNNNNNNNNNNNNNNNNNNNNNNNNNNNNNNNNNNNNNNNNNNNNNNNNNNNNNNNNNNNNNNNNNNNNNNNNNNNNNNNNNNNNNNNNNNNNNNNNNNNNNNNNNNNNNNNNNNNNNNNNNNNNNNNNNNNNNNNNNNNNNNNNNNNNNNNNNNNNNNNNNNNNNNNNNNNNNNNNNNNNNNNNNNNNNNNNNNNNNNNNNNNNNNNNNNNNNNNNNNNNNNNNNNNNNNNNNNNNNNNNNNNNNNNNNNNNNNNNNNNNNNNNNNNNNNNNNNNNNNNNNNNNNNNNNNNNNNNNNNNNNNNNNNNNNNNNNNNNNNNNNNNNNNNNNNNNNNNNNNNNNNNNNNNNNNNNNNNNNNNNNNNNNNNNNNNNNNNNNNNNNNNNNNNNNNNNNNNNNNNNNNNNNNNNNNNNNNNNNNNNNNNNNNNNNNNNNNNNNNNNNNNNNNNNNNNNNNNNNNNNNNNNNNNNNNNNNNNNNNNNNNNNNNNNNNNNNNNNNNNNNNNNNNNNNNNNNNNNNNNNNNNNNNNNNNNNNNNNNNNNNNNNNNNNNNNNNNNNNNNNNNNNNNNNNNNNNNNNNNNNNNNNNNNNNNNNNNNNNNNNNNUUUCCAUUUUGAGCCAAAUUUACUUUGUAAGGUUCAAAUUUUUGUUUUCCUUUUAGUGCAAUGUUCAAACAAUAGUAUUUAUCUUUCAUUCAAAUUUUUGUUUUCCUUUUAGUGCAAUGUUCAAACAAUAGUAUUUAUCUUUUCCUCCAAGUUCAGAUUUUUGUUUUUCGUUAGUAUCAGUUAGAUAAGCAAAAAUCAUAAAACUGUAAAUAAUUAUAAUCAAUUAUGGAUAGGAUUCGCGACGCGCUCUUCUCCGCGAUCUGCGCUCUCUCCGACCUUCUGCCGGGAUCUGCGACGGGAUGGGGUUCUAGCAAGGAUCUUCUCCUCCUCCCCCUCCCCAUUUUGCGAUCGAUCAGAGAAGCUCGCGAGCCCCCGCUCCCUCUCUCUGGUGCCCAUGCCCUGAGUUGGAAUACGAUUAUUCUAUGCUAAACACUGCGUAUCCUGGUUCAUAUCUUCACUCCACAUAGGUAAGGAUGAAGUAAUCUGCUUCGUUAUGUAUAUGGCAUCAAUUGCGUCUCUAGCAAGUGUUCAUCUUUGAUCUGAGAAUGCAUGCUUGAGACACGCAUCGUCGAACUACCUACUGAAUCUGUUUCGAUACUAGGGCCUGUUCGGCCCUGCUGUAAUUUGCGGUGCUGUGUGACGAAGUGCUGGCUUAGCACAGUUAUUCGAAGAAGCAUCAUACUAGAAUAGAGCCAGAUUGAAGCUACUACUGUAUUUGAGGCUCAGAAUCUCAUUUCUGUUUCCUAUUAUAAUUGAAGCGCUAGAGUUUUAUCUUUGCGGAACGCUUUACUAAAGGACCCUGCUGCUGCUGCAAAUAGAACUAGAAGCUAGAAGUUGAAUUUGAUAUUAUAUGUGUUAGAAUAACAUUUUAUAGAUAUUUAUUUGAAGAAUCAAAUGAAAAUAUUCUCGAAUAUCAUCCAAAGAUGUUGAAAGAAUUCCUGGAAGGAACAGAGUCAGCUGGUUUCAUGUAUCCAAGGUAUUUAUCCAUAGAAUACCAAAUUUUGAUAUAGCCGAAAGGGAAAAGCGUUUUAAUCCAGAUAAUGAGAAGUGAACAUAUCCCGAAAUUAGUCCAAUUUAGUUAGUAAUUUAGUUGCCCGGUAUAUGUUUAAUCUGGUUUUACUUGGGUCUAUAUAUGAAUUCGGAGCUCAUAGAUCUCUCAUUUUAUUAAUUGAAUGAUUUCAUAUCUAUUCUGUACUAAAAAGUAUUAUUGGAGCUUGAAGUUAAAUUAUAAUCCUGGAAUCCUCAUGUUUUUAUGGUGUUACUCUAAGGCUUAAAUGCUGUGGAACCUGUCUCUGAGAUUAUUACUUGGUUACCCUUGAAUUUUUAAGUUGUAAGAACAAUCCUGCGAGAAGAAAUGUUGAAUUUAAUCUGUUUCGUGGCUUAAAUUGACAUUAAUUCAUGUUACAGUGCCGUUGAUCAGUUUAAAAAGCAGUUUGCAUACCUUGAAGAACAUUAUGGAAAUGGAGCUCUCUCCGCGUCCUCUCUCUGGCACCCUCUCCGACCUCCCUCUCGCGAGCCCCAAUGCCCUCUCCCUGGUGCUGCCUGUUCGACGAAAUGCCGAGGUGAUCAUGGGGCUCUCAGCGGGCAUCGGAGAGGUUUCUAAAGUUUGUCUUAUCCGAUUCAAAUUUGCAUGGAUGAGAACGCAAAAUAAUAGUGUAAAAUAACUGCUUAUUCAAAGGGCACUAAAGGAGCAAAAAAACAAAUAUAUAUCUUCUUCAUCUUUGUACAUGCUAUUUGUUAAUUAGUGAUGUCGACACUAUGGAUGGCUUGCUUUGCAGGCAACCAGUGCCUCUUAUCUGUGCUGCAGGUGAUUUGGUUCUGACGCUACUAAGGCAAAGGAAAAAAAGUUGCUGUGGAUCCGAUCAGUGCUUGAUAAAUGGGGAAGGCUUGAGCAAAAUGUAUGUACCUUGCCCGCCAAGCUUUGUUCUUAGUGUCGCUCUGUACUUAUGAAUAGACUAUUUCUAUCUAAAUUGACCUAGGUUAUUUUGUAUGGUUUUGGUUUUGGGUCUGGAAUGUUUGCAAUAUAUAUUUAGUUACUUUCUUACUUUAUUCUUAUAUAUAUUUUUAAACUGUAUAUCUGUAAUGCAAGUCUCAUGUAAAAAAAAUUCAGUCAUUCUAUGGUGCCUGUUUAAUUAUUGUAAUAUAUACAUUAUGAAAGUAUCCCAUUAAUAAGAUUAUUAUUAUCUGCAUAUAUAUGUUUGUCUUUCUCAUAAUUACAUGUUUUGUUGUCAUUCCAUUAAUUUAUAUUUCUUUUCAAAUUUUAAUUGAAAGUUUCAUUCCUUUUCUUGCCUGAUUUCAUUAAUACUCUGAUUUUGAGCUAAUUUUCUUUUCUUUUUUUUUUUUAACUUUCUCUUCGCUUAUUUCUACCUAAUCUAGACAGAGAAUAUUUAAAAUAGUAUUGUUUUUAUUAUUUCUCAACUUUUAUAAUUUAUCGAAAUUAUCCGCAGCGAAGCGCGGAUUCUUCACUCGUUUGUAUAAAAGGUCACUUACUUUCCAGACAAUUUCCAAAAAUCCCUAACUUUUCAUCUUCUUAUAUAAUUACUUUAGUUUUUAGUUUUUCUUUCAUUAAUGUUCCUAAUGAGCAUCUUUUGAGGAAUUUAAGAAUAUAUUAUCAGCACUUCUAUCUUUAAUCCCCUUCUUCGCAGGUUUGCCCCGCAAAAAUCGUACACACAUUUCUGUACUAUAAUUUUGCCCCAUCUCGUUUAAUAAUCUGUCCUUGUAAAUUUCAUAAUGAAUAUGCAAUUCAAAGAUAAAGCUAUAGUAAAAGAAUAAUAAAUAAGACCACCGGCAGAAUAUUCCUAAAUUCUACUAACAGAUGCUCGACAAGGACUUUGUUUGGAAAAAAAAACAAAAAAAACGUAAAAUUUAAGGACUUAUAUGAAAAGAUGAAAAGUUAUGGACUUGUUUAGAAAUUGUUUUAAAAGUUAGGGACCUAUACAGAAAUUCUCCUAUCACUAUUAUAUAGAUUUCUUUAGAUUGGGUAGUUAGAUUUCCAUCUUAUAAGACAAAUGGCAUAUGCAAAAUUCAUACGAUCCAAACAAGAACUUAAUAGUUGCUUUAAAAAAGGGGGGUAAAAAAAAGAGCUAGACCAACAUGUCUACCUAGGUAAUCUAGAUAUGAUGCAUAAAAGUCUUUCUUACAAAUUGAUCCAGGAAAUCUUGUCACAAAUUUGUACCUAAUAUACCUGCAACUAUGAACAGACACACACAAUAAUCUAUCCCACUUUGAGGCAAUGUUCAAUGAUAAGUAACAAAAUAACACAAUUGGCAAACAAUAAGAAGUGAUGAUAAGGGAAAUGCCUUUUACAAUGUUUGAUGAAGCAGCCAACUGCUUGGCAGAGGGAACCUCUAGCUGCUUGGGCAUCUAGACGAUUGCCUAAAGACUUAGGCUUAGUUUGGUAUUAAGGUCUAUCCAACGCUAUUAGAUAAAAUGAAGUUGAGGAAAAAGCAUAUAGGAAUAUGUUUCUGCGUUCUCCGGUGGGACCGCAGAAAAUAUAUCAUAACCGACUCAUCAAAAAUAUAUCAUAACCGAUUCAUCGCGAUAUGCGGAACGCAAUAUUACGUACGGAAACAAACAGGGUAUUUUCCAACGUACUUUCUCACCGCACGUAACACAAUCUCUCCGCAAUCCCAAACGAAGCCUUAGGCAGUCAGUUAAUCACUUUGUUAAACAAACUCUCUUACUAGACCACUACAUAACUAAUUGUAGCAUAAUCUGUGGACUACGUACUACUUAACCACGUCAUUCAGUACUAAAAAGAUAAAGUUCAACAAGAUAGACUACAAGGUGUAAAUUUUGUGUCGCAAUAAAAGACUCGUUUCAUAUUUCACCGGAUAUUAUUUCAAAGAAACAUCUUGUCAUCAUUUGGUCACUCAACAUUGUUUCCCAAUUAAUUCACAUAUUAAAGAGCAUAACUAUGUUAAAGAUUUAGCUAAGCAUGUAGAUGGCGCUUUUGAGAACCAUAGUUGUUUACUUGUUAGCAUGACAGCACACAAUACAAAAUAUAAUAACUAAUUAUAAUAAGAAAAACAACUCGCAAUUAGAAAAUAUAAUAAAUGCCAUUUUGCAUCCGGAAGAUACUAAUGGUCUGAUGCAGGUCAACACAUGAUUUGUGAUAACAAAAAGCCAAUAACAACCUAAGCAGAACAUAUUUAAUAGCAUGCACAAAUUUAAGGCCGAUUGAUUUAAUCAAAUUGUGUAAAUUUUGGCUAAAUAUGAUUGGGCUUAAUCCAAACUCAGACAAACUCGGAGUGCAAACCUAUGCUGGUUAAUUAAAUUUUAAAAUUUGACAAUGACUAUAAAUGACAUAUGUAAAGACAAAAGCAUGUAACCGUAAGUAGUUGGCAUCGAAAGUGAGUUCACAAGAAAUGUAACCAAAUCACGCUUAAACAGUGUAAAGGGGGGUGGAUCAUCAUUAAGAUAAUCUGUAUCCUUAUAUAUCUUUUUUCGCAGUUCACAAUAUCAAGAUUUCAGCAAUGAAUAAGAGCUGCAUAUAGAUCAGCAAGCUAAAACUAAAAAGAGAAUAACUGAAUAGGUUUUGAGCUUAUAUAUAAACAUUACAAAACUGUUCACAAACUAAUUCAUCAAAUACAGAUAUGUCCCAGAAACAAUAAGAUCCACUAAUACUACACGAUAAAACUUAGAUGGCAUGCUAUACAUAUUACCACAUUAUUGUCAGAAAAAAGAUAGUGGAUGGUGCUUCAAUUAAAAAACACUGGAAAGGAGGAAUGUUAUUAAAUAGAUUAGCAUGAAAUUAAAGAGGAUCAAUCAUUUUCUUCUGAAAGGGGGAAAAAUUGAUAUCUUGAUUCACGUAAAACUGUUCUUCCACUUUAGUGGUUAUAUUACCAUCCUAAAGCCAUAUGUACAUAUAAGAAAGUGUACGCGCUUGAAUAAACAAGUUACCAUAAUUGCUCGUAAGCUAUGUACGAAUUAAUCAGAAAAGAGCCAGCAUGCCUAUCUAGCCCAAUGCGAUUAGGCUAUGCUGCAUAGAGUCUCUAAUUUCUGUUACAAAAUUCAGUUCAUCAAACGGGUUUCACAAACUAGCAUAAUCUGUGAGCAGGGCCACUGACAAUUUCACAACAAGAUACUAUUAAGCUGAACACCACAAGCAAUGAUUACGUUCAAGUGAUGUCAUGCGUUUAAUUAUUAAGGUUUAAUUAUCAGUUCACAACACUCGACUUUAAGAGUUCUCUCAGUUUCUGCUUUGUACUUUCUUAUUUUACCGAACUAUGCAUUGAGCUUCAAAUUUUAUAUGAAUCCCUGCAUUUCACCAAACAAGAAGUAGCGAACGUCAAGUACGGUUAACAACUAUUUGAAUAUUCUGUCCAAUUGGCCCACUAAUCCUUCUCUUAAACGACAAACAUCAUCCACUCCAGUCACCGCUAGGUGGAGCAAAAGGAUAAUUUCUCAAUUUUAGCUAGACAGUGUUUGUAGUUCGGUCUCUCAACAGUCAAUUCUUAAUGGCAGAGUGCUAUUUACAAAGAAAUGCUUAGAUACUGAAUUCUAUAUGUUCAAUUUGCACUUCAGCUCCUCUCCUUCUGCAGCAUUUAGAUAAUCUACUAUCAAUCACUCACCAACUCAGGCCUUAUCGAAGUCCGAAGAUGAAGAUUUUUGCUGUGUUAGAGGAAAUAUUACGUUUCCUUUAAAAUUCUACUAUCUAACAACACAGCGUAGAAAGUGCUGUAAAACAUGAAGUACACUGCAGAAAGUGAAAGCAACCCCUUAAGGAUCAGCGCAGUACACUGUAACUAAGAUAAUCGAUAGAUAGCCAUUAGCUCAUGAUGCAGCACUGAGAUAACAGGAUAGACGCCAAUCGCCAGAUAUAGACGAACAAAGAUAAGAUCGAGAAGGCACAGACCGAGAAAGUCAAAUUAGAAACUAUAAAAGCAUCAUCAAAUCCAUUUAUCUUUACAGGUUAAAGCAAUCACCCACCAGCCGGUUCGAUCUCAACGCCCCGCAGAAUCCUCGAGAACCAAUCUCAUACGUCGGGCCAUCGCAUCCAUCUCAGCGAGCCGCUGCACCUUCCACCUCCUCAGCAGGUCGCUCUCGUCGGCGCUCGGCCCCGAAUCCCCGCUCGGCCGGAGCUCUUUCAGGCACUCCUCAAACACGUCGAGGAUGGCCCUAGCCAAAACAGGUUCUUGCCCGUCCUUGGCGGCUCCGCCAACUUCGUUCGCAUGUAAAGGCUCCUCCUUUAUGGUGACGGGAUGGGUGGCGACCGCAAUGCGGGGCUUCUCUUCUUCGGGUUGGGAGGUGGGAGGAGGGGCGGGGAGAGGGAGAGGGGCGGUGUUGGUGGUAUCUGUUGCCGCGGUGGAGUGCGGAGCAUUGAUGGGAGGGGGAGGGGUGUCGGCGGGGCGCGGAGAGGAGGCAGGGCGGAUUGGCGGGGCGCUUGUUGACCGCCCUGCCGGGGCGACGACGGUCGGGCGGAGAGAAGGGAGGAGGAGGAGAGGGGGGUGCCAGAGGCGGGUGCACGAGGUGGAGGAGGUUCGCGCGUUCGUUGGGGGGCGAGCGAGAGGUCGUGGCGCGGAGACCGUGCGGACAUGGUGCGAUCUCUCUUGCGUCGCGCCGCAGCUUCUCGGAAGCUGCGAGCGUGGUAGGGUGCGCAUGGACUCGGGUGAUGAACUGAGUCGUCGAAGAGAUUCAGUCGCGGGAGAACGAUCCCUGGGCCAGCACCCAGGAGCCCUGGAGGAAAGGAAUCUCGUCGCUCCGACCACGCGGAUGGAACUUGAAGAGCUGCUUCUGCUGGCUGACUGCUGCAACGCAGUCCCGUGCAGCGGCGUCGGGGGAGUGCCGCCGUCGCCGGCGCCGAUCCGUCUCGCGUAUCGGCGGCGGCGGCGGCGGACGGGUUGGGUCGUCGCAGUCUUCGAAGAGGAGGGAGACGAGGGUCGGGAGGGGGGGAUAGGGUCGAGGGCUUCGGCUUGAUGGGAGCUUGCGCAGCGAGGAGGUUGUGGUUGGUGGGUUAGGGUUAGGAAUUAGGUUUAGGGUGGUGAGGGCUUGGGAUUUGGAUUGGAGUUGGGGUUGACCUCGCAAGGGAGCCAUGGUCGCGCGCGCGCGGAGGAAGAAGUGGUGGGUGGAGCAGGGUAGGAUUGGUGGGAGUCGAGGUAUAGGUUAGUUAGGUUAGUAGAGUUUGGAACGAGGGGCGGGGGGGGGGGGGCGGGUUCGGGCAUUCGAGACAGUAUUGUGGUUGAGAUGGGGCGGUAAAAGAAGAAGAGGAUUGAUUGAUAGAUGAUUGAAAGUUGCGUAGGAGAGUCAUUCCGUGAAGAAGUUUGUUUGGGACCGAUUGGUUGGGUGAAGAAGGGCUCUUAUUUAUCUUAUUUUUUCUGAUCCACAAAAUAUUCCCAAAAUGAAAUGGCUAGUAGGAGUAUAAAAUAUGAUAAUAUUCAAUCUAUUCACCUAUUUAUAUUUCUAUUUCUACGUCACUUAUAUAUUUUAUUUUAAAGUUAAGAAUAUUAUCUGUAUACUUUAUUUUAUUAUAAGAAGUAAAUUAGGAUUUAAAAAAUUUUCUCAAAAUUUUGUAUUAAAAAAUUAAUAAGAUAAAUUAGUAUAUCUUAAAAAUAGACUUUGAGCCUCCGUUUGGUUCGGGGUUAAGAAAAAACUAACUAUUCCAGGGAUAUGGUUAAGUUCAGGGUUAAAGUGGGGUUAAAACUUUUUUGUGUUUGUUUGGGGGUUGGAGUUAGUCUAGAAUAAUAAAAAAUAGUGUUUGGUUGGAAUAGGUAGGAUAAGAAGAUAAUGAUUGAUAAAGAAGGAUAAUGAUUGGUUGGAGUAGGUGGGAUAAGAAGAUAAUGAUUGAUAAAGAAGGAUAAUGAUUGUUUGGAGUAGGUGGGAUAAGAAGAAUAAUGAUUAAUAAAGAAAGUAAAAUUACUAAAAUAGCCUCACUGUAAUCAUUUAAAAUAAAUAUUUUAUUUAUUAUUUUAAAAAUUCUAUGCUUGCAAAUUAUUAUUAUGAGAAUUAAAAUUAUAUAAAUUUUUGCGUAAUUGUAUACCAAAAAUUAUUGUCCACUACUCUUUUGUAAUUUUGAAAAAUUCCUCAAAUUUUCAAACAACAAUAUAAAAUUAUCAUAUUUUUAAAUUUCACUCACAAUAGUAUUUCCUGAACUACAAUUAAUAUUUUAGUUAUAAUAUCAUUUUAACCCUCCAAAAAUACUAAUUUCCAACCUUUCAAAUUUAGCCCCUAGUGGAGUUGAGUAUCGUUAGGCGUUUUCAAAUCCGAUUUGUUCCGAUCUUUCAAACUUUGCAUUGCUAUUCGAAUAUCAUUAAUAAUUCAGAAAUAUUUACGUACAUCAAGUCAAUCUGCACAUCAACGAACAUUUACACAGAUAACAACACAUUGAAUCAAAAAAAAAAACAUAUACAACCAAAACAUUUUGAAAGAGUACAAAUAUAUAACAGAGUAAAAAAAUAAGAAUAUCUACCAACAUAUCUACCUACCAAUAUUCAACGCAGAAAAUAUCAUCACAAUAUAUAACAUUAAUACAUGUUCCAUAACAGGCAUAAAUAAGCAAGUAUUACAAAGCGUAUCCAUCUCAUACAUCAUCAUCUUACAAUUGUCAAAUAACAAUAUAACCACUACACUCAAUUGUUCCACAAUUGAUUUGUAAUAUUAGCACGUAGAUCCUCACCAUUUUGGGAGUCCUCAAUUACUCCCACUAAAUCGCCCACUCCACCUUCAUUUUCAGCGUACUGUUCAUCUGGACCCUCAUCAGAGAAAAUGUUAUCAUUUGUUUGGUGACGGCGAAUAAAAUUAUGUAUUAUAAAACAUGCCAUAGCAAUCAAGCAUUGAACUUUAUACGAAAACGGUGUUGCUACAUUUAGAAUUUUGAAACGCUUCUUCAAAAUGCCAAAUGUCCUCUCAACCACAUUCCUUAAUUGAGCAUGCCGGUGGUUAUACAAAUCUCGUGGAUUUCGAUAAAUGCAGGCUCGUGUGCUUGCGUCAAACUGAUUAAUAUGGUAACGCUCUCCUCUAUAGGGUGCAAGAAAUUUUUCAGUAUUUGCAUAUCCCGAGUCUACUAAGUAAUACUUGCCUGCAAAUAAUAUAAUAACCAUAUGUCAUUAGUAUAAAAAACUUAUCUACAAUAGUGUUCAUAUAUAUUUAAAUUUAAUAAAAAAUUUAUUAGCAACACUACCUUCGGGAACAACGAAACCACCUCUUUCGCAUGCCCAUCGAAGUACUCUCAUAUCGGCAGCAGAGCCUUCCCAUCCUGUGCAUACAAAUAAAAAAUUAAGAUCAAAUGACACCGCAGCCAUCAUAUUUUGUGAGGUGAACCCUUUUCGACAUCGAAAUGGUGCUUGUUUACUCCUUUCGACCACUACUGGAAUAUGUGUUCCGUCGAUCGCACCAAUAGCAUUCUACAGUUUACAAAAGAAAAGAUAAAAACAUUAGUAAUAAAUUUUAUUUAUACACCAAUGUAUUAUACGUAUAAGUGUGUAUGGUUACCUUGAAAGGAUGAAAAUUUGGAUUAUCCCGAAUUCUUGGAUGCACGGCAGCAUUACUUGACGGCAACAUUAUGUAGUCAUCUUUUAGCCUCACAAUGCCGCGUAGUACAUUGUUAAAAUGCCUACUGAUGGUUUCUCCGGAAUGUUGGAAUGUUUCCGCCAAUAUUCGGUUUGCCACGCCAUGCCCUACGCCAUAUAGAAAUAUGCCUAACUGCUCAUCAGCAGUCAUAUUUCUUGUGCUACUUAUUAACCCCCUCUCGACUAAAGCAUCGCGGAGUGCAAUAAAUGUAGUUGCACUCAUACGAAAGUGAUGGCAGCAACGUUCAUGAUGACCAGAUAAGAUAUCACACAACAUUUGAUGUCCGGUAAACGGCCGAGUCCGACACCUUUGUCUGGGUACUCUAUUUGCAACUGGUUCAGAUUCUAACUCAAGUAGCAUCAUAGCCUCGAUAGAUUCAUCAUCGUCAUCUAAUAUUGUCAUAAUGGUGGAUAUGGUCGCUGAAGAAAAAAUUCUUUUGUAUAGUGGGUUCGCCAUUAAUGUCUUUCUAAUUGCAACUGUUGUAAAUACCGAAUAAAUCAGCACUUAAUAAUAAAUAACAAAAAUAAAUAAAUACACACGAACAUAUAACUAUAGCAAGAGGUAAUAUAUAUGGCGCAAACAUAUAAUAAUCUUCCAACAGCAGAAAAAUAUGCAAAGCUAAUAAGAGUAGAGGAAACAAAAAUCAAAGCGUCAUACAAUCAAGAGUCACCACCACAAAGUAGAAACUAUGCAAAGCUAAGAUAAAGAAGAACUACCAAUACCACCACAAGCUAGAAAAUAUGCACGUCCACACGCAAUAUAGGUCGAGGUACGAUAAAGAAGAACUACCAAUACGCCAUUUGUCUAAAUCCCGGGAAAUGAUGGCAUAUAGAAAAGAUUUUGCUGCGCAAUUUUUCACUCAACCCACUUUCUUGCAUGCUUGUCAUUCAAUGACAUGAAAGCAUUGCGAUUCUUCUCUUCCUUAAACGCAUCACAGAGAACUAAGAUAUCAUCAUCACUUAACCCCGUCAUCCCAUACACUCGUUGCAUGCAUUGGUUCUGCAAUGGCAUAUCAGUGCUCUUGCUCAGGUCUAGCUGACAUAAUUGCCGCACCCAACCAAGCUUUUCCAUACCCUACUCGAAGUCCGAGCAUCUACUUUCUUUUUUCGUCCCCCAGAUGUAGAUGCCGUUUUUUGCUUGCUUAUUGCUACGCUCUGGAGAACGAGCUCUUUUACUACCAGAGCUAUGACCAGAACCACUUGCACCAGUUGUAGGCAUCACGGGAGGGCUUGGGGAGCGUGGCAUAUUUGCUUCAUCAAAGUUAGCAUAUCUGCCGCACCCAGAUCCCCCUGCUUCGAAUAGGUCCGAUGAGAGAUUACAAGCUGACAUUCCAAUGCCAGCAAUAGUAUCAUCCUCACCAGGGGAUGACCCAGAGGAGCUUUCAAUUAUAGGGGGAAGCUCCACAGCACUUGUAAAUGCAUAUCUUCCUGUCGCAGUUGUAUUUUGGGUAAGAAAUUCCAUGUCAUCGUAGGCGGGAAAGGGCUUAUCCCUACACCUGGCGUACGCCGGAUUCUCCUGAAGUAAUAAUAUUAACAAUUUAAUACUGUCAUAUAAUGUACAUGUCUUAAUAAGACAAUAACGCUAUAAUAAAAGAAAUUGUAAUUACCGCUAUUACAGAAUCCCAGAUUCUUGCGUCACCAGGUGUGGGAAUGUGCAAGUCAGAGUUCCAUCCCAACCCGCUCUUGUUGGCAAGAGAAUGGUACAAAUUGAAAAAAAAUUUUAACACUUUAAAUCGAUUCUUCAAUUGUGUCUUUGUUAAGUUCAUAUUGUUUCGACUGUUGAAAUCAUUUACCAUCCGCUUCCACGCAAUCGGAGUAAAUGACCCAUUUACGCAGUUACCAAAUGUAUGUUCAUCUCUCAUAAGCCCCAACAAUUGUGCAUCCAAAAUGUUGCUCCAAUUUUGACUUCUAGUUCUUGUAUCAAUACGAAUGCCACCGCUAGCCUCAAUAGGUGACUCAUCUGCGAGCCCAUGUUGCUUCUGUUUGGACUUAGAAACUUUUUUGAAUGGACACAUCUGUAGUUUAUAAUUAAAAAGAGUGCAUGAUGGAUGCAUGAAUAUGAGUUAAAUGCAAGACUUGUUUAUAACUAUACCAAGUAUAGUGUAUAAUGGCUACAACAAGGGUCUACUUAAAUCAACGAUAAAUUAUAUAUUUAAAUACAUAUCUGCCUCCUAUGUACAAAAGCAUGUUCGUCGAAAUAAGGUUUAGAUGGUUCAUUUCCACAAAUGGCUCAAGUGGUUUCCAACUAAAAUGGGGUUGCAUACAAUGUAUAUAAAUACACUAUAUGAUAUUACAUGCUAUUUAAAUUGGCAGGGUUAGUAAAGGCCCUAUGAGGUAAUGUAUAAGCAUUGCGUACACAAUAGACUGAUACAAUUGUUAUUCUCUACUACCAAGUAGACUAUAUAUAAUAAAGGGUAGAAUGAUAUGAUAAAAAUAUGGAUAGAGUAGAUAUUUCAUGCAAUAUUUGUGUCCUAUGUAAAACUGUAUGGUCCCCUAAAUGGGAGUCUUGAUGGUUCGUUCCCACAAUUGGCUCAAGUGGAUUCCAACUAACAUGGGGUUGCAUCGAUAUUUCCAUCGAUGCCAUCCUUCUAAUCUUAAUUAGAAUCCGUCAUCAUCGCCGAACCACAAGCUUCCAACCAAUACUUAAUAUUCUCAAGUAUGCUCAGAUCAACAUCAUGUGCGUUAUACCAAUCACUGUGCAAAUAGAUGAUAUUCUUUCAACGGCAUUGGAUAUAUAGAAACGCUAUAUAUGGCAACAGUAAACAUGGAGAUCAAACCUGUCUAUCGCAAAGAUACCAAAUUCAGAAAUGGCCAGAACCAAGCAAAGAGAUAGUUAAGGCGCGACAGUGAGAUCGAUAGCACGCAACGGCGGGGAAUCCGUACAAUGUUGGCAAGAUCAGAACCGAAGACCGAAGGGUAGCAGCACAACGCCUUCCCUACGACCAAGAUGUCGAGGAACGGGCUUUAACCGAGACCAACAAGAAUUCCACAAAUCCAUGAAGAAACCAACAAAUCGUCCGUGUAGACCGGGCAGAUAAACCGUGAGAAGGUAGAUCCGGACGUGUGGGUAUGUCGGACGCGAGGAGGAAGAAGGGCUUCGGGUGGAUAUGAAGGGCUUCGGGCGGAGGUGAAGCCGUAGGUGAAGGGGUUUGGCCGGCAGUGAAGGGCUUCGGGCAGAAGUGAAGUCGGAGGUGAAGGGGUUCGGCCGGCGGUGAAGGGGUAAGGGCGGACGUGAAGGGGUAAGAGCGGAGGUGAAGCCGGAGGUGAAGGGGUUCAGGCGGCGGUAACGGGCUUCGGCCAGAAGGGAAGGGCUUCGGGCGGAGGUGAAGUCGAAGGUGGAGGGGUUCGACUGGCGGUGAGGGGCUAAGGGUAGAGGUGAAGGGCUUCGACCGGAGGUGAAGCCGGAGGUGGAGGGGUUCAGCCGGCGGUGAAGCCGGAGGUGGAGGGGUUCGGCCGGGGGUGAAGGGCUUCGGGCGGAUGUGAAGGGGAUUCGGGGAAGGGCUUCAGGCCGGAGGUGAAGGGAUUCGGCCGGAGUGGAGGGGCUUCGAGAGAAGGCAGAUCCGGUGGUGAAAGGGCUUCGGGGUGAGAAAGGGGAGGAAGGGGAACGCCGGAGUGAAGGGCUUCGGGGUGAGAAAGGGGAGGAAGGGGAACAAUCAACAGGGGAGAAAGGGGAAAGCGGAAGGGCUUUGAGAGCCAUGCGGGGCUAAAGCGGGGAGGGGGGGUAGGGUUUACUAACCCUACCCCAAACUGGGUUAUCCAGGAUAACCCGGUUUGGGGUGGGGUUUACUAACCUUACCCCUAAAUGGAAGUGUUUGGGGAUUAAAUGGGGCUUAAGGGGUUAUUCCACCCCUUAACCCCCAACCAAACGCAAGCUGAGAGACUAUGGUAUAAAUCUUACAUCUUUAUAUUAGGUGUAGGUUUCCUCUUUAAAAUUAGUCAUUCACCUUUGUAUUAUAUAUGAACAUUCUUAAAAUUUUAUUUUUAAAAAAAAUUAAUUUUGUAAAAAAAUAUUUUUAAAAAAUUUUUGGAAAAAAUUAAAAUAUAAUUAUUUGCAAAGAUAAAUCUUUAUAUAUAUUUAGGUAAGAUUAAAUAUUAGAUAUAGCUAUAAAUUAAUAGAUAUUAGUGUAGGGCCCGCGCUUCGCGGUGGGUCGAUAGUAUUUUAAUCAAUCAACAUCACAUUUGUAAUAUAUUGGACUUUGCCAAAUUGACAAAGUUACAAUUUGUGUUGUUAAUGGCGUGUCUUUAGAAUGCAAGACAGCCAAACCCGUUUAAUUUGGUGCGAAAUUGACGCUAAAACGGGCUUAAAAAUCAGAUUCUAGAUGAUUUGGAAUAUCUGGUGACUUUUCGGAUGCUCGAAUCAUGGUUUGGGCGCUCGGAAACACAGUAUUCGGGCAGAUUUGAUUCUAGAUUUCAUUUUGGACUGAUCAGAAUUGCCGAUGGAGCAUCCGGAUAGAUUUUUCCUAAAUUCGAACACUCGGUAUUACUAUAGCAAUCCGAAAUUUAGUCAGUGAUUAAGUAAAUGAAUUUAAUGAUUUAGUAUGCUGAGUCAUCAAAGCAAUCAUUAAGGUUUCGGACCCAAGCAUCGGCGCCUCAAAAAAGGAAUUAGGAGAGUUGUCACGCCCCAGGAUCCAGCGGAAGCCCGCACGGCGCGUGCCCAGACCCGCCAUACGUCUAAAACAUAUAAGGCGUCUACAAACAACAAUAAUAAAAGCAAUAAUAAAAGACAUCUAGGAGUAUCAGAGCAUAAUAAAUGUCUUAAUGCUACAACAAGGGAUAAGGAUAGAACUGUAAAUCCACUAAAUAAGACAUAAAGUGAUACAAGAAAAUCCCAGAUACAAGUGCUAUAGGUAGUUACUCAGGUGGUCUCUAUACAUGGAUACAAAAACCUCUCACUCUCUCAACUACAAAAAGAAUGAGUAAACCACCUAGGCAAAGUACCGCUCCUCGCUAGCUAGCUAAGCGAUCCCCUUGCCGCGAUCCCGUGCCUCCGCCGGUGCCGAAGGCUCUGAAAAGUAAACCAUAAAAUAGGGGCGUGAGAACUAUUAAAAAUAGUUCCCAGUGGGCAAUUACUGACUUCAGUGAAUGCACCACAAGGCCCAAAGCUACAAAGGAGGUCAGUGACUAUAAAAGUAGAAAAAGCGAAAGGUAAGUAAAAAUGUAACUUGCUACAACAUGAUAUCUCUACUUAGCAUAAUUAGCAUAAGUAUGAAGCAACUAUGCAUGAAGUAAAAGUCUCCAACUAUAUAAUGUUCACAAUGCGAAAUAGUAAGUUGCCGUUGUUUUAUAUUCUAGUCGCAGUCUUAAGUAUUACACUGAGUCAUCGUCUGUCCACAUUCUACAUAAUUACUCAAAGUCAAAUCGAAGAGACCCACCCGAAGGCCUGUGCUAUAAGGCCCUGAGACCCACCUGUCACGCCCCGAGACCGCUACCAAUUUGGUUCGUCCCGGGCGCGUCGAACACGCCGAACGGACAGGACCUCCCCUGUCCGUCCAAGCUAAGAAAGGCCAAACAGAUCUAUAAGAAUUACCCAGGAAUCAAUUCAUAAAUACCACGAUCAAGAACACCACUAGUGCGACAACCAAGACAGCAAAUACGAGUAUAGAAUAUACAAUACAUAAGCAGAGAAAGAACUAUCUAAUUACAUUCAUUCAGUCGACCAUAAUACAUCGAAUUAACGUUCUUUCCAUCUCUGCCAAAUUAAUACAAUCACUCGAUACCUCACCCUAUACAUCAUCUACUUCUCCAAUACUAAAAGGAAGAAGCUAAUACAAAAGGAGUAGCUAUGCGACUGUAGAAGACCCGCUUCCUUUACCGCGUCUCACGCUCACGCGGGGACACCCCGAACUGGAAACCUUAGUAAAAAUGGGGGUGAGAAACUAACAUUCCCUUAUUUCCCAGUGGUCGCCGCCGACUCCGCCGAUCUCCCACUAGGUCCGCAAGCGCACAACUAGAUAUAUAUGAUAAAGGAAAAACUGUAAGGAAGGAAAGUAAAGCUACUCCUANNNNNNNNNNNNNNNNNNNNNNNNNNNNNNNNNNNNNNNNNNNNNNNNNNNNNNNNNNNNNNNNNNNNNNNNNNNNNNNNNNNNNNNNNNNNNNNNNNNNNNNNNNNNNNNNNNNNNNNNNNNNNNNNNNNNNNNNNNNNNNNNNNNNNNNNNNNNNNNNNNNNNNNNNNNNNNNNNNNNNNNNNNNNNNNNNNNNNNNNNNNNNNNNNNNNNNNNNNNNNNNNNNNNNNNNNNNNNNNNNNNNNNNNNNNNNNNNNNNNNNNNNNNNNNNNNNNNNNNNNNNNNNNNNNNNNNNNNNNNNNNNNNNNNNNNNNNNNNNNNNNNNNNNNNNNNNNNNNNNNNNNNNNNNNNNNNNNNNNNNNNNNNNNNNNNNNNNNNNNNNNNNNNNNNNNNNNNNNNNNNNNNNAGGGUUGAAGAUUGAUCCACCACAAAGCUCCAAAAGCAAGCUCCAAGCCUCCAAAGGUGAGAAAUGAGGAAGAAGAUGGUGCUCCAAGGCCUCCAAGCAAACUCCUCUCCUCUCCUUCUCCUUCUUCUCCUUCCCUUUCUCUCUCUAGAAGUGUAGGAAGAGUGUGAGGGAGAGAAAAUGAGAGUGAGAGGGGCAGAGAGGCUGCCUAUAGCCUCUAAGGUAACAAAAUCCAGUUAGGCCUCUCAAAAACUCAAAUUUAUAUCAGCCCGGUCUGGGCAGUUUUCGCCCAGAGGGACCGGUCUCCCCGACCUGGGACCGGACUCUCAGCCUGCCCCCGAAAAUCCAACGUUCGGGAACCGGUCUCUCCCUGCGCGGGACCAGUCUCUCUCCGCGCAGACGCGCUCGGGGACCGGUCUCGACUGCCAGGGACCGGUUGCCUCGCCGGCUGCGUAGCACUGUUCACUGGGGGACCGGUCUCUCCUAUCAGCGACCAGUCCCCGAGAGUAAAAACUCUCAGGACUCUGCCAAAACUCUCGAGAUCGAACUUUUAGGCCGGUAUACCAUCGACGACCCUCCACCAAGUGUGGAAAAGUUCGGAAUACAGAUCGAACACUCGAACCUCGCAGUUUGCAAAGGUCCAGUGUGCUACAUUCACCCCUCCUAAAAAGGAGUUUCGUCCGCAAAACUCGAAAGCAAAAGCAUACCUCAAGGCUCCAUCCGAAAAAGAUGGGGAUAGCGCUCCUGCAAAGCUCUCUCUAGCUCCCACAUGGCCUCCCGCUCUCCGUGGUUGCUCCAAAGAACCUUUACAUACGGAAUAUCCCGAUUUCGCAGCUUUUUCACCUCGCGAGCCAAAAUCUUCACGGGUUGCCCAUCGAAGCUCAAAUCCUCGCGCAGCUCCACUGGUAUAGUUCCCAAAAGAUGAGCUGGAUCAUGAAUUUAUUUCCGAAGGACCGAUACAUGAAAGACGUUGUGCACGCCGGAUAGGUUCGGUGGUAGAGCAAGUUGAUACGCUACCGGACCUACACUCUCCAAGAUCUCAUACGGUCCAAUGAAACGGGGGCUCAACUUUCCCCGAAUCCCGAAUCUCUUUAUCCCUCUAGUCGGCGAGACCUUCAAGAAAACAUGGUCUCCAACUUGGAACUCCAAGUCUCGCCGUCGUCGAUCGGCGUAGCUCCUCUGUCUACUCUGCGCCGUCAAAAGUCGCUCCCGAGCAAUUCGAACCUUGUCCUCAGCUUCCUGGAGCACAUCAGGGCCUAAAGCNNNNNNNNNNNNNNNNNNNNNNNNNUUGUUUAAUUUUGUUUUGGGAUUUUUCCAAACUUAAAUUUUAAUUUUCGAUUUGGUUUUUAAAGAAUAUUGUAAUAAAAGAUCAGAAAGAUUUUUCCAACAAUCUAGAAACGAAAAUUGAUUUUUAUUUAAUCUUUUUGUUUCUUUUAUUAUUUUUAUUAUAGUUAUUAAAAUAUUUCUUCUCUACAAAUUAAUAAAUAUUUCGGAAACUCUUUGAAUAAAUAUAGAAUAACUUACUGGGCUUGCAUGGUAUUUGAUUGCACGGUUCUUGAAGACUGGUCUGGUUUAGUAGUGUUUUGCAGAGGUUUCUUUGCAUGUUGAUUAUGCCUGAGAGAAUCUCAGUGGAUUUUGUCGGGCUUGCAUAUCAGAGUAUAUAUACUUUGUUCGCUGACUGCGGAAGUUUGGUUAGUACGUAGAUACUGUUUUGAAUCCAGGAUAUUUUGGUUAAAUUCUGAUAUCACGGGCUGGGAAAUUGUGUUGGCCUCACAGGAUGUGAAUGUCCAAUUGCUGAUUAUUGUAGACGAUCAAUAAAUUUAAAGAUGAUUUAUUAUACCUCUAUAACCAGUUUUUUCUCACAUCGUUACGGAGGAUCAAGCAACUUUCUUGUUCUGAUGUUAAAUAUUUUGUAUUAGACACGUAGGGUGCUGUACCGUGAUUUGAUAGAAAACUCUAUUAUAACUUCUGCUUCUCACUUCUACUGAGAUUAACAUAUUUCGACCAUAAUAUAUGUAUAUUGGCUCAUAUCGGUGCUUAUGUGAGGCAUUAUUAUACUGUCCAUUGGUGGCUGCAUCUUGCUAUACUAUACUCUAACGAAGCCUCGAAUAGUUAUUCCUUUUAAUUAUUUGGCAUGAAAUACAAGGAUGGUGUAAUCAUGGCUGCGGACAUGGGAGGUUCCUAUGGAUCUACUACGUUUUGAUCCCGAGUUGUUGGUCGUCGCUCCAAAGGUCUUAGGCUUUUGAAAUUUAAACAAUGAUCUCUACGGGUUUGAAUUCGGAUUAUAUUACCGCAAUCAAAGUUUGCCAGAUCAAACCCUAGAUAUUCUUAUUUGCUCUUAUAUAUAUGUUUGAAAUUUGAGAACCGCAUCUGUGCCUUUCCUGUUAUACGAUGUUGCUCAAUGUUGUGUUUCCAUUACCCGAUGGGUUCUACGCAUGAAGGAAGUUGCUAUUAACAAUCUAGAUAUGGUAUUGUAUUACUCUAUCACUCUCUCUCGCGGGUUCUUGGGGUGACGAUGUGACGAAGGCGUUCUUGUAUUCGUUGAAGGAAACGUCGUUGACAAAAACGGCAUCUUGUUCUAUUUUAUACAUAUGCAUGUCGCAUGUACGGCUCAGAGGCGUGUGGUGCGGCCAAAAUUAAUUAGCCUCUAAUUAAAAAGGUGGCCGGUUCUAUUGAAGGCUUGUACGGCUUGGGGGUAUGGAGGCAAAAUUAAUUAGCAUCCUGUGACUAGCUAAUUAAUUAAGGUGCCCCGUCCGUACGGUAGAAGGUGUCGUGGCUUUGCAUGCGACGAAUUGAAGUCUGUGGCGGAGCAACGGUUCUCGACCAAUUGUCUGAGCGGUUCGAAUUCUUCGAAGCAAGGGCAAAAAGGAAUUUGGUUAGAGUUUUUAUAUUUCUCUAAUUUGGUCUUCUCGGUUUUAUGAAAAAUUCUUUUGGUAUUUUCUUGGAAUUUUUGUUGGAACAAAAGUAAUGUGCGAUUCACCAUAAGGCUAUCCGAAGAAGACAUAAGGUGUAAGUUUUUUCUUCUAUUUCUUCAUAUAGUGGAAUACAUCUCUCUCGCUCUUUCCGUGGACGUAGCCAAUUGCCGAAUCACGUAAAUCUUGGUUUCUUUCUGCAUGUGUGAUUUUGAAUAAAAUUUUUCACAAGAAUUCUAAUGUAUCUCUCUAUGAACUUUACAAAGUUAGGAAGACUAAUUUGAAUUAUUUUAAAGUGUGGGGGUGCCUAGCUAAUGUAAAGAUACCUGAGAAUAAGAAGAGAAAAAUUGUAUCUAAGAUUGAGUUUAAGUAUUUUGGACCGGUGAUUUGAGCCCAACAAGUUAUUGGGCCGAGUCGUUAUAUAUUUGGUAUCAGAGCUGUUUACCCGCCGGAAGUGUGAGACAAGUUUCACAUCGCCUUGGUGGAUUACAUUAGACCUGAUUUGGUUUAUACUGUGAACCGAUUGAGAAUAUAUAUCCAUAAUCCAAACAGAGAGCAUUGAAAUGUCUUAGAAAGAGUUUUGAGAUAUCUGAAGGAAACUGUAUCUUAUAGAUUACAUUUUACUGGUUUUCCUGCAGUAUUGGAAGGAUAUAGUGAUGCUAAUUGGAUUAGUGAUACUACUGAUAUAAAAUUGACUACUGGAUUUAUUUUUCUUCUACAAAGAGCAGUUACUUCUUGAAAAUCAACUAAACAAUCUUUGAAGUAUUAUGGAUGGUAGAAUUUGAAGGAAAAUAUGAUUGGAUUGGAAUUUGUGAAAUCUACAAAGAAUUAUGCUGAUCAGAUUACGAAAAGAUUAUCUAGGAUGGUAAUCCUAGAAUCGUCGAGGGCGAUGGGGCUGAGCCCACAAUAGAAGUUACCGGCGACGGCAACCCAACCUGUUGCAGGUUCAAUGGGUAGAAACAAGUCGAACAGGUAGCUGUGAGGAGCACUGCUUUUAUAUCCUCAUUCCUAUGGCGACAGUGCUCAUAUAUGCAAGCGGAUAGGAAGGGCGUUGGCUCUGAAUGACUCCGAGACCUAUAAGGCAGGGUAUGACCUUACAUAUACCCUUUGAGGACCUACUAUAUGUGUGGAGUCGUGAGGCCUCGACUAUGGAAAAAGGGCGAUUUCCUAAAACACACACGAAGCGAUAUUAGCGCAUGGCCAUAAAAGCGCUCACCCGCUUAGAACCUAAACAGCUGUACCAUGUGUGCUGUUUGUGGAAAUCCGAUUCACCGGCCUUGGUUCAAGGCGAAGUCCACCAUUGUGCCCUCGGAUGUACAUAGACAAGUACUAAGUAAAGAUUCAAACCCGAAAGGUAUCUUUACCGAAUACGUGGUAUAAAAGAUCCAGCAUUCUUUUGAAUUAUUUUGAAUUUCAGUUUAUUUGUUUUCUUUAUUUCAAGUUUUAAAUCAUGUGGGGGAAUGUUGGAUUUUAUUGAGUUUGUUAUGAUUUAAAACUUAUUAAAACUAUUUGAUUGGAUUUCUUUAUUGGGUUUGUUGUGAUUUAUUCUUUGAGUUUUAUCUUUAUCUUUAUAUUUGUCCUAAUCCUAAUCUUUUUAGGUAUAAUCUUAGGCUUAUCUUGUUCUACUCAGAUUUAAUGAGAUAGAACAAGAUUCUCGUCUUGAUUAUAAAUAUGGGGCGAAGGUGCAUGAGUUAAUGAUGAAUAAUAAUAAUCCGAGCAUACCCAAACCCUCUCGUCUUUUUCUACUUUCUCGCUAUUAAUUUUUGCCGAGUUAUCGUUGCUGGAUCUGCAGCUCGUUGGGUUCGCCUUGCGCCACCUUGAAAGCGUGCUGACGGGUGGAACGUGGUCGUUCUAUCGCUAGGAGUAAUUGCCGGGAAGCCUCGCACGUAGAGGGGCAAUUUCGCUUCUAGGACAGUGCUCUGCACGCCUCGAUCCACAGGCCUUAUCUAAACCUUAUCUUUUCAAUAUUUUUGUUUAAUUUUGUUUUGGGAUUUUUCCAAACUUAAAUUUUAAUUUUCGAUUUGGUUUUUAAAGAAUCAAUCAAUACAAAUAAUGAAAGCUGAGUUCGUACGGCGCCCUCCCCGCGUUUCGGGGUCCUCGCGCGCGAGAGAGAGAGGNAAUACAAAUCGAACACUCGAACCUCGCAGUUUGCAAAGGUCCAGUGUGCUACAAGAGUAUACAAAAUGACCUGGGCAGGAGGUUUCGGAUGCCCAAAUCACGGAACUAGGCAACCGAAAUAUCCUAUUUUGGCUGAAAAUAAGAAUUUUGUAACUUGAAGGGCUUAUAUGCAAUUAUUAUAAUAUAUUAAGUUGGUCGAGGGCUUUUUUUUUCCUGUUGCACGCACAGAGAAAGAGAAAGAGAGAGAGAGAGAGUGAGCGAGUGAGGGAGAUAGAGAAAAGGAAAAAGAAAGAGUUUGAGCCUGCGACGAAUUUGUGAUCGAAGCGAUGACUUCGACCAUGCUUUUGGAGGUAAGUAUAAUAUUUAAAUUGGAUUUUAAUUGAGACCUUCACUAUUAUAAUUAUUCAGGGAAUGAUUUUAAUAUGAUAUGCAUUAUAGGAGUUGAUUUUCACUAUAUUUUGGAGUGAUUCUGGUGUUGAGCUUUUCUCUUUUCGAUUCCUAUUGACAGUAGUAAUUUCAGGCUGGUUCUACAUUGCCAAACACGUUGAACUACUCAUUAUGUCUAUUUUGCGUAUAUGUUACAAUUCUGAGAUAUCUGUUGAUGCUUUUGUUGUAGUUGUUUUCAUAUGUGUGUUGGAUUUUAUUGAGUUUGUUAUGAUUUAAAACUUAUUAAAACUAUUUGAUUGGAUUUCUUUAUUGGGUUUGUUGUGAUUUAUUCUUUGAGUUUUAUCUUUAUCUUCAUAUUUGGCCUAAUCCUAAUCAUUUUAGGUAUAAUCUUAAGCUUAUCUUGUUCUAUUCAGAUUUAAUGAGAUAGAACAAGAUUCUCGUCUUGAUUAUAAAUAUGGGGCGAAGGUGCAUGAGUUAAUGAUGAAUAAUAAUAAUCCGAGCAUACCCAAACCCUCUCGUCUUUUUCUACUUUCUCGCUAUUAAUUUUCGCCAAGUUUUUGUUGCUGGAUCUACAGCUCGUUAGGUUCGUCUUGCGUCAUCUUGAAAGCGUGCCGACGGGGUGGAACGUGGUCGUUGUAUCGCUAGGAGUAAUUGCCGGGAAGCCUCGCACGUGGAGGGGCAAUUUCGUUUCUAGGACAGUGCUCUGCACGCCUCGAUCCACAGGCCUUAUCUAAACCUUAUCUUUUCAAUAUUUUUGUUUAAUUUUGUUUUGGGAUUUUUCCAAACUUGAAUUUUAAUUUCCGAUUUGGUUUUUAAAGAAUAUUGUAAUAAAAAAUCAGAAAGAUUUUUCCAACAAUGUGCAUAUCCUUAUAUUUGCAUUCGGGGUUAUAUGAUACUGAUGCUAUAAUGUUGUAUAAAUUGAAAUCCUCUACCCUUAUUGUACAUCAUUCUCUUUUAGAUCUUCGGAUACAUGUAAAAUUGUAAAAUUAUUAAAGAGAUUGCAGACAAAUAAAAAGACUUUUGAUAUAUGAUUUGGUUGAUGACAUUUGGAUAGUAUUAUCAUGAUCUGUUUGAUCAUUGUACAUGACCAUCGCCUACAUUGGACCAGAUUGAGCUCAAUUGCGAGCAGUGAGAUAUAUUGUGAUGCUCGAUGGGGUUGUGGCCUCCUGAGCUAUGGCAGCUGGUUAGAUGUGCUAGGCAUAUGCAUGCGAGCCAGGCCACCAAGCAUGUGGCGGUGCAGGGUUGGCUGGACCUAUGAGUUGGCCGGUGUUAUUGGGUUUUAUGACUUUAUGUAAUUGACUGUCACGCCCCGGGGUCCCUUUUAGGUUAAAAUACAGCGGAUACAGCGGAAUUUUUUUUUUUUUUUUUUUGAAAACCUAACCCCAGGGAAUGCCAGAUCCGCCACAAAUACAGGAAAUCCACUGUUUACACGGACAGAGUCUCCCCUGUAUUUGCACGGCGUCGCACAAGUAUAAAAGUACAAAUAUGAUAGAACCACAACUAAAUGAAUAUAAAGAUAACUAAACAUUCAUACAUUCACCAUUCACAUCACAGAUUUACAUUCAAUGUUUAAACAUAAUUCCACAGAAAAUCUUUUGAAAACUGUUCCCUACACGGAAACUUUUAUCUUUUAAAAACGCUACCACGAGGGCUAGAAAAUCUUUUAUUUACGAAAAUCCAGAAAUCCUUGAAUAUUUUAACAUAAUGAAAUACUGAACCAUAUAGACUGACUAAGCUAUAUAUCACCAGAAAUAAUAGGGUAAUAACUCAAUAGUACAAACCGGGUCGAAGGCUCUAACGAUAGCUAUCCACGUGUCUCACGUCUCGUCUCAACCUCACCGCCCGCGAUACCUAAAAAAUAGUGGGGGAGGUGAGAACAUGUAAACAUGUCUCCCCUCCCAGUGGGUACCGCAAGCCGAAGAAGGCGAGGAGUACUCACCGGACGGAUUGGGAAGUAGAUAAAACAACAAUUGGCGGUAAGUAAAAUACAGUAGCACGCGAUAAUGAACGAAUUGAGAUAUAUAGAUGAAAGCACAACUACCGCUACUGUAAUUGUACAACUGAAGCAUACAAGAUAUCAAAAAUAAUAGCAAGACAACUGUAAAUGAAAGAACUAAGAAGUAUUAUAUGCAAACAACCGCUGACAUAGCCUAUAUGCGCUUAACGCGGAACGAGAAGUCCAAAAUAGUACCAAUCUAAACCGCCGUGUCGGUCUUAAGGUAUCCAGGCAAAAGCCAACUACUGCCUCACAUCCUGGCAAUGUACCCCUACACAAAGAGCAACACCGUUGGUCUCACGGUACGGUCGGUACGACCAGUUUCCGGAAAAAAGAACACCCUCCUCGCGGGGAUCCUACCCGUGGUGACGUGAAAUACACUAGAGCUUGGCGAUCAAUGCGGAUUGAUCAAUAGUCAACCGUCGGCAAUCAGCCGAACAAUCACCCGCCCCUCGGGCUAACCGACCAAAACAGUCAAUCCACUGUAAGGAAAGCACAAAACCGACCCACUCAGCUCAACUAGGAUGGAGCAACAGAUCGACAUCCUCUCAAAAUAGGCAAGUAGCUGCUCAAUUGAACCACAUUAGGACUGACGUCACUCAGGCAACUAGGAUAUCUGCACAACGUGAAUCGACAUCAACAAUGACUUCAAAAUGCUGGACGCUUCAUAAGAUGACUACUCAAAGAAAGGUUGGACAUUUUCUAUUCGCAGAAAAGCGAUGUAUUCAGAGACUUCAAGAGUGACAGACUUAAUUGAGAAUGCAACAAGGAAAGCAAAUUAACGCCUUCGCCCUGACAAUGUGAUAAGAAGUUCUGUCAGGAGAAUUUAAUGAAUUCUGUUAUAAGAAGAAGAAAUCGAGAGACACGUCGCACAGUCGUACAGCACACCGCAGCAAAAACGCGUGCAGAACGUAUGAAAGCGAACAUUGAUGGUAGAAAGACAAGAUGUCUACUCUCGAUAUGCAGGAAUUUGGCGAGGUAUUUGGGCAGAAGCUGCAUCUACAGCUUGCUAUUUGGUGAAUCGGUCUACCGUCGACCUUCUAUUGAUCUAAACUCCAGAAAGGUAGGUCUCUGGCCAACCCUCCUAGUUAUUCGAUAUUAAAAAUUUCGGCAUGUCCUGUAUAUGCACAUGUCAAUCAAGGGAAAAUUAAAACCUAGAUCUAAGGAAUGCAAGUUUUUAGUUAUGCUUCUGGGCACUAAAGGUUUCGUUGUGUGUCCUGAAGAUAAGAAAAAUUAUAAUUAGGCAGAGAUGUCAAAGUUUAACGAAACUGUGAUGCUCGCCGAAAGGAGGAGUCACCGUGUUCUUGUUGAUACUAGGGUACAUGGUCAGGUGCAGAUGCAGAUGGAUCGAAGAAACUGUCGAGAGUGGAGUUUCAAACUCAACUCUAAAAAAUCUAGAUCACUCCAGCCACCAGGUACCACUUCAGGCCGAUUCUGCUCUACAAAGCAGAGGCGCAACCACAGACAGACACAUAUUCAGAUAGCUCAGAGAUUCGACGAAAGAAAGGGAGAUCUAGACCACCGUAGAGAUACUGAGCUAGGCACACUUGAACACCUUUGCAAUGCGAGUCGAGUGUUUCGAUGGUAUUCGAACUUUUCACGAAUUAGUGAGGCCGUCGAUGGUAUACGGCCUAUAAAGUUGCGAUCUCAAGAGUUUGGGCAGAGUCCUGAGAGUUUUGACUCUCGGGGACCGGUCCUGAUAGAGACCGGUCCCGGCCAGUGAACAGGGCCGCGCACAGGCGAGGCAACCGUCCUUGGCAGUUGAUAACUGGCCCGAGCGCGUCUGCGCAAGGGGAGAGACCUGGUCCGCGCAGGGAGAGACCGGUUCCCAAGAACGCUGGUUUUUUCGGGUUCACAGCAAAGAGACCGGUCCUGCUGGGGAGAGACCGGUCCCUCUGGGCGAAAACUGCCCAGUCCGGGCUGAUGUAAAUCUGGGUUUUUUGAGGGCCCUAUGUGGUAUAUAUUGUUACUUUAGGCUAUAGGCGAGGCCUCUCCUCCCCCUCUCGACGCUCAUUUUCUCUCCCUCACACUCUCAUAGCAUUUUCUAGAGACAGAAAGGGAAGGAAAGAAGGGAGAAGAAGAGGUGAAGGAGUGCAUAGAGGCCUUGGAGCAUCAUCUUCUUCCUCUAUUUCUCGCUCUUUGGAGGUUUUGAGCUUGCCGUGGAGCUUUGUGAGGAUCAAAUCCCUCAAACCCUACUUGUUUUGAGCUUGGAUUGGGCUUCUCUUGAGGUUAGGCUUGUAAUCAGCCCAUUAAUACUUGUUUUGUUAGGUUUUUCUAAAGAUGANNNNNNNNNNNNNNNNNNNNNNNNNNNNNNNNNNNNNNNNNNNNNNNNNNNNNNNNNNNNNNNNNNNNNNNNNNNNNNNNNNNNNNNNNNNNNNNNNNNNUCCCCGCCACCCCUCGCUACACCCCCCUCCGCGCCUCCGCCACCCCCACUCGUAUCUGUUUCCAUUGCAACCAGCACCCUCCGGCAUCCUUUGUUAUAUAUCCAUGCUAUGUUAUCCCCCUGUUGACUUCCGCACCACUAAUAAUGUUACAUUACAGCCCCUCACCGUGUUUGAUUAUCACCUCUAACUCCGUGGUUUCCAAUAUUAUUAAUCCAUGUGUAGGAAGUAUAGUCUAAUUGCCUAUGGACCCACCAUGAUCUCCUUGUCUGCUCAGCUCCUACGCCCCUGAUUCUGCCAUACCGUCCCUGUUCAUAUUUAAGUAAGCUCUGUAAUACAUACUGUGAGCCUUAGGCGAUCUUCGCUGAUUCUAGUUCUCAGUAUUUUGACCUACUUCGUGAGCUUCCUCACCUUCUUUCCACAUGAUGACCGGUGACGUCGGUAUACCCCCUUCGAGGUAGGAUUGAAAUCUAGUUGCCGACGGAUGAUUAUACUUUUAUUCACUCACCCAAUCUACACUUCCGCUCGCCACACCAUGAUUGUCCGAGUUUCAUACCUGUACUUUGUGAGUGAUUGGGGUGCGGAUUCUUCCAAUAUCCUAGUUGCGAUGCUGAUGGUCAUCCUUGUGUUCAUUGAGCAUAUGCAACUAUUUGAGAGGUAUGUCGAUGUUUUCCAUCUAAGUUGACUGCUGCCGUGGUGGUUCUUGUGCUUCCUUACAGUUGACGACCUAGUGCGGUCGAUGGCCCUGCGGGCAGCGAUCUGCUCGCUGUUGCCGCUUGUUAUUGACCAUAUUGCAUUGAUCGCCCCCGACUACUUCGUCGCCAUUUCAACAGAACACUGGCGGUCUGAUGCCACGCAAGUAUCGCUUCUUUCCGGUAAAAGUGGUUGAAUAUGACAACCACCGUGAGCCUAGAGGGGUUCUAUGCCAUGUGAGCGGGCCAUGGUACUGUCGAAGAGGUGUGCGCUGCGGACCUCCAGCGCGCACUGCUUUGAGGUCUGCGGUGCGACCAAGAGACGCAUUGGUUUCAGAUUGGUAUUUUUUUGACUUCUUGACCGGUUGAUAACGCCAUAUGUCUCAUAGUAAGCAUCAUUUGCAUGCGCAUACCUUACAGUUCUUAAACUUUAUAUGUUGUCUUGACCUGUUAUCGUAGAUGUUCAUUCGGUAUGCUUCGAUUCCAGUUAGCAGUAGCGGUAAGCCGUUAUAUUCAGAUCUAGUCUUACCUUCUUUCAGUUUUAUUCUGCUACUGUCAUUGGUAUAUCGCUGCUUACCUUAUUAAUUGUUGCUACUAUCGUAUUCCACUGAAACAACUAACUCUGUUGUUGUUAUUCUAUGCUCUUCCAUACGAUCCGGUGAUUCUACUGCCUCGCCUUCAUCGGCUUCGUAUCGCCUCGGAGGGGAGACUGUCUUACAUGUUCCACCUCCCCACAACCAUUUUCAGGUAUCGCAGUUGAUGAGAGUGGACAGACCGUGAGGUAACAUGUGUAGCGGUCGAUAACGUUCUCCGACCUCAGGUUAUUUCGGUAUAAGUUAAUUACCCCCUUAUCUACUUGUCAUUAUUAUAGGCCUAGACUGUUAAUAAUGCUGGUUCAGUAUUUCUUAUUUACCACUUGAAAAUAUGAUUUUCGUCGCGAAUAAAUAAAAGGAUUUCUGAUUUUUGUAGACAAUCAAACGAGGUACUUCUACCCUCCGUGUCGUUUUUAAAAAUAAGAAGUCUCCCGCUCGUAGCGUACAAUUUUUUUUCAAAAAGCUUUCUCGUGUGGAUUUUGUAUGCUUAGCAUUUCAAAAACCUCUUUCGAUGUGGAAACAUUUUAACUGAUAGAUGUCGAAGUGUAUCUGUUUAAAUAUUGGAAUAUUAAUAAAGUUGAAACCGUAACUGUGAUGUGAAUGGUGCUAAAUGAACUAGCGAUUAAUUGUUGUUAUUCUGUAUAUUCAUUUGGUUUUGGUUGUACCGUGGGUUACUUCUUGUACUUGGUCGCGACGCCUGUGCAAAUAUAGGGAGAACUCUGUUCGUGUGCACAAUUGGAUUCCCCUGUAUUGUGGCAGAUCUGGCAUACUCUGGGUCAGGUUUUCAAAAAAAAAAAAUCCAGGACGCUUUAUAUUCACGCUAUCUUUUAAAUUGAAAGGGACCCGGGCGUGACAAUAAGUACGUUUCCUUGUUCUAACAGGGGGCCGGUAAACAAAGAUAUCCAAAUCAAUUGAAUUUUUGUUAGAAAAUUCUUUAAACUAUUUAAAACAAGAUCUAUACUCUUGAUUUUGAUUACAAGACUCCUAUCAUUAUUUUUUAAAGAAUAUUCAUUUUCAACCGUUCAUUUUUGUGUCCACUCGAUGGAUAAGAGAACAAUAUAAAAAAUGUAUGAAACUUGAUUUCUAAACACUUCAAGUAGUAUAGAUCAUGUUCAACGGUGCCGAUCGUCGAUUUAGAGGCUCCAUCGAAAACAAAUGGGUGGCAACGGAGCCUGUUUGCUAUCGAUAGUAUUCUAGCUCAACUCUCUAUAUAUAUUGAACAUGAUUUAUACCACUUGAAGUGUUUAUAAAUCAAAUUUUAAAUCUUUUCGACAUCAUUUGCCGAAUAAUCAAAAGGUUUCAAAUUUUGUAAUUUUAAUGGUCGAUAUAAGACGUUUUCUUGUUUAACGGCGUAAAGAAAUCAAAUCAAUUGAAUUUUUGUUAAAAAUUUUUUUAAACUAUUUAAAACAAGAUCUAUACUCUUGAUCUUGAUUACAAGACUCCUACCAUCGUUUUUUAAAAAAUAUUCAUUUUCAGCCGUUCAUUUUUGUGUCCACUCGAUGGAUAAGAGAACGAUAUCGAAAAUGUAUGAAAUUUGAUUUCUAACCACUUCAAGUAGUAUAGAUGUCACGCCCCGGGACCGAUACCAAUUUGGGCCGGCCCGAGCAUGUCAAACAGACGCCAAAUGGACAGAGUUUUUCCUGUCCGCCCAAGACUCAUCACCUGUACAUUUUCAAGUAGAGAAAAGCACUAGCGGAAACAUACAGAAACGGCUUACACGAGGGUAAAGAAUAGCCAUGAGUGAAAGAAAGGGAACUAAACAUCUACACAGGUACUAUGAUUCUCUUUUGAUCAUAUACAUUGCAUUUAACCUUCAUAUUCAUGAUUCUUUACAUUUCAUUACAUCACUUGCAUCAUUUCUUUUUACAUCACAAUGCCUCAAAAUAAACUUUACAAUCUUUUCUUUCUUUGCUUGAUACAUUAACAUCUUAAAUCAUCAAAUACAAAAGAUGAUAAAAGGGUAUACUACUAACAAAAUGUAAAGCCCGACUCGGGUGGCCACUGUCUAGGGUGCGAUACCUUUAUCGCGGUCACUCGCCGAUUCGCUCGGUCCCGCCUCUGUGGAAAUAGUGGGGUGAGAACUACAACAAAGUUUCCAGUGGGUUCGGCCCCAAUCUCACCGACUUUCUCACUAGGACUAACUCAGGCAUAAUAGAAAGGAUAAGCAGAAUAGUAACCAAACUAAAAUCAUGAUGCUAAUAUGCCUGAACAAUAAAGCAAGAAGUAUACUAAACGUAAAUCAUGCAAGUAUGCAAGUUCUUUGUUCUCUACUCUUUAUUCUUUAAGCUUUGUUCUUUGUUCUUUAAUCUCACGGCUAACCUGGGGGUUUCGCCACAUUAACUUGCCCACAUUAAGUCUAUCAUCGCGGGCCCUCAGCUGCCUCACGCUAAGACCGUCCUCGGGUUUACUCCAAUCCGUGAUGCAAAACUUCGGAGUGCAUCGCUCGAGGGGGAGCGACCGCCCUCGAGCAUGGAACUCAUAGCAAGUAUGAUCGAUCCUUAACUCUAAGGAUAUAUAGUUCAAUCAUUGUCUUUACACUAACUCUAGUGUUCUUUACAUCACUUUAUUUUGCUAACUCUAACAAUCAUUGUUCUUUAACUUUACUCGUUCUUUAUGCCACUUUCAUUUUCUUUCCUUGUCUCUAAUCAUUAUCAUUGUUCUUUGCAUCACAUUUCUCUUUGAUGCCACACACACACUAACUCUAGUGUCACUUUACUUUACAUUACCGAAUGCCACUCGAUCUAUGUUUUAUUGUGUCACUUGUUCUUUCAUCUAAUUGGGUACUCACAUUCUAUCUCAUGCAUACAUAUAGGGUUGAAUAGGCUCUCAAACAUUUCAAAUAGCACGUGUACUCACAUCAUACAACAUUCACAUGUAUAUCAUCACAUCUACCGUAUAAUGCAUACAACAAUAUAAAUAUAUACUCAAUUGAAUGACACAUUAGGCAUAGAAGGAAUUCCAACGAGUUUGGAUAGCACAACCCACCUCGUAGGCAUACUAGGAUGCUACGGUGAUUUUCUCGAGAUUUUUAGCCUCUUAGUUUGUUACCUCCGGCAAAACGAAGCCCUAUUGGGCCAUUUUGCUCAUAUCUUUACAUUGGCUUUUCGUAACGUUAAUCCGAGCACACCAACGUGUCGGAAAUACCCCCAAUUAGAUUUCUAAAGGGUGUCAAUUUCACUUUGGAACCCUCACAAGCAAAAGCCCCAAUUUGGGUGCCCUAGCUCAUAGCAUACAUCAAACCUAGGGUUUGAUCUCAUUAGGAAGCAAAAAUAAGCUUCAAAUCAUGUAAAGGUUCCAUUUGAACCAUCCUUAGCUUAAUCAAAACCCAUUUUAGGGUUUCAACAUGAGAGGGGUUGAAGCUUACCUUCAAGCUUCACCAUCUCCACCCAAUCCAUUGUUUGAUCUCUAAAAGAAGCAAAAGAUAGCUCCAAAUACUCUAAAGGCUCUAUAAAAUCCAUUUUUAGCUUAAUCCAAACCCUAGUUUGGGUUCUACCAUGAAUAGGGUUCAAGCUUACCUCUAAGCUUGCUCUUAUGUUGCUCCAAAGAGGAAGAAGAGGAGGUAGCUUCACUCCUUAGCUUCUUCUUCACCUUCUUUCUCCUUUUCUUCUUCUUUUCCUUUUCCUUUUCUUUCUUUUCCUUGUCUCCUUCUUCUCCUUCUUGUCUUCUAGAGAGAGAAAAAGAGGGAAGAGUGUGAGAGGGUGAGAAUGAGAGGAAAUAUCUCAUACACCCCUCAUACAUAGCCCACAUAAUGCAUUUUUGCAUUUAAACCCCUCAGCUUUUAUCUUAUUACACUGCCAGAACUGGGCAGUUUUCGUGCUCGGGGACCGAUCUCCCCGACUUGGGACCGGUCCCAGAGAGCUCUCCCCGCGGGCAGCCAGGUCUCCCGCGCAAUGCAACCGGUCUCUCCCAGGUUGACCGGUCUCUCGGGGAUCGGUCUCUCUCGCAGGGACCGGUUCCCGAGAGUUGGUUUUCUGGGACUUAGCCGAUUUUCAGCCCUUCUCAUUUCUCACGCGUUCGGGGACCGGUUUCUCCCACUAGGUAUCGGUCCCCGAGAGCUCAAAAACUGCAGUUUGCAGAUUUUUGAUUCUUUAGCUCUCGAAAACCUCCCACAAUGCACUUUUGAUCAUUUUAACACCUUCGGACUUUUCAAAGUGUUCCAUCCUCGCAUUUUGGUCAAUUUGACUAAAGUUCGAUAUUUAUUUUCCGAAUUUUUCGGUAUAUUACAAUAGAUCAUGUUCAACGGUGCCGAUCGUCGGUUUAGAGGCUCCAUAAAAAACAAAUGGAUGGCAACGGAGCCCGUUUGCUAUCGACAGUAUUCUAGCUCAACUUUCUAUAUAUAUAGAACAUGAUUUAUACCACUUGAAGUAUUUAGAAAUCAAAUUUUUAAUCUUUUCAACAUCAUUUGCCUAAUAAUCAAAACGUUUCAAAAUUUGUAAUUUUAAUGGUCGAUAUAAGACGUUUUCUUGUUUAACGGCGUUAAGAUAUCCAAAUCAAUUGAAUUUUUGUUAAAAUUUUUUUUAACUAUUUAAAACAAGAUCUAUACUCUUGGUUUUGAUUACAAGACUCCUAUCAUCAUUUUUUAAAAAAUAUUCAUUUUCAGCCGUUCAUUUUUGUGUCCAUUCGAUGGAUAAGAGAACAAUAUCGAAAAUGUAUGAAAUUUGAUUUCUAAAUACUUCAAGUGGUAUAGAUCAUGUUCAACGGUACCGAUCGUCAAUUUGGAGGCUCCAUCAUCGAAAACAAAUGGGUGGCAACGGAGUCCGUUUGCUAUCGAUAGUAUAUAUAUANUCGAAAACAAAUGGGUGGCAACGGAGUCCGUUUGCUAUCAAUAGUAUUCUAGCUCAAAUCUAUAUAUAUAUAUAUAUAUAUAUAUAUAUAUAAUUAGUCUACUAUUCUAGUAAUAGUACAAACCACUUGCUAUAGGUUUUCGGCCCUUAGAUAAAGGGAUGUGUGGUUAGGAAGAUAGUGAUCUUCUAGGAUUGAGUGGGUGAUUGAAUGGGUGAUUAGUGUGAGGACUGAUAUUUUUGCUGUGUAGAUAAAUCUUUUGUUAAAGAUAUUUUUGUGUGUAAUUUAAUUACAUAAGCACUUGUCAAGUUUCAGGAGAAAACGAGUUAGGAUGGAGAAGUUACGCGACCUAUAUUAAUCACUUAAAAGUAAAUAGUAACUUUGGUUUUCCGGAGAGGCCAAUCAGUGGAGAUAGUUUCUGGUGCGUAUUGGACUCCAUGCAUAGUGAUCCAAUAGCUCGUUUUCAAUGGUGCGACUAUCUUGGACCCAAUGGCACUAAUGGAUUUGGGUUUUGAUGCACGAUUUUCGAGAAAAAGGGGUUUUAUUAGAUUUACACAUAUAUAUAAGUAGUUUUUGGAAAAUUGGUGAGGGGAUGGGUUUUAUCGCAAAUCAGUGACCAAAUCUGAUGAAACAAAAUUGUAGAUUCAAUGCCCAGUCAUAGGCGGAAGAUCGGAAGAUGGAUCCCGCCUAACUCGCUUCCACCACACCUUCGCCGCCUUCUCAAGGCAAUGUGUGGCGAGCUGUACCUUAUCCUUGUCCAAGGUGUAUAGGUCCUCGAACAACGUCUCCAUGGAGUUGAUCCAGGACUCCACCGCCGCCGGUUCCACCACUCCUCCUUCUAAGAUAGGUGGAUUGAACUUCUUUAAUUGAAUAAGAGCCGCCAACGUGCGCUUCCGCUCCGCCUCAUCCACCGCACUAUCGGGGUUUGAGGUCCCCGAACCAGCCGGCACCAUUGUAAUAGGCACGGCUGCCGCCACCAUGCCCUCGGCCGCGCUCGGAACCACUGCAGGGGGCGCAGGGUGCACGGCCUCCACCGGCGCCGCCGCUUGCUGUCGCUCUAGCGCCUCUUGGAGCCUUUGGAUCUGUUCCCCUUGGCGCUGAACGAACUCCGCUUUUUGCCGCACUACGCCAAUAAGCGCGGCCAACUGCUCCCGAAGCUCCCCGUCGCCACCUGCUCCGGGUUGCACGGGAGCCGCACUUGGCUCCUCGGCCAUAGACCUCGUCCGCAGUCGACCACGAGGUAACUUAGGUCGUCCACGAGGUGGCAUUGCUUCCUGAAAAUGAAGCAAUUCAUGUUAGUUACUUAGACAAUAUACUCGAUUAUACCCAAUUCGGCGAAAGCAACAAGUGUAUUUAUUCUCCUUCCAAAGCAUCAUGUCGUCGGCCGCCGAUCACAACACAAGGAAAAGAAAACAAAUAACAACUUAAAUUUAGUCCCUAACCACAUUAGAGACAUAUUAACAUUAACCCAAUCAUAAGCUUUCGCUAUACUUUGUUCAACGUCACUCACGUUUUCUAGGUCCUGAAGGUCUUUCCAAUCCUAAAGGUCUCUAGGUCGAUCCUAAACUUUCACCUUUUUGGCUUUUACGCUCUGAUACCAUUAUAUCUGUCACGACCCGAGCACGAUCCUUUUGGCCGAUUCGAGCGCGUCGAACAGACGCCGAACGAACAGAGCCUCCCCUGUCCGCCCAAGGCUCAACACCAAGUAUCAAUAGGGUAAAAUUUUGCACAUGCGGAAGCAAACACAAUGGCUUGCACAGGGGCAAGCAAUAGCCAAUAGUGAAAGUAAUAAACUACACUUAGAAAAUUAUUUAUAUUUUUGCAUCAUUUCUUUUCUUUACAUCACAUGAUCUCAAAAUAUAAGUCUUGCAUUGAAAUAUAAAGUAUCUUAUACAUUAUUCAUUUAACAUGUUCAUAAUACUAAAAUCAUCGAAAUACAAAAGAUGAUAACUAAAGGGCAUGCAACUAAACUAAAAUGUGAAACCAACUCAGGUGGUCUCCAUCUAGGGCGCGAUGCCCUUACCGCGAUCGUCCGCCAGCUCGCUCGGUCCCGGCUCUAUGGAAAUAGUGGGGUGAGAACUACAACAAAGUUCCCAGUGGGUUCGGCAACCGACCACACUGACUUUCCUACUAGGUCUAAAUCAGGCAUAAUAGAAGAAAAGAGAUAUAGAUAGUAACCAAACUAUACAAAUGCUGCUAACAUGCCUGAGCAAUAAAUAAUGCAAUGCUCAAUAGUAUGCUCAUGAUGAAUGCAAGGUCACAAUCUCAUUGCUCAAUCUCUUGGCUAACCCGUAGGUUUCGCCCUCAACAACUCACCAACUCAAAUCCCAGUAUCGGGGAGGCUACUACACCCGACGGGACCGUCCGUCCUCUAGAGAGGCUACUACACCCAGUGAUGAUAACUCCGGAGCACAUCGCUAGAGGGGGAGUUNUUUUUGUUCAUAAUUUACCCCUAAUGUUCGAUGGUUGGAGUUCUCUUCGGGGUUAGGUUCGAGUUUUGGUUCAUCCCAACUCCAAACUAGGAGGUGUUUCGAGGUUGGCGUUCGAGGUUUGGAGGUUUCCGCUCUUUACUCCUUCUUCUACUACGAGGUUCCGGAGAUACGUUCGAGGAAGUGGAGAAGAAGAGGAAGAAGAGGAAGGGAAAGACAGAGAUCUUCACAUACUUCUCACACUCCCUCUCUUUUUACUCUCACUCUCCCCUCCUCUCCGACGGAUAUCGGGGAUUUCAUUGUUUUAGGUGUAUCCGGGGAGUUUUUGGGUCUAAAUGUAGUCGGGCCUGACCCGUCAAAAGCGGGUCUCCCUGGCCAGAGAGGGGUCGUCCCUGGCCAGAGAACGACGCUUGGGCUUUUUGGUCGCAAGCCCUUGGCCAGAGAGGGACGCGCCCUGGCCAGAGAGGGGCGCGUCUGCGCGAGCCCCUGGCCAGAGUUGACGGUUCCUGGCCAACGGAGCGGACGACGCGCCGUGACAAGUGACCCCCUGGCCAGAGAGGAUAGUCCCUGGCCAGGGGCUCUCAGUUUUGAGAGUCCUGAGACGGUUUUGAGAACUCUAGCUUGAAAAUCCGGCCAUAUGGUAGCUGCCGGGAGGUGAUUCACACUUUUUCAAGCCUUAUGGUUAGCUUGUGAGCUUGGAGCGUUAAACGUUUCCAGGUCACACGAUGUAGUAUAGAGAUGCCACCAGAUUAGAGGGAAGAGCCAGCUAGAGACCGAUAGCUUAUACACAGACAGACACCAACGCGGAGACCAAGACAUCCUCGUCUUAGCGGACUUCACCAUGGACCACGACCUCACUAGACUAAAAAUCUCACUCAAACUUUGAGGUGGAGCUGUCAAAAGAAGCUAGGUAGACGUAGACGUGGACGUGGACAUGGACAUAGUGUUCUUUGUGCGCUGAGGAGGAAAGCCGCUUCGUAGUGUCAAAGCAAUUUGAACUGUAGAGACGAUUAAUAUUAAAAGAAUAGAAGUCCUGUGGUGUUUGCUUUUGGAAAUCACGGUCUUCGUAUUGGAUUUUUGAACGUAAGAAAUCUAGAUCCAAAAUUAAAAGGAACUAACUGUACACGUAUAUGUCCUGUAGGCUUUUAAAAAUUUAGUCUUAUUGAUCCUCCCACCGGUCUGGUAUGGAGAAGACCUCAAAAAUCUAGUUAUCUUCAGCUGCCUCUGGCUAAGUGGUUUAUCGUUCGACAUCUACGUCGAAGACGGGUUUUGAGGAGCGGUUUAGGACGUAAGCUCUCAUCUGUAGAACAGAAGAGGUAGUUACAAGACAAGUAUGCAAGACGGUGCGGCAAAACGACGCCACACAUCCGCUGACACGCUACAGAGAGCUAAGGAAGAAGAAAUGUCUUAAGUAAUUUAAGAGGACUUGUCUUGAGAUUAGGUAACAGUCACGCUUCCGCGAAUUAAACGAAAGGACAGACGAAGAGUUAAUUUCAGAAGGUGAUGAACUUCCAGAACUUAUGUAGCGAAAAGACGUUAUUCUUUUUACAGGUUUGGAAGGAACUCAUCAGUAGAUACUUCCAGUCGUAAAACUCUCCUACAACUCAGCUAAGCAACACGUAUAUAGGAUCAACUGGACUCACCAGUCAGGAACACCAAGUAACUCGUCAUGAACGUAUACAAACUCUCCUACAGCUACAACAGGGUAGGAUCAACUGGACUCACCAGCCAAGAACACGAAGGAAUGUCAACCUACUGGAAAACCAGCCAAUCGGGGCUCCCCGCCACUAACAGCCGACUAACGGCUGCCAACUGAUAACUAGUAUAGGCGUAACUAGCGGUGUCGAGCUCACAUAAAGUGCAUGUGGUCGCCCAACUAGGGGGCGUCCUCCCACAAGAAAAGGCCUUUUCACCAGCAUGUAGGCUGGGCACUCGGGUUGCCACAAGAGAAACACGAUCCCAAUGUACGGUCCACACUCGUCCAUCACCGAAAACGGACUCUAGGAAUCUGGCUGUGCCGCCAAAUCUAACCCAUGAAAACCUGAAGAGCAGGCCAAUUGCGUAUAUCGAUAUCGUCGCCAACAACGUAUAUAUGAAGAUCAAGAAAGAAAUGUCAACAGAACGAUGAUAUCAAAACUAUAGGAACAUACGAACGUCAACAUGUAAUGUCAUCGCCAUCAACACGAAAGUAUAUAUAUAGAGUAAGCAAGUAAUAGCAACGAUGACAUAAAAUGAAUGGGUAUAACAACAAAUAGAGAAGGGUUAGGCCACUCAUGAGGAGCGGAAGAAGCCGAACGCCAUGGGUGACCCUCCCCUCUGUACAAAUGUACAAGAGUGGAGGGGGUGAUAAAAAAUCCAUAGCGCCCGCCACUCCAACUCUGCUCUGCACUCUGUGCACCUAUCGAUAGCAAUCUCGGAAGCUGGGCCAAACAUGAUAACUCAAUAAUGGGAUAAUAAAGACCACUAUAUAUCGAAUCAGUCAGAUAUACCAAGUCAUAAAGUAAUACAAUUUUAUAAGUUCCUAAAGACCUAAAAGCAUUUAUUUUCUAAAAGAUCGGGAGCACCAUCGCAAAAAUUUUCUAUUUUCAAAGGCACAUCCCUUGUCAAAAGUUUUCUAAAAGACACCUUAAUACAAAUUUGUAACUUACAUUUAGACACUACAUUUACCACUUACAUACUUACAUAUCAAUAGAGAUAUAAAUACAUCAACACCAACAUAAGCCAAAUGAACAACAUGAACACACUACGGCACGUUUAUGUCCCCUCUGAGACAGACACACUUGUCACCUAAAAGACAUAAACACCGCCUAGACCGUAUGGGACCCCAGUCUAAAAGUUUUUUUUUAAAUCUGCGAAAAGGCGACACAAAGUUUAAUUUUCCCUGGGGUCCCGCACUGUCUAAUUUCAACAUAGUCUCGGUUCAAUGUUGGUGUUGUGGUAAGUGUCCAACAAAACUUUUCAUUUACUUUGACUUGGUAACCAAUGCAAUUGGGUAUCCUUCCGGAUGCUAUAUAUCCGUGCACUCGCGCCCCAAACCUGAACACAGGACCAAACGUAAGCUCAACCCAUUUGAGAAUCACGUGACAAUAAAGACAUACACGAUACCAAAAGCGUGUUCGAUCACAGAGUCAACCCUCAUCACCGCCACAAAGAAAGACCUGUAACUCACCACUCCGACGUAAGGGGUCCACAACGGUGAGGACAGUCCAAUCCGGAACUUCCCGGUCCACUAGAAGCCCACAGUUCGGAACCCUGGCCGUCCCCGGGAGGGCCAUCGCACGGGUCUGGGCGAUAUACAGUUGUGUAUAUUCCGCAGAUGUUGUUGUCGCCUUUAUUUGGUUUCUUAUUGUUGUAGAUCUCUAUAGUCUCGUUUUUAUAUAGAUAGUAGAUGUCGUUCCAUUUUCCUAUUAUGUUAUUAUUAUUCUCACUUUAUAUUUUAUUAUGUUGUAGACAGGGGUUUUCCAUGUGUUUUCCCACCAGAGAUCAUGUGACCAUCUAGGUUUUUCUAGAUGAAACCCUAGAUUUUGGGAUUUAGGGUUUAUUUUUGGGGGUUUUUGGAUUUGAGGGUUAUGAGACCUAAUUGAUGGGUUCGGAACCUUUAUAUAGGUUAGAUUGGAAGACCUCUACCUUCCAUUUGAGGAUUUAGAGAGGGUUUUCCACUUGAGGUGAGUUUCUCCCAACCCUAGCUUGAGUUGGGUAAUGUUUGAGCUAUUCGCUCUUCGUUUCGUUCGGGUGACCCUAUUUUUGAUGUUUCUAGGGUACUAGGGAGCUUGUGGAUAUCUCCGUUCGGCAAAACGAAGAAGUCGAUUAUUCGGUGGGUUUGACUUCAUGAAAAUGGGGCAAAAUGGCUCCUAUGCCUUCUAAACUUUUUGUAAAGUGUUUUCGAAUGCAAAUUCAUGCUAAACAUGAUUUAUAUGAAUUUUAGGACACCUAACUUGCAUGCUUCAUGUAUCGUAAAAAUUGUACUCCAUAUAGUAGAGCUAUAUGCGUAGAUUGCAUGCAUUGUGGAUAGUGCUUGGUUUUGCAAGUUGAGAACAUGACUCCAUACUUGAAUUGAGUGAACUAUGCAUCAUGAACACGUAAUGCCUUAAUUGGGACUCGUUGAACAAAAGUGUCAUAAAGAGGCACUUGGAAUUAGUAAACUAUAAAAUGCAACUUAGAGACAUGAUGACAUAGAGAUAGACCCUUGGGACAUUCGAUACAUUCCAUGUGAUUAGACAUGAGGACUUGGUACAUGCGUCAGAUUGUUGACUACUUGCCAUUGUGCUCAUUCGCACAUGCUUGUGAGGGUCGCUCCCUACAAGCCGGCACUCCGGAGAUGGCCAUCGCGAUACAUAUUCGCCGUGCGGGAUUGGGCGCCGAAGUGGAUUGCCGUGGGACAGGCUCAUUCCUAGGGUGGGGAUGAUGACUACCACGAGGCCAUUAGGCUCGGCACCGGCCAGACAGCCUGCGGGUGGGUCUCAGGGCCAUAGACAGCCUUCGGGUGGGUCUCUUCAGAUUUGACUUGAGUAUUCAUUAUGACAUGUGGACAGAUGAUGACUUAGAGUAUUAGUUGGACAUUAACUAGAAUAGUGAACAACGGAACUUUAUAUUUCGCAUUGUGAACAUUAUGAUAGUUGGGGACUUAUACUUCAUGCAUAGUUGCUUCAUACUUAUGCUAUUUAUGCUAAGUAGAGAUAUCAUGUCGUAGUAAAUUACAUUUUACUUACCUUUCGCUUUUCUACAUUAUAGUCACUAACAUCUUUUGUAGCUUUGGGCCUUGUGGUGCAUUCACUGAAGUCAGUAAUUGCCCACUGGAAACUAUUUUUGAUAGUUCUCACGCCCCUGUUUCAUGGUUUCCUUUUCAGAGCCUUCGGCACCGGCGGAGGCCCGGGAUCGCGGCAAGGGGAUCGUGUAGCUAGCUAGCGAGGAGCUUACUUGCCUAGGUGGUUUACUCUUUCUUUUGUAGUUGAGAGAGAGUGAGAGUUUUUGUACCCUGUAUAGAGACCACCUAUGUAUCUACUCAUGGCACUCGUAUUUGGGAUUUCUAUUGUAUUUACUUUAUGCCUUAUUUAGUGGAUUUACAGUUUUUUUUCCUUAUCCUUUGUUGUAGCAUUUAGACAUUUAUUAUGCUCUGAUACUCCUAGAUGUCUUUUAAUAUUGCUUUUAAUUAUUGUUGUUUCUAGACGCCUUAUACGUUUUAGACGUAUGGCGGGUCUGGACACGUGCCGGGCGGGCUUCCGCUGGGUCCCGGGGCGUGACAGAUUAAUUUAGUAUCAGAGCCUAGGGUUGAGUCUUAGGGAACUUAGCAGACCUUAGGCCGGUUGGACUAUAGGAAAUAGGCUCGUGAGAAACGAGGUCUAUUCGACUUGUGAGCGAAAGUAUCAUGAUUGGGUAUUAGGAUAACUCUAAAAAAAAAAAUUAGAGUUGAUUGGAGUGUUUGGCUUCUAACUUCGCGGAGGGUUACGUUGGCGGCCGACAACGUAACAUCGGGAGUUAGUAGUGUAGAACACUUCCUUACUUUCGCAUGAUUUGGGGUUUGUCUUUUGAGCGGGGAUGCGAUAGCGUGAGUAUUUCUAACUUACGCUUUUAUGAUGUUGUAGUGACAAUGCCGAUUACUCGCUCCCAAUCUGCCGAAGCGGACAAUGCGGCAAACUUCGAGGAGGUUGAAACCUCCGCUACCUCCGGAUCCAGCGAGGUCCGUGAGUUAAGGGGCCAGCUUGCGGCCCUCACUGAUUUGGUUACUCAGCAGGCGGAGGCGGCCCGACAGCAGGCUGAGGCGGCGCGCCGACAGGANNNNNNNNNNNUAUGGAUUAAAGCAAUCUCCAAGGCAAUGGUACAAGAGGUUUGAUUCAUUUAUGAUUAGCCAUGAUUUUAAUAGAAGCAAUUUUGAUAGUUGUGUUUAUAUAAAGAAAUUAAUUGAUGGCUCUUUUAUCUAUUUGCUUCUUUAUGUGGACGAUAUGUUAAUUGCUGCUAAGAACAUGGCUAAUGUUGAUGAUCUUAAAAGACAGUUGAAGUCUGAAUUUGAUGUCAAGGAUUUAGGUGCAGCGAAGAAGAUACUUGGUAUGGAGAUACAGCGAAACAGAAAAGCAAAGAAGUUACAGCUAACUCAAAAGGGAUACAUCCAGCGCGUGUUGGAGCGCUUUUGUAUGAAGGAUGUUAAGCCUGUAAGUACACCUUUCGCUACACAUUUUAAACUUUCAACUGAUUUGGCUCCGAAAACUGAUGAUGAGAAGGCAUAUAUGGAACGAGUCCCCUACGCAAGCGCAGUCGGUAGCAUUAUGUAUGCUAUGGUCUGCACGAGACCAGAUAUUGCGCAUGCUGUAAGCGUGGUGAGUAGGUACAUGGCAAAUCCGGGAAAACAACACUGGCAAGUUGUAAAAUGGAUUUUGAGGUAUUUGCGAGGUACUACUAAUGCCUGUUUAGAGUUCGGUAGAUCUGAUGCAGGUUUGACAGGGUACGUGGAUUCGGAUUAUGCUGGAGACCUUGAUAAAAGAAGAUCUCUUACUGGUUAUGUCUUCUCACUUGGCGAAUGCGCUAUUAGUUGGAGAGCUUGUUUACAGCCUACUGUUGCACUAUCUACGACGGAGGCUGAGUACAUGGCGAUCACGGAGGCUGUGAAGGAAGGUAUUUGGUUAAGAGGCUUAUUUCGUGAAUUAAGCGGAGAUAGUCAGAAAUUAACAGUUUUUUGCGACAGUCAGAGUGCUAUUUAUCUCACAAAGGAUCAAAUGUUUCAUGAGAGAACGGAGCAUAUUGACAUCAAGUAUCAUUUUAUUCGUGAGGUUCUCGCGCAAGGAGACAUUGGGGUGAAAAAGAUUAGCACUUUAGAAAAUCCUGCUGACAUGUUGACGAAGUCUCUUAUUCCUCUCAAGUUCAAGCAUUGCUUGGACUUGAUUAGUAUUAACUGCUGAUUGGAUUGCCCUUAGGGGCUUGUGGAGAAGGUGGAGAAUUAUGAUUGCUGCUUCAUUUAAAGGGAAUUUCUCGUCAAGGUGGAGAUUUGUUAGAUGUGACUCGAAAUCUACUAUCGAUUCAGGUUCGGGUUUACGACUCUCCGACAGCUUCGCGGUGCGACCAAUUUGGAAAAGAAAAUUAUGGAGGAAAAAUGAAUGUCUGUGGUGGGUAGCGGAGGGCUCGGGCCGACGGAUCGGAUCCGAAACCCGUUAUGAGUUUUCCUUUUCGUUUAUCGUUUAUGCCCUAGAGGCGUGUGAUCGUGAUCGGUUGUAACCUGAAGAACUUUGUAUUCCCUUUUCGUUCCAUAGUGAAGAUCUCUCCUCCCUCGCCCGUGGUUUUUCCCUGCAAAGGGUUUUCCACGUAAAUUUGUGUCUCUUUAUUUUUCUGCUUGUGGUUUGAUUGUUUUUUGUGUUCGUCAUUUCGUUUCCGUUUGUCCGUUUGUCGUAACACACUAGCUGACAAUCCUACCCCUCAGGGUACACCGACCUCGUGGGUCAUCAAACGACAAGAAUCCAGAACUGAUAGACUAGGUCACAAAGGGUCAAAUGACAGAUCUGUGAAAACUAUAAUCAUCCGUCGGCCAUUAACCGACAAUCUCACCCCUCAGGGUAUACCGACCUCAACGGUCAUCAAACAAUGAAAGUCACGAAGAUGCUCUACUCUAAACAUGAUACCGGAUAUGCAGAACAGCUAAAUAGAGUAACAAAGAAACAUGGAAUAACUACUCUACUCCUACUCAUGAUACUAGAUAUAACGAAAAUAACCGAGUAGAGCAUAACUGAAACAACAUGGUGCUAGGCUCAACACUAUAUAUAUAUAUAUAUAUAUAUAUAUAUAUGCCAGAUAAUAACGAGAGAACAAAGGUAAGAAACCAUCACCGAGCGUGCACCACUGUACCGACAUCGUAUCGAAGUACCCACCUGUACGUGUCUGACGAAGAUCUCUCAACUGUGAAGACGGAACAAUCGAACCUACGAAAGGUCCAACGGGUUAGAAUCUAACCCACUAACAUGACUCGCUAACACACAAACCCCACUCACCAGAACCACGAGAACCGGUUUCCCAAAACCGAUUACCGAACAAGCCGGAAGUCCCGAAAACCGCACCGGAACUCCACCGUCGCUCACUCGUCGUUUUCGAACCCUCGAAACGACGCGGGUGACCAGCCAACAAGGCUCAGCGACGACGCAAAUAAUCACCAAGUACCGUCGGAAGAAUUUCGAACCGAAACCCGCGUUCCGUCGGCGGAUUUCGUCGAGAAACGCAUCGGAAAUCACUUUACGGUCUCCGUAAGGGCUUGGGGCCUUGGACAAUCAGUCCAAAGGUCACCCACUACUCACCCAUGCUGCGAACAGCAGCCGCAACAACCCAAAAUACAUAAAAGCCCUCCCGAUUACCCGAAAUCGCAUUAUUUUAUGUGAUUUCGACGCUUUUAUGGUCCGUCUACACAAACUAGAAGUCAAUCAGCCAAAUCGAGACACCCGCUGUCAGGUCUCGGCGUACCGGAGACCGUGCUCACCUUUUGGAGCACUGCCGGCCACUAUGGCACGCGCACGAGCGAUGCGAAAUCAGUGAAACAGCGCGCACAGCAGGAAAAACAUGCUUAUCUCGCCAACCAGGUGCUCGUUGACUCUAAAUGAGGUGAGCACUGUGAUCAGGAUUGACAGACAAUCACCGUGAUCACCCCCGGAGGCAUCGGAACAGCCUUGGGUCGCGGGAACAGUGACCAGAACAAGAAACUAUGAGCAGAAACGCUGAAAACAAGCUUACCGGCCAGGGGAGAGCUAGGGCUGGCCGCCGGCAGCCGGACGGCGAGCGAUUCGGCAGAAGAUGGGAGCGACUGGUCCAAGGGGUCCGGGGAACCUGCUGGCCGGCGGCGGGAGGCGGCCGGUGGCGCGGCGACACGGAUCGACCCGUGACUUGCUCUCGGGUUCAUGAGGUCCAAGGCGGCCGGCGGCGGCCGGAGGAGCUCCGGGCGGCGACGAUCUGUCGGCGGAGGCCUAGGGAGAGGUGGUGCUUCCUGCCAUAGGCGGUGGCAACGCGCGGAGGCCACGAGGGCUCAGCCUCGGCCCGCAUCGAGUCUGGGCGGCUGCAGGAGCUUCGGGCGGCGGCCGGCGGUGGUCGAGGACGCCGGGAAACACGCGCGUGAGGUCGCCGGAGGGUAGAGGGAGGCGAGGCAGCCCGCCUCGAGGCGGCUGCAGCUCGCUGCUGCGAGCAGAUCCGAGCUCAGCCGAGCAGCAAUAAAUGGCCGCGGAUGGCCUUGGCGGCACCUGCGACGCGUGCGGGCGGCGACGGCCGGCGGGGGACGGCGCCGGGGAGUUCCAGGAGGGUGGCGGGAGCGAGCUCAGGCGGUGGCUGUACGCAGGGGGUCGCGAGUUAGCCUCGGUCUAGGCUCGGCCUGGGCAGCAGCAGGGUGCAGCAGCGGCCGCGGCGGCGCUUGGCGACGGCGGCAGGCAGCAGCGAUUGACCUGGGGCGGCUCCGACGAGGUCAGGGCGACGCCAGCAGGGAGUAGGAAGGCAAUGCAGCCUCGACUAGGGCUCCAACCCGAGAAGAAGCGAGAGAGAGAGAGAGAGAUAUAUAUAUGGAGAGGAAGAAAGAAGAUGGCUGCGGCGGUGGUUGGCCGGCCGGGGCUCAGUCGGCGGCGGCCGGGAGUCGUGCGGCUAGGUCAGAGGGAAGCAAGAACGUGGCUGGGGGUGCCGUUAGGGCUAGGUUAGGGUUUCAAGUGGAAAACCCUAAUGCAACCAUAUAUAUAUAGUGCAGAAUUGCAGAUAAGUCCACCAAAACUAAGAAUUUCAAACUGGGUCCUCCACAGCAUGAGUAAAACGCGCGAAUACCCCUCCACCUGCGAUUUCACGCAAAACGGGACAUAAAAUGUCGCGACUUUUGCGAAAAUACCGUUUUGCCAACACCGACCUCACCUCGAUCAACGUGCAAUCUCCGUAGAUCUGUCUGUCCGAUUUGCGAACGAAUCGCACCAGUGCGAUCAGCACCUCGGAGACAACAAGGCUGCGAUUUCAUUUCGCCUCAAACGGUUGCGGAUUCGCGACGAAAUCCGCUCUCUCUCCAAAAGGCCAAAUACGACGCACAAUUACAUAUAAAACAUGUAUUUUCUGAUUUUCUCAAAAUCCGUGCGUCAAACUCAAAAUCCGUCAGCGCCAUUAGUUCCAGAAUAACUGAACCGGUCGAAACGAGCUAUUGGAUUGCUAUGAACGGAGUCCGAUACGCGCCAGAAGCCGUCUUCUCUUAUUAACUUCUCCGAAAAAUCAGAGUUACUAUUCACUUAAGUGAAAACUAAAAAUCGCGUAUCUUCUCCAUUUUAGCUCAUUUUCUCCUGAAACUUGACGAGUGCUUAUGUAAUUAAAUUACACACAGGAACAUCAUCAACUGAGAGUCUAAUUGUACUGCCAAAAUCUCAGUCCUUACAUUGACGCACGAUGACCUUUGCCACUACAGUGGUUCAUGUAUAGAUAUGAUCAUGACAGAGACAUUUCUAUCAUUUAUUUACUCUUGUUGCUACUUUAGAGGCAUUUUGAACAGGGCGCGAGCUCUAGGGAGAGGGGCCUGCGAGCCUUGUGGGGCGACAGGAGGAGGCGGGGAGAGGGGCACGGGAGAAGAGAGAGAAGGAAUAGAGAGAGGGAGAGAGAGAGGGAGGGGAGGGGACAGGGAGAGGGGGAGGUCAGGGUAGGGUCCGACAAACACCCGAUAGGGGCGGAUCGGAGAGAGAAGGGAUCGGAGGGAGGACGCGGCCGGGGGGGCUGCUAUGUGCGCGGUCCCCUCUCGCGGGGGCACGCGAGCAGAGAGACAGAGAGAGAGAGAGAGAGAAAGAGAGAGAGAGAGGGGGAAAGAGAGAAAAAGAGAGAGUGAGAGAGUCGAGAAGGAGGGGGGCCGCUGAGAAGGCGACGCGUGGACAGUUUAGGGUUCGCCUUUUAUUAUAUGUAUUGAUUGAUAUGUAUUGAUUAUAAUUGACUUCAGCCCACACUAUGCUGGAGUCAAUUAUGCAAAAAAAGAGUGAAAAAAAAUAUUAAUAUUAAAGAACUCUAACUUUUACGUUAUUCACUUUUUGUCAAACAAAUAACAAAAAUAAAAACUUUAGAUUUAUAAUUAUAGAACCAAAUAGUGAAAAAAAAAAUAUUUAUCUAAGGUCUAGUUCAUCUAAAAUUUACUUUAAGGGAUGUUUGGUUGUCAGAAAUGGUCAAAGUGAAAAAAGUCAAUUUCAUAAAAGUGACUUAUAUAAAAGUGAUUUUUGAGUUCGAUUUUUUGGUUAUCUAUAAAAUGAAACAUAGAAAAUUAUAGUUUUAUAGUUUCGAUUAUUUGAUUAUAUAUAAAUAAGUAAAAAUAUAAAAAACAACUUAUAUUCUUAAUUUAAAUUAAAAAUUUAAGUAAAAAAUUUAUAUUUAGAAUUUAAAAUUAAAUUUUAAAAUUUAAAUUUUAACUUAAAUAUUCAUUGAAUUUAAAAUUAAAAUUUAAGGCAUACAAUUAAAUUUACAAUCUAAAUUUAAAUUUUAAAUUACAACUCAAUUUUAUCUGAGAUUAAGUUGUACUAUUUGAGACAACAUUAUUUUGAAUGGUGCAAUUUUGUCUUAAACAAUGCAACUUUCAUCUCAAAAUAUGCAAUUUCGUCUUGUUCUUCUCUCUUCUUUCUCUCAAAUAGUGAAAUUUAGUCUCAAAAGAAUACAAUUUAUUUCAAAAAUAGUACAACAUCUUUUUAAAUAGUAUAAUUUUAUCUCAAAUAGUGCAACUAACAAUGCAAUUUAUUCUUAAGCAGUGCAACCUUGGUCUCAAAUAGUGCAACUUCAUCUUCUUUUUCUUUAUUCUUUAUUUUUAAUUUUUUUAGGAGAAAAAUUAUAUUUUUCUCUAUUUUUUUUUCUUUCACCCUAGGCAUCUUUUUCUGUUACCGCACCUCCUCUCUCGCCCUUUGUCGUAGCCGCUGCCGCCUCCGCCCGACGAGCUCUCCCUCUCCGUCGUCCUCAAAACCUACGACACGCUCGUCGCCCUCGCAGUCACCAUCAACGACUAUAUAUUUCACUGCAUCGCUAUCUGUCCCAUAUUUGAGCCGGCUCGGCAGAAGUGUAGGUGAAGCAAGAGAGAGGAACGUGGCAUUGACAUCGGGGUGGUGGAGAAGGAGGAAAAAUGAAAGAAAGUGGGAGGAUAAAGAAAAAACGACGAGGAAGAAGACGAACCGCAUGGAAAAAAAACAAGCAUGAGAACAAAAAAACAGAGAAAGUGAAAUAAGGUUAUUUUGCUCAGUUUAUUAAAAAUUCGGACUGAAUCUGUAAAAUCUGAAAAGACGGCCUACUUUAGCAAAAACUCAAAACCAAUGAAUUUUUAUACAAAUUGGCAUUAAAAAAUUAGGCUUAUAUAUAUAAUAACAUUCCAAAUCUUAUUUCAAAUUUAAGUUAAAAUGUAAUUUUUAAAAAAAUUAAAAUUAAGACAAAAUAUAAUUUUUUAAAUAAGCUGUCAUGCCCCGGGACCCAGCGGAAGACCGCCCGGUGCGUGUCCAGACCCGCCAUACGUCUGCAACAUAUAAGGCGUCUACAACUAAACGAUAAAUAAAGCAAUAAUAUACAAAAAUUUAGAGAUAUCAGAGCAUACAACAUCUAGGUUCUAUGAUACAGAGGUAUAUAGAAGAGCUAAAAUUCACUAAGAGCAAACUAUGAAGUAGUACAAAAGGGGUCCAAAUACAAAUGCUAAACAUAAGAACAUGGUGGUAUCUAUACAUGGAUACAAGCUCUCUCACCUUCCCUAAUAAAACACAAAAGAGAGAGAACCACCUAAAGCAAAGAGUAAACUCCUAGGUAUCUAGCUAGCAAUCCCCUUGCCGCGAUCCCGUGCCUCCACCGGUGUAGAGGGCUCUGAAAGAAAAUCAUAAAACUGGGGCGUGAGAACUAUUAAAUAAUAGUUCCCAAUGGGUAAUUACUGACUUCAGUGAAAUGCACCACUAGGCCCAAAAGCUGAAGAAAAUAAGUGCAAGUAUAUAACUGAAUGAACAAUAAGCAUUUAAACAUGAAUAACUUGCUAAACCAUUAUGUCACCACUUAGCAUGAUUUUGCAUAAGUAUGAAUGCUAUUCUAAUAUGAAUAUGCAUGAGUAUAAUCAACAUGAUGUCCACAAUGUAAAUAGUACAAUGUCAUUGUUUACUAGCUGUCUAGUUGUCGAUUUACAUUUUAGUUCCACUUGUUCCAAGUCACAUAGGACCUACCCGUGGGUAGUCCGGCUUGUGCCGUGCCUAAUGGCUCCAUGGUAGUCAACAUCCUUACUCUAGGAAUGAGCCUCCCCACGGCAUCCCAUUUCGGCGCCCAAUUCCGCACGGACGAACAUAUGUCGCGAUAGCUAUCUCCGGAGUGCAGGCUUGUGGGGAGCGACCCUCACAAGCAUGUGCGAAUGAGCACAAUGGCAAACAAACGUAAAAGUCCGUCUCAAGUCCAAUGUCAUCAUGUCUAAAACAUGGAAUAUAGUCAAUGUCUCAAUAGCCUAUCACUAAGUCAUCAUGUUGCAGUUUACCUUUUUACUAGGUUGAGUGCCUCUUUAUGGCACUUUUGUCCAUUAUGUCCAAACAUGAGUUUUGUGUCCAAGAGUACAUAAUUCUAGUCAUUUUCAUCACAUGAGACAUAUUUCCAACUUACAGGGAAGAAUAAUAUUCAUAUGCACGAGUAAUACACAUAGCCCUCUACUACAUAGAGUCGAUUUUUCAUGAAAUAUAGCACAUGCAUUUUAAGUAUUUUAAAAUUCAUAAAAAUCAUAUCUAGCAUGAAUAUGCAUGCAUUUCGAUGAUACGAUAAUUAUUAACGACAUAGGAGAAGAUUUCUCCCAUUCCAAUGAAGCCAAACCCACCGAAACUCUUAGUCGCCCUUCAUUUGCGCCGACGAAGGUGCCCACUACUCUCCUAGCACCCUAAAGGUAAUAUAAAGAGAGUUAAACGAACGUUACGAACACAAGCAAACUCAAACAUUAACCGCCUUAAGCAAAAGGGUGAAAACUCACCUAUAAUGAAGAAAAUCUCUCACGAUCUCCGAAUGAGAGUUAGAGGCCCUCAAAUCCAACCUAUACAAAAGUUCUAAACUAAUCAAAUAGGUUCUAGAAGCUACUAAUCCAAGAUCCCCAAAAUAAACCCCAAAUCUCAUUUCUAGGGUUUCAUCUCAUGAAAUUUACCAAAUCAUUGAUCAAAGAGAAGAUUAAGCUUACUAACCUCUCUAGAACUCCAAAUCAAGUUAGCAAGUGAGCUAGGGUUGAAGUUCUCCCUCCAAAUGAGCUCCAACAAAAGCUUCAAAGCUUUUCCAAUGGUGGAAUCCCAACAAAGAGCAAAGAGAGGAGAUCAAAACAAGCUAAACCAAGCAAAAUGGAGCAAAAAUUCAAGGGAGAAGACCUCACUUGGGUUCUCCACGAAAUAGGGUUCAAAGGAGCUCUCUGAGGGGGCUGGGGGGUGUUUUAUAGGGUUGCAAUAAUUGCAAAUACACCCUCCAACAAAAACAGCAUGCACUGCACUGUGUACCGGUACAAAGGUUGGCAGACAGCAAACCCGAGCCUCGGGUUGACAGAAAAACUCAUCGUGUACAGGUACACUUCCGAUGUUGUACCGGUACACUUUGUAUUCCGGUACAACCUUGAUGCUGUAACGGUACACUUCCCUGCCGAGCCCAACCUGAGAGUAGCCAAUAAUCCUCACUUUAGAGACUUCGGUGCUGAGUUCUAAACCUCGAUUCUCGGGACGCGAGUCAUAGGUCGGAACAUCGUCGACGACCCUCUAGAAAACCUGAAAAAACUCGAAACACAAAUCAAACACUCGAACCUCGCAAUUUGCAAAGGUCCAGUGCGUUACAUAAGCCCUUCACUUUUGAUGACUUUGAAAUUUUUUAAGGCAUGUUAGGUUUGCCGAAAGUGAAGCAUCGAAAGUUGGCACUUUUAAAAAGUGACGUCUUUUCGGUUGUUUGAUUUGUGAAAGUGAAUAUGAAAGUCACUUUACGAAAGUCGGCUGAUAAAGUGAGUUAUAACUAAAUCUAACUUUUUUUUUUUUAUUUUGGCUCAAAAAAUUCAGAAGUCAUCGAUAGCGGAGAGCUUAACUAAAAGUGUCACGCCCCGGAUUACCAUAUUCCCUGGGCUCGCCAACAGACCCGCCGUAUAUAUAGGGAUUUUUCGUAUAUACGAAGCGAUAGCUGUACCUGCAAACAGAUAAUAGCUACAACAAGGAGUAGAUAAUAGCUACAACAAGGAGUAUAGAGCUGCUAAAAUCGAAACACACAUAUAUAUAUAAAAAGGCCAAUUGUACAUACAAGUUUCAAAAUACAACCACCUCUCAAAAAGUAAAACAAAAUACAACUGUAUGUACAUGGCGACAUCCUAAAACUAUCUCAGGCAGGGAUACUCCUUUAGUAAAGUGACCGGGGAAGAUAGGCAUCUAGCUCGCGAUUCCCUUAUCUCGAUCAGAAGCAGCAGCAGCAACGGAUGGCUCUGCAAAAAGGUGGCAACAUUGGGUAUGAGAACUACUGCAAAACAGAGUAAUCCUUAGUGGGUACCGUCACCGAUCCCAACGGCCUACCCACUAAGUCUACAGUACGGGUAAUAAACUGAUAGGUAAUAGGAUAGUAAAAUAAACUAGAAGAAACUUUACAGCUAAAUGCCACUAUAUUAUCGCUAUCCAUACCCUACUCUCAGUGGACAUGUAAAUGUUUCACUAGCUACAAAUCAGCCACAAUUGACCCAAUCUCAAAGGACCGCCAACUAGCCAGUCCAGCCUAUGCCCAAUCUAUACUGCACACCACCUAUAGGGGUGGCCAGUCCAAGAAAAUUGCCCAAACGGGAUUACUGCGACAUCAACGGAAGAAAAGCCUCACUACGGAGCGGCACUUAUGGGUGCGACCCAACCGAGUAUACAAGAGUGUCUCUUUUGAGCUCAAUCAAGCUCACACAGGCUAUAGUUAAUACAAAUGGGUCAAACUGAUCUAACAACCAAGGCUCACAUGCCUUCGGCACAAUUUGAUACAAGAUGUAAGAAUCUGAGUCCACCGUCAACCUCGACGGCACUCGAUAGUACAAAACAGCCUAACUUUACUGUAAAACGAGCUUGGCCCCUCAGCACGAGCGUAAUCUCAACCUACAAUAGCCUAAGUAUCUACGAUGCACUAACAGUGGUGAUGCAAAAGAAAAUUCAGCUCUUGAAGCUAAAUCUGUUAACUUUUUAAAAAAUAACAAGUGUAAGUUUAAUAAGUUUUCUUCUAAGUCAAAUCUCAGUUUAGCAGAUGAUAAUCAUCAUAAAUUAACUAAGCAUGCUCCAAAACUUAGACUUCAUCUAUAACAUGCAAAUAUACAGUUUGAGCUAUUAAACGGAUGAUUAUAUGCAAAACUAUACAUGCUGGGGUUUCGAAUACUUAGAAGAAAUUUUGAAGGUUUCGGAUAACAUUAACCCACAUUAAACGCAACUUCAACAAAAGCAAGAAGUCGAUGGGGAAGACCCUGCAAAAGAUUUGCCUCAAAACGGGCUAAAUCAGGUUGCUGUCAAGAUCUGGACUCUCAUGUAGCAACUUCUGGGCGCCCAGAAUCUGAGCCCAGAACAGCAAGCUGGCAGCUUCAGCCCACAAGGGUUCAACAUGAAAAUUAAUCCAAUUCUCAAGUCCAAAAGCAGUGAAACUUCACUCUUCUCACCCCAAAAGACUAAAGAGUAGUUUUCCAGGUUCCUCACCAAAAUUGAGCUCGAAAUGAUCACCCGAAAGCCUUCAAAUCCAUUCGGGCCCACUUCUGGAUGCCCAGAACCUGCAUCCAGCACUUCAGCACUUAAGCAAACAUGCUACUCAGCUCAAUCUGAGAAUUCUAGCUUAUAAAAUCAGUGGGGAUGGGUAAAAAACCUUCCAAAUAGAGUGGAGAAUCAAUUCAAAUCCAUCAAUAAGCUUUUCAUAAAAAUCUGGACUCAAAAAUCUAAGAAGUCAAUCAAAACUCCCGAAAAUCAAUGCAUAAGCUCAAUUAUCCAAAAUCUGAGCUAAAAUUCACCUUUCCAAUCUCGAUUUCAGGUGAGGAAAGCUUCUAAACCAGUAAAGGAUGAUGGAAAACCAACUCCCACUUCAAAAAGUAAACUGCAUCCUUUAAAAUAAAAGUUACACUCUUUAAACGAAAGUUGCACUCUUUGAAACAGUGUAACAAGAGGAAAAAUAAUGCAACAAGAGGAGAAACAGUAUAAAUAUCUCUUAAAGGGGUGCUUUUUACAUCUCAAAGAGUGCAAGAAGAGAAAAAACAGUGUAAAUAUCUCUCAAAGAGUGCAACUUUCGUUUAAAGAGUGUAACUUUCAUCUUAAAGGAUACAGUUUACAUCUCAAAGAGUGCAAUAAAAGUAGAAAUAGUGUAAAUAUCUUUCAAAGAGUGUAAUUUUUUUUAAAGAGUGUAAUUUUCAUCUUAAAGGAUACAGUUUAUAUCUUAAAUAGUGCAACUUAUGUCCAUAAUAGUGCAACGUUCUUUUAAAAUAGUGCAAUUUUAUUUUAACGGUACAAUUUCAUCUUCAUCUUUUUUUUUUUAUAAUUUUUUGUCUUUAUUUUUUUUUUCUUCUUUCUUUUACAAUUUUUUUUUGGUCACCCCUUUCUGCCAAUGGCCACGGCGCUGGCGAUGACGCUGCUAAGGACCCCCUCGCUUCGAGGCUACGGCGCCGCAGCGACCUCUAUGGUGUCGGCAUCGACGAAGAUGCGUCGUCGUCGGAGGCGGCAGAGAAGGAGGGAGAGGGAAAGGACGAGAAGGGCGGGGAAGAGCGAGAGAGGGUGAGAGAGAUGUCGUUGUCGGAGACGGUGGAGAAGAGCCGGAGAGGGAAAAAAAAAAGAAGAGUCGCAGCGCGGCUUCGGCGGGGUCGGAGGCGAGGAAGGUGGGGGUUGCGCGGGCAAGGGCGAGGGCGAGAGCGAGAGUAUGAGGGCGAGAGGCGAGGCGGGUCGUUUCUGCCUCCGUUGCUUUCUUCGGCGAGAGGAAAAAAAAUGAACGAGAGAAAAAAAAAAAAGAGAGAGAAAGAGGAGAGAGAAAAAAUAAUAAGAGUAUUUUGAUCCGUUUAUUGUAAAUUUGGUCCAAAUCUACAAAAUUGAAAAAAGUGACUCAUUUUUAUAAAAGCGCAAAACUAAUAGAUUUUUUACGCAAAUUGACCUUAUUUUUGCAAACUAAAUAAUUAAUAAGCCGUUACUUUUUGCAAUUUUACUUUUUAAUGUUUCAUUUUUCGUGAGUCAAAUAUGUCCUUAUUGCAGGUGAUCCAUCCCGACGCCAGCCGGGAACAUCACUCAGCCAGCCCUGUACCCACACCAGCAAGAUUGCAGCCAGCCCGCGGACCAGCAUCUCUCUUGCAUCUGCAAUACUACAGCCUCCUUCUUCUUCUUCUUCUUCUUCCCCACCCGCAGCAAAUCUCUCCCCGAAAAUGCCCCCGAAUUCUCCUCCCGCUCCCGCCCAGAUCUCAUGAUGAGCCACGCCCCGUCCCUCUCGGCGAGCUCCGUGGCGGCGGCGGCGGCGGGGCCGGACCCGGCGGCGCUCCGGCGGUGGGUGGCGGCCUUCUGCAUCAUCCGCUUCGACCUGGAGCAGGGGCAGGUGGUCGAGGAGUGCUACCCUCCCUCCGCCCUCCCCCCCGACCUCCUCCUCCUCGCCGCCUUCUCCUCCUUCCCCGACUCCACCUCCCACCACCUCCCCCGCCACCGCUCCUCCCUCCACGACUCCCUCUUCUCCUUCCGCCUCCCCUCCCCCCACCACCACAUCAACAAUAAUAAUACCGACACCGACACCGAUGGCGAAGAAGAAGAAGGCGACGGCUUCCUCUACGGAUUCGUGUUCAACCGGCAGCGGCAGGACCCGCGGCUGCCGCGCGGGGGCGAGCAGAAGUCGGUAGUGAUACUUUCCCACCUUCCCUUCUCGUCCGUCUUCCGGCUCCUGCUCCAGAUCCUCGGCCCGCUCUGCUUCGACCUCGGCCCCUCCGCGCUCUCCCUCGUCGCCUCCCACGUCGCCUCCUGGCCGCCCCCCUCCCCCGGCCACCACCCCAUGUCCCUCCCCAUCGGCUCCGCCUCCCUCCGCGUCCUCCUCCCCGACGCCGCCGCCGCCCUCUUCCCCGACUCCGACCUCUUCUCCUCCUUCCGCGGCCUCCUCCUCCACCUCUGGACCCUCUGGGAGCUCGUCCUCAUCGCCGCCCCCCUCCUCGUCGUCGCCCCCUCCCCUCCCCAGUGCUCCGACGCCGUCGCCGCCCUCGUCAGCCUCGUCGCCCCCCUCCGCUGCCGCGCCGACUUCCGCCCCUACUUCACCAUCCACGACCCCGACUUCCCCCGCCUCAAUUCCCUCCCCGACGGCCUCCCCUUCCCCCCCAUGCUCCUCGGCGUCACCAACCUCUUCUUCCUCCGCGCCCUCAAAUCCAUCCCCAACGUCAUCUCCGUCGGCUCCCCCGCCCCCUCCUCCUCGCGUCUCCUCCCCCCUGCCUCCUCUACCGCCGGCACCGCUACCGCUGCCGCUGCCGCGAAGAAAUUCUCCCCUUCCCGCCUGCUGAAUGCCGUCAAGCUGCGCAGAGACGGCCCGCUCUGCCUCAUGACCGAGCACAGGGAAGCCUUCUGGAGUGCGUAUGCCCCGGCCACGAAGCCCGACACCGCCGUGCUCAACAGGCUGGUCGACGCGGGGGUGUCUCCGAGGAUCGAGGAGUCGAUGUCGGUCGUUAACAACGAGAUUCUCCGGCGGCACUUCUUGGAGCUGACCACCAACUUCCUCGCCCCCUUCGGGCCCUAUUUGAGAGCCACCGCUCCGUCGGAAGGGAGCUCGCCUUUCGUGGAUCCCCCGCCCUUGCCGCCGUUCCGUGCCGACGAGUUUCUGGAUGGUUUGGCCGCGAGAGGUCCCGGCAAGUUCUUGUCCAAAAGGAUGAGGUCUAAUUGGUUGGACUUAUACAGGUAGGUAAUUACGGCGAGCACCGGAUGGAUUUAGGUCUCAUUGCUCAGUUGUUGAACACGGGUCUUCGUGGUUUUCGUGCAGGCGAUUCUUGGAAGGGCGAAAUUUCAUGCCGUGGUUCCAAAAAAGGCGAGCCGCUGCUGAACAAGAGCAACAGAGAGUGUGGAGGGAGGCUAGGAUGAGCGUGGACGUACAGAAGCUUAUAUCGAAAAUGUCCGAGUUGGAGAGAGUUGAUUUGUUUAAUGCUGUCGAGAAGCACCUUCUUAGAGAGGUUCAGGUAACGUUCCUCCCUUGACGAGCAGUGAACAAUGAAAUCUAUCUUUCUCCUGUUUUGACCAACGGAAUUUCAGAUGAUUGCUCAAGCUGUAUGUUAUAUAUUAUAGUAGCGUAAGUGCGUAACAAGAAAAACUUAUGCAAACAUUUUUUUUUUCUGUUUGGCCAGUAUGGUGGCAUGAGUAGUAACUAGUAACCUCAAUUAUUUGUCGAAAUGAUGUCGGCAAAUGUCUACAAUUAUAGAGCUACAUCUUGUCCUUUUUCACUCUCAUAGUUUGUCACAAGAUUCCAUGAGAUCUCAAGCUCUUAACACUCUUAUUAAAAACUCUUUUUUUUUUUUUUUUUUUCCUAUGGAGCUUUUUUAGAUCUUAUUUGAAGCUUUCCUUUAUCCUUUUGUAUAUAGAGUCCUAAUUCUUAAAUUUUAUUAUUAAUCUGCUUCUUUAACUUCAUGAAAUAGUGUUUCCUAAUGGUUACUAGUUAUUUUCCUAUCAAGUGUAUAACUGAGACGACACUAAAAACACCUUCAAUGCAGUAGCAACAUAAAGUACUUUUUAGGUUUUUGUGAAUGUCUGUUUCCCUAUAAUUUGAGAUCAUUUCCUUUAUUCUGAGAGAAAACCAGAAGGUACUAUUCGCAGUUCAAUGCAAGGAUUUAAGUGCCGUGGCACGGGGUCGUGCCGGAAACUUGCCGGCACGGUACGACACGGUGCGUGUCGAGCUGUGCCGAUUCGUGCUAGUCAAAAAAAUUCUUGUGUAUCGACACAUAAUAGCAUGAAAUAUUUAUUUUCUUUAGUAACAAAAUAUUCUAACUAUUUAUUGUGUCUUUUUAUCACAUCUUUUGAAUUUCAUUGAGGAAAUUACUUACUAAUUCAAAGAAUAGAAGGUUUUGAGCUGUGCCAGCGGCACGGAGUCUGUAUCGUGCUGAUAUCUUGUUGGCAUGGUAGAUACGGUCCGUGCCGACGGGCACUUAAAACCUUGGUUCAAUGUUUAGUCACCGAUUUAUAAAACUCACGUGCCAAACAUGGCUUGAAGUUUCACUGUAAACUCCAAAAGAAAAACUGAAACCGAAAUGUUUUAGUCUGUGCUGAUUGGAAACUGGAAUCCAAUUUGAACCAAGAUAUUCCUCUAUUAGUUAGAGUAGAUCUACAGAAAGGCUUGUAUGUAGACGGUAGUUAAAAUUGACUGCUGUAGCUUAUAGUGUCUAAUUUGAUUCAUAUAUGUGAUACAUAUUGUAUUACUUUUAUUCUAUUUUUUUCAUCUCUGCGACAAGAUGCAACUAGAAUUUAACUGCUUUAAUCAUAACAACAACUUAAAAGAGUUAAGACAUCACUUUACAUAAUAAAUUUGAGAAAUUUAGUUCUGUUGUGAUUGUUUCAAUUUGUAAUACUUAUUUUGUAUGUUUGAAAUGCUUCAACAUUCGAAACUGAAUGGUGAUACUGUUGAAACCGAAAAUAUGGAAGCCUACACUGAAACCGAAACUAAAAACGAGGUUUUGAACCUUGAUGAAAAACAUGUGAUGUAAAAAAAUUUAGGAAACUAUCCUUGUUAGGAUGGAACAGUCGGUUGCACUAUUUCAUGAAGUGAAAAGGGGCAAAAUUAAAACUAGUAGUUUAGGGGUCUGCUCGUAGGACACCACGUGUAUUUGAAGAGGGGCAAAAUUAAAACUAGUAGUUUAGGGGUCUGCUCGUAGGACACCUCGUGUAUUUGUCCCAAGAGUAGUUACACACGUUGGAACACCAUGUAUCCAACCUAUCCAUCAGUUUGGGCAGCAAUUUGUAUUACAGUUCAUUCUAGGGCUUAAUGUUUUUCAGUGGCAUGCCUUCCAAUUUACAACCUUUUACAUGUGGCAUUUUUGCCAUCCCCUCCCUUCUAAGACUUACCGAACAUAGGACAUGUACGUAUUUUGGUUUCUUAUUGACAAACCAUUUUAGUUAGUUUGUCUCCAUAUCUAGUGCCGAAGUGACUAUUUUGUUCUACUAUUUGAUAAGAAGAUAGGAGGCGCGAGGCGCAAAAACACGCAAGGCUCUUCUAGAGCUUAGGCGUGAGGCACACUGAGGCGCCUGCCACAGGAAAGCAAGGCGCACAUUUACUAAGCAUAGUUUAGUUCGAUGUUCUACAUAAAAAACCCAAAAUAACCAUACAAAAAACAAAAUAACCAUAAAAAGUAAAGAAAAAAGUAUACUUCAACUUUCAACUUAAAACUUAAAAGUUAUUGUGGUGCCAAUGUUCUCAUUUGGUCGUUCUUCAAGCAUCAUCCUCAUACUCAUCUUCAUCCUCAUUACUUGCAUCGCCAUAAUCUUCCUCUUCUUCAGAUUCUUCAUCCCCAAUAUCCUCGUCUUCUUUUGUAUCCCCAAAAUCAACCCAAUCUGGCUCUACAUCAAUGGAUAAACAGAAGAUUUGGGAGUAUAGAGGCAAUACUUCCUUGGCUGUUGCUGCCGCCGAUGCUUGUUUCUGCUGCCGCUGUUGGUUGUUCUUGCUGCCGCCGCUGCUUGUUUCUGCUGCCGCUGUUGGUUGUUCUUGCUGCCGCUGCUGCUGCCUGCUUGCUACCACUAUUGCUGGCCUCUGCUGCUUGAUUCCACUGCUUUGUUACUGAUUCCUGCUGCUACCGCUGCUGUUUGGGAUGUUCAACAGUUAGGACAUGGGAGAACACGAGUGGGAGAGGAGCGGCUAAUAUUUUUAGGGUUUUUUGGAUUACUUUUAGGAUUUCUUUAAAUAUGCUAACAAGUAUAAUAAUCAAACCCAGAACCCGACAACCCAAAAACUUGAACCAUAAAUCCUUCUAAACUUAAAUAUUGUAAGGCAUGCUUGAGGCGUGCGCUUCAGAGCCUAGGUGCGAGCCUUAGCAACAGCAUUGCGUCUCACUAUUGCUAAGGCGUUGAGGCCCGCGCCUCGUGCCUAGGCGCUGAGGUGCUCGCCUCAGGCGUGCUUUUUCAAACUAUCAUCAGAAUGACUUCCAAUGGAGCUCUAUUAUCAGUUCUCGCCUCAGCCGCGCCUUUUCAAACUAUGAUUAGAAUGACUUCCAAUGGAGCUCUGUUGAUUUUUGAGAAGAAACUUAAGAGCAUCAAAUUACAGACUAAUACAGAUCUAAGUUGGACAAAAAUAGGUCUUUGUCUCCCUAUGCUGAUUGUCAACCUCUUUUAAGUUUCUUUUGCCAAGUUAUAUGCAAAUUCUAAGUUUCAAAAAUAGGUUGGAUUAGGGGAGUAGACAAAAAAAAAUGUUAGAUAGCAGAAGUUUUUUUUCUUUUUACUUUCAAAUAAAGUUGGAUGCAUCUGAUUAAAAUGUUCGAAUAACUCCAGCUGCUUUCAGUUACCCAUCCUUUGGGGCUCUUAUGAGGUGCCUGCUUUUCUCUCUUCUUUAUUUCUUAAGCAUGGAUUCCUUAUUCUUAAGGUUAGUUUGUGGUUUUAGUUAUAUUUGUCAUACCAUAGUAUUUCCUCCUCUUCUGGUGCGACAUUAUGUAUUGCUGAAAAUUUAAAAAUAAAUGCUUUUCUUAAACUUUGAAAUCUUUCUUUGAUACUUUCGUUGUUUCACUUCUCGCGAUAUGCACUUUUCUUUUACGAAUUAGCUGCAUCAGUUCUCUUAUUAUUCUCUUUGUUGUCCAAGCUAGCAAACUAAGAGAGCUGCUCUAAACAAUAUUUGAGAGAAGAUGACUUGGGUGUUUUUUUAGUACGUAAUUGAUUUCAUUGUAAGAAAACAUAACUUUUAUAAAUAUGAACUAUAUUUUUUUUAUGGAACUGAUUUCAAAUGGAUUAAUGCAGAUAGAAGAUGGGUCUUAAAAUUAAUGAUCCAGAGAAAACAUUUUGAUUGGCUUGUAGGUUUGAAAUCAUGAUGUUGUCUGUUAUAGUGACGUCAAAAUCCAAUUUCAACCUAAACUUGAGUGAUUGUGACAAGGAUGACAAUUCUUAGUUUAUUUUUUGUAGCGUUUGCCAUAUUUUCAUGUCGAGAAGCCGUACAACACCAUUUGUAGGGAUAUGUCCUUCAUGGGUAGUCAUUAGUUUGAUUCUUGGAGUUGCCUGGUAACAGUCUUUCAAUUAGUACUAGGCCCCUAACAGGUCUCUAGAGAAUUUAAUGAAUAUCAGCAAGAAAUGGAGAUAUCUUUUCGACAUUGUUCGCUGUUAUUCAUCUGAGAUCUUAGGCAGUAGAAAUGUUGUGGGUAAUGUUAUUACAUUUGUAAACAGCUGUUAAUACUUUAAGAGGAUGUCAAACAGUGUUUCUAGCUCUUUGAUAUCAGAUGUAAAGUGACGCCGGUGGAUGGUCGUUAAUGGUCAAGAUGGAACUUGGUAUCCUUUGAUGCGCGGAAGUCCUAACAGAAAAAAAGAUUUUUGGAAUCUUAUGUACAUUUUGCUGAGGUUUUGACUAGUUAGAUGAACAAAUAAGGAAUGUCAAAUGUGAUCUGACCUUCAUUGAACUAGAUAGUGCACAAGUUGAAACUAACAUGAUUGUGACAGAGAGAUAAAAUGAGAACCCAAAAGAGGGAAAUGGAAGGGUUGAUGACCUUAAACUUCUCGUCUCUCAGAGCAAAAAAAAAAAAAAAAAAGUUGCACAUAUACUAUUUUAUGGCAUUUCUAAUAACUCUGCAAUUUUUUUAAAACUAAUCCUGUUUAUUCUGCUGAGAUUCUUUCGCCAGAUAUGAUUUCCUAAAGGGACAAGCACUAGCCAUUAUUAUUUGGUUCAUUAGGGACUCUUAAAAUGGAUAAUAUUCCAUCAAGGUGGACUGAAAUGCCUGACUGAUACAGUAUGACCCAAGUCACUCGAGCCUGACUUCAAAUACACGACUCAAACCUGAACGAGUGACACCCAAAAACCACCAACUUAAAACUCUCUGUUGAGGACAAGCUGGUUUGUGCCAACGUUUUAUCUGUGACUUGGAAUCUGAUGUAAUUGCUUUUGGCAAUAUUUUUCUAUAAAGUGAAAUAUGUAAUUUCCUAUUUAGGUCAAAUUGUCUUUCUUUUCAAUCUCUGUUGUUCCAAAGAAGAGAGGGGUAUCGCUAAGGAUGUCUAUUCCACAAUAUUCAUAGGAAGAAAUAUUGUUUCUCCUUCAUUACAUUGGUGGAACAAUGGAACUUAGUUGCUUUUGCUGAAUUGAGAUCAUGAUGCUACGUAUUCAAAUGCAGAUGCUUCUACAUGGUCUAGAUCCUAUCUUUGUCUUUUAACCAAUCAAUAGUAAAAUCUACAUUGACAUAAUAAAUUUUAGACUCUUGAUUCGUUAUAGUCCAACAUAAUUGUAUUCUACAGAGCAACCAUUCAGUCUCUCCAAAAUCCAAAUUAAUAUUGCAUAUGUUCACAUUUUAGAGUUCAACAAUUUAUGAAGUUGCUCAAUCAACUGUUACAGAUGUCCUAAUGCUUUUGCAAUUUCAACAACUAACUGUUAUAAGUUGAGAAUUCUGUACCCGAAGCUGCAGCUAAUUUUCUUUCGGUCUUCCAUCCUUGCUCCUGAUUUAAGAUUUUGCUGAUUACCAGAUGAUUGAAAAAGAAAUAGAUACAUGAAUAAAUGCUGUUCGGUUUGCUCAAAUUAAGUUAAUAGGAUCACCAAAUUUCGGAUAAGGUUCAGAAAAUGUGGGAUGUGAUAGAAAUCUUUGUUUCAUUCAACAAAUAACUGAUGAAAGCUUCGCCUAGCUUUCACCUGCAUUCUGUUAAUCACUUUCAUCUUGCUUUCAUAGCAAGUAUGGCUCUCUCGAUUGUCUGCCUUAGCUGCGGCCAUUCCUUCGGUGGUUUUAUGGUUUCGUAGGUGUAUUGUUUGCAGAAUACUAUAUACUGAUACCAUUUUGAGUGGUGAGUUUAUUUACAAAUACUUUCUUCGUAUACUGAUACCAUUUUGAGUGGUGAGUUUAUUUACGUAUUCUUUCUUCCUCUUUUUUGUAGAUAAUUAGGAUUCAUUGACUGUUUCUCUUGUUCUAUGUGUCUCAAAAUGUUGAAAGAUGAAAGAACUACACCAAAAAAGUGGUUGAUGAUUCUAAAGAAUUUUUAAAUCUCAAAAAAUAUCAUUUGAUUGAGUUAACUUUAGAUGUGAUGAUUUAGUUAAUAAUUCUAUAUGCUGCCCUGGUGAGAAUCUGUAUAUUUUGGAAUCCGAGUGACUUACUAGUACAAAUGUUUUAAAAAUUAUCUAUGUUGUUCUUUGUAUUUGUCUGAACAAAUGUAGAAUUUUAGGUUCCAAAUAGGACUAAGCUUUGUGUAUGGGAAUCGAAACAUCUUCUAGAAUAUCCCGUUCUUGAAAGGAGGUUCUUAAAGUUAGAUGGGAAAAUGUAGCAUUAGGGACAUGGUAAACCCUCUAAACUAGGACGACAAAUGGUUCCUGAUGUUGAAAUAAGUUCGUUGUUGACAAUUUGCUAGUGGUGCAUUUUUGUUUUCGUUUUUUAUUUCAACUUAGGAAUUUGCUUUAGACCCUUAGAAGGUCCUGACGGUCAUGAUUGUUUAGGAUAAAGCAUUCCACCUAUGUGCUUAUCACUUGAAAGUCAUUGCUGUGAUAGUUGAAGAAACUUCCACUGUAUUUCGGUUAGUCAUGAUUGGUUAGAAGCUGCAGCCCGAUGGUUGGGUGACAGUUUGUCUGUUGUCUACCAAGUUGUUGCGUACAGUGGUUGCCUGGUUCGGUAGGGACAGUCAAUAGGCUUCAUAGGUGUGCUUUCUUGAGAUUUUCCUGAGCAAGUUCUGUGCGUGAGCCACCCUUUAGGGAGGGGUUAGCAUGAUUCAGUAAGUCAAAUUACCAUACCAAACCUACUCAUUUCUUUCGAUUUGGUUUGGUUUAUUAAAAAUUCGGUCUGGUUUGGUUUUGCAAAUUGAAAACUUAAAAAGUCGAAUUAUCCAAGUUCUUAAUAGUUUGAUACCUAUUGGCAUUGAGAUGAUGAUUAAGCAAGUAGAGUAUUUAACCACCACUACUGUUGAAUUAAAAAUUUUGGAAUAAGGGCCCGUUUGUUUCAAGGUUUGUAAUAUUCCGGGAAUCCUUCGUAUAUUCUACUAUAAAUAUUCAAAUCAUUACCAUUCAACUCAAGUUGGGUAGUUGUAAAAUGUGCAAGUGAAGUAUUGGAGUCAUUGUAGACUCCCAACUAAUAGAAAUGCUAGAUUACUAUGGGUUGGAAAGUAUUCUCAUUCUCAUACUUACGGGAAUCAUUACUGGUCCAUUAAUAAGGAUAUAUGAGUUCCUAAUAACCUCCCAACCCAAGUUGCAUGAUAAAUUAGUAGCAGUCUUGUCAUUCGAAAUACAAAAUAUACAGUAUUCCUGAAAUAUUACAAACCUUGAACCAAACGGCCCGUCGGCCUCCAAGAUUAAAGCUAUUUGAAUUUGUAUAAGUAAUAUAACAUAUGUUAUGGCAAAUGAAAUGUUUUGUCCAAACUGGAUAAGCCAACCUUAGUGAACCAAAAUUUUGUUCUGCUUCUAUAGAGACAAUUCAGUUUGGUUUAGUUUGGUUCUGUUUGAAAAGAAAAAAAAAAAAUUAAGUGGAGGAAAUUCUUGUGGAGGAGGAAUAUAUGGAAGACAUGAUUCUGGCUAAGUAGCACCAGAAGAAUGAAGGAUAUGCAGUCCUACAACUCAAAACACUAAAAUUGAUCUUGUUAAUAUAAAAUAUCAUUUUCGUUGAUUUAAGAGGCCUAGCAUAUCAUGAGACCAUGAGUCAACUUUCUAAACUGCAAUUUUUGUCUGAUCUAAGUUAUAAUGCUUAGUUUUAUCUCUCCAGACAUGAUAUUGAGCAUUCUACAUCCUUCGUCAGAAAAUCAGAUAGUUGCCCGUCAUGUUUUGUAAUGAGCGUAUUAGUCUAUUGAUCUUGCACAAUCAAUCGUGUUAUUUGAUCUCCUCUCUUACUCCCUGAUUUGUGCUCUGCUGGUUAAUCAUCUACAAUUAAGUUCAAACAACAUAAUGUGAUAUAUAUACAUGAAAUAGAAUCUGUAAAACUGUUAUGAAAAGAUUAUUAUCGUAUCUUUGCUUUCUUUUGGUUCGAAUUUCGCCUUCCGAGUCAUUCAUUGCAAUCAGUAUCUUGGCACUCUAUUGAUAUCUGACUCUUGCCUAAAUGCAUCAGAAUGCUCAAUGCUGGAUUAUUACUCCCAACAUUGCAAUUCUGGUCGGUUGGGUUAGAUUAGGGUAGAACCAGGCAUUUGAAAGCAACUUGACCUGGCUAAAUAACAUGUACCUUUAACUGGAAUUUACCUUACGGUGAAUUUGCCGAUGGACAAGCUAGGGUUUGGUUCAGUGAAUCGGAAUGGGUCGAGAGUAUCUGAUUUCAUCCACAAAUUGUUUUUUUGCCUUCAUCCAUCACAACCGUCUCAUUUGGACUUUUGUCCAAUAUUGUUGUAACAUUGCCUAUCUUUGCUUAUAGUUGUUUAUUGACUUUGCUUCUAUGCAUGAGCUCGUCAUGCUUCUAAAAUUUCAGAAUCUUAUCACAUGCAUGUUUUACUAAUACAAUUUAUAACUGUAUAUAGUUGAUACAAUAUGUGCACACCAAUAUGUGGUAAUGCGGAACUACUAGUAUGACCGCUGUUUUUUUUUUUUCAUCGCAUGAUUUGCCAUUUCAUACCUGUUGAGAAUGUUGGGCUUAAAACUUCUAUUGCGCAUCUCGUUAUAGGGAUAUUUUGAGGUAACAUUUCGUGAUUGAUAAUUAUGGAACACGACGGAUCUAAUCUCAAAAAUUUUCCUUCUGUUUCACGGCUGCAGCAUUCUGGGAGCGGAACAGCAGAUUCUGCAGCCACAAGCCAGAAACUAAAGAAAGACCUUCAAACAGUGUUCAAUGUGCUUCCAAAGGACAUGCAACAGCUUCUCCUCUCCAACCCUAAGAGAGCAGCUCUUCUCCAUGGUAGCCCCGAACACACAAAGGUACCGGGAAACCCUUCUUUACAAGGAUCCAUAAUUUCUCAAACAGAUUUGUCCAUUUUUCCUUUGUAAAAUUAUCAUUUUAUGUUCUUUAGUGUCUGAAUGGUUGUGCCGGCUAUUCUCUUAUUAUUUAUGAGAGAUCGGUCGCAUGUUCAUCGAUUGACUAUUUUCACUGGCACGACCAUGAAAAGCUUUAAGGGUCUAUUUACGUAGACAAGCUUUUCGUCCAAUCGUGAUUUUGUUAUAAAAUUGUUUUAGGUUUGCUGCACAUCACCUAACUGUAUUUUAUCAACUUCAUCUUCUUGCCUCCAAAAUCCGAUUGCUUGCUUCAUAGAGAGGGACUCAUGCAACAUUACUUUUAUCAGCCUUUUAUUUUUUUGGGUUGAAAGAGAAAUUUAGAAACUUUCAUGGGAAAUAAAGAUAGUAAUACAUUUUGCCUUUGUUCUGCAUUCAUAAACCAUUUCUUUCUUCUGCAGCUUUGUUUGUUUCAGUUUCCUUUCUACUCCCCUAACUCCCGGGUUCUCAUAUAAGAUGGGUUGGAGACAUCUCAAUUUUUUGAUGAGAAUUUUAGUAUAAAAUUUAAAACGAAAAAAGAAUUUGGAUAAAAUUGGAAGAUAGAAAAUAGGGUAAAUUGCACGUUUGGUCCUCAAACUAUGAGGCUGCUGACACUUUUGUCCUCAAACUAUAAUCUGUCGUAAUUUCUAACUUGAACUUUCAGAAUGGUUGCAAUCUAAGUCUCACAAUUCAAUUUAGCUAACUAAAUUUUAAUGCAUCGUUGAUGUAAAAGUGAUGUGCCAUUUUAAUUAUUGGCGUAUCAUCCUAGCGAUAUAUCAAUAUUAAAUCAACUAAAUUGAAUUAUAGAAUAUGAUUGUAAUAAUUCGAAAAGUUCGAGCCAGAUAUUACGACAGGUUAAUGUUUCAGGACGAAAGCGCCACCAGCCUCAUAUUUGAGGACCAAAUGUGCAAUUUAGCCUAAAAAAAUGAGUGUUACUUUUGGAAGAAAAGAACAUUUUGACAGAGUCUCAUGCUGCUAAAUCUACAUUGGAAGUUACAUCCUUUCUCUUCCAAGUUAGUUUCUUUCUCUUUUCUUCCCUGGAUAGAAUUUGUUUGGAUUGAUGAUUUAAGUGCUGAUGCAUGAGGUUGUGCCGAGCACUUGCCGUCACAAUGUAUUCUAUGCCAUGUAGAUGUGUGUCGUUGAAACAAUACUUGUCUACCUUCAUGCUUUAUAUUCUUCUGCACGUAUAUUCUAAAUUGCUUAUAGUAUUUCUUUUGAUUGUUUUACUUGCUAAUUUGGACAAAAAAAAGAGGGUUUUGGGCCAUACCAUAUUGUGCGGAUAACUUGUUGUCACAGUACGGUAUGAUGGUAGCCUCAGUCCUAUACUAGGUAUGUAAAUCAUCUUAGCAUGUUUUCAAGUAGAAGCUUGUCCUAUACUAGGUAUGUAGAUCAUCUUGGUAUGUUUUCGCAUGGAAGCUUUGGAUGUCCGAGCAAGUUAUAUGAAUAGAUGAUUAAAAACUGGGUUGAAUUGGCCGGUUCGACCGGCUGAUCGUGACCUAGUUUAUAUAGAGUUGUUCGGUUCAACUUUCUGAACUGGAUAAGUCAAAAAACCGUUUUGAACAAUUUGAAUCAGUGGUUCAACUUUCGAACCGGGCUGAUUUUAAUCAAACCGGCUAGAUUUUUUUUUAUCAAGUCAUAUUAAAAUUUAACUAUUUAAAAUCAACUUAACUGAUUUUAUUUUCUAUUAACAUAGAUUAGUCUCAUAAAAAGUAAAAUUUAAAAACUUAUAUCUACUGAAUUUGGUAAAGUAUGAUACUAGAAUAAUAACAUAUGUAUAUUUUUUAUAUAAUAAUUAAAUAUUUAUGAUGUCAUACUGACUUAACCGGUGGUCAACCACCGGUUGAACUAGUGAACCUUGAUCUAGUAAUAUUUUCAUGUCACUAUUUGACACAGUUUUUAAACAUAGAUAUGAAUAUGGCGAUAAUUGUGUAGAAUGGGUACUUUCUAUUGAAUUCAAGUAUUCUUAUAGCAAUGAAUUUUUAAGAUAUUUUGUUCCUUCAGACCUCAUUGGAUGUUGGAAAAAUUACAAUUAACAUCUCUUGUUUCAAGGACCAAUUGCUAGUUGUCUUCCCACUAACUUAUACUAUUAAUUCAUUAUCCAAGAAGUUAGAAGCUCAACUUUCAUAUGUUGUCUUUGUAAAAGUUCUAAUAUUUUCAAAUAUGUCUCCUACCGUUAGAAUCCAUUGAAAAAUUUUAGUUAACUAUAGGUUAAAUACUUAAUCCUAGUCAGUUUGUGGGAUAACUCGACAUUUUUAUCUCUCUCAUAUUAUACUGUUGUGGUUUUUGGAGAGACAUAUUUGUGAUGACAAAAUUGACAUUUUAUUUAUUUGCUGUUAAAUAAUAAACAGUUAUCUAACGGUAACAAACCAGAGAAACAUAUUUAAAACCAUUAGAACUUUUGUAGGGACAAUAUAUGAAAGUUGAACUUUAUAGGAAUAUAUUUACAAUACAUUAUGUUUGCAAGGACUUGUAUGCAUUUAACCCUUAAUUUAUUAUCUAAGCAGCGAGUCUUAUUUUUGAAAUGCAGACGCGUAAAAUUUUGUAGAUACUGGACCAGCCAUUUUCUCUUAUAUGGAUCAUCUUAGCCAUAUGUAGUCUCCUGCAUCACCUGUAAGCUUCCACUAACUAUGUUAAUUUCUUACCCUAAAAAGUUCCCAGCUUGGGUCCCAUUCUUGAAAUGCACAUGCAGGAAUAGAAUCCUGACAUAUAUGUAUAACUAACAUGAGAGGUUACUGUUAUAUAUAAAAAUGUUUAAAUAUCGUUCUCUAACAGCUUAAGCUUAAGCUUUAAGCUGUUAGAGUACAACAGUUGUUUCACAUGGUAUCAGAGUAGGAGGUCUUGAGUUCAAGUCACGUCAGGCUCUUAGCAUAUUAAUUUUCUCCCAUUUAAUUCAAGCCCACGUCACUGGCCGGUUAAAAAGUCUCGAGUCCAGAAGUGAGAGGGAGUGUUAAAUAUAACAAUGUUUAAACAUCGUUCUCUAAUAGCUUAAGUUUUUAUAGUACAAUAGUUGUUUCACAGUUACUCUAAUGGUUUAUUCAUCAUGCCUAUUUAGUGGCUAUUUGGUUUGUAUAACUAUAAAAAUGGUAUGGUUAAAAUGGACUUAAGGUGACAUUUACAGUACUUAAAAUUACUCCUAUUUCGUUUAGUUUUGUGCAUUGUAACUUCCAUAGCAAUAUUUCUUCUAUUUGAUGGUAUAAACUGGCUUUAUAAUUAUUAUUAUUAUUUUUUUUAAUUGGGUGAUUAUUGCCGACUGCUAUAAUUGAAAUGUGACUGAUGAAAAUGGAGUUGUGAUUAGAAAUAUAAGAUACCACUGAUAUUAGUAACAAUAACUGAAUUUAAGUAUUUUAGAUCGGUGGUUUGAGUCUAACGAGUUAUUUUGGUUAGUAGAUUGAUGUUAUAUUAUAUUAGAGACGGUUCACUAGCCAGAAGUGUGGGGUGAGCCUCACAUCGUCGGGUAAUUUUGAGCUAUCUGUGUGAUUGGACUGAUGAGGGCAUCAGAGCCUGAACGCUUGUAAGACACCAUCUCUAACAUUGGUAGGCUCGUCACUUAAUAACUGCAUUUAAUUAUUUUGGGCAGGUGGUUGGUGCUUUAAUAAUUAUAAUUGGAUUUAAGCAUUUUGGGCUGGGUCAGAUCGUUACAUGAACAUAUAGUUAUUUUGGAUGUAGUUUCAACUAUAGUUAUUGGAUUUCCUCAUCUAAUUUUAAUCAUAACAGUUGGACUUAAUGACCGACCGUCCCUAACGCAAGUGGUAAAAGACUUGGUAGUUGGUAUCUGAGGUCCCAAGUUCGAAUCCUAAUGGAUUCACAUUUUAGCUAAGUUUAUUUUUAAAUGAAAUAAACGAAGCAGGUAACAUGCUAUCUAUCUCUCCGAAAAAAAAAACAAAAAAAAAAAAGUUGGACUCAAAUGCACCAAUCCAAGAUAGUUAAGCAAAUAGAGUAUCUUCAGGAGUAAGGCUAGAUCACUUUUAGAAAUAAACGUGGUUUAAUUUGUGUCGUUUUUAGUGAUAGAGCAUUAGGAUUUAUGAUCAACACUGAUAAAUAUGAUCUAAACUAUUUGAACUUUAAAUCAAAUUGUAUAAUUUUAUGACGUUAUUUGACUAGUGAUCAAGUAGUCUCAAAUUCAUUUCACGUUGGCUAUAAAAAUUCAUCAAUUUGGAAUUAUUCGAGUACUAUGCAAUGAUACCAAAAAACAUUAUAAAAUUUAAUUUCUAUAAAACUCAAACAGCCUAAAUCGUACUCAACGGUACUAAUUGUUGAUGCUGACGUAAAGGGAUCAGAAUCUUGCCCUGUAACUAAAGGUCAGAUUGAGUUAAAUCACGUUUGAAGCGGCGUGAGGCUCGGUUGGGCUCAGUAAUGUUCGAAGUGGCGUGAGAUUGGUUGGGUCUAAUCACAAUCGAGAUGCAUAGCGUUGUGUCUAUACGUUUUAAGUUAAUUGGUUGAAUCUUUUUAACAGCUCGAGCUUUUGAUAGUUAAUACUAAUGAUCAGAUAGUUAAUUCUAAUGCCCUAUUGUUGAAAGAGAUGUAAAAAUAAACUAAGUUUUUAAGGAUAAAAGGAAUGUAUCCUUACUCAUAUCUCACCUUCCUCCUUUGACUUUAUUCUUAGUUAAUAAAUGCUUGUUAUUUAGUAGUGUUGCACUACAUCCUUUAUCUUGUGGUUGGGGUCAUCUCUUUAUCUGGGUUGAAAUGUCCUUUUUUGUUUAUUUUCUCCUUGAAUGUAAUCCAAAACCCUUUUUUUUUUCUUUUUUUCUUCUUUUGUUGUGAAGUUGCUUAUAGGACUUUUACUCUUAAAAAAAAAAAAAUCUUUGGACUUUAUAUUUUAUAAUAUUAUGAAAAAGGUGGGGGCAUGAAAUCUUUUGUUUUAUUAUUAUUAUUUUUUAAAAAUGUGAUAGUGCAAGAUCCAUCGCCACAUGUGUGUGUGGAAUCCCACAUCUCGAGACAAAAUCUAAUACACGUUAAAAAAUUACAAAAAAAUAAAAUAAAAAAUUAAAAAAGUUUUUGGAUAAUUUUUUAGUUUUAGAACUUUCUCAUGUUUGUACUAAUUUGCGUAGUAACAAAAUUAUUCGAUUUUUUAAGAAAUUCGCGAAUAAUUUACUAUUUUUUCAUUUGUACAAACUUGUGAACACACGUGUUAAAUGGCAUAUAUUGUUGGUCCACGGGUGAUGUGGUAGACCAGGUUUACAUAAUUAUCAAACAUUUUACACUAAACCACCAACCGUACUCGUGCACACCUACUGUUCCGCACCAUUUAUAUUACUAAUUAGCCAUGGAGAAAUUAUUCCCUGCACCGGGCAUAAUCCCUGAGGUUCAUGCACCAUAUCUAUCUAAGUUAUAAAUCAAUACAUCUUUGUAUCCAAUUUCUCAUAUGAUAUAUGCAACAUACACCAUUUGAUAUUUGUAAUUUUUGAUAUGUAGACAUUAAAUGUCGUAUCGAGUACACAGUGGUGGUGUACGGUAUGCACUCAUACACCAGGUGCAGGGAAUAUUUUCUCUAAGCCAAUAAACGUACCGUUGACCGUAAGGUCAUCGUAAUACACUCUUUGCUACGGCCACCUCUCUUUAAUUAAGGUAAAAAUGUAUGGAGACCCCUCAACUAUGAACAGUAUCAAAUGACCUCCUCAUCUUUAGCACUUUUUUUCUUUUUUUUUUUUUUUUGCCCUCACAUUUUCUCAACUCUUGAUUUUUUCUUUUUACCUAAUAAACUCUUUCUGGUUGGCUAUGCUAAAGAUUUUACUAACUUUAACUUGCUCUAUUAGCUAUUAUCUAUUAAUUACAUUAAUUUUUUUAUUAAACGGUAAUUAAAAUUAUUAGACUUUGUUCAGAUUUAUGAAUGUCUUAAUUGGUACAUUUCUUUUAUUUAAUCUAGGCCAAGUAAACUUCAAAUACUAUACUUGUGGUUUCGUGCUUUCUCAUUUUAGUACUAUGUGGUUUAAAGUAUAUCGCUUUAGUACCUUGUGGUUUCAUUUUUCUUUUUGUCAGUACUUCCGUUAACUCUCUGUUAAAUUAUAUGCAAAAAACUUCAGAUAUUCCGCCUAUAAUUUAUCGAAUAUUCACUUUAGCACCACGUGGUUUAUUGAAUUUUUUACUUUAGUACACCAUGAUUUUAAUUUUGUCACUGAUUUAACGAAAAAUUAACAGAGAGGAUAACAGAAAAAAUAAAAUAAAACCAUAGGAGACUAAAGUGAUAUAUUUUAAAUUACAGGCUACUAAAGUGAGAAAGCGCGAAACCACACGGGUGGUAUUUGAAGUUCUGCCUUUAAUCUAAAAAAUUGUAGUUUUCAGUGGAUAAGUAUGAUUAAAUCAUAUUUGACUUUUAAGUAAUUAUUUAAUAAAAUAAUAUAUUUUGUAAGUAAAAUAUAUUAUUCUUUUGAAUUAUAGAUAUUGAGAUCUUUUGAGAAGCUAAAAUCAAACUCCACAUUUGCUAUCAGUCAGAAAAAAGUUUAUACCACGACAUAAGUUAUUAUUAAAUAGUUUAUUUGAUGUUAAAAUAAAGCCUUAAAUUUAAUAAAAUUAUCAAUAAAUAAAUUUAAUAAGAGUUCUCAUUUAUUAUUUCAAUAAAAUUAUUUAAUUACAAAAGUAAAAGGUUACAAAAGUUGAGGGAGCAUAUUCAAAAAUGUUCAUAGCUAAGGGGUCUCCAGGCACUUUACCUCUGCUCUUUUGCUAUACCUCCCAUGCAUAAAUCCCACCACCCACACUAAACCUCUCCUUGAAUGCCCACUACAUUGUAGGUUGAAUCCCUCCCACACUCCUCUCCACCACAACACACGUUCUUCUCUCGCACAUUUCACCAAACACUAACCAUGCCUAGUGCACCUCCCUCCGCCGCCGUCGCCGCCGCCGCCGCCGAUACCGAUGUCUCCGGCCCGGCUCUCAUCGUCGGCGCCACCGGCUACAUCGGCCGCUUCGUCGCCGAGGCCUGCCUCGACAGCGGCCGGACAACCUACAUUCUCCUCCGCCCUGGCGGCGGCGCCUCCCCCGCCCGCGCCGCCGCCGUCGACGCCCUCCGCGAAAAGGGCGCCGUCGUUAUCGAGGUUGUCCUAAACCUCCUUCUCCUGAAUCGUUUUCUAUCAAAACAAUCUUUUAGCCACUUAUACCAUCAGCAUCUGUCACGAUACUAAACUUUCUAUUCUUUGACUUGUGUCUUGUCAAAUUGAUUUUUUUUCAAUUGGUUACAUGAUCAUGAUCAGAUUAAUCUUUUGAGUCACAUGGUAUCAGAGUCCGUAAUUAAUGCUUUUGUGGCGCGAUUUGCGUGAUCUUAGCCGAUUGAUCAACUGUUUCAUUGGUUUAAAAAAAAAAAAAAAAUUAUAGGGCUCAGUGGACAACAAAGAAUUGGUAGAGGAGAAGCUAAAGGAGCACAGCAUUGAAGUAGUGAUCUCAGUGAUGGGAGGGCCCAACAUUCUUGAUCAGCUAACCCUAAUUGAUGCUAUUAAAUCUGUACCAACCAUCAAGGUUUGCACAAUUGAUACAUUCAUAGUCACUGUAGGCAUUAGUUCUUGAUUUAGGGUUUUGAUUAUUGUUACCAAUGUUGGAGUGGGUAGAGGUUCUUGCCGUCGGAGUUCGGGCACGACAUCGACAAGGCGAGCCCGGUGGAGCCGGGGCUGAGCUUCUACGAGGAGAAGCGGCGGGUGCGGCGGGCCGCCGAGGCUGCGGGGAUCCCCUACACCUGCAUCUGUUGCAAUUCCAUCGCCGGAUGGCCGUAUUUCGACAACACCCACCCCUCCGAGGUGCCGCCGCCGCUCGACCGGCUCCAGAUCUACGGUGACGGCACCGUCAAAGGUGAUUUAUCGCACUUCUGCCUCUCUUUUUUAAAACUAAUAUAGUACGCUGAUAUGCUGACAAUUAAUUAUGUGUGACUCAGUAUAUAUAGAUUGAUUGAAAAUUGUAGACUUAUAUACCAAAAAUUAUAAGUUUUAAAUAUUAAUUCUUAUAACUUUGAAUGAUAACUUUUUUUCAUACCAUUAAUUAUCAAGCCACCUAAUGUGUCUAGAUAAAGAUUUUUAGAGUACAAUGGAAUGUUAAUUCAUUAGCCUAUUUAUAUCACAUCUAUCAAAUUAAAUAUUUAUUUUAAAACAUGUAAUAUUUACCCCAGGUUAGUUUCUUCUUUAAGUAAAGCUGCAUUAUAUAUAUUAGGAAGUAAAGUAAUAAAUGUGCAUUUAGUGAGAUGUGAUCAUGUUGUAGGAAUUAAUUACUAGAGGCUACAUUAUAGUAAUGAACAUGCUCAGUGUCCUUCUCAGUGUACCCACAAAUGUGGCCCCAUUCAAAAUUUCAGUGGAAAAGAAAAUCAAAGAAUUUUGGCUAAAUUGCAUGUUGAGUGAUCAAAAUUUCCAAUUGUAACACUUUGAUCUUUAAAUUUUAAUUUAUUAUGAUUUCUAGUUUAAAUUUUUAAAUUUUUACAAUCAAAUCCUACGGCCUAAUUUUAUUAGUUAAAUAGUAAUGCAUUACUAAUAUAGUAGUAUUAUAAUUUAGUAAUUAUCAAAAUACCACAUCCCCACCAUAUUAGCAAAAUAUUAACAUUCAGUUAAACAAUUAGACUAUCGGACUUAAUUGAAAUAAGUUACAAAUUGGGUUGCUAGUGUGGCAAUCCAGCUCGCUGUUCGGGUGCCAGCUUGUAUCCAGCUCAACAUAAACUUGAGAUCGGUAGCUUUUCUUAAUAAACAAGUUGAAUAAAAAGUAAUUUAUAAAGGAAUUUGCAUAAAAGUAAUUUAUCUCCCCAAUUAUUAUCAUAAAGGCAAUUUGGGAAAUGGGAAAGGUGAGAGAGAUAAAAGUAAUUUAUCUUCCAAUUAUUAUAUAAAAAGACCAAUUUGCAUAAAAAAUUCACUAGUUUUGAGCUUUUGAAAAAGUAGGACGUCUUUUUGAAUUUUGCAGAUUUGGACCAGAUUUUCAGAAAAUUGACCAAAAUACCCUUGUUCUCUUAUCUCUCUUCUCUUUUUUUUUCUUCUCUUUCUUUUUUUUUUACUCUCUCCCUAGAGGACGGCGGAGGCGGAUGUGGCCUGCCUCGCCUCUGUUCGGCGUACCCUUAUCCUUGCCUUCGACCCCGGCGAGGCUGUGCCGCAACCAUCUUUUUCUUUUUCUUUUUUUCUUUCCAACACUCCUCAUCGCCUCUUUGACUCCUUACAAUAGUAAAGAGGGUAACACUGCGUCCUCUUCCUUUUAUAUUUUUCGCUCGUUCUUUUUUUUUUUUUUUUUUCUCUCUUCAACCCUCCUCCACCGCCUCCGCGACCCUCCACGACAGUAACGAAGACAACACCGCAUCCUNUUGAGCUCGGGAGCGAAGAGGAGAACCUCUUCUCCUCGAUCGAACCUCGUCGACUCCCCCUCUCCUCUCGAUUGCGGGGAAGCCCCAAAUCGGGGGAGCUCGGAGGAGCAUAGCGACCUACUGAUCCAUGGUGAGUUUCAGGUUUUUGGCUUGUUCCCUUCUCUUAGCCGCGAGAUCCCUCGUUUUUUUUUUUUUUUUUUUUUUUCUCUCUUCAACCCUCCUCCACCGCCUCCGCGACCCUCCACGACAGUAACGAAGACAACACCGCAUCCUCUUACUCUGCUUCCCCUGGCGCAGGCACCGACACUGGUGCCGGAGAAGGAGGACUCAAAGCGAACGGAGGUAAGAGCGGAACUAAAAAAAAAUAGAAAAUAAAUAAAAUAAAAAGAAUAAAUAAUAAAAUAUAAAGAAAAAUAUUUUUUCUAUAAAAAAAAUUAAAAAUCAGAGAGAAAGAAGAUGAAGAUGAAAAUACACUGUUUUAGAGGAACGUUGUACUGUUUUAAAAUAUAAAUUAUACUUUUCUGAAUGAAAAUUGCACUCUUUGAACGAAUUGGGUGAAAAUUAUACUAUAUCUACUCAUCCAUACAAAAAUAAAGAAGAAGGAGGAGGAGGAAGAGGAGAAAUAGUAUAAUUUUUAUCGAAAAAGUAUAACUUUCCUUCAAAUAGUACAAUUUUUAUUUAGAAAUGUUUAAUUUUUCUCUCAAAUAGUGUAAGUUUUUUUUAAAACAACAACAUUCCUCUGAAAUAGUAUAACUUCAUCAUCUUCUUCUUUUCUAUCUGAUUCUUUAUUUUUCUUGUAACUUCUUUUCACCCUUUCCUACCUUCAUCAUCUUCUCCACCGCCUCAACGAGGAUGACGCCACAUUCUCUUCCUCAAUCUCCUUCUCUGCCAGCGCCGGCGGCCCUCGACGACGGUAAUGAGUGCGGCGCCGCCUCCUCCGCCUCCACUUCCGUCGACGCCGGAGAAGAAGGAUAACUCAAAACGGAUCCGGAUGAGGGAUGGAGGCGAUGAGGUCGUUGUCGAGGAGGUGCUCGCCGCCCGUGAGGGUAAGGAAACAAGACUCGUCUACCUCCAAGAAGUGAAUAAAGAUUCAGAUAGUAGAAAAAAUUAAGAAUAAAAAGUAAAAAAAAUAAAGAAUUUUUUUUUCUUUUUAAAGGACGAUUAUAUAUUAAUUUUUCGUAGCAGCAAUGAUAUAUAAUUGUCCUUCUCAUUCGGAUCCGCUUCGAGUUCUCUUUCUCCUUCUUCGACGCCGGUGGGGACGGAGGCGAAGGAGGCGGCGUUACCCUCGUUACUGUCGCCGAGGGCCGCCGGUGCUAGCGGAAGAGGAGAUAGAGGAAGAGGAUGUGGUGCCACCCUCGUUACCAUUGUCAAGGGCCCUAAGGCGAUGGAGGAGACAAUGAAGGUCGGGAGGGUAAAAAAAAGUUACAAGAAAAAUAAAGAAUCAAAUAGAAAAGAAGAAGAUGAUGAAGUUACACUAUUUUAGAGAAACGUUGCAGUGUUUUAAAGAAAACUUAAACUAUUUGAGAGAAAAAUUAAGCUUUUCUGAAUAAAAAUUGCACUAUUUGAAAAAAAGUUGCAACCCUUGGACAAAAAUUAUACUAUUUCUUCUCUUUCUCCUCCUCCUUCUUCUUUGUGUUUUAUGUGGAUGGGGAUCGAAAUAGCAUAAUUUUCACCCAAAAAGUGCAAGUUUUGUUCAAAGAGUUCAACUUUCAUUCGGAAAGUGUAAUUUUUCUUUAAAAUAAUGUAACGUUCCUCUGAAACAGUACAUCUUCACCUUCUUCUUCUUUUCUUUCUGAUUUUUUAUUUUUAUUGUAGAAAAGGGUAUUUUUUAUAUUUUAUUCUUUAUUUUUUAUAUUUUUUUAUUUUCUAUAUUUUUUUCUUGAUUCCGCUCUCACCCGCGCUCGCUUCGAGUCCCCCUUUUUGGGCACCGGUGUCGGUGCCUGCGCCGGUGAAGACGAAGUAAGAGGAUAUGGCACUGUCUUCGUUAUCGUCGUGGAGCGUCGCAAUGGCGAUCGAGGGGGGUCGAAGAGAAACAAAAAGAGCGAGCGAAAAAAAUAAAAGGAAGAGUACGCGAUGUUACUCUCUUUACUGUUGUAAAGAGCUGGGGAGGCAAUGGAGGAGGGUUGGAGAGAAAAAAAAUUAAAAAAAGAGGGCCCGGCGUAGCCUUAGCGGGAUCGGAGGCAAGGAAGGCAGGGGGUGCGCGGGCGAGGGUGAGGGUGCGCCGUACAGAGGCGAGGCUGGCCGCCUCCGCCUCCGUCACCCUCUUGGGAGAAAGAAAAAAAGAACGGGAAAAAAAAUUAUUAAGAAGGAUAUUUUAGUUAACCAAAUAUAUAUUAAAUAUUUGGCCAAUCUGCAUAAAAAAUUUAUUAGUUUUAAAAUUUUGCAAAAGUAAGCCACCAUUUUGGAUUCUGUAAAUUCGGUCCAAAUUUUUAAAAAAUUGAUCAAAAUAUUUUUAUUCAUUUAUCUCUCUCCUCUUUUUUUUUUCUCCCGUUCUUUUUUUUAUUCUCUUUGAAGAGGGCUACCGACGCGGAGGCGGCCCACCUUGCCUCUACCUCUCGUGCCCUCGCCCUCACCCGCACCCGCGCACCCUCAUACCCCCUGUCCUCCUCGCCUCUGACCAUGUCGAGGCUGCGCGCAACUACCUCUUGGAUGCCUCAUCUCGCAUCCNAAAUCAAAAUGCAGGAUCAAAAAAGAGAAAAGAGAAAAGGCAACAAGGGUAUUUUUGUAAGUUUUCUAAAAAUUCUGUCCGAAUCUACAAAAUUCAAAAAGCCGGCCUAUUUUUGCAAAAGCUCAAAAUUAGUAGAUUUUUUAUGCAAAUUGGCCAUAUAUAAAGCCACAUAAGUUAUCUUUUCGUUUUUAAUCUAUCAAAAUGAGGUUAGAUUAGAAAAAUUGAAAAAAAAGAAGGCUAGAUUGGAAAAAAAAAGAAGAAGUUUAAGUUAUCGGAUUUAUUCCUCCAAAUUACAAAGGUUUUGCAAACUGGGAGGAUAAACUCUAAUUACAGAGCGGUCAUAUCUGAAAUUUCAUAUUUAAACCAAUAGGCCAUUUAGGUUAAUCAGGUGAAGGAACCUAGCAUUACUAAAGGCACUAGGUAUGUACAGUACAUAUUGAGGAUUCCACUAGUAAUAUGGGUGUUUGGGCUAGAUUCUAGAAAGUGAUUUUAGAGUCAAAAGUUAUAUUUUCUUCAAUAAAGCGCUUGAUAAUUUUUUUUUCAAAAUUUAAUUUUAAUUUUUAUAAUUAAUUUUUAUGAUUUUAGAGUCCCUAAAUCAGAAACAGUUAAAACCUGCUUCUUGAAAUCUAAUUUUGAUUUUGAAUUUAAAUUUUAAAUUUAAAAUCCGAUUUUAAAUUUAAGACAGUUGCUUCUAUAAAAAAAACAAGCACAUGCUUCAAAGCCGCGGCAUUAUUGCAAAUCUACCAACAUAGUCUAGUUAACUAGAACUUACUAUAUGAACAAAUUAAUUAUUUGAAUAAAUCACAUGGCCUAAUGUUUUUAGAAGUUCCAUAACUGGUAUUAGUACGUGACUGUCGUUUGACGAGAAAAUAUACUAAAUCCUUCCUAAAUUGGCAUAUUUCUCUCUUCACUUGACAGAUGCAUGCUGAUGCAGUAAGAGAACUUGAUGGAAUGUCUGAUCGGUUGGCUAUAGGGCUGGCAAAUGAGUGAGCCAGAUCGUAUUCGGCUUGCGUUCGGCUCGAUUUUCAGCUCGCUCGAAUUAGGCUCGAAAAGCUUAAAUAUAAUAAAAAUAUUUACAAAUAUAUAUAUAUAUAGAGAGAGAGAGAGAGAGAGAGAGAGUGGCUGGGAUACUAUCGAUAACACCAUGAAUUUGGUGCUAUUGAGUUUUCCACCGUUAAAUUUAACCCUUUGAUUAUUUUUACCCGUUAGAUUAUACUAUUCUACCAACCACCCACUCAACCCUAGGGGGUCCACAUCAUCUUAACCGCACAUUUCUCAAUACAAGGGCUAAAAAAGUAAUAGCACCAAAAGCUUGGUGCUAUUAAUAGUAUUCCAGCCUAGUUAUAUAAUUAUAUAUAUUUUAAUUAUAUAUAAUAAUAUAUAAUAUCUAUAUUAGUUAUAUGUAUAUAGACUAUAGAGUAUAGAUUAUUGGGCAUAUUUGUUGGCCCACAAAACCAACCAAUAAAAUCCUACUCUAAUUACUCUGUUGAAUUAUUAGACAUAUUUUUAUAUCAAAUUUUAGGUAAUAUUUAUGAAAAUUAAACUAUAAAUUGCAUGAUUUAAGAAUUUCAAACGGCUCGUUUAGGGUUCGAGCUCACUCAACUCGAUGUUAGACUUGCUCGAGCUCGGCUCGAAUUAAUUUCAAGUCAAAUUUGAGCCUAAAUUUAGACUUGAAAUUAAUUUCAAGCUUAACUUGAGCUGAGAUAAGCUCGCUCGAGCUUGGUUGGUUUCCACCCCUAGUUGGCUAGUGGAAACAAUUUGAUUUUUCGCAAAUUGUGACAUGAAGAAAGCUCCUUAUUACAUAUUUUGCUAUUGUAAACUUUAAAAAUAAUUGCAUAUGAUUUUCUACUAAGGUAUCAAAUAACCAAUAUAUUUUUACGAAAUUUAAGUUAUCAAAUUUAUCCCUCCAAAUUUCCUUCCAUCUAUAAAAAUAUUCUUUUAUUAUCAAAAUUUAGAUAACGAUGAGUUAAAAAAAGCUAACCACAGUUAACUAAUAAAUAAAAUAACCUUUUCACCCGUUAUAUAUAUAUAUAUAUAUAUAUAUAUAUAUNAUAUAUAUAUAUAUAUAUAUAUAUAUAAAAUUUGUAUAUAAUAUUGAAUUCCGUCAUCUUUCUCAUUCUCUCAUCUUUAUCUAUGGCGGCGACAAGAUCUACAAUAACGGCGACGUCGAAGGCGAGGCCCUCGGUCGCGGAAAGAAUGAGGUACGCUGCACGUGCCGCGGCAAGCCGAGGAGAGAGAGAGAUAGAAAGAUAACUUUUUGCAGGAAUACAUUUGUAAGGACAAAAUAAUCAUUUUAUGCACCACCGUUAAAAAACUAACGAUAAACCAAACGCUAGGGACAUAAAUGAAUGAAUCAGAAUUUUUGAAAGGAUAUGUUUGUAAAUUAGAAAAUUUUUGAAAGAAUAAAUAUGAUAACUUAUCCAUUUUUUUCUAAGAAGAUGUUAAAAUUUCUGAUAGUAUUAUCUGAAAUUAAUUAACGAAACAAAUUAACAAAACAAAUACAUUAGUUAUAUAUUUUUCGUAAUCUUAAAUAAUAUGAUCGUGUGAACCAAUUCUUUGUAAUAGAAUGAAUAGGAAUAAGAUCUUUGAGCAUUCUUUUAUUUCUUGUAAUCUUUCAUAGUGUGAAUAAAACGUGCCCAUAUUAAAUAUUUUAAACUGCUAUUAUAUUUUAGCUUUCUUCGUGGCCGGGAGCGACAUCGGGAAGUUCACGAUAAAAGCGGCGUACGAUCUGCGCGCGCUGAACAAAAUAGUUCACUUUCGCCCGGCCUGCAAUCUCCUCAACAUGAACGAGAUGGCGUCGCUGUGGGAGAGCAAGAUCGGACGAGCGCUGCCGCGAGCCACGCUGAGUGAGGAAGACUUGCUUGCCCUGGCUGCAGGUAAAACUAUAACAGGUCAAAUUGCUUCCCGCCUUUUCUGUCUACCAUCAUGUUUCUAAAUGCUUCUAUACUUCUUUUCUGAUUCCUAUUGGUUUGGUUUGUAGGUAGGACAUUAGUAAAGAACUAUAUAUAUAUAUAUAUAUGUAUCAAAGACAUUUCUGUAAGCCUCGCGUGUUUAUGUCGGAUACAUGUCCGUGUCGGAAAUUACGUGUUCGUGUCAGACAUGUAUCUGACGUGGAUGUGCCGUGGAUCUGCGUCAAAGAUGAUAAAUAUUUUGAUUUUUUGAUGAAUACAUACAAAUUGUUUUGCACAAUAUAAAUGAAUUAUAUAUGAUGAAUAUAUAUAUAGAGUUGAGCUAGAAUAUUAUCGAUAGCAAAUGGGCCCGUUGCCACCCAUUUAUUUUCGAUGAUAGAACCUCCAAAUCGACGAUCUGCACCGUUGAAUAUGAUCUAUACCACUUGAAGUGUUCAGAAAUCAAAUUUCAAAUCUUUUCGACAUCAUUUUCCUAAUGAUCAAAGGAUUUCAAAAAUUUUUUUCACUAUUUAGAGUUAGAUCAGUGCCUCUUAUCUUAAAUUCAAGUUUUUUAUCAUCAUUUUUUAUGAGAUUUUUAUUUUCAGUCGUUCAUUUUUAGACUACUCAUUUGAUAGGUAAAUGAUACCGAAAAUUAUGAAAUUUAGUUUCUAAAUACUUUCAAUAGUGUAAAUCAAGUCUAACUGAGCUGCUCGUCGAUUUGGAAACCGCAUCAUUGAAAACAACUUGGUAGCACGGAGGCCUCCGUAUUACCGAUAGUAUACCAGCCUAGCUCGUAUAUUAUUAUACUAAUAAUAUUAUAUUUUAUUGGCGUUGUCCAUACCGUGUCCGCAUCCUAAUAUUUCAGAAGCUGCGGAGUCGUGUCGUAUUCAGUUUUCCGUGUCUAUGUCUGUGACGCCUAGGUUAAAAACUUGCCAAAUCUAUAAUUCUUUGGUUUCGAUAAACAUUUCCAAUUUUCAAACCAAAAUGCGCCAUUUUGUGACUUUCAUCUCAAUGCAAAUGUGUAGAACUUUCUUAAAAUUCUUUUGAAUGCUUCUAUCUAGUCUCAGCUUAUGUGUUUGUUUGUUUGUUUGUUUGUUUUUUUUUUUUUAUUGGGUCUGAUCAACAGCAGAGAACUGCAUUCCGGCGAGCAUCGUCGCAGCUCUAACGCACGACAUAUUCAUCAACGGUUGCCAGACCAAUUUCUCGAUCGACGGCAUCAAAGACAUCGAGAUCAGUUGGCUCUACCCUGACGCGCCGUUCCGAACCGUCGACGAGUGCUUCGACGAGCACGCGGCCAGCCUCCCCCUGGACCAAAUCAGCCUGGAGAGCAGCCCAAGUGAUCCUGUAGUCAAAAGAUUGCCCGUUCCACCCACAUGCGCCUAAAUAUUAAUUAAUUAAUCUCUAUAUAUAUUUCGCGCUAUCUCUCGCCAUUGCGUAGAGCAUUGGAGUUACUUCAACUGUUGCUGUUUGUGUUGAUGAAGUUAGAGAGGCUCACAAGGGUCAAUUGUCUUAAUGCAGCAUCCAUAUUUAUAUAUAUAUAUAUAUAUAUAUACAUAUGUGUAGUUCCUCUGAUUCAAUUAUAUAAUGAACAUAAUAAAGCUAAUAAUUUGUGUCAAAGAGUUCUCUAAUUGGUAGUAUUUUUUUUGUACAUGCAUGAUUUGAUGUUUAAUAAACUUUUCAAUAGGAAAUUAGAUGGUGAUGCUGAGGAUCUGAUCUUAGAGUUGAAAUAGAGCCAGUUAUAGCUAGUUUGACGCAGUUUGGAUUAGGAUUUAGUAAAAUGAUAAAAAUUUUUAAGCGUGCAGCCCCAGUUCGGAUUUGGAUUUAGUAAAAUGAUAAAAAUUUUUAAGCGUGCAGCCCCAGUUCGGAAACAAGUUUUUGAGCCCGGAGCCUUUGGGUGGAUUAUAGUUUUGCUAUUCAACACUGAUUUUGGGUCCAAAUUCUAUCGUUUUGACCUCCACAUCAUCAGUCUUAAAUAUUAUUUAUUAUAUUAGGAAAGUUUUGUUUUCUUCUAAUUUUAUUUUUAGGGAAAACUUUAAAAAACCCCUCUGUGGUUUCGUAAUUUCUCACUUUGCCCCCCUGUGGUUUAAAAUGUAUCAAUUUGCCCUCCUGUGAUUUUGUUUUUCUCUUUUUCUUAUCAAUUUCAUUAUUCUUUUUUUCCUUAAAUUAGUAAUAAAGUUAAAAUUAAAUGGUACUAAAGUGAAUAUUUGAUAAAUAUAGAUGGGUAUCUGAAGUUUUUUUGUAUAUAAUUUAACGAAAUAUUAACAAAAAAGCUACCGAAAAGAUAAAAAUGAAACCACAGGGGAGCAAAUUGAUACACUUUAAACCACAGGGGGGCAAAGUGAGAAACAACGAAACCACAGGGGGGGUUUUUGAAGUUUUCUCUUUAUUUUAUAUGAUGCCAAUUGUUGGAACCAAGUAUUCUUAUUGAUGCCAAUUGUAUGACGUAGAAUCUACUAAUAUAGAAUAAUAUAGAGAAGAGACAUUGGAGCAGGAAGAAGAUAAUUAAAUUAAUAUGUUAUUAAUCAAGGACCCUAAUACAUCUCAACUACUGCUUGACUCCAACUUUAUUAAGGGUCUGUUUGUUUGGAUGAAAGUGAAGAAAGGUGAAGGCGUUUUUUAUCUUAAAUGAUCACUUUUGCUGUUUAGAUUAUCGUAAUAAAGAUACCGUUGAAACUCGAGUUAUCUGAAACAGCAUAAUUGACUUCGAUCGACCUUAGGUCGAAGUCAAUUACGGUGAAAAGAGAUGAAAAAAAAAAUAAUAAAAUAAUACAAUACAUAAUGGAGUCCGGUUUUCAUUUAUCGGAUCAUAUUAUUAAAUCAACCAAGCUGCAAUCACUCAACUCUAGGGGACCAUUAUUAUCUUAACCACACAUCUUUUCAUUCAAUAGCCAAAAACCUAAUAGCACUCAUGAUUUGGUGCUAUUAGAAGUAUUCUAGCCUAAUUCUAGAUAAUGCUAGUCAUAUUUAAAUAUAUUCAAUUAUAGUACUAAUUACUCUUUUAUUUACUUUGCAUAUUUAAAAUAUGAUAAAAAUUAAUUAGUUAAAUUUUAAUAUUUUUCUUCAUUCAUAUUGGUUAGUUAAAUAUUAAUACUUUUUUACUUAAUAAUUUUAUUGUUGUAUUAUUGUAAUUUAUGUAAAAAAAUAAUUUAGUUGUUUUAGAUUAAAUUUUUUAAUUAUAUAAAAAUAUAAUUAUAUUAUUAUAUUAUUAUUUAUUAUUUAUUAUUUAUUAAGUUAUUUAUUAUUUAUAUAUAAAUUAUAGUUUUAUAUCAUUCACUUCCCGCCAAAUUUCACUUCUUUAGUUAUGAAAAUAAACAGUGGGACGGAGAAUAAUUUUCGCUGAACUCCACCCAAAGUCCACCUUCAAGUCUUCAACCUAAAGCCCGGUUUCGGUUUUACAGCCGUCAACUAUGCUCGGCUUAUUUCUCGACCAUGGUAAAUAAUUGAUAAGUCUAUACAUUUUCAUAUUCCACAAAAUAAUUAAAUCCUAAUUUAAAUAUAAAUUCAAUUUUAAUGGUAUUCAAAUAGUUAAGAUUUAAAUUUAUCUCUAAUAUCACCAACUCAAUCUAAGCUAAAAUUCUAACUAAAUAAAGUUUGGAUUAUAAUUUCCAGCAAUGUAGUGAAUUUCCAAAAGUUGAAAGAAAAAUCUGCUUGUGAAAUUUCUUGUUCUCAACACGAGUAGGAUUUGUAUGUUAUUAGGAGCACGGAAGCCUCCGUGCUUCUAAACUGUUUUCAAUAAUGGAACUUUCGAAUCGACGAUCGGCUUCCUUAGACUUGAUCUAAUAUAUUUGAAAUAUUAAGAAAAUAAAUUUUGUAAUUUUUUGAUAUCAUUUACUUAGUGAUCAAAAGGAGUCAAAAUCAACGGUUGAAAUAAAAAUCUCACAAAAAAAUUAUGAUAUAAUACUAAAAUUUUCAGUUAUAGAUAUUGAUCUUGUUAUAGAUAGUAUAAAAAAUUUUCUAUCAAACUUCCAUCUGAUUCGAAUACUUCUAUAACAUUAAACUUGCCAACGGCACACAUCAACUAUUAAAAAUGAUUGAUUUUAAAUUCUUCGAUCACUAGAUAAAUAAUAUUGAAAAUCUGCAAAAUUUAUUUUCUAAAUACUUUAAAUAUGUAAAAUCAAAUUUAGAUUUUUUGUAUUCGAAUUUCAAAUUCAAAAAUAGAUUUUGAAUUUAAUUUCAAAUUCAAAUUUGAAUUUCAAUUUAUAUUUCAAAUCUAUAUUUAGAUACGAAAUCAAUUUUCAAUAUAAAUUUAGAUUUGGAUUUUUUAAAUUAAAAUUUUAAAUUUAAAAUUAAAAUUUAGAUAUUGAAUUUAAUUUUAAAAUUUGGAUUUAUCUUUAAAUUUAGAUUUAGAUUUUAGAUUUAAACUUCAAAUUCAAUUUAGAUUUUGAUUUCAUAUUCUAAAUUUAAAAUUUAAAUUUAAAUUUAAAUUUUUAAUUAUCAUUUAACUGUAGUAAGAGCACAAAAAAUUAAGCGGUUCUUAUCACAACCCUUCUUCAUAGCAGAAGUAUUUACUGGUUCUCCAGAAAAAAUAUAUUGGUCUUGCAAAAACAACCAAAAUUUUAGAAUUUAUGAUCCAUUCAUUCAAUAUUUUCCGUUUUAGAGAAUAAAUUAUCACAUUUAAAUUAUGUGUCACAUAUAUUAAUACCAAAACAAAAGAAAAGAACCAUUGAAUUUUUCUAACAUUAAAUUAAGUGUGAUAAAUCUAAAUAAAGUACAGUAAAGCUUGAUAGUUGCUCCUAAAUUUAGAUUCAACAUUAAACUUUUAAUUAAGGAUUUAAAAAUUUAAAAUAAAGAUUUUAAUUUUAGAUUUUGAUUUCAAGUUAUAACUAUGCUAGGGUUUACUUCAAAACGUUCUAUAGUUGAGGGGGCAUUGUGCAUUUUUCUCCCUGUGUAGCACCGGAACCUGUGUGAGAGUGUGAGACAAGAGGCAAAGCGCGAGGGGGACGUUGUUGAAUUUUUUAUACAGGGGGUCAAGUGAGACAAUUGGUAAAGUAUAGGGGGCUUUUUAUAAUUUAAGCCCUUUUUUUAAGAGAAAAAAAUAACAUUUACUUAUUUUGCUCAUUAUUUUUCAAAAUAAAAUUAGUUAAAAAUAUAAAGCAACUAGAAAAUUUCGAAUAUCAAUAGUUAAGAUCUUUGCCACUAUACGUUAGAAAUGGUUGAUAAUAUUUAACACUUAUUAAAAGUUCAACUUUUAUAUCAGAGAAUUAUAUAUGUAUUUUUUAUGUAUAUUAAAAAAAUAAUUAUAAUUUUUCGCACAUAUAAAAAUUAAGUAAAGUAAUAGUAAACUCAAUUAAUUUUAUACACAAUUUAUUUUUUUUGUUUUAAAAAAAGCCUGUAUGCAUGCCUAUAUGUUUUUUUUUUUUGUUUUAACUUAAACUAUAACUUGAAUAACUUGAAUUCAAAAUCUAUUAUUAUCUGAGAAUGAAAAUGCUAAUAAGUAACUAAAGUUUUGAAUUAUAAAAUAUUAUACUUGAAAAUGAGGGUACCUACUAAUUGAACUGCUGCAAAAUAUUUUUGGUAGUGUAUAUUAAAUACAUCACAAAUUGACAACAAAUUUGAGUAGCAAAGCAAAAUUGUGUAAAAAUAUGAGGACUAGAGUGUAAAAUUUGUCAGGCGUAAGAAACCCUAUUCCCCCUCUCCGGCGCUGAAAAACCCUAACCGCCAUUUUCUUCCUCCUCCACCCAUGGCUUCUCCCAAGCUCCGGCCCCUCAUCUCCUCUCUCCUCCGUCCUCGCCGCAACCCUAUCUCUUCCUCCUCCUCCAUCUCCAUCCUGCUCUUCUCCACCUCCGCCGCCGCCGCCGCCGCCGAUGGCCCCGCGGCGGCGGCGGCGGAGCACCCGUGGCCGGAGUGGGAGCGCUUCCUCGAGAAGCUGCGGAGCAAGGGCUACUUCAACGACAGGCCCGGCCCCGCCGCCGCCGCCGCCGCCGCCGCCGCUGCGGAGGCUUCGGCGGAGAUGAAUCGGGCGAAGAACGCGUGCCUCAAGUUCGCGCGCGAGCGAUUCGACAUCCUCGGGUUCGUCUCUCUCCUCAAAUUUCCCUUUCCUAGUCGCAAUUUAUGCAUUGGGUUUGUUUGUUUGGAUCAUCACUAGUUGCAAGAUGUUUUGAAAGUCGAAUCUAGGUUAGAUUACAUACUAGUUCCUAUACUAUUAUUAGUGUUUCACUUUGGUUACGAAGCUUUUGAUUCGUUGCAUUAGUGAGCUCGAAUUUUCGAAAAUUUUUGGAUCUUACUCCCAGCAUCAGCUUUCUUAGCUCCGAGAGACGGAAAUCUAACAUUCCAUGCCAUGUCACUGUUCCUGAGCCUGUUGAGUAUCUCCGCGGGACAAAAGUCUCAUUUACUUGUGUAAUUUAAGGGUCUAUUGAGCGGAGAACUCUUUGAAUGACAGUUUGCAGGAUAUGCAUGAUAAUCUGUUCCAAUAAUAACACUUGUGCUUAGCCCCCGAUUGGCCUAGUUUCGGAAUAGAAGCAGCAGUCAUACCUUUGGCUAAGAAAAGGUUUGGAGCUUUUGAUGUGACGAGAAGCUGUAACGAGUUUCUGGACCCAAAAUUUAGAAUCUCCAAAUUGAAUCUUCUGAUUUUGUCAUGAUAGAAAGCUAGCAGAAGGUUUUUUUUUUGAAAGAAGAUGUAGUGCUUUGUUAAGCAGCUCAAUUAAAUAGCAAGCCUUCCAAACCUGCUUUUAUUGAAUUUGACUCCGCCACAAAAUUUGACGGUGUAAUUGUGGCAACCAACGGAGGUUUUUGAAUUCUAUUCGUCAAUAUCUAUAGGACUUUUUAACAAAUUUUCCUAACUUAAAAGAACGAAAACAACAAGAAUGGGAAUCUUUUAGAAGUCUUAAACGAUUAGGAGGACCUGCCAAUUUGGAGACAUAUGGCACCCACCAUAUCACGACCAUAUGAAAGAGAGAUACGUUAUGUGGGUUUUGAUUUAACAUAUAACAUGGAUAUCAUUUGCCUAAACCUUCUUGAAGGGUUUCCAGUAAACAAUAUGUGAAAGGACUGUUAUCGUCAAUCUCUUCUGCUCCAAAAUUCUACCAUUUCUCGGAACUAAUCAUGAUUUCUCAUCCUCUGCAUUGCGUUUUGUCAGUCAUGUUGUAUUUAAGUGCCUCUAUGUUGCAGCUCUUUGCCCAAACAUGAUAUUCAAGCUGUUGUUGAGUGUGGAUGUCCCAAUCUCUUUCCGAAAGUCGUCAAUUCGGCAAAGCGGUUGAGAUCACUUCUUAAGCUUGACGAAGGAGAUGUAAGUUGAACUCCACUGUACUUUUAGUUUGAGAAAAAUAGGGGGGAAAAACCCUAAAAUAUUAGUGUUAAAUUGCACUGGAGUACCCCUUUAAUCUUUCGCUGUUGCAAUCUUAUUGUUUUAAUAUAAUGCCCCUGUUAAAUAGGAUUGAAAUGCCCUUUAUUGCCAUACAAUUCAAAAGUUUCUUAUUUGGCAGUUAGAUUGUGAUUAUGAUAUUUUCUCCAAUCUGAUGUACUAAUUUAACCUAAAGGGUAAAUUUGCAAUGAAACAAAAAGGUUAGAGACCCAGCUGGAACAAUUGAAAGUUUGGGGACCAAACUGUAAUAUGAAUAAAUUUUGAGGACUCCUGUUCAAUUUACUCAAAAAAUUCAGAUUUAGGACGAUCUUGAUGUUAUAACUGUAAGCAGGAGGUAAAAGAAUAUUUCCUUUUUUCAAUGUUCAAUCAGAUGUUUAAUUAUGAUAACUAAAUGCACACUCCUGUACUUAAAGGUUUGUAGUUCUUGCGAUCUACGUGGAUCUUGUGAUAAAGCUUAUGUCAUUCCAAAGGAAGAUGAAGGAGCUCGCACUGUGGACGUAGUGCGUAUUUUGAUGAGUUAUGCAGUAAAUGCAGCCGGUCCCCCAGAAGGAGAAGAGUCCAUCAAAGAGAAUGUUCAAGAAUCUGUAAGAAAGCUACUGUCGGAGAUUAUUUUACUCAGUGACACAACCAUUGAUCCAUCCCUUCCAAAACCAAUAUUAGAUCCUCCCAGUCAAAAGGCACCGUCUCAGAGGAUCAGCAAGCAGGAUGAUCAAUCAUCUGGUAUUGAAAUGAAGAAAGGCGAUUGGUUAUGCCCCAGGUAAGUUCUUUUCCUAGUUAAUUUUUUUUUUUCUGACAAUAUUGCUGCUAAUUGUAGUUUGAUUAACAAAUUAUGCAAGUUGUAGUUUGUUUCCUUCACACCCAGAAUAACCUGCUUCCACUUCACCACUGUGUGGUUCAAAGUGUGAUGUAUUGUUUGAGUCCUUCUACAUGUCUUUCGAUGAUUGUGACUUCCAAUUUCAUCUUGUUGGGAGUUGCGGCUAACAAAACACUUUGGUUUUGGUAUGAGCUCAAGAUUGACAUAGUGUUUGUUCUAAAGGUUUCAGCAAGUGCCAAGUGAUAACUUUUCUCUUAAAUUUUAGAGGCUUUUCUCUAUGCGUAUAAACAAGGUUAUUCAUAGAAAUUUUUCUUCUUCACCGAUAUACUUUGUUGUCUGUGCUAUCAUUUCUGAAUUAUAAAUAAGGGCUUAGAGUAGGGGCAAAAACAGUCAAAUAUGCUUGGAUAUUUGACAAAAUCAUAUUCUCAUCUAUAUUUAGUACACGGAUGCGAACUCGGAUACGAAUAUCAAAUGGAUGUUGAAUUUCAUAAUUAUAUUUGCUCAAAAUGAAUUUGAAUAGAAUUUGGACUUGGGAUGCAUACGAAAAUGAAUCAAAUUCAAGUUUUAAAAUAUCUACAAUCCAUACUUCUAUACCAUAUAUGAAAGGGCACCCAGUGGGUGCCACGUGGUGCCCUCUCGGUGCCCUUCCAUUUUUUUUCCCCUUUUUUACAUUCCAUUUUAUUUUAUUUUUUUUAAUAUUUUAUUUUAAUCAUUUAUAUUUAAUAAUAAUUUUUUAAAAUUAAUAAGAUAGUGAGGGUGGCCUUCCAUUUUUCUCAUUUUUCUUUCAUUUUAUUUUAUUUUCUUUUUAUAUAUUUAUUUAUUUUAGUCAAUUAAAAUAAAUGAUACUAUUUUUAAUCUAUACCUAUAUAUGAAAGGAGAUCCAGAGGAUCUUCCAUGUGAUGCCAUGUGGGUCUCCCUCCGGCUCUCCCAUGGGAUUGGUACAAUAUAUGGGUAUCCCUCUACUAUUAAGAUAUUGCAACUUGGUCCUUAUACUUUUUGUUCCAACAAUUUUCUUACUACUCGCUGAGAGUAAAGCAUUUGGAUAGUCCAUGCAUUAUUCAGAUAUUACGAAUUAAGUCUUAUUUUGUAUUUAAAAAUUUCUCUCUAAAUAUUCGCAUAUGCUAGUACUUUAUUUUAUGAAUGUUAAAAAACUCUUCCCUAAAAAGUAUUAUUUUGACACUUAAUAGUUUUGUCUUUAUUUUACCAUCAAACAUUGCAAGAUGGUACCUAAACAAUUUAGUAAGCUUUGAUAUCUUUCUACACUUUAGUCCUAAAUAUUUAAUUUUUACUGUAAAAUAGUCUAUCUAUAACAUUUUAUGAAAAGGCGCCGUGACGAUGCCACGUAGUUCCCUCCAAACAACCUUCUUUUUUUUAUAUAUUUUAUAUUAUUAGUUAAAUUUAAUAAUACUACUUUUUUUUGUUAAUAUGAUUGAGUAUAAUAUCAAACCAAUAAAUUCGAUACGAAUAAUUGAUAAUUGAUUUGAGGUGUCAACUUAGUAGUCAAUAGGCAAGGUAUAUUAAUAUUAAUAAAACAUUAUUAUAAGAUAUACCAUAUAUAUGUCAGAUUGUUAUUAAUACGUCUAGAUGUAGAGUAGUAAUUUAUAAGUAUAAAGUAUAUAUUUAUAGAGGCUGCAAGUCAUUUGUUAUGAAAUAUAAAAAAUAUUUAGGUGUAAAUCAAAUAGUGUUCUUUUAUUUUUUUUUUAUAUUUUAUAUUAUUUAAUUAAAUUUGAUAAUGAGAUAGGAGAUGUAUCAACUCAAUCAAUUUGAAGUCAUAAUUGACAGCUGAUUUAAGUGGUAACUCGACAUUUAAUAGGCAACCAUCUCUUAUCUCUUUAGUCUUUGUAUUAAUUAUUGCAAGAAAAUAAGUCAUAUUUGCUAACUUUUCACUAUAUCUUAUAAAUGUCAGAUAUGAGACAUUUCAAUAAUCAUUUAUUAUUUAGUUUUUUAACUAAUGUAAGAACAGAAUUCAUAUUUGUCAAAUUUUUCGUUACUACUCAGAUGUCAGAGGUGAUAAUAAAAAACUAUAUCUCAUUAAUAUAAGAUAACAAAAUAUUUUUUUCAUUUAUGAAAUUUGGCAUAUAUCAAAUUAAUAUAUCCGAUGUGAUAAUUGAUGGUCGAUUUGAGGUGACAACUCUGUAAUUAAUAGGUAUAGUGCAGCAUGCCUAUGUCAAAGUGUUAUUAAUACUUACUAGAUGUGAGUUGAUAAUUUAUAAGUGUAAAGUAGCUCACAUCUAUAUAGUAUAUAGUGAUUCAUUUAUUAUAAAGAUUAGAAAUAAUUCAGUAUGAGUCAAUAAGAACAGUAAUUACCAAACUCAAUCCAAUUGUAUGGCAUAUGAAAUCGGAUCAGACUAUUUGAUCACUUUUAGACUCAUUCUUCUUCCAUUUAGAUCAUGCUCUAAUUUAAGCAUAUAAAUUUGUGAAAAUUACUAAAACACUAACAAAAUGUAAUUAGCGAACUAUCAAUGUAUGUACGGAAAGAUUUGGAUUAUGCAUUAUGUAUAAAAAUCAACUCAUAAUUUUAGAAAACAUACAAUAAAUAUAUACAUAUGUUAUAUUAUUUUAAAGAACAAAAUAAAAUUUUGACACUCAAAGAUUUAAUUAUCUUCACAUGUAAAAAAUAAAAAUUUCUUUAACAUAAUUUCAUGUGUAAGUAUAGAAGUUUGAAAACUUAAAUCUAUAUAUUGGAAAUAUGAUCAUGGUUUAUGAAAUUAACAGCAGACAAAAUUUUGAACUCCACAAAUACCAAUCACAAGUCCUAUAUAAACAUAUUGUAUACCAUAUAAAAAAUAUUAAUAGACUGUCACACCCCGGGCUUGAGUGAAAGUACCUCCAGUAGCAUGCCCAGAUCCACCAUGUGCACAGGGCUCCCCCACACAUACAAAGCGACAAGUAACAAUAAUCAACUUAUACAGACAAACUAGAGUUUCAUACGAUCUGGAGUAUCAAAGUAUAAUACUACUAUUCUAUUACAACCAUGUUCCAAACAAACUAUUACAAGUUUGAACGACAUAUUACAACUUUUCCAAAAUAUUGAGAUUCUACAUAGGGUUCCACCUCUAAAUAACACCAAAAUGAAGGGUGGGAAGCUAGCUACGACCCGAUACCCUUGCUACGAUCACCCGCAAAGGAGGAAGGGAACUCUGAAAAAAAAAGCAACAAUGGGGCGUAAGAACUAUAUAAAAUAGUUUUUAGUGGGUACAAUAGCUGUAAGAAGUGCUCUACCUACUAGGUCAACUAGAGGUAUAAUAAUGAGAUAAGAGUUUAUAGAUGUGGAAUAAGAAAUGCUCAUGACCAGGAAAGUCUACUAUAAUGCCUCUACCAUAUAUGUCAAUCAUCAUCUCCAUAUACAUCAAUUUAUAUGAUUAUAAGUUGACUACUCAUUAACCAAUUAUCUUGACAAAUACGAGGUCCUUUCAAGCUUGGCCCUUGCCUAGUGGGAGGUUGAACAAUCAUACAUGAACUCACAUUGGUACUCAACAGUUAGAGCGAGGCGAACAAUUGCAUCCUCGCUAGGCUAAUACCUGUGGAGAGUCACGGUUUGUAGAGAGCGACCCUCACAAGCUAAAGUACUCAUUGAGCUUAUUUUGGCUAUUGCAAGCUAUAAUUAUGUAACCCCACUUACAAUGCCACAAUCGAAACAUAUAAGGAUCUAGGUACAUUGGCAUUUUGUUGAACACUUAGUGUGCGUUUUCAUGAUUCAAGUUCUACAUGUCAUAUUAUAUGUAAUUGCAAUUACACUAUCAUAGCAUGUUCUCUAAGUAUGUUUCAUCACAAAGAAUAAAUAAACAACUACAAAGCAUGCAAGUAUGUAUCUUUCAUCAUGUUUAACCUUGGAAAGUAGGAUUUUCUACUUAUGUCCAUAAGCCAUUAAAUAAUAGAAAUUGAACUAGAAUUUCUCGUGUAGCAUAGAGUAGAAAAACAACUAUAAAUAAGAGGGAGAAGGUAUUGAAAGAGAGAAUCCAUUUUGGAGACUUAAACCCACCGGUUCCAAGGAGAAUCUUCACAAACUUGAGCAAAGUUGUUGAGUCUAUCAAUUAACCCUACAAGAGGGUUUCUAAUCUAUCAAUUUCAUCUAGAAGUCUUCAAAAUGAAAACCCCUAAUUUAAAUCCUUAAAUUUCACAUUUUACAAAAUUUUCUAAAAACUUCCAAGAUCACACUAUUUAAACUGUAAACGAACAUGAACUCACCUCUUCCAAACACUAUCUCUUGCGUAUAGGUGAGUACCGGUACUCCCCCACUUAGUAUCUGUACACCUCCGAAGUUCCACAAAACCCGAGAGUUUCUACAGCAAAAAUAACUCAGGGAGUAUCAAUACUCCACCUCAGAUAUCAGUAGACACGGCAAUUAUUACCGGUACUCAAUCGGAGUUUCGCAGAACCCGAACGUUCUCCCACUGGAACUUCUAUUGAGUACCGGUAAUCCUAAACUUCAGUACUGGUAAUGAAGUGGGAAAGUGGCCAAUUUGUAGGUUGAUUCUGAAAACUUCAGUACUGGAUAGGUUGAGUUUCACAGCACCCGAACGUUCUCCUGCUGGAACUUCUAUUGAGUACUGGUAACCCUAAACUUGAGUACGGGUACUGAAGUGGGAAAGUGACCAAUCUGUAGGAUGAUUCUGAAAUGGUGCUACAAGCUAUUUUACACUGAAUCAUAGCAAUUUGCCAAGUUUAGAAUACUACAUUGACUAUAUUUAAUAUCUUUUUUUAGAACAAAAGUUUCAUUAAUCUUUCAUCUAUAUAUAUUUUUGAUUUUAUUAUAUUAAUACAGUUGUAUUCCGCAGCGUAGAGCUACAUACAUGAUCAGCUUCUUUGAUUGAUUAGAGUCUUUAUUUUAAAGGCCAAAAAUUGGGAUUUAAAAUGUCUUUAUAGUUUUACUAUUCUUUUUUCUGAGUGUCAGCGUAUAAGAUUAAAACCAAAGCUGAAUGCAAUUAUCCAAAUCCACAUCCAAAGAAAAAUGAAUUCGAAUUCGAAUCCGAAAUUUCUUUAUUGUGAUUAACGGAUUUGAAUCCAAAUCCGACCGAAUAGGCUUUGGCAUCUGAAUCUGGCAAUGACCAAAUUCAGUUUCAGACUCGAUCGGAUAAUAUCCUAGCCAUUUUCACCCCUAGCUUAAAGGCUUCAUAAUUAUUUAGCGAUAUAGUUUGUUGUUGUUUUUCCCUUCUGUUUUGUCCAACUAACUUUUGUUUCAAAGCCAAGUUUCUAUUCUUUGGAACUAUCCAUGCACCGAACUAUGUUGGCUGUCCUUCUGUUUUGUCCAACUAACUUUUGUUUCAAAGCCAAGUUUCUAUUCUUUGGAACUAUCCAUGCGCCGAACUAUGUUGGCUGUUUACUUCUUUUCUACUUGAAUACCAAAACAUAGCCAUGUAAUUUCAUUUAGCUGAUGUUCUUCAGUUUUUUAGUUACAUAAAAAUAAAAGGAAUUAUAAUCUUAAAGAUGUAAUGCAUUUUGGUUGUUGCAGUUGCAAUUUCUUAAAUUUUGCCCGAAAUUUGCGGUGCCUGGAAUGCAAAAAAGCAGGACCAAGGAAAGAAGAACGGAUCAUCGAAAUGAAGUUGGGGGACUGGACUUGCCCAAAGUAGACCCUCUCUCUCUCUAUCUCUCUCAAGUUUUCUCUGUACUAGUGAUUCAGCAUACAAUUGGUAAAUAGUGUAAUCAAAUAUUCGCUUCUAAAACUGAAACUCAUUAAUAAUGUUUCAUCUCUGCGAUCUUUUUUCUAAAUUAAAGUGUUAUGCUCUCUCUCUCUCUCUCUCUCUCUCUCUCUCUCUCUCUCUCUCUCUCAUGUGUGCGCGCGCGCGUACAAAAGCACUUUCAAGGGCCAGACCACACUCAUCUGUUUGCGUGUUAUCUACAGAUGUGAAUUUAUGAACUUCGCCCGCAAAAAGCAGUGCCAUCGAUGUGAGGAGCGUCGGCCAAAAAGGCAGUUGAUCCCCGGAGACUGGGAAUGCCCCUCGUUAGUCUUCUAAUCCCCCCUCAUUUUUAUUUUCUUGUGUCGUUUAGAAGUAAAACCUACCAUUUAGUUACUCACUGAACAUGACCGUCUUGUUCAGGUGCGAUUUUGUGAACUUCAGGAGAAACAAGGUUUGUAUUAAGUGCAACUGCGCUCGUCCCGAAGCCGAAGAAGGGGGAACUCAGUUUGAAGACUACGUAUUGAGGAGGCCGUUGACGUCUGCGAAGAACAACACUUCUAAGUUUGGAGACGAUGAGUGUGAAGUCGAGGGAAGAAGAUGACGAUAUCUUAUCGCUUGAAUAAGGAGAUGGUGGCGGCGCGCGUUUGCAGCGGGCAACGGGGCAACACCCGCCGAGAGGCUGUCGACGUCUUGCGAGAUAAUGAAACAACCCAUCAUGAGAAGUUGCUAGAGAUCUUACACAGUUGAAAAUGCAUUAAAUCUUUUGAAGGUAAUUUCACAAAUUUGUUUGCCUGUGAUUUUGGUUUCGGCGUCUGUAAAAUUUACAAACUAUGUAUGUCAGUUUCAUAACUGUAUGAAUACUUUUGUACUCUUAAAUGCAACCAGUAAAUUUAUAUAUGAUCAAUAUUUUGAUUUGCAAAAGAAUAUAAGGAGAUUUUGUAUUGCUCCAUAAAGUCUUCCAAUUUUGAGUGCAAGUCUCUCAAAUGUUUGUUAUUUAUUUGCAUGAUCUUGAUGCAUCGAAAAAAUCUUUUAGCCAGUGUUUCGUUCGGAAACAAGUAGGGAGAAUAACAACGGGGAGAAUAAGUCCUUGUUUUUCCCUUUGUUUCCAAAUUUAAAUUUUCGUAUCCGAGAAUAAUUGUUUUUUGAUCUCUGGAAUAAGUUUGUAUAAUUCGGAAUUGUUGUUUUACCUUUUUUCGUAGAACAAGAUUGUUUUCAAGUAAGAACAAAGUUAAUUAGAGUCCAAAUUUAAUUUUAAUUAUGGUAUUAAAUUAUUAAUUAAUAUAUUUAAAUCAUUAUCCAUUGUUUAAAUAAUAAAGUAAUUAACAAAUUUAUUAGUUAUAAUUAAAUAGCUAAUUAAUUAUUAAUAAUUUAAUGUGUUUAUCUAUAAAUUAAUAUUAUAUUGAUUAACCAUUAAUAUUUAAACUUUUAAUAUUUUACAGAAAUAAUCUUUCUUAAGUGUUUAAAAAAAAUUUUAAAUUUUGUCCAAAUAAAUUUUGAACUUCAAACUUCAGUCCAAAUAUUUUUUAAAUUUUUUUUACUUUUAUAAAAUUUUUAAAAAGUUUUAUAAAUUUAAUUUUGUAAGCAUAAUACCCACUAAGAUUUAGAGUUUUUUUAAAAAGGAAUAUUUUGAUAUUUGUAAGUCUAAAAAUUAAAAAAGUUUACAUCACUGAUUUUUUUUUUAAAAAAAACCAUUAAAAAAAUUAUUGGGUUUGGCUCGUCCUGUCGCCUUAGGGCUGUGCUAAGCACGGAGAUCUGAAAACUUGGCCCAGCGCAUCUCAACCCUAAUUUGUAGACCAGUCGCGCCGGCUCCAAGUCCGUUUCGGCCCGAGUAAUGCGGGCCAUGCUGGCCCGUUUUGGCCCGGCAUGACCCAUAACCUACACUACACCCCAUAUAUGGAUGUGUGCAUUUUUCACCCCUUGCAAUCAAGGAUUUCCAAAAAGCCUUUAAAUUUUUAGUAUUAAAUAAAAAGGUUACUUUCAUACAGCCCCUCGUAAACAUAUCGAAUAGCAAACAUAUCCCUACAAAGUUCAACUUUUCAUAUUUGUCCCUACAAAAGUCGAGUGAUAUUCAUAUUUUUUCCUUUGGUUUGUUAUCGUUAUACCACUGUUUAUUUUUUAAUAGAAAAUAAGUGAAAUGACAUUUUUGUCAUUGCAAAUAUGUCUUUUCAAAAACCUCAACUGUUAGAAUUAUAUAGAAAUAUCCUCCCAAAAAUUGUCGGCGAUUAUCUUCUUCCUUCCUAGCAUCACAAAUAAUAUAAGAGUAAAGAAGUCAUUUUAUCUUAUUCACUAACGAGGAUUAGGUCUUUUACCUUGGUUGACUAUAUUUUUCUAACAGUGGGAGUAUAUCUGAAAAUAUUAGGACUUUUGUAUGAAUAAAUAUGAAAAGUUGAACUUCGUAGGAAUAUAUUUAUUAUUCAAUAUGUUUUAUAUGGAGUUGCACGCAAUUAUCUCAAGAUAAAAAAUUAUUGUGACAAGUGGGGUGAUUCUAGCCCAUCAAAAGUUGGGGUGUAAUAUUUACACCUAGGGGAUGAUUCUAUAGGUAGCAUUGCUCUUCUGUAUAUAACUCAAAGUGGAAUUCACCAUUGACUUUCAAAAUGGUGUUUACAAUAGUUAUAUAACAACGUAGUAGUUCGGUAUUCAAUAGAAAAAGAAUCUUAGCUCAAAUAUUGAUAAUUUGCGCUAAGCAUUUUAAGCUAGUGGUUUUAACAGAACUUAUAGCUAAAAACAAUUAGCUGGAUUGUUGUAUCUGAGCAAUUACUGGGCCUAAAGUGUGAGAAUUAAGUGUUAUUUAGCUUUAGCAUAAUAAAUUGCUAAUGUAAGUAGGUCUGAUUGUGACAAGUUAGAUACCUUUGAAUUAUAAGUUCUAAUUCCUUUUGGUCUUUGUCAAUAUUAGGGACAAAUGCAUGAUACUCAUUUCCAACUCGAGUUUCUAUGUUCCAACUCCAAAUGUUCUUUGUCAAUAUUUGGGACAAAUGUAUGAUAGUCAUAGUUUUUUGACUUUUAAGUGAUUUAAUCUUUUGUUGAACAAAUCAAUAUUUAUGUGGGGGAUCCAAGAUUUUGACUUAAGUGAUUUGUUUUAAUUUCUAGGAAUUCAGUAGCUCUUUGUCAAUAUAAUGGCCAAAUGCAUAGGAGUCAUAGAUUUUUGACUUAGUGAUUUAAUCUUUUCACAAAGAAAUUAAUCAAUCUUUGUGUGGGAGUCAUAGUUUUUGACUUAUUAGUGAGAUGACCCUUUAAUUUUUCUGACAAACAAAUUAAUCUUUAUAUAUAUAGGGUUUCAUUGAUGACUUUGUAAUUUGAUCUUUUAAUUUUUUCUGUUAAUUAAAUCAGUCCAUGAAUUUUACUUUUUUUUUCUUUUUUUUGUAUUGUCACCUCUUAGUUUAGUUCUCUUCACUCCACUAUUUCAAACUUUAUACAAUGAGAAAAAUUCUCAUUUAAAUAACCAUUAAUUUUAAAGCAAAAAAAAAUCAUGUUUAAUUAAUUUUUAUUGCUCUAUUAGAAUUUCAUAGAUUAUAAAUCCAACAACUUGGUAAGAAUAGAACUAAGAAAAAGAGUCUUCGGUUUAGAAAGAAAUAGAUUAGUAAAUCAAAAUAAUCGAAGUGUAUUAUCACUAAAUGGAUUUGGCUGACACAUUCCUUAUUAGGUUUUAACUUUCGAAUACAGUAGUUGGUCGAUAUCCUUCUUAUCGUAUUUUAAAUCUUGAGUUUGAAUUUUGUUAUAUACUGAAAAAAUGUGUCUGCGCGGCCUACAAACAUCAAUUUAUCAUAAAGGUUCAAAAAAGAAAAGAAAAAAAAAAAAAACAACAUGCAUUCCAAAUUGAGGACAUUAAUGAGGCGUAAAGAGAUCAGGUUGGACUUUUAUUCUAAACUUCCUCAUGCAACUAACCACACCCACAUCAAGUAAAGAAUAUAAGCACAAUAAAAAAAAGGAGAAAAAGGGGGCAUAAAAUUAAGAAAGAAUAAAGCAAGAUGUGUAGGCACAUAGAAUAAAAUAAUGCUCCCCUUUAGUUCAAGCAUAACUGCAUAAGAUAUUGAGUAAUAUGUUGAUUUUCUCACUAAAAUGUUCUAAUCAUAAUCUCUCUCCCUAAUCUUGUAGGUUAUGAGGAUUUUAACCCUCUUAUCCUUUUUCUUGAAAAAUAAUGUAAUCGAUUUUGAAGGUUAUUCGGAACUAGCAUUUGCUAUAUGAAUUUUUUUUUCUUUUCAAAAAAUUGCCAAUUGUACACUCUAUUACUAUGGUGUAUAUUAUACAUUCCACCCUUAGAUGUCGGGUUUAGCGAGAAUUGGUGAAAUAGUUAUAAUCGGAUAAUAGAAAAGUGAAUAAUAAACACUAUUUAUAUACUAUUAAUGGUACCAUUAUUCAACUCUCUCUCUCUCUCUCUCUCCCUCUCUCUCUAUAUAUAAUGAAUAUUUAUUGUUAAAAUUAUCAAUUUUUACGCCUAUUGAUCAUAAAGUAUAUGAUGUCAAAAAUCAUAAAAUUUCGUUUAUACAACGUUUAAAUACUCUAAAUAUAUUUAACAAUAUAGAUAAUUGACUGUCAACGAAAAUAACUUAUGAGUAUAGAGACGAUCGUACUAAUAAUAAUAUAGUAGCCGGAUCUCUCUCUUAUGUUAGCACAACUUGGGCCUUUCUUUUUGUACUCUUGAAUGACGAGAGUUCCUAUGUAUACAUAAAAAAGUGACCGAAUAUAAUAUUCUGAGUCCAAAUAUAUAAAUAUUAAAUAAAUUAAAAAAAUAUCAAAAGAGAUAUUUAAAAAUCAAAAUAGGACCUCAGAUAAAAAAUAAUAUGGUCAAAAAUUAUAUAACAACCAGAGGUCUCACCAAGUGGACGUUUGAUCAUAAAAGGGAGCUUAUCAUUCAAUCCAAAGAGUUAUACAAAGAAAAAUUCUGCCAAUAACAAUUCCUACAUUCAGAAUUAAAUCCUUUUAAAGACAAAGAACAUAACAUAUGUUCCUCGACGAAAAGGAACGCAUCAUCGAAAAUCUCUCGGACCCCGCCGCAUUAUUUGCCAAAAAAGCAACUAUAUUAACAAAAGCAAACAUAGAAACAUCACACACACACACACACACACACACACACACACACACAGAGAAGUAGAAAAGCCGAUUUCACAGCACUUCUCGGAGAAGCAGAUUGAUCCCGAACGACGUCGUGCACAAGAUGAGCCCGAACAGUGCCAAGAAGUUAAGGCCCCUGAGAAAUGAGAGGAAAAUAAGACCAUCAAACCCUAAAAGCAUUGUCAUGUUCUCUGCUGAACUAUGAUUUCUACGGAACUCUCUAUAAUAUAAAAACUUCUUUUGAGUUCUACAACAAUCCCCUGCACUCUGCUAAGAACUGAUGGCUUACUUCGAGUUUACUCGAUUAAUUAAAACUCUCCCGUAACACGAAAUACCAAUCGUUUUUAGUCAUAGCUCAAUGAAGAAGUUCAGAAGAUCCUUGAUAUUUAGUAAAACAACUUCGAGAUCUCGAAUCCUCUACGACCAACUUUAGUGGUGAAACUCAGAAGAGAGAGCUACAUAGUACUUACUUACAGUGGCAAAUCUCAAAAGGAAGUACUGAAAAAGAGAAAAUGUAUUAGUUUCAAACUAUCUGUAAUCCCCCAGUUCUUCUGCUAUUCACUAUUCACUAUUGGAGCUCGAAUAUAUCAGAGUUUAAUUAUGUAAUUUCGAGUAUAAAUUAGUUGUUUAGAAGUUGGGGUGUGUUUCGACAUGGUCAUGCAAGCAAUAUAAGGCCGGUAUCGUUGGUCGAAUUAUGCUCCGUGUAGCUGGGUGCAUUAGGGAGCUCGAUUAACAAAAUUGUUGUUUAGCUUCUCUUCUCAGUAUUCCUCAAUCUAUAGAUGAAAUUAUAAACCAUGGAUUUACAGGAUUGGUAUCAGAGCAAAUACGAAUCCUAUAAUUGGUACCAGAACAAAUAUCGCUUCCUACAUUAGCAGUCAAACAAAGAUAUCUUAGCAUAAGUUACCACUUAAAAACUAGAUCUUCUGGAAGUUCAUAAAGGGCCAUAAAAGCUUAAGUAACAAAAAUGCUCCAUUUUGCUUAAUAUUUGACUGUAGGUAGUAUUGUAGAAAAUAAAACUCAGUAGAGAGUUUGGAAACAAUAAGAAGCACAACAAUAGAAUGUACGAAGCAUCCUAAAGUAAUGAAGGGAUAGGGAGAAAUACCCAAUCUUCAGGCGAUUCUCGGGAACGCCGGUGGAGUAGCCCUUGAAGUAGAAGAACCGCGCCAAGAUGUAGAGGAAACCGAGCCCGGCGGCGAUGGUCGGGUGCUGGAGCCCGCCAACGAGCAGCAUCACAAAGAACACCGGCAUCGACUCCAGCGAGUUCUGAUGCCCCCUCUGCGCUCAGUUACAAACACAUAUUCACAGAACAGUUAGGUCACAUAUUCCUUUCUUUCUCUCAAGCUAAAAUUAUAGGGAAUCAUCUACGACGUGAAAUUUGACAAAAUCACCGAUUAAUUCAUCAAAAACUUCAGCACGAUUGACUUAAAUAAUUUAAGUCAAAACAAAUAAAAAUUGAGAUGGUAUCAACUAAAAAAACGUAUAUUCAGAAGCUUAAACGAGAAAUGCUUAUAGUCGGAUAACAGUGUGUUUGGUAAAUCCGAUCUCGGCUCCAGCAAACUCCUGAGUUCAUGGAACUCGACAUCACACUGUAAAAGAGCGAUGUCGAAUUUCACCUCCGUAUACGAAGAAGGGAGAUCCAAAGGAUUUUUAUAUGUGGGACUCACAUAGCUCAGGGAAUUACGCCCUCCACUUCGUCACAAACAACUUAAAGUCUCUAUAUACUUGAUGAAAAUUAUAUGGAAACCUACAACUAUAGGCAAUUUUUCACAUAAAAACUUAAAACAAAUAUAUAUAUUUCUUUCAUUUUAACUGACAUUUUCUCAAUCAUUUACGGACUUUCGAUUUGACUUGUUCCAGUCAAUUGUAUUCAACAAAUAUUUAUAAAUUUGUUAUUUGGCAGCAUAAAUUGAUGGGAUUUAAAUUCAUUCCAAAGGAUUCAGUGAGAUUUCUCCUAAUACAACAUGAUUUGAUGUUCGAUUUAGUGAGAAUCCAUUCGCUAUUAAUUAUUUUUUUUAUAUUAAUUCCGACAUAAUUUAUGCUAUAUAAUGGCAUCGAAAUGGUUUUAAAUCUUUUACCGACAACAACAGAACGGAAUAGAAUUCAGUAGAACUCCGAUUUAAAAUUGUCACCAAUUCACAGAGAUUUCCAAGAUGAACAAAUACCAAUAAUUUAGAAUCACAAUAAAUAAAAAAAAAUUAAAAAAAAAAUGCUGGUAAAUAUUUAAACAGAUUUUCGAUAUUGAAACAUAAAGCUCUAGGAUUCAAUACGCUAUUUGAAUCAAAAUUAGAAGGAAAAAAAAAUAAUAAAGGAGAGAGAGGAAUUAGUGUUAAUGACCUGCACACAGUUGAAUAGCUUAGCAUCCUUAUUCUCGGACUCCACCGCGUACAUGGUGGGAUAGAACACCUUAUACCUGCGAAUAAUAAUUAUAAUAAUUAUUUUUUUCGAAAAAAAUAAGCCGAAUAAGCACGAAUUUUAAAGCGAACAACAACGACGACGACGAAAAUUUAACAUGUGAAUAAUAAUUAUUUUAAGAAGGCGAAUAAGCACGAAUUUUAAAGCGAACAACAACGACGACGGCAAUUUAACCUGCGAAUAAUUAUAAUUAUUUUUUUGAAAAAGGCGAAUAAGCACGAAUUUUUAAAGCGAAUAACACCAACAAUUUAAUUAACGCAGAGUUAAAAAAUAUAUAUAUAUAUCAAUUUCAAUUUAGCCCAAAAACAAAGAGUCUAUUAAAUAAAAAAAAAAAAGAGGACCAAAAAUAAGAACAACGGAGAGAGCGCGAUAGAUUAAUUUUCGCACAAUCAAACCGAACAGCACGGAUUACAAAGCGAAUAGCCAAAAAUUUAUCCCAAAUUAACAAAUACUAACUUCGAUUUACUCCAUCGGAAACCCUAAACUAAAAAGAAUUAGAAUAGAUAAGAGCGAUUCGUGGAUUAGCCCCCGCAGAAACAAGGCGAGUAGCACGAAUUUCAAAGCGAACGAUCGAUCAACGAUGAUAAACAAAUGCCAAAAAGAACAAUUCAACCNCGAGUCGGAUAGACCUCAGAGAGUCAGGACGAGAUCCCUUGUUGGGUCGAUCAAGAAAGGGUCCGUCACAGACUGACAAUUCUUCUUUGGGUUUCAGUUCAUCUACACUACAAAAGGAUCCUUCUCUACAAGUGGUUUACUCUCAGCUCCAAUCUUGCUUCUUGUUCGAAGAGUUCUCCUCGAAAUGAAAGAAAAGAGUUGGGCUUCCCUUUCAUUCUUGGACAGUGGAUUCAGCUAAUGCUUUUGAGGGUGAGGCUCCAGAGUUGUUCGAGCCUGUCGCUCUCUUCUUUAACUUGAAGGGAACUUUGCUCUCUCAAUGGCGAGUUCUAUCUCGGUCUUUGAGAAACUCUCAUCUUGUUUUUGCUCUCUGAAUUAUGGAUAAUUCUCCUCUGGGUCGUCCAAUCAAAGAAUGAAAGGCGGGUGGUCCUUUACGUUAUUCACAUUUAAUUUGAUGGUCAGAGGCGAAUAGAAAGCUAAGCAGUGAUAAUUAAGAUCCCCCGACGGUACAAACUAAUCCAGGGCCUGAAGCCAGCGCUAACAUCAUCCGAGCUUGCACCUCGAAGAGAGAUGCUUGUGAGACCCAUAGAGAAAGAGGUUAUGAUAAUUCUUUACUAUUAAGUCACUUUCUUUGUCCCCAGGAAUCGAAGUUCCAAAAGCAGACGAACGGUUCUUCGGAGGAAACCUUACCAGACCACCACCCUCGUUGCUUGUGUGCUUGGACAUACAUAGCCGAACAGGGCCUACAGAAGUCAACCUUUCUAAAUGCACACGCUUUACUGUGCGGACGGAAAUCCCUCGAUUAAUGACAUGGCUAGAAUAAGACUGCCGGAGUGCUGAGGUUGUUCCCACCAUUGAAGUCAGAGUCUGGGUGUGGGCCUGCUUUCUAAUACUAAUAGGGUUCCGAAUGAUAAAGACAAAAAAAAAAAGUUUUUCGUUUCGUUGGUAGAACCCACUGGAAUAUGCAUUACGUGUCAACUGUCAAAGCACUGCAAUCUUCCCUUUUUCUAAUAGUUAUAGAAAGCCAUGCUAAAAAAAAAAAAAAGUAACUGACAGACCUGCUCCAAAGUCCAACCUCUACAUCAGUCUCCAUUCAUGCUAUAGUCCACAGGCCAGCCCUGCAUGCCUCUAUGCGUUGGCUGUAAAGAAGUAAGAAGACACUAAAUCCCAUAAUCAAAAACCCUAGACAUAAAAUUAGCAGACCGAAAAAAAGGUAUUCUUAGGCCGAUUUUUCUCCUCCAAGAAAUCCGACACUUCCAGCCCAUAUAUAUAUUCGCAAUUUAUUAUGUUUGUAGGGAUCUGUAUGAAAUUAAUCCUUUUAAUUAAGUUAGGUCCCAUUUGGUUUGAAGAUAAAGCGAAAAUAUGAGUUUAACAUUUAGAGGCUAUUCCUGUUAAAAUAUUUCGAUUAAAUCUACCUAUUCUUGUUUAUCCUGGAAUAGUUUGGAAUAAACUAUUCCACUUUUUUGGUAGAAUAAUAUUGUUAUAAUAUUUAAUUUCAAUCUUUAUAAAUAUAUUAUAAAUUAAAUUAAAGAAAAUUUUGUAGACAUGAUAUAUUAUUUAUUGAGUAGAGCUACUAUGCUUUUGAAAAAAUAAGAGAGUUGGUGCUUCCAAAUUGUUGGUCCUUGGAUCAAUCUCUUUGACUAUUUCUGAUCUUAAGAUUAAUAUUAUUACCCUUGGGGAUCACUCAAUCCUAAGAGGGAUUACUAUCAUUCCAACUCUAUAAUCUUGAUCCAGGGGCCAAAAAGUCGAAAGCACCAAAUCACUUAUGUUUUGAAAGCAUAGUAGUUCUACACUUAUUUAUUAUAAUAAAUUAUUUUUAUAAAAUAUUAAUUGUACUAUACUAAUAUAUAUUAUUUGCACAUAAAUAUUAUAAUAAAUUAUUUUGGGGCUUUUACUUAUUAUCCCGACAACUAUUCAAAAUUUUUAAAUUUAUUAUGAAAUUAUCAUAAUAUCCUUCUAAACUUCAAUUCUAGGAGUUUGGGGAUAUUUGAAUGAAUUUUUAGAAAUCAAUGAGGGCUAUUUUUAAAGUUUUAGAGUGCAUAUUAGAUAUUAUCUGAAUUAUAUUUUAUUAAAUUUAAGUUGAAAUAGAAUUUUAAAAAAGAAAUUAUUUUUAUAAUAAAAUCACCUUUAAUAAAUCAUAUUUUAUAAUAAAUUACUAUUGCACAAUGUGGUGGGUCUUAUCUUGGAAAAUUUUAGAUGGCUUGGAUUUAAAUCCCUCAGCUUUAUAUAUAUAUAUAUAUAUAUAUAUAUAGAGAGAGAGAGAGAGAGAGAGAGAGAGAGAGAGAGAGAGAGAGCGCGCGCGCGCGCUAGGCUCCUAUGCUUUCGAAAGUACGGAAGCCUCCGUACUUGUAAGUUGUUUUCAAUAAUGGGACAUCCAAUUCGGCGAUCGGUUCCGUUAGACAUGAUCUACUUUAUUAGAACUACUUAGAAAUCAAAUCUCAUAAUUUUUUGACUUCAUUUGUGUAGUAAACGAGUAGCCUCAAAAUGAACGGCUGAAAAUAAAAAUCUCAUAAAAACAGUGAUAAAGGACUCAAAUUUCAAAUCGGAAGUAUUGGCCUUGCUAUUGAUGUUAAGUAGAAAUUUCUAUUAAAUUUUUAUCUAAUUUGAAUACUUUUUCACCGUUGAACUUAAAAACGUGCCACAUCGGCCGUUAAAAGUCUUUUUUGAGACCUUUUAAUCGCUUGGUAAAUAAUGUCAAAAAAUUAUAAAAUUUAGUUUUUAAAUAGUUCCAAUAGGAUAGAUUAUACUUAAUGCAGCCGAUUGUCGAAUCGGAUUUUCUAUCAUAGAAAACAACUUACAAGCACGGAUGUCUCCGUACUUUCGAAAGUACAGAAGACUUACUAUAUAUAUAUAUAGAGAGGUAGUCUUCUAUACUAUCUAUAGUACCGGGGCUCCGGUACUAUAAUCCCGUUUUCAAUCUUAGAGUGUUCAAAUCAACGAUCCACACCGUUAAAACUGAUCUAGAGUAUUUAAAGUUUUUAGAAAUAAAAUUUUAUAUUUUUUCAACAUAGUUUACUUUAUGAUCAAACAAUUUUAAAAUUGUCAAUUUUCAAUGGCUACUAUGGCGAGUUUGGAGUUUAACGGUGUAGAAGAAUCUAAAUUUCUUCAAAUUUUGAUAGAAAAUACUUUNGGGAAAGCUGGAGACCGGCUUGAAAGCUUCUUCAAUCUUUUGCACAGGCAAAGAAGAAAAGAAGACAAUACAAUCGGCUUACCCAACUGUCCAAGCUGUUCGACCAUUCCCUUUUCUCAAAAAGGGGAAGUUUCAAUGUCAGAAUUGACUUCCUUCCCUUUUGUCAGCCACCAAAAAAAAGGCUCUCCCGGUCGGUUUUGAUAGAUUGUUAACCCCGCUUCUUAGGUUUGGUCGAGGAUGGGUUCUUCCGGCUGUUGUGGUUUGACUUCCUUUUUCACUUUUUUUUUUGCGGCUCCUUGCUUUGCUGGAAUAGAUCUCCAAGCGAAAAGGCAGAAAACUAGAUAUGGCACCCUAACUGGAUAGGCAGAAGCAAUAGAACUCCCAGUGAAUGUGAUGGUACUGUUCUCAAUCAUCUUCUAUCUCACUCUAAAAAGAUGAGAAAAGUCUAUUCCAGACUGACAUAAGACUUGAUUAUCAGAAGGUUUGUGAUUUGGUAUUAUUGGAGAGCUCUUAGAUGGUUGUCACCUAUCUUAUGUAUAAGGACUGGGUCAUCUUAUGAUGACUCUAUAAUCCUUGGUUGAAAGUUGAAUACAUAGUCUCUGGUUCCCCCAUGGGGCCUGAACAGCCCUGGGAUCGGGAGGAGUACCAUUUACCUGGAGGGGUAGCCAUUUUGACCAGUACCAGUUCGGAUCGAUCUACUUUAAGUGUUAAUUUGGAUUUUUCAUCUAGUCCAAUUUUAUCUGCCAUCUAAGUGAGCUCUCCAGACCUGCCAUCAGGGGGGGAAAGGGGCUAAUCUUCUUUCUUUGGGGUUUAGUUUAAGUUGGAGUGGAAAUUGCACAGAUUCACUCUCGUAUUAGAAAGCGGAGAUAGCCGCCAAGCAAGCCAAGCAGCGGGCAACAAAUAGUGCGGCGAGAGCUGCAAGCAUUUCUUAUUAAUCGAGUUGAGUUAGGUAGGCGGACCCCUUUUAUCUUACUCAGUUUGUGGGAAAACCAAAAACUUCUUAUUAAGAGAUAAUAGUAACCGAAGCCCCGACUGAGCUAAGGAGGGAGGGGUGAGGGCAUCUCUACUCUGAUUCACCUCCGGCAUUGGUUUGGAGCCGUUUUUCUUGUUUAGCCGGAGGUGAAUCCUUGCAUUUAAUCCCAGAGUUUAAAUACCGAUGGGGGUUCUAAAGAGGGUGACUUUUCACCCCCUUUUCUUUCCCAGCACUGCAUAAUCUCUAAUCUCCCUACAUGACCAAAGAAAUCCUUUUUUUCUUUACUUUGACUGUUACUCUGUUAUUCUAUAAGAUAAGAGCCGACUAACCAUCCUGAUUGAAUGUUUGAGUACUCGGAGUAUCUCGUAAGUAUGGAUACAAAGUAUCUUCAGUCCUUUCCACACAACCAGAUUGCCCAUAAAAUGUUGAUAAAGCGAGCAUUCCAGAGAUCUUUUAGCAGAGAAUCAAGUCUAGCUUUCCUCUAUUUUGCGUUGAAAUAAAGUAUAUCCGAAAAUGGGUGCUCUUGGAUAUCGAAGACUCAUGCAUGGGAGGGCUCUUAUGGUAGCCUAAAGGAAAUGUCCGGGUAAGGAAGAAUCCCUUGUCUUUCCUUCGAUAUCCGUAGGAGAAGAAAAAUCAAUCGAAGAGGAACGGGGGAAGAAUCCUAUGAUUGAUCUCGGAGACAGGUAUCUGUUCUAGGAAGGCGGGAGCACAAAAGAGGAGUGAUGCCAAGUUGGAGGACUUUCUUGAUAAAGUAAGGAAGACGCGGCCUAGCUACGCAUAGCCCUGUUCUAGGAUUCAAGACUGAUCUGCCUAGCUUGACGACUGACUGAACUUCCAGGACUGAGCCGAUUGACAGAACUGAGACUAUUAAGUGGAAUAAGACUGACAAGCGCAUUCUUUUGAGCUAUACAGAAAAGUGUCUCUUAAACAGGAUCCCUCUCCAAACCAAACAAGGAUGGGCCUUCUAAACUCCUCAAAGAAGAAAGAUGCUCCUCUUUGUUGGAAUAAUAGGAAAGUACUUCAAUUUUAUUAGCCCCCUUGUGUUAAGCAAAUGAAAACCUUCAUUUGCAUCCCCUUGCCCGAAGGGCAAUUCACCUUUGAAAGGAAAAAUAUGGCAUUUUUUUUCCGAAAAAAAAUAAAAGCCAUUUUUUCCUUUACUCUUAACAAGAAAAAUAGCAAUCGUGUCGGUACGAUGGGUUCCCCAUACCCACUAUUCGGAAAAAAGCUUGGCAUAGCAGCUCAAACCCCCUUGACUUAAGCUCGGGAAAUGGGAGUGAUAACCGGCCCUAGCCCUCUUGACUGAAGAUUGCAGGUUCGAAUCCUGUCCCCGCCUAAUCAUCUGAGGCCGUAGUCAGCGUCCAGAUGCUUGGGCGUCCAGUCACUCUGUGACUUGGCGUUAGUGGUUCAUCACCACUAUGCCUCUUUACUAGCCAUGUGUUGGUGAGAGGCCCCAUGGAGCGCACUGCAGAGUUCUCUUAAUCCUUAGGAGAUGGAUGAUGAAACAAGUAAACCAGACCUUACACGAGUGCUACCAAUCGUGGAAGAACGAGCCUCGCUGCACUCAGUCUCGAAGCCUGAUGUUCGGGAUGAACUGAACUCACUGAGUCGGGGCGGAGCGGAACAAUCACAAAAACUUUUUUGAUUAUGGAUCUACUACCAGAAAUUCAAUGCGUAAUCUCAGCAUUCAAUGUGUAUUCCUGAAUAAUCUAAUUUUUCAAUUAUUCAACCAUUUCAUUUUACCAAGUUCAACGUUAGCCAGNAUAUAAAGGUUAUAUAUCUAUCUAUCUAUCUAUCUAUCUAUCUAUCUAUUAUUAUUAUUAUUAUUAUUAUAUACUAAAACGCGUCGAGCACUCUAUAUGUGUAACACCCAAUAAUUCUAUAUCAGAUAGUUAUGGCUAGAUAUGGGGGUAUAUAAGCUUGACUAGGCUAUAUAUAAUAACUAGGCUUAAGCAUUUUGGGCCGGUGGUUUUGGGCUCAACGAGUUAUUAUUGCUGACAGGUCGGGUCGUUGCAAUUGGUAUCAGAGCGGAAUACCAGCCGGAAGUGUGAGAACUAAGUGCUAUGCGAGACAAAGUGCUAGACCAACUGAUUUGGUGAGAGCCACCUCUAGAAUCUCACAUCGACUAGUAAUUCUGGUAUGAUCUACAUCUUUGAUUUGGUUUGGACUCGACGAGAACAUCGAGAUCUAAAUAGGGGGAGUUUGUAACGCCCCGAUAGUCCCACAUUAGAUGGAAAAAUAAUUCUAAUUAGAAUAUAGCGGCCUCCACGCUAAUAAUAAUAAUUGGGCUUAAGCAUUUUGGGCUGAUGAUUUGGGCUCAACGAGUUAUUGUUGUUACUGGGCUAGGUCGUCACAUUUGGUAACAGAGCCGGUUCACUAGCCAGAAAUGUGUGGCGAGUCUCGGCUGAGUCAAGGUCUGAAAGAUAAGGUGAUAGGCGAUGCCGAAAUCUGAAUGACAAGAUAACCGGCUAUGCCAGGAUCUGGAUAACAAGGCUAACGAGAUGAGUCUCACAUCGCCUGGUGAUCUUGGACUGUGUGCGUGAUUGGACUGUCGAGGACGUCAGAGCUUUAACGGGGGGAGUCUGUCACACUCCAAUAAUCCCACAUCGGAUAGUUAUGACUAGAUAUGGGGGUAUAUAAGUUUGAGUAGGCUAGACAUAAUAACUGAGCUUAAACAUUUUAGGCCGGUGGUUUUGCCCUAGCGAGUUAUUAAUACGUGUUGACACGUGUCCUACCCACAAAUUCGGUGCACUCGGUCCACCAUAGAUCCUAUAAAAACUUUUAUUUUAUUUUAAUGUAUAUAUCUAAAUUUUAUAAUUUUUAAUAUAUAGAUAUUUAUACUAUAAAGUAAAUUUAAUUAAUUAAAUUUUAUUUUUACAUUUAAAUUUACUGGUGUGCAUAUGCAAUGUAAGGCCCCGUUUGGAUACCUCUAAAAACGUAGCAUAGUUAAACUAUGCUACGCCGGUAGGAAAAUAAUCCUAUGAAGCGUUUGGAAGAAAAAAAAAUGACGUAAUUUUUGGAGUAUAGUUAUACUAUACUCCAAAAAAUNNNNNNNNNNNNNNNNNNNNNNNNNUUCAAAUUUCAAAUUUCAAAUUUCAAAAAGUUCAAAUUUCAAAUUUUAAUUUAAUUUUUAAUUUUUAAUUUUCAAUCUUCAAAAUUUAAAUUUAAACUUAAAUUUUAAAUUUUAAAUUUAUAAAUAUGUAAAUUUAUAAAUUAUUAAAUUUGAAAUUUAAAAUUUUAAUUAUAGAUUUUUUAAAUUUCAAAAUUUAAAGUUUAAAUGGUAUACUUUAAGUUUUAAAAUUUAAAGUUUCAAAUUUCAAAUUUUAAAUUUCAAAUUCCAAAUUUCAAAUUUCAAAUUUAAAACAUAAAAUCUAAUUUAAUUUUUAAAUUUUAAAAUUUAAAUUUAAAUUUUAUAUUUUGAAUUUUGAAUUUUAAUUUUUAAAAUUUUAUUUUUAAAUUUUGAAUUUUGAAUUUUGAAUUUUGAAUUUUAAAAUUUUAGAAAUUUAAUUGUUAUAAAUCCAGUGGAAUUGUAUGAUAUGUAUCCAAACAGCUUAAAAAUAAAGCUGUGGAAUUUUUUUGUAGUUACAGGAUUCCGUAUUUCAUUUAGACCAAAACCAUGGAAUAAAAAUUCCAUGGAGUUUUUUAACUAUGCAUCCAAACAGGGCCUAAAUAUACAUCAAGUGCAGGCAAUAAUUUCAAAUAGAGAGGAGCACUGUUUGUGGACAUGUGUCUAUUUUAUUGGUGCACCUGGUGCAUUAUGGACCCAAUAAGAAAUCCAUACAAAUAUAUAAUUUGAUGGUUUUUGAGAGUUUACGUGCCGGAGUCUCCUUAAUUUUACCCCUCUGUUAAGCCUCUCUCUUUCCUAACUAUAUCUUUGCCUUUUCACCUCUUCAAGAAGCCUUUUCACCUUUCCAAGAUGUAAUAAUUCUUCUCACCUUUCCAAGAGAUCUUUUCAUCUUUCCAAAGAUAAUAAUUCUUCUCUCAUUCCCAAUGAGCCUUUUUACCUUCCCAAGAAACUUUUUUAUCUUCCCAAGAUGUAAUAAUUCUUAUCACUUUCCCAAGAGGCCUUUUCACCUUUCUAAAGGUAAUAUUUCUUCUCACCUUUCCAAGAAGCCUUUUUACCUUCCCAAGAAACUUCUUUACCUUCCCAAAAGAUAAUAAUUGUUCUCUUUGUAUAACUCUCUCUUAUGCAAUGACAUUCUACAUCUUCUUAUAGGCAAUAAUCCUAUACCACACACAAUAAUUACUGAGUUUUUGGAGUUUGGAGAAAGCCAUUUCAAAAGCUUUGCUCAAGUUCUCCUUCUCCUUCUCCUUAAGUUAGCUGUCGUGCUCCUUCCAGCUCCGAUCGAUUCAAAGUGUUGGUCAUGGCUGGCCCAAUCUACAACCACAGCAUUGCGAUCCCGUCCUACGGUCGAUUUAUUUUUUUUAAAUUAAUAUUUUUCCACAUAUUUCACUUGGUUUUUGUUUCCAGUUCAUGGCAAAAUGUCCAACAAAAAUGCUUCAGAAUAUUAUCCCUUUUUUAUAAACUAUAUUUUUUAUUUAAACAGUUAAUUAUUUUCUAGAUGUAUAAAUAUCUAAUUGUUAGUAUAUUUAUUUUAUAUUGAUUUGUAUAAAAAAAGAUUUAUGGAGGAUAAGAGAUGAACUACCUCAUACUUACCUUUGCAUUUAUUAUCCAAAUGUUGAUGAAAUGCGAAUUUUUAUUUGACUGAGAGAUACUUUCCGCUAUAAUAUUUAACUAUCAUUUAUUUAACUACCAUAUAAUUGAUUACUAAUGUGUAGUUUAUGCAAAAUUUUCAAUAAAAUAUAGUUAUUUAAUUUUAUAACGAAAUUUUUUUUUUAGUGUAAACUUUUAAUAUUGAAUUGAUAAAUGUCAUGAUAUUGAGAAGAACAAUAUUAAUAUUUUUUCUAAAUGGAACACACACUAAAUUUUUAAUUUUUAAUUUUUAAUAAUUAUAUAUUAAUUAAUUAAAAUUUUAUUUAUCCGCAGCAAAGCGCGGUUUCUAUACUAGUUAUAAUUUUAUUUUAGUGAAUAUAUUUAAAAUUUAUAAAUAUUAACAUAUAGAUAUUUUAAAUACUAUAAAAUAAAUUUAAUUAAUUAAAUUUUAGUUUUGACAUCUCUAUCGUACAAAUUUACUGGUGUGUAUGAGAUGUAUAUGUACAGUAGGUGCAGUCAACAGUUCCAUUAAAGGCCAAGUGUCCAUUGUGGGGCACUCUCCAUUGUGGAGCAGUCAACAGUUCCAUCCAUUAAUUCAGUGUACCUAGUGCACCAUAGAUCCUAUAAAAAUUUUAUUUUAUUUUAAUGUAUGUGUCUAAAUUUUAUACUUUUUAAUAUAUAAACAUUCAAAAUACUAUAAAAUAAAUUUAAUUAAUUUCAUUUUUGACAUUUUUAUCAUAUAAAUUUGCUAGUUUGUAUGAAAUGUACACAUACACCAGGUGCAAGCAAUAAUUUUCAAUAGAUAGGAGUAUGGUUUUGUGGACAUCUGUCCAUUCCAAUUGGUGCACUCGGUAAACUAUGGACCCAAUAAAAAUAUAAUUUUAUUUUAGUAAAAUAUCAAAAAAUUAUAAAUAUUAACACAUAGACAUUUUAAAUAUUAUAAAAUAAAUUGAAUUAAUUAAAAUUUUGUUUUGGCAUUUUUAUUGUACAAAUUUACUAGUAUAUAUGAGAUGUAUAUGCAUAUUAAGUGCAAUCAAUGAGUUCGACUAACAACUACUUUGAAUUAGGCUCGUCAACUAUUUUAAUUUGAUUAAUUAAUAUUGUGACACCCCAAUAAUCUCACAUCGGAUAGUUAUGGCUAGAUGUGUGGGUAUAUAAGCUUGAUUAGGCUAGACAUAAUAAUCGGGUUUAAGCAUUUUGGGCCAGUGGUUAGGCCCAACGAGUUAUUAUUGUUAGCGGGUCAAGUCGUUACAUUUGGUAUUUAGAGCCAGUUCACCCGCCGGAAGUGUGAAAUGAGUCUUGACUGAGCCAGGGUCGGACAAGUCUCUGUGACACCCCAAUAGUCCUAUCGGAUGGGAAUAUAAUUGCCAUUGGGUUUAGUAGUCCCAACGAGUUCACCAGCCCGAAGUGUGAGAUGGGGGAGUCUGUGACACCCCAAUAGUCCCACAUCGAGUAGUUAUGGCUAGAUGUGUGGUUUGAGUCCAAUAAGUUAUUAUUGCUAGCGGGGUCGGGUCGUUACAGUCUCAUAUCAUUUGGUGAUCUUCGACUGUGUAUGUGUUUAGGGCUGACGAGGACGUCGGGGCUUAAACGGGGGGAGUAUAUGACACCCUAAUAAUCCAACAUCGGAUAGUUAUGGCUAAAUGUGGGGGUAUAUAAGCUUGACUAGGCGAGACAUAAUAACUGCAUUUAAGCAUUUUGUGCCAGUGAUUAGGCCCAACGAGUUAUUAUUGCUAGCAGGUUGGGUCGUUACAAAUAUCUUAUCAACUUUUAAUUGUUUCGAUUUGAGCUAUUUUAUUUUUUCUAAAUUGGUCGGAAGAUUUGCUAGAUUUAACAGUUUCAUUGCCUACCAACCAUUAAACCAAUUGGAGUACUCCUCCACUUUCUGUUAAUUAUCUAUUGUAUCUCAAAAUUUUAGAUUAUUAUAUCUAAUUUCUCUAACAUUCGUGCUUAAUUUUGCUAAAGCUGGGAUUUCUUAUAAAAUUAUGUAUAUAUUCAUAAAUUCUAGAAAAAUAUCAUAAAAUCAGUCAAUUAAAAACUACAAAUCAAGUAACUAUUUUUUAUUUUAUCAUAGUAUUUUCAAUUCUAGAUAUUGUUUGUAUGGGUUGAAAAAAAUUAGUAGAUUAGAGUUAGAAUAAUAAAAAAUAAAAAAAUACAAAAAGAAGAUAUGUAUCUUUUGGACAAACUAGCCUAAAAAAUAAGCAUAUUACGAACCUUCCUUUUUUGUUUUAGAAAAUUUUGAAAGUUUACGGAAUUCUAAAGAUCUAAAUAAAAACUAUCAAAUAUCUAGGAACAAAAUCCAUAAUAAAAUUUUAUAUUUUAGAAUUAAAUAUUAAUAUAAAUAUGUAUCUAAUAUAUAUUUAAUCAUAGUAUGAAUGAGGCUACUAUAUUAUUUAUACUAUAGUUUCGUUUUCGAUCUUAGAGUGUUCAAAUCAACGAUCCACAUCGUCAAAUAUGAUCUAGAAUAUAUGAAGCUCUUAGAAAUAAAAUUUUAAUUUUUUCAACAUCGUUUCGUUAGUAAGUAAAUUAUGUCAAAAUGAAGGCCAAUUUGCAUAAAAAAUCCACUAGUUUUGUGCUUUUGCAAAAAUGGUCCACUUUUUUCGAUUUGUAGAUUCGGACUGGAUUUUCAGAAAACUGACCAAAAUACCCUUAUUACUUUUUCUCUCUCAUCUUUCUCUCUCCUUUUUUUUUUCUCUCGUUCAUUUUUUUUCUCUCGCCGAAGAGGCACCGAAGGCAGAGGCGGAAGCGGAAACGGCCCGUCUCGCCUCUCACCCUUAUGCUCUCGCCCUCGCCCUCGCCUGCGCACUCCCCACCUUCCUCGCCUCCGACCCCGCCGAGGCCGCACCGCGACUCUUUUUUUUUUUUCCUCUCCGACUCUCCUCCACCGUCUUCGACGAUGACGCCUCUCUCGUCCUUCCCCGCCCUUCUUGUCCUCUACCUCUCCCUCCUUCUCUGCCGCCUCUGACGAUGGCGCAUCUUCGCCGACGCCGACACCGUGGAGGUCGUUGCGGCGCUGCAGCCUCGGAGCGGGGGGUCCUUAACGACGUCGUCGCCGGCGCCGUGGCCGUUGGCAGAGGGAUGACAAAAACAAAUUAUAGAAGAAGCAAGAAAAAAAAAUAAAGAUAAAAAAUUAUAGAAAAAGAAAUAUGAAUAUAAAAUUGCACAUUUAAAAUAAAUUGCAUUGUUUUAAAAGAACGUUGCACUAUUAUAGAUAUAAGUUGCACUACUUAAGAUGUAAUAUGCAGCUUUAAGAUAAAAAUUACACUCUUUAAAUAAAAAUUACAUUCUUUGAAAGAUAUUUACACUGUCUCUUCUCUUAUUUCACUCUUUUAGAUGUAAACUGCAUCCAUUAAGAUAAAAGUUAUACUUUUUGAGAGAUAUUUAUACUGUUUCUCGUCUUAUUGCACUCUUUGAGAUGUAAACUGCACCCCUUUAAAAGAUAUUUAUACUGUUUCUUCUUUUGUUGCACUGUUUUUUCUCUUGUUGCAUUAUUUCUCCUCUUGUUAUACUAUUUUUCCUCUUAAACUGCACCUUUUAAAAAAAAUAGUGUAAUAAGAGAAGAAAUAGUGCAACAAGAGAAAACACAGUACCACAAGAGGAGAAACAGUAUAAAUAUCUCUUAAAGGGGUGUAGUUUAUAUCUCAAAGAGUGUAAGAAGAGAAAAAAUAGUGUAAAUAUCUCUCAAAGAGUGCAACUUUCGUUUAAAGAGUGCAACUUUUAUUUUAAUGGAUGCAGUUUACAUAUGAAAGAGUGCAAUAAGAGGAGAAACAGUAUAAAUAUCUCCCAAAGAGUGCAAUUUUUGUUUAAAGAGUGUAAUUUUUAUCUUAAAUCUGCAGUUUAUAUCUUAAGUAGUGCAACAUAUGCCCGUAAUAGUACAACAUUCUUUUAACGGUGCAAUUUUAUUUUUCUCUUUCUUUUUCUAUAAUUUUUUAUCUUUAUUUUUUUUCUUGCUUCUUCUAUAAUUUUUUUUUUGUCACCUCUCUCUGCCAACGGCCACGGCGCCAGUGACGAUGCCACUAAGGACUCCCCGCUCCGAGGCUGCAGCGCCGCAGCGACCUCCACGGUGUCGGCAUUAGCGUCAGCAUCGGCAAAGAUGCGUCGUCGUCGGAGAUAGCAGUGGAGGAGGGAGAGGGAGAGGGAGAGGACGAGAAGGGCGGGGAAGGGCGAGAGAGGCGUCGUCGGAGACGGUGGAGGAGAGUCGGAGAGGGCGCGGCCUCGGCGGGGUCGGAGGCGAGGAAUGUAACAUAUCGAAUCUCCAGGUUGCAAUGCUAACUUUGAUCUGAUUGAUCAAAGUGAGGCUUGAGUUGGUUGUGUGGCGUCCCUGAGUAAUUCUGGAGGUGUGGGAAUGGUUAAUGAUGGGUUUCGGAGGUAUUUAGAUGUCUUCGGUGCUAAUUGGGCGCGAAAAUAGACCUCAGAACACUUCUAGUGUUAUAUUGCAGAUUUGGCACUGAGUAUCGGUACCAAGCCAGGGGAGUACCGGUACCCAGCAGUGUACAGAUUGGGCAGCUCUCAGGUUUGGGUUGCUGCUAGUUUGGUACCGGUACUCCCGCCCGAGUACCGGUACUCAGCCUAGAAAGGACUGAUUUGUAAUAGUUAAUAAGGGUUGUUGUAAGGGGUUUAAUUGCAUUUGUCUGGGUUUGUAUAAAACCCCAUCUCCCACACUUGUUCGUCCCAGACCGAAGGAAGCAAUUCCUUCCUCCUAUUCGUUUCCUUUUUCUUCUCUCUAGCAACCCUAAAGCAAUAGGAUUUGGAGGAGAAUUAAAAGGGGAAAUUAAAUAGAAAAUUGGUAGAUUUAUAGAAGAUGAAGCUCUAGCACAUGGAGAGCUUGAGUAGCUUGGAGUCAAGGUAAGUUUUCUUGCUCCUCUUGGUUAGGGUUUGUUGUAAACUCCCUAAAUAGCUUGGUUUUGGGAUUCUUAGGGUUUGGAGGGUUGAAUUAUUCCAUGAUUUCCUAAGAGAAUUGAGUAUCAUGUUGUUAUGUGGAACCUAAGCAUGAAAAUGGGAUUUUGUAGGAUUGGAGAUCUAGAUUGGAAUUGAUCUCAUGUAAUCCUAAUUGAAGGUAAAACCGACGUGUUGGGAGACUCGGAUCGAAGUUCUGACGAGUCUACAUCGAGUUAUUGAGGAAAAACCUUAUUUCGGCUUCGUUUGUUGCGGAGCGAGCGGAGUGAUCGUUCAUAAAUUGCGGGAGGUGGUUUUCUCGCAUUCCGGCAUCACUUUGAGGUAGGUGGUGCUAUCCGAAGUCAUCGAAUGACCUAUUAUGUCUAUGUUACUUUUAUUGAGCAUACAUGUAUAUAUAGAGAUGAUAUUCAUGCAUUAUAGGGUUGAGAUUGUUAUGUGGUUAAAUAUGAUAUGUGGUCUAAUUGUAUGCUUUGUAAGCAAAAAUACAUGUGGACAAUGGAUAGUAAACAUAGAACCCUAUAGUUGUACGAACAAAUAUUGACUAUGGCAAUAGUUAACAAUUGACAUUGUGAAUAGACGGUAUGAGUGGCACCAAGUUGUGUGAAUGGUAAACAAGGAAAACAAACUUGUGACAUAGUGACAUUAUCAUAAGAUAAAUUGAUUAGCAUCUAGUGUUUACAGGCUAAACAUAGAAUUGUGGCAUUAUAUUCUCUAAUUGAGGAUUGGAUCGUACUCACAAGUAGUCUAAUGCUCGAGGUAGGUCGCUCCACUUUGGGUGGUGAGCUCCGGAAUUGUCAUCAAUUGGGUUGGUAGUGGAAUUCUCCCAAGUAGACGGUUCUGUCGGGUUGUAGUGGAAUCCUCCCCGACAAAAAGGAUUUGGUUGGUGAGUUGUAGUUAACCAAAUGGUUAACCAAGUUAAUUGUGUAAUGGUAAUCAUGGCAUGCAUGCAUAAACUUCAUGAGAAUAUCUAAUGUUUUCCUUCAGCUUUGGUACAUGUAUUGUAGUUGUUAUAGUUUGGUUAUUAUCUAUUUCUUCUUGCCUACAUAUGCCUGAGUAGACCUAGUGGGUGAAUCGGCAACGUCGGCAGCCGAACCCACUGAAAACUUUCAGUAGUUCUCAACCCAGUAACCAUGCAGGUCCUAGCGUGAGCGGGGCGAUUGUGGAUCGCGGCCUGGAUAUCGCGAACUAGCUAGCGGACCUCCAUUGAGUAUAGACACAUACCUUGUACAUUUCAUCUAUUGUUGUUGAUGAAAGAAAAAAUGUAAGGAUAAUUCAUUUCAGAGUUGAUUAUUGUACAUAUUGGAAGAAUGUAUGUAAACAAAAUUAUGAGCUUUGUUUUUGAUUUAAAGUAAUCAAGAUACAUAUAUGGAUGUAAUAAUUAGUUUACUUUCACUUGCUCGUGUUGCUUGCCCUCGUGCAAUUAAGCCAUGUGUAUUGAAAAUUUUUCUGGACAUUUUCUUAUACAUGUUUGGUUGUUGUAGAGCCUUGGGUGAACAGAGGAGGUUCUGUUCGUUCGGCGUCUGUGUACGUACCCAAACAGGCCAAAUUGACGGUCACAGGGCAUGACAAGGAAGGUGAGGGGUGUGCGGGCGAGGGCAAGAGCGAGGGUGAGGGCGAGAGCAUGAGGAUGAGAGGCGAGGCGGGCCGUUUCCACCUCCACCUCCACUGCUUUCUUCGGCGAGAGAAAAAAAAAUAAACGAGAGAAAAGAAGAGGAGAGAGAAAGAGGUGAGAGAAAAAAUAAUAAAAGUAUUUUAGUUGGUUUGUUGAAAAUUCGGACCGAAUCUGCAAAAUUAAAAAAGGUGGCCCAGUUUUGCAAAAGCUCAAAAUUUAUGAAUUUUUUAUACAAAUUGGCCCAAAAUGAAUGGUGAAAAUUGAACAAUCUUUAAAAUUUGAGAAUAGAACUUUUGAAUUUAAGAUCAAGGAUGCUGACUUUGAUUUAGAUAGUUUAAAGUAUUUUCUAUCAAAAUUUGAAUAAAUUUAGAUUCUUCUACAUCGUUAGAUUACAAAUUCGCUAUAGUUGCCAUUGAAAAUUAAUAAGUUUGAAAUAUAAAAUUCUAUUUCUAAAAAUUUUAAAUAUCAUAGAUCAGUUUUAACGGUGUGAAUUGUUGAUUUGAACACCCUAAGAUUGAAAACGACACUAUAGUAUCGCAGUCUCGAUAAUAUAGAUAGUAUAGAAGCCUAGCUCAUAAUAAUAUAUACUAUAUUUUAUAAAUAUAAUUAAGAACAUAUCCAUCCUACUUGCAACAAAGUACGGAUGCAUUGCUAGUUAGUACUAUAUAGGAAUGACAAUUUUUCUACGAACUCGGAUCCCUAAAAGAUUCGCCCCAAAUUAGGCAAAAAUUGAAAUGAUUUUAUUCCUGUGGGGAUGGGUGGAAUAUACUUGUCACGCCCCGGGACCGGCGGAGGCCCUCCCGGUAGCGUGCCCAGACCCGCCAUAUGUCUACACAUAUAAGGCGUCUACAAUAAAAGCGGAAGAAAAGCAAGAAAUAGAACAAAUAAAAGGGAAAUAACCAGCAACUAAUGAUAUCAGAGCAAAUAUAAUUCUAACAUCUACACCAAAGUAAAGAGAUAAGGGUAGACAACAAAGGAAAUCAUAAGCAGUACAAUAUCUGUCUCAAAAGUACAAAAAUGGUGGUCUCUAAUACACUGGUAAAACUCUCAACCUCUCGCAAAAUAAAACACAACGAGAGGUAGACCACCUAGCGAAUCGUCCUCGAGGGAAGCUAGCUCGAAGCAACCCCCUUCCCGCGGUCCCUGGCCUCGCCCUGAGUGGAAGGCUCUGAAAAACAUCGAGAAAAAGAGGGCGUGAGAACUAUAAUUUAUAGUUCCCAGUGGGCAAUUACUGACCUCAGCUCUUGCUCCACUAGGCCCCAAAAACNACAUCGAGAAAAAGAGGGCGUGAGAACUAUAAUUUAUAGUUCCCAGUGGGCAAUUACUGACCUCAGCUCAAUGCACCACUAGGCCCCAAAAGAAAAGGGUAAGUACUAAAGCAGUAAUAAGAGUAAUAGCAACAAUAAUACGAAAGCAUAAAUGAAGUGCUGAACCGCUAUAUCUCAAGUAACAUGAUGUCCAAUGCAUGAAGUAUAAGCCCUAACCAAGCAACCGCGUGUGCUAUGAUGCAACAAUGAAAUCGGUAAGUAUGCUAUAUGCACCAAAGCUAUAUCAUGAGCAUGUCAAAGUAAUCCAACUACUAAACCUAUCUAGUAGUGAUUGUUCAUAUUCAACACCAUGUCGAUUUCCAUUUCCAACUAAGGACCUACCAAGGGUAGUCCAGCUUGUGCCGCCUAAGUGCCUGUGGUAGCCCGACAUUCCUACUCUUGGAAUGUGUCUGUCCCACUCGACCCCGUAGGCUUCUCAAUACCGCACGAGCGAACGUAGUCGCGUAGGCUAACUCCGGAGUGCCGGCUUGUAGGGAGCGACCCUCACAAGCAUGUGCGAAUGAGCACAAAUGGCAAGCAAGCGUAGUCCAAGUCUCAAAUAUCCAAUCCUCAUGUCUCUAACAUGGUAUCAUAACUAGCAUCCCGAAGAUCUAGUCUAAGUCACAAUGUGAGGUUUUAGCAUUUGCCACGCCUAGUGCCCCUUGAUGACACUUAGGCAAUUUGGUGUCCAACUUGUAACCCAAGUUCCUCGAUGGCCCUACUCACUAGGUUCACACAUGUCCCGAGCUCAAUGCCGCUUGAUGACAUUAGCUCUCUAGUUCACAGUACAUUCUAGUUCAAUACCUCUACUCAUGGCAAUUUAUGUCAUUUUCAUGUCCCAGUCGAAAACUUAUGUUAACCCCGUAAUGAAUGACAUAGUCAUUUACUCUCAGUACCAAAGAAAUUCAACGCUCAUAUCAGACAUGCUAAAUCAACCAAGAUCUCCAAGCACUCUCUACUAUCAUAAGAGGUCCCAAAAAUCAUCAUAUAUAAACUUAUGCAUUUAGCAUUUCUAAAAUCAUAAUACAAUGUAUUUUGCAUGAUCAUGUAUAAUAAAUAUGUACAACCACUUAAUCACCAAUAUCGAGGAUUUCUCAAUUAUAUAGGCUAUCGGUCUAAACUCACGACGUCAACGAAGCUUGUCGUAUUGCUCACGGAGGUUUCUACAAUUCUAGCACCCUAUGGGACAUCAAAAGAGGUUCAUCCAAACGAAACGUGAAGAGCCAAAGCUCAACUUAAAGCAUCUAGCAAAGGGCAAAACUUACCUCAAAGAACGAAGUCUCUUCCAUGCCAAAAGAGAGCCUAGAACCCUCUCAUCGUAACUAGAGGAAGGUUUAAUCCAACCAAUGAGCUUCAAAAGCCCUAAAACGAACAAUGCCCAAAAUAAAAAACACUAAAACACCAAUUCUAGGGUAUUCAUCUCAAUGAACCGCUUAAAAUCUAAAACUAGAGGAGGAAGAUCUUCGCCACUUACUCCUUGAAGCCUCAAAGACCAGCUCAAAGUCCUCACAACUCCAAGUAUCUUCCUCAAUCAAACUCCAAAUCCAGUUUCAGCUCCAACAAUGGUGGAAAAUAGCUCCAAAGGGAAAAACGAGAGGAAAAUCCAUCAAAACCAUUGCAAAAUGGGGAUCAAAUCAAAGACUGAUGAGUGUGGGAAGCUCCUUACCUGGUUCUCCCACUAUUUCUCAGCCGGAAAAGCCUGGGCUGUGGUGCUGAUAUUAAAGCCACAAUCGCACAUAUAAGCCCCUGCGAGUCUCAAAGUGCGAAACGCCGCCUGACCGGUACACGGGCCUUGUACCGGCUACAAGGUCCCGAGAAUCCACAACCGGGCUCGGGUUACGCCUGUUCUGCGGCACUGUACCGGUACAGGCCCGAUGGCUGUACCGGUACAACCAUCAACAUUGUACCGGUACAAGACCAUCCUUGUACCGGUACAAGACCUGCGAAAAUGCAAACCCGAGGCUCGGGUUUGCGAGCUCGCGGCUCUGUACCGGUACAAGCACAGCCUUGUACCGGUACAAGCCCGCCAGACAGCCAAUCCGAGAGCUGACCAAAAUCCAAAUUUUUAGAUUUUGGUGCAAGGCUUUGUACCACACUCCUCGGGACACGUGCUAUAGGUCGGAACACAGUCAACGACCUACCAGAAAAUCUGGAAAAACUCUGGACACUGUCCAAACACUCGAACCUCGCAAUUUGCAAAGGUCCAGUGCGUCACAAUACUAGACCUUUGCAAAAUGACAAGAUUGUAGUAUAAGAUGAUGAUUGACACUUCUAUAGAGUGUUGGAUUAAGUUGGUGUUGUUUUGACACAAAAUGAAUGUAGCAACGAACUGAGAAAGUGAAAAUCAGCUUAAGUAGUGUUUCUAUGCAUUUUUCGAUACCCCAAAGUUAUUUAGGGCGCCUAAAAGUAGUGAGUGAGGUAAAGUCAUUCCAAGCUGUAGUUUCAAAUGCUCAGUUGCGUUGUUGUGGAGUCUAAAUGAUUUGGGUGGAGUUUUCGGUUGCUCUAUUUCAUCGUAGCUGAGCCCGAAAGAGGAAGUCGCUAGUUAUGUACGAAUUUGAGUGCCUGAAUGUACUGUGGACGUGUGAAAGACAUGAUAGAGAUAACUGAAUUUCAACGGGAGCGAUGAACAGGUGAGUCAUCUCAUCGAUUAAACGAGGAUUCAGGUGUAGGGUCUGGGUGCCUAAAAGAUUUCGGGCGGCUACAAUAUGUUUAGAGAACCCAUUACAACUACGCACAUGAAUGUCCACGACCAUGAGGUUUUGAAUGCCGAAGGUUGGUUUUGGGUGUUGAAACUUUAUAAGAAACUAAGAUCUUACCUUCUGCCAUGAUUUCGAUUUCAAUACCCGGAUUAUAGAUGACGGUCCUAGCUCGUGGUUCGUCCUCGUUCGUGAUAUGCAAGAAAGCAGGACAUUUCGAGUCUAAUUCCCUUAUCCCUGGAGAUGGAGCCGUCACAAGAAAUUGGAUUAUGAUUAGACCGAGACUCCCAUAUAUUGCAUAUUUAUAUAUAACUUAAUGUAAAAAUGUUAAAUUACGUCCGUCCAUCAAGGACGUGUCCAAAUACAUACUAACCGUUAGAUCUUCCGUAUCUUUAUAAAUCGACUUAAAUAGAUCGAUUGUAUCUUUAUAAAUCGCCUUGAAUAAAUUGCGUUGGCCACAUCCAACACUGGGCGCUUGAAUCUCGACUCUUUUGCACUGGUGGCUGAUUUAUGAGGUUUUAAGGAUUUUUUUUUAAACGUGACUCAUCUAUAAAUAGUCUAGGGGUACAUACUUUUGCUUUUUUUUCUCACUUUCUACUCCCUGAGACAUUGAGCUUCUUCUUCUUAUUCCUUCUUCCUCCUUGGUGAUUGAGUAGGACCACCAUUGGAGGUAAGCUAGAAGGUGACCUCCCUUCUUUGUUGGAGUUUUGGUAGUGAUAUGAGGCCUAUGUAGUUGGAGUAGUGUCACACCCCGAGACCGCUAAUUGGACCUGCUCAGGCACGUGCAACAGACCCACUGAACAAGCAAAGCUUCCCUACCCAUAUGAGGCGGAAUCAUAUACCAACCCGUACAUUCAUAUACGAUAGAGAUAUAUGCGAUGUCAAAAUACAACUACUAUUUUAAACCAUUCAACUUUAACAAUUUUAAAGUUUACAACUACUACAACUAUUUCACAAAAACUAAACUAUAUCGGAGUUUACAUAUUUUGAUCUUUACAAUGAUUGGUUAUCCCAAAAUAAAAGGUAUAUUUAGACUUCUUUCUAGGUCUACUACUCCGUGACACCCUUGCCGUGGCCACACGCCUCACUGCGAUUGCGGGCUCUGAAAAAAAAAGUAAAUAAUAAAGGAGUCAGAACUACAGUUAAUUUUUAAUAAGUACAACCACCUUAACUGGCGCUCUACACUCACUCCGUCUGAAGAAGACAUUGGUAGACAAUUAAUGAAAACAACAAAUAUUUCUACUAAGGAAGUGUGAUAACUUUAGUUACAACUACAAUACCUCGAUAUAUACAAGAUACCACUAUGUUACCGGUUGCAUGUUUACCCAAUUAUCUCAUGUCUCUAACCAUCUAUUUGAUUGGUCCCAUUACACAUACACAUCUUAUGGUGAGCCGAGGAUAUUGUGCUACUCUCCAAUUGGUACACACAUCUCGUGGAAAGCCGAGGGAGAUAGUGCAACUCUCCAAUUGGUACAUACUCACACGUCAUAAAGAGCCAAGGGAUAUUGUACUACUCUCCAAUUUGUACAUAGACACACCUCAUGGAGAGCCUAGGGAGAUUGUACUAUUGUUCAAUUAGUAGGCACGUGGAGUCGAGGGCGAUCGUCUCUCUGAGUACCACAAGUGGAGUCGAGAGGAUCGAUACUUUGAUGCACAGUGGGAGUCGAGGGUGUAGAUUGACCUACCCAAUACAUACGAGGGAGUCGAGGGUGAUCGGCACUCCCUAUUGACCCUUCUGGAAGCACAACAAAACUCUUUUUUAUACCCUAAGUUUAAAUGACUUUUAUAGGGUUAACAACUAUGGCCAAUACACAUCAAUUAUUCUCUUGUUUACAUUUAAUUUAGAGUUCACAUCUCUCCAUGUCACCUUAAUCUAGUUUACAUUUUAUAUCCUAUUUUUAAUUUAUUUAUUUAUUCUUUUUAUAUAUUUAUUUUCAUGCUCGAGUCGUAAGUAUAACAGUUGACCAAUUUGAUAAAACUAAAGGUAUGUGUAAGUUUAUUAUUUUCUCAUUUAUAUAUUUUUUUUAUUUUCUCAGAUAACUUUAUUUUGCAAUUUCACUCUAAUUUUUCUAUAAAGUAUUUUUUAAAAAAAUUUUAUCAUUAUUUUUACUUUUAAUUCAUCUUAAAUUCAUAAAAGAAUGCAAUUUGAAAAUACUUCUGUUUCAUGAUUUCUUUUUUUUGAAGUUAUUGUCACUUAACAAACUUGAAAAAGUAAUAAAAAUAGUUUUAUAAUUUUAAUAGGCAAAAAAAUAUAUUAGUCUUAUAGAUUCUUAUAUAAAUUAACAGUAUCUAUCCAUAUAUUAAAUCGUGGGUUCCUCCCGAAGCCUCCCCGUGUUUGGCGGGAGGCUUCAGUGGGACCCUUUUUUUUUUCCCCGGCUCUCUCUCUCUCUCUUUCCCCACCCACUCCCCGGCUCCCUCUCUCUCUCUCUCUCGCGCGUGCGCGCCGGGGGCGGGUCACGCGCACCNNNNNNNNNNNNNNNNNNNNNNNNNNNNNNNNNNNNNNNNNNNNNNNNNNNNNNNNNNNNNNNNNNNNNNNNNNNNNNNNNNNNNNNNNNNNNNNNNNNNNNNNNNNNNNNNNNNNNNNNNNNNNNNNNNNNNNNNNNNNNNNNNNNNNNNNNNNNNNNNNNNNNNNNNNNNNNNNNNNNNNNNNNNNNNNNNNNNNNNNNNNNNNNNNNNNNNNNNNNNNNNNNNNNNNNNNNNNNNNNNNNNNNNNNNNNNNNNNNNNNNNNNNNNNNNNNNNNNNNNNNNNNNNNNNNNNNNNNNNNNNNNNNNNNNNNNNNNNNNNNNNNNNNNNNNNNNNNNNNNNNNNNNNNNNNNNNNNNNNNNNNNNNNNNNNNNNNNNNNNNNNNNNNNNNNNNNNNNNNNNNNNNNNNNNNNNNNNNNNNNNNNNNNNNNNNNNNNNNNNNNNNNNNNNNNNNNNNNNNNNNNNNNNNNNNNNNNNNNNNNNNNNNNNNNNNNNNNNNNNNNNNNNNNNNNNNNNNNNNNNNNNNNNNNNNNNNNNNNNNNNNNNNNNNNNNNNNNNNNNNNNNNNNNNNNNNNNNNNNNNNNNNNNNNNNNNNNNNNNNNNNNNNNNNNNNNNNNNNNNNNNNNNNNNNNNNNNNNNNNNNNNNNNNNNNNNNNNNNNNNNNNNNNNNNNNNNNNNNNNNNNNNNNNNNNNNNNNNNNNNNNNNNNNNNNNNNNNNNNNNNNNNNNNNNNNNNNNNNNNNNNNNNNNNNNNNNNNNNNNNNNNNNNNNNNNNAAUUUAAAAUUUGAUUUUAAAAUAAAACUUAAAUUUUAAAUCAAAUGUCUCCUUAUUUCGCUGAAAAUCUUUUUAAAAUUGAUAUAAAUUUCCCGCCGCGUUACCCGGGCCUUCACUAGUAUAUAGUAAAGCAAUAGAUAAUGAAUAGGUGGAUAGAUAAUAGAGAGAUUAUUAUAGUUAGUCAAGUUAAAAAUACUUUAUAAUUUUCUACUUCAAUUAGCUAUUAGCCAUUAAUUUUUCCAAUCUCAUUUGCCAAAAAAAAAAAAAAAAAAAAUUCAAACUAUCAAAGUUUAUGGAAUCAAAUAAUCUCUAAUUUAUGUGGAGUAAAUGAACUAUAAAAGAAAAAAGAAAUUUGGGCGCUCUUUCAAACUGCCCUUUUGUUGAGAGAUUUCUGUAUGUUUUUAACCAAUGAGAAGAGCGAAUGAAAAAUUUACUUGUACACUUUAUUCAUCUCCAUUCUAGAGUUUUACAAAAAAUUAAAUAGUUUUUCGUAAAAAGAAUUAAUGUGACAAAUCAGAAAGGUGUAAAAAUAUAUACCCUAUUUUGGGUUGUACUAGACUUAAUUAGUUAAUUCGUAAAUAAUUCGCAAAUUAUUCACAAAUUAUUGAAUAACCAAAUAAAACAGUCCAUAUACUUUUUUUUUCCCAAAUAUUUGAAAUAAUGCAGAAAUUUUUGGGUUUAGAGUUAUUAUUCACGAAUAAUUCACAAUGCUCGAAUUAUUCAACCAAAAAAAAGAGGCCAUAAGCUCGAUUUGUUCAUCCUGAAAAAAAAAAAAAGCUUCGCGUAAAACAAUGCUUGCCUAAAGUCGUCUAAAAUACCUGAUAUUUCAUACCCGAUUUGGACUCUAUUCGGACGCGAUAAAAAAUAGAUAGUAUACGGGUAAAAAUAAUAACCCACUAAAUUUUCGGUAUGGGUCCGUGUAAUUUAUACCCACACCCAACUUGGACCCAAUUGGAACACGACUUUUAGUGGGUAGGGUUUGAAAGAGUUUUUAAGCCCGGAUCCGGACCUAGACCUAGACCCAGUGAAAUACCUGAUAGUACAUAAGAAAAAUUUAAAAUUGAGGGAUUUUCAAUACAACUUAUAAAUGAAGGGUCUCUGUGUAUUUUCAUCCUAGUGAAAAUCUAGUAGCUCUGUUUACUCCUUUUUUAUUUUUUUUUAUUUUACUCUUUAUUUUUUGAACCAUAGCUGCUUACAGUUUGAAUCUUUUUUUGAACGAAUUUUAUUGGACCGGGUGCAAUUAAUUAAAAUACAAGUUUUCAAUAACAAGAGGUUUAUAGUUUAUUCAUAAACUGUUUUAUAGUCUAUAAAAAAUAUAUACAUACGAGUAUCCGUAUCUGAUGUAAACCUGACCCGUAUCCGAUACAUUUCUCGUUCUAAGUGGGCAGCAUUGGAUAAUCACUAUUUAGAUCUGCUCAAAUAGAUCUGAUGGGUAUAGUAUUCAGACCUAGAUCUGAUCCGAAAUUAAAUAAAUAGAAUAUAUAUAUAUAUAUAUAUAUAUAUAUAUAUAUAUAUAUAUAUUUUUUUUUUUUUUUUCUACCAAUUUACUUUUAGGUAUGGAUGCAAUAUAAUAACUAUUCAGGUCCGAGCCGAUGCAUGAACACUUUUGCGCUCGCCCAAAAAAAAAAAAUCCUCUCGCUCAAAUAAAAAAGGGUAAACUUCAAAUACCACCCCCUAUGGUAUCGCACUUUCUCACUUUAGUACUCUACAGUUUAAAGUGUAUCAAAUUAGUAUUAUGUGGUUUUAUUUUUAAUUUUUUGUCAGUUUUUUCGUUAAUAUUUUAUUAAAUUAUAUACAAAAAAAAUUUCAUACCCAUCUAGAUUUAUCGAAUACUCAUUUUAGUAACUUUUAGUUUUAACUUUGUCAUUUGUNAUAAAAUUACGUGAUACUAAAUUGAUCAUGGUUGCUAUUUGAAGCUUUCCCAAUAAAAUAAAAAAAAAAAGCCCUGGUUUCUCACCCGAGUCACCCCAGCCUCCGUCACCCCCCUCCACCCCCGGCCCCCGACCGCGCGCCGCUCGCCAUCGAACCCCCGGCGUGGCCACGCGCCGCUCGCCGUCGAAACCCCCCUCGCAGCGUGCGGCCAGCCAUACAAAAAGUUCGGAACCCUCCCCGCCCCGGGCCGGCCGCGCGACUCUCAUCAUCUGAUUCCGAUUUCCGAGUUCUGGCACGCCCACUUCAUCUGAUACUAAUUCAUAGUUUCUGUGAGCAGAAUUAACAUUUGCUAUUACCCGCUUGUUAAGUUCCAAAUUUUUACCGUCCUAGCUAUGUUGUUUUUUUUUUUUUCCCCUCCCUUCUUAAUAUUGAUUUCUAGUUAUAAGUUAUGAAUUAUGAGUAUUUAUGCUAAUAGUAUGAAUCUAGGGAAAAAUUUUAAUUUAAUUCCCUAGUUUUUUGCUCCGAAUUUUUAAAUGGUAAACGUAUAAUUUUCGUGUAAAUCACGUAUCCAAAUAAUUGACGAAUUUUAUUCAUAUUAUAUCCUUACCGAAUUUUUGCCGAAUCCGAAUUAACUAACUAUGGUACCGGAGAGGGCUUUGUUUUCAUUUAGAAAUUUUAUUUUAUAAAUAAUCUUGUCAAAAUUAUGAAUAUAGAACUGACUCUACAUGUAGACAUAGGCAUCAUGCGAGAUAUUUCAAAUGAACACGGUAAUUCUUUUUCCUUGUUUAGUUAAAUAACAUAAUAAACUAUUCGGAACACGGCCUGUGCCUAUGUGUGCAAAUACAAGAUCGUCUCUGCUUUUAUAGUUUUAAUAGGUUCAUUUAUAAAAUAAAAAGUUUUUAAGCGGGCUAAAUGCAAAAGAAGUUUGGGCUCAAGAGUUGCCGACUUAAAGCCUCUACAAAGUGCAAAACCCUUGGAAGGAUCGAUCAUGGCUUUUCAUUUGUCCUUGUUCGAAAAUUUAUUCGUAGAACCAAAAUCGUAAUCAGUUUGUUCAUCCGGUUCAGUGGUUUGAAUCCAAGUCCCCCAUUUUUCCCUUUGUUUUUUGGUGUUGAAAUCUCCAAUAUGAAUCAUUUUCCCCCCUUUUUAACAGGAAAGAAGAGAUGGUUUUGAUCGAAGAGGAUGGAGAAUCCUUCGAGGAUGCUCUCACUGAUGAGCAGUUGCGCGAGGUAUAAGUUGUGUUAAAUUGUUCAUCUCAUGCAAUUGGCUCUAAAUGCAAUUAAUUAGAGAUUGCUCAGGUUUCUUGGAUCUAACACUAUUUUUUUGGCUUUCACUUUGACAUCAAUGUUGUGCUGGAAUAGUUUUAGCAACAUCCCUUAGGAAAGAGAGAGAGAGGAAAAAAAAAGAAAAUCGUAUGAUAGCGGGGCUUGUGCUAUUAGAUAACGCUUGAGCUUUCUUUAAGAUUCACAAAAUUUGUUAUCUAACUUUUGAGACAGCCAGGAAUUAAGAUUUUGUGGACCAAGAUUUAGGUUUCGCAGAGAAAUAUUCGACCUUGUAUAGUUAGGAAAGGAGUUUGUCGGCGACGCUGUGCUCAAGGAGGAGUGGGACUAGAGGCAGUGGAGAGGAAGGGCUGAGGUGGUGGAGGGGAAGAUUGGGAGCAUAAGUUCUAUGAAAAAUUUCAAUUUGGCCCCCUCACUAAAAACUUAAAAUUUGUAAUAUUUUGAUUUUUUGCUACAAAGGACUUAUAUGAAAUUUUCAGAAGUCAAGGGGGAACCAUGGCCACAGUGAGCCGCUUAAUGGCUCCGUUCCUGUCUAACGUAUCGUAUCCUCCUCUUUGAUUUAGGCUAUUUAUGGAACUUUCCUUUUUUUUUUUUUGGUUUCUAAGGAUUUAGAGUGGACAUGGCAACAAGGAGGGUGGAGCGGUGUUGGGAGUACAGGGAAUUUGGUUUUGGAGUUCACAUGCCAAGGUGGAAAGAAUUAAUACACUUUAUUGUUUUAAGCGGUGUGUAACAUGCUAGUGUGUUUUUAAUGCCAUUAGGGCUAUUCGUCACCACCUAUUCUACUCCAUACUCUAAGACUUAUUUUUCGUUUUAAAUCUAGUACUAGCAUGACUGUCUUUGUUGGAUGAUGAACUUUUUUCUUUAUUGAUUUGAUGAGUUAGGAAGAUCUUAAGGAGUUGAAGAAAAUUUGCCCUUUAAGCUACCUCUCUCAUUAAUAUUGCUUUUCUAUCAUGGAUCUUUGAAGCUUUUAUGGAUAUUCAUAAUGAUAUGCAACUCGGCAGUCUGAAAUUUGCUUCGUGGACUUGAAUUAACAUUACAUUUUUUUUAACCAUAUGAUGCACCUGAGGCCCUUGGGAUCUUAACCUUGUGUAUUGAGCAUAUUGAUCGUACGGAACUUCGAUUGUUAUGAAAUUUAGUUUUAUAACAACUUAUUUUUCGUCUCAAACUUACAUACGGUAGGGAAACAAAAAUGUCCAAUGAUUAAAGCGAGUUCAAGAUGAGUCCAUGAAUGUCCAUAAAUAGUGCUCGUUGCUUGUUGAACGAACUUCUGCUACAUGAAUGUCAUUGAAGUUCUUGAGUAGCUAACUGCUAGAAGAAAAAAGCUGUUCUUAGUGUUUUUGUAUUGACAAUUUUUGUGCACAUGUGUUGGUGAACAUGCAUUAUGCCACUUAUCGCAUAAGCUGUCAGUGUGCUGCUAUUUUCAUAUGAGACUUGUUAGACCAAACUCCCAUCCUCAUCCCUUAAAAAAACGCGUGCUGCUGUGGUUUUGUUGUGGGCCAUCUCGAGAUGGAGGGCUCUCCUUUCGCACUAUAUUAGUCUUAUGCUUAUACCCUCUAAAAACUUAAUUGGAUGGCUUAAUCAGUGUUUGAUGCACUCCAUCUCAAUCCAUGCUUUGAUUACAACCAACCAACCCAUUUUUUGAGAAAGGAAAUUGUACUGAAGAUACUGGUAUAGUGGAGUAGGAAUGAUGGCAUGUUUUUAGAGCCGCUGGUGGUUCCAUAUAGACUCUUGUCAAAUUUAAGGUGCCUUUACAAUUAUUUUCAUGUUCUCAAUCUUUAAUGUCCAAACCAACAGAAAUUAUGGCAAGAAAAAUGUGGUGCUGCUGCUAUAUUUAUUUUGCUCAUUUAUAUUAUCUUCCGAAUAUAUAGAAUUUGAAUGCAUCUUCCUAGUUCCACAAAAUUAUCAAGGCUGCACAUGAAAUCUUUCAACCUGUUAUAUCAAUUCUUCUCCAAUUAUUUGUAAUAAUAGGAGCAUUGAGCCUUUGUAAACUUUUGACCCUUUUUCUUGUUAUGUCAGAAAGCUUUAAAUCAAGCAAAUGAUGCUAAAGCUGAAGGGAACAAACUUUUCUGUGCGGGCAAGUAUGAUGAUGCACUGUCACAAUAUGAAAUUGCUUUACAGAUUGCUUCUGAAGUGCAAUCAUCGGAAGAAAUUAGUUCCAUGUGCCAUGCGAACCGAGCCAUAUGCUUCUCAAAACUAGUAUGUCAAACUUCUUGUUUACUAGGUAUAUUUAGCUCUAUUUUUUGAAUGCUUGUUACUAUUAGUAGUACGACGGUUAACGCUUGUAGAGGUAACUGUCACCAACUGUGCUCAAUAGAGGAGGCUAGAGAUGAUGUUUACACAGCAAUAAACCUUGAUAAUAAUAAAUUUUAUCGGUUAGUUUGACAUUUUAACUUUAUGGAGUUCUUAACUUUAGGAUAGAGAAAUUCUACUCAUGAAAGUGUGUUCGCUUUAUUCUACUGUUCCUUUUUGUUUUCUCUUGUUCAUGCAUGUAACAUCAGAAAUGCCAAGGGACUAUUUGUUGUUGUAGGCUUGUAGAGACUUAAAAGUAUAUCGUCUCAUGCAUCGAGUUUUUGGCUACAUACCUCAUCUGUUUCUUAAAUUGGAUUGAGCCACUCUCGUAGUGACUGCCAACUUAGCCCUGUAAUCCGCAUUUACUAAUGCCAUCUGGCAACAUAUUGCGUGCUAUGCCCAUAGUAUCAUUAGAAAUUUGAUCGACUUCAAUCUAAAGUUAGCACUUGAUCCCAAUUAAUUGUUGGGAUAAGAUUUUAAUGUUUACAGGUUGAAUCUACGUGGGAGUUUAUCAUAGUCAAGACUUAAUUGUUAGCAAAUGCUCAAGUGCCUUAGUGAUUAGAUUUCAAGAAAGUUUUAACUCUUGGUUAUUAUUUCAUUUUCAGACAAAUUUGUGUUUAUUUAACAAUUUCUCGUGUUUCUAACAAUUUCUUUUCAAAGUUUUCAUGAGUUUGCUAAUGAAAGUUAAAAACUAAAUCGAAGAAAAUAUUAGAAUUCAUCAUAACAUGGAAAACCUAGUUAGACAUUAUGGUUUAUUCUCUUGUUAUUAAUUUUUGUUAUGUAGGUUGUCUAGGUUAAAACUGGAAUUGGUAUUUUUGUAAGUUUAGACUUUAGAGAUUGUAUUUGCUCAAAUGUUUAUAUGAACAACUCCUCUAGGCCCUGUUUGGGUACAUGAAUAUUUUGUUCGGUAUAUUUUCUUGAUUUACUCAAAAAUUUGUAUAUUUGAUUGAUAAGAAGUGUGAUCAAAUGUUAAAAUAAAAAAAAUCAUAUUAGGAUUUUUUUAGAAUAAGAUAAAUCACGUCAUCGGUGAAAUAUGCUAUUCUACCUAAUCAUGGGUGGUAAGACCUUUGAAGAAAAUCAUUAUUUACAAUCAUACUAGAAAAUCCUCAUACGGAAUAAGUUAUCCAUCGAUAACUUAUACGGAAUAAGUUAUACGGAAUAAGUUAUCCAUCCAAACAGAGCCUUCAUCAAAACUCAAAAUAGCUACUAGGAGAAACCUGAUACUUUUCUUGGACUAGUGAUUCAUGUUAGAUAUGAUGAUGGGUAUAUUUAGGCCCUUUGGAUGCAUAAUAUUUAAUUCAGCAUAUUCUUUCGAUUUAGGCCAUGUUUGGGUGUUGGAAUAAGUUAUCCUUGAAUAACUUAUGUGGCAUGAACUUUGUCUUGUAUGAUUGGAGGCAAAAAGUUUGAUUUAUGCUCCUUGAAGGGCCUUGUCAUCUAUGCUUUAGUAGGAUAACCUAUCUCACCUAUAAGAUGAUUUAUCUUAUUCCAAAAAAUUGACUAGAAAGUAGAAUAUGUUAUUUCAUUUUAGACAUUUGAUUAUAUUUCUUAUAUACCAAAUACUACAACUUCUUGAGUAAAUCGAAGGUAUAUUCAGAAUGAAAUACUCAUGCAUCCAAAACAAGGCCUUAUUCAAGAAGCAUGUAGUAUUUGGUAGAUGAGGAGUGUGAUCGAAUAUUUAGAAUGGAUAUCAUACUGGACCUUUAAGUCAUUUUUUUGAAAUAAGAUAAAUCACCCCCUACGUGAAAUAUACUUUCUUACUAAGUUAUAGAUUGUAAGACUUUUCAAGGAGCAAAAAUGAAACAAGUUUCAAUCACACAAGAAUAUUUUUAUACAGAAUAAGUUAUCAUUGAAUAUUUUAUUCCGACAUCCAAAUAGAGCCUUAGUUGCUUGGCUGUGCUGAAUUGCGAUAAUAAAUUUGUGAUUAUGGGUCAACUUUGCUCCUCUUUAUGCAGAGGAAGAUCAACCCCCCUUUCUCUCACACAUAGAGUUGUGCAUGUGCAAUACACAAAACAUGUGUGCCACGUGCACACACGCAUAUACACAUGUAUUCACACACACGCAUACACAAAGUUGGGCAAGUGCAAAUAUGCAAACACGUACGCACGUGCGCGUGUGCACACACCUAUAUAUAUAGAGUUGAGCUGAAAUGCUAUUAGUAGUAAAAGGGCUCCGUUUCUGCCGAUUUGUUUUCGAUGAUGGAGCCUCCAAAUCGACGAUCGACAUCGUUGAAUAUGAUCUUAGACCUUUUAAAUUAUCUGGAAAUCAAAUUUCAUACUUUUAUGAUAUUGUUCUCUUGUCUAUCGAGUGGAUACAAAAUUGAACGAUCAAAAAUGAAUAUCUUUUAGAAAGUGAUGAUAGGAGUUUUGUAAUCAAGAUCAAGAGUAUAGAUCUUAUUUUAAAUAGAUUAAAGAAUUUUCUAAUCCAACUCCGGAGGGGUAAUCAAAGGAGCGACUACCCAAAAUGUUUUUAACCAAUAUCUCAUUUUGCAAGAUAUGGUUAUAUGCUCAUGUUCAAACUAAUCAAUAAAUCAUCUCAAUUAAGACUUUUAAUAAGAAGAUGCUACAACUAGUAAGCAGGUAAUAGAGGAAUGAUGAUUCAUAAAAUACUUUGCUCUGUUACUAUACAGCAAGCAUGCUUUGCUCAAGAGAAAUGCCCACUGUCAAGAUAGACAAUAAGCAAUAUCGAUAGAGAUUUAUUAAGCAUGCUAAAUGAACAAUAACGACAAAAUCAUGGAAUCAAAGGAAGCAACUAACAAGCAAGAGUAGAAUUUUAAUCAUCAAUGCUCAAAAUAAUGCUAUUAGACAUAGAGUAAGACCAAACCACUACCAGAGAGCUUCUACCCACCUUAGUUAAGAAAUCCUUACUGGUUUAUACUGUUAGGGUUUCUCGUGGUUCCCCAAAAUAUCCUCUUAGCCUAGGAAUGAGAUAAACUUCUUGAAAGGCUUGGAUUGGAAUUUUAGAGACUCGCAACAACAUAAUUUUAUAUGAACACAAAAGCAUAGUGGGGAGAAAUUGGUAAACAAAAGGAAAAGCGACAAAAGCGCAUAAUGGCAGUGGAAAUAAGACCAAUGGGGUUUAUAUAUAGGUGAUGAGGCAGUGAAGGAGGCGGUUGUGGCUGUGAAAAUGAGGCGGUUUUGGCUGGUUGGAUAAGUUUGAAGGCAUUUUUACGUUGAAGCCUCUCAACUUUUAAAUAAUUAUAGUCUAGACCUAUGUAGCAUAUACGCCUUCUUUUAAAUAUCAAAUUUAGUCCAAAUUUGAUACCUAAGACCCGUAAUCAUCAUCAUAAUUUUUAUUAUAAUUUUUGGAAGAUACUUUUCACAUCCUAUAAUACUGAGCAACACCUGCAAUUAUAUUUAAACCUCAUUUUAAAUCAUUCGGUAUUUAGAUCAUGAUGAAACUUUAAGAACAAUCUCUAAUUCUUUAAGUUUGGAGAUCAUUCAGCCCAUUAAAUAAAUAUUUUUCUGUAGUUACUCUGAUUGGUUGAAUAUAUAGUUAGAACUUUCAAUAAUUACGGAACUCAAUAUUUGGUCUUAGACAAAUUAUAACUAAAUUCUAUUAAGACUUUAAAAUUCUUUUAGGAGUCGUUUCACCUAUAAACUUAUCAUACCAAAACUCAAUUGUUUUAACUAGAGCUUGGUAUUACACUUUGUAUGUGAGAAGCUUUUAGUUGUGUUUUGAGCCUUUGUUAAAAUCGCUUAGGGCCUGUUUGUUUCACUGAAGGUUAAGUUUAGGUUGAAUUGGACUCUUGGUUGAACUAGAGUUUAGAUGAAAAUUUCUUCUCCUCUGUUGUUUGUUUCUGUAGCUAUACAAGUGAAGUUUCCCAAAUUCUGCUACUUGUUUGGCAAGAAGCUAAUGGAACAAAAAUUGAAGUCCCCCUGAUAAAUAAUAAAUUAUAGAAUAAUAAAUAGGAAAAAUAUUAUAAUUGUAUCCCUAUAUAAUUAAAAAAAAUGUAAUUUAAAGCAACUAAAUUAAUUUUUUUCUUACAUAAAUUAUAGUAAUACAAUAAUAAAAUUCUAAAGAAAAAGAGAUGUUAAUACUCAACUAAUCAAUUUUCAUAGCAUUUCAAAUGUGCGAACUAAGUAAAAAAAAAAAAGGACUUAAUUAACCAAUUUUCAUUAUAUUUCAAAAUUUCAAACUAAAGAAAGGAGAAAUUAGUAUUACAAUCAAAUAUAUUCAGAUGAGAGGUGGUAAUACUAUUCGGAAAAUAAGUUUCCUUUUAUAAUAUUUUAUUAUUUUUCCUCUCACUCUUCUUUUCCGUAAUUGACUUAGGUCCACGGUGGGCCAAAGUAGAUUCGUUGUUUUGGACUGAACCUUGGGCUGAAGUCAGUUACGUUGUUUUGUGCUGAAGUUAAUUACGCUGUUUUGGGGAGCCUGAGUUUUGGCUAUAGUUAUAUUACGGUGAACCAAACUGUGGAAGUGGUUGUUUACAGUCGACAACCGAUUCACCCCUCUCUACUUUCGGCAAAACAAACAGGAACCUUUACCGAAAGCAAUACCUUUUCUUGUCUUCUCCAUAGCCAUUUGAAAUUUAAAGAUUUGGUCCAUUAACUUUGCAAGACUUCGAGGAAUAGUGAUUUGUUUAUUGUGCUUUUACAGGGUAAAUAUGAUGAAACAAUAAAGGAAUGCACGAAGGCGCUGGAGUUGAAUCCUCCAUAUUUGAAAGCACUACUUAGGAGGGCAGAAGCACACGAGAAGCUCGAACAUUAUGAAGAAGCUAUUGCUGGUCAGUUUGAACUUCUGCAUAUGUCAGUUGAUUCAUUUGUUUCGAAUCAAUUGGGUCAUUUACUAUGCUCUUUCCUUGCAAAUGACCUGCACUUUAUUUCAUGUGAAAAAUUUUCAAAUAAGUUAUUUGCCAUGGCUCCUUAACUUAACUUGCUAUCAAAUUUUAAUGCAGAUAUGAAAAAAGUAAUCGAGCUAGAACCUUCAAAUGACCAAGCAAGGAAAUCAUUGCAACAUCUUGAGCCAUUAGCAGCUGAAAAGAGAGAGAAGAUGAAGGAGGAGAUGAUCGGUAAAUAAUUAGGCAUAAUUUCUGUUUUACUAUUUUGCGAGGAUAAUAAUUCUCACAAACAAGCUUACAACGCUUAUUGCAUGUGUUCAAUUUUGCACUCGUAAAUGUGGAUAAUCUAACAAUAUUAUUCAAUGUUGCUGCAGAAAAACUGAAAGAGAUGGGGAAUUCAGUUUUGGGGCGAUUCGGAAUGAGCGUCGACAACUUUAAAGCUGUGAAAGACCCAAACACCGGCUCAUACUCUAUCUCAUUUCAACACUAAUUACAUAUAGUAGUCCAGGUACCAUCAAAAAGACCAAAAGGAAAAAAAAAGGGAAAUACCUAUAGAGAACAAGGAAGGUUAAAAAAAAAAGCUGAAACAAAUACAGUGUACCGUACUAGUUGAAUUGUGAAUCGAACUUUUGUUGGAUUGAUAACCUGUUCAUUGUAUCACUCUGUUCAUGGAGCUCCCAUGAUCCUUGUUUUGCUGCAGUUUGGUGUAUAAAUGAUAUAGCAUAUGUAAGGAGCAAGGGAUUGUGUUUUCUUUUUCUUUGACCUUUUAUGUUUUUGAGGAAAGUGAUGCAGUGGGUUAUUGUUUCCAAUAUGUUUUCAAGGAUAAAUUACGCUUUUGGUUCUCGAAAGGUGGGGGUGUGAUACUUCAGUCCUUAAAUUUUAAUUUGUUGUAAUUUUUGACUUAAACUUUUUGAAUUGUUGUUGUUAAGUCUUAUAAUUCAAUUUAGUUGGUUAAAUAUUAGUAGUUUUGUAGAAGCAAUGCGGAAGUGUUGGCUAUUGAUGAUUCGGCAAUGAUUAAACUAAUACAUUACUUUUAUAUACAAUAAUUUAUUAAUAAUUUAUUAAUAUUUAGCGAACAAUGUUGGGACAAUAUGAAAAUUUUGAAUUAAAAAUUAUAACGAAUUAAAGUUUAAGGACCGAAGUGUUGGGUGACCUUUCGUUUUUCUAUGGUAAAUGCUCCUUUACAAUCUAAAUGGGGUGUAUAUCUUAUACCCCAUAGCGAACUGAACACGAGUUGGCUCAUUGAAAUAUCGAGCCGAAAAAUUCAGUUUGUAUUUUGCCCAUUUAAUAAUGACCCAAACAUGAGUUGAUUCACGAAUAGCAAGUUAAAUUAUAAGUCCUAUUAUUAGAUAAAAAGUUGUUUAUAAAAUUACAAAAUUAGAAUUUUAAUCUAAUAACUAAAAUUCUUAAAAUAUAAGUCUCUUUAAAUUGUCCUAAAAUCUAAUAGUAACAAUUUGUAAAUAUAUAUAUUGAGUCCAACUAUGGUGCUUUUAAAAGCACCAAGUACUUGGUGCUUGUAAAUUUUUUACCAUUAGAUAUAACCAUUUGACCAAUUCCAUCCUUUAGAUAACACUAUUCCACCAAUCACCCACUCAACCUCGGGGGAUCACUGUUAUCUUAACCUAGGGGCGUAAUGUGGGCCAUGCCGGCACGACCUACAUUUUUCGAGCCGAAAUAGGCCAAGGACAGCUCGACACGGCCCGGUUUCAAAUCUGGGCCAGGCCAUGUCGGGGUAGUUUUCUCACAUCUCUAGCUUAGCACAGCCCCUGCCCGAUUGGCACGGGUCGGGCUGGGCUAGGGGGGCCCAUUAAUUUUUUAAAGUUUUUUAAAAUACACAAUUUUAAAAUAUAACACACACACACACACACACACACACACACACAUAUAGAGUUUGAUUGGGCUACUAUUGGUAGUAAACUGGUCGGUUUACUAGCGAUUUGUUUUUUAUGAUAGAGCUUUCAAAUCGACGAUCGGUACCGUUGAACAUUAUCUAGACCAUUUAAAUUAUCUAGAAAUCAAAUUUCAUGAUUUUUUGACAUCACUAACUGAACGAUCGAAGGGUCACAAAAUCUAUAAUUUUAAUGGCCGAUAUGGUGCGUUUGCUCGUUUAACGGUAUAGAAGAGUUCAAAUCAACUAAAUUUUGUUAAAAUUUUUUUAAAACUAUUUAAAAUAAGAUCAAGACUCUAGAUCUCAAAUAUAAAAAUUAUAUUAUCAUUUUUUGAAGGAUAUUCAUUUCUAGAUAUUCAUUUUUCUGUUCACUUGAUAGACUAGAGAACAAUAUCGAAAAUGUGUGAAAUUUGAUUUUCAGAUAGUUUAAAUAGUUUAGAUCAUGUUUAAUGGUGCCGAUCAUCAAUUUGGAAGCUCCAUCAUCGAAAAUAAAUCGGUAGUAAACCGAGCCGUUUACUACCGAUAGUAUUCUAGCAAAACUCUCUCUCUCUCUAUACACACACACACACACAUAUAUAAAAUUAAACGAAUAAAAUUUAUUAGAAAAUAAUAAAAAAUUUUAAAAUUUUAUUAAAAAUUAUAAUAUUUUAAAAGGGUUAAUUGCAUGCAGGUCCCUACAAACACGGUGCCGUUUGAGUGUGCGUUCGUCAUCGUAGCAUCGCGAGGAGGCCGGGCGAGGGUGCUAUUCCGCCGUUCUUGACGUUGCGCCGGAUUGGGAUUAGCUUUUGAGGUGGGUUAAACGUCGGUUUAGCUUCUAAGUGCAUUUAUAUAGUUGGCAUGUGUGCAAGGUAGUAUGUUGUAUAUUGUAAUUGCUCAAUUCAUUGAUUUAGUAUAGUUGUUCAUAAAAUCUGAAUUGGAACCUUGUCGUUUGCCUAUGUCUACUAGCACAUGUUGGACUUGGAUUUGACUUAGGAGAAAACCUGCGAUUCGAACUUGUCACGUGCUUAAAUUAUCUAAUUUAGCUCUAGGAGCCGUUGUUAUUUUGUAUCGCCGCAGUAUCAGCGUGGUGGAUAUCCCAGGUAGUUUAGUUUUCUGUUACGCUCGUGCUGUGAUACCGAGUGUAUUUUUACAGUAGCGUUUAGACUGUUCCGGACUGUUCGGUGCCAUCUGGGUUGACGGUGGACCCAUAACGCUGUUUUGGCGUCAGAUUGUGCCGAGGGCACGUGAUCUAUUGGUUGUUAGAUCAGUUGGACUUGAUUUACUUGACUUUGGCUUGUGAGAGCCUGAUUGAGCUCGACAGAGAUACGCUUGAUACUUGGUUGGGUAGCUCCCACGAGUGCCACUCCGGAGACGGGCGUUGUGUGGAGGUAGUUGUAUAGUCGCAACCGGGCGGGACGGGUGUGUCCACAGUCCCAAGGACGGGUAUGCUUACAGUCCCAGUGAGAUUUGGUUAGGAUUGACAUUUACUACAGUUGGUUAGUGUAGAGCAUGAUAGUGUAGUGGCUUGUAGCUGUAGAUUUUCUUCCAGCAUUUCCUACUAUCCUUGCUCCCUUCUGUAGACUUAGUGGGUAGACCGACGUUGUUGAGGGCUGUUCCCACUGAGGAUUACUUGUUUUAACAAUAGUUCUCACGCCCAGUUGUUUUCCUCUUUUGUAGAGUCUGCGGUUCUGACUGCUGCUAUUUCUGAGACUGAUCGUGGCAAGGGCGUUGCGAGCUAGAGCCCUACUAGACGAGUCAUCGAGCUAGAGGCUUCCCAGCUGCAGGUAGUGGUGUUUUUUGUUCAUAUACAUACUUUCGUUGGGUCUCGCUGGUCGAGUUUUGUAUAUCGGAUAUUGUAUGUAUAGUGAACUGUCUUUUUCUACCUGGAUAUCUUUGUCUUCUAGCAGCUCUAUACUACUGGUGGUAGUAUUGUAUGUUUUACAGGUACAACUAUCGCUUCGUAUAUAGAAAAAAUUUCUUUGUAUACGGCGGAUUUGUCGGCAAGCCCGGGGAACGUGAAAUCCGGGGCGUGAUAGAUUAAGUUGGUAUCAGAGCUUAGAAUUAGGUCGUUGGGACCUAGGAAACCUAAGUUGGCAAACCUUAGGAAGGCAAGACGCGAGAGGCGUGAUUUAUCGCGAAAGUCACUGAUUGAUUGUUCUAACUCCUUCUGGAGCGGAGGGAGUGAUUGAAGGAGUUUCUGUUUCGGUCCAGAAAAAUUAUGUUGGUUACAGACGACAUAAUUUUUAGGAGAAACAGGGGGCCGCAUUCUAGACUUUCGUUGAUUGGGUCGAGAGUGUUUGUUUGAUCUAACCCCGUUCUGUUUCUUGCAGCUAUGUACUGUUGCCGAGGUUGACCGUCUACCCAGGAUCAUGCACAGUUGGCUUAGGAUCGUGCUGUACCUCCUGAGAUGCCGGAGCAGGCAGAGACGAGUGCACCCCCUGUUGUGGAGCAGAGGGCCCUACCGGAGGUGGGUGCACCUCCUGAUUUGAGUACACAGUUGGAUGCCUUGACGGAGGUGAUGAGGCGACAGGGAGAGUUGUUGGAGAGGAUGUGUGAGAGGUUAGCUCCGCCCCCGAGUUCAACACCGAGAGCACCAGAGUCAUCAGCUCCACCCUGACUACUCCGGCGGCAGCACUAGCCGUAGUUGUACCCCCGCCAUUGGAAAUUCCUGUGGCACUCGUUGUGCCUGCUAGGGGGCCAGUACAGAUGACAGAGGCCGAGCAGGAGCGGUUGACAGAGAGGCUGGCUCGAUUUCGCCGUUUUGAUCUGCCGAUCUUCGAUGGCAGUUGCACUAAGGUCUGGGUUGUUGAAGGCUGGGUCAGUGCAAUGGAGAAGCUAUUUGAGAAUCUAUUCGUCUCAGAGAGAGAGCAGGUACAUCUGGGAGUCCCCUGUUUGUCAAACGAUGCUCAUGCCUGGUGGAGGAGGAUGAGGCGAGACUAUAGGCUAGUAGCGCUGCAGAUGAAGUGGGACGAGUUCUAUAGAAUGCUGUUCGGGAUGUAUUUUCCCAACAGUGUGAAAUAGAAGCUCGAGGAGGAUCUGAAGAAGAUCCAAUAUGGUGAGCGGACAGUUCAGGAGUACAUUCGGGAGUUUACUCGACUCCUGAACUGUGUGUCGUUCGUGGUCAGGGAUGAGGCGCACCGAGUUUACCUCUUUGAGCAGGGUUUGAGGCCCGAGAUCUUCCGGUUGGUUCAUGAGCAGAGGUUGCGGACCUUGGAUGCGUCGAUGAAGCAGGCUCUUUGGGUUGAGAUAGGUGAUGCCUCCAUUCGGGAGAGGACUCAGACCGUGAGGCAGAAUCAGGACAGGAAGCGCCUCUUUUCAGAUGACGGAGGACCGUCGAGCAGCAGACAUCCGCCGAGGCCUCCACGAUCAUGCUCUCAGGGUCGUGGGUCUUCAGGGCGUCAACGUUCUGGGGGAUCCCGUCAGCAGGGACAGCCAUCGAGGACACCGCAGUGCGUGAUCUGCAGGGGACCCCACUGGCCCCGGCAAUGCUAGCAGAGAGAGGGCAGGUGUUACAGUUGCGGUCAGCCCGGGCAUAUGAGAUUAGCUUGUCCUCGAGCAGCAUCACCAGCACCAUCCACAACAUCUGCACAGCCAGCAUCCCCGCAGUCUUACGGGGCACCGUCGAGUUACCGCCAGCAGGAUAGGGCACCUAUGCCGCGAUAGGGCUGUAGAGUCUUACGGGGCACCGUCGAGUUACCGCCGGCAGGAUAGGGCACCUAUGCCGCGAUAGGGUGAGCGGUUACAGCAAGCUCCAAGUGGCAGGGUCUAUGCAGCCCAGGUGGAGGACCCUACAGCAACCGACCGGGUGGUGGCAGGUAUUAUUUUUGAUUUCUGUCAUUAGAGCUUGUACACUUUUUGAUACCGGUGCAUUGCAUUCCUUUGUUAGCCGAGCAUUUGCAUUGUUGCAUGGUCUAGAGUUAGGGUCAUUGUCACAGGCACGAGAUGUGCAGAUCCCCGAUCAUGUGUUAUAGGUUGCAGAGUGUUGUUGGUUAUGUCUGGUGCAGUUGGAUUUGUGGAUCACGCCCGCAGACCUGUUGGUGUUAGGGCAGCUGCAGCACUUUAACGUUGUGCUCGGUAUGGACUGGNGUGGCAGGUAUUAUUUUUGAUUUCUGUCAUUAGAGCUUGUACACUUUUUGAUACCGGUGCAUUGCAUUCCUUUGUUAGCCGAGCAUUUGCAUUGUGUAGCGAGGACGGUGACGUUUCGCGAGCCAGGCCAGAAGGAGUUCACUUUUAGGGGUUGCAGGAGCACGUUGCUUGCCACUUGGAUUUCUUCCGCGAGGGCUCGACAGCUGAUGAGUAGAGGAUGCAUCGCUUUUUUAGCAGCAGUUGCUGAGGUACCUACGGUGGGGGCCGGGACUCGAGGAUAUUCCUGUAGUCCGCGAGUUUCUGGAUGUAUUUUCUCCUGAGUUGACGACGAUGCCACCGGAGAGGGAGAUUGAGUUCGUGAUUGAUGUAGUUCCUAGAACUGCACCAAUAUCAAAGGUAUCUUAUCGGAUAGCACCGGCGGAGCUGAGAGAACUAAAGGCGCAGCUUCAAGAUCUGAUGGAUAAGGGGUAUGUGAGACCCAGUGUAUCGCCUUGGGGAGUGCUGGUGUUAUUUGUAAAGAAGAAGGAUAGUUCGCUCAGGUUAUGUGUGGAUUACCGGGAGCUGAAUAAGAUGACCAUCAAGAACAAGUAUCCUUUGCCGCGCAUUGAUGAUCUGUUUGAUCAGCUGCAAGGAUCUUGUGUCUUCUCGAAGAUUGAUCUCCAGUCCGGUUACCACCAGCUGCGGGUGAGGGCCGAGGAUGUUCCCAAGAUGGCUUUUCGGACUCGGUACGGGCAUUAUGAGUUCACAGUCAUGCCUUUUAGAUUGACGAAUGCCCCUUCUGCAUUCAUGGAUUUGAUGAACAGAGUGUUCAAGCCGUUAUUGGAUAUAAUUAUAGUAGUCUUCAUCGACGAUAUCUUGAUUUACUCCCGAAGUGAUGCUGAGCACGAAGAGCAUUUGAGGACUGUGCUGCAACUUCUGCGAGAGAAGAAGUUGCAUGCCAAGUUGAAGAAGUGCGAGUUUUGGUUGCGGGAGGUUGCUUUCUUGGGCCAUGUAAUUUCUGCUGAGGGAGUAGCAGUGGACCCGAAGAAGAUCGAUGCUAUUCGGGAUUGGCCUAGACCGACGACGGUGACUGAGGUGAAGAGUUCUCUUGGACUGGCAGGAUAUUACCGUCUGUUUGUAGAAGGCUUUGCGAAGCUUUCCACACCCCUCACUCGAUUGACUCGAAAGGGGAUUCGGUUCAUCUAGAGUGAGGAUUGUCAGAAGAGCUUUGAUGAGUUAAGACAGAGGUUGACGUUAGCUCCUAUCCUUGCCCUUCCUGUGAUGGGGGAAGGAUUUGUGAUCUACAGUGAUGCACCGCACAGCGGGCUAGACUGUGUGCUGAUGCAGCAUGGUAGGGUAAUUGCUUAUGCUUCACGGCAGUUAAAGGAUUACAAGAAAAAUUACCCUACGCAUGACUUAGAGCUUGCCACGGUAGUCUUUGCUUUGAAGUUGUGGUGGCAUUACUUGUAUGGCGAGCAUUGUGAGGUUUUCACCGAUCAUAAAAGUCUCAAGUAUCUGUUCACCCAGAGGGAGCUGAACCUGAGGCAGCGCCGGUGGUUGGAGUUACUGAAGGACUAUGACGUUAGUAUUCAGUAUCAUCCCGGUAAGGUGAAUGUGGUGGUAGAUGCGUUGAGUAGGAAGGCAGUGCAGAGCUUGAGUUUGAUGAUCACACAGCAGAGGCCGUUACUCGAGGAGCUGCAGUGGCUGAGGCUCGAGAUAGUGUUCCCUGGAUCUAUACUGUGAGACUGAUGUCUUUAGUCUUGCAGCCCACUCUGUUGGAUAGGAUCCGAGAGAAACAGAGUGGAGAUCCACACUUGUUGAGGAUUCGAGAGCAGUUAGACAGGGAACAGGCUGAGGGCUUUGUAGUAGACAGUUCGGGAGUACUGCGGUACAGGAACCGACUGUAUGUGCCUAUGAAUUCAGAGAUCCGAGCGGAUAUUUUGAGAGAGGUUCAUUGUACUCCUUAUACGGUUCACUCUGGUGGAACCAAGAUGUAUAAGGACUUGAAGGCACAGUUCUGGUGGAACGGAAUGAAGAGAGAUAUUGGCAGAUUUGUGGCUCAGUGUCUGACUUGUCAACAGGUAAAGGCCGAGCAUCAGGUACCUGCUGGCAAGCUUCAGAGUCUACCAGUGCCCGAGUGGAAAUGGGAGCAGAUCACAAUGGACUUCGUCGUGGGAUUAUCUAGAGAACAUGGUAGUUUCGAUGCUAUUUGGGUGAUAGUGGACAGACUGACUAAGUCUGCUCACUUCCUACGAGUUCAGACCACCUGGUCCAGAGAGAGGCUCGCGCAGCUAUACCUGGAUGAGAUUGUCAGGCUGCAUGGUGUGCCGAUGUCAAUUGUAUCGGACAUGGACACGAGGUUUGUCUCGCAUUUCUGGCGGAGUCUUCAGACCGCCUUGGGUACACAGCUGCAUUUCAGUACGACGUUUCACCCACAGACAGAUGGUCAGUCUGAGAGGUCCAUACAGACUCUAGAGAACAUGCUGAGGGCAUGCGUCCUGGACUUUGGAGGAGGGUGGUAUCGACAUUUGAGACUGGCUGAGUUUGCGUACAACAACAGCUAUCAAAAGAGCAUCCAGAUGGCUCUGUUUGAGGCGUUGUAUGGACGCAGAUGUCGAUCCCCUUUGUUUUGGAGUGAUGUGGGUGAGAGGAAGACGCUAGGGCCUGAAAUCUUGAUAGAGGCUGAGGAAAAGAUGAGAGUUGUUCGACGACACCUUUUGACAGCCCAGAGCCGCCAGAGGAGCUACGCUGAUACCCGGAGACUAGACUUAGAAUUUCAGGUUGGAGAUCUUGUAUUCCUCAAAGUCUCGCCGUCCAGAGGGAUUCACCAAUUUGGAGUGCGUAGAAAGCUUAAUCCACGUUUCGUUGGCCCUUUUGAGGUAUUGGAGCUAGUUGGACCGGUUGCCUACAGGAUUGCUCUACCUCCACGGCUAGCAGGCAUUCACGAUGUAUUCCACGUCUCGGCUUUGAGGAGUUAUGUGUUCGAUCCUUCUCACGUGAUUGACUUCACUCCACUAGAGAUUGGCGAGGAUCUGAGAUACGGGGAGCGACCGUUGCGGAUUCUUGCUCGGGAGACAAAAGAUUUGCGCAAUCGGGUUAUCCCGUAUGUAAAGGUGCAGUAGAGUAAUCACGAGGAGCGGGAGGUGAUUUGGGAGCCUGAGAGAGGGUGAUGAGGGAGUCCUAUCCCUACCUGUUUGAUGCUCAGGGCUGAGGUAUGCGUAAGUUUCGUGGACGAAACUUUUUGUAGUGGGGGAGGAUGUAGUAGCCCUGGAAUACAGCUGUUGAGGCUUGUCGACAGCUCUGGAGAGUGUCGGGACAAGACUGAGUCGCGUUGGUGCGAAUUAGACGCUAAACGGACUCAUUGCGAUGCGAGAGUAGGGUGUGAGCAUUGUAAAAUAGAAAAAGGCUGUUUUCUGCCUGUUGUACCGGUACAACCAUCGAGUUGUAACCGGUACACUUCCUAUGUCGGUACAACCAUCGAGGUGUACCGGUACACUUUGCCAGAACCUGCGCAGCUGCUCUCGGGUUGCCAUUUGUACCGGUACAAAUGCCCGUGUACCGGUACACCUGAGUAGGUAAGGGGCUUUUUGGUAGUUUCUUACCUCGUGGACUUCACCUUUAUCCCUCCUUUUUAUACCAGUGUAGAGAGGAUGAGAGGGAGAAUUUAACGUGUUUUCUUUUCCUCUCUCUCUAGCUUGGUCCGGUGGUGGGGGAGCUCGGUUGGAGUUCGAGUGUCGCCGACGUCGUGCUGCGAUGCCGUUCGAGUGUGCGUUCGUCAUCGUAGCAUUGCGAGGAGGCCGGGCGAGGGUGCGAUUCCGCUGUUCUCAACGUCGCACCGGAUUGGGAUUAGCUUUUGAGGUGGGUUAAACGUUGGUUUAGCUUCUAAGUGCAUUUAUAUAGUCGGCAUGUGUGCGAGGUAGUAUGUUGUAUAUUGUAAUUGCUCAAUUCAUUGAUUUGGUAUAGUUGUUCAUAAAAUCUGAAUUGGAGCCUUGUCGUUUGCCUAUGUCUACUAGCACAUGUUGGACUUGGAUUUGACUUAGGAGAAAACCUGCGAUUCGAACCUGUCACAUGCUUAAACUACCUGAUUUAGCUCUAGGAGCCGUUGUUAUUUUGUAUCGCCGCAGUAUCAGUGUGGUGGAUACCCCAGGUAGUUUAGUUUUCUGUUACGCUCGUGCUGUGAUGCCGAGUGUAUUUUUACAGUAGCGUUCAGACUGUUCCGGACUGUUCGGUGCCGUCUGGAUUGACGGUGGACCCAUAACGCCAUUUUGGCGUCAGAUUGUGCCGAGGGCACGUGACCUGUUGGUUGUUAGACCAGUUGGACUUGAUUUACUUGACUUUAGCUUAUGAGAGCCUGAUUGAGCUCGACAGAGAUACGCCGCAUACUCGGUUGGGUAGCUCCCACGAGUGCCACUCCGGAGACUGGCGUUGUGCUUUUGCGUUGGUGUCGUUCGUGCAGGUUGGACUUGCUCUCCACGCACUGCUUAGUGUGGAGGUAGCUAUAUAGUCGCAACCGGGUGAGACGGGUGUGUUCACAGUCCCAGGGACGAGUAUGCUUACAGUCCCAGUGAGAUUGGGUCAGGAUUGACAUUUACUACAGUUGGUUAGUGUAGAGCAUGAUAGUGUAGUGGCUUGUAGCUGUAGAUUUUCUUCCAGCAUUUCCUACUAUCCUUGCUCCCUUCUGUAGACUUAGCAGGUAGACCGAUGUUGUUGAGGGCGGUUCCCACUGAGGACUACUUAUUUUUACAGUAGUUCUCACGCCCAGUUGUUAUCCUCUUUUGUAGAGCCUAUGGUUCUGGCUGCUGCUAUUUCUGAGACUGAUCGUGGCAAGAGCGUUACGAGCUAGAGCCCUGCUAGACGAGUCAUCGAGCUAGAGGCUUCCCAGCUGCAGGUAGUGGUGGUUUUUAUUUAUAUACAUACUUUUGUUGGGUCUCGCUGGUCGAGUUUUGUAUAUCAGAUAUUGUAUGUAUAGUGAACUGUCUUUUUCUACCUGGAUAUCUUUGUCUUCUAGCAGCUCUAUACUGUUGGUCAUAGUAUUGUAUGUUUUACAGGUGCAGCUAUCGCUUCGUAUACAGGAAAAUUUUUUUUGUAUAUGGCGGAUUUGUCGGCAGGCCCGAAGAACAUGAAAUCCAGGGCAUGACAGCCGCCGUCGCCCGCUCCGGCAGCCUGAAUAGAAAGAGAAAGGGGAAAAAGGACAUUUGUGAGGGCAUUUUUGCAGACAUAUACCAGUUGGAGCUUUUGGAGGCACAUAUUUGUGAGGGCAAAAAUAUCAUUUCACGAAUCUACUAUUAAAAAAUAAACAAUUCUCUAAUGGGUGUUAACCAGAGGGACAAAUCUGAAUACAUUACGACGUUUGUAGGGAUAACUUAUGAAAGUUGAACUUUGUAGGGAUAUAUUUGCAAUUCACCAUAUUUGCGGGAACCUGUAUGCAAUUAACCAUAUUUUAAAAUAUAAAAAAUUUUGGACCAAAAUGCCCUCCCAAUAAUCAAAUUUUUUUUACUGUUAGUAGGGCAAUUUGGUCCAAAAAGGAUAAAAUUAUUUCUCUUUCGAGGUCUGAUACCUUGGGAGAGGCUUAAGAUUGUGGCCGACCUUGGGAACAGCCCAAGGUCUGCCUCAAAGCAUACCUUGGGAGAAGGGGAAGCCCUUCUCCCUUCUCCCUUCUCCCAAGGUCAGCCCGAAUGCGCCAAACUCUAAGGCUUGACAAGCUAGUCUAGGGCCUUGGGGGUCGGGCCGUGCCAGGCCCCAUGUCCAACUAUUGGCCUGGCACGGCCCAAAUCUGUUGCGCGCCUUGUUGUGCAGGGUCGAUGGGCCAAAAAGUUUUGGCCCGGCACGGCCCAAUAUAGGAGGUCGGGCUAACACGACACGGUAUCUAUAGUAUCCGUGCCGGACAGCGGUCCUGUCCACUCUCGUGCCAGGCCGAGCAGUCCGCGGGCCAUCCGGCCCGUUUGACACCCCUAUCUUAACCCUACAAAUCUUCGUCUAAAAGUUGAAAAGCUACAAGUAUUAAUAACUUGGUGCUUUAAAAAGCACCAAGUUAUUGGAGAGUUUAGUAACUUGGUGCAGUUAUUUGUAUUCGAGAGUCUAGUAAUAAUAAAAAAAUCUCUUGGCUGUGAUGUCUCGCUUUCUAGAGGGUCACCCAUCCUAGGACUACUCUAUCCCUAACACACUUAACUCUUUUAAUCUCUUGGGUCUAGCCACCGCCUAAAAUACUAUAGCUGGGUUAAGAGUUUUAACCCUAUUAUAUCUCAUAUAGAAGACUAUGUGACGUCUCACAUUCUCCCUGUCUUUAAGCCAUGACGUCUUCGUCAAGUUUAAACUCAUAAGUACCAAGCGAUGUGAGAUUUGUCUCGUUAGUUUUAAUCGACCUUGUGUGGAAGCCAACGCUUAACUCACAAUAGUUAAUAGUAUGAGAUUCUCACUUUUUCCGCUGUAUAAUUCUGGAUCAGCCGAGACUCAUUUUAUACUUUUGGCUUGUAAUUUGCUCUGAUACCAACUGUGACACCCCACUUCUUAGAGGGUCACCGAUUCUAGAACCUCUCUAGUCCUAGUACGCUUAACUCUUUUAACUUUUUGAAUCUAAGUACCGCCCAAAAUACUAUAACCAGAUUAAGAGUUUUAUCCCUAUUAUAUCUCAUAUAUGGGACUAUUUGAAAUUUCAGAGUGGCUUCAGCACCGAAAAAAUAAAAUAUGAUUUAAGAUCUUGCUUUAAUAAGUAGCUCUAAUUAACUUGGAGCUUAAGGUACUACUUCUCUAGUGAAAAGUUGAUGGAGAGAAUUUAGUAAAGUGCUUUUCGUAAUCGCAGUUGCCAAAUAACACCUUAUCAAACAGGCACUUUAGUUUGUGACACAUUAAUUUUUUGAGUGGUCCUUUUGUAGAUGAUAUGGUAGCGAAUCUUUGUCCGGAUUAGCGCACUGUUACGUUUUUAGAAUUAAAGAACAAAAAGAAAAGGAACAAAUUAAGAAGGACUCUCAACUUGCAAUAUAAUAAGAUAUUCCAAUAAGAGUACAAACCCUACUAUAAGUUUAAAUAAUUGAUUGCCCGGGAACAAAGUUCAUGAGCCACCAACCAUUUAAUUUAUUUACUGUCUCAUAUAUAUAUAUAUGUAGUCAUACAAAUGAUAUUCUCCUCAAUGAUCUCUCCAUAUAUAGACCUAGCUAUGAGCAACAUAUAUAAUCCCUUAAUAUGUUGUAGAUUGCAAAAUUAUUAAUUUUCUUUUUUUUUUUAUUAUGCUGCGGUGACGGCAAUCUUCAUGCCAGAUUGGCAGUGGCCGGCGAAGCUGCAGAUGAAGUAGUUCGUUCCUCUUGCCAGUGUGAUACUGUCGCUGCCCGAGGUGUAGGUUUUGGAGCCUCGCGGCACCUUGCAGCUCUUGUAGCCCGCCGCGUUCACCGCAACAACGUUGUGUACCGACGGAUUGUACUUGAACACUGGGGCAAUCAUAACAAGUCAACAGUUACAAACGAGUUAAAAUUUGCGGGAUCAACGAGACGAGACGAGAUGAGAUGCAUAUGGAAUUGACAUGUGAAAUAACAAACACUAGGAUUUGAUCUAUUAAAUGUGCAUUAUUAAAGAUUAAAUCCAUAACCUUACAGAACUGAGUAGCGUAACCAAAAUGUUUCAAGAGCGCAAUUGUUAGAUAAGAAGCUAAGGGGAUAAAACUCACUAAGCACAUCGCCUGCCUUGAAGCGCUUUCCGCUUGGCCAGCCACCGGAGCUGAAGGUCCACCCACCGCUGUCUCCGACGGUGUACGUCGUCGCCGACUCGGCGAGCUCACCAUGCAUAACAAAGCAUAGCAUAACCAACAAGCCAAAAGCCACAACUUGGCUUGCACUACCACUUCCCAUGGCCAUGUGUGUAGCUCUUUACACUCAAUAUAGCAAAAGCAAAUUGAGAAGAUGAGUAAUUGAGAUUGUGUACAUUGAACCCUAGAGAGAAGGGUGGUAUUUAUAAGCAUGAGAGUGGAGGGAAAGUGAGUGGGGGUAGGGGAAAAAACUAAAUAAAUGGGUCCACUAAAGUGCUUUUUGGAAAAUAUAUGCCCUAAUUAGGGUUUACAUUACUUUAACUUGGUCAUUGAAAAGUUUGGCUAAUUGAAAUUGGCCAACCACCCACAAUGACAAAAAUUAAGGACCCAGGGUUAGUUGAUGAGAGAACUUUUAGUGUAUAUAAUAUAAAUAGUGAGUUCUUGUGUGUGAGACAUGUAAAGAGACAAUUUUAGUACAAGUAUUAGUUCAAUAUUGGGAGAGGUUUAAUUUUAGGGGUAUCAAUCAAUUGGGUGUGUUAUGUAUAUAUUGCUAUUAGAAUAAGACAUGUAAUUAAUUAAUUAACUGACCAUGCUUAAUUUCCCAAAUUUAGAGCUAUAACUAGUUCAUUUAUUUUGUUCUUUGAAAAUUUUAGGAAUGAACUGAGUUAGGAUUUAGAAUUUGGACUACUUCAUCCUUAAAACAAUUGGAAUCAAAAUUACUUAUUUAAUUAGGAAGGAAUUAAUGAAGUCUCAAAUUCUCCUCACCAUUCAUUCAAAGUUUGAAAUGCUAUAAAUUUUAUUAUAUAUAUGAACAAUCUAUUUAUUUUAAUCAAUUAUAAUUUUUAAUUAACUUUGUUAAACGCUGUCACCUUGUCAGCAUCACGCAGUAAAGGAAAAAAAGAAAAAAAAAAGAAAAGAAAAAUAUUUCUCCGGAACUUCGACUAGAUUGUAAAUCACCACCAAUUAGUUUUAGACAAUCAAAGGGGUUCAGCAUUUUUUCCUCUAACAUGAUGAUAAUUACAUGUCAACAAAGUUUGAAAAACUAAGAUUGACUAGUAGAUUGCACCUAAUUAAAGGUGAUUUUUAGUCAAACCAAAAUCCUCAGGUAUAUAUGGAAUCAUUAAUUAAUUCCAUCAUCUAUCUUAGCUUAAAGCGCCAGCAUAUUCGGUUUUGUGGUAGGAGAUUAAGUUAAGCUGAGUUAUGUUCAGAAUAGCGAGAGGUCGGGUUGGGCGAGUCAUAUUCAAAGGGGUGUGAGGCUGGUUGAGCAAAACCACAAUCGAGACCCGUAGACGCUAUGUCUGCACAUUUUAAGUUAAUUGAUUAUGUAUUUCUAAUAGCUAGAGUUUUUAGGACUAAUGAUUAGCGUCAACAAUCAGAUAAUCUACUUUUGUAUUUUUAUUAAUUUAUUUUGAUCAUUAAGUAAAUAGCUUCAAAAAUUAUGAAAUUUUACUUUGAAAAACUUCAAAUGCAUUAAACCCUAAUAAUGUCAGUAAUCAAUUUUUGUGCAUUAUUUCCAAAUUUACUAUUCAAAGCAUUCAUUUAGUCAAAGACCCACUACAUUUAUCACAAAGAUUAACUCAAUACAUUUGUAUAUUUACAAAGACAUAUAUAUAUAUUCUCACUAAAUUAAAUAGUUGCAAGUACUUUAUUACAUUAAUAGCAAUUCUCAUGCACCCAAAAUGCCCUAUAAAAAGGAGGACAAUAUCCUAUAAUGUGAACUAAAUAACUAGAGUUAAAAAAAAAAAAAAACUACAUAAAUAAUUUCCUAUAGUUUUAGUGCAAGAGGGGGAAAAAAGAAAAAAUAAAAAUAAAAAUGGGUGGGGUAAAGGGUGGUGUGACUCAAUCAUGGUGUGUUGGGUUAGGAUUAAUGCUUUGUUUUUGUUUCCUAAUUAAUCAACUUGAUGUGGUUGAGUCAACCACUUACAAUGUUGGGGAUAAUCUUGGUUGGGGUUUUAAUGUGAGUGCUUGGCCCAGUGGUAAAUCAUUCAAAGCAGGAGAUGAGCUUGGUGAGUAUAUCAAUUUUUUUUUCUUUUUUUUUUUGUUUUUUGGUUUUUUUUUUUUUUUUUUUUUUUUUUUAUUAUUUCUCUUCCCUUUUCGGCGAACUCGUGUGCGUCCGCGNCGUUGUAGAACUUUUUAAAUUUCAAACAGGACAUUAAAUCUAACAUCUAAAUUAUAUAACCACUAGCUAGUUUUUUUUUUUUUUUUUUUUUUUUUUUUUUUUUUUUUUUGCUUGGGUAAAUUACAUUUUUAGUUUUCAAAUUACAAGAACUAAAGCAAACUCUUUAAAGUAUUUAGAAUCUAAAAUAUAAAAUUUAAAAGUUUAAGAACUAAAGUGCAACUUUGGCCGAAAGUUUGGAAAGUAGUGGUUAUAUUUUAUUUAUUUGUUUUUUAUUUUUUACCUUUCCGUUACGCGGUAUUGUGGUUAGGAUAUGCAUGCUUAUCUUUUUAUAAUAUAUAUAUAGAGAGAGAGAAUAGAGCUACUAUGUGUUGAUACCAAAAUUGAGCCGACCUAACCCACGUAUGAGCCAAUAAAGACACGUGGUGCACCAGGAGUCGGCAAUAAGGCGCUUGAAGGACAAAAAGGCGGAAACGGUUGAAGAUUGGGGCGUAACUUCCAUGAGGAGUUAGCGUAACUUCCAUGAGGAGUUAGUAUAACUUCCACGAUCAUGGUUACAACCACUCUCCCCAACCUCUUUCAACCAACUAAUAAUGUGGGCUAUAAAUAGUAAUUUUGAAGCCUGCAAUCGGGGUUUUCGCCCCUGCGCACAAAAGACCACCCUUAUUUCCUCUGCAUUUUAUCGCUUUUCUAGGAGUAGUCUAAAUGUAAUCUUUUUCUUUUUCGCAUUUACUGCUUUCCUAGGAGUAGUUCUUGUAACUUAGAUUUUUGGAGUCUGUCUGUCCCAUGGGCAUCACUCCCUUCUAGAAUAUAUUUGGAGUCUGUCUGCCCUACGGGCAUCACUCCCUUGUAGAAUAUACUUGGAGUCUGUCUGCCCCACGGGCAUCACUCCCCUGUUCCUGUACUCUUUCCGUUUGCUAAUCAAUAGAAAGUCAUUUUCGGCUCUUCCUGCCGAUCAGAUCUUAAGUUGUUUAGCCAUUCGGCUCAUCUUUCAGUCGAAAUCUGGGUUUCCCUUCUCCAUUCGGCUCAUCCUGCUGAAGCGUAUUUAUUGCGGAGGAUUUUGAACCCGGCUGAUCCGAUCCCUCAUCGGCCUAAUCGCUUGAUCCUCUGUGGGCGCAUACUUCGAGGGUCAUAAUUUGCGGCCGUCUAGCAUCCCAACGAUCUUCCCAAGGAGAAUUAUUGACCGGGUCAAGGGUCGGGACGUUCGGCACGCAACACUAUGCUAUCGGAAAUAUAGAGGAUUUGAUACUUUCGAUUUUUUGGCCCUUAGAUCAACCAUUAUGAUAAUUUCUAAUUAAUCUUUGGAUUAAUACUAUUACUCGUUGGAGAUUACUCAAUCCUAGGGUUACUACUCAAUCCUAACUAGGGGGACCGCAAUCAUUCCAACCGUAGAAUUCUUGAUCCAAUGGUCAAAAAGUCGGAUGCAUUAUAUAUAAGCAUACCUAAAAUGAACAUGCAUAAAUUAACGUUUAGACUUAUUUGAAAGGAGUCCAGUUACUAUGCUUUUAGAAUGACAGAGGUCUCCAUCAUUUUUAAGUCAUUUUAGAUGAUAGAGAUCCUGAAUCGAUGAGCCGUUAAAAUUGAUCUAGAGUAUUUAUAACGCCUAGAAACUAAAUUUUAUAAAUUUUAAAAUUUGUUAUCAAGUUCAUUAAAGAGCAGAAAAAUAUAUGGUUAAAAACGAAUAACCUAGUGGAAAUAGAUAUUAGACUUUUUCAAUUCGUAAUCGGAGUUAUUGAAUAUUAUCUAAAUAGUACAGAUUUUUUUUUUUAUCAAACUGUUUGGACUGUUCUACACUGUUAAACAAACAAACGGCUUAUAUAGGCAGUCAAGAACUGUCGAUUUUGUGAUCCUUUGAUCACUACGUAAAUAAUUUUUAAAAUUAAUAAAAUUUAGUUUCUAAACACUUUAAAUACUCUAUAUCAACUUUAACGAUUCCGAUUAUUGAUUCGAAAUUUUUAUCAUCUAAAAUUAUUUAAGAGGACGAAAACCUCCAUACGUCCUAAAAGGAUAGCAGGAUUCAUUUAUAAGAGUUUUUUUUUUUGCACUUAAUUUAUAGGUCGCAUUUAUCCUUUUGCAUUAAAAAUUACAUCAAUCGCCUUCAUGCGCUUUAUCAUUGUUUGGAAAGGUCUAAAAUUUUUAAAUAAUUAGUGAAUUGUAUUAUAAACUCUAUUUGCUUAAAUAAUAAGUUACGAUGCCUGUUUUUUUUCUUGAAAAAUACAUAUCCCUACACUUAUACAUAAGUGUAAAUCUUAUAUCUCCAUCAGUUCAGAGUUCACAAAAAUUCAAAUAAAUUUUUAAUUAAAAAUAAAAAGAGUUCAUAAGACUAGUGCUGAAAAAUAAAAACAAGAAAAGAUUGAUGUGACAAGUAAGAAUUAAUAAUUUUUUUAGAUAAAGUGAGUGUAAGAUGUACACUUUAUUAUGGAGUGUUUCAGUAGUAUUGCUCUUAUUGUAUUGAUGUGAAUGCUCUAUUACAGUUUUCAGAUACCUGCCGGGUUUCCACGACGUUGUGGUCGUCGACGCAGACGGCUACAACAAGUGCCAGACGACGCCGGGCUCGAAGGUCUAUUUCUCGGGCAACGACACGAUAACAUUACUGGAGGGCGAUAACUACUUCAUUUGCAGCUUCCCUGACCAUUGCACGAUCAUGAACAUGAAGAUAGCAGUUCAUGCAGCUUAAUGAAUGAAUGAAUGAAUGAAUGAAUGUGUGAGUGAAAAAUAAAGAUUUAUAUGUUAAUAAAUUAAUUAUAUGGUUGAAAUAGUAAUCUUUGUUGUCCGAGGAUAUAUGAUUGAGAUUUAAGUGUUAUGUUUGAUUUGUUGUGGAAUUGGAGAAAUUAAUGCAUGGCAAGUUAAUGAAUAUCUACUAUUAUGUGGGGUAAAUGUAUAUAUUUUGCACAUCUUUAGUUUUAGGCUAAAAUACAAAAAAAUCUCUUGUAAAUAUUCGCUUUUUCAUUUUUUACUUUUUGACAUCUAGCNUUAUAAAAAAGUAAAGAUAAUUUGGUUAUUUGUCCUCUGUAUUAACGCUAUAACCCCCUCAAAAAAAUUUUGAAAUUUAAAAAAAACAAAAUGUAUAUAUUUUGCACAUCUUUAGUUUUAGGCUAAAAUACAAAAAAAUCUCUUGUAAAUAUUCGCUUUUUCAUUUUUUACUUUUUGACAUCUAGCAACCUACAUUUUGUUUUUUUUAAAUUUCAAAAUUUUUUUGAGGGGGUUAUAGCGUUAAUACAGAGGACAAAUAACCAAAUUAUCUUUACUUUUUUAUAAAUUUUUUUUAAUAUAUUUAUGUUGUUUUGAAGGAUAUUUUAGGUAUAAAUUAUAAGAAAUAGACGGAAUAGUGAUGGAACCCAGACGGAGCUGAGUAAAAUGUAAUGACUUGAAACAUUGAGACCGUAAAAUAGAGUUGAGCUGGAAUACUAUCGGUCGCAAACGGGCUCCGUUGCCAUCCAUUUGUUUUCGAUGAUGGACUCUUCAAAUCGAUGAUCGGUACCGUUGAAAAUGAUCUAUACCACUUAAACUAUCUAGAAAUCAAAUUUCAUACUUUUUCGAUAUUGUUCUCUUGUUCAUGAAGUGGGCGUAAAAAUAAACGGCUGAAAAUAAAUAUCUUCUAAAAAGUGAUGAUAGGAAUUUUGUAAUCAAGAUCAAGAGUAUAGAUCUUGUUCUAAACAGUUUAAAAAAUUUUCUAACAAAAAUUUAAUUGAUUUGGAUAUUUUUACGCCGUUAAACGAGAAAACGCCUUAUAUCGACCCUUAAAAUUACAAAUUUUGAAACCUUUUGAUUAUUAGGCAAAUGAUGUCGAAAAGAUUUGAAAUUUGAUUUCUAAACACUUCAAGUGGUAUAGAUCAUGUUCAAUGAUGUCGAUCGUCAAUUUGGAGGCUCCAUCAUCGAAAAUAAAUGGAUAGCAAAAGAGUCCGUUUGCUACUGAUAGCAUUCCAGCUCAACUCCCGUAAAAUAUAGAUUUUUAAAAGUUAGUGAGAAAAAAUAAAAAAAUAGAUAUUUAUGCGAAAAUUUUCUAUAAUUUAGCCUUAAUUUUAUUUAAAAUUAAAUGCAUUGGCGCAAAAAGUUUUAUAAUAAAGUCAAUAUAUAAUGAAAAAUAAAUAUAAAAAAUAAAGAUAUUAAUAUACUAAUUAUAUUUUUAUGUACUAUAAUAAUUCAAAACAGUAACUAUUUACAAACAAAAAGAAUAAAUUCAUUAUUAAUAAAAAGUAGAGGAAGGUCCGUACACAUACGAAAUACUUUGCAAUGCAAUUAAAAGAAUUGGCUGAAAAGAUAUUUAGUGAGUACUUUAAGUAGGAUUGGAUUGGACAUUUUUAGAGUUUUAAUAAUGUAUUAAUUAGGUAAAAAAUAUUUUUUAAAAAAGGUAAAAAUAUGGGAUAAAAAGAAUUUAGGAUUUUUUUUUUUUUUAAACAGUGUGGGUUCGAUAUGACCCGUUAUUGAUUUGAAGUGACUAAUAUCAGCUAAAUAGUUAAGAAACAAUUAAUGCAGCUAACACCAGCAACAUAAUUGACUCCUCUUAUUAGUGCCAAAAAUCAUCCUUGUGGAUAAAAUUAAUUAACAACUGUAAUUACACUUAAUAUUAAGCAACUACAUUAUCAAUUAAGAUCGAAUUUUGAAGGCAAAAAGUUUCUUCUAUAUUGCUGGUGUGGGUCCUUUGCUAUUUUUUGAUUUAUUAUGCUGGUGUUAGUUACUUAAUUAUAAUUAAUUGACGGAAUAUAGAACUAGAUGGUUAAUUAUAAUUAUAAUACAAAGAAAUUCAGUUUACUAUGCUGAAUUUUAUUUAAAUAGACUACAAUAUAGGUGAAUUUAGCACAAAAUAUUUUGGAUGCGUUUGGAUGGCUAAAUGAUAGUCUAGGGUCAAAUUUGGAUGAAAAUAGAUAGAAAAUAGAACAGGUUUUUGGAAACUACAAUUUCAGAGUCCAGACCCUACAUGGGAAGUCCAGACCUUGAACAGUUUUCGUGCAGCAUAAUGUUCAGGAUUCAGGCCUUGGGAAGGAAGUUUGGAUGGCGUAAAGUCUGGAGGACCCUGGAAAAUAAGUUCGGAUCUUGGCUGGGAAAUGCUCUGGAGGACCUUUGAAUUCAAAAUUCUUGGGGGAAGUCUGAACUCUCAGCUAUGAGAAGCUGAGUAUUAUGGGAGGGGGAUAUUUUAUGUCAAAUACUGGAACGACUCUUGGAUUAAGUUGUAAUUGUUACAACUACUCUUUAUAUACGGGACCGUCUCAUGAGAGAAUUUAGCCCUAAUCCCUUUUCCCUUUCACUCUUUUACUCUCUCCUCCCCAUCUAAUCCUCUCUCACUCUCUCCUCACUAGCUCCCCCUCCUACUUUUGAAGGAAGCAUAUGAAAGCCAAAUUCUUGCCUCAUUGGGAUGUGUAGGUGAGAGUAGAAGCUUCAAGAGAAGGAAACGAUAACCUCGGCCCAGGCGAGUUUUUCUUGGAGAAAAAGGAAAACUUUGUGAAUAAAGGUGACGACCAAGGAGCCGAUGAUGGGUACUCAGUUCGAAAUGGUCCUGCUCCACAUUUUGGGUUUUCUGUUCCUAUUAUUCUCUCUAUUCACUCUCGACAUGGCCGUGGUGCUCCUGAUAUAUAUUUGUAUGAGGAUAGAAUAGAUAUUGCAUUUCAAUUGUUAACUAAUAUGCCUAUCAUUGACACUAUACUUACUGAUAUUCACAAUUCAAUGUCUUUAUAUUAUACUUGAUCGUCUGUAGAGGCACUUGACAUACGAGGAUUAAACUUAGCCUUAUAAGGCCAACCAUUAUUGAGAACUCAAGAAGUAAACUUGCCUUGUAGAGGCACGUAUGAUUGAUAUUAGACUCAUUCUAGUUAGGAUCUUCUUAUGUGGAUUGUAUUAGUAGUAGUAGACAUCACCUUAUAUGGGCAUCAAGGCUUGACAUUGUCUUGUAGGGGCAUUGUGUCAUGCCUCGGGAUUGACAUCGGCAUUUCAGCACGAGCCUAAUCUCAACCCCUACACCAGUCUAAAUAUUCACGACGCACUAACAACGGUGAUACAAAGGAGAAAUCAGCUCCCAAAGUUAAAUUUGUUAACUUUUCGAAAAGUGACAUGUGUAGAUUUAAUAAGUUUUCUCCUAAGUCAAAUUUUAGUUCAACAUAUAAAACUUAUCUAAAAUCAUUAGACUAUACUUCAAAUUCAGAUUUCAUAUGAAAACAUACAAAUCCAUGAAUUCGAGCUACUAACAAGAUGAUAGAACCCAAAUAAAAGUAUGCUGAAAUUCUCUACAACUUAUGAGGAAUUCCGAAGUAUUCAGUCGACAUUAACCCACCUUAAACAUGAGUCCAACGAUGGCAAGAAGUCGAUAGGAGAGCUUAAGGAUCACUCCCAACUCAAAAUCGCAGUCAAUACCCAAGACCACAGGAUUCGGGCCCUCUAGUCGAGAGUUAUGGGUGCCCAGAUGCAGAGCCCAGAACAGUAGCCUGGCAACUUCAACCUACAGGGGUUCAACAUGGAAUUUAACCCAAAUUUUCAGAUACAAAUGCAGUGAAACUUCACCCAACUCACCUCAAAAGGUUAGAGAAUAAUUCCCCAGCUUCCUUACCAAAAUUGAGCUCAAAUCAAUCACCAAAAAGCCGUCACAAGGAUUCGGACCCAACUUUUGGAUGCCGAGAACCUGCAUCUAGAAGUUCAGCACAAGAGUAAAUUAUGCAACUCGGCUCAAUUUUGGAAUUUCCAACUUGAAGCUCCAAUAAGGUUGGGUCCAAACCUUUUACAAGUGAGGGAAAAACACCUCCAAGAAUUAGCUCUUUACAAAGAUCUAGAUAUACAACAUUCAAAAAUCUCCAUUAACAUUCAAAAAUAUUGCACUUAUAGCUCAAUUCACCAAAAUCUGAACUAAACUUACCUUGAGGUCUGUAUUCAGGUGGGGAAUCCCUUCUAAACUAGUGGGGGAUGAUGGAAAACCAAAUCCAACUUCAAAAAUAUAGCUUCCAAGACAUUCGGAUCUAAGAAAAUUAAGAAAACUUCAAUUUCAGCUCAAAAAUACUAAAAUCCUAGGAAAAAUAGUAAUUCAAGCUUACAUACCUAAUUAAAUUGCUGUUGGAAUGGUUCAACACACUCCCCCUUAAGUCCACAACCCACGAAAUCAAGUUUCACUGCAAUUGGAUGCCUCUAUGCUGCACACGAGCUGAAGAUCCCAAGGUUGUUGCUGGAUUUCUCUAGAAUUUCUAAGUCCUCAAUGGUAAAAAGUGAAAUUUGAGGGAUUUGGAUUGGGGUUUCAUGCAAAAUCCAGAGCUCCCUGUGAAGAAGAGGAGAAAAGAGUUCAAGGAGAACGUCCAAUUGCUUUUAUAGAGGUGUUGGUUAGGUACAAUAAGACUCAAGAACAAUGAAUGCAAACCUGUUACUCUAUUGUAAUCUCAAGAUUUGGCCGCCCUAAACUGAGAACUGGGCACCCAGAUUCUCCAACCUGCACAAUUCAGCACUUCGGGUUUUCAGCACGGCGCUUCGGUAUGCCGCUAUCCAGUUCCGGCGGGUCUCACCUACCAAGGCCAUGCGUCAACACGUUCAAUAUUCACGAGGUGAACAUUCGGACCCACUGUUGAACGCUCUAAACUGGAUCCAAAACGACUGAACUAAUGCAUAUAUAUACAAUACAACACUCUGAAUCUGGGCGCCCUAAAUCACUUCUGGGCGCCUAAACUGUCAGAACUUCAGUUUUGGCUUAAUUGAGUGCGCCGAGUCUAGUUUUGCGACCAUUUUACGCCAAAACAAUUCCGACUCAUCUCGAUACUACACAGAUGUGUCGAGUGGCCACUGAUAUUGUUGUCAUUCUGAUAGUUACGCCCAAGGGGCACUACAAGUACGGCUUGAGGACGCUUUCUAGGGAUGCUUGGAGAUGCUUUUCCCAAGCGCCAUCCAAUUAAAAGACAUCCUUAUUAUAAUGAGAUGUCCUUUUAGUGUGUUUGGCGAAUAAAUGAAAAUACUUUAGUAACUUAUGUUGGAAAUUUAUAUGUCAAUAGUAUUUUGUGAAACAAUAAAUGAGAUAGUAGAGAUUUGGUAUAAACUAGCGAAAAAAUGUUCAAACAUUCUAUGGACUUUAGAACUUUGUUAAACUUUUAAUUUAACAAUUAUACUCUGCUAAUUAAACUUCAUCAAGUUAAUUAGUCAAGUCAUCAUUUCUAACUCUUAAACAAAGUUACUAACUAAACAUUUAGUGAAAAAGUAUCGAGCAAUUAAUACACAUUUUACAUUUAUUUACUUUCAUACUAAGACUGAAAUUUAAAAUUAGGUAACACAGUAAAUUAAAUACAUGGGGAUGCAUGGUUAUGCUAUAUAUUCAUAGAUAAAAUUGUAUAUUUAUAAUAACGACAGGGAGAUAACAAACAAUUACAAACCAUUUUAAAUAGGCCAAGUGUUUUUGCAGUGUGAAAAACUCAAUACAUUUAUUGCAAAGAUAUUCUCACUAAAUUAAAAGGGAGAAUCAACCAAAUCUCUUGGUACAUUAAUUAUUACUCACAUGCACCCAAAUGCACUUUAAAAGUAUUUGGUAGAUUUAUAGGAGUUUGGUGGUUGUUCGACGUGGACCAGAGUAGCAUUUUUGGCCUUCAAAAUAUUUUCUUCCGAAUAAAUAAAUUAAUUCGUAGAAAACUUAUGUCAUCUCUUAACAAAUCAUAGAUAGAAAGAUCUUUCAAGAGCAAAAGUUAAACUUCUAUCUUUUAAUCACGCAACAAAUUUUUAUUCUGAAUAAAAUAUUCUUACGUAACGCAAUUAUUUAGACAUUCAGAUAAGGCCUUUAAAAGGGGCAAAAAUUUUCUGGGCAUCGCCCCCAAACAAGUUGUUUAGGGACGAUGCCGUGGCGCCCAUCGCGACCCUCGGAAACCCAAAAAAAAUUUAAAAAAAAAUUAUGAACUCCAUUUUUUAGAGAGAGAGAGAGAGAGAGAGAAAAGUUGGAGGAGGGGAGAGAAGGGCGAGGAUGGGCAUCCUCCCCAAACUUUUAGUUUGGGGAGAAUGCCCAUACAAUUUUUGCCCCUUUAAAAGUACAUAGCAUUUAAUAGACGAGGAACGCGUUAAAAUGUUAAAAAUGAAUACCUUAUUCGGCUUUUAAAUUAUUUUUCUUUUUUUGUGACAACUCACAUGAUCAGUGACAUAUGGUAUCCUGCCCAAUUAUAUAUGUCAAGACUUUUUGUGGAGUAAAAAUCAAACUCAUUACUCCUAAUUAUAUUUAUAAAAAAAAAUCUUUAUUACAAAUUAAUGAGUUAUCUCAGGAAAACUUAUUCAGGCAUCCAAUUAAGGCACAGAUUUAUGUGGAUUAAAGUUAAUUCAAAAGUAGAUAAUCUAGUGAAAUGAUAAUUUUAUCCCAACCAUAUUUCAUAUUAUUUAACCCCUUAUUUAGUGCAUACUUAGUUAUUUAAUAGUUUAUGGUGUGAUUUUCUUAAUUUCUUGCCAAGUAAAUGGUCUAUUACAUCAUCUUUUAAUUCUUGUUUUAAACAAAUCUAAAAAAGGGUAAAAACUGCUCACUUUAGAUGAUUUUACCUGCCUAAUUCCUUUAUUAGGGGCUGUUUGGUUGCAUGUAGUUACAAUUACACUGUAAUUAUAACUGCAUGUAAAUAAAAAUUAGGUAUUUAAUUUGAUGUAUUUAAUUUCAAUUACUGUAGUAGGAACUACAGGAGGAGACCCAACUGCUAUAGUUGGAGAUAGUAACUUUAAGCAAAAGUUAAUUAAGCUUACAUAGUUAAUUAUUUUUUAAACAAAAAAUAUUUUUCUUUUCUAUAUUGGAGGUAAUCUUACCAUCAAAUAUAUAAAAAUGAUAACAUUUUAAAAUUCAUUUCCCAACUGCAUGCAACCAAACAAAUUAUUUAUAGUUACAACGCUUUCUACUACAUCAAACCAUACAGGAUACAUCCAGUUACAACUGUUGUAUUUCCAACUGAAUUUGUAAUAACAUCUAACCAAACAGCCUCUUAAAAAAUUUUCCAUAUUUGCAGGAGUUUACAUACGCAAGAAAAUGUUUCUUUAUUAUUAAGAAGCCGUCACAGAUAUCUUCAUGCCGGACUUGCAGUGGUCAGCGUAGCUGCAGAUGAAAUAAUUGGUCCCCCUGCCGAGGGUGAUGCGGUCGCUGCCGGACGUGAACACCCUCGCCCCCGUCGGAAUCGCGCAGCCGUUGUAGCCAUUGCCAUCGACGGCGACCACGUUUUGCGACAUUGGGUUGUAGUUAAAUACUGCAAUUUUGUGCCAAAAUCCAAAAAAAAAAAAAAAAAUCAGAUUGCAAGAUCUAUACUCUGGAUCUUGAUUAUAAUGAUCCUAUCGUCACUUUUUGAAUAAUAUUUACUUUAGCUGUUUAUUUUGUGUCACUUGAUGCACAAAAAAAUAAUAUUGAAAAAAUAUAAAAUGUAGAUUNGAGUAAUCUUUUAUUUUUGGUUGGAUUGGGCUUUAUAUUUAGGCAUUAGUAGAUAUUUUUUUAAGUUUUAGCAUAAAUAAGACACUUACUCAAAAGUGUCCCAAGCAUGUGUCCUUAUAACCUAAUUCUAUUGUAGUGAAUGAGUUAUCUCAGGAAAACUUAUUCAGGCAUCCAAUUAAGGCACAGAUUUAUGUGGAUUAAAGUUAAUUCAAAAGUAGAUAAUCUAGUGAAAUGAUAAUUUUAUCCCAACCAUAUUCCAUAUUAUUUAACCCCUUAUUUAGUGCAUACUUAGUUAUUUAAUAGUUUAUGGUGUGAUUUUCUUAAUUUCUUGCCAAGUAAAUGGUCUAUUACAUCAUCUUUUAAUUCUUGUUUUAAACAAAUCUAAAAAAGAGUAAAAACUGCUCACUUUAGAUGAUUUUACCUGCCUAAUUCCUUUAUUAGGGACUGUUUGGUUGCAUGUAGUUACAAUUACACUGUAAUUAUAACUGCAUGUAAAUAAAAAUUAGGUAUUUAAUUUGAUGUAUUUAAUUUCAAUUACUAUAGUAGGAACUACAGGAGGAGACCCAACUGCUAUAGUUGGAGAUAGUAACUUUAAGCACAAGUUAAUUAAGCUUACAUCGUUAAUUAAUUUUUAAACAAAAAAUAUUUUUCUUUUCUAUAUUGGAGGUAAUCUUAAUUACCAUCAAAUAUAUAAAAUGAUAACAUUUUAAAAUUCAUUUCCCAACUGCAUGCAACCAAACAAAUUAUUUAUAGUUACAACGCUUUCUACUAUAUCAAACCAGAUAGGAUACAUACAGUUACAACUACUGUAUUUUUAACUGUAUGCAUUUUGAACUAUACUGCACUUGUAAUAACAUCUAACCAAACAGCCCCUUAAGAAAUUUUACAUAUUUGCGGGAGUUUUCAUACGCAAGAAAAUGUUUCUUUAUUAUUAAGAAGCCGUCACAGAUAUCUUCAUGCCGGACUUGCAGUGGUCAGCGUAGCUGCAGAUGAAAUAAUUGGUCCCUCUGCCGAGGGUGAUGCGGUCGCUGCCGGACGUGAACACCCUCGCCCCCGUCGGAAUCGCGCAGCCAUUGUAGCCAUUGCCAUCGACGGCGACCACGUUGUGCGACAACGGGUUGUAGUUAAAUACUGCAAUUUUGUGCCAAAAUCCAAAAUAAAAAAAAAAAUCAGAUCGCAAGAUCUAUACUCUGGAUCUUGAUUAUAAUGAUCCUAUUGUCACUUUUUGAAUAAUAUUUACUUUAGCCGUUCAUUUUGUGUCACUUGAUGCACAAAAAAAUAAUAUUGAAAAAAUAUAGAAUAUAGAUUUUAUUAUUUGUUUAAGACUUAGUUACGCGAAAGCAAAUACUCAAAAAUACAAAUACAGCACUAAAAGUUGGUAUUUGUAUGCAUAAUUCUGAAUAAUCGUUCUUAUUUAUCAACGCACCCUUGAAAAUAUAGGCAUUUAAAUAGAAAAAAAAAUGUAAAUUAAUUAUCAAGAUGUGAAAAAGAGAACCUGGAUUAUUUACGUACAAGCCCUUACAAUAUUAAGGCGCUUAUAAAAGAGGAAAUUCUUUUAAAUAUUCGGGUAGAUGCUGAUUAGUAUUAAAUCUCUGGUCCUUUAGUUUGAAUUGGUAGUUGAUAAAAUUAAAGCAAAUUUUAGUUUUGAACAAUAUAUAUGUUUCCUCUUCAUUUGCUUAUUCAUGCAUAUCAAUAUAGAAAUAUGAACUUAAACGGUAAUGAUGAUUUUCAUGUACACGUACGUAUGAAAGUAAUAAUUUUGUGAUUUGUAGGCAGGGACGAAGCCAGAAAUUAAGAUUCGGAGGGGCCCGAGAUUUAAGUUCAGCAAAAAAAAAAAAAAUCAACCUCGAAUAAUAAGAAAAGGAGUUUAUCAGGUUCACUGGUCAUCUAUUGCUAGCGACAACAGCAACAAUAUACUCAAGAAGGAGUUAGAUUAUAAGAGCGGAAGGAAAAUGACCGAGGAGUUCGAAAACAGAUUGAUGGGGACUAUGGCCACCGUGAGCCUCAUUAUGGCUCCGUUUCUGUUGUAGGUACGGACAAAUAUAUGUAGAAAAAAAGAUACCGAGGAUGUCGCCAGCGCGGAAGGUCUUUCCGUUGGGCCAGUUGACGGCGUUGAAGGUCCAGCCGCUGCCGUCGCCCACCGAGUAAGUGGCGGCGCCGACGAUAGGCGCCGUCAUUUGGAUCAUGAGGAGGAAGAAGAGAAGGCCCAGCCCAAGAACUAGGGUUGCACUGCCCCUUCCCUGUGCCAUUCUCACUACAACAAAAUUAGGUUAUAGGGACACAUGUUUUGGACACUUUUGAGUAAGUGUCUCAUUUAUGCUAAAACUUAAGAAUACAUCUACUAAUGCCUAAAUAUAAAGCCCAAUCCAACCAAAAAUAAAAGAUUAUUCUACUCAACCCAUCACACCCAGUCCAUUUGGCUCGAUUACAAACAGAAAAGAAAAAAAAAGAAAAAAUCAAUUACCAUCUUUUCUUCUCUUUUCACUCAAUCUACUGAAAUUCUAGACGAAAAGCCUUUACUGUCGUCCUCCUCCGCCACCGCAGCCAACGAGAUAGAGUUUCGGCGGUUGCUAAAUGCUUAAAUAAAUGUUGGUAAAUUAGCAGCACUCUUUUAGGUUAUAGUGACACUCUUUAAUUGUCACUAUAUACCUAGCGACCCCACAUAUAGCAACACUUUUUAAAAGUGUCGGUAAUUUUAGCUAGUAGCACUUUUUUGACAUGUACCUACAUUUAAAAGUGUCGCUAUAAACCGUUUUUGUUGUAGUGUCUAUGCAAGAGAUAGAGAGAGAGAGAGAGUAUUAAUGAAAAAAAAGUAAACUUCAAAUACCCUUUAUGGUUUCACACUUUCUCAUUUUAGUAACAUGUGGUUUAAAAUGUAUCAAGUUAGCCCAUGUGGUUUCACACUUUCUCACUUUAGUACCCUGUGGCUUAAAGUGUAUCAAGUUAAUACCCUUUGAUUUCAUUUGUCAUUUUUUAUUAUCCAUUUCUAUAAUUUUUUUCAUUAAAUCAGUGACAAAGUUAAAAUUAAAGGGUAGUAAAGUAAAUAUUCGAUAAACCUAGGUAGUGUAUUUGAAGUUUUUUAUAUAUAAUUUAAUGAAAUAUUAACGGAGAAAAAAAAAUCAGUGACAAAGUUAAAACUAAAGGGUACUAAAAUAAAUAUUCGAUAAACCUAAGUAGGGUAUUUAAAGUUUUUUGUAUAUAAUUUAUAAAAUAUUAACAGAGAAGCCGACGAAAAGAUAAAAAUGAAACUACAUAGUACUAAAUUGAUGUACUUUAAACCACAGGAUAUUAAAGUGAGAAAGUACGAAACCACAGGGUACUAAAUUGAUAUACUUUAAACUACAGGGUGCUAAAGUGAAAAAGUGCGAAACCACAGGGGUGAUAUUUGAAGUUUUCCCUAAUGAAAAUUAUGAUUGUGGAGAUUAAUUCCUGAUAAUAAGUGUGAAAUGUUGGUUUAUAAAGGCAAUUAAGCCAUCAUAAGGGAGAAAGAUUAAUACAUUCACAAUGCCAAUUCAAAAAUAUAAAAAUACUUUUCUUUUCAUAAAAUUAAGGCUAAAUUAUAGAAAACUCUUUUAUAAAUAUCGGUUUUUUCACUUCCCUCCCUAAUUUUCAAAAAUUUACAUUUUACUCCCUCAAUAUUUUAAGUUAUUGCAUUUAGCUCCCUCUUCGCUAGAGUUUUAUCACUAUUCUAUCUAUUUCUUAUAAUUUAUACUGAAAAUUUGAUCAAUUUAUUUUUUUCUCAUAGAAGAAAUAAGGACAAUUUGAUCAUUUGCCCUCUCCAUUAAUGUUGUAUCCUUCCAAAAAUAUUUCUGCAAUUUUAAGAGGGGUAAAAAUAUAGUUUUUUGAAGUUAGGAACAAAAAGUGAAAUAUUUACAUGAAGAUUUUCUGUAAUAAACAAAACUUCUUUCAAAAUAUUGUCUUAAAAAAGAUUAAAUAGACGAAAAAUAUUUUUUGCCAAAAAUUAUUUUUUAAAAUAUUUUCAGCAGUGAACCAAACACCCUUCCAUAGACAAUAAUAAUAACUAGCGUAGUAACCCGUGCGAUGCGAAAAGUAGAUAAUUGAAAAAAAAUAAAAAACGUUGAAAAAAGAAAAGAGAAAACAACAAUGAAAAACAAUAAUAAGGGAUGAGAUUUAUCUUGCUGAUGAACGAAGAUAACAGUCGAAGGAAGAGGAAGAGGAAGCGGAAGGACUUGAGCUGAUUCGAGAUGGAAAAUCACACUCAACCACGAAGGAAAAAUUAUCGAUCAUAUGGCAAUUAAUUUUAGGAGAAAUAAUGUAUAGUUAUAAAUAAUUGAUUAAUAGUGGUGGCUUAAUUAUUAAAUAACUUGGGCUACAAAUUAUACAAAUGCGAUGAGUUGUUGAGGACAAAAGGAGAGACAAAAAUAUUGCUUAUAAUAAUGGAAGGAACAGGACAAGAAUCUCGUGACAAAACCAAAUUACGUACGGCGCAACGGCUACAUGCGUAUGUGUGAUUCUAUAUGGAUUCGUCCUGUAUUAGGAUAUCAAUGGGUCGAUUCGGAUUGGAUACGGGACAGAUUUUUCAAAAUUUAAAUUCAAAUUCGAUCACCAAAUUCAAAAUUUGAAUCGAAAUUCAGAUCAGAAUUCGACGGAUUUUAAAAUUUUAUAUCCAAACAAGAACUCGAUCGAAGGUAAUUAAUCUGAAUCCUAAACAAUUAUUUUUCUUUACCGUACUUUCAAAUAUAUUACAUUAAUCGAAUAUAUAUAUAUAUAUAUAGAGAGAGAGAGAGAGAGAGAGAGAGAGAGAGAGAGAGAGAGAGAGAGAGAGUCCGGCUACUAUAUUCUUAUGAGUACGAUUGCGCUCGUACUCAUAAGUUAUUUUCGAUGAUAGAGCUUCCGAAUCGACGAUCCACACCGUUAAACAUUAUCUAGAACAUUUAAAACAUGUAGAAAUCAAAUUUUAUAAUUUUUUGACAUUAUUUACCUUAUGGUCAAAAGGUCAAAAAAUUGACAAUUUUUAACGACCGAUAUGGAAUAUUUGCUAGUUUAACGGUGUAAAAGAAUUGAAAUCAGUUGAAUUUUUGAUAGAAAAUUCUAUUCACUACAUAGAUAAAAAUCAAUAACUCCGAUCUUAAAUUGAAGGAUCUGAUCAUUUAUUUUUAAGACGUUGUUUGAUUUUGAUCGUUUAUUUUAUACCCACUUGAUGAACUUUAUUAUGAUUUCAAAACAUUACGAAAUUUAUUUUUUAAAGAUUCAAAUACUCUAGAUCAUAUUUAACCGAGUGGAUUGUCGAUUCGGAAGCUCGAUAAUUGAGAACAACUUACGAGUAUGAAGGGCUCUAUACUGAUAAGAGUAUAGUAGCCCUAGCCACAUAUAUAUAUAUAUAUAUAUAUAUAUAUAUAUAUAUAUAUAUAUAUAUAUAUAUAUAUAUAUAUAUAUAUAUAUAUACAGUUUACGUAUCAUUUGACAUCAUAUUACGUUAAAUUUGUACACUCUUUUAAUGUCAUUUAUUGCUCUUAUUUUAUUUGCACCAAAUUGAGAUUAAUACAAAAAUUGAGAUGAUGGAUAUUUAGUUGGAGAUGAUCACUCACCCAUUUAGGNAUAUAUAUAUAUAUAUAUAUAUAUAUAUAUAUAUAUAUAUAUAUAUAUAGUCUGAUUGGGAUACUAUCGAUAGCACCAAACACUUGGUGCUAUCGAGUUUUCCGCCGUCAGAUUUAAUCCUUUGACUAUUUUUAUCCGUUAGAUUAUACUAUUCAACCAACGGCUCACUCAAUCCUAGGAGGCCCACAUCAUCCUAACUGUACAUUUCUUUAUCAAAGGGCCAAAAACUUAAUAGCACCAAGGGUAGGUGGUGAUAGAUGGAAUAGUAUUUCAUUCAAAGACUAUAAUUAGUUAAAGAGUAGAUUUAAGGGUUAGAAACCUAGAAGCACGAAGGGAUUGGUGCUUCUAGGUGUAUAUUCUAGCUCAACUCUCUCUCUCUCUCUCUCUCUCUCUCUCUCUCUCUAUAUAUAUAUAUAUAUAUAUAUAUAUAUAUAUAUAUAUAUAUAUAUAUAGAACUAGGCUGGGAUACUAUUAAUACCACAAAGUUAUUUGUGCUAUUAGUUUUUUAGCCCUUGGAUUGAGAAAUGUGUGGUUAGCAUGAUAUGAUAUGGGCCUCCUAGAGCUGAGUGGGUGGUUGGUUGAAUAGUACAAUCUAACGGGUAAAAAUAAUCAAAGGGUUAAAUCUAACGGUGAAAAACUCGAUAGCAAAGUCUUGGUGCUAUCGAUAGUAUCCCAGCCGGACUCUAUAUAUAUAUAUGUUAGGGCUACUAUACUCUUAUUAGUAUAGAGCCCUUUAUACUCAUAAGUUUUCGGCCAUUAGAUGAAGAGAUGUGCGGUUAGGAUAAUACUGGUACUCGGUUAGGAUGAUAGUGGUCCUUUAGGAUUGGAUGAGUGGUUGGUUUAAUAGUAUGAUGUAACGGAUGAAAAUAAUUAAAGCGGUAGAUUUAACAAUUGAAAACUUAUGAGUAAAAUGUGGUCUAUACACAUGUAAAGUAGCCGAAAUCUAUAUAUACAAAGAGCUAAGCUAGUAUACUAUCGCCUAUCGGUAGCACGGAGGCCUCCGCGCUACCAAAUUUUUUUUAAUGAUGUGCCUUCCAAAUCAACUAUCAGCUCUGUUAGACUUGAUCUAUAUUAUUAAAAAUAUUUAGAAACUAAAUUUUAUAAUUUUUCGACAUCAGUUGACUAGUGAUCAAAAGGUUUCAAAAUUGACAUUUUUAAAGGUCGAGGUGAUAUGUUUGUGAAUUUAACUGCGUAAAAGAAUCCAAAUCUAAUGAAAUUUUUAUAGAAAAUUCUUUUCACUAUUUAUAGUACGAUCGGUAUUUCUAAUCUUAAAUUCAAGUCUUUUAUCAUCAUUUUUUUAUGAGACUUCUAUUUUCAAUUGUUCAUUUUUAAACUACUGGUUUGAAAGAUAAAUGAUCUCAAAAAAUUAUAAAAUUUAGUUUCCAAAUACUUUCAAUAGUAUAGUUCAAGUCUCACGGAGACAAUUGUUAAUUUGGAAGCCGCAUCAUUGAAAACAAGUUGGUAGCACGAGAGCCUCUGUGCUACCGAUAGGCGAUAGUAUAUCAGCCGGACUCAUAUAUAUAUCUCCAUAUAAUUAUUAUUUACUGAGGAAUUUUUCGUAGGCAUAUAUAUGUAUAUUUAUAAAAAAGAAAAAAAAGAAGAAGCACAUGAAAUAACAAUGGUACAAAUAUAUUAUGCUUCCAGAAACAGUGACAAUAAAUCACAAUCACACACACANNNNNNNNNNNNNNNNNNNNNNNNNNNNNNNNNNNNNNNNNNNNNNNNNNNNNNNNNNNNNNNNNNNNNNNNNNNNNNNNNNNNNNNNNNNNNNNNNNNNNNNNNNNNNNNNNNNNNNNNNNNNNNNNNNNNNNNNNNNNNNNNNNNNNNNNNNNNNNNNNNNNNNNNNNNNNNNNNNNNNNNNNNNNNNNNNNNNNNNNNNNNNNNNNNNNNNNNNNNNNNNNNNNNNNNNNNNNNNNNNNNNNNNNNNNNNNNNNNNNNNNNNNNNNNNNNNNNNNNNNNNNNNNNNNNNNNNNNNNNNNNNNNNNNNNNNNNNNNNNNNNNNNNNNNNNNNNNNNNNNNNNNNNNNNNNNNNNNNNNNNNNNNNNNNNNNNNNNNNNNNNNNNNNNNNNNNNNNNNNNNNNNNNNNNNNNNNNNNNNNNNNNNNNNNNNNNNNNNNNNNNNNNNNNNNNNNNNNNNNNNNNNNNNNNNNNNNNNNNNNNNNNNNNNNNNNNNNNNNNNNNNNNNNNNNNNNNNNNNNNNNNNNNNNNNNNNNNNNNNNNNNNNNNNNNNNNNNNNNNNNNNNNUAACUAUAUAUAUAUAUAUAUAUAGUCCGGCUGCUAUACUAUCAGUAGCACGGAGACUUCCGUGCUACCAAGUUGUUUUCGAUGAUGCGGCUUCCAAAUCGACGAUCGGCUCCGUUAGACUUGAUCUACACUAUUAGAAGUAUUUGAAAACUAAAUUUCAGAAUUUUUCGACAUCAUUUAGCUAGUGAUCAAAAGGUCUUAAAAUUGAUAAUUUUAAUGAUAGAUGUGAUGCAUUUGUAAAUUUAACGAGGUAAAACAAUCCAAAUCAGAUGAAAUUUUUAUAGAAAAUUCUUUUUACUAUUUAGAGUAAGAUCAAUACCUCUGAUCUUAAAUUUAAGUCUUCUAUCAUCAUUUUUUAUGAGAUUUUUAUUUUCAGCCGUUCAUUUUUAGACUACUCGUUUGAUAGGUAAAUGAUAUCGAAAAAUUAUAAAAUUUAGUUCCAGAUACUUUCAAUAGUGUAGAUCAAGUCUAAAAGAGCCGAUCGUUGAUUUGGAGGCGACAUCUUUGAAAACAACUUGGUAGCACGAAGGUGUCCGUGCUACCGAUAGUAUAGCAGCCUAGCUCAUAUAUAUGUCAAAAUGGAUGGUGGAAAUUGAAUAAUAUUUAAAAUUUGAGUAUAGGACUUUUAAAUUCAAGAUCAAGAAUGUUAAUUUUAAUCUAGAUAGUUUAAAGUAUUUUAUAUCAAAAUUUGAAGAAAUUUAGAUUCUUCUACACCGUUAAACUCGAAACUCGCCAUAGUAGUCAUUGAAAAUUGAUAAUUUUGAAAUGAUUUGAUUAUAAAGUAAACUAUGUCGAAAAAAUAUAAAAUUUUAUUUCUAAAAAUUUUAAAUACCCUAAAUCAGUUUUAACGGUGUGGAUCGUUGAUUUGAACACCCUAAAAUCGAAAACGAAACUAUAGUACCGGAGCCCCGGUACAAUAAAUAGUAUAGGAGACUAGCUAUAUAUAUAUAUAUAUAUAUAUAUAUAUAGUCUAGCUAUGGUGCUUCUAAAAGCACCAAGCACUUUGUGCUUAUAAGUUUUUUACCGUUAGAUCUACUCCUCGGAUCAUCUUCAACCAUUAGAUUAUACUAUUCAACCAACCACCCACUCAACCCUAGGAGGCCCACAUCAUCCUAACCGCAUAUCUCUUAAUCCAAUGCUAAAAAUCUAUAAGCACCAAUAACUUGGUACUUUUAAAAGNNNNNNNNNNNNNNNNNNNNNNNNNNNNNNNNNNNNNNNNNNNNNNNNNNNNNNNNNNNNNNNNNNNNNNNNNNNNNNNNNNNNNNNNNNNNNNNNNNNNNNNNNNNNNNNNNNNNNNNNNNNNNNNNNNNNNNNNNNNNNNNNNNNNNNNNNNNNNNNNNNNNNNNNNNNNNNNNNNNNNNNNNNNNNNNNNNNNNNNNNNNNNNNNNNNNNNNNNNNNNNNNNNNNNNNNNNNNNNNNNNNNNNNNNNNNNNNNNNNNNNNNNNNNNNNNNNNNNNNNNNNNNNNNNNNNNNNNNNNNNNNNNNNNNNNNNNNNNNNNNNNNNNNNNNNNNNNNNNNNNNNNNNNNNNNNNNNNNNNNNNNNNNNNNNNNNNNNNNNNNNNNNNNNNNNNNNNNNNNNNNNNNNNNNNNNNNNNNNNNNNNNNNNNNNNNNNNNNNNNNNNNNNNNNNNNNNNNNNNNNNNNNNNNNNNNNNNNNNNNNNNNNNNNNNNNNNNNNNNNNNNNNNNNNNNNNNNNNNNNNNNNNNNNNNNNNNNNNNNNNNNNNNNNNNNNNNNNNNNNNNNNNNNNNNNNNNNNNNNNNNNNNNNNNNNNNNNNNNNNNNNNNNNNNNNNNNNNNNNNNNNNNNNNNNNNNNNNNNNNNNNNNNNNNNNNNNNNNNNNNNNNNNNNNNNNNNNNNNNNNNNNNNNNNNNNNNNNNNNNNNNNNNNNNNNNNNNNNNNNNNNNNNNNNNNNNNNNNNNNNNNNNNNNNNNNNNNNNNNNNNNNNNNNNNNNNNNNNNNNNNNNNNNNNNNNNNNNNNNNNNNNNNNNNNNNNNNNNNNNNNNNNNNNNNNNNNNNNNNNNNNNNNNNNNNNNNNNNNNNNNNNNNNNNNNNNNNNNNNNNNNNNNNNNNNNNNNNNNNNNNNNNNNNNNNNNNNNNNNNNNNNNNNNNNNNNNNNNNNNNNNNNNNNNNNNNNNNNNNNNNNNNNNNNNNNNNNNNNNNNNNNNNNNNNNNNNNNNNNNNNNNNNNNNNNNNNNNNNNNNNNNNNNNNNNNNNNNNNNNNNNNNNNNNNNNNNNNNNNNNNNNNNNNNNNNNNNNNNNNNNNNNNNNNNNNNNNNNNNNNNNNNNNNNNNNNNNNNNNNNNNNNNNNNNNNNNNNNNNNNNNNNNNNNNNNNNNNNNNNNNNNNNNNNNNNNNNNNNNNNNNNNNNNNNNNNNNNNNNNNNNNNNNNNNNNNNNNNNNNNNNNNNNNNNNNNAUAUAUAUAAUCAUGAAUUCGCUUUUUGUUUGAAUACAAAUAAAAUACAUGCCCGAAUUCAAAUCCUUCGCUUUUUGUUUGAAUACAAAUAAAAUACAUGUCCGAAUUCAAAUUCGUCGAAUUUUUAUUUUUUAUAUUUGUAUUUGAAGCUAUAUUUGUUUAUCACUUAGUAAAUUUGUUCCAUUCGAAUUCGAAUUCAGAUAAAACAUCCCCUAUUCUGUAUUUGAAAUCUAUUGUAACAAGCUGUACUGCGUUGUUCAUGCGUAUAUGCCAUGAUGAUUCGUGCGCACCAAGAGAUCCAAGUUAUUAAAUUUGAUUAAACUAAUUAAUAAAUAAUGUUAACUUUUUACGAAUUUGUUAUUUAUAUUAUUGCAGAACAAAUCGAUUUGAUAGAUAACGUGAACAAAUUAACAACAGGAUGAAAAAUAAUUAAUUUAAUAUGAAAUGAAAUUGGAAUACUUAGUUAGGAGUUGGUUAGAUUUGUAUAUAGUUGAAUCCUAGUUGGAUAAGAAUUAAUAUUUAAAUCUGUUGAAAAUAAAUUAAGAUUUAAAUAUUAAUUAGAGUAUAAAUCUAACUAGAUUAGGAUAAAUAUUUAAAUCUAUCGGAGAUAAACUAAAUAUAGAUUUAAAUAUUUAUCGGAGUAGGAAUCCUAAUUAUACUAGGAUUUGGGUAGCUUUUGAUGUAAGUUAUAAAUAUAGCAUAGGUGCUAUUAUUUUGAUGGUAUGGAUUAGCCACACCCAUAUGGCAUGGCCAAGAUGGUCAUGAUUUUGGUUGCAUCUAGUGCAUGGGUGCAAAAGGGCGUGUGCGGCUUUCGUAGCCGUUGGUCAUUAGUAUACCUUAUGCACGGAUGCACAAGAUGAGAGAGACGUCUUCUGGGAGCAUAGAAGACGAGAGAAGGGUAGGAGAGAUUCAAGAAAGAGGGCUCGGGUUGUAGCUACUCUGUGCAGAAGAGGAGUCAGAUGUAAUCUUCUCUUAUUUAAUGAAUCUUAUUUUACCCGCAUAUUUUUCUCUUUUAUGAUUGUAUGCUAAGGAGACGUUUUUAUGGUAAAAACCCGAUUUGACGCUUUCGUUGCGGAAUCCCAACAAUCGGUACCGGAUCCACAGCAGUCGGUAUCGAAGCGGGUUGCGGAUUCAUAAGAUCCGGUAUCAAGGUGAGUACCGGAUUUCGGGGCGAGUACCGGAUUCCCAACAAUUGGUAUCAGAAUUGAAGGUUCCCGAUCUUUGGGAGAGAUCGACGUCAAAGGACUAGAUUUCUGAUCCUUGAAGAAGAUCGAUGUCAGAGCGCGGUGUUACCGAUCGUUCAGAGCGAUCGAUGUUUAAAGCACAAUUUGAUCUCGUUUAGGCGCAUUGGACUCGAAGGGUUGCGAUUUUUUGGGCUUCAGGUGGAACUAUGAGGGUCUGAAAGCGAGAUCGGGUCGUGUGCGAGACAAACAAGCGUGGGAACUUAUAUGUUCUGAACGGAAGCACAGUCAGAAUGGAAGCGAAGACGGUUUGGGUUCUGAAAAUUCGCGGAAGUGCAGUCGCUCGAGGCGGAGCGGCGAAUGCCGACAUCGAGCGGAGGAGACAAGCUCAAGGUGGAGCAUGCAUGGUGAGCUCGACACAGUGGUUGAAGACUACAAAUCCAACCAAGGUGGAGAAUAUUAGGAUUUAGUUAGAUUUGUAGUUGAAUCCUAGUUGGAUAACAAUUAAUAUUUAAAUCUGUUGAAGAUAAAUUAAGAUUUAAAUAUUAAUUAGAGUAUAAAUCUAACUAGUUAGGAUAAAUUUUUAAAUCUAUUGGAGAUAAACUAAAUAUAAAUUUAAAUAUUUAUCGGAGUAGGAAUCCUAAUUAUAGUAGAAUUUGGGUAGCUUUUGAUGUAAGCUAUAAAUAUAGCAUAUGUGCUAUUAUUUUGGUGGUACGUAUAGAUUAACAACACCCAUAUGGUAUGACCAAGAUGGUCAUGAUUUUGGUUGCAUCUAGUGCAUGGGUGCAAAAGGACGUGUGCGGCUUUCGUAGUCAUGGGUCAUUGGUAUACCUUGUGCACGGAUGCACAAGAUGAGAGAGAUGUCUUCUAGGAGCAUAGAAGACGAGAGAAGGGUAGGAGAGAUUCAAGAAAGAGGGUACGAGUUGUAGCUACUCUGUGUAGAAGAGGAGUCGGAUGUAAUCUUUUCUUAUUUAAUAAAUCUUAUUUUACCCGCAUAUUUUUCUCUUUUAUGAUUGUAUCAGUUUCUGCUGAGGAGACGGAUUUAUGGUAAAAAUCCGAUUUGACGCUUCCGUUGCAGAAUCCCAACAAUCGGUACCGGAUCCACAGCAGUCGGUAUCGAAGCGGAUUGCGGAUUCACAAGAUUCGGUAUCGGGGCGAGUACCGGAUUCCCAACAUACCUUUCACAUUAAAAUUUGCUUUGCUGGCAUUGGGUCAAACCAAAUCAAGCAUGUUCAUGCUGGAUCGGACGAUUAUUUUGUUCUCUAAAUAGAAUAGAUUAAACUCAUUAAUUUAAAGUAGAACCAAACAGACCAUAUUUUAUUGAAAUACAUAUUUUGAAGUGAAAGUUUCAUCAGAUAAUUUUAUCUCUCUUUGUAUAAGAGUUUGGUGCUUACUCACUUAACGUGAUCUUAGAGUCUAAUCCAAAACUAUCACACAGUAAUUAGCAAACUUAAAUUUUGUUAGAACAAAACCGCAACGAAUAAUCCGAUUGUGAUAAAAUCUAACUAAUUUUGUGAUUAAAUAAAUAAAAUUUACUUACCGAUAAUCGCUAAAUUUUAAAAAUAAAUUGUGGAAGAAGAAUAUUAACAAAUUGAUCCGGAAGCGUGCGAGGCACUGUCCUAAGGCGUAUUCCCGUCCUUCGUGCGGGAUUAAUCGAAAACACCACCCCAAGAUACGACCGGUACUCCUCCUCCUACGGACACGAACGCGGAAGAGGUUGACGGAGCUUCUUUCAACACCCAAUGAUAGAGGAUCAAAUAAAGUGAAUUAAGCUUAAAAAUUAAAAGGGAACUCUCGAAAUUAUCUCUUUUCACUGUGUUCUCCUUAGUAGUGUUCAUCAUAUAAAUAUCCAUAUAGGAGUACACUAUGGGCUCGUUCGGCUCCGUAGCCCGCCCCGCGUGAUCCGCAAUCGCGCGUAACGACGCGCGCACUCGCGGGUAACGUCCGCACCAUUCACAGACUCCACUUCGAACGGCUGUAAAGAAUUAAUAAAAUUAAAUAAAAUAUAUAUAUAAUAAAUAAAUGUAAAUAAAUAAAUAAUUAGAAAAUUUUGGGUUUUUCCAACAAAUUUGACAUAAUUGGGUUUAGAUUGAAGCUGGAAUAAUCCAAACUCGACUUGGGAUAACAUGCUUCUAUUUUAAGUUCACUGUUGUCAGAAAUUGUUAAAUCAAAAUGCUUAUAGUAUCCAUUGAUGAUCUCCUAUAGAUUUAUAGGGUAUCAGAAACUCAUGUGGCAUUUUAGACGAUGCCUAUCUGGUCGUGCCGAUAGAGCAGCGCAGCAUUUGGUUAUUGCAGUUUGUAUGUGUGUUUUCAUACGCAACAGCAAAAUACUGCGAAUUUAAAAUGCUCCAAAUCUAUUAGUCGUGCACUGCAGCUCGCCAGGCCAUUCACUAACUAAGGCUUAGUUUGGUAUUGAGGUCUAUCUAACGCUAUUAGAUUAAAUGGAGUUGAAGAAAAAGUAUAUAGGGAUAUGCUUCUGCGUUCUCCGGUGGGACCGCAGAAAAUAUAUCGUAACCGAUUCAUCACAAUAUACGGAAUACAAUAUUACGUACGGAAACAAACAGAAUAUUUUCCCAUCAUCGUUUCUCACUGCACGUAACGCAAUCUCCCCACAAUCCCAAACGAAGCCUAAGUCGAGCUGGAAUGUUAUCAUUAGCAAAUGGGCUCUAUUCCCAUCUAUUUAUUUUUGACGAUGAAGUCUCCAAAUCGACGAUCGGUAUCGUUGAUUAUAAUCUAUACCACUUAGAACAUUUAGAAAUCAAAUUUCAAAUAUUUUCGACAUCAUUGAGCUAAUGAUCAAAGGAUUUCAAAAUUUGUAAUGUUUAAUUGUCAAUAUGAGACAUUUUCUCAUUUAACGGCGUAAAAAUAUCCAAAUCAAUUCAAUUUUGGUUAGAAAAUAAUUUAAACUAUUUUAAAGAAGAUCUAUACUCUUGAUCUUGAUUAUAAGACUCCUAUCAUUGCUUUUUAAAAAAUAUUUAUUUUUAAUCAUACAUUUUUAUAUCCACUUGACAGACAAGAGAAUAAUAUCGAAAAAAUAUAAAAUUUAAUUUAUAAAUGCUUCAAGUGGCAUAGAUCAUAUUCAACAAUACUAAUCGUCGAUUUAGAAUCUCCAUCAUAAAAAAUGAAUGGGUGGCAACGAAGCCCUUUUGCGAUUAACAACAAUAUUCCAGCUCAACUCUCUCUCUCUCUCUCUCUCUAUAUUAUAUAUAUUAAACAUUUGUAGGCGAAGAUUUAACCCAAAAUCUAAGUCCUAUUCGAAUUCAUCCCAGCCUAGUCUAGGCUCAGGUAAGCUAAAGGAUAGUAGCGAAUAGCAGUAUAGACAAAAAAAAAAAAAAAAAAAAAAAAAAAAAAAAGAUUAUUACAAAACCACCAACAGAUAAUCUGAUUGAUAGAUAUUCAUCGUUCUCAAGCAAUAGGCCUUGUAUUUAAGUCGUCCCAUUAAUUAUACAUAGGAAGUUAGAUGUCAGCGCCGUAAUGUCCUUCUCUUUUACUUUAGUAUAAUUAAAUCGAUAUAUGAAAUCAAAAUUUGAGAUAUAAAAUCAACCUACUAGAAGUCGAUCUUCCCAUGACAAUGUCUUAUUAUUAUUAUUAUUAUUAUUAUUUCUUGAUCAUAAAUAUAAAAUAUAGGUUCAACUAAUGUGACGCCUCAUUUUCCAAAAAGAUCACCCAUAUAUUAUAAGGCUAAAUCUCUUAAUCCGACUAUAAUAUUUUAGGCGGUAACUAGAUUCAAGAAAUUAAAAAAAUUAAACGUGUUGAGACUAGAAUAGUUCUAGAAUGAAUGACCUUCUGAAAAAUAGAACAUUACAAUUAAAGACAUAUGAGUCUGGUUGGCUGAUCGGGCCAAUAAUGGAUGAACUCUGAAUAUAAGAAGCAUAUAUGGGGUCAUACUUUGGCCCGUUGGACUCAGAAGUGAAUCUUCUUUUCCCCUGUGGGGUGGAGUUAGGGCCACAAUUUUAAAACUAAUUCUUAACCUACCCAGACUCGGCCCGACGAUAGAUCGAUUUGACGGAUUGGGUCUGGCGUAAUCCGACCCGUCCCGACACGGCCCUAACCCAGCCCAUUUACACAUUCGCACUUGACCGCGAUCGAUUAUCUAUCCUACUUAUAAUAAGCAAGAUAUAAGAAAUUAAACAAGUGAUCACCUGUUCACUAUUUGCGUCUUUUCUAGAUUUCUAAUGGUGAUGUCAUUGGAGAGUCUCUGGUCUGAAGAUUUUGGUGAUGACAUCAACUUCGCCUGGGAUAGAUGGAUAGCUAGGGAUGGAUCGCAGUCUAAGAGUACUAAGCUACUCGGCCUAGUACUCUGUUGGUGGGUAUCGUGGGAUAUCAGGAACGGGCUAAGCUACUUGGCCUAGUACCCUGUUGGUGGGAAUUGUGGGAUAUCAGGAAUGGUGCGAUUUUAGAAAUAUCCAGCCGAACCCACACCUAGUAGCCUACAAGAUUAAAUAGUCGACGGUCCUUUGGGCGCAGUUAUUUUCAGCAAAUCUGCACAGCUAUAAUCAGUAGUAGGUUUUUUUUUUUUUUUUUUUCGCGCACCCUCUACGAGGCCUAUGCUGCCUCACCCCUAUCGCUUAAUUCAUCCUUAUAAUGAAUGAAGCUAAUAGCGGACUACCCUUUCCUCAAAAUUAAAAAAAAAGAAAAAGAGCAUAAGAAAACAGCAAUUACUUAGACUACAAACGGUGAUUUAUUAAUUUUUACGGUAUAUCAUGAGCAAAACACUAUGUAGAAACAAAGUUUCACAAAGCCACUCACAAAACCUUAUUUAGUAUCUCACUAAACGAUACAACAUAUAUGUAAAACUAGGUCCUUUGAAAUUUUAACUCUCUCUGCAUAUCUCUCUCUCUCUCUCUCUCUCUCUCUCGGAUCUCUUUCGGAGUUGUCCGAUCAGGCGGCGAUGGCCGCGAUCUUCAUACCGGACUGGCAGUGGCCGGGGAAGGUGCAGAUGAAGUAGUUGCGGCCGCGGGCGAGCGUGAUGCGGUCGUUGCCCGACGUGUACGUCCUCGACCCCCUCGGCGCCUUGCAGCUGUUGUAGCCGGCCGCGUUGACGGCCACGACGUUAUGCGCCGACGGGCUGUACUUGAAAACUGCAGUAUAUAUAUAUACAAACCAUGAGCACAGCCAAAAUAUUCAGCAUGAGUACGAAGUACUAUUUAGGUUGGGUGUCGGUGCAUGGGUACAGAUAUCUGAAAUAUUAUAUGUUCUCAAAUCCGGACACGGCGGGUUAAUUUAUCCGAUACUGAACAGAGAUGGUUUCGAAUCUAGUGUAAAAUACAAAUUUUAUCUGUAUUCGAUCCGAAUCCGAACUGUUUUUAUAUUGUAUAAUAUAUAUAUAAAAAUAUUUAAUAGUAUAUUUGAAUUUAUAUCUUUAAAUUUUAGAUUUUAAUAUAAUAUGUUUUGAAAUAUGUUAAAAAAAACAAUUAUUCCGGGUUUUUAAUUAGGUUCGAUUUUAGAUAUGUAUUUUUAAAAUUCGUAGAAUUUAAAUAAAAAUUUGGUUUUCGAGUUGGAGUCCGUAGUUGUUAAAACCUCGCCUGAAUCCGACCCGUUAACGUCUCUAUGCUUACGCAAUGUUUGGUCGGCUUCUGACGCUGUGUCAGUAAAAAGCAGGGCCAGUUGUACCAUUUGGAUGGAUUUUUUUUUUUUUUUUUUUUUUUUUUUUAAGUUAAUAUGUAUGGAGACACCUUUAAGCAUAGGCUAUUCUGAAAUAGCCCUCUCCACUUUCUUUUUUUUUUAUUUUUUUGAUUGAGACCCUUUCAACUUUAGAUUAUUUUUAUCUUUGUUUGCUAAUCAGAGAAUCUGUAAAACUAUUUUUAUCUUUGUUUGCUAAUCAGAGAAUCUGUAAAAGAGUUUUGCGAAAAAAACUAGCUUUUGAUCUGUUUUACAUGGAACUAAACAUGCUCUAUCUUUCACCAAUUUUUUUUUUUCAAAUUUAUUUAUUUUUUUAGUUACUAAUUAUUAAUUGGCCGUGAUUUUAUUUGAUAAAAAGCCAUUAAUGUCAUUAAUCUCUAAUUUUUCGAUAAAAUUACUUAAUUCUAAUAGAAAAUAAAUAAUACCCUUUUUUUUAUUUUUUUUGGUUAGUGCUUCUUUAGUGGAGUGUUGUGUGCAAAACAGAGUAAAGCUUUACGAACCAAAAAAAAAAAGAAAAAAAAAAAAAAAGAAAAAAAAAAUCAAGCGCUUACCAGCUUCUAAGUAGUACAUAGUUUCUAAAAAUAAUUUCAUAAGAAAUAAAAAAAAAAAUAAAUAAUGUUUCUUUAAAUAGCUCUGCUCUAAUAAUAUUAUAGUAAAAACUCCAUUCGCACUAGACAGAUUAAAACUUAUGUCCGUAAAAGUGCUAUAUAAAUAGAUCAUGUUAAAAAAAAAACAAGCACGCAGAUUGAAGAUAGGUCAUCAUUUCUACUUGCCAGCAUAGUGCGACACAUGCACUUUUUAUAUUUGCCGAACGUCAAUCUAUUACUUUUCGAAGUGCAAAGCUUAUGAAAAGAGUAAACUUUAAAUAUCACCUCUGUCAUUUCACGCUUUCUCACUUUAAUACAACGUGGUUUAAAGCGCUUUUGUAAUGUCCUGUGGUUUCGUUUUUCUUUUUUUGUGAGCGCCUCCGUUAACUCUUUGCUAAAUCCUAUGUAAAAAAUUUCAUAUACCUCAUCUGUAGUUCAUCAAACAUUUGUAGUUCAUCAAACAUUCACUUUAGUAUUCUGUGAUUUAUCGAAUUUUCACUUUAGUACCUUUUGGCUUUAAUUUUAUCACCGAUGAAUUUAACGAAAAAAUUAACGGAGGGGAUAACGAAAAGAAAAAAAUAAAAUCACAGGAUAUAAAAGUGAUACAAUUUAAACUAUGUGAUAUUAAAGUGAGAGAGCGCGAAACCACAGAAAUGGUAUUUGAAAUUUUUUUUUUAUGAAAAAAAAAGAAGUGGGGCCGAACAGACACUUACCGAGCACGUCGCCAGCCCUGAAGCGCUUGCCCCUGACCCAGCCGGCCAUGUUGAAGGUCCAGCCGCUGCGGUCGCCGACGGUGUAGACGGCCGCCUCCGCGACCUCGCCUUGGAUGAGGAUGAAGCACAGAAGCACUGCCAGGCCAAGCCUAACUGCUGCUCUGUUCUCAGCACUGCCCCUUCCCUGAGCCAUCCCCCUCUCUUUCUCUCUCUAGAUCUCUCUAGCUAAUUAAACACCAAACACAGAUAUAGAGAGAGAAAAUGAGCCCAAAGGAUUGUGUUGGGCUAGGAAGAGAAUGGUGGGUUUUAUAGAGGGAUCAUAGUGGAGUGUGUGCAUGCAUGGUGGGUCCCCCACAAAUUGGCAAGCAAGCAUAUAUAUAUAUNUAGUGCUUCUUUAGUGGAGUGUUGUGUGCAAAACAGAGUAAAGCUUUACGAACCAAAAAAAAAAAAAAAAAAAAUCAAGCUUCUACCAGCUUCUAAGUAGUACAUAGUUUUUUAAAAAAUUUCAUAAGAAAUAAAAAAAAAUUAGAUAAUGUUUCUUUAAAUAGCUCUGCUCUAAUAAUAUUAUAGUAAAAACUCCAUUCGCAUUAGCCAGAUUAAAACUUAUGUCCGUAAAAAUACUAUAUAAAUAGAUCAUGUUAAAAAAAAACAAGCACGCAGAUUGAAGCUAGGUCAUCAUUUCCAUGCACUUUCUAUAUUUGCCGAACGUCCUUCUACUACUUUUCGAAGUGCAAAGUUUAUGAAAAGGAUAAACUUUAAAUAUCACCUAUGUGGUUUCACGCUUUCUCACUUUAAUACAACGUGGUUUAAAGCGCUUUUGUAAUGUCCUGUGGUUUCGUUUUUCUUUUUUUGUGAGCGCCUCCGUUAACUCUUUGCUAAAUCAUAUGUAAAAAAUUUCAUUUACCUUAUCUGUAGUUCAUCGAAUAUUCACUUUAGUAUUCUGUAGUUUAUCGAAUUUUCACUUUAGUACCUUCUGGCUUUAAUUUUAUCACCGAUUAAUUUAAUAAAAAAAUUAACGGAGAUGAUAAUAAAAAGAGAAAAAUAAAAUCACGGAUUAUGAAAGUGAUGCAUUUUAAACACGUGAUAUUAAGGUGAGAAAACGCGAAACUAUAUAUAGGAUGAUAUUUGAUGUUUUUUUUUCUAUGAAAAUAAAAAAAAAAGUGGGGCCGAACAGACACUUACCGAGCACGUCGCCAGCCCUGAAGCGCUUGCCCCUGACCCAGCCGGCCACGUUGAAGGUCCAGCCGCUGCGGUCGCCGACGGUGUAGACGGCCGCCUCCGCGACCUCGCCUUGGAUGAGGAUGAAGCACAGAAGCACUGCCAGGCCAAGCCUAACUGCUGCUCUGUUCUCAGCACUGCCCCUUCCCUGAGCCAUCCCCCCCUCUUUUUCUCUCUCUAGAUCUCUCUAGCUAAUUAAACACCAAACACAGAUAUAGAGAGAGAAAAUGACCCCAAAGGAUUGUGUUGGGCUAGGAAGAGAAUGGUGGGUUUUAUAGAGGGAUCAUAGUGGAGUGUGUGCAUGCAUGGUGGGUCCCCCACAAAUUGGCAAGCAUAUAGAAUCCGGCUAUGGUGUUUGUAAAAGUACCAAGCACUUGGUACUUGUAAGUUUUUUACCGUUAGAUCUACGUCUUUAAUCAUUUUCAACCAUUAGAUUAUGCUAUUCAACCAACUACCCACUCAACCGUAGGGGACCACAUCAUUCUAACUGUACAUCCCUUAAUCCAAGAGCGGAAAACAACCGUAGGGACCCACAUCAUCCUAACUGCACAUUCCUUAACAUCCCUUAAUCCAAAGGCUGAAAACUUAUAAGUACUAAUAACUUGAUACUUUUAAAAGUAUAGGAGCUCAAUUUUAUAUAUAUAUAUAUAUAAUAUAUCACACAGGUCCCUAACUCUUUAAAUAAUUAUAAGCAAGGAGUAAAUUCUACUUUUCCGCGUCAAGCUUUAAAAUGCGCGACACUUCGGUCGGUAAACUUUAAUUUUUUUAUUGUAGUUUUUUGCUCAAAUUUUUUAAACUGUUACAAUUAAGUUCGGCAACUUAAUUUAAUCCGCGAAUACUGAUAUUUCAUUUAAGUUGUGAUGAUUUGACAUUUUAAUAGCUGUCAUGUUAUAUAUUACAAUACUAUCACAUCACGGCUCGAUCAAUUCCAUUUUUACUCAUCAAGCUUUAAAAAGCGUGACGCUAGCGCGGUAAACUUUAAUUCAUUAUAAUUUGUCUUGCUCAAGCUUUCUAAACUGUUGCAAUUAAAUCCGGCAACUUAAUUUAAUCGACUGAUACUAAUGUAUUAUUGAAGUUGCAGCGAUAUGGCAUUUUAAUAACCUGUCGUGUUAUCUAUUACAAUACUGUCACAUCGCUACUCAAUCAGUUAAAUUAAACAAUACGGCUUAAUUACAAUAAUUUAAAAAAUUUGAACCAAAAACCAGAAUAAAUUAAAAUCGGAGGGCCCCAAAGUGUCACGAAAGUUUGAGAACCGAAAGUGCAAUUUAGCCUUUUAAAAAUCUUCUGAUAAUUUUUCUUCUCAUAUAAAUUUUUGGAUUUUGGAUUUCUUAUUUUAUAAAUAAAAUCCUUGUGUAACAUUUUUAUAAUCAUCCAUUUAAAUUUUAUUGCCAUUUUCGUUUUCUCGCUCGUGUAAAAUACUUUAUCCCUUAAUUUAAUGCACUUCAGAUUAGUAUCAAAUUUAAAUAAGGAAAUUAAUGGCACUAAUAAAGGAAUAAAAGUUUAAGGAGUUUUCUCAUAUUAUCUGAAAAGUUAGGGACCUAUAUUUAAGCUUGUCGGUUUGAAAAGUAAUAGAUAUAAAUGAAACUGGCCAACUACCCACAAAGAGCCAUUAUUUUUGACUAGAGAGGACCAUUAUGAACACUUUUUUUCCACCAUUCUAAUUUAAUAAAAUUAUAGUACUAGUCCCUAAACUUCUUUAAAAGUUCAUUUUGAUCCCUGAACUUUUUGAAAAUUAUUUUACUUUAGUUAGACGUAAUAUUAAAUAAAAGACUUACUGCAUAUAACAUAUUAACCCAAUAUAAAGUUAAUUUUUAUAUAACUUUCUGUAAACUUAUCGAAUAGUGAAUAUAUUCUUAUAAAAUUCAACUUUUCAUAUUUAUUUCCUGCCAAACUUUUUUUUAAACUCUUUUUUAUUUUACUUCUAUUUUUUAAACUUUAAACUUUUCUCUUUAUUUGUAUCUUUUUUUCUCUCUCGUACCCUUUUUCUUACCUUUCUAAUGGAAUGAUAUGACAAGAACCUUUGGCUCUCGUCUUACUUUAAGAAAAAGAAAAAAAAUUAUUUCCUGUAAAAGUUCAGUGAUAUUUAUAUUUGCUUCACUGGUUUGUUACCGUUAUUGUAUUGUUUAUUUUCUAUCAGAAGAUAAGUGAAAUAAUAUUUUUGUAAUCACAAAUAUGUCAAAAGUCCCAAUUGUUAGAAUUACGGAGAAAUGUUCUCCCAAAAAUUCGCAACGGUCAUUUUCUUUCUUUCUACCCUCGCAAAUAAUAUAAAAAGGGUAAAAAGGUUAAUUUAUCUCAUUCAUUAAUCAGGAUUAAGAAUUUUAUCUAUGGUUAACUAUAUUUUUUAACGGAUCCUAACAGCAGUGGUAUAGUUGAAACAAUUAGAAUUUUUAUAGAAAUAAAUAUAAAAAUUGAACUUUAUAGAAAUAUAUUUACUAUUUGAUAUGUUUAUAGAGAGUUGUAUGUAAUUAACUAAUGUAACUUAACGAAUGGCCUAGAAUUAAAUAUGAUAUGAGACAUCCAGAAUUAAUUAAUAAAUAAUGUGUGAAUAUAAAAAUGCACAAUGUGCAAGCAAUAAUUUGUUUCUUUUAUAAUAAAUAAGAACAUGAAAUGAAGAGUUAUGUUAUUAUACUAUCGAUAGUAUCAAGCACUUGAUACUAUCAAGUUUUCAGCCGUUGGAUCAAAGAAUGUACAGUUCGGAUUGUAGUGAAUUUUUAGAAUUGAAAAAAAUGAUUGAUUGAAUAAUAUAAUCUAACAAAUUGAAAUAAUUAAAAAAUAAAUUUAACAAUAGAAAACUCGAUUGCCGGAAUCCUACUUUUAAGAUUUGCCACUUAUCAGUGAACCACUCAUAAAGUUACAUAAACAACCAUAUACUAGCUGUAAGAUUUUCACCCCACUGAUUCAAAGGAUAUUAUUUUUUGACUAGUCUAAUCAAAUUUUUUUUAGUAUUAAAAAUUCAAAAAGAGUUUUCUGAAUUGUAGAAUAAAUAAGGUAUAAGAUUUAUACUUGUGUAUAGAUGUACAGGUUGUAUUUUCUUUAUCCCUUGAAGUUACAAACUUUAAUAUUAUAAAUCCUACUUGUCAGAUUACGAGUGCUAACUAUUAAUCUGAAAAGCUUGAACCAUUAGAAAGAUCCAACCAAUUCACUUAAAACGUAUAAUUACAACGCCUAUGGGUUUCGACUGCGACUCGAUCCAACCAACCUAACGCAACUUCAAAUAUGACUCGACCUAACCCAGUUUCACGCCAUUUCGAACAUGACUCGGUCCAACCUGCCGUCCCGUCACGCCAUUUCGAAUAUGACUCGAUCCAACUUGCCGUUCCGUCACAAGGUAAAAUACUGGUCCCAUUUAAACCAACACCUACCAUGUAUUAUGAUAAGAUUCACUAGGUUUAUACACAGGAGAGAUGGGUACAUGCAUGUGAAUGAGAAGAGAGGGAAGAGGAGUCAAAGAGGACAGAGCAAAGUGGGAAGAAGCUUUAAAUUUGGAGCCAGGUGCACAGGUAGGGAGAGUUAAGAUGAGGGUGCAGUACUGUUAUUAGUUAAAAGGGAUUCAAUAAUAAGAGCAAUGCUCUCCUUACAAUCCAUUUUGCGUUGUAAUCUGUACAAUCGUUUUAUCCAAAAUCAUUUAUUUCUCUACUCAUCUUAUUUGUUUUUUUUACAAGAAAAAAAAAAAAACUAAAAUUCAAAAGGAUAUAGUAAACCCUACAACUUUUCCGAUAAGAGAUUGCAGAGAUUAUAACCUUUUUUGGUUAUAGAGUUAGUAUUUCUCUAUUAAUAAAGGAUAAAAUAUACAGAUUUUUUUUUGAACUCUAGCUUUUUCAUAAAUACAAGUCUAAACUUCUAAUCUUAACAAUUAAAUAACAUAAACUUUAUUAAAUAGUUCGAUAAGCUCCUCUCUUUAAGUGACUUUCGAAUUAUAUAGAUGUUUUAUUCGGAUGUUAAUCUCAUAAAAAUUUUAAAUAUAAGAAGUUAUUUUUUUCUAUUCCAAUUUAGUCGUAUGCAAUACAUGUUGGAACAAUUCUCGCAAUGAAAAUCUAAUUGUGAUUUAAAUCUAAUUAAAUUUGUGAUAAAAUUAAUAAACUCAACUUACAUAUAAUUUUUAAAUCUAAAUAAAGAUUUUGAUUGAUCCGGAAGCAUGCGAGGCACUGCCCUAAGACGUAUUUCCGUCCUUGCGUGCGGAAUUAAUCGGAAAUAACACUCCAAGGUACGACCGGAAUUUCUCCUCCUACGAGCACGAUCGUGAAAGAGAUUGACGGAGACUCUUUCAGCACCCUAUGAUAAAGAGAAUCAAAUAAAUUUAAAAUAUAGUAAUAAAAUUUUGUUCUCUUUCUUUCUCUACAAUGUUCAUUAUAAAUGAACUAUAGACAAUGGCCUACAUAUAGGCCUUCGGAUUCCAAGAAUCCAAGGAGAGUGGAAACAAACGUUUCCAACUAAUUAAUUCAUCUAAUUAAUUGUAAUAAAUAAUAAUAAAUGGUAAUGAAUGAGAAUAAUUAUAAAAUUAAAUGAUUUUUAGAGAUUUUGAAUUUUUCACCAACAAUCUCCCACAAAAUUCAAAAUCACAAAAUAAGAAUUAAACAAAUAAAUAAAUAAAUCAUCGGGUAUUUAUACUAUGCAAUAGGCGAGGUGUUUUUAAGAGACUUAAUCCCACUUAGUGUAAAUAGUUUUCAUCAGAAGAAAUCGGAGUGAACCAGAUUUUGAACUACGUUCCUUUGACUCUAACUUCGACUACCACACACACAGUACAGAAUUCUCCGUUGCGGGUCUGUGCAUUAAUGACCAUGCACAGUACCUUGAUUUUUCAUAAGAGUUUCUAUGGAUAACCCAUAUCACAUAGCCGCGGCCACAUACGGAUACUCUUAUAUAGGUGGUUUUCUCCAGAGAUGUGUGUAGAGUCACAUCUCGCGAAAAUUAUCGCAUUGGAUCCCAUUAAGAGCUAUCAGCUCAACCUUAACCACUACACAGAGCACUACUCACCAUAGGAAUGAGAUUGGAGCUAAAGCACCUUUAUAAAAUUUGUAGAAAGUGUUCUUUGGCCAACCUGAUAGUUUGUUUUUACCACAUUGAACCUUCUUCAAGAGAUUUCCUAUCACAAAAGUUGGGUUCCCACUGCAGGAAGGCUCUUUACGGGCAAAAUUCCAUCAUCCUCGAUGACUCCAGGACUUUAGUCCUAUUCAGGCCUUUCGUCAAGCAAUCUGCAAGGUUCUAAUCAGAUUUGAUAAAACUCAAAUAAUAAUAUCAUCAUGAAAGGUUAGUCAUCUAAUAGAUUUCUAUUUCAAUUUAAUAUAUCUGUUAAUUUUAGAAUUUACCAAUUUCAUUUACAAGCUAAACAUUAGAAAAAUGAAAUCAUUAGAGCAAUUAUAAUAUUAAAAUUUAUCAGUCUGAUAAAAGAGCUCCCCCACAAGUUCUAAGGUACACCAAACUUUAACAAUCAAAACAUUAACAAUGUUUAAUUGAGUUUGGUUAAGUAGCAAGUUAAUGGACCAAACUUAUUUGAUUUUAACUAAUUACUUUUAAGUAAAUAAUAAUGAUAGAAUCACAAUAUACUGCAAUCAGCUAAUAAAAUUUUGAAUUAAGAAACGAAGCAAGCAUGAAUAUUUGAUUCUACAGGUAAGAUGUGCCAAGUUAAAUAUUUUACCAAGCCGGCUGCGGGUUAAAGUCCCACUUAAGCAGUUUUUUUUUUUUUUUUUCUUUUCACCAAAUAGAUUUUACAAUAGCAAUGACUUCAAAAACCAUACACAGUGAAAAUAAUUUCUUUUUUAAAAAAAUUGCAAACAUAAUUAAGAAAUUACAGCAACAGUAAAAGAAUGAAACGUAAAAAAUGGUUGUGAUUGUUAGGGGUGAAAAUUUAAAAUUGCUAAUGUUGAAACUGUGGGUUCGAAUCCCACUUGAAGCAAUUUAUUAUUAUUUUUUUAAACCAAAUAAAUUUUACUGUAGUGAAAACUCAAAACGCCUUACACAGUAAAAUUAUUUUACUGUAACAAAAGCUUAUUUUUUUUUCCGAAAAACGGUAUAUAUAUAAAUUAAACUUUAAGAAAACCCAUAUACUUAAAAAUCUUUUACUGUAGCAAACUUGUUUAUCUUCUUUUUUUUUUUUUUUUUUUUUUUUUUUUUUUUUUUUUUCAAAAGUUACAAAACAGUAUAUGUAUUUGCACUGGAAAACUCUACUGUAGCUUUUUUUUUUUCAAAAUAGCUACAGUAAAAGCUUUUUUUUAAUAAAAUAAUCACUAAAUAAAAUAUACUUUAAACAAGAAAUUACAUAAUACGCAAUUACAAGUUAAAGUGCUAAUUCCAAAAAAAAAUUUAUAUUUGAAUGCCAAUCAUACAAAUAAGUUAACAAGUAAAUUAUAUACAUAUAAAAUUAAUUUAAUACGGAUUAGCAUUCGUUAGACUAUUAGAUUUUUAAUCACAAUUAGAUUGGGAUUUACGCCUUAGAUUGUUGGAAUAAUUACCGCAACGAAAAUCUAAUUAUGAUUUAAAUCUAAUUAAAUUUAUGAUAAAAUUAAUAAAAUCAACUUACAGAUAAUUAUAAAUCCAAAUAAAGAUUUUGAUUGAUCUGGAAGCGUGCGACACACUGCCCUAAGGUGUAUUUCCGUUCUUACGUGCGGAAUUAAUCGAAAAUAAUACCGCAAGAUACGACCGGAAUUUCUCCUCCUGCGACCACGAUCGUGAAGGAGAUUGACGGAGACUCUUUCACACCCGAUGAUAAAAAGAAUCCAAUAAAUUUAAAAUAGAAAUAAAUUUUUGUUUUCUUUCUUUCUCUACAAUGUUCAUUAUAAAUGAACUGUAGACAAUGGCGGAUUCCCCGAAUCCAAGGAGAGUGGAAACAAACGUUUCCAACUAAUUAAUUCAUCUAAUUAAUUGUGAUAAAUAAUAAUAAAUGGUAAUGAAUGAGAAUAAUUAUAAAAUUAUAUGAUAUUUAGAGAUUUUAGAUUUUUCACCAACAAUACAUACGACUAAAAUGAUUGUGUAACUAAUAACUUUAAUUGAGGAAGCGAACCUCAGUAUCUGAUAAAGUUCAAUAUAAUUGUCAAAAUUAAAAGUUUAAGUAACUAUUUAUUAAUUAAAGAGCCAACGAUCAAAUUUAGUGAAAUAACAAACAACGUCGAGAAAACACUUAGGCGUGUUUGGUUCGCUUCUUUUUCACCCUGGAAUCGGAAUCGGAAUGGAUAAAUCCGUUUGUGGGUGUUUGGUACGCGGGAGUUCCAUUCCGAUUCUGAUUCCCGAGUGGAAUGGGAAUCCCCCAAUCACCUCUUUUUUCAAUCCGGCCUAGGAGACCGGAUUGAAAGUUGAAUCCGGACGGAAUGGAUAUUUAUUCGGAUUAAAUUUAUUUUUUCAACUUUUUAAUUAAAAUAUGAGUUAAAAUUUUAAAAUUAAAUAUAUAAUUUUAAAUUUUAAUUUAAACUUAAAUUAAAAAUUAAAAUUUAAUCAAGUAUUUCGAAUCUAACUUAUGAAUUUGAAUUUAAAUUAAAUUUUAAUUUAUAUAAAAUGUUAUUCAAAUUUUAUUUCAAACUUAAAUUAAAUUUAUGUAUUCAAAUUAAAAUUUAAAUUGUAAUUUUAAAUUUGAAUUUGAAUAAAUCAAAAUUUAGUUUCAUAUUUUAAAUUAUCCACUCAACUUCAAAGUUUAAUUUUUUUUAAAAAAUAGAUUUAAAAUUUUGACAUUAUUUCAAAAUUUUGAUGUAAAUUUUUAAUAUUUAAUUUUUAAUUUGAAUUUAAAUUAAUAUAUUAUAAAGAUAAUGUUAGUAUAUUAAUUUGAUUACGUUUUUUAUAUCCACCUGAACCAAACACCGACAAUGGGAAUGAUUUAUUCCGAUUCCGAUUCAGGUGAUGAACCAAACAGAAUUAGGUAAUGAGUCAUUCCGAUUCCGAUUCCAGCUUAUUUUGAUUCCGAUUCCGAUUUCGAUUCCGACUUCGAACCAAACGUGCCCUAGAUUUAUGGGUUAAUUUCACACAGCUCUUUGUAAACAUAUUGACUAGUAAAUAUAUAUCCUUAUAAAUUUCAAACUUUUUAUAUUUGUUUCUACAAAACUUUAGUGAUAUUCAUAUUUGUCCCUCUUACUUGUUACUGUUAGAGUACUGUUUAUUUUUUAAUACAAGAUAAGUAAAAUAAUAUUUUUGUCAUCAUAAUAGUAUCUCUUCAAAAAUUAGAAUUAUACCGAAAUAUUCUUCCAGUCAUCUUCUUUUUUUCUACCAUCACAAAUAAUAUAAAAGGGGUAAAAAAAAUAAUUUAUCUCAUUCACUAAUCAGGAUUAAGUAUUUUAUCUAUGUUUAACUAUAUUUUUUUAACGGAUCUUAACAACGGAUGUAUAUUUGAAAAAGUUAGAAUUUUCACGGCAAUAAAUAUGAAAAGUUAAAAUUUGUAGGAAUUUAUUAACUGAAAUCAUGUAAUUUCCCCUUUUAAAGUAAAUAAAAGUUAAAGGGAUUCUUUUCAGAAUCACCUCUAGUUGAGAGGGUCUCAACACAUUUUUUCUCUGUAUAUAUUAUUACUACAUGCAAUGAUCUAAAAAUCUGGCUCGAAGUAGUUGGUUCGACCAGUCCGAUUGUGAUCCAGUUUGUAAUGCAGUUCGGCUCAACUCUUUCAAUCCGAUAACUUGAAAAAUUGUAUUGAUCCGUUCAAACCAGCAAUUCAACCAUCGAAUCGAUGAACCAUUCCGAUUUUAAUCAGACUGGGCAGAUUUUUUGAUCAAGUCAUAUUAAAAUCUAACAACUUAAAAUCAAUUUAACUAAGGUUAUUUUCUAUUAACGCGUAUUAGACUUAUAAAAAGUAGGUUUAGAAAUAUCUAUAUCUAUAUAAAAAUUAAGUAUGAUAUAUAAUAAUUAAAUAUUUAUGACGUUAUAUUGAUGUCACUGCUCCAAUUCGUAUGGUUGACCCACUGGUUGAACCAAGGACCCUUAAUUUAGUAAUAUUUGCGCUUAGCUUUCCAACCUGAUUUUUAAAAAAUUGAUUAUAUGUACCGACGGUACUUGUAUUGAUGGAGUUCAUGUGGGAAUAUGUGGGCUUAAUUAGGGUUUGGAAUAAGUUGGGACAAUAGCACUUAUGCAGAUCACUUGGAUCUGUCAUUUGUCAAUGUAAGGUAGACUUUAAAUUAAGGUUGACUUAAAAAGUGAAAUGGUAGGUUUUUAGGCUAAACAAAUUUCUUCCCUAGCUGUGAAGAGGGUGGGUGCCAUGAUGAUAUGAAAUCAUAAUCUAUUUCAUUUUGAGAUUAUCAAGCCAUAAUUCACGGUGGAUGUUCAAACAUUCGUUAUAGAGAACCCAGAUAAUUUUAUAUAUAAAAUAUAAUAGAGUUAAAUCUUUUAAUCUAACUAUAGUAUUUUGGACAGUGGUCGGUCUUUUACAUUAAAAAAUAUUUAAUUAUUUAUUACACAAUUUCACAGUCCAUUAUACUAUUUUCACGAUCUUUCGCACUAAUCAAAUAAUGUAAUAUAUAAUCAAAUAAUGUAAAUUUUUAUUCUUUUCAGGUCAAUUUGCAUAAAAAAUUUACAAAUUUUGAGCAUUUGCAAAACUGGGCCGUCUUUUACGAUUUUGCAGAUUCGAUCCAAAUUUUCAGCAAACUGAUCAAAAUAUCCUUAUUACUUUUUCUCUCUCCUCUUUUUUCUUUUUUUUUUUCUCUCGUUCAUUUUUUUUCUCUCGUCGAAAAAGGCAGCGGAGGCGAAGGCGGAGGCGGAGGCGGAAACGGUCCGCCUCGCCUCUUACCAUCAUGCCCUCACCCUCGCCCGUGCACCCCCGACCUUCCUCAUCUUCAACCCCGCCGAGGCCGCGCCGCACCGUGACUCUUUGUUUUCUCUCUCUCCGACCCUCCUCCACCGUCUGUGACUCGACAUCUCUCUCGCCCUCUCUCGCACUUUCCCGCCUUUCUCUCCCUCUCCCUCUCCCUCUCCCUCCUUCUCUGCUAGCUCCGACGACGACACCUCUCCGCCGACGCCGACGCCACAGAGGUCGCUGCGGCGCCACAGCCUCGGAGCGGGGGAUCCUUAGCGGCGCUGUCACCAGCGCCAUGGCAUUUGGCAGAGAGGCGUGAUCCAAAAAAAUUAUAGAAGAAGGAAGAAGAAAAAAAAUAAAGAUAAAAAAUUAUAAAAGAAGAAAAAUGAAGAUGAAAUUGUACUGUUAAAUAAAAUUGCACUGUUUUAAAAUAUAUUAUACUAUUAUAGACGUAAGUUGUACUAUUGAGAUGUAAAUUGUGUUUUUUAAAAUGAAUGUUACACUCUUUAAACGAAAAUUAUAUUUUUUCGGAGAUAUUUAAUUACAUUAUUUUCUCUUUUAUUGCACUCUUUGAGAUAUAAAUUGUAUAUUUUAAGAUGAAAGUUAUACUUUUUAAACGAAAAUUAUACUUUUUGAGAUAUGUUUACACUAUUUUUUCUUUUGUUGUACUGUUUGAGAGAUAUUUAUAUUGUUUCUUCCUUUUUUGCACUCUUUAAGAGAGAAACAGUGCAACAAAAAGAGAUAUCAUUUCCACCCGUUAGUUCAUACGAUUCAACCAGCCACCCACAUAACUGUAAGAAACUACUAUCAUCCUAACCAUAUAUCGCUUCAUCCAAUGGUCAAAAACUUAAUAGCACCAAUAAAUUUGUACUAUUAAUAGAAUCUAGCCUACUUAUAUACAUAUAUAUAUAUAUAUAUAUAUAUAUAUAGAGAGAGAGAGAGAGAGAGAGAGAGAGAGAGAGAGAUCUGCCGGCUCUAUAGUUAUUAUAAACUCGCCCUCGUACUCAUAAUUGUUAUUCGAUUAUAGACUUCCAAUUGACGAUCGCACAGAUCCGUUAAAUAUUACUAGACAUAUACACUUUUAAAAUGCAAAUUUCAUAAUUUUUCAACAUCAUUUACCUUACAUUCAAAAAGCACUCAAAUUGACAAUUUUUAACGGCCGGUAUGAGAAUACUCUUGUAGUUUAACGGUAAAAGAAUUGAAUAGCCUGAUUUUUUGUUAGAACAAUCUAUUCACUAUCUAGAUAAAGAAUCAAUAAUUCGAUCUUAAAUUGAAAUUGAAGAACUCCGAUAUCCAUGGUUUAGAACGUCGAUUCUAUUUCUGACGACGUUUAUUUUAUGCCCGUUGUGAUGACUUGGUUUAUUAUGCUUUUCAGAAAAAAUUUCACGAAAUUUAAUUUUUUAAGAAGUUCAAAAUACUCCUAAUCAAAUAAUUAAUAAGCGAUCGUCGAUUCAAACACCCAUCAUCGAAAACAAACUUAAGAUGCAAGUCCAAUACUCAUCAAGAUUAACGUAAGCCUUACAAUAUAUAUCCGGCUACUAUAACUAUUAAUAUCAUGAUCGCCUCCGUACUCAUCAUAAUUGUUUUCGUAAUAGAGCCCUUUCGCGAUGAAUUGAUACCACACAUUAAACAUUAUCUAAGCAUUAAAACUUCUAGAAAAUAAAUUUUCAUAAAUUUUUCUGACUCAUUAUAUCCUACGAUCAAACAUCUCACAAAAUUGACUUAAAUUUUAACUGAGCCGCCGGAUCAAAAUACUUGUAGUUUAACGGGUAGUUAUAUAUAUAUAUAGAGUGUCCGGGUAUGGUGCGUGUAAAAACACCAAGCAAUUUAUCUGUAAAUUUUUACCGUUAGAUACGCCAUUUGAUCAUUUCAACCGUUAGAUUAUACUAUUCAACAAACAACACUCAAUCCCUAGCGGGCCACAUCAUUUAAACCGCAGAUCCCUCAAUCCAAUGCCUCAAAAAUCUACAAGUCAGCAUAACCUUUGUACUUUUUAAACAAGCAUAGGAGCUCCAAUUAUAUACUAAGUAUAUUAUAUAUAUAUAUAUAAUAUAAUAUAUAUAAUAUAUAUAUAUAUAUUAUAUAUAUAUAUAUAUAUAUAUCAUUAUAGGUAGGGCUACUAACUCCUAUAGUGUAGGCCCUUAAUACCAUAAAGUUUGUUUCAAUAUGGCUUCCGAAUCGUCGAAAUCCAGCUCCAUUAAUAUGAUAUACAAGUAUUUGAAAACUUCUAAUAAAAUAAUAUUCGUAAAAUUUUUCGAAAUCAUAAUAAUGCCAUUAAGCGGAUAAUAAGAAGGUCAAAAAUCAAACAACAGACCUCCUAGAAAAUGGAUACGAUUCUCAAUUAAAUAUGCGGAGUUUAAUUGACUCUUUAAGCUAGUAAUAGAUUUCGUAUCAACAAUUCAGCCAUCAAUUCUUUUCCCCCACCCCCAAAUCUAGCAAGUAUCUUCCAUACAGCAAAUUGUCAAUUUGGGUAUCAUUUGAUCGUAAGGUAAAUGAUGUCGAAAAAUUAUGAAUUUGAUUUCUAAAGUUUUAAAUGCUACUAAAAACGUUUAAACGGUGUGGAUCCCGAUUCGAAGCUCUAUCAUCAAAAACAACUUAGAGUAGUCCACCCCCGGAUGUCUCGUCCGCGGACAACGCCCGACACAACACGACCCUAUAAUACAAAGGAGUUUUCCCUGUAUACGAAGCGAUUGCCGUACCUGUAAAUCAUACACUACUACGAACAGUAGUAGAGAGCUACUAGAGUAGCAAGAGCUAAACAAACUGAGUUUCAUAUACAUAGUCCAAAACCAAAAUACAGAAUUACUCGCACUGGCGAGUUAAAUAUACUAUGUACAUAAACUCAAAACAAAACAUCUACCUGCAGUAGGGGUGCCUCUAGCUCUGCUCGUCGGGUAGGGCUCUACCUCGCGACGCCCUUGCCUAGAUCCUGAUCCGCGGAAGGCGCAGCAGCCGAAACUUGUGGCUCUGCAAAAUAGGGGUAACAACUGGGCGUGAGAACUACUGUAAAAAUAAGUAGUCCUCAGUGGGUACCGCCCAAAACAACAUCGGUCCACCCACUAGGUCUACAGUAGGGAGCAAAGGUAGUAGUAAAUGCAGGAAUGAAAUCUACCGCUAUGAAUCACUACACUAUCAAUGCUCUAUGCUAACUAACUGUAGGAAAAUGUCAAAUCUAACCCAAUCCAAUCGGGACUGUAAACAUACCCGUCCCUGGGACUGUGACGCACCCGUCCCUGCCCAGUUGCGACUAUCCAACUACCUCCACACUAACUGGUCCGUUGAGAGCAAGUCCAACCGGCAUGAGCGACACCAACGCAAAAGCACAAAGCCCGCCUCCGGAGUGGCACUCGUGGGCGCUACCCAACCGAGUAUGCAGCGUAUCUCUGUCGAGCUCAAUCAGGCUCUGAAAAGCCAAAGUCGAGUAACCGACUCUAACUGGUCUAACAAACCACCGUUCACGUUCCCUCAACACAAUCUGUCGCCAAAAAGGCCAUCUGGGUCGACCGUCAACUCUGACGGCACCCAACAAUUCGGAACAGCCCAAAAGACCCUGUAAAAAUCCACUCGGCGUACCAGCACGAGUAUAAAUGCAUGCUAAACUAUCUGGAGUACUCGUCUCGAGGAUACUGCGACAGUACAAUUUUAUAACGGCUCCUACAGCUAAAUUAGGCAGUUUAAACAAGUGACAGGUCCAAAUCGCAGGUUUUCUCCUAAUUCAAAUUCCAAGUCCAACAUGUAUAAACUACUCAAUUUAUUACCACGUGCUCCAAAUUCAGAUUUGCAAUCUAUAAUAUAAUCCAUAAAUUCGAGCUAGAAUAGACUACCAAAAAUCAAAAUUUAUACAUGUCGACGAUUAAAACUUAGUAGUCAAAACCGAUGUAACCCACCUCAAAAAGCUAAUCCCUGGCAGCGAAGGACUCCCACUGGUGUAGAGCGACCUGCUGGAUCAACCGGAAUCCGCCGAGUCCAGAAUCGAGCUAACUCUACACUCUGCACAACACAAGUCACCAUUUCAGUCCAGAAAUUACAGAGUGAGGUACAACAGGGAUUCGACCAAGCUAACCUUCACCAAAUCCAGCAAAUAAGGGCUUCGUGGAUUCCUCUCGAAGUCCUGAAUCCAGCGAACCAAGUCUCGUCAAAAUCCGAUGCUCUAGCGUCGAGUACGAGCUGAAAUACUAACAGUCGACGAUGAAUUUCAGCAAAACAGCAUCACUCCGAGUUGAAGUAGUAAGAACUUGCCCAAAACAAUGGAAAUGCUGAAUUACCCACCUCGACAACGCUAAGCACCGGUGCGACAACAAGUACGGUAAAAACGUAUGCUCGCCUGGCCUCCUCGCGCUACCCCGGCGUCAAACAUGUGCUCGAACGGCUUCGCGGCGCGACGUCGGCGACAAAUCUNAACAGGGAUUCGACCAAGCUAACCUUCACAAAAUCCCGCAAGUAAGGGUUUCGUGGAUUCCUCUCGAAAUCCUGAAUCCAGCGAACCAAGUCUCGUCAAAAUCCAAUGCUCCAGCGUCGAGUAUGAACUGAAAUACUAACAGUUGACGAUGAAUUUCAGCAAAACAGCAUCACUUGAGUUCGAAGUAGUAAGAACUUGCCCAAAACAAUGGCAAUGCUGAAUUACCCACCUCGACAAUGCCAAGCAGCGCUGCGACAGCAAGAACGGCGAAAACACACGCUUGCCUGGCCUCCUCGCGCUACCCCAGCGUCAAACACGUACCCGAACGGCUUCGCGGCGCGACGUCGGCAACAACACCAAACUCCACCCGAGCUCUGUCGCAAUCGAGCCUAAAGAGAGAGAGGAGAAGUAAGAAUUCUCUCUCUCUCAGCUCAACACGAUCCUAUAUAGAGAGGAAGAGAGUUGGUGAUACAAACGAGGGAUAAAAUUACCCAUUUAGCCCUCUACCUACCCUCUUGUACCGGUACACGGGCUCUUGUACUGGUACAAGAGCCAACCCGAGAGCAAUCUGUGCAUCUUCGCUGGUUGUACCGGUACAGACACGCUGGUUGUACCGGUACAGCAAGCAGAGAAAUCUGCUGUCUUGCAGAUUUCUUCUCUAUAUGCUGCCCUCGCGUCGCACGGAGUCCGUUUUGCGUCUAUUUGAUGCCAACGCGACUCGGGCUUGUCCCGACACUCUCCAGAGCUGCCGACAAGCCUCCACAGCUGUACACCAGGGACCUCACAUCCUCCCCCUCUACAAAAAGUUUCGUCCUCGAAACUUAAACAUACCUCAACCUAGGUCCUCAAGCAAAUAGGGAUAGGCUUCCCUCAUCACCGUCUCAGGCUCCCAAGUCGCCUCCCGCUCCUCGUGAUUGCUCCACUGCACUUUCACAUACGGGAGACCCAGUUGAGCAAUUCUUUCGUCUCCAAAGCAAGAAUCUGCAACGGUCGCUCCUCAUAUCUCAGAUCCUCGCUAAUCUCUAGUGGAGUGAAGUAAAUCACGUGAGUGGGAUCGAAAACAUAUCUCUUCAAGGCUGGGACAUGGAAAACAUCAUAGAUGCCCGCAAGUCGCGGGGGUAGAGCUAUCCUGUAUGCCACCGGUCCGACUCGCUCCAAUACCUCGAAAGGGCCAACAAAACGUGGACUGAGCUUUCCACGUACUCCAAAUCGACGUAUCCCUCUGGAUGGCGAGACUUUGAGGAAAACAUGAUCUCCAACCUGAAACUUCAAGUCUCGUCUCCUGGUAUCGGCGUAGCUCCUCUGGCGGCCCUGAGCUGUCAAAAGGUGUCGUCGAACGACUCUCACCUUUUCCUCAGCCUCAAGUAAGAUCUUCGGUCCAAGUGUCCUCCUCUUACCCACAUCGCUCCAGAACAGAGGGGAUCGACAUCUGCGUCUAUACAAUGCUUCAAAUGGAGCCAUCUGAAUGCUCGUUUGAUAGCUGUUGUUGUACGCAUACUCAACCAGUCUCAUAUGUCGAUACCACCCUCCUCCAAAAUCCAGGACGCAUGCCCUCAGCAUGUCCUCUAGAGUCUGUAUGGUCCGCCCUGACUGACCAUCUGUCUAUGGGUGGAACGCCGUGCUAAAAUGCAGCUGAGUGCCCAAGGCUGUCUGAAGGCUCCUCCAAAACUGGGAUACAAACCUCAGGUCUCUGUCUGACACAAUUGACACUGGCACGCCGUGCAGCUUGACGAUCUCAUCCAAGUAUAGCUGCGCGAGUCUCUCUCUGGACCAGGUAGUCUGAACCGGUAGGAAGUGAGCAGACUUGGUCAGUCUGUCCACUAUAACCCAAAUAACAUCGUAGCCAUCCUGUGCUCUAGGCAAUCCAACGACGAAGCCCAUCGUGAUGUACUCCUACUUCCACUCUGGCACUAGCAGACUCUAAAGCUUGCCAGCAGGCACCUGAUUCUCGGCCUUCACCUGUUGGCACGUCAAACACUGAACCACAUAUCUGCCAAUGUCCCUCUUCAUUCCAGGCCACAAGAAUUGUGCCUUUAAAUCCUUAUACAUUUUGGUUCCCCCAGGGUGAACCGUAUAAGGAGAACAAUGAGCCUCUCUCAGAAUGUCUGCUUGAAUCUCUGAAUCCACAGGCACACACAGUCGGUCCCGGUACCGCAGUACUCCCGAACCGUCCGAAGUAAAACCCUCAGCCUGCCCCAUGUCUAGCUGCUCUCUAAUCCUCAACAAGUACGGAUCUCCACUCUGUUUCUCUCAGAUCUUAUUCAACAGAGUGGGCUGCAAAACUAGAGAUGUCGACCUCGCCGUAGAACCAGGGGGUACUAUCUCGAGUCCCAGCCGCUGUAGCUCCUCGAGUAGGGUCUCUGCUUACUGAUCAUCAAACUUAGGCUCUCCACUGACUUCCUGCUCAACGCAUCUGCCACAACAUUCGCCCUGCCGGGAUGAUACUGAAUACUAAUGUCAUAGUCCUUCAGUAACUCCAACCACCGGCGCUGCCUCAGGUUCAGCUCCCUCUGUGUGAACAGAUACUUGAGACUUUUAUGAUCCGUAAAUAUCUCGCAGUGCUCGCCGUACAAGUAAUGCCGCCAGAGCUUCAAAGCAAAAACCACCGCGGCAAGCUCCAAGUCAUGCGUAGGGUAAUUCUUCUCAUAAUCCUUUAACUGCCGUGAAGCAUACGCAAUCACCCUAUCAUGCUGCAUCAGCACGCAACUAAGUCCACUAUGCGAUGCAUCACUAUAGAUCACGAAUCCUUCUCCCAUCACAGGAAGGGCAAGGAUAGGAGCUGACGUCAACCUCAGUCUCAACUCAUCAAAACUUCUCUGACAAUCCUCACUCCACAUGAAUCUAAUCCCCUUUCGCAUCAAGCGUGUGAGGGGUGUGGAAAGCUUCGCAAAGCCUUCCACAAACCGACGGUAAUAUCCUGCCAGUCCCAGGAAGCUUCGUACCUCAGUCACCGUCGUCGGUCUAGGCCAAUCUCGAAUCGCCUCAAUCUUCUUCGGGUCCACUGCUACUCCCUCAGCUAAAAUCACGUGGCCCAAGAAAGCAACCUCCCGUAGCCAGAAUUCGCACUUCUUUAACUUGGCAUACAGCUUCUUCUCUAGCAAAAGCUGUAGCACAAUCCUCAAGUGCUCCUCAUGCUCAGCAUCACUCCGGGAGUAAAUCAAGAUAUCGUCGAUGAAGACUACCACAAACCUAUCUAAAAACGGCUUGAACACCCGGUUCAUCAAAUCCAUGAAUGCGGCAGGGGCAUUCGUCAAUCCAAAAGGCAUCACUGUGAACUCAUAAUGCCCGUACCGAGUCCGAAAAGCCGUCUUGGGAACAUCCUCGGCCCUCACCCUCAGCUGGUGGUAACCUGACUGGAGAUCAAUCUUCGAAAAGACAUAAGAUCCCUGCAGCUUAUCAAACAAAUCAUCAAUACGCGGCAAGGGAUACUUAUUCCUGAUGGUCACUUUAUUCAGCUCCCGGUAGUCCACACACAGUCUAAGUGAACCAUCCUUCUUCUUUACAAACAACACUAGCGCUCCCCAAGGCAACACACUGGGUCUCACAAACCCUCUAUCCAUCAAAUCCUAAAGCUGCACCUUUAGCUCUCUCAGCUCUGCUGGUGCCGUCCGAUAAGGUACAUUCGAGAUUGGUGCAGUUCCAGGAACUACAUCAAUCACAAACUCAUUCUCUCUCUCCGGCGGCAACGUCGUCAACUCAGGGGGAAAUACAUCCGGAAACUAGCGGACUACAGGGAUAUCCUCGAGUCCCGGCGCCGUCGUAGGUACCUCAACAAUAGUCGCCAGGAAGGCAACACAUCCUCUACUCAUCAACUGUCGAGCCCUCGUCGAAGAUAUCCAAGUGGCAAACAAUGUGCUCCUGCAGCCUCUAAAAGUGAACUUCUCCUGGUCUGGUUCGUGGAACGUUACCGUCAUCGCUCCACAAUCGAUCGUAGCAUAGUACCGCGCCAGCCAAUCCAUACCGAGAACAACGUCGAAGUUCUGUAGCUGCCCUAGCACCAACAGAUCUGCGGGCAUGAUCCAAGAAUCCAACUGCACCGGACAUGACCAACAACACUCUACAACCUGUAACACAUGGUCGGAAAUCUGCACCUCUCGUGCCUGUGGCAAUGCCCCUAACUCUAGACCAUGCAACAAUACAAAUCCUCGGCUAACAAAAGAAUGCGAGGCGCCGGUAUCAAAAAAAAUACGGGUACGAAUGCCGAAAAUCAAAGUGAUACCUGCUACCACUCGGUCGACUGCUGAGGAGUCCUCCACCUGGGCUGCAUAGACCCUGCCGCUCGGAGCCUGCUGUCGCCGCUCGCCCUGACGCGGCACAGAUGAUCUGUCCUCCUGGCGGAAACUCGGUGCUGCUCCAAAGGAUGGCUGAGACGCUGGCUGCGCUGAUGCAAUAGAUGGUGCUGGUGAUGCUGCACGGGGACAAGCUACUCUCAUGUGUCCCGGCUGUCCACACCCGUAACAUCUUCCCUCUCACUGCUCGUCCUGCCGGGGCUAGUGUGGUCCCCCCGCAGAUCACACACUGCGGUGUUCUCUGAGUCUGUCCCUGCUAAUGGGAUCCCCUGGAACGCUGACGCCCCGAAGACCCACGACCCUGAGAGCACGAUCGUGGAGGUCUCGGCGGACGUCUGCUGCUCGACUGUCCUCCGUCAUAUGGAAAGGGGCACUUCCUGUCCUGACUCUGCCCCACGGCCUGAGUCCUCUCCUGCAGUGACACCUCACCUCUCUCUAUCCACAAGGCCUGCUCAAUAGAUGCAUCCAGGGUCCUCGACCUCUGCGUCCGCGCCAACCUAAAUAUGUCGGGUCUCAGUCCCUUCUCAAACAAAUAGACCCUGUGUAACUCGUCCCUAGCCACAAAUGGCACGCAGUUCAGGAGUCGAGUAAACUCCCGAAUAUACUCCUGCACUGGGCGAUCUCCCUGCUGAAUCCUCUUCAAAUCCUCUUCGAGCUUUUGUUUCACACUGUUGGGAAAGAACAUCCCAAACAGCAUUCCACAGAACUCAUCCCAUCCCAGCUGCAAAGCCACCAGUCCCUGCUCUCUCCUCACUCUCCUCCACCAGGCGUGGGCAUCACCUGCCAAGCAAUGGACUCCCAAAGACACAUGCUCCCUCUCAGGAAUGAACAAAUCCUCAAAUAACUUCUCCAUCGCACUAACCCAUCCCUCAACAACCCAGGUCUCAGUGCAACUGCCAUCGAAAAUCGGUGGAUCAAAACGGCGAAAACGGGCCAACCUCUAUGUCCACCGCUCUUGCUCGGCCUCAGUCAACGGUACUGGCCCCCUAGCAGGCGCAACUGGCGCUACAGAAACUGCUGCUGGCGGAGGGACUGCUGUAGCUGGUAUAGUCACUGGGGUAGUCGAAGGUAGAACAGACGACUCUGGUGCCCUCGGUGCUGAACUCUGGGGCGAAACUAGCCUCUCACACAUCCUCUCCAACAACUCCCUCUGCCGCCUCGUCACCUUUGUCAGGGCGGCUAACUGUGCACUCAAAUCUGGGGAUGCACUCGCCUCCGGUCAGGCCCUCUGCUCAACAACUGGGGGUGCACUCGACUCUACCUGCUCAGGCAUCUCGGGAGAUCUAGCACGAUCCUGCGCCAACUGCGCUCUCUCCCGCAACGACGGUCGGCCUCGGCGACGAUACAUAGCUGCAAGGAACAGAUCGGGGUCAGUUGAAAUACAAACACUCUCGACCCAAUCAACGAAAGUUUGGAAGGCGGUCCCUGUUUUCCUCCAAAAUUAUGUCGUCUGCAGCCAACAUAAUUUCUCAGGCCAAAACAGGAACACCUUCAGUCACUCGCUCCACUUUAGGAGGAGUUAGAACAAUUAAUCAUUGACUUUCGCAAUAAAUUACGCCUCUCGCGUCUUGCCUUCCUAAGGUUUGCCAAACUUAGAUUUUCUAGAUCCCAACGACCUAAAGCUAAGCUCUCAUACCAACUUAAUCUGUCACGCCCCGGAUGUCUCGUUCCCCGGGCACGCCGACAAACACGCCGUAUACAAAGGAGUUUCCCCUGUAUACGAAGCGAUUGCCGUACCUGUAAAUCAUACACUACUACGAACAGUAGUAGAGAGCUACUAGAGUAGCAAGAGCUAAACAAACUGAGUUUCAUAUACAUAGUCCAAAACCAAAAUACAGAAUUACUCGCACUGGCGAGUUAAGUAUACUAUGUACAUAAACUCAAAACAAAACAUCUACCUGCAGUAAGGGUGGCUCUAGCUCUGCUCGUCGGGUAGGGUUCUAACUCGCGACGUCCUUACCUCGAUCCUGAUCCGCGGAAGGCGCAGCAGCCGAAACAUGUGGCUCUGCAAAACAGGGGUAACAACUUGGCAUGAGAACUACUGUAAAAACAAGUAGUCCUCAGUGGGUACUGCCCAAAACAACAUCGGUCCACCCACUAGGUCUACAGUAAGGAGCAAAGGUAGUAGUAAAUACAGGAAUGAAAUCUAUCGCUAUGAAUCACUACACUAUCAAUGCUCUACGCUAACCAACUGUAGGAAAAUGUCAAAUCUAACCCAAUCCAAUCGGGACUGUAAACAUACCCGUCCCUGGGACUGUGAACGCACCCGUCCCUGCCCAGUUGCGACUAUCCGACUACCUCCACACUAACUGGUCCGUUGAGAGCAAGUCCAACCGGCAUGAGCGACACCAACGCAAAAACACAAAGCCCGCCUCCGGAGUGGCACUCGUGGGCGCUACCCAAUCGAGUAUGCAGCGUAUCUCUGUCGAGCUCAAUCAGGCUCUGAAAAGCCAAAGUCAAGUAACCGACUCUAACUGGUCUAACAAACCACCGUUCACGUUCCCUCAACACAAUCUGUCGCCAAAAAGGCGAUCCGGGUCGACCGUCAACUCUGACGGCAUCCAACAGUUCGGAACAGCCCAAAAGACCCUGUAAAAAUUCAUUCGGCGUACCAGCAUGAGUAUAAAUGCAUGCUAAACUAUCUGGAGUACUCGUCUCGAGGAUACUGCGAUAGUACAAUUUUAUAACGCCUCCUAGAGCUAAAUCAGGCAGUUUAAACAAGUGACAGGUCCAAAUCGCAGGUUUUCUCCUAAUUCAAAUUUCAAGUCCAACAUGUAUAAACUACUCAUUUUAUUACCAUGUGCUCCAAAUUCAGAUUUGCAAUCUAUAAUAUAAUCCAUGAAUUCGAGCUAGAAUAGACUACCAAAAAUCAAAAUUUAUACAUAUCGACGAUUAGAACUUAGGAGUCAAAACCGAUGUAACCCACCUCAAAAAGCUAAUCCCUGGCAGCGAAGGACUCCCACUGGUGUAAAGCGACCUGCUGGAUCAACCGAAAUCCACCGAGUCCAGAAUCGAGCUAACUCUACCCUCCACACAACACAAGUCACCACUUUCAGUCCAGAAAUUGCAACAGUGAGGUACAACAGGGAUUCGACCAAGCUAACCUUCACCAAAUCCCGUAAAUAAAGGUUUUGUGGAUUCCUCUCGAAAUCCUGAAUCCAACGAACCAAGUCUCGUCAAAAUCCGAUGCUCCAGCGUCGAGUACGAGCUGAAAUACUAACAGUCGACGAUGAAUUUCAACAAAACAGCAUCACUUGAGUUCGAAGUAGUAAGAACUUGCCCAAAACAAUGGCAAUGCUGAAUUACCCACCUCGACAACACCAAGCACCGCUGCGACAGUAAGAACGGCGAAAACCCACGCUCGCCCAGCCUCCUCACGCUACCCCGGUGUCAAACACGUACCCGAACGGCUUCGCGGCGCGACGUCGGCAACAACACCGAACUCCACCCGAGCUCUGCCGCAACCGAGUGUAGAGAGAGAGAGGAGAAGUAAGAAUUCUCUCUCUCUCUCAGCUCAACACGAUCCUAUAUAGAGAGGAAGAGAGUUGGUGAUACAAAUGAGGGAUAAAAUUACCCAUUUAGCCCUCUACCUACCCUCUUGUACCGGUAUACGGGCUCCUGUACCGGUAUUGUACCGGUAUACGGGCUCCUGUACCGGUACAAGAGCCAACCCGAGAGCAAUCUGCGCAUCUUCACUGGUUGUACCGGUACAGACACGCUGGUUGUACCAGUACAGCAAGCAGAGAAAUCUGCUGUACUGCAGAUUUCUUCGCUAUAAGCUGUUCUCGCGUCGCACGGAGUCCGUUUUGCGUCUAUUUGACGCCAACGCGACUCGGGCUUGUCCCGACACUCUUCAGAGCUCCGACAAAGCCUCCACAACUGUACAACCAGGACCCUCACAAACGAGUUUAGCCAUUGGAUGGAGAGAUGUAGGUGUUGCGAUGAUGAGAGUGGAUAGAUGAAAUAUUGUGAAUCCAAAAGGGUUAUCAGUAAUCAAGGUAAAUCCAAGGGCUAAAAACCCAAAAGCACUAAAAAGGAGUUGUGCUUUUUGAAGUAUCUAGCUCAAUUCAUAAUAAAUAGCUAUGUAUAUAUGAUAAAUAUAUAUAUAUAGGUAGUAUUAUGUAUAAUAUAGAGAGAGAAAGAGAGAAAGAGAGAGAGAGAGAGAGUUCCUACUAUACUCUAGAGUACCGAUCACUUUCUGCGACUCAUAAGUCGUUUUGAUAUAACUUCCGAAUGCUGACGAUCCAUACCAUUAACACAUAUCUAGAAUAUAAAUCAAAGAUUAAUUUAAAUUUCGCAGCAUUUACCUUAUACGAUACAAAGCUCACAAAAUUGAUUUUUAACGUCGGUGUUAUGAUGACAUCUUGCCUAGUUUGAACCGAGUAGGAAAAAGCAAAUGGUUAAAUUUUUAUAGAAAAUCAUUCGCACGUAAGGAUAAGCGGGAAAAUUAAAAAUCCAAAUGUUAAAACUUGAAGGAUCCCGAUCAUCCAUCUUUUAAGGACACCGAUUGACGUUCAUUUAUCCCCUUAUAACUUGGGUUGAAUUUGAAAAAUACAAAACUUAUUUUUAAAGAGUUUCAAAUACUUAAUCAUACUUUUAACGAGUGGAUCUUCGAUUCGAAGCUCAUCAUCGAAACAACUUUAUAGUACAAAAGGGCUCAUAUCUCAUAAGAAAAUAUUAGUCCUAGCAAUAUAACGUAUUUAAUGAUAGCGUACUAUAGGUUAUAUAUGUUAUAAAUUAAGAAGAAGAGAGGAAGACGAGAGAGAAGAGGAGGAUAGAAAGGUAGAGAUCUACAUCAUCGGAGUAACAAUAGAGCGCCCCUGUUACAAUUUUUUUCCUAUGCNNNNNNNNNNNNNNNNNNNNNNNNNAGCGCUCCGUGCUACCAAGUUGUUUUCGAUGAUGCGGCUUCCAAAUCGACGAUCGGCUCCGUUAGACUUGAUCUACACUAUUGAAAGUAUUUGGAAACUAAAUUUCAGAUUUUUUCGACAUCAUUUGACUAGUGAUCAAAAGAUCUCAAAAUUGACAAUUUUAAUGGCUGAUGUGGUGUAUUUGUGAGUUUAAUAGUGUAAAACAAUCCAAAUACAAUGAAAAUUUUAUAAAAAAUUCUUUUCACUAUUUAGAGUAAGAUCAGUAUAUCUAAUCUUGAAUUUAAAUCUUUUAUCAUCAUUUUUCAUGAGAUUUUUAUUUUCAGCCGUUUAAUUUUAGACUACUUGUUUGAUAGGUAAAUGAUAUAGAAAAAUUAUGGAAUUUAGUUUCUAAAUACUUUCAAUAGUGUAGAUCAAGUCUAACGGAGCCGAUCAUCGAUUUGGAAGCCGCAUCAUCGAAAACAGCUUGGUAGCACGGAGCGUUCCGUGCUACCGAUAGUAUAGUAGCCUAGUUCUAUAUAUAUAUAUAUAUAGAGAGAGAGAGAGAGAGAGAGAGAGAGAGAGAGAGAGAGAGUAGGGCUAUUGUGCUAUUAGGAACACAGCGGCCAUUGUGCUCCUAAGUUCUUAACCGCCCAUUAAAUUUUAUGGGUGGUUAGGGUGAAAGGAAGAAGAGAAAUUGGAGAGAAAUUGGGCUUCUCAAUUUCUCAUAUCUUUGAAUUUCUCUUCAAUUUUUUUUUUUUCUCUCUCACUCUAACCAUCUAUCAAAAUUGAUGGACGGUUAGGAACUUACAAGCACAAAAACUGCUAUGCUCCUAAUAGCACAGUAGCCUACUCUUUCUCUCUAUAUAUAAUCUAAUUAAGAUUAUUAUUCAAUAUGAAACCAAUAAUUCUAAUCAGAUUACAGUAAACAAUAAGAUAUUCUAUAAAAUGAUAAAUGUUUAUCUAAAUCUUGUCUCGUACCCAUGCUUAGCCCUUUUUAAUUUUUCUCUCAUUUAAUUUCAGUCCAUUCACUUUUUAGACUUAUUGGCAAGUUAAUCUCGAGCACAGACGGAGAGAUAAUAUUGAAUAUAAAUGAUUGAAAUGCCACUCUCAUCUAUCUUAGAUUAUAUUUAUUUGGAUUAUUUUUUUUUUAGAAAAAAAUAGCACACUAUUUGUUUCAUCCAUUAAAAAAAUAAAUUAAGUUUCAGAGAUGAGGUAAUAGAUUUCGAUCAAAAGGAACAAAAAAAUAAAAAAUUAAGAAUGGUACCGUUUAGACGAGAGAAGUUCCUCCCAUGGGGUCGCCAAUUUCUUUAUCUAUGAACCGCUAACAGAGGGUCAAUGUUAGCCUUUUUAAAAAUAACAUUAUUCCUGGCAUCCCAGAUAACACACCAGUAGACCGGUCAGUCCAGUUUGAGUUAUUUGUGAUCUACUCAUUAUCAUCCACCUACCUCAGACGAAUCUCUAAUCGUCCUCCAAAUUCCUAAGUUGAACCCCCCUCCAAAGUCGUCACGUUCAGAAAUCGACUAAAAGUAUAUUACAUGAAUAAAGAGUCCAUUUUCUCCUCUUGGAUCCCACAAAGCACACAUGAUGUAUUUUCCGUCCAUCCUCUCUUCAGCAAAUUUUUCAUUGUAAGUAUCCUCUUCUUAAGAAUUAACCAGCUAAAUACUUACACUUUCAAGGAUAUUCCGAGUCUUCAAUCUUACUUACUCGAACGUCCCUCAUAUCCCUAUCAUUCAGCACUGAAUAAGUCGAUUUCACAGUGAAUCUUCCAUUAGUACUCCACCGUCAAAUCACUUCAUCUGGUCUCUGUUUUAUUUAUUUCAAAUGUCGGCAUUCCAAGAGUAGAUAUUUCGAUUAUCUUAAUUAGAGUUAAUACACAUUAAUUAGAUUAAUUAGAGCUUUCAUUAAAGUCAAAUAUGAUACACAAUGCACAUUCCAAUGGAAUUCUCCCAACUUUGAAACAAGUUGGUGACUACACACAUUCACAUUAGUAGGUGUGUGGAAAUUAAUUAAAUCAAUGUUGAGACUCUCGUGAACUCCGUUCUCCACGUGUCGUACGUGUUGACUAAUAAGUGCACAAGUUUUCUAAGUCCAAGUGACUUUUGUUGAAAAAAAAAAAAAGAAAAUUAGUAUAUUAUAUAAGUAUAUAUAGAUUGAAUAGCACCUAACGCACUAAUCUUAGCAUCUAUUUAAAAUAUAGGUGGAGAUGAAAGUACAUAUCUUUGUUCUAUUAUUCAAAGCAUUAGGCUUCUUUUCUGGGAUAGUGUAUAGUGAGGCUCAUUAGUUUACGUCAUACCAAGGUCUUAUACUAUUAUAGUGUCAACAGGAUCCGGAUUCGAGAUGCAGGAUUUUCAAAAUCCGAACUCCGAGCCCGACUCCAAACCCAGGGGAGAGAUCACGCAUAUCCAAACCCGAACCCGACAAAAAAUUCAAAACCCGAACCCGAACCCGAAAUAAUUAAUUUUUUUUACAAUAUUUUAAAAUAUAUUAUAAUAAAUCUAAAUUUUUAAAAUACAAAUUCAAAUAUAACAUUAAAUUUAUAUUUAUAUAUAAAAUACAAAAUAAAUUCGGGUUCUGGUCGGGUUCGGGUUCGGGUCGGGUACAGUCAAAAUCCAUAUCCGAAUUCAUAUCCGUCAGGUUUCUAUUUUUGAUAUCCAUAUCCGAAUCCAUAUCCAUUUAGCAUCGGAUAUAUCCGUUUUGUUCAGAUUCGGGUUCGGAUAAAAUUUCGGGUAUCCAUAUCUAUUCUCGAGAUGGAUGUACUAGCGGAGCACUUGAUAGCACUAGUUUCUGGUAUAGCAUAUUCUAUAUAUACUUUUUCGGAGUAUUUCUAUUCAGUAAUAAUUUAUGCCAAUGAAAGCACACUUGAGUUGCGACAGAUCAACUUUCACAAAAACACAAAAUUAAAAAAAGUUGAUUAAAAAAAUUAGUAAAAAUAUAAAAAAAAUAGGAAAAAGAAGUCAAAUUAAGAGUAAAAAAUAAUAAAAGUAGAAUAUAUUAAGAAUAAAGUACAAGAAAGAUAAAAAAAGAAUAAGAGGAAAACCGUUGGAAUAGUAAAAUAUAUUUAUAGCAUCAAUAAAAGUUAAAGGACUAAAAUAUCACGUACUUCAUAGUUCGAACUAGAAACUAUAAUUAAUUAAAGUUUGAGACGUGCCUUAUAGUUUGUUAUAACGUAUUAAAGUUUGCGAACUAAAGUAUUACGCAUCUCAUAGCUUGAGGACCAAAAGUGCAAUUUAUUUUAUAUAUAUAUAAAAUAUAUAUAUGAAAUAAGAGUUGAGAAUUCAUGGAUUUUCUUUAAUUAGUGAUUUUAUUAGGAAAAAUAACUUGCUAAAUUGUCUAAUAAAACUUAGAAUGUUUAAAAAAAAAAAAAAAAAAAAAAAAAAAAAAAAAAAAAAAAAAGAGGAAUGGGGCUCAAACCCACCCAACAUUCCCCAAAUUUAUAUGGAGGAACUCAAACUUCAUAUAUGUAAUAUAGAUAUAGAUGGCAUAAAAUUUUGAUCAAAAAUUAUAAAAUCUAUCUUAAUAUUUUAUGAUACAUUUUAAUUCAACUAUCUAAUUAUUAUUAUAAAGUUUCAUUUCACUAAUUAGAAUUUUAUGACAGAAGAGUCAUUAAAUGGCUUAAAUUAAAUUAGAUAAUAAUAAUAUCAAAAGUUUUUAUUAUAAAAUUAGAUCAAAAUAGUCCAUAGUUCUGAUAAGUUUUAUAUAAAUUUAUUUUUAAAAAAUCUUGUGUGAUUGCAAAUUUGGUAUCUUUUACAUUUAGACUGAAUUUACACGUAGACGUGCCGUUAUCUAAUGAUAUUAGAAAUCAGGAGUAUAAUUAAAUAUCAAAAUGAUAUUAAACAUUAAAUUUUGAAAUCGUAUUUUUAGAAUUUAAGACAAAUCACUUGGUAAGUAAAAUACGCCAUCAUAUCAAAUCAUCGAUGUUAUGAUAAUUUAAGAGGCAAAAAUCAAAUAAAUUAUCAUCAAACUGCCUAUUUCGCUCGCAUGUUCGCGACACUAGAAAUUUAAGAUAUUAAGAAAAAGUAAGAUAAAAAAAUGACUUGAUAUUUCUAAAGGGCCCUCAAAACCGGCCCGAUAGGGCUUCGUACGUAGCCCGACCCAUAAAGUUUUUUUUUUUAAUGAAAAGUUAAUGGGGCCCCAACCCAACCCGACCCAACCCAAUCCAUCUAAAAAUAUUCUACAUGAAUAAGCUCAUCUAAGUUUUAGGUUCAUUGGGCUAGACUAUAUUUGUGUUGUAACAACAGACACAAUCUCUGUAUAAUUACUGUGUGCAGAAAUUUUUUACUCACGAAAUAAUCGCACUGCGAAUCUAGAGAAGGGCGCAUCUAAGCAUAUGUCUCGGUACGACCCUAUUCAAAUGAUUUUGAUUCUUUUUUUUUUUUUUGAAUAAUAAUUGUAUGAAAGUAAGUUCUUAGAAUUUCACUUUCCCAUGCACUUUGGGUACUCACUAGGUAGUAAUCAAACAUCGACUUAAAUUUAUAAUAAUCAUCCCAAAUUUCUAGGCCUAAAUGAUACAAUUCGUUUAUGUUAUACACUGUUUACUAAUAUGGAAGAAUUUUUUUUGUAAAUUGGCUAUAAAAUAUAAGUUUCGAGAUAUAUAUAUAGUCCCAAUACUACAAUUUCUUUUGCUUUUAUAUAUAUCUCCCUAUUUUAGUAAAAAAUGAAAAAUAAAAUAUCUUGCUAAAAGAAACGAACCGAUCCAGAGCUUAAAGCAAUACGUGAAAAUACCUCUCACUUUUUAUGGAGAUCACGUUUUUAUUUUUUAGAAAAAACUUAAUAGGGGACUGUUGUUUUUUAGGAAUAAUUGCCUAUAUAUCCCUCAAAAUAUGGAAAAUAUUUAUUUACCCCUAUAUUUUUUUUUCUUUCCAAUAUAUUUCUCAUAUCUUUCUCCGUUAUUUCAAAAUACCCCUACAAUUAUCAACCGUUAAAUUAACUUGGGUUAAAAAUAAGUUAAAUAUCUACCAGAGUUAAAAAAAUUAAAAUAUCUUUUUUAUCCUUAACUUAAGAGCAAAUAAGAAAUAUUUGUGACGGUAGAAGGGUAUAUUUGACAAAUAAGAAAAGUCAGUGAUGACAGAAAGAUAUUUUUGAAAGGAUAAAAAUAGUAAUUUCAUAGAAAUAACAACUAUUGCUAACAGUUUAUUAACAGAUUUUAACUCUAGAGAUAUAUUUGAAAUAGGUUGAAAUGUAAAAAAUGUAUUUUCAAUAUUAGCUUUCUAAGAGAGAUAAAUCAGAAAGUCGAAAACUUUUUAAGAGUAUAUAAAUAAUUGCCCCUGUUUUUUUAUCAAUCCCCUUAUCUUCUAGUCCUUAUGAAAAAUAUUAUGUUCAUUUUCACUAAACACCCAAUUGAAAAUUUUCCUUUUUUAGAAUAUGAUUGCACAGGUCUUUGAUUCGGCACCAAUCAGCCUCGUGCCACUUCGAACAUAAUUUGGCUCAACUCGACCUCUCCUACUGUUUUGAACAUCACUCGAUCCAACCUAACCUUUCGCCAUGAGGUAAGAUGCUGACCCUUUAAGCCAACACUAUAGAGGGUUGAUUUCUCUUCAUAGAAAUGUAUGAUCGAGUACAUAUAAUUAAUGCCAUUGAAGAAGAUGAGGAGUUCAAGCUAAAGAAAAGCCCAUUGUUGUAUCCUUGUUAUAAAGUUCCCUACACAAGCAAAGCGUAAUGAAGAGAGAAAUUAAAGUUGGAAGAAAAUGAAAUGAGCCAAUGAUAGAUGAUAGCGACAGACUAAUGAUAUUGUUCUAACAUAAGGUGCAUGCAUGUAGGCAUCUUACAACGCGAGAACUUCUAAAAGUAUUCUAACUCUAACUCUACAUAAUGCGUAACCUUGAUCCAAAUUGCGACGAAAGUCGAGUGGAGGGGUGUGCAACAUUAGGUCUCGUUGCUAGGAUAAUACCUAUUGUAUUUUGUAAAGUCGGUCGAAAAAAAGGCUCAUCGUAAGUCAUACAGCUUAGUGCAUGUUUUGUUCCAUGCACUUCUAUUGCUGUUUGCAGCAACAAUCAUCUAGAUUUCAAUUAUUUUGGCAUAAAAAGAAUUAAAAAUGAGAUUUUAAUGCUCAAAAGUAGCGGCACCAUCUCACGGGCUUAAGCAUUUCACUCGCCAAAACCCGUGAGGCGCUCGCCUUCCUCUGCGAAGAGAAGCAGGCUUGCCUCUAUCUUGUUAAUUCGGGUCUAACUCGCCCCAAGACUACAUUAUAAGGAAGAAAGAGAGAAAGAAAGCGAAGCACUUCGAGAAAUUGGAACUGCUGUAUUUCUUUGUUAUUUAAAAGAAAAAAAUUACAGGUUGUUGCAGUUGAAGGGUUUGGAAUGACCUGAAGCUUACUACUUCCAUUUAUAGGCCUCUGGCAAGUAAAAGUGGGGAAGGGAGCCAAAGGAGGAGACAACUACUAUUUGUCAAUUUCCAUCUAACUAUACUAACUGCAAUUUUUAGAAACUGGAUGAACUAUAACAAAAUAUGUCUUAGACCACGCUUUUUUAUGUAACGCUUUAUUCUACCGUCUUCAAUAUUUGGCAUGUACCGAAUCUCAUGAUUAAGUGUCGCUAAUAAAUAUGUUUUUAUUAAAUAUCAAUAAAAACUUUCCGACGCUAUAUUGAAGCGUCGGUAUAUUUAUCCCGACAUGUUUACUUAACAACUUUUUGCUCGACGCUUUUACAAGUAUUGGGUUAUUCUUGCUGACACUUUAAAGUGUCGCUCGAUCCUUUGAGUUUGUGCGAUUAUGAGGGCAGACAUAUAUGAUUUUGUAAUGCGCUCGACAACCGGCUCUAGUUUGAGCCUCCAUUUGGUCUAUAGACGAAAAUAUGGUAGAAAAUUUUUUAUUACAUUGCCUGUUUAAGAAAACAACUCUUAAAUAUAUAAUUGUAUUUCAUUUAACAACACUACACCGUACGUACGACAAUACUAAACAAAAAUUUUCUAUCUAAUUAAAUCUCUCUCUCUCUCUCUACUUGCACAAUCAAACAUACGUAGGGUUUGAUCUAAAGGCUAAAGUAGCCACAGUGCAAAAUUAAUUAUUGGGUUCAAAUGAAUCUAAGGAGAUUACAGUUUUUUUCUUUUCUUUCUGGCUAAAAUAUAGAAAGUUCACUUGUAAAUACUCAUUUUUUUUACCCUACAUUUUGCCCCAAAAAAUUUGAAAUUUUUUUUCAGAUGGUUGGGAACUAAUAAAGAGAGAAAAAUAAUUAAAUCGCUCUUACUUCUUCUAUAAGAAAGAAAAUAACUUUUAAUAUGUUUUUAUUAUUUUGAAUGAUAUUUUCGGUAUAAAUUAUAAGAAAUGAAUAAAAUAGUAAUGAAAUUCUGCUAGAAAUGGGCUAAAUGUAACAACUUGAAAUAUUGAGUGGUUAAAAUAUAAACUUUUGAAAGUUGAGGAAAAAAAUUUAAAAAUAAAUAUUCAUAAAAAAAAUUUCUGUAAUUUAGUUUUUUUUUUUUCUUCCCAAGUUGGAUACACAUGAUACAAUGUACAACUCAAGUACUACAAUUAAAGGUGGUCCCAUUCAACGCGUCUUCUAUAAGUUGCAACAUGAUCUGAAAAGGGAAAAGGCUUAAAACCAUGAUAGAAACAAACGAAAGAACGUGAACAUGUUCCUUGAUCAACAAUUCCCUUCUUUCCAUUUAUAAAAUUUAUUUUUUAAAUACUUUCAAUAGUGUAGAUCAAGUUUAACGGAGUCGAUCGUCGAUUUGGAAGCCGCAUCACUGAAAACAACGUGCAGACUCAAGCCAGGCCUCCAGAAUUGCUAUCAAUAGUAUACAGCCAAAUUCUCUCUCUCUCUCUUCUCUCUCUCUCUCUCUCUCUCUCUUCUCUCAUAUAUAUAUAUAUAUAUAUAUAUAUAUAUAUAUUAUAGAGGAGAGAGAGAGAGAGAGAGAGAGAGAGAGUCCGGCUACUAUACUCUAUUGAGUAUAGAGUUUUGUACACAUAAAUUUUUUACCGUUUGAUCUACCCUUUAACCAUUUUCACUUGUUAGAUUAUACUAUUCAACCACCCACCCACUCAACCUGACUAGGGGGCCACUAUCAAUCUAACCGUAACCACUCUCAUUCCGACUGCACAUCUUUUUAUCUAAACGGCCGAAAAGAUAUCAGUACAAAGGGUCUAUAAUCAUUAUGUAUAUAGUCCCCAACCUCUUAAUAAUAUUAUAUAUAAAUAUAUAUAUAUAUAAUAUAAUAUAUAUAUAUAUAUAUAUAUAAUAUAUAUAUAUAUAUAUAUAUAUAUAUAUAUAAUUGAGCUCUUAUGCUUUUAAACGUACCAAGUCAUUGGUGCUUGUAAGUUUUCGAUCCUUGCAUUAAAAGAUGUGCAGUUGGGAUGAUGUGGCCCCCCUAGGGUUGAGCGGGUCGUUGGUUGAAUAAUAUAAUCUAACGGGUGAAAAUGAUCAAAGGCAUAAAUCUAAUGUUAGAAAAUUUACAAGCACCAAGUAUUUGGUGCUUUUACAACCACCAUAGCCGGACCAUAUAUAUAUAUAUAUAUAUAUAUAUAUAUGGAUUGCUCUACAUCGUUAAAUAAUGAAACAAUUUAUAUAUGCUAUCAAAAACUGUCGAUUUUGUAAUCAUUUCAUCAUUAUGUAAUUAAUUUCUAAAAAUUAUUAUAUUUAAUUUCUAAACAUUUAAUCAAAUACUCUAAAUCAAAUUUAAUGGUUUCGAUCAUCGAUUUUGAAUCUCUAUCAUCAAAAUCAACUUGAUAAGAUGAUGGUCUUCGUCCUCCUUAAAGGAUAUAGUAGCUGAAUUAUCUCUCUCUCUCUCUCUCUAGAUAUAUAUAUUUAUAUGUAUGGAAAUUGCGAAAAAUAGUUCAUUCAUAUACGAAUUGAAAAUUUGAAGGAAAAAAAAAAUGAAAAACUGAAACAGAUGAAAAACAGAAGGAGCAAAACGGAUAAAAAAACUGAAGGGAAAAAAAAAAAAAAUUUAUAAAGAACUUUUAUCUCAGGAGUGUUUGGUUUAGUUAUUGGCUGGUACAGUGUGUUUAAGGGGGACGGGAAUAAGUAAAUUUUUAUCCAAAUAAAAAAUUAAUCUUAUUCUAGUUUAUUCUCAAAAUUAUAUUAAUUUCAUAAAUAAAUAAUUCUUGCUUAUUUUUGAACCAAAUGAUACUUUAGGAAAAAAUAAUUGCACACAUUUUCCGUGCACACAUGAACAGUACCCUCCGAAGAAUUUAUGACAAAUUCGUAUUUUAAAUCUCCAUCGGUCAAUUGCUCAACUGUCGCAUUUAUGAAAAGCUAAACUAUUAAGCUACAGAUUGAGAUUGAAACAUGCGAUGAAAUAGACGGUGAGAAAUAAUUAGGUUUCUCAUUAUUUAAUGAGUGAGCUGCACACUUCUCGAAGAAAGGUUUCUCAUUAUUUAAUUAACAAGGUUUUCUGUGUAAUAAUUAGGGUCAACUUCAAAUGCCACUUCGCUGAUUUCACAUUUUUUUCACUUUAGGACUUUAUAAUUUAAAUUGUAUUAAUUUAGUACUCUAUGAUUGUAUUUUUGAAAAAACUUCAAAUACCUCCCUUGUGGUUUCAUUUUUUCUCACUUUAGUACUCUGUGGUUUAUAGUGUAUCAUGUGGUUGUGCACUUUUUCACUUUAGUACUAUGUGGUUUAAAGUGUAUUAAAUUAGUACCUGUGAUUUCGCACUUUCUCACUUUAGUACCAUGUAGUUUCGUACUUUCUCACUUUAGUAUCCUGUGAUUUAAAAACCAUAGGGUACUAGCUUGGUACAAAAAUAAAACCACAUGGUACUAACAUGAUACAAAAAUAAAACUAUAGAGUACUAACUUCAUACACUUUAAACCACAGGGUAAUAAAAUGAGAAAGUACAAAACCACAGCGUACUAACUUGAUACACUUUAAACCAUAUGAUACUAAAAUGAAAAAAUACGAAACCACAGGGUUUUUUUUUAAGUUUUUCUUGUAUUUUUAACUCUCUGUUAAAUCUUAUACAAAAAACUUCAGAUACCCCACCUAUAUAUAUUUUAUGGAAUAUUCAUUUUAGUACUAUGUGAUUUACUGAAUUUUUAUUUUGGUACCCUUUGAUUUUAACUUUAUCACUAAUAUAACGGAAAAAAUUAACAGAGGAAAUAACAGAAAGAGAAAAAUGAAACAUGAUACUAAAGUAAUAUAUUUUAAACCACAGGAUACUAAUGUGAGAAAGCGCGAUGGUAUUUAAAGUUUUUCCUAAUAAUUAUUUUAUAUAGAGAUUAACAACGCCUAAGCAAUUUUUUUAUGUUUUUAAGCAUUAUUUCAAUAAAGUUAUUACCUUAUCUUUUGUUAAAUCCUUCCUCAUAUCAAUAUUCAUUAUUUGAGUUAAUUAAAGCUCUGAAGCAAAGUCCAACGAGUCUAAUGAAACUCAGAAUGAAAAAAAUUAACCCAUACGUUGAGUUUUUAGUAUUAUACUUUUUCUCAAAAUUUUGAAUCAUUGAUUUUUUUUUUCUUUUAACAUCAUUUCAUGCAAAUAAAAUCAAUUUUCAAAACUUAUAAAAUUUGGUUCGAAUAUUGUAAACAAUUUCUAGUUUUUUUUUACUUUUUUACCUGGUGAACGAGUAACUUCAAAAUGGGCGACUGAUAAUAAAAAUUUCAUAAAAAAUAAUGAUAGAAAACUCAAAAAUUGAAAUCUAAAUUCGUUGUUCAUCUUUAACCAACUUAUUAGGUUGGUUUCCUCUUCUUCGAUCUAUAAUGUUGAAUGACAUGAAUUAUGUUAUGAUAUUAGAUACAAAAUGAAAUCUUAAAUUAUAUAUAAAGGGUAAACUUCAAAUACCACCCCUGUGGUUUCAUGUUUUCUCACUUUAGUACUCUAUAGUUUCAUUUUUUUCUUUUUAUUGUCACCCUCGUCAACUCUUUAUUAAAUCAUAUACAAAGAACUUCAGAUACUUCAUCUAUGGUUUAUCGAAUAUUCACGUUAGUAUCCAGUAGUUUACUAAAUUUUCAUUUUAGUAUACUUUAUAUAUGGUUUUAACUUUGUCACUGAUUUAACGAAAAACUUAACGAAGAUAGUAACGAAAAGAGAAAAACAAAAUCACAGAAUACUAAAGUGAUUAAUUUUAAACCAUAGGAUAUUAAAAUGAGUAAGCGCGAAAUUACAAAGGUGGUAUUUGAUGUUUUCUCGUAUAUAAAUGUUAAAAGUAUCUACACAUAAUAAUAAGUUUUAAGAUCGCAUGCUAAAUACAUCUUAGUACGUGAUGCUGUUACGUAUUAGCUACGCAAUAUUAUGUAUUGGAUUUCGUGUGAUCUUAUUUUGAAUAUAACGUGAAGGAUAUGGCCACUUAAUAUUUUAAAUUUAAACUAAUUAAAAUUGGUUUAAGCUUUGAGUGUACGUGUAAAUGUACAUAUAAAUAUAUAUUUAUCUCAAAUCAAUAUAAAUUAAAUCUACAAUAAAAAUUAUAUUUUAUAAAUUUAUAUAGUAUAUUUUAUUAGAAAAUAUCUGUAAUAUCUUAUAUUAUUUUUUUUAUAUACAUUGAAUAUUUUUAUAUAUUUUUCGAAAUAUGAUGACUCUAAAAUUUAAGUAUAUGUUUUAUACUAAAAACAUCAAGAUUUAAUUCACAUUUACUUUAAAAUUUAAAACUCAAUUUUGAUACACUAUAAUUAAAAAAUUUUAAUUGUUAAUUCAAAUUUGAUAUUUAAAAUUUAAUUUAAUUCAUGAUUUAAACUCAAAUUUUAAUUCUAAUGUAAAAUAAAUGGAUAAGAAUGUUAUUUUUUAAUAGAUUAAUCAUAACCUUUUAUUUUUAUUUGAGAUAUUUUUUAACAAAUUAAUCAUAACCGUUCGUAGGAUUAGAUUUAUAGAUGGAUAGGAAUGCUAUUUUCUAACAGAUUAAUUAUAACCGUUCGUUCUUAUUUAAUUUUUUAUUCCAUCCUAUACUCUUUUAUAUAUAGUAUAAAUAGACUAGAAUACUAUUAAUAGCACAAAGUUAUUGGUGCUCUUAGGUAUAUAGUAUUUGGAUGAUUAUUCCAAGGAUAUAUAGUUACAAAUUCAGUAAUAAAACGAAACUAGAGUAAAAAUUUUUAUUUAGAUGAAAAUUGGGUUGUUUCGGAGGAGAAUAACGUAAAUAGUGUUUGGAUAGUUAGAUUCGAAUGACAGGAAUAAAAGUAAUUAUAAUUUUAAAUUAAUAAUAUUUUAUCUAAUUAAUUAAUAUCAAAAUAUUAAUUAAAAAUAAUUUAAUAAAUUAAAAUAUUUAUUAGCUAUGAAUAUUGUAUAAGAUAAUAAAAAAAUACAUUAAUAAUUAAUUAUAUUAAUUAAUUGUUUAGUUAAUUAGAAAAUAUAACUUAACUUUUUAAUUAAUUAGUAUAUUAUUAAUUUAAAAUUUUAAUUAGUUAAUAUAAUAAAUUAAUUAAAUAAUUAAUAUAAAAAUUAAUUAUUAAAUAAACAUGUUCCACCCUUAUUCUCUCUUAUUCCCAAUCAUGAAGAACUACAAUUUUUGAAUUCAAAAAAUAGAGUUGGGGUAUAAGGGUUUAUUCCCCUCUUUAUACCCGAACCAAACAUUACCUUAGUAUUGUUUGGUUCGAGGAUAAACAAAAAAUGGCUAUUCCAGGGAUAGGUAUAAAUUGAGGUAUAAACGGGGAUUAGAUCAAUUUUGCGUUCGGAUGAAAAUUGGGUUAUUCGAAUAAAAAAAAUAGCGUUUGGUUAGUUAAGAUGGAAUAAGAAAGAUAGUGGGUUUUAUAAAUAAAAAAUAAUCAUAUUAUCCUCUUAUUAUAUUUAAAUUUAAAUUUUUAAAUUUUUAAAUAUAUAUUUUUAAAUUUAAAAUUUUAACUUUGAAAUUUCAAAUUUGAAAUUUAAAAUCUCAAAUUUUAAUUCAAAAUUUUAAAUUUUAAUUUCAAAGUUUAAAUUUUAAGAUCAAAUUUAAAUUUGAAAAAUAUAAAUAUAAAUUUAAUUUCAAAAUUAAAUAUCAAAAAGAAAAAAUUUAAAUUUAAAUUUAAAAUUUAAAAUUAUAAACUUUAAUUUUGAGAUUAUAAAUUAUAAAUUUUAAAAUUAAAUUUUUAAUUUUUAAAUUUUUAAAAAAAGAAUAGGGUGGGACAAUUAAUAAAAAUAAUUUAUUAUAAUAAAUUUAUAAAUUUUUUAAAAAUUCUACUUAAACUUAAAUUUAAUAAAAAGAUUUAUUAUAAUAUUUAAUAUAAUUUACUAUAAAUUUAUAUAUAUUAAAUAUAAUAGAUAAUUAUUAAUAUAGUAUAAUUAAUAAUUUUAUAAUAAAAUAAUGUAUUAUAAUAUAUAAAUUUUAAAACUUUAAAUUUAAUUUUUAAAUUUUAAAUAAGAAUAGGGUGAGAACAAUUUAAUAAAAACUAUUUAUUAUAAGAAAUUAUAAAUUUUUUUAAAAUUCUACUUAAACUUAAAUUUAAUAAAAAGAAUUUAUUAUAAUAUUUAAAUAUAAUUUAUUAUAAAUUUUAUUAUAAUAUUUAAAUAUAAAUAAUAUGUAUUUAAUAUAGUACAAUUAAUAAUUUUAUAAUAAAAUAAUGUAUUAUAAAUAUAUAAUUUUUAUAUAAUUAGGUUUUAUCUCAAUUUUUAAUUUUAAAUUUUUACAAAUAAGAAUAGGGGUUGAGAACAAUUAAUUAAAACUAUUUUAUUAAAUAAUUAUAAAUUUUAAAAUUCUACUUAAACUAACUUUAAUAAAAAGAAUUUAUUAUAAUAUUUAAAUAUAAUUUUAUUAUAAAUUUUAUUUAUAAUAUAUUAAUAUUUAAAUAAUAUUGUAUUAAUAUCAGUACAUCAUUAAUAAUUUUAUAAUAAAAAUAAUUGUAUUAUAUAUAUAAUAUAUUAUAUUUAUAUAAUUUAUUAUUUUUAAUUUAUAAUUUUAAUUAAAGUUUUUGAAAUUAAGGCAUCUGGAAUAGUGCUAUUCUACAAAAUUUGGUGGAAUGGCAAAUCUCCUUGCUAUUCCGGGAUUAAUCGGAAAUAGCAAGGUUGCCGGAAUAAAAUUAAUUCCGGCCAAAAUUUCACCCCGUUUGCGGAAUAGCGGGGAUCAACUUUCGUAUAUCCCCGCUUAUCCCCCAACCAAACGGGUUAGGUUUAGUGGUAUGGAUUAUCGAUUUGGAAGCUCUAUCAUCGAAAAUGACUUAUGAGUACAAAGGCGAUCGUAGUCAUCAUAGUAUAGUUGCCGGACUCUCUCUCUCUCCCCCUAUAUAUAUAUAUAUAUAUAUAUAUAUAUAUAUAUAUAAUUAAGUUCCUAUGUUUUUAAAAGUAUUAAGUCAUUGGUACUUGUAGGCUUUCAAUCCUUGAGUAAAGGAUCUGCUGUUAAGAUGAUAGUGAUCUCCUAGGGUUGAGUGGAUAGUGGUGGAAUAGUAUGAUCCAACGGAUAGAAAUGGUCAAAAGGGUAAAUUUAAUGACAGAAAACUUACAAGCAUGCAUCUAGUGCUAGGUGCUUUUACAAGCACUAUAGCUGAACCCUCCCUCUCUUUAUAUAUAUAUAGAGAGAGAGAGUGAGAGAGUUUUACUACUAUACUAUCAAUAGUACCAAACGCUUAGCACUACUAAGUAUUCCACCACUAGAUCUACCCCUUUACCAUUUUCAUCCGUAAGAUUAUACCAUUCAACCAACCACCUACUCAAUCCUAGGAGACCAUUAUUAUUCUAACCACACAUCUUUUCAUCCAAGUGACGAAAAUUUUCGUGCACUAAUAUUCUUGGCAGAUUGACUUCACUCUAUUUUGUGGUGAAUCUACUUCUUGUAAAGAUAAUUCUUUCCGUCUUAACUUGGCAGACCAACGAGUAAUCAUAGCUUGAGCAUUCAAUACAUAUACUAUCUGUGUUCGUCCAUGUUCGUCUCAUUUAGUGUAACCUAUUUAGGUGGUAAGUAAUUUUUUUUUUUAAUGUAAAUGCACGCAGACGACAACAUAUGUAUCAAAAUUUUUAAAUACAGUAGAAUUGAAACUUAGAUCCUCUAAUUCAGUAUAAAAUUAUCAACUAAUGGAGUAAUGGUUAUAUAUAUACAGUGAUAGCGAUAAUAAAUAAUUUUUUUGAAGUUGUGUGGUCUAACAAGAUAAUAUUGUGGGCUAUGUCUAGAUAGCACAUAUUGAAUCAGUGCAGUUGUAUUUUAUUUAUUUUUUGUACUUUUGAGCCACGUGACAGGACUUUAAAUCUACGACCCAUUAUUGCUUAUGUCUAGUGCGUGUGUACGUCCCCUGCACACGUGAACACCUUCGUAUUAAUUUAUUGCAUUUCAUAUUUUAUAUUCUGAGUUUCGUGUGGCUACAAUUUAUUUAUCAAAAUUAAUAAUAUUUUAAUAAAAAAAUUUUAAAAAAUUUUUAAACUCUAAAAUAUAAGAUGUAUUCUUGUAUAUAUUACAGUGAGUGUACAUGCAAUAUUUUCUACCGACUGUCCCAAGAGCAAGUGGUAAAGGACUUGGUGGUUCGUAUUCGAGAUCCAAGUUUGAAUUCUAAUUGAUUCACAUUUUUAGCUAACUUUAUUUCUAAAUGAAAUAAAUGAAGCGGGUAGCGUGUUAUCUAUCUUUCUCAAAAAGAAAGUGAUAAGCUGCACUCCAUGCAUUUUUAAAGUAGGUUUUUUUAUAAAAUUUAAUAAAAGAAAAAUUUUCUACAUAAAAUUUAAUUUUUAAAAAAUUUUAAUAGUAUAAAUCGUGUGAAUAAAGUCAAUCAUCGUCGAAUCAAAUAUUUUAUUAUUGUUCAAUUAUUGAAAAUAUACGAGAGUACAGAAAUCUCCGUGCUUUUGAAGAGGUAGGAGACUAAAGUCUGGAGCUAUAUAUAUGCGCGCGAGGGAUGAUCUUUACAUGCAUAUAUUGCAUUUCCUACUAAACUCUAAAAUUCAUACGCACAUUGUAUAUUAAUAGAAUUCCCAUAGUGUUGGUGAUAUGGGCAUAUUAUCAUCAGCGCAUGGUCGUGUUCUCCUCUUCGUUUUUCAUCUCAUAUUUAAUGCGGCGGCUGCUGCCGCCGCCGCAGGGCGGUGGGACCUCCUGCAGGGCAGCAUCGGCGUGUCGGCCAUGCACAUGCAGCUCCUCCACAACGACCGCGUCAUCAUCUUCGACCGCACCGACGUCGGCCCCUCCAAUCUCACCCUCGCCGGCGGCGCCUGCCGCCACGACCCCAACGAACUCUCCAUGAAAGUCGACUGCACCGCGCACUCCGCCGAGUACGACGUCGCUGCCAACGCCUUCCGCCCGCUCACCGUCCUCACCGACACCUGGUGCUCAUCCGGCACCGUCGCCCCCGACGGCACCCUUGUCCAGACCGGUGGGUACAACGACGGCGACCGCAACGCCCGCACCUUCAGCCCGUGCGCGAAUGCCGCCGCCUGCGACUGGACGGAGCAUCAAAACGUCCUCGCGGUCCGCCGCUGGUACGCCACCAACCAAAUCCUCCCCGACGGCCGCGCGAUCAUAAUCGGGGGCACCGGCCAAUUCAACUACGAAUUCUACCCUAAAACCAAUGGCGCCGAUGCCGCUGAAAUUCCCCUCCCCUUCCUAUCGCAAACACACGACCCCGAAGAGAACAAUCUCUACCCGUUCGUCCACCUCAAUAUCGACGGCAACUUAUUCAUAUUCGCGAACAACCGCGCCAUACUAUUCGACUAUGUGAGAAACGCAGUGGUGACGACGUACCCGGAAAUGCCGGGCGGCGACCCCAGAAACUAUCCGAGUACGGGCUCUUCGGUGCUGCUGCCGCUGAAGCCGGCGCCGACCGAAGCCGAAGUGCUCGUCUGCGGCGGGGCCCCGACGGGGUCCUGGGUGCAGGCGUCGCAGCACGGGAACUUCCUGCCCGCGCUGGCUACCUGCGGCAGGAUUAAGAUCAACGACGCGGCGCCGGAGUGGGCGAUGGAGACGAUGCCGAUGCCGAGGGUGAUGGGCGACAUGGUGCUGCUACCGUCCGGCGAGGUGUGUGUGUCAACCGAUUAUCCAUCUCUAAAUUGAUUUAUUUAUAAAAAUUCAAUCAUUUCGAAAUUAAUAAAGAGUAAAUCUACAAUCCAAAAUAAAUUGCAAUUCUCACCCAAAGCCUAUUUUCUUUUCUAUAAAUCUUUAAAUUUUUGAAUGGGAAAAUGUAGAAAUUAUAUAAUUUCUUUCUGGUCGCAGAUUUAAUAGACUUUUUUUUUCUGCAAUAAUUCCUUUAAAAAAGUUAUAAUUUGUCAAAUAAUUUCUGCAAAAAAAAAAAUUUGGUAAACUAACUCUAUUCUAUCUAACUGAGCAGCACGUCGUAGAAAGAAGUGAAAGAUUAUUGUGAUCAAUUACUGUCUUUAUUAAAAGCGAUGAUUCGUUUGUCGGUUUUAAAAAUUUCAUUUGUAUAGAUUGUUAGGAUGAAAACCACUUAAAAAAAAUACGGUAGAUUAUUCGUCAUUUUUAAAAUAUGAGAGAUAAACCGUGAAUUGUUUGUAGUCUUCAUUUUAAAAUCGAAAAAUGAUAAACAAUUUGUCGUCUUCCUAGUUCCUAAACUAAGAUAAAAUUAACGUCCAAAUAAAUUUUUGACAAAACUACUUAAAGAAACAUAAAAUUUUUUAGGAUUACUUGGAACAAAAUUUUAAACUUGGCAUUUCUCUUUCGCAAUUCAGGUGCUCAUAAUAAACGGAGCGGGUACGGGGGCGGCGGGGUGGGAGAUUGGCCACAAUCCUGCGCUGGCGCCCGUCUUGUAUCGUCCCGACGCAGCGCCCGGCGCACGAUUUGCUGUGCAAGCCCAGGGGACGGUUCCCCGGAUGUACCACUCGACAGCGGUGCUGCUCCGCGACGGCCGGGUGCUCGUCGGGGGGAGCAACCCGCACGAGCGCUACGUCUUCGCUGAUGUCGAGUACCCAACGGACCUCAGCCUCGAGGCCUUCUCGCCGGAGUACCUCGACCCCGCCUUUGCAGCCUUGCGGCCGCAAAUCAUUUCUCCCCUACUCCUUAUAAACCACGGGACACCGUUCCCUCUGCGGUUCCACGUAGGGCAACUGUCGGCGAACGGCGUGUCGGUCACGAUGGCGUCGCCGGCGUUCGCGACGCACUCGUUCUCGAUGAACCAGAGGCUGCUGAUUCUGGAGACAAUGAAUCCGAGGGCGGUAGGAGAUGCGGUUUACGAGGUGAUCGCAACGGCGCCGGCGAAGGCGGCGCUGGCGCCGCCGGGGUACUAUAUGGUGUUUGUGGUGAAUAAUGGGAUUCCAAGUGAGGGCGUAUGGGCGCAGAUACAGUGAAAAAUAUAUGUUGCUUUUGAAUGAUACAGCAUAUAAUAAUAAGCAUAGGAAGAUGAAUUAAUGAAGAAGAAAUAAAAUGUGUGUGAAAUGUGUGUGACAGUGUGUGUAUACUAGAUAUGCAUGCAUGUGAAACAAAUCACAUGCUAUUGUGCUCUCUAUCAUUACUUUGUCAAUUGGAUUAAUUUGUUAAACUGGGGGACUAUGAUCCUGGCCAAGUUUUUAAUAAAUAAAUUGGAAUAAUUUUUAGUGCUAAAUUGAAAUGUUUCUAGUCUCAUGGCUAUUUAGCCACUUACAUAAAUAUUUCUCUUUUGUGUCCUCUCGUUUAAUCUUUUGUGUCCUCUCGUUUAAUUGCAAAAUUACUGCUUAUUUUUGCUCGUGGACAUAGAUAUAUAAGUGGCCAAAUCACGUAAACCGAUUAUAUAUAUGGUUUAUGUUUUUCUCUUUCCCAAUAUUCUAUUGACUUUUUGCACUCGAGUAAGUAGAAUAUUUUAGCAUUAAUCGUAUUGUCAAGAAUGUACAUAUUGGAAUAAUGUCAUGUGAGCCGUCAACACAUAAACAAUAUUUAAGAUUGGUGUUGUCUAACAUGUAAAACAUUUUCCGUUAUAAGCAUACCAAUGCGAUGUGUUGAUGCAUAAAUAAUUUAAUUCUACUUGUGGGCACACACUGGCUAGUUGUGAAGUCUCGUAGACUGAUUAUGCGGUUAUGUUUUUUUCUCUUUCUGAAUUAUUUGUUGACUUUCUGUACUCAAGGAACUAGAAUACUUUGACUUUUUUAAUAUUUUCAAGAAUGCUCUGGAAUAAUAUUAUGCAAGCUGUCAGCACAUCAACAACUGAUAAGGUCAAUAUACGUAAAGUAUUUCUUAUUAUUGAGAUACUAAUGUGAUGUCCUCACGUGUAAAGUACUAUAAGUAAUAAUCGGCAUACACAUGUAAAAAUAAUAUAAAAUAACUAUUUGUCUCUAAAAAGCUUCACUCGUCAUAGAAUGCAUUUUUAAUAUCGGAUAAUUUAGCAAUUUCCCUCACGCCUUGAUUCAAAAAACUCUAAUAGAGAAACAAUGUGAAAUUAAUAAUUAAAUAAAAUAAAUAUAUGUAAUCGACAGAAGAAUAUUGUCUUUACAAUUAGGAUCAAUUUCUUAUAUGCCCUUCAAAAAAAUAUAAACUCAUCUUUCAAAUAUACCAAACUUUUCAAAUCUAGUCCUCUAAUUACAACCCAAAAUGUGCCUAAUACACCCUCAAGGCAAGGGUAUUUUGGAAAGAAAUUGAUACUAUUUGAGGGAGGCAUAAUCAUAAUAGACAAAAGUCAGGGACAAAUUUGAAAACAGGAGUAAAUUAGAUAUAUUUUAAAACCAUCCAAAAUACCUGAUAUUCCAUACCCGACCCGGAUCCUAUCCGGAUCCUAUCCGGAUGUGAACCGGUUCCAAUUAAAAAUAGAUAGUAUACGGGUAAAAAAAAAUUAUCCAUUAAAGUUUCGAGUAUGGGAUCCAGAUACUUUAUAUAUCUCCAAACUCGACUUGGAUCCAACCCGAACCCAACCUUUUAACGGGCAGGGUCCGGAAGAGUUUUCAAAUCCGGAUCCAGAUUCGGAUCCGGAUCUGGAUCCGGUAAAAUACCCAAUAGUAAUAUAACAUAUCGAACUUCUGCAAUUAUGAAGUUCGGUGGGAAUUAGCUUAAAAAACUAAUUAAAUAAGUUCCGGCAUGGUUUGGAGAGCAUUCGAGAGUUUUCACCGCAAAUUGGACACGAAACGAACUCGAGAAGUUGAAUCUAUCUGAGUUGCAGAUUUUGCAUUGAGUACCGGUAUUGGGAAGUGAGUACCGGUAUGCAAUGCAAAGGGUGGAAAACAUGCCCUUGGGAAUUGAGGUAUCAAGCUUGGGUACCAGAACUAAAUUGAUGAAAUUUGUAUUGCGUAACGAUAUGCGGGAUUUAGUACCAGUACGCAAUGUAAAUAUUGGAAAUAAGGCUCUUGAAUUUUGAGGUACUGGGAACCGGGUACCAGUACUGGAUGCCCGAGUACCGGUACUCAGCCUGACAGAGUGCUGUUUUUGAAGUAUAAUUUGGUAAAUUCAUUAGGGGCUUGUAAAUAGGGGUCCCCACCCCCCUUCUUCUGCAGAGAACACACACACACACACGCGCGCGCGCGCGCGUAUAGAUAGAAAGAGAGAGAGAAGAAGCUCAUCUCUCUCCCUCUCUUCUUCCUUCUAUCCAAUUUGGAGACCUUGGUGGAGAUCGAACUCGGGAAGCUUGGUGGAGCGGUGAAUCAAGCUCUUGGACGCUUGGUGGCUCCGGACACUUCCGACUCGAGGUUCGUUUUUUGAUAAUGAAAUUAUGGUUUUGAGUUUAAACCACCUAAAUGGAUUUCUAGCAAACCCUAGGCUAAUUUAGGCUACAAAUUGUAGAGAUUAGCAAGUGGAUUUGGGUUUCUCCUCUAAUUUUGGGAAAGCUAGAUUGAAAGAGAGGUUUGCUUGUGAAGGGUUCUAAAAAUAUUUUAACCCUUUAGAACCCUAAUUGGGGGUUAGGAAAGCAUGUGAGGCUAUUUGAUUUUUAGUAGAGAAAUCAUUUAGUGGUUCGAAAUUGAUAAUGAAUGAAUCUCUUGUAUAGAGAAAGGAAAGCUUGCGAGCAAGCUUGGAGAUCCAAGAGAUUGGCCUAAUUGCAAGUGUCUAUAAGCAAAUAGGAAGCUUGAGGUGGGUUGUGCUUCAACGAAAUGAAUAGGUCGCUUCCAUGCCAAAGUGUGAAGUAUGGCAUUAUUAUUAUUGAUGCAUGCAUAUAAUGGUAGAUUAAUUGAUUUAAAUGAGUAGGCAUAAUUUGUAUGCUAUUUAUAAUAUAUCUACCAUUGGACAGGAAUUGGACAAGAAUAUAGGCAUGUAGAAUAUAUAGGAUAUGUGUAUGCCUAGGUAUGAUUAUUGAACUAGGUCAGAUGAACUCUAGAAAAAUUAGAGAACUCGACAAUUGAAAACAAGAACUAGAUGUCAUGAACCCUAGAUUUGGACAACUAAGAUAACUAGUCGAAUGACUGGACAUGAAAUCUAGUGUCAUUGAAUAUAGGUUGAAUAUUGAAUCUAGAGUUGGAUAAACCUAGGUGGGAAUGACAUAGGAUCUAGUGUGAUUGAACCUAGAUUAUGAAUUAUAGUGGUAGGAUGACCACUUGGACAUGUAAUUAUGAACCUAGAGAGGUCGACAUCAUAGGGUAUGUGACCAACUCUUGAGACUUGAAAAGUGGAUUUCGGAAUCCCAGGACUUGUGAUUUCCGAUAGAUCUUGGUCGUGGGUGCGUGCGCAUAUUCUUCUCCCAUCGCAAGAACUUCGAGGAUUGUGAUUAAGGAAGAUUCUUGGCCGCAGGUGCAUGUGGCAUGUUCCUCUCCCACCGGAAGAAUCUUCGUCCGCUAGGGUGUAUGUGGCAAGUUCCUCUCCCUAUCGGGGAUGCGGCUGCGGGUGUAUGCGGCAUGUUCCUCUUCUACCGGGGGAUCCCUGACCAUGGGUGUACGCAACUCUUUGCGGCCCGUCGAGUGCCUUGGUAUGUGGAUCGAAGGCUAAGGUGUAUGUGGCAUGUUCCUCACCUCAGGCCUGGAUAUGAGCGGUUGUCUGCUGAUGAUUGACUCAAGACCAAGUCUGGUGGUAUAGCUUGGCUAAGAUAAAAGAAUCUCAAGAGCGAAUGGUAAAUGAUAUGAAUUGUGUAAUAGAAAGUAAAAAGGGUAGAUCUACUUGAAUUGGUUGCAUUGUUGCAUUUUGUGAGGCAUAAGCUGAUAAUUGUCAGUUGUGUACAGUUAUAUAUUUAUAUAUAUUGGACUAACUUGCUUAUAUUGCCUUCUUUGGAACUGGUGGGUUGAUCUUUUCCCUUGGGUGGCCGUACUCACUGGGAACUAAAGAAAUAAACAAAAAUUGUAUUAAGUUUGGUUGUAUUUGAAAGUUAAAAAAAUGUAAAUUUAAUGUAAAUAUGAUGUAAAUGAGCUGAAUGCUUGUAAUAGUUUAGCGUUUUAUAUUUGAUGCCUUUUUUAUGCAUUCGAUAUGUGAAUUCUAUUGCUGGUUGGAACCACAUGAAUUGUACUGUUUGCGAUGCCUUGGACGUACAGGAGAAAUUUUGUCCGUUCGGCGGUCUGUCAGCACGCCCGAAUCCGACCAAAGAGGCGGGUCUCGGGGCAUAACAGAUAAGUUGGUAUCAGAGCAUAGAAAUGGUUUAGGUGGAUCUAGGAGACCCUAAGAUAGUGAACCAUAAGGAUUUAGGCUUGUGAGAGAGAAGGAUAUGUGGCUUGUGGCGAAUAAUGAAUUGAUUGGGUCAAGUGUUGUAUGCCUCUAAAAAGGAUAUUAAAGAUAGACUCAAGGUGCAGUUUAUUCUCAGCCGAGUGUGUUCAUAUUGGGUGCACACAAUAUGAAACCAAGAGAUAAGAAUAGGCUCCCUUGCAUGACUUUCGCAUGAUUUGAGUCUGGGUCAAUGUUAACUGUUUUGUGGUUGACCUAGAGGGUGGAGGAUUGAUCGAGUUAUCGUGUUUCAGGAAACGAUGGCAUCGCAUGGGCGAUCUUCGAUGAGAUCAACGUAGGAUGGGAUAAGUGAUGUCCUUGAACAAUCCAGAGCGAGUGGAGACUCGGAGCUCCGUGAACAGUUAGGAGUGCUUGUGGGCGUGGUGCAGUGUCAGCAAGAGGCUGCCUUGCGCUAGGAGAAGCAGAUCAAGAGACUCCAAUAGACUGUGGAACAACUGGUGACCAUUCCAGUUGCGGCUUGUCAUGCACACCAGAUGCGACUCGUCAUGUACAGCCUAGUCUCCCUCUUGUAACUUGGGAAGAAUUUCGGAGAUUGAUGUUUUCUGCUUAUUUACCCCAAAGUGAAAAGAGAAAGCUUCAAGACAGGUUUAGGAAGCUACAGCAAGGAGAUCGCUCGGUGAGAGAAUAUGAGCGGGAGUUCUUCCGAAUUGUGAACUGUGUUCCAACUGUGGUGCGAGAUGACAAAGACAAGGCCGAUUGUUUUGUGCGGGAACUUCGGCUAGAAAUCUUCAAAGUUGUGCACCCUCUUAAGUUGCAAACUUUUGCCGAAGUCUUAGAUCGGGCCUUAUGGGUGCAGCAAGGUAAUGCCUUCACACGAAAAAAGCGCGAGUCUCUCAAACGAAAAAGGGGACUGAUGUGACCGAGGAACAGUUCGGGCGGUCAAUCAAGCUCUAGGUGACCCCAAGACAAUUGCAAUUGCAAUUCCGAACCCCGAAAAUGUUUUCUACCCAAUCUUCUUCGGGGUGUGUUAUUUGUGUGGUUCUCAUCAGGCGUGGCGGUGUGCGCUGCGGGAAGAAAGAUGUAUUCGACGUAGGCAACCGGGUCUUAUGCAGGAUAAGUACCCGCUAGGGGAUAGCCGAACCCUAACACUAGUGACGACCUUCUCCUCUCCGAGACAGCCUGCGAGUACGCCACCUGUGGCACGGUCUGGAGAGCGAGUGAGGAUGCUCGGCACGGUCUAGAGAGCAAGUGAGGAUGUUGAUGCAACCGGAGGGUUUGCGGCGUGCGCCAAGUGACAAUAGAUACGCGACCCAGGUUGAGGAGCCUUCUGCUACCGACGAUGUUGUGGCAGGUAUGAUUUGGCUUUGAAGCAUUGCAUGCAUUAUCUCAUGGUCAUUUGCUUCUAUUUAUUCAUAAAUAUAGAAGGGACCAGGAUGGAGGUAAGUGAAGCUACCCGGGCAUGUUUGUGUCGAAGAUAGUGCGUUGCCUAUCAAAGUGAAUAGGUGAUUAGACGGUGCCGGCGAGUUUCUGGUGAUGAGCCGACUGUAGGACUCAUGGUAGGGAUGGAAAUAUGGACUGACUCUCAACGCAAUAUGAGUAAUUAAUGGUGAGAGUGGGGUCAUGACACUCGAGGACACUUUAGUAAUCCAAGAAUUUCAGAUGUCGAACCGAUGGACCGAAUAGUGAUGGUAGAAUCACUGUUGCGGAUAUAGUAGGACGAUCGCCAAGUUCUGGCGAGUCGGUCGGAUAGUACCUCAACUGAGAUGGGGGAAUUCGUAAUCACGUACUAGUGAGUAUCGACGAGAUCGCGUAGUGUUUGGUUCGUAGUAGUGUAAGACGCUCGAGUAUAGGUGUCCAUAAGGUGCAGAUUGUGGCUCAGCCGAGAAGGUUUGUUGGUAGUAGCACUUGAACAUUGCUAAGUGUGAAGCGGGCCAUAGACUGCUCGUAGGGCUGGUAGCUAGCACUAUAUAACGACCCAGCCCACUAGCAAUAAUAACUGGUUGGGCCCAACCACCAGCCCAAAAUGCUUAAGCUCAGUUGUUAUUACUAAUGUCCAAGUCUCUUAUAUACCCAAUCACACCCCCAUUACUAUCCGAUGUGGGAUUAUUAGGGUGUGACAGACUCCCCCCGUUAAGGCCCUGACGUCCUCGUCAGUCCAUUCACACACACAGCCCAAGAUCACCAGGCGAUAUGAGACUCGUCUUGCUAACCAUGUCAUCCAGACCCUAGCAUGGCUCGCCGUCUUGUCAUUCAGACUUCGGCAUAGCCUAUCACCUUAUCUUUCAGACCCUGGCUCAACCGAGACUCGUCACAUAUUUCUGGCUGGUGAGCUAGCUCUGAUACCAAAUAUAAUAACCUAGCUCACUAGCAACAAUAACUCAUUGGGCCCAACCACAAGUCCAAAUGCUUAAGCCCGGUUAUUAUUACUAAUGUCUAAGUCUCUUAUAUACCCAAUCACAUCCACAUUUCUAUCUGAUGUGGGAUUAUUGGAGUGUGACACACUAGGUGCUAGGGGGCCGAUAGAGAUAUGUGUUGCUCGGUAGAGUGUGUCGUGUGAGACUACGGCGACAGGCAUUGCUUGGGGACAAUUUGUGCCUGGACCACGUGUGGACUGUAGAGCCUGGGGCCAUGUGGACAGGCACAGUCAGCUGUGUGUGAUAGUGGGCAGGGGUUUGGUCGGGAUGGUAGUCCGAGCGAGGACCCGGGAACGUGGGAUGCCACGUGUUGGAUCGUGUGAUUGUUUGUACAUCGAGUGUGUAGUGGACCCAACCUAAGGACUUGUAGUGGUAUGAGGUCUUGAUUGAUCCUACUUGGAGUGUGUGCGAAGUCUCAAAUGAAAACUCCGCCUAGUGAUGAUUGGGUCUGAGCUUGCGAGCGAGAGACGUUGCGCGUUAUCGAGACAGGUUUAGGUGGUAGGCCUACGUGGGAUCAGUGGGCUGCGACCACCCAUGGUAAUUUGGAUAAGCGGUUUAACCGAUGGCUCUGAUAAUAUAAGAGCAUUGAUCGUAUCCAGAUGGAUUGAGGGUAGUGACCAUAGGAGUGUAGGCUCGGUUGUACCGUUCGUUUAAUUGGAUUCACAAACAAAGUGUUCGUGUGGACUCGUCGCGAGAACGACUUAAUAGUGACCCGUGGCAAAUGAUAGUAAAGUAAAUGUGCUCUCUAUGAGACAUUGGGCUAGUAGAAAGUCGCAUGGGGUUGGGGACUAUGCUCUCAGGUGAACUGAUUUUUGGGGAUGUACCAAAUGUGCCAUCUCACUGUAGAGCUAAAAGUCCAUGCCUGGUUAGAGCACUCGGGAUUGAGCGAUGCACCUGUGAUAUUGAUAUUGCUUCUAAGCAAUGCCGGUGAUCGAGUCAGAGUGAGUUCCAGAGUGGAAUGGCACUCUCUUGUGUGAAUCGAGGAGGUCUACCCGUAUGUAUUCCGCAAUGGUGGUGGACCAUUCGACUGGUUGGUGCAUUCUUAUCUGAUCCACACCAUGAGGGUGAAGGGUAGUCCUGGCCUCGGAUGAAACUUUCAUCCACUAGUGCUAGUAAGGUCUGUUGUCUACUGAGGGUGGUUGGUGUCGACAUGGGCCCGCUAAGCAAACUAUGUGGGCAGUUGUCGAAUAUGUAGAUAGGGACGAUAAAUAAUUGCCAUUCCUAAGAUUACCACCUAAGAAAAGGGCGAGGUGAUUUGGCGCACGAGGCAAGAUAAGACUUUCGUAUGCCGGUUUGUGAGAGGUAUUGGAGCGUCUAGAGUCAUUGAGUAUCGAUUUGCGCUGCCACCGAAACCUGCGGGAAUUCCUAAUGCACUUUGUGUAUCACAUUCUGCAAAUGUGUUGGUGAUUGGACCCACGUCCUUCAGUAUGAGCUGCUUGAGCAACCACAAAAGCGUGAACCCGCUCUAGAGUGGGGGAAUGUGAUGAUACCCUUAUUAUUCGACAAGUCGAAUUGAGGUAUGAUUUUUUGUUUCGCAGCCGAAACUCUUUUUGAGUGGGGGAGAGUGUAACAUACCGAACUUCUGCGAUUAUAAAGUUUCGGUGGGAAUUAAUUUGAAAAGCUAAUUAAAUAAGUUCUCGCAUGAUUUGGAGAGCAUUCGAGAGUUUUCGGCGCAAAUUGGACGCGAAAACGGACUUGGGAAGUUGAAUCUCCCUAAGUUGCAUAUUUUGCAUUGAGUACCGGCACUGGAAAGUGAGUACCGGUACGCAAUGCAAAUAGUGGAAAACAUGCUCUUGGGAAUUGAGGUACCAAGGAUUGGGUACUGGAACUAAAUUGGUGAAACUUGUAUUAGGUACCGGUAUGCGGGAUUGAGUAUCGGUACGCAAUGUAAAUAUUGGAAAUAAGGCUCUCGGGUUUUGAGGUACUAGGAACCGGGUACUGGUACUGGAUACCCGAGUACUGGUACGCAGCCUGAGUACCGGUACUCAGCUUGGCAGAAUACUAUUUUUGAAGGGUAAUUUAGUAAAUUCAUUUGGGGUUUAUAAAUAGGGGUUCCCAUCUCCUUUCUUCUGCAGAGAACACACACACACACACACACACACACACACACACACGUAUAGAUAGAGAGAAAGAGAGAGGAGAAGCUCAUCUCUCUCCUACUCUUUUUUCUCCUCUCCAAUUUGGAGACCUUGGUGGAGAUCGAAUUCGGGAAACUUGGUAGAGUGGUGAAUCGAGCUUUCGGAUGCUUAAUGGCUCGAAUUCGGGAAGCUUGGUAGAGUGGUGAAUCGAGCUUUCGGACGCUUAACGGCUUGGGACGCUUCCGACUCGAGGUUCGUUUUUGGAUGAUAAAAUUAAGGUUUUAGGUUUAAACCUUCUAAAUGAGUUUCUAGCAAACCCUAGGCUAAUCUAGACUACAAAUUGUAGAGAUUAGCAAGUGGAUUUGGGUUUCUUCUCUAAUUUUGGGAAAACCCUAUGUCACGACACGCGACCGGACCUAUUUGGUUGGUUCGGGCACGUCGAAAACAGACGUCGAACGGACAGCACCUCCCCUGUCCGCUCUAGGCUCAACACAAGUAUAAAACGAGUAUAAAGUUUGUACAUGCGGAAACAUAAACAUAUAUGAUUUGCACGAGGGCGAGCAAUAACCAAAGUGAAAGAUUCUAAACUAUUACAAAUAUUAUGAUUAACUUUUAAUCACAUACAUGCAUUCAACAUUUAUAUCAUUUAUAUUCUUUUCCAUCGUUUCUUUUAUACGUCAUAUAUUCUCCCAAAAUAAGCUUUUACAUUCUUGCAUUUAAACAUUUUUAAUACAACUAGUAUAAUCAAAGUACAAAAGAUGAUAUAAAGAGGUAUGCAACUACGCAAAAUGAAACCAUCUCGGGAAGUCUCUGUCUAUGGCGCGAUAUCUUUACCGGAAUCGUCGGCCGGCUCACUCGGUCCCGACCCUGUGGAAAUAGUAGGGUGAGAACUACAACAAAGUUUCUAGUGGGUUCGGCCACCGACCUCGCCGACUUUUCCACUAGGUCUAAAUUAGGCAUAAUAGAAGAAUAGAUAGAUAGUAACCAACUAAACAAAUGCAGCUAAUAUGCCUGAACAAUAUAAUCAAUGCUAUGCUCAAAUAGAAUGCUCAUGAUGAAUGCAAGAUACACUUUCCAAUUCUCGGUCCUUUUGGCUAACCCAUAGGUUUCGCUUCAACCAAUAACUUACUAAUUCCGAUCCCUACUAUCGAGCUCUCAGCUUCCUCUCGACGGGAUAAAUAGACUCAUCAAUUCAAAUCCCUAAUAUUGGGCCCUCAGCUUCCUCCCAACAGGACCGUCUUCUGGGCAACACUAACCCAGUGAUGACAACUUCGGAGCUCAUCGCUCGAGGGGGAGCGACCUCCCUCAACCCAAGACUUAUAGGCGAGUAUGAUCUAUCCUUAACUUUAAGGAUUCCAAAUUCAAUCCAAUCCUUAACUAUAAGGAUGUAAUGCUCAUAUGACCCUUAACUAUAAGGUGGUUGUGUCACAAUACCAACUAUGUCAUCUACUUGCAUUCUUUAAUUCUCUUUAGUGUCAUAUACACUACAUGUUCUUUAUACCCAUUCUCAUGCCACACUUGUACACUAGCACUCACAACUUAUUGAUGCCACAUCCCUUGAUGUUCAACUCUAGCAUUCAAAACUCAUUAAUGCCACUCUUUACGUUUUUGUCAUAAUGUCAUUUGUUCUUAAUGUCACUAAGUCCUUUGCCUCUCUAGGUUCUUGUCAUACAUUUGUACUCACAACAUGCAAUAACACAUAUCCAUAUGCUCUCAUUUUACUCUACAAUGCAUAAUGAUAAUAUAUAACUUAUGCUCAAGAAAUGACACUUUAGAUAUAAGAGGAAAUUCAAUGAUUUCGGAAAGCACCACCCACCUCGUAUGGUUGUAAAGGUGCUACGGUUCAAUUCUUGAGAUUUUUGGGCUCCUAUUCUCUCGCCUGCUGCAAAACGAAGCCAAAUUAGGCUUUUUUCUCAAUAUCUUUACGUAGACUCGUCGGAUUGGCGAGCCGAGUUCACCAACGAGUUAGAAAUACCCCCAAUUGGGUUUAUAUAAGGUCAAUUUGCCUUUUAACCAACCUAGGGCCAAAGCCCCAACUUUGGUGCCCUAAUAAUGUCAUAUAGUUUUAUACCUUGGUUUGAUCUUAGAACUAAGCAAAAACAAGCUUAGAGUCAUCUAAGAAUCCCUCUAAAACCAUUUCUAGGUCAUUUGAACCAUCUCUAGGGCAUUUAAAGCAAACCCUAGAAAUCCACCAUGAGAGCACCUUGAAGAAACAUAGAUUUUUAUGAGUUUUCAUGACCUCUACUAGUUUCUAGUCUUGCAAGAAAAUCAAAACCAAAAGAUUUAGGGUAUAAAACCAAACCCUAGCAUCUAUCUUAUAUGAAACCUCACCUUAGCCCACUAGCUCUCCAAACUCCAUCUUGUAGGAGAGUCCAAAGCCUUCAAAAGCUCCAAAAUCUUCUCUUGAUCUCUUCCAAUCUCCUCCUCUAGCAUUGGGAGAGAGUUUCUCUAGAGAGAGAAAGAGAUAAAUGGGAGGGAGAGAUGGUUUACUGCUGUGAAUGGGAGAGGAGAAGGUAGGGCCUUUUUAUAAGCUGCUAUAAUAGCAAAAAGACCCUCCAAAUAUUUUUAUUUGCAGCAGACUGCAGCUGCUGUUUCGCAGCCGGCGUACCGGUACGCGGGAGGGCAUCACCGGUACGCCCCUGUUCAGCUGCCCAAACCCGAGAGCUGGCUAUUCUCGGAUUGCAGCAGGGUACCAGUACGCCCCAGGACAGUCACCGGUUAACCCAUCGCGCAGAGGCAAAUCUGAGAGCUGCCAGUUCUCGGUUUACUGCCUGGUACCGGUACGGCCCUGAUGCUUAACUGGUUAACAAUGCCCCAGAAUGCAGUUUUGCAUUGUUUCGACUUCUUUUCGUGCCGAGCAAUGCUAAAACCUUUCUAACUCACUUGGAACUCAUCUUUAACCCUUCCAAUAUUGUUGGAAUGAUAAAUGAACUUUGUCCAACUAUUUCACUCGGCGCACUUUGGUCAAUUUGACUAAAGUUUGAUAUUCACUACCGAGUUUCGGUAUAUUACAUUCUCCACCUCUUAAAAUUAGUUUCGUCCUCGAAACUAACUCAAUUAAAAUCUAAAUCCAUACCUCACUCUAGAUUUUCGAAGAGAUGAGGAUGACGCUUUCUCAAUACGUCCUCGAGCUCCGAUGUAGCUUCCCGAUCGUUGUGAUUGCUUCAUUGGACUUUAACAUGCAGAAUCUCACGGCUCCAUAGUUUUCUCACCACUCGAGUGACGAUAAAUACCGGGAACUCCUCAUAAGUUAUAUCCUCUUGAAGCUCGGGCGGUUCAUACGAGAGAAUAUGCUCGGGAUCGUGAACAUACUUGCGGAGAUUCGAUACAUGAAAUACAUUGUGAAAUCCCGCAAGCCUCGGUGGUAAUGCAAGCUUGUAUGCCACCGCGCCGACCCGCUCCAAUAUCUCAAAUGGUCCGACAUAACGGGGACUUAGUUUUCCGCCGACCCCAAAUCGCUUUACACCUCUCAUUGGCGAUACUUUCAAAAACACGCGGUCUCCAACCACAAACUCUAUAUUUUUUCGGCGCAUAUUAGUAUAGCUUUGCUGUCGAGAUUGCGCCGUAGUAAGCCGUUGGCGGGCAAGGCAAACUUUUUCCUCCGCCUCCCGCACAACAUCGGGGCCGAGAGCAACUCUCUCGCCCACAUCGCUCCAAUGAAUAAGAGAGCGACACUUCUUUCCAUAAAGGACCUCGAAUGGCGCUAUCGUGAUACUUUCUUGAUAACUAUUGUUGUAUGCGAAUUCUGCCAUCGGUAAAUAAUCGUGCUGUCACACCCCAGAUCUCUCGUUCCCCGGGCACGUCGACAAAUCCGUCGUAUAUAAAAAAAUUUUUCCUGUAUACGAAGCGACAGCUGUACCUGUAAGUCAAACACUACUACGAACAGUAGUAGAGAGCUGCUAGAGAAAACAAAAGUUAAACAAACUGAGUUUCAUAUACAUAGUCCAAAUCCAAAAUACAGAGUUACUCGCACUGGCGAGUUAAGUCUACUAUGUACAUAAACUCGAAACAAAACAUCUACCUGCAGUAGGGGUGCCUCUAGCUCUGCUCGUCGGGUAGGGCUCUAACUCGCGACGCCCUUGCCUCGAUCCUGAUCAGCGGAAGGCGCAGCAGCCGAAACAUGUGACUCUGCAAAAUAAGAGUAACAAUUGGGCGUGAGAACUACUACAAAACAAGUAGUCCUCAGUGGGUACCGCCCAAAACAACAUCGGUCACCCACUAAGUCUACAGAAGGGAGCAAGGAUAGUAGGAAAAGCAGGAAGUACACUCUACCGCUAUCAAUCACUACACUAUCAUGCUCUACGCUAACCAACUGUAGGAAAUGUCAAAACUGACCCAAUCCAAUCGGGACUGUAAGCAUACCUGUCCCCGGGACUGUGAAUACACCCGUCCCUGCCCCGUUGCGACUAUCAGGCUCUAUCCACACUAACUGGUCCGUGGAGAGCAAGUCCAACUGGCAUGAGCGACACCAACGCGAAAGCACAAAGCCUGACUCCGGAGUGGCACUCGUGGGCGCUACCCAACCGAGUAUGCAGCGUAUCUCUGUCGAGCUCAAACAGGCUCUGAAAAGCCAAAGUCAAGAAAUCGACUCUAACUGGUCUAACAACCAACAAAUAACGUGCCCUCGGCACAAUCAGACGCCAAAAAGGCGAUACGGGUCCACCGUCAACCUCAACGGCACCCUACAGUCCGGAACAGCCUGAACGACCCUGUAAAAUCCCCUCGGCGAACCAGCACGAGUGUAGAUAUAUUCUAAACUACCUGGAGUACUCGUCUCGAAGAUACUGCGACAGUACAAUUUAAUAACGACUCCUAGAGCUAAAUCAGGCAGUUUAAGCAUAUGACGAUUCCAAUCGUGUUUUCUCCUAAGUCAAAUCCAGUCCAACAUGUACAUUUAAGACUUACUAGUCAUGUUCUCAAUACUGAUUAUAUCCAGGAUAGCAUCAUGAAUAUCAAGCUACAACAUGAUUACCGAAACUAAAAAUCAUACAUGUCAACAAUUACGGUGCUUAGGAAUAAACCGAUGUAAACCCACCUCGAUCGCUAAACCCUGGCAAGGAGGAGGUCACCAAAAAUCUCCAAAUCCACUGGAAAAAUCAGGGUGUCAAGCUCAAGUUCGAAAUCGCCCUGCACACAUCGCAACGAAGAACUCCAGCUCAAAUUCUGUCCGAAACACAGCAGCAGAGGAGAACAUAAUUUCGACCCAGCUAACCUUCACCAAAUCCAGAAAAUAAGGGCUUCUUGGAUUCCUCUCGAAGUCCUGAAUCCAACGAACCAAAUCCCGUCGAAAUCCGACUCUCCUACACCGAGUAUGAGCCGAAACGCCAACGGUCGACGCUGAAAAUCUGCAGGGACAGCACCUAGCUCGAAUUUGAAGAAGCUUAGAAAUAAAGAAGCAAUUUGACGGCACACCCACCUCGACAGCGACCCUAGUAUCUGUGCGACGUCGAGGACGGUGAUAACACACCCUCGCUCGGCCUCCUUGCGAUGCUACGGCGACAAACGUAGGCUCGAACGGCUCCACGGCGCGACGUCGACGGCGAAUCCGAGCUUCGCGGCUACCUCUACGCGGCUCCUCCGCUUCAGCUCUCCACUCCACACGAAAGAGAGAAAGAAAAAUAUAAUUAGAGAGGUGUAGGCUGUUCCCUCAAUUAAUUGAAUGGAUAACCAUGCAUGGGGGCACGUGGCAUCCACACAUAUAUAUAUAUGUAUAGACAUGGGCAUGUGGCAUCC